UUGAGGGUAUUGCGGAACUCAAUCUGUUGGAAUUUAAGUAAAGAUAUCCCAAAGAAGUAAUAUUACCCAAACAAGAGGGUAUGGGUCCAUGCAGCUUAUUCAACCCUAAAUACAUCUUGUAUAGUCUCUCCAAACCACAGAGGCUUUCGGAGAUAGGCCCUCCUAAUUUAUUAGAGGAAAGAAAUAGACCUUGGAGAUUUCUCAUUCCUCCUAUUGAUGCUCGAAUCAAUCCACUUAAUUUAUUAUAGCCAAGUUGUAAAAGCAAUAGGUUGGUUAAGUUACCUAUUUCCAUAGGAAUAAUGCCUUGAAGCUCACAAUUAUGGGCAUAAAAGUAUUGAAAGGAUUUUGAAAGGUUCCCGAUAUAAGUAGGAAGAACGCCACUCAAUGGAUUUCCUGAAACCGCUAUUUUUCUCAAAUGCCUGCAAUUCGAUAAAGAAGAAAGAAAGCUCCACUCAUGAUCAGUAGCAGAUCCUGUGAUGAAAUUAUUGUUUACGAUUCGGAACCGUUCAAGGUGUCUUAAGUUGCCAAGUGUUUUAGGGAUUGGACCAGAGAAUAAGUUAUGUGACAACUCUAGUUUCUUAAGCAUGGAAGCAUUGGAGAUAGAGUUGGGAAUGUUUCCGCUAAGUUUAUUUCCCCACAAAAAAAGAAACUCAAGCUUUGGAGCAUUGGUGAUGGGUGGUAAAUUACCUGUAAAAUAGAAUCUUUUAGUAUACAAAUUCACAAAAUAUAUAAUACAUUAAAGUAAAAACUGUAAAACUUUAAAUCAAUUAAGAAUAAAAUUUUGGCAUGGAAAAAUGUGAUGAAAUCAAUUAGAAAGUUGAGACAUAAUAAGAAGUUUUGAGUAGUAAUUAGUCCUUGUGAUUUGUAUAGACAAAACAUAUAAUACACUAAUAAUUUUUUAAAAUAUUGUAAAACUUGAAAUAAAAUAAAAAUAAAAGUUUGGCAUGAGAACGUGGCAUCUAAUCAAUCUUAAAAAUGAGACUGAUACUGAAUAAUAAUUAGUUAUGAUUUGGGAAACAAAAAUGUUAAAGUCAUUGUUUUUAAUGUAAACUGGUAUGAUUUUGACCUAUUAGGUUAAUUAUUUAUUUUUAUUAAAUUAUAGUGUAAAAUUUAAAGAUUAUUAUUUGCUCAAAAUUUUUGUGUUUUUCGUAUAUUUGAAAUUUAAUCUUUAUAUUUUUUAUUUUCUGUGAUUUAGUCUCUCUACUUUUUGAAUUAAAAAUUUUAGGUUCAUUUAUUAACACUGUUAAAAAAGUUUUUCUGUUAGUAUGGCAUUUUGAAAAAUAAAAUAAACUUGAUAUCUAUGUUUUUAAUUAUUCCAAAUAUUGUUUCACUAUUUCAAGAUAAAUUAUUUGUGUUUAGACCAAUAUCUUAAGAACUAUUGUUGCAUGUUUAAUUAUUCUAAAGAAUUGUUGAUUGAGUCUUAGCUGAAGUGCACUAUUCUCCUAUUUAUGAAUUGGGGAGUUGGUAAAGUAUUAAAUUUUGAUAUAUUUUAAAAUAUUAAAAAUUUAUUAAAAUAUUUUUUAUAAAAAUUGAUUAUACCACAAUAUACAAUUUUAAUAUCAAAUUUUUAUUUUUUUUUAAAAUAUUAGCGAAUAUAUACUUUAUUUCAAGUUACACAAUUUUUACUAGUUUUUAAAUUUUUUUAAAAAUUUUUAUCGUCUUUUAUAAUUUCUAAUAAUUUUUUAUAAUUUUUUACAAUAUUUACAAUUUCUAACAAUUUUUAAUAAUUUUAUUAUUUAUUACAAAUUUAAAAAUUAACAAAUUUUUAUUUUUUAAAACAAUUAUAUAUUUAUAAUGUAGUUGUUUUUUUUAUAAUUUUAUUUGAAAUUUUAAAGAUUUUUUUUGGUUUUUUUUAGAUGAUGAUGCCAUCAUGAUGUCAUCAUAUGUCACAUGGCAAUUUAUAAUUAGUUGAAUAUCUCAAUCUAUUUUAUUAACGUCCAAUAGACUAAAACAAGAACACCUGAUAAUGUUAGAGACUACACUAGGAAUGUUUGAUAAUAUUAGGUACUAAAGUGGGCAAAAAAAAUUAAGGACUAUAUUAAAAAUAUAUCUAUAAUAUAUAUAAAUGCAUGGAUUUUGAGAAACUUUUGAAAUGAUAAUUAUAUAGUCUUUGUUUUUUUUUUCUAUAUUAUUGAAUUUUUUAUUUUAAAUAUUUUUUUAUUACUUUUAAGAUUUAUCAUAUGCAUGGAUAAGAAUUUUGGUUUUACUAAAAUAUUUGGUUAAAUAAAUUCACUUCAUAAGAAAAUUUAGGAUCCUUAUAAAUAACAAUUUUGAUUCUAUUAAAAAUAUUAUUUUAAAAAAUAUAUAAUAAAAAUUUAAAAUUUAUAUUGAAUUACUUUAUACUUAAAUUAUUAUUAGAAACUUUAUCAUACACAUACAUAUAUGAGAAGCACGUAUUUAGAACAUAAAUUUGUGUUUUAAAAUAACUUAUGAUAAAUAAUGAAAUGUAUAAUUUGAAACUAUUUAAUAAUAACACAUGGCAUAUCUACCAUAUUAAAAUAAAAAUAGAUUAAAUUGUAGGUAAAACAUAAUUUAAACAUAUGAAUACAUCAAAUUAAGAAUACUAAAUGAAUACAGUUAUUUAUGAUGAUGUUGUUGCCAAUUCUUAACUUGGUGUCGAGUUAAUUUGUGACAUCAUAAAUUUAAGUGGUAAAUUUAAGGUUUUAUGUAUUGAUGUGGAUUCAAAUAUCACCAUAAUUUUUUUUAAAAAUAAAAAACUAAAGUACCCUCAAACAAUAUAACUUAUAUUAAAUAUGAAAGGGUAUUUUUAUAAUUUCUUUAACCGAGUUGAUGCCCGGUUGACUCAUGACACCAACUCAAUCAAAAGCUUCAAUAAUAAUAUAGAUAUUCACGUUAAAAAAACCAAAAAAAGUACUUUAGUUCCAAAUAAUUAUAUAAUAAGUAAAUUUAUAAUUGAUGAAUAAAUUUAUAAAUAAUAUAUUUAUAUGAUCUAAUAUAUUAUAUAUAUUAAUUAUAUAUCAUCUACAAACUUUGAAGAUCAAUUUAUUAAGUAUCAAGAAAAGAAAAAAUGAAAUUGAAUUAACACUAAAUCGAUUUUUAGAUUUUGUCCAGAUGAUUUAAUGAUGAUAAAAAAAUUAUUAGCACUAUUUUUGAAUUAACAAAAAAUUAGUGAUAUAUUUUAAUUAUAUUUAUUAUUUAUUAGUUUUAAUAAUGUUUUUUUAAUUAUAUGAAGUAAAAUUAUAUCGUAUACUAAAUAUGGUACAUAUACUUUAAUUAUAACUUGAAAAAUUAUUAUAUAAAUUAAUAUAUUUUAAUUAUAUUCAACCAUUUGAAUAACAAAAUUAAAAAAAAACUAAUUAGAAUUAUUUACUUUUUAAAGUUUAAUGGAAAUUAAAAAAUUAAAAAUAAAUCAAUUCAUAUAAAUCUUAUUGUUUAUUAUCAGAUUAAUAUGAUAAAAGUAUAUGACAUAAAUAGAAGAAACAAAUUCAACACAAUGUUUUUGGAGUUUGGAAAAAAUUAAAGUGAAAAACAUACCUUCUAAUUUGUUGUUAAAUAGCUCUAUACCUUCGAGCGUAGUUGAAUUAAAAAUACUUGAUGGAAUCUGGCCUGCACACAUAGUCGAAAAUUGAAGUGAAAAAUAUACCUUCUAAACUGUUCAACUAAAAAUACUUUAAGCAUCUUUUUUUCCAUCAAAUUAGUUAUCUAUUACAAAUCAAACUCUUUUAUGAAAUGUUGAAGAUGGAAGAUGGAACCUGACCAGAUAAUUGAUUGAAUCCCAAGUUCAAGAUCUCUAGAUUAGACAUGUUAACAAGUGUUUCAGGGAUUGUGCCUGUAAAGUUAUUAUUCUUCAUUUCCAGCCUUCGAACUCUUUGUAAGUUCCCAAGCCAUGAUGGAAUUUCCCCAUUCAGACGGUUGUAGCUUAAUUGAAGGAUCCUCAAACGAUGCAAGUGGCCCAAUUCUUUAGGGAGAUGGCCAUAGAAAUGGUUGCUACUCAAGUCUAGAGAGAGUAGAAAUGAAAGAUUUCCAAGGUGUGGAGGGAUAGUACCCCUAAGAUUCAUGCUUGUAAGAUUCAAAGCUAUAACUCUUUUAUGGAGGAUGCCACAAGAAACACCAAUCCAAUUGCAAACAGAGGUUGAGGCCGUCCAAUUGUUUGCCAUGACAUUUUGAGGACCGGCAAUGCGAUCCUUGAACUCGAGAAGUGCAAAUUGAUCAGAGUUGAGAUUCCUGACUGUUAUAGCCAAGCAAAGUACGGAACAUGGUAUGAAUAAAGCUAAAAGAAGAUGAAAGCAAGUGUUGUAGUCCAUGAUUGCAAGACGGAAUAAGGCAAGAAAAUAAAAAAAAAAGUAGGAAAAGGGAAGUUGAGUUGAUAAAAUAGUUUGGAUGAUGAAGAAAAGCCCAGAGAGCAUGCUUUAAUAUGUUUCAACCCUCGCACACUUGAUAAACUUGAUAAAUUUAAGACUACUCUAAAAAUUAAAAAGGAAAACAAAGUUUUGAUGAAAUUUCAAAAUAAAUGUCAAGUAUUCUUCUUUUAGAAAUACGUAUAAAGAAGUGAAUUUUCAAAAUUUCUCCUAAAUUUUCUUCACAUUACUCCACAUAAUCCAUUAAAAAAAACUUAAAAAAUAUAUUUUAUUAAUUACUAUAUAUUCUUUUAUUUUCAGAAUAAUAAAUUGUUUAAAAUAUGCUACUAGUCCCUGUAAUUUAAAAGUUAAAAAAAAUCCAAUCCUCCUAUUUUUUUAAUUUAAAAAUUCUAGUCCAAUCAUUUUUAAUUCCAUUAAAAAAUUUCAACUUAAUAGAUUUUUUAUUAUCAAUCAUAUGCAACAUUAUAUGAAGGCAGUCUACUCAGUAUAUAUCCAAGUUUACAUAUUUUAAUAGAAAAUACUUACAAUCCUAAUGAUAGGACUAAGUUUUUUAAACUAGAAAAGUACAAAAACUUAAAUUUUAACUUUUUUAAGUACAAGGAUUAAAUUUUAAAUGUUGUCAAAGUACAAGCACUAACAAAAUAUUGUGAUCUAAUAAAUGUAAAAAGCAUUUUAAACAAAAGAUGGUUGAAAUAAUCUAUUUGUCCUUAUACUUUGAUAAAAUUUGAGAUACCAUAAAAUUUGUAUCUUUUUUCGAAUUAUUUAAUGCCAUUUCAACAUUUUCAUUAAAAAAAAAACAUAUCAUUUUGAAUUUGAUCUUUUUCAAGAUGAAAAUAUUGAAAUGAUGUUAAAUUAUCGGAAAGAGAUACAAGUUUCAUGGUAUCUCUCUAAGAAAGCUGAUGUAAGAUAUUAAUGACAUCAUUUGAACAAAGUUUUAGGUCAAAUUAUUCAUCUAGUCCUUGUAAUUAUUCUUUAAGGUGAAUUUCAUUAUUAUUCUUUUAUUUUCUUUGGCUUAAAUAAACAUUUACCCCUAAUUUUAUCACAUUCUCCUUAAUUGGUAUUUAUAGUUUAGAAAAUUUUACAAAUAUAUUAUUUUUUAAGAAAUUAUAAGAAGAUUACAAAAAUUCCAAAAUAAUAUAAAAAAGCUAAGAAAAACCUAGAAAUUCAAAAAACAAAAAAAUAAUGUUUUUACAAAUUGGGGUAUGCAAUCAAUUUUAAGAUGGUUUUUGGAGUUCAUCUCACUUUAGCAUUGACUUACUUUUCUACAGUUAGUCUUCUCCAACAAGUUAAAUAUUUCAAUUUUAACAACAUUGACAGGUCUUAGGGGUAGGGUCGAGCAAAACUCAAUAGAAAUAGAUGAUAUAGGUUGAGUUGGCUCGGCCAAGUCGAGUCGACUUGUUCAAAUUUGUUAAAUUAGUAAAUUUUGGGGUGCAGUUAGAAUUUUUUUGUUUUGAGAUGCUAAGAUUAAAAAAAUUUGAGUUUUGAAAACUUUGACUCCUUUUUGCUUUGAGAGUUGAUUUGAAGAGAAAAGAGCUUGAAGGUGCUUUUGUAGAAAUAGGACAAAUUUUAAAAUAAGGAGUAAAUUGGAAAAAAAAAUUUGGGUUGGGCUAAUUUGAAAAUUUGACACUUUUGUGGGAUAAAAAUAGAAAAAUAUUUUGGUUGAAUACACAUAAGGAGUUACGAACUUGAGACUUAUAGGUAGGCUAAGGCCUUACCACUUAACCAACAAGCUCAUUAUUAUUAUCUUUUAACACAAAUAAAUUUUAAGGCAUACUAAGGGCUUGUUUAGCAUUGCAGUGAAGAAGCAUUUUGGCUUAAAAAACACUUUUGAGAGAAAAGUGGUUCUAAGCUAGUAACUUUUGGCUAAGAUUUUGGCUUUUCAAAAGCAAUUUUGGCCAAAUGGAGAAGUUAAAAUUAUUAGCUUUUCUUACCCAAAAGCAGUUUUGAGUGCUUAAUUACUAAUUCAUCCCCCCAAAAACACAAUUUAAAAUAAAAUAAUACAAAUAUGUUAAUAUUUAAUUACAAAUAUUUAAUGGGUAUAUUUAAAUAUUUAAAAUAUAAUUUAUAUAUUCUAAUUAAAUUUUAUAAAUAAUUAAUAUUUGUUGCUUAAAAAUAUUUAAAAUUUAUAUUUUAUAUAUUAAAAUAUUAACAACAAAUUAUAAUAAAUUAUUUUUUAUAUUCUUACUAAAAUAUCAUAAUAUAAAUUAAUUUUAAUAUUAUUUAAAUACAUAUUUGUUACUUUAUAAUAUCAUGUCUAAGAUUGACGUUUUAUUUCUCAAAAGCACUUUUUGAAAUUAAUACUAAACACUUAAAUUUUAAACUAAACUUCUCAAAGAUACUUUUCUACAACACUUUUAAAAGCACUUUCCAAAAUCAAUGCUCAACUACCUCAAACUCUCUUACCUUAUACUUUAAAAGAGAAAAAAAAAAGAUUUUAAAUUUUAUCCCUAUUUCUUUUAACCCAAUUUUUAGGAUGUCAAACAUUUAUAAAUAAAAUAAGUAAAAGGAAAAAAAAGCAUAUACUUUAUUUUUAUCGCAGGUAAAAGUUUUAAUGGAGAGGAUCAUGUAAAAUUAUGAUCUGAAUAAUUUUAAACAUUUCAUCAUUGCAAAAAUGAAAUAAUAGAAAAGAAUGACUAUUCGAAUUUGCAUUUGUGUUCUUUCUUUCAAUAUUUGCUUUCAAAACUGUGGGAAAAUUUUAAAUUUGAUGAAAUUUUAAAAUUGCAGUUCAGUAAAAUAUAAAUUUUAUGAAUUUGGAGUAGCCAUUUUAUUUAUAAUUUUCUGUGUUUUCUUCUUUGCUGACUUUUUUAAUGUCAUUUUCUAUCAUGAAAGAAACUUAAAGAUUCACUAUGUAUUUCUCAACCACUAUGAAAUUACUUGACUACGGGGGUAGAAUUUUCUCACCAAUUUUCUAACAUUAGAUUUUUUGAAUGAGACAAAUAUUCAAUUUUAACACAUUUCCCAUAAUUAGUCACCCCUAUUUGUGAGUGAUUUGGGGAUAAAAGCUUAAACAUUUAUGGAUCACAUUGCAUUUAAGACGGGUGUUUGGAGUUAUAUGAAAUUUUAACAUAGACUGGCUUUUCUAUAAAGAGUACUCCUUGCUUUACUAUUGUCAUGAUACGAGGAGAUACUGAAAAUUAUUGUACUAUGAAAUUUUAAUUCACUCGAAAAAUAAGUGUUUUAUUUCAAGGGAUUAAUAUUAGCUUUCUCUUUUUUAAAUUUUGAAUUUUUUUUGACAACUGCGUAAUUAAGAAUAUAUCAAUUUUAGGUGUUAUAGGGGUGUUUUAACCUUCCCUAUGUGUAAUCGACUACUGAAACUUUUUUAUUCUUUAGAAUUCAACACAUACCUCAAAAUUUUCUUUUUAAAAGAUUUUUAAAAUCUCUUUAUAAAAGAUUAUCACACUUAACAAAGAUGAUCAGUGACUACUUUUCUUUAAUAAAAUAUUAUGUUUUUGCAGAGACCAAAAUUUUCAUAUUUUUCAAGAAUUCCUCAAUCUAAUUUUCUUUUUGAAUUUUUAUUUUCAAGAGGAAAAUGAUCCCUACAAUUAAUAUUUAUUUUCCUUAUUUUUAAUUUCUUUUUAAGGGAGAUGAAUAGUGGAAUGAUAAUUUUUAGUUAUGGUAAAGUAAAUUUAAUUAUCCACAACCUUCAACUAUUAAUUUUUUCGAUUUAAUUACACAAUUUUUUGAAAUUAACACUCUUUUAUUAGUUGUCGCUAGGUGAUGGACGAAAAGUUGAUUUGGACUUUUUGUUGACCUAAUAACAAAUUUAGAUAUUCAAAGUUUACUUAUUCUAUCAAUUUAAUGCUAAAUUUAAAAAAUUCAACAAAUCCUAUCAAAAAACAAUUGGACCUUGAGUACACAGGCUGUGAGAUUUUCACAUGGCUGUGUCUACACUGCACUCUAUUUUAUCAAAUUCGGACAAAGAGUUACACAGGCUGUUCACACGGGCAUGUGCCUCCUUCACAUGGGGCGUGUAGACCUCCACACAACUUAGGAACUUCCACAUGGCUGGGGCACACGGUCAUGUGGCCUUGUUUUGUAGAUUUUUGUUCUGUGUUAGAUUUUGACUCGUUUUGUGCCUGUGUGUAUUCUGACCUCAGUUAAGACUUAGUAAGAAUGUUUAGGACUCUGAUUAGUUCGAAUUUGUGCAUUUGUUUGUAACUAAUGUGUUAAUUUAUUAGUUUGAUUAAAUGUUAUGUGAUGUUAUUAGUAAAUAGUUACAAACCUAAUUGAUUCUAAAUCUGAUUGAUUGAACUUGUGUGUUUCGUUUUCUGUAUGGAUGUUUGUAUGUUGUGUGCAUUUUGCAAUAGCAUAAAAAUUUUACUAUUGAUUGACUGAAUAUGAACUUCUAUAUCUGUGACACUAUUAGUGUUUGAUGUGCAUUCAUACAUAUGCAUAAAAUUAGGGUUUUGGUUAUGAAGAGAAGGGAGCCUGUUUCGGUAGUUCAACUGUAAUAUUUCUGAACAGCAGUUUACCGCAUGAUUCUAUAUAUAUGUCAGCUUAGCUGCAUAUUAUGAUUUCGAGUGGCUUAUUUUCCUUAUUGUAGUGUGUAGGGUGGAUGAACCUUUUAUAGUUCUUGUAAUAGGCCCAAUUUGUAUGGGCCCAAAAAAAUAAGUUACAAACCCAAAAUAAACAUUACAAGCCCAAAAAUUAAAAAAAAAACUAACGGCCCAAGUGGCCCAAAACCUAACCCUCUUUAGUCGCCACUUCUCUCACGCGAGCCAACCUCCUCACGCGUGCCACCACGUCAGCACCUCCGUACCCUCCACGCUCUCUCUCUCUGCCACCAUAGCAUGCGUCCUUGCCCGGUACUUGCAGACCAAGCAAAAGAGAGCACAACAGUAAAGAGAAAAACAUUGUAUUUUUCGGCUAUAAAAGCCAUGAACAAAUCAAUGUAAAUUUUUUACGACAAAAAUAAAUACAAAAAAGGCAAUUGGAAACAAAAAAAAGGUGGUUCUUUUUUUGUUUUUAUUUCUUUUCUACUUAUAUUUCUACUAGUUUUUAAGAAAAAUAAAAAAGAAUGGAGUCGAAUCUUACCCUUUUCUCGCAUGUGCGCCGUCGUGGGGGGUCGAGGUUCGUCUUUUCCAAUGAAAAAUGACAUUUUUUGAGUUGAGGAAGUCGAAAAGUCAAAAAAUGGCCUUUUUUCGAUUUUUUGGCCACCGUGGAUGGCGGCGCCGUCACCGACGACCGACGGCCGCCACGACGGUCCGUCGGUUGGAGCCAUGGCCGGAGAGGGGAGUUGGGAGAAAGGGGGAGAGUGAUUUGAGUGUUUUUUUUUCAGAGAAUGGGGAGAAAUGAAAAAUUAAAAAAAAAGGUUUUUAUAGAGGAUUGAAAUGGCAUCGUUUUGGGCCUUAACCCCAGUGGCCAAAACGACGUCGUUUCACCCCUUUAAUCUGCGCGUGGACCCGACCCGCAAGAGGAUCCGUGUGUUUUUGUGGAAGGGUCUAUUUGCGUGUUAGACCCUUCCACAUUUUUCAAUUGUCUUAAUCCAGUCCUUUUUUAUUUUCUAAUUUGUACUUCAAAUUUUAUUUUAUUUUUGAUUUGGUCCUAGCAAAACGGCGCGUUUCAGAGGGCGGGGAUAUUUCCCCAAUUGGUCCCUCUUAGUUAUUCGCGCCUUUCAAAUGGGUCCUCUACCUUAUUUUCAUUCUCGAUUUUUACCCAGUUUUCUGAUUAAACUUCAAUUUAGUCCUUCUGCAUCUAUUUUAUUAUAAUUUUAGCCCCUCUUAUAUUCAUAAACUUAUUUUAUUAGGAUUUGGACUCUUAAUUUUAUUUCAAUGUCAAUUUAAUCCCCUUUUAUCUCAGUCUAGGUUUUAUUUUCUUUUUUUUUGUUGUGCUUUAUUUAUUUUAUUUAUUUGCUUACCAUUUCUUUUUUUAUUUUGAUUUUCGUAUUUAAUGAUGCUUUUACUUUAUUUAUUUUAUUCUUGACUUUCAUUGUUAUUGUUGUUGUUGUUGUUGUUAUUUUUAUGGUUUUUUAUUAUUUCAUUUAUUUACAUAUUUUAUUCCAAAUUGUUGCUUUAAAUUUUGUUUACAUUUUAAUUCGGUUCUUUACUUUCAAUAUUUUUUUAUAAACUAUUUUCCCUUACAUUAUUUAUGUAUUUAUUUUAUUUGUUUUUUUUAAAGUUGGUAUUGUCCUUUUAUGUGCAUACUUUGACAUUAUUACCAUUGUUAUUAUUUAUUUUAUUUAUCUUUUGAUUAUUCAUAUUAAUGUUAAAGUAGUGUAUAUUAUAUGAUUCUCGUAAAUUGUCUUUAUUAUAUUCAUUAUUGUUAUUUAUUAAUGCAACAUUUCAUUCAUGUAUUAUUUUAAAUAUUACACAUUUUUACCCAAAUUUGUAAAAAAAUAUAAAAAUUAGAAAAUAAGCAAUAUUUCGUAUUUUGGAAUUUGAAAAGUCGUUCCCUAACUUACGGGGUUUCAAUUUUUUUGAUAAAUCCAAAUAUACGAGCUAUUUUUCAAAAACACAUUUUUAAAAUUAUCUCGAGAAUUAAAAAGAUCGUUUUUCAACUUUUGGAAUAUGAUUUCUUUUCUAAAACUGAGAUAAUAAAAAUUUUCUAAAAAUAAAUAAAAUUUUUGGUGUUUAUUCUCGUUUUGAGAUUUAAGGUUAUGUCCUAACUCACAGGGUAUAAUUCUUUUUCUCGGUUGACAUAAAAUAUGCCCUUUUUAAAAUUCUUUUAGGUAAUUUUAAUAAAAGGAUCGUAUUUUAAGUCUCUUCAAAAUUUUCAACUUUCGACAUUAAGACAUUAAUUAAUCAAUUAGGUAUCAAUUUUGGGCGUGACGAGGGUGCUAAUCCUUCAUCGCACGUAACCGACUCCCGAUCCAUUUUUCUCGAAUUUCGUAGAUCAAAAUCAUUGUUUUAGUAAAAUCGAAACGUUUUGUUAAAAAGAUUGAAUUGCAAGGUGAUCCGAUCACACCAAAAAAAAAUAUCGGUGGCAACUACAGUUUUUUUCGUUUUUAUUUUUAUAAUAAAAGUCGACCCCUUUUUUAUUAAAAAAUGGCUUCGAUAGUUCUAUGUGGUGUGAGGGUAGACGGGCCUUCUAUAGCCCUAAUGUGGUGUGCAGGGUGGUCGAAGUGGUGUUCAAAUGGUUGGGUGGGUUUUUAACUUAUUGCAUACGGUUUGCAUUAGGCAUAUGUGUCUGAUUAUGAUUCUUUUUAAAAUUAUUUGCAAAUGUUUGUACUAAUUUGAUUAUUACAUGUGUUAGAGACAUUGCUUAUGCAGUUUGAUACUAUAUAUUGACUUAUUGAUGUAAGAUUUUCGUAAGUGACCAUCAUAUAGUGCUUGUCUGAAAUAUUUAUGGAGUUAUCCCCUCUUUUACCGACUGUUGUGUUUUGGACUCACACUGAGCUCGCGUAGCUUACCACCUUAGUUUUCUCCCUUUUAGAUACUCUCGUGUUCUGUAGCUAGACUCGACAUAUUAGAAGGCUCAGACGGAAGAGGUGAGAUUUGAUUUAAUAAAGUGUUUCAAUUCAAUUUUAGUUUUUCUAACUUCUUGGGACUAUAAGUGUUAAUAGGGACUGUAGUAUAAGUUUUACUUCUGGAUUUUCGUAAAUUUUUAUUUUGGGACUGAACUUUUGAAAUUGUGGAAUUAUACUUUCUAUUGUUUUUAACGUAAUUUAAAAUCUUUGUUUGAAUCCUGAAUGGUUAAACGACUUAGUUUGAUUUUAGCAAAAAUGAGUUAUAAAUGAGAUGUUAACAAUUCAUUUUGUAAAAUUAUUUUUAGAUCACUUCGGUGUUCAAAGUAACCUCUGAGAUUCGAUCCAUACUUCUAGGCCGAGUUUUGGGGUGUUACAUUAGUUUUCAAGAGGAGAUUGGUGAUCUACUUGAAGAUAGAUUGAUUUUGAAAACUUUGACUCCUUUUUGCUUUGAGAGUUGAUUUGAAGAGAAAAGAGCUUGAAGGUGCUUUUGUAGAAUCAGGACAAAUUUUAAAAUAAGGAGUAAAUUGGAAAAAAAGGGUUUUGGGUUGGGCUAAUUUUAAAAUUUGACACUUUCGUGGGAUAAAAAUAGAAAAAUAUUUUGGUUGAAUACACACAAGGAGUUACGAACUUGAGACCUAUCGAUAGACUAAGGCCUUAGUACUGAACCAACAAGCUCAUUCUUAUUAUCAUUUAACACAAAUAAAUUUUAAGGCAUACUAAGGGCUUGUUUAGCAUUGCUGUGAAGAAGCACUUUUGGCCUAAAAAACACUUUUGAGAGAAAAGUUGUUCUAAGCUAGUAACCUUUGGCUAAGAUUUUGGCUUUUCAAAAGCACUUUUCGCCUAAUGGAGAAGCUAAAAUUUUUAGCUUUUCUUACCCAAAAGCACUUUUGAGUGCUUAAUUACUAAUACAUCCCUCCAAGAACACAUUUUAAAAUAAAAUAAUACAAAUAUUUUAAUAUUUAAUUACAAAUAUUUAAUGGUUAUAUUUAAAUAUUUAAAAUAUAAUUUAUAUAUUCUAAUUAAAUUUUAUAAAUUAUUAAUAUUUGUUGCUUAAAAAUAUUUAAAAUUUAUAUUUUAUAUAUUAAAAUAUUAACAACAAAUUAUAAUAAAUUAUUUUUAUAUUCUUACUAAAAUAUCAUAAUAUUAAUUAAUUUUAAUAUUAUUUAAAUGCAUAUUUGUUACUUUAUAAUAUCAUGUCUAAAAUUGACGUUUUAUUUCUUAAAAGCACUUUUUGACAUUAAUACUAAACACUUAAAUCUUAAACUAAACUUCUCAAAGAUACUUUUCUACAACACUUUUUAAAAACACUUUCCAAAAUCAAUGCUCAACUAUCUCAAACUCUCUUACCUUAUACUUUAAAAGAGAAAAAAAAGAUUUUAAAUUUUAUCCCUAUUUCUUUUAAUCCAAUUUUUAUCCCAGGUAAAAGUUUUUAUGGAGAGGAUCAUGUAAAAUUAUGAUUUGAAUAAUUUUAAACAUUUCAUCAUUGCAAAAAUGAAAUAAUAGAAAAGAAUGACUAUUCGAAUUUGCAUUUGUGUUCUUUCUUUCAAUAUUUGCUUUCAAAACUGUGGGAAAAUAUUAAAUUUGAUGAAAUUUUAAAAUUGCACUUCAGUAAAAUAUAAAUUUUAUGAAUUUGGACUAGCCAUUUUAUUUAUAAUUUUCUGUGUUUUUCUUCUUUGCUGACUUUUUUAAUGUCAUUUUCUAUCAUGAAAGAAAGUUAAAGAUUCACUAUUUAUUUCUCAACCACUAUGAAAUUACUUGACUAUGGGGGUAGAAUUUUCUCACCAAUUUUCUAACAUGAGAUUUUUUGAAUGAGACAAAUAUUCAAUUUUAACACAAACAUAUCUUUAGUUAUUGAGUCACCCCUAUUUGUGAGUGAUUUGGGGAUAAAAGCUUAAACAUUUCUGGAUCACAUUGCAUUUAAGAUGGGUGUUAGGAGUCAUAUGAUAUUUUUUCAUAGACCGACAUUUCUAUAAAGAAUCCUUGCUUUACUUUGGGUAGAUUCUUCCAAUUAGCGUGGUCGUUGGUAUUACUCUCCAACAAUUAUUGUACUGUCAUCCUUAUUCCUACUCCUCCUAGCAGAGAAGUUUCAUAAGUGUUUUAUUUCAAGGGAGUCAGCACUUAGCAACCCCUUGGGGGAUUCAGCACUUAGCAACCCCUUUUAUAUUCAAUGUACUCCGGCUUAUUCCGAGUGUUCAACCGGAAAUCUUGUUUGCAAUAUUUUACCAUUUUUUCCAACUUAACCACAUUUUUAGGAUCUAUGGCAAGUAUUUAUUCUACGUUCAAUUAAAUCUCCUCAUAUAAUGAAUAAUAUCAAAAUAAUGCAUUAAUUCACAUGUUUACUUACCUUGGUGCAAAAUAUUGUAAUUUUGCAAUUUACUCCACAAUUUUCUCUUUUCCCCGAUUGAGGUUGUCUCCUCGUCUUUCUUGAUCUAUAAUAGCAAUUUUAGCUUAUUUAAUAUUCACAUUUAUUAAAACAAUCCUCGACUCACAUUUAUUAAACUUGCUAUUUAAUAUUCACAUUUAUUAAAACAAUCCUCGACUCAACUUUUUACAAAAUUAUGAUUUUGCCCCCAAACUUUUGCAUAUUUACACUUUUGUCCCCAAGCUCGAAAAUUAAAUUCCACUCCUUAUUCUUAUGUUUUACAACAUGCUGAAUACUUUUCCCUUCUAUGGCAACAUCAAAUUCUCACUCUAACAUACACUCAUGAACAUUAAAUAUUUUUACCGAUUAUGUCAAUUUACCCGUUUCUACUUAAAAUUGCUUAGUAAAAGUUGUUUAACAUAAUUCUAGCUCCAUAUUCUACCAUAAAACAGUAAAAUAAACACAUUUCACCUAUGACUAUUUUUCCAAAUAUGAACCCUAGGUUAAAUUAUGUGUUUUGUUCUUCCAAAUGUGUUUUGUUACGAAAUUGAAAACCAAAAUUUAUGUAAAUUUGUCAUGAUUCCUCAAUAGAAAAAUCUGUAAAUUAUCAAAACGUAAAUGUGAACAUAUUAAUUAUUAACUUAAAAAAAACCUAGUCUUGUACAAUCAAAAUUCAAAAAUCAUUUGCCUUGUAAAACUUGUAAUUUUCAUUAAAAUUUUUGCAGCGAAAACUUUUUAUUUAGCCUAUUGAGCAUAUUUUUAAAUUUACGUUUUUAACUUUCGUAAAAUCCCAAUUUGUAUUUUUGUGGUGGAAAAUUUUAUAAUUUUGAAAACCUAGCCUUGAUUGUUGGUUAACACAAAUCAUGCAGAAAAAAAAAACCUUUAACUAAGCCAAAGAAAUCCAAAGCCAAAUUAAAUCGGAGAAAUUCAACCAAAAGCCAAAAGUCCAGUAAAUCAAUUUAUUAACCAGAGCAAACAUUUAAUGAAAGAAUCAAUCCGAGACCCCGCAAAUUCUAACUUUCCGAUUACCUGAAACAUCAUAAAUAAAAUAAAGGGGAGAGCUAUAAAGCUCAGUGCAUAACUAAAACAGAAGCUGAGAUCACAUACAAUACAAUAUACAAAUCAUAAAAUCAUAGAAAAUUUCAUAACAAACAGUCAAACAGAAUUGAGUAUACAUGAUUAUGCCAAUGCGGUAUUUUUCAGAAAAUCUUAAUGCAAAUUUUUCAGAAAACGUCCUACCCAAAUCCUCUACACACUUGAAUAGAGUUCUCCAGAACUUAUCCAUAAAAAAAACACACCAAUUAAGUCAUCCCAGGUUGCCCAAAAACGAUGACUCACCACCAUGGGAUGCCCGACAACGAUGGCUUAUCAAUAUGUAAUUAAACUGUUAGAUCAGAUAUUUGUGGUCAAGCCAUUGAAUUGCAUCUCAGCUACUUAAACAAAAAUAUGUAGUGAAGCCACUAUAUUGUAUCCAAGUUGCCAAAUAAAAAUAUGUGGAUAAACCACCAGAUAGUGCAGACCAUUAAACUACCAAAACUUCCUCCCUGCCAUAUUAUCCCAACCCCAUGCAAUGUGACAUGACAUGCAUUUACAUAAUCAAAACGACAAGCAUGUAAGACAUGUAGUCGUACCAUAACACAAUUUAGCAAGCAUGGCAUUCCACUCUUUUACAGAACAGAUGUAUCAGAAAUUCAACAUAAGCAAGUUGGUAUGCUAUAAAGUCACAUGCAUGAUCACAUAGCAGAAUCAGAAACAUAAAAAUAACGUAACCAAACCUCAUAUACACAAAUACAAACAUAACAAUACAAAUCAUGCUACCAGAUUCAUUAGAAAACAGUUCAUGCACACUAAUUUCACAUACCUUAUUCAUAUCACCUACAAUAUCAAAUUAUCAGAUAUUACAUUUUCAAAGUCAAUUUUACACAGUACGAACCCUACAAAGUGGCUAAACAUGAUUCACGAAUCAAAAGGGGCCUAAACGAAAAUUUUUAAAAGAUGGGCCAAUAUGGCCCAAUUAGCCUAGGCCGUAUGGCGUCGACAGUCCAAUUUUUGACUUUCAGCUGUUCAUUAUUUUUUGACUUUUUUGAUAUACACCUUACUAUUUUCCGAAGCAAAAUCAUGGCAAGAAUUCCAAAACUUAAAAUCCAUAUUCAACCCACUCAAAUUAGUAAUGAAACCCAAAACUAAAUCAUUAAACAACCAAAACUGCUACCAAUAAACCUUAUCAAACCAGGAAUCAACCUUUUGGCAUCUGACUACUAACCCAAAAUAGUAGCAGUAGUACUAAAAAUCUCUCAAUUCAUCGGAAGACUAUUUGUUACAGAAACGUCACCUAAACCAAAGAUUUCAGAGUAAUCAAAAUCGCGUCACACAAAGAAGGAAACAAAUUAACCCUAAAAUCGUGAAACUCAACAAAAUACGAAUCUUUUCACAUAUUCCUUACCACCAACCGUCAAGAUUGGUCAAAAACCACUAAUGACACCGACCAUCGCAAGGUUAAAUUGAAACCAAAAGGCAACUAAAGAUGGAACAAAGGUUGUUAUAAAAAAAAUUAACAAAGACUUAUUGCAGCAAAAAUGGCAAAAAAUCAAGAAUAGGGAGAUUGGAAAAAAAUAAUGAAACGGCAAAGAGAAGGAGUGGGAAAGUGACGGCAGUUUGUGGAGAGAUUUUGGGUAAAUAAAAAGUAACUCACCACUCAACCCAUUAAAUCUGAUUACCCUCUAGACAGAUUCCCUUAGAGUUUAAAUUCAACCCAAAUACCGCUACAUGGGCGGCAUAGUGUAAGGAAAUAAAAAUAUUUCUACUUUGCACACACGCGGUCUUGAACACGAAGCCUUAGGGUAAUUUGAAGCCUUACCACUAAAUUAGUAGGCUCAUCCUUGAAAUUAAUUGAACGAAAAUAUUAUUUAUGUCAGAUGAUCAGGGAUAGAGGUUAAGACCAAAGAUGACAAAAAUUCAAAGGAAAGAUUUAAACCUAGAACCUCACACACACAAGCAUAACACCUAUCCACUGAACCAUAUUUACUCCACUGACAUAAUUUUCACAAUAUUAACUAAAAAUUCAGAAUAUGGUCACUCUUGGUUUCACUUACCUAAUUUCUUCUAACCUGAUUUUUGUGAUGUGACAACUCUCCCAUCCUUAAAAGAAUUUCAUCCUCGAAAUUCCUAUUAUGACACCAUACACUUAACUACAAAAUCUAAAAUUCCCUAGUCCAAACCAACCACCAGGCUAUCAUUGUACAACUCUAAUCUCCAUUCAAGUCUGAUCCAGACAAUAUUUCAGAGGAAUUUCCUAUUCACUACCUCGAAUUACCUCAAUAAGCUUUCCACAGAAACAUCACUAAUGAUCCUUUACCCCAGACUCUAAAAAAAUCACUUACCACAAAAUACAGGUACAAACAAUUCUUAUCAAUGCAUAGUACAUUUGGAACAUAUCAUAAAAGUACCUGUAUCAUUGUCAAAUGCAUCACGGCUCGCUUGAUACCUAGUUGCAUAUCCCCAUCUCAAAUUUUGUUUUUAUGUCGAAGCUUGUACCCGUAAAAUAGUGUCAUGAGCAAUCCCAAACUCGAUGCUCAACUGACCUACAUCUAAAACACGCUCUCAUUUUCCUCCAACAAUCGUCCGAAUGGUGCCUAUCACAGUAAGUAUAAAUCAGAAGCUCAACCGCAUUCACAAUUGCCUCACCCCGCUGAAGCCUGUCUAUUUUAGCCCGUUUCCUUGGUCAUGGAUUCAAGUCAAUAGAACCAUCACUCAUCUUAUUUUGCACUUUAUUCAUUACUUAUUCUCUCCCUUGGAGCAAUUACUCUCUACCGCUAACUUGACUUGAUACGCUUGAGGUCACUCAAUCACAGACUCUUGUCUCAUACAUCCAAAUUGGGUUCCAUCGAUCCUUUGCAAAUCUCUAAACACCUCUUGGAACACUGAAACGUCCCCUACUUCUAAACUGCCCUCAGAUUUGGGCGUCAUAGCAAACUUAUUUAUUUUCAAAUUGGGCUUACUGCCCCGAGAAGAGAACUCAACUCGAGUCACCCAGCUACGUCCACCACGCCCUCGCACAUCAUGACCUCGAGUACUCAUUAUACUAAUCUACAGUUUGCGAAAUUUUAUGAAUUAGCUUAGGUUUAUUAAAAAUUAUAAGUCUAGAGUUUUAUCAAAGUUUCUUACAUAAUUACCAUAGUCUUUAGCUAGAGUAGAGUAAUCCUAGCACUUAAGUUUUGUUAGUUUGUCUAGUAUAGCUAAAGUAAAGAUACUUACAGGAUCGACGAUGUAGUUUUGGAUUCUUUUUGAUAGAAUCAAAUAUAAAAAUAAUCAAAAUCUAAAUACCCAUUUUAGAAACCCAAAGUAUAAUAAUUAAUCAAAAAUUCAAUUUAUUUAAAGCAUAUUUAAUGGAGAUUUUCAAACCCAGAAAUCAUAGCCUGAGUUUUGUUACCUUGCUCUGAUACCACUAAAUGUAACACCCAAAACUUGGCUUAGACAUUAUGGCCAAAUCUGGAAGGUUACAUUAGUACGAAAAAAAUGAUUUUUCCAAAGUGUGGUUUGUUACGAAAUUGAAAACCAAAGUUUAUGUAAGUUUGUCAUGAUUCCCCGAUAGGAAAAUUUGUAAAUUAUCAAAACGUAAAUGUGAACAUAUUAAUUAUUAACUUAAAAAAAACCUAGCCUUAUACAAUCAAAAUGCUAAAAUCAUUUGCUUUAUAAAACUUGUAAUUUUGACUAAAAUUUUUGCAACGAAAAUUCCAAACUAAUAUUCGUAAAUUGUAAUUUUGUCAAGUAAAAACGUUUUAUUUAGCCGAUUAGGCAUAUUUUAAAUUUACGUUAUUAAAUUUUGUAAAAUCUCAAUUCGUAUUUUUGUGGCAAAAAAAUCUUGGCUCGUAUAAUUUUGAAAACCCAACAUUGAUUGUUCAGUAACACAAAACAUACAGAACAAAAGACUUUAACUAAGCCAAAGAAACCCAAAGAAAAAUUAAAUUUGAGAAAUUAAACCAAAAUCCAAAAGUCCAAUAAAUCCAUUUAUUAACCAGAGUAAACCAUUUAAUUAGAGAAUCAAUUCGAGCUUCCACACACUGCCCGAUUCUAAGUUAUCGAUUAUUUGAAACAUCAAAAAUAAAACAAAUGGGUGAGCUAUAAAGCUUGGUGCAUAACUAAAACUCAAGCCGAGAUCACACACAAUACAAUAUACAAAUCAUAAAAUCAUAGGAAAUUUCAUAACAAUCAGUCAAACAAAAUUGAGCAUACAUGAUUAUGCCAAUGCGGUAGUUUUCAGAAAAUCAUAAUGCAAAUUUUUUCAGAAAACAUCCUACCCAACACCACCACACACCCAAAUAUAGUUUCCCAAAACUCGUCCAUCUAAAAACACACCAAUUAAGUCAUCUCAGGUCGCCCGAAAGCGAUAACCUACAACCUCGAGUUAGUCGGCAAUGAUGACUUAUCAAUUUGCAGUUAAACUACUAGAUCAGAUAUUUGUGGUCAAGCGAUUGUACUGCAACUCAGCUGCCAGAUUAAAUGUUCCUAGUGUAGUCCCUAACAUUAUCAGGUGUUCUCGGCUCAGUCCUUUGGACAUUAAAAAAAAUAGAUUUGGAUAUGCAAUUAAUCAUAAAUUGCCAGGUGGUAUAUGUUAAAGUUACGAUAACAUCAUCAUCAAGAAAAAAACCAAAAAAAUCUUUAAAAAAUUUCAUAAAAUUCAAAUAAACUUAUAUAAAAUUAACUACAUUAUAAAUAUAUAAUUGUUAAAAAAUAAAAAUUCUUAAUUAUUUUAAAAUUUGUAAAAAAUAAUAAAAUUAUUAGAAAUUGUUAAAUAUUGUAGAAACAUUAUAAAAAUUAUUAGAAUCAUAAAAGACGGUAAAAAAUAAAAAGUUAAAAUACUAGUAAAAAUUGUCUAACUUGAAAUAAAGUAUACAUUUGGUAAUCAAAUUUAAAAUAUUGAAAAUUUAAUAUUAAAGUUGUAUAAUUUUUAUAAAAAAUAUUUUAAAAUAUUUUAAUAAAAAUUGAAUAAAUUUUAUAUCUAUUUUUUAAUAUUUUAAAAUACAUCAAUUUUCAGUACUUUACCAACGUUACUGGCAACAAGUUUUUUCGACUUGACUCCCUAUUUAUUGUCUUAAGUAGCUUCCUGCAUCCACCAUUUUGCACAUGGUUUUUCUAUUUUAUACCAAAGCUCUUUAGAAUAGUUAAACAUUCGACAAUAGUUCUUAAGAUAUUAGUUUAGAGACAAAUAAUUAUCUUGAGAUAGUAAAAAAAAAAGAAAUAAUUAAAUAUAUUAUUUACUUGAAAUAAUAUUAUUUUUCAUUAUUUAAAUUAUUUGAGAAAAAAACUUAUUCAAGUUUAUCACGUAAAAAGAUCUACCAAUUAUAAAUUUUGAUUAGUUGAACCAUAAGACAAUUGUUAUAGGUAGUAUCAUUCCAAGAGACAAUUAUCACAUGUUCAAACUCUAGUUAAUGUGAUUUAUAAAAUUUUAAAAAUAUUAAAAUAUCUAAUAUAUUUUUGAAAUUUAUGUAAAUUUUUAUAUUUUACACAGUUUUUUUUUCUAUUUUUAAAUAAUUUUGAUAAUUUUUCUUUUAUAAUUUUUGUCAUUUUUGAAGAUUCUUUAAGGGUUUUUGUUGAUGAUUUCAUUAUGAUAUCAUCAUACGACAUGUGGUAGUAUAUGAUUUGUUGAAUAUUCCAAAGAAUUUUUUAUUGACCAAUGAACUAAACUAAAAAUUUUUAAUAACAUUAGGGACUGAAGUGGAUAAAAAUAUUUUAAAAACUAAAGUUAAAAAAGUGAUAUACUUGCAUUAACAUUUUCUAAAAGAUGGAAGUGUUUUUCUGUUUUAAGGGAAUAGAAUUUUUUUGAGUGAAUAUAGUUUUGUGAGGGAGUAGUGAUAUUAUUAUUAGAGACAAGGCAUUUGAUUUUUAUAUAACUUUUUAAUUAAGUCAAUAUCACUCAUCGAGUAAAACCCAACAUAUUAAGCACAUUAUUAUACUAAUUUAGAUUAAUAGGAAUCAUCAAAUUUACAAUUAAGGAUUAUAAAUUUAUUUAAUUCCAAUCUUCUACCUUUUCUAAAUUAUAAGAAUGGUUUUGCCUUAUAUUUUCUUCAAAUUGAGAUUUAAUUUAUAAUUUUAAUUUUGAUAUAAUUUAGUUUAUCAAUUUUUAUAAUGCAAUUAAUUAGUUAAUACUUUAUUUUAAUCAAAAUAAUUAUAUUAAUUUUAAAGAAUUAUUAUCACCGUUAAAAUUCUUUACUAACAAUGAUUUAAAAUUAAGUUCUAUUGCUUUUGUUUUAGAUUACACAUAAAUGUUUACAAUAUGAAAUUCUUUAUAAUUUUCAAUACAUAUUACUUAAAUAAAUAGAAAAUAGAGUUUUAAUAAUGCACAACCAAAUAAAUUUUAGGGUAAACGACCAAAAUAGUCACUUUUGUUUGCCUUAGGUUACAUUUUAGUCACUUAUGUUUGAAAUGUUACGUUUUAGUCACUUACGUUAUCGUGUUGUAACAUUUUAGUCACUGAGUCAUUAAUUGUCGACAAUGGUGUAAUGGUAAGUUGAUGUGGCACGUUAAAUCAUCAUUUCAAACGAAAUUUUUAGGUUAAAUUCUACAAUUGGUCCCUAUAUUUUUCAUUUUCAACAAUUUAAAAAAUUUCUUUUAUGUUCUUCUAACUUUUUUUUUUCCAUUCUCUUAUGCUUCUCCCUCUAUUUUCCUCCCUUCUUCAUUUCUUUUAACAUAGUUUUUCUAUGAUUUCCAUUUGUAACUAGUCCACAAGCUCGCCUCACUCGAAAAAAUUAAAUUGUUCAAAAAAUAAAACAUAGAAUAACUACGUUGAAAGAAAUGGAGAAGGGAGGAAAACAAAGGGAGAAACAUAAGAGAAUGGAAAAGAAAGAAAGUUAAAAAAACAUAAAAGAAAAAAUUAAAUUGCUCCAAACGAAAAAAUAUGGGGACCGAUUGUAUAAAUUAACCUAGAAUUUUUGUUUGAAAUGAUGAUUUAACGUGCCACAUCAGUUUACUGUUACACCGUUAAUAGAAACUAACGGCUCAGUGACUAAAAUGUUACAACGUGAUAACAUAAGUGACUAAAACGUAACAUUUCAAACAUAAGUGACUAAAAUGUAACCUGUGCCAAACAAAAGUGACUAUUUUGGUAGUUUACCCUAAAUUUUAUUGAUGUUCUAUUAUUUUGAUUUCUUAGACUUGUAUAUAGGGAAAAUAAAGGACUAUUGCCAUUUAAUUGCUUUAAAACAAUUUUAAUGAGCUCUAGUCAUGCAAGAUUACCAUUAAAUAGAAUACUCAUAUAGAAGGAUUUACUAUUUUUGUUUCUCAAAUCACAACUAAUAAUUGUUCAUAAUUUCUUAUUUAGUGUCAUUUUUAAGAUUUAUUAGAUGACAAUUUUUCAUGCCAAAGUUUUAUUUUUAUUUCAUUUAAAGUUUUACAAUAUUUAAAAAAUUAUAUAUUUUGUAAAUUUGACAUUUAAUCAAUUUUAGAUCUAAAAAGUAAUAAUGAUUUCAACCCAAGGCCUGAGCUAGGAAUAGUUUUAGUUUGGAGUACUAUAUAUAUAUAUAUAUACUAAAAGAUGCAAUUUUUAUAAAUAACUUACAAAUCUAUCAUUAAAUCAAAUACUGGUAUGAAAUGGUUUAAUUAUUUGAUCACAUUUUUCCAUGACAAAAUUUUAUUUUUAUAUGAUUUAAAAUUUUACAAUUUUUAUAUUGUGAAUUUGGUGUACUAAAAGAUGUAAUUUUACAGGUAAUUUUAAUACCCAUCACCAGUGCUGCAAAGCUUGAGAUUCUUUUAUUGUGGGGAAAUAAACUUAGUGGAAACAUUCCCAACUCUAUCUCCAAUGCUUCCAUGCUUAAGAAACUAGACUUGGCAGAUAACUUAUUCUCUGGCCCAAUCCCUAAAACUUUUGACAACUUAAGACACGUUGAAUGGUUCCAAAUUUCAAACAAUAAUUUGAUCAAAAGACCUGCUACUGAUCAUGAGUGGACCUUUCUUUCUUCUUUGGCAAAUUGCAAGCAUUUGAGAAUAAUAGAUGUUUCAAGAAAUCCAUUGAGUGACGUUCUUCCAACUUAUAUUGGGAACCUUUCAAAAUCCCUUCAAUACUUUUAUGCAUCUAAUUGUGAGAUUACAGACAAUAUUCCUAUGUAAAUAGGUAGCUUAAGCAACCUAUUACUUUUACAACUUGGCUAUAAUAAAUUAAGCUUUAUUCCAACACCGAUAGGAGGACUGCAAAAUUUGCAAGGUUUACAACUUUCCUCUAAUAAAUUAGAGGGGCCUAUAUCAGAAAGCCUUUGUGGUUUGGAGAGAUUAUACUACUUGUAUUUAAGGCUGAUUAGGUUGCAUGGAUCCAUACCCUCUUGUUUGGGUAAUAUUUCUUCUUUGAGAUAUCUUUACUUAGAUUCCAACACAUUGAGUUCUACAAUACCCUCAACUUUGUGGAAUCUUAAAGAUAUCUUAGAAAUAGAUUUAUCAUCAAACCAUCUUUACAAUUCACAUGCUAUAUUGAUGUUGGAGAUUUGAGGAGUCUACUAAAACUAAAUUUAUCAAGGAAUCUUCUCAUGGGCAAUAUCUUCUCCACAUUUAGGGGUCUUCAAAUUUUGAUUUCAUUAGAUUUAUUAAAUAAUAUACAACAUGGCCAUAUCCCUGGAUCAUUAGGUGGUUUGAUUAGUUUGGAAUUCUUGAAUUUAUGAAAUAACAAUCUCUCUCGAGCCAUUCCCAAAUCUUUGGAAAAGCUUUUAGAUCCAAAGUAUUUUAUUGCGUCUUUCAAUAGACUUGAAGGGGAAAUUCCCGCCAAAGGAUGUUUUUCAAACUUCUCUAGCACAUCAUUCAUGAAGAAUUUUGCACUUUGUGGUCCACCUAGAUUGCUAGUCCCACCUUGCAAAAACAAUAUCCAAGAAAACUCCCAAAUGAAUAUAUUGCAUGCUUUAAGGUAUGGUUUACCAACAGUUGGUAUUGUUGUAGUACUAAUAGUCUUAACUAUUGUAAUCACUGAAUUUUGUCCGGCUCGAUUUGGUUUUUUUUAAAAUUUUUUUUUAAAUACAAAAAAUAAAAAAUUGUAUUUUGACCCCUAAACUUUUUUUAAAAUUACAUUUUACCCCUAAACUUUCUCAAAAUUACAUUUUGACCUCUAAACUUUCUCAAAAUUAUGUUUCGACCCUAAUACUUUUCCUGCAUUUGCAGUUUAGUCCUUCUGGCAGCAACUUGCACACCUACCCCCGUGAUUUCCGGCCACUGGCCUAGGGCAUGGCCUCCCUCUCCCCUAGCCACCUAAUCCCUGCAAAAAGGAAGAAAAAACAGCUAUAAAAUGGGUUAAAAAACCCCAAAAAUCGGACCCCCCACGAAAAAAUAAAAAAAAAACUUGCAAAAAAGAGAAAAAGAAGAGGAAAAAGGAGAGAAAGAGAGGAGAAAGGAGAAGAAGAGGCCGGCCAUCGGCGAACCACUGGCAGCAGCACGAGCAGCGACGUCGACGGCGGCGAAGGAGACCGAACGGAGAAGAAGAAGGAGAAAAGAGAAGAAAAAGAGAAAGAAGAAAGGAAAAAGAAGAAGGAAGAAAAAGAAAAAAAGAAAAAAUAUUUUUUUUAACAGUCGGGUCAAACCGACCCGACCCAACUCUGACCCGAACACCGCGACCCGACCCGGCACCUGCAUACCCAGGCCAAGCCCAGCAGCCUAAAGAAAAAACAAAAAAAGAGGCAAAAGCAAAAAAAGAAAGAAAGAAAAGGAAACAGGCCAAAAACAGCCCAAGCGCAGGCCCAAACCAACGCCAGGCCCAACAGCAGGCCUAGCAGGCCAACCAACCCAACGCUAGGCCCAACAGCAGGCCUAGCAGGCCAGCCAGCCCAACGCCAGCAGCAGGCCCAAUAGCACAGGCCCAAAAGGCAGCAGGCCAAAAAAAAAGAAGAGAAAGAGAAAAAAAAAGAAAAAAGAAAAAAAGAGAAAUAAAAGAAAAAAAGAAAAAAAAAAGAAGAAAAAAGGGGUUUCAAUUUGAACAACCCGUUCGGCGAAGCUCGUGUUUUAGAUUUUUCGGUAAUUUUAUUUAUUUCUCUUUUAAUUUAAUGCUCGUAUUUUUAUGUUAUUUCAUUUUAAUAUUAUUAGCAUUUUAUGCAUUUUUUAUAUUUUUAUAUUUUUGUAUUUAUAUUUUCAAUUUAAUUCAAUUUUAAUUUUAUUUUAUUUUAAAUAAUUUUAAUAAAUAAGGCAACGGAUCGAUUUAUCAUAAAAUUGUUGAUUUCAUCGCUAUGUUGGGUGAAUAUCACCGGUUUGUGUUAAACUCGAUACGCUCUUUUAAAAAUAAAAAAUAUUCAAAAAAAUUGUAUUUUCAAAAAAAAAUCCUCGGGUUUCGAAAUUUGCGUGUCUUCAAAAUAAUUUCUCGUGUUUUCAAAAAUAAGGUAACGAAUCUAUUUGACACUAAUUCGUUGAUUUCAUUGCUAUGUUGAGUGAAUAUCACUGACUAGUGUUAAAUAUGAUACGUGCUUAAUAAAAAAAUCAGAAAAUUUUUCGUGUUUUCAAAAAUUUCCGUGUUUCAAAAAUUUUCAUGUUUUCAAAAAUUCUCGUGUUUUCAAAAAAAUUCCAAUUUUCAAAAUUUUUCGUGUUUUCUAAAAACUUCUGUGUUUCAAAAAUUUUCGUAUUUUAAAAAUUUUUGUGUUUCUAAAAUUUUCGUAUUUCAAAAAUUUUCUUGUUUUCAAAUUUUUCGUAUUUCAAAUAUCCUCGUGUUUUCAAAAAAUUUCGGUGUUUUGAAAAUUUUCUUGUUUUUCAAAAAAAUCUCGUGUUUCAUAAAUUUUUGUUUUUUUUUAAAUUGUGUUUCCAAAAUUCUCGUGUCUAAAAAAAAUUCUCGUGUUUUAAUCGGAUCAGGAUUAAAUAUUAAAUUGAACUCGUAUUUUUGAAAGUGAAGACAACUCGCAUUUAACGAGAUACCAAUUUCGGGCGUCGCGAGGGUGCUAAUACCUUCCUCGCGCGUAACCGACUCCCGAACUCUAAUUUUCUCUGGAUUUUCACGUAGACCAAAAAUUACCUCUUUUUUAGAAAAAUUUAAAAAAUAAAUUUUCCUUCUAAAAAGAGAAUUUAUUAGGUGUCCAAUCACACCUAGGAAAAAAAAGAUCGGUGGCGACUCCUUUUUCAAAUAAAAUCGAAACACCGUUUUCAAAUUUUCAACAAUCAUUUCGAUUAGCGCCCGUGCACGAAAUUUUUAGGUCGCUACAACUAUUAUGUAUAGAAGAUGCCAAAGUAGGAGUACAACUCUACCAAUUCAGGAUGAUUUGUUUUCUUUGAAAACGCUGAGUGGAAUUUCACAUGCUGAACUUUCACAAGCAACUAAUGGAUUUGAGGAAAACAAUAUGCUUGGUUCAAGGAGUUUUGGAUAUGUAUAUAAAGAAAGGCUUUCAGAUGGAAUGGAAGUUGCAAUAAAAGUUUUCAAUUUGCAAACAGAAGAAGCAUUUGGGAGCUUUGACAUUGAAUGUGAUGCUAUGCGAAAUAUAGAUCAUCAUAAUAUUGUGAAGGUCACUACUUACUGCUCAAGUGUUGACUUCAAAGCCUUGGUGCUUGAUACAUGUCUAAUGGAACUACAGAGAAAUGGUUAUAUUAUUAAAACUAUUUCCUUGAUAUCAUACAAAGGGUUGACAUAAUGAUAGAUGUUGCAUCAGCUAUAGAACAUCUCCACAACGGGCAUCCAACACCUAUAAUUCAUUGUGACUUAAAACCAAGCAAUAUUUUACUAGAUGAAGACAUAGUUGCACAUGUGGGAGAUUUUGGCGUUGCCAAAUUGUUGGGAGAAUGUGAUGUAAUGAAGCAGACCAUGACUCUUGCAACAAUCGGGUAUAUGGCACCAGGUGAAUUUUUUAUUUUUGUAUUAUUAUUUGUCUAAUAUGCAUUUUAUAUUUUGUUUCAUCUGUAUGUGGAUAUAUAUUUGAAUAAUCAUUUUAGAAAUAAUUAAAGAUUAAUGAUGCUCUAAUUUUACUUGAAAUGCAAAAUUUGGAUCAACGGGAAUUGUUUCUAUAAAAUGUGACAUCUAUAGUUAUGAGAUUGUCCUUAUACAAACUUUCACAAAGAAAAAGUCAACUGAUAAUUUUUUUGCUGAAUAAGUGACUAUAAAGCAUUGGAUGGGAAGUUCAUUGCCAAAGGAGCAUGAAAAUCCCCAAAACCUAAAUUCUUUCCUUCUAGCAAUGAAGAGAUGGUGAGGGGAAGGGGAAAAAAUCACGUUAAAUGAAAAGAAAAAGAAAAAGAACAAAAUUAAAUUUGACGUGAAAAUUAUUUUAAUACUUUUAAUUUGAGUUGGAAAGGUUGAUGAUGUAGCAUAAAAUAAUUGGAUAGGACCAUAUUUGAGGUAGUGGGUGUAACACCCCUUACCUGAGACCGUCGCCGGAAUCGAGUACGAGAUGUUAUCCAAUUUAACUUACCAAUUUGGAGCAUAAAAAUUUGCUUUGUAAAUUACUUUCACAAUUUACAGCAAAGCUGUCCACCUGCGCGACUGUCACUAAUUUAAUUAUAACUCGAGUUACGAAACUCGAAAUUUAAAUCCGUAAAUUUUCCAUGAAACUAGACUCAUAUUUCUACGUACCAUAAAAUUUUUAGAAUUUUUGACUUAUCCAAUUAGUACAGUUUAUUCAUUAAAGUAUCCCCUGUUUCACAACUUGACAGAUCUGACCUCUUGGCACUAAAAAUCAAUUAUCUCACUGUACAAAAUUCAUAUAAGGUUAUCAUUUAUUUCUCUUGAAAAUAGACUCACUAAGGAAUCUAGAAAUAUAAAUUAUGACCCAUAAUUCUUUCUGUACAAUUUAUAAUGAUUUUCUAAAGUCAGAACAGGGGACUUUAAAAACCAUUCUGACCCUGUCUCACUAAAAUUCAAAUAUCUCAAAAUAUACAAUUCCUUUGCCUACACCGUUUCUUUCAUAUAAAAAUAGACUUGAUAAGCUUUAAUUCCAUCUAUAAUUCACUCUCUAAUUCCAUUUAUACUAUUUAUGGUGAUUUUUCACAUUCACGUCACUGCUGCUGUCAAAAAAACUGCUUCUUUAUAUUAGUUCCAUUUACACAUACAUACCACCAAAACAUAAUCUCUACUAACCACUUCAAUAGCUAAUCUUAGCCAUAUCAUAUGAACAUACUCAAAAUGAUUAAGACUCUAUACAUGCCAUAGUUUAAACAUUUUGGAAAGCACACAAUACCGAGAUGAUUAUGAUAGUGUGAUACGAGCUCCGACGAUCCCCAAUUCGAUCAAGUUCAAAUCACUAUAAAACAAAGGAAAUAAGAAAAUGUGUAAGCUACAAUUAGCUUAGUAAGUUACAUGUAAAUAAUAGAUACUCAUUUAAUAAUUAACACUUUUAACUUAUAACUAAUCAAAACAUUUCUUGGCAAUUUCAAUCACUUACACAUGCACAAUCUUACCAUUUCACUUACAUAUACAUUUUCACACUUAACCUUUACCACUUUUGAUCAUUAUUUCAAUUGUACCUGCAUACACACUUCAUUUCAUAUUCACUUUAACACAUUAUUAAUCCCGUUGAACACUUGGAAUAUACACGGAUACAUAGAGAUUUAGCACAUAAGUGCCACACUGAUAUGUAGCCGAAGCUACCACUGAUAUGUAACCGAAGUUACCACUGAAUGUAGCCGAAGCUACCACUGGGAUGUAACCGAAGCUACCACUGAUCAAUAACACUGGAAAUGUCCACGGGCCUGCUCACACAAGCUGUCAGGUGUCUGCAACACAUGCUAGAUCACCCAGCACCCGGGACUCACUGUAACACUGUAACACUGGUCUCUAGUGACAUGUCACUUGUAUCCAUUUCUAUUCCUAAGUUCAACUGGGAAUUUACACUUAACACUUUAUUUUCAACACUUUAUCACUUGAAUAAUUCAUGAAUAUUUUUCCUUCCACAUUCAAUAUUGAUUCACAUAUCAAUAAAAUUCACAAUUUAUAAAAAUGUAUUACUAUUAUUUACACAUAACUUACCUCGGAUGCAAAACGACUAUUUCUGUAAUUUAGUCGAUAACUUUCUCUUUUCCCCGAUCACUUGCACUAUUUCUUCUUUCUUGAUCUAUAUUAACACAAUUUAAUACAUUUUAUCAACAUUUCAUUCAAAUACAAUUCAUACACAACAUUUUGGCAAAUUUACAUUUUUCCCCAAAACUUUUCAAAAAUUUCACUUUUGUCCCUAAGCUCGUAAAAAUAAAAUUCACUAAAUUCUUAAAUUUCAAACUUCACUAAAUCAUAUUUCAUGCUCAUAACAGCCCUCAAUUUCACAAAAUCACAACUUUAUGCACACUUUACCAUCUUUCACAAUUUAGCCCUUUUUCAACAUUUUCAUUGAAAUUCAUCUAGUAAAACUUGAAAUUAACACUUCAAACAUUCAUUAUCUAACAUCACUAAUCACUUUACAAUUAUAUCAUGAAUGGGUCAAUUUUUAAACUUUAAUUUCACUUAAAUUAAAUGGUAGAAACAUGAAAUUCAAGCAUCAAUAAGCAUAAAAAUACGAAAAUAAUUAAAAACGGGGCAAGAAAUCACUUACAAUUGAGCUUAGAAAAAUCAAAACCCUUAGCUAUGGUAACAUGAAACUUUCGGCAGCAAGCUUCUGAUUUUUGAAGAAGAUGACACUUAUUUUCUCUUAUUUUGUCUUUUUGGACAAAAAUGCCCUUGACCCAUUACUUAGAUAUUUUUCUAGAAUUACCCUUUUGUGUCCAUAUCACUAAUUUAUGGUCUAAUUGCCACAUAAACACUUCCAAUUUCAUGCAAUAAUUCAAUUAAGUCAUUUAAUCACUAAUUAGACACACUUUGCAAUUUUCUCGAUUUAGUCCUAAAAAUUCAAUUAGGCACUAAAUCAUUAAAAUUUCCUAUCCAUAUUUUCACACAAUAUUUCAAUCAAUCAAUAACUAAUAAAAAUUUAUAAAAUUAAAAUAUUUCACUUCGGAUUUGUGGUUACGAAACCACUAUUCCAAUUAGGCCCUAUUUCGGGCUAUCACAGUGGGAAAGGUCCAUGAAAUAAUUUUUCUAUGUUAUCAAAUAGAUGAAUGAUGGUUAUUGGGAUCAAACUAAUGAUUUUGAGGAUGUUAAUGGUUAAUUUGGUGGAGAGGGUGGAAAAGAAACAAAUAAUUCAUUAUAUGUCAUAUAAUUAUGCAAUUCAAGUUGUAAUACCCAAAUUUUACCCGGCCUACAAAAACAGUCCAAAUUACAAUGGGCUUAUGUGGCCCAAAACCUGAAAUGAACAGAGGCCCAAAACAAUGGCCCAAAACAAUGUCAGAAACUCCUAGGGUUUCUAAGGAAACUUUCCCGCCGCAGCCACCAAGCACCACGAGCCGAAAUCUUCACCUGCGCAGAAACAACGGAAAUGGCAAGAAAAUCAAAGAUUGCGAAUCAAAUAUGAGCAAGAUUUGAUUCUUUAUAUUAUUAUUUUCAUUAUGGCUAUAAAAUAGCCAUUGAUAUGCUGUAAAAAAGGAGGGGAAGACCAAAAGAAAUACAAAGACCAAUAGGAAAUUUUCUUUUUUUUGAAAUACAAAGGUUUUCUUUUCUGUUUUACCUCAUUGUCGAUUAUUGUUCUUUUAUUUUUUCAUUUAUACAUAUACAUAUUUGAUUUUUUAUAGUUUCUCUAUUUUUUUUAUUUAUUUUUGCUUAAAAUAUAAAGAAAAGAGGAGGGAUUUUACCUUUUUUUCGUCGAAGUUGUCGAACGGUGGCCAUCUCCGUCGCGAUCGGAGUGUUGGCACAGGCGAACAGCGGCGCAAAAGGGGUUAAGAAAAAACCCUAGCAGAGCAUUUGUGUUUUUUUUGUUUUUUUUUAUGUGGGUUAUUGAUUUUUAUUUUUUUAAAGAAUUUUCGUUUAAAUAACAUUAGCAAAACGACGCCGUUUUAGGGGAGCAGGAUCCGCGCGUUGACCCGACCUGCAGGCAGGGUGCACGUUCUGGCCUUGAAUGGGGUAUUUGUGCAUUUAGUCCCUCCUCUUUGCGACGCACUUCAAUAAAACCCAUUUUUCUUUUUCUUUUUUUAAAUUUAGCGGCAUAUUUCAUUUUUGUUUCAAUCGAGUCCGUCACUGCGCAGCGUUUUGGAAGUCGGAAUUAAUUUCCCUUUUGGUCCUCUAUUGUUGCUUGCGCAUUCAAGUUGGUCCCUUCUUUAUAUUUAUUGCUAAUUUGCCCCAUUUUUUCGCUUUUAGUUCAGUUUAGUCCAUUUUUUUAGCUAUUUCAUUAUUUAGUUAUUUUUUUAUUUAUUAUUAUUAUUAUUAUUAUUAUUAUUAUUAUUUCUAAAUUUAUACACGCAUUUUUUUAUGGUAUAUAUAUAUAUGCAUUUUUUUUGUAUAAUAUAUAUUUUUUAACUUUUAUAAAUACAUGCAUAUACUUCAUACAUAUUUGUUUAUUAUUAUUUUGAUUUCAAAACUUUUAUAUACUUUAAAUUUUAUAUACAUACAUAUACAUUUUAUAACACAUAUACAUUUUCCACGUUUUAUAAUUUAAAAUACACAUACAUUUUCUAUAAUAUAUUUAUGUAUACGUUUUUAUUCUUUAUAUUUUUUUUGGUUUAUUUCCUUCGUCUAUUCAUUGAUUUAGGUUUUCAUUUACAUUUUAAAAGAAUGUCCUUUUUUUAUAUUGCUUAUUCAUUUUAUAUUUUUGCAUUGUCAUUGUUUAUUUUUUUAUUUUAUAUUAAUUUCGUUUAUUUACUAUUUAUAUUAUUUCUAUACAAUUGUCGUAUUUAUUAUUGCAACAUUUAUACAUACAUUCCAUAUAACAUUACAUCAUCUUUUACUCGAAUUUAAAAAUAGAAAAUUUUCAAAAUAGAGAUAAUACUCGUAUUUAGGAUUUUCAAGAAAAUUGAGCCCUAACGUAUUGGGUUCCGAUUUUCUUCGUUAAAUCUAACAAUCGAGAAUUGCUCUUUGAUAAAAAAUAAAAUAAAAACUUGUCAUCGGGAAUUCAAUAUGUUGUGUCCUAACAUAUUGGAUGUGAUGCGUUGAUUUCUCGAGAUAAAGAUUUUCUAAACAAUAAAAGAAAUAUUCAAUGUUUGGGAUUUUAAGAAAUUGUGCCUUAACGUAUUGGGCUGUGAUUUCUUCAUAAAUUUUAAACAAUUAAAUAUUUUCUUAAAUUUUAUUACACGAGUUUUUUGGACCAGCUCAUCUUAAAAAGAAUAAAAUAUUGUGCCCUAACGCAUUGGGUGUGAUAUUUUCUUUUUUCAAAAUGAGAAAGUCUUAACAAAAAAUUUAAUUUAACUAAGGAUCGUAUUUAUUAACUCUCGACAUUAAGACACUGAUUAAUCAACUCGGUACCAAUUUUUGGGUGUUACGAGGGUGCUAAUCCUUCCUUGCACGUAAUUUACUCCUAAACCCGUUUUUUAAAACUCGUAGGCCAAAGUCGUUUUUUGGUGAUCCAAUCACACCUUAAUAAAAGAUUGGUGACGACUCCAAUUUUCAUCGACAACUAAUUUUUGUUUUUUUUCAAAAUAAAAAUGGUUUCGACAGCUUGGCGACUCCGCUGGGGACACAUACGAGAGUCGAGCCACAAAGUUGAUUAAUUUCUGUCUUAUUGGCGAGAAAAUAAAUUUUUUUAAAAAAAUCAUGAAAUCAUUGUGCAUUCAUUCAUUUUCUUGCUUAAUUGAUCUUUGCAUUAUACAUUACAUGAGUUGAAUGAUUUUACCCUUCUAAGUGGGAGUGAGAAACUAUUCCUUCGUGAGGUUUUCACCUCCGUAUAGGAUAGUGGAUCGCUUUCGGGAUACAUCUGUACCUAUGCCUUCUUGAGAUUUUCAUCUUCGUAUAGUCAUAGGGAAAAUGUAUUCCCCUGAACCGAACUUGAUCUAUAUGAGCCUAUAAUGGGUGAAGAUUGAGGAAUCUGCUGGUUUGGGUACCUUUGCCCUAGAAGUCAAACCACAUAUAGUGAACCUUAGGAACUUGCCCUAGGUAGGGAUAUGCCAAACCCCUAGUGGUCACCCGAAUAGGUUUUCUAUUUAUUCUUGCUUUAGCUUUGUACCAACCUGUUUUCUUUUUGGUUGUGAUUGCAUUGCAUUUUCAUCAUAAAAAAAGAGAGAGGUGUUGAUUCACAUUCAGUUGCUAAAUAGAUAGCUUGUCAUAAGAAAAUGAGUUUCUUGAUAAAAUGGAUGAUAAUAUGGUUGUCCGAAUAUGGUCCAAGAAAUGUGAUAAGAGAAGGAUGAUAGUUUAAUGGAGGACUACACGACUAUGGCUCCAUUGCCCAAGGAUUCAAGAUAACAAAGAUUAUUCGAGAGCCGCUAAACUUUCUUAAAGAGAAACCAACAAGCAUCACAAGGAUGAGUGAGCAACAAAUUGCGGCCUGGAUCAAGCAAAAAGGAGAUAGAAGAGACUUCCUUUUUGAAAAGUUCGUGAGAUUUAUCUUAACGCUUGAAUGAAGAAGAGGAUCGAAUGUCUUCGCCUAUGAGGGCAAGGCUGUAUAAAUAUUCAUUUUAUGUAAAGAGAUUUGUUUUCUAGUAAAGUUCUCUAAAUGGAAUUGAAUCAGAAUCAACGUCCCUUUAUGCAUUCAUUUCCUGCAUUCGCAUUACAUGAUAUCAUAGCAUUAAAAUCCACUAAAAGAUUCUAAUUAAUAUAAAUCAUUCCUCAGUUAAUCUGGAAACCAACCAACCCAUCACACACCACUACGGUACUCGAUCAAAAACUAAAGACAUGGACCAAAGGAUGGAAAGGUUAGAACAGUUCCAAAAAGAAAUGCAGUAUCAACUUCAAUAACAAAUGAAUGAACAACUUGAGAAAAUUCAGCAAAAAAUGAUGGACAAAAUGAUGGAAUCUCAAGAGAGUAUGAUGGCUCAAUUAACUCAGUUGUUGACCAGAGGAACUAAUAAAGGAAAAGGCUCUGUGCUCAAUAUGGAAGAAGGAGACAGUGAGGGACUUCUUUAUCCUCCAGGCUUGACCCCUCAGCAUGGGCAGACCCAAGUAGAGGUAUAUCCGCACAAAUCCUCUAUCACCAUCAAGCCUCAGCAGUUUCAGGCCGGUGCUGUAACACCAAUGAAUUUUCCAGCUAGAUCAGGCCCUAACCCCAGAGACGACCUUGUUAAUCCUGAUAUCCCUGACUUCGAUGAAACAGCUGAAAAAGAGAAAAUGAAUGGUGAAUUGCCAAAACAGCUCGAAGAAAAGUAUAAAUGGCUGGAGGAAAAACUUAGAGUGAUGGAAAGUACUAAGAGCUACCAUGGAAUUGACACUAAAGAAUUGAGCUUGGUUCCGGAUUUAGUACUCCCUUAUAAAUUCAAAAUUCCUGAGUUUGAGAAGUACAAUGGAACUAAUAGCCCCGAAGCUCAUAUUACCAUGUUUUGUAGGCGGAUGACUGGGUAUGUUAAUAAUGACCAACUGCAUAUACAUUGUUUCCAGGAUAGCCUUGCAGGGGCAGCAUCCAAGUGGUACAACCAACUGAGCCGUACCAAGAUUAAUUUAUGGAGAGAUUUAGCAUAGGCAUUCAUAAAGCAGUACAAUCAUGUAACUGACAUGGUACCUGAUAGAAUCACUCUACAGAACAUGAAAAAGAAGCCUGGUGAAAGUUUUAGGCAGUACACACAGAGGUGGAGGAGGUCGCAGUCCAAGUUCAGCCACCGCUUCUGGAAAAGGAAAUGACAAUGCUAUUCAUAAAUACAUUGAAAGCUCCGUUCAUCACACAUAUGUUAGGGAGUGCUACAAAAAGCUUUUAUGGCAUAAUCAUGAAUGGUGAAAUGAUUGAAAGCGCCAUAAGGAGCAGAAAAAUUGAUGCUGGAGGGAAUAACAGAAGGCAAGCCUCAAAAGAAAAAGAAAAUGAGGUGAACAGCGUGAAUACGUACAGAAAAUCGAUUGCUAAUCAGUAGGGUUCAUCAAGACAAGAAUCAUGUGUGAAGCAAGGUACUGAAAAACUCUAGUUCACUCCAAUUCCAAUGUCGUACAAGGAGCUGUAUCAAAGCUUAUUCGAUGCGCAUAUUGUUUCUCCUUUACAUGUGAAGCCUCCACAGCCUCCGUAUCCCAAAUGGUACGACGCAAGUGCACAAUGCGAUUAUCAUGUGGGAAUUACGGGACACUUAAUAGAGAGUUGCAUUACCUUCAAAAAGCUAGUUGAAAAAUUCAUCAACAUGGGUAUCGUCAAGUUGAAUGGCUCAUUUAAUGCAGAAAAUUUACUACCCAAUCAUGAUUGACAAUGGGGUGAAUGCAAUAUAUGAAGAGAUGUUAGGAAGUGUUCACAUCAAUGACAUAUAGGAAUACACAAAUGAAAGGGGGACCUUGUUAGAUAUCCGCCCUUAUAAAUCUGGGAGUGUUUAAAAUAAUUGGAUUGCGGAAGAAAUAUCUAUAGUCUUUAGAGCGUAUUUAGAGUAAUGUUCAGAACAUUCUUGUUGUUUUUAGCCUAAAAAUGAUAGGAAUUCCUUUGUGAAAUAGACUCAUGUCUGAUGAUCAUUAUUAUAAUAAAAUACAUCUUUGUAUUUAUUUUUGAGCCAACAUUCUUUCAUUCUUUGCGAGUAAUUAUUUUGUCAUUCUUUUGGAUUUUCUUCCACAUCAUUCUUUCAUUCAUAAUUAUAUUAAAAAAAUAAUUAUUCGUAAAUUCACACAUUCUUUUGCGCUUACUAUGGGACCCCAAAUAUCAAUGACAUGAGUGACGCUGUACUGACUCAAAAUCUCCUUCUGAGCGAGACAUGUGUUUAAAGGGAUCUCAUGACUUUGAAGAUGACAUAGAUCGUAGCCUAUUUCUGGACCUAUUAAGGAUGGUAGAACAAGUCGAGAAACGAAUCUUACCCUACAAAGAAUCAUUGGGAUAUAUGACUUCUCCUUAUGUGGGGCAUGAAGGUCAUUUGGUCGAUCUCGCCAAAAGAGUCUGACGGUCAUUGAUUCAUCUUUGUGAUCGUCAAUUACUUUACUAAAUGAGGGGAAGCUGCUUUAUAUGUCAAUGUCACAAAGUUGACAGUUAGCAAAUUCUUGAAGAAUCAUAUGGAACGUCAAAAGGAUCAUAUCUGACAAUGUACUAAAUUUGAGCAACAGCACAAUAUCAAAAGUUUGCAGUCUAUUCACGAUUAAUGCCAUAUCACCAAAAAAGAUGGCGCAAAAAAAAGAGAGAAAAGAAGAAAGAAAAUGGAGAGGCCAAAGUGAAAACCCGCAAAGGGCACCUUGAGACCAAAGGGGAUUUGAGUUGAAAACCCGAAACAGGCGGCUCAAAUAUUGAUCAGAAUAGGGCAUGAGGUGAUUAGAGCAACUCGAAUUUUAACCAGAUUGGGGCAUGUGGUGAUCUUGUUAUACCUGAAUUAUCAGGAAAGGGUAGGCAACAUCUUGGGGCAUUGGCAGAGUACUGUGGAUCUCCUAAACACAUGUCAAACUCAGAAGGAUCUUCAAAAAGUUUGUACGGAGAAAUUCAAGCUGCGAUAUCUGGGGCACCCAAUUUUCAUACUAUUGAAUUUGUUAUUCUUAGAAUACUUCAUUCUUUUCAAAGAUACACAUUCCCAAUCAAUUUCUUUGUUAUCCUUUUUACUAUUUUUGAUAAUUUAUUCCUUUCGAGCUAUGCUCAGAACUAAUUUUAUUCUUAUCCAUUGUUAUGACCUUUUUGCAUGCAUAUUGCAUUGGAAUAAUGAUCAAUGGACUAAUAAAACUUUCACAAGGGAAGUUUUGCAUAUUACUCUAGAAGUUUCUAAAUAAUAUAGGAGCCUGAAACAGGACUAUUAUUUAGAACGCACUAGGUUUAAAGGUUGGAAAUCUAAAAAGGAAGAGUCUAAACUAGGACUUUCUCUUUGGAUUUUGUUGUCAAAAAUCAUUAGUUGAACAAAAUAAUAAGAUGUCGUGUUGAUGACAAAGCUUAAAUCAACAAGCAAGUAAUGAUCACCAGGCAAUAGAAAGAGGUUACCUCGGGGAAGAGAGCCCUCAUUUGCUCAUGAGCCUUUGGUACGACACCCUAGGAAUGGUGUAAGAGACAAGAAAGAUUUAGAUCCUGUAUCCUUGAAUUGUGAUAGGAGAGGAUUGAAGAAAAGCCAUAUACCCUUGGGUUACAGUGGGAGAACGAUGGUAUGAAUUUUUGCGCCCCAAUGGAUUAAACUUUGAGGUUUACAGUGGGGGCAACCUGACUAAAUGUUUCUUCAGAAAAGCCAGCCAAGCAAGAAGGCAUUGUAGCACGUUAGUGUUAAAGCCUUAAUAAUCUUCGAACAAUGACAACCUAGGUGGGAUCAUUCUCGAAAAAAAAACUAUGCAUUCAUGCAAACACCAUUCACAGAUGUCUAGUUAGGAGCAUUUGAUUCAUUUUAUGCCAUCCUAAUCAUUAGGCAUAAAUAGGUUCAUUAUACAGGUCAUGUUCCCCAGAGAGCAGAUCAGUAAAAAUAGCAGAUCUUGCCUUCCUACACCGACAGUGAAACAGAUCAAAGACACCAGCCAUGCCUCCCUGGGUUGCAGUGGAGUAGGUUAAAAAUAGCAGAUCUUGCCUUCAUGCACCGACAGCGAAGCAGAUCGAAGAGACCAGCCUUGCCUCCCUGGGUUGCAGCGGAGCAGGUUAAAAUAGCAGAUCUUCCCUUCCUGCACUGACAGCGAAGUAGAUUGAAAACACCAGCCUUGCCUCCUUGGGUUGCAGUGGAGCAGGUUAAAAAUAGUAGAUCUUGCCUUCCUGCACCGACAGCGAAGCAGAUCGAAGACACCAACCUUGCCCCCUAGGUUGCAGUGGAGCAGGUUAAAAAUAGCAGAUCUUGCCUUCCUGCACCGACAGCGAAAUCGAAGACACCAGCCUUGCCUCCCUGGGUUGCAGCGUAGCAGGUUAAAAAUAGCAUAUCUUACCUUCUUGCACCGACAGCGAAGCAGAUCGAUGACCCCAGCCCUAUUUCCCUGGUCAGCAGGGGAAUAAGUUGAAGAUUGAGAAUCUUAUCUCCCUGAAGUUGCAGUGGAGUAGAUUAAAGCCAAUAAUCCUAUCUCCUUAAAUUUGUAGUGGAGCGGAUUAAAACCACAGAUCUUAUCUCUCUAAAGUUGCAGAGAGCAGAUCGCAUCUGGUCUUAUCUCCCAAAAGUUGCAGUAGAGCAGACUGAGUAAGAAAGUCUUAUCCCCCUGAAAUUGCAGUGGGGCAGACUAAAUGAACAAAUCUUAUCUCCCUAAAGUUGUAGUGGAGUGGAUUAGAAUGAUGGGUCUUAUCUCUCUGAAGUUGCAACAGAGCAGAUCACAUCAAAUUCAUCUUUAAGUGACAGCAGAUCAAGUUGAAGCUAUAAGUCUUAUCUCCCUGAAGUUGCAGUGGAGUAGAUUGAAGCACUAGUUCCUAUACCUUUGAAGAUGCAGUAUGAAGGAAUGAGGCUACUUGAAGAAGAAGACUACCUAGGUCCAGCACGAUCGGGUAAAAUUGGGCAUUUUUAAAGUCUUUACUCCAUUCCUGUUACACGAUAACGAGUAAAGAGGGGCAGCUGUAAUACCCAAAUUUUACCGAGCCUACAAAAACAGUCCAAAUUACAAUGGGCUUAUGUGGCCCAAAACCCGAAUGAACAGAGGCCCAAAACAAUGGCCCAAAAUAAUGUCAGAAACUCCUAGGGUUUCUGAGGAAACUUUUGCGCCCAGCCACCAAGCACCACGAGCUGAAAUCUUCACCUGCACAAAAACAACAGAAAUGGCAAGAAAAUCAAAGAUUGCGAAUCAAAUAUGAGCAAGAUUUGAUUCUUUUUAUUAUUAUUUUCAUUAUGGCUAUAAAAUAGCCAUUGAUAUGCUGUAAAAAAGAGGGGGAAGACCGAAAGAAAUACAAAGACCAAUAGGAAAUUUUCUUUUUUUGAAAUACAAAGGUUUUCUUUUCUGUUUUACCUCAUUGUCGAUUAUUGUUCUUUUAUUUUUUCAUUUAUACAUAUACAUAUUUGAUUUUUUUAUAGUUUCUUUAUUUUUUAUUUAUUUUUGCUUAAAAUAUAAAGAAAAGAGGAGAGAUUUUACCUUUUUUUCGUCGAAGUCGUCGAAUGGUGGCCAUCUCCGUCGCGAUCGGAGUGUUGGCACAGGCGAACGAUGGCGCAAAAGGGGUUAAGAAAAAACCCUAGCAGAGCAUUUGUGUUUUUUUGUUUUUUUUAAUCUGGCUUAUUGAUUUUUAUUUUUUAAAAAAAGAAUUUUCGUUUAAAUAACAUUAACAAAACGGCGCCGUUUUAGGGGAGCAGGAUCUGCGCGUUGACCCAACCCGCAGGCAGGGUCCACACGUUCUGGCCUUGAAUUGGGUAUUUGUGCAUUUAGUCCCUCCUCUUUGCGACGUGCUUCAAUCAAACCCAUUUUUCUUUUUUUUUUUUAAAUUUAGCCGCAUAUUUCAUUUUUGUUUCAAUCUGGUCCGUCACUGCGCAGCGUUUUAGAAGGCGGGAUUAAUUUCCCUUUUGGUCCUCUAUUGUUGCUUGCGCAUUCAAGUUGGUCCCUUCUUUAUAUUUAUUGCUAAUCUGCCCCAUUUUUUCGCUUUUAGUUCAGUUUAGUCCAUUUUUUUAGCUAUUUCAUUAUUUAGUUAUUUUUUUAUUUUUUUGUUAUUGUUAUUAUUAUUAUUUCUAUACUUAUUAUUUCUAUAUUUAUACACGCAUUUUUUUAUAGUAUAUAUAUAUAUAUGCAUUUUUUAUAUAUAAUAUAUAUUUUUUAACUUUUAUAAAUACAUGCAUAUACUUCAUACAUAUUUGUUUAUUAUUAUUUUGAUUUCAAAACUUUUAUAUACUUUAUAUUUUAUAUAUAUACAUAUACAUUUUAUAACACAUAUACAUUUUCCACGUUUUAUAAUUUAAAAUACACAUACAUUUUCUAUAAUAUAUUUAUGUAUACGUUUUUAUUCUUUAUAUUUUUUUUUUGGUUUAUUUCCUUCGUCUAUUCAUUGAUUUAGGUUUUCAUUUACAUUUUAAAAGAAUGUCCUUUUUUUUAUUUUGCUUAUUCAUUUUAUAUUUUUGCAUUGUCAUUGUUUAUUUUUUUACUUUAUAUUAAUUUCGUUUAUUUACUAUUAUAUUAUUUCUAUACAAUUGUCGUAUUUAUUAUUGCGACAUUUAUACAUACAUUCCAUAUAACAUUACAUCAUCUUUUACUCGAAUUUAAAAAUAGAAAAUUUUCAAAAUAGAGAUAAUACUCGUAUUUAGGAUUUUUAAGAAAAUUGAGCCCUAACGUAUUGGGUUCCGAUUUUCUUCGUUAAAUCUAACAAUCGAGAAUUGCUCUUUGAUCAAAAAUAAAAUAAAAACUUGUCAUCGGGAAUUCAAUAUGUUGUGUCCUAACGUAUUGGAUAUGACGCGUUGAUUUCUCGAGAUAAAGAUUUUCUAAAAAAUAAAGGAAAUAUUCAAUGUUUGGGAUUUUAAGAAAUCGUGCCCUAACGUAUUGGGCUGCGAUUUCUUCAUAAAUUUUAAACAAUUAAAUAUUUUCUUAAAUUUUAUUACACGAGUUUUUUGGACCAACUCAUCUUAAAAAGAACAAAAUAUUGUGCCCUAACUCAUUGGGUGUGAUAUUUUCUUUUUUCAAAAUGAGAAAGUCUUAAUAAAUAAUUUAAUUUAACUAAGGAUCGUAUUUAUUAACUCUCGACAUUAAGACACUGAUUAAUCAACUCAGUACCAAUUUUUGGGUGUUACGAGGGUGCUAAUCCUUCCUCGCACGUAACUGACUCCCGAACCUGUUUUUUAAAACUCGUAGGCCAAAGUCAUUUUUAGGUGAUCCAAUCACACCUUAAUAAAAGAUUGGUGGCGACUCCAAUUUUCAUCGACAACUAAUUUUUGUUUUUUUCAAAAUAAAAAUGGUUUCGACACAAGUAAUAGUAAGUUUCAUACAAGGUUCAAAGGCAAUUAAAUGACUUGUAAGUUUGUUGAACUUCUUUGAAAGGCCCAAAGGCAAUUGAACAUUUACAAAAUAGUCUCUAUAUACUGUAGAGACAAAUCAAAUCCAUGGGAGCAUUACAGUUAGUUAAAUUGAGCAUUGGCAGAAAUUCCAUCAUAGGAAAUAUUGGCAAAAUCGUCUAUUUAAUUAGAAAAACAACAUAAUUCAUGAAACAUAGAUAGCCCAAUAUAAAUGUCAUCGAGAAAAAAAGUCUGUUUGUUUUAUAGCACAUGAUAGUAAAGCAUGCGAAGUUUCAUUCUUCUUAUUGGCCUCCUUUAGUUUUCCUUGAUCAUCAACCACUAGCCAAAAACACAAUUAGAUUAGAUUAUAAAUGAAACAUUCAAUUAUGAUAAAAUUAAAUAGAAAACACCCUAAAUAACUCUAGAUAAAUGAAUAGUAGCAAAUUACCUGGUGAGGCAAGCUAGCUCAAUUAAGAUCAUUGUGUUAGACUUGUGUAUGCAUUAAACAAUCUAAAAGAAAAUGAAGGAAAAGACUUAGAAAACACUUGAAAAUUGACAAAAUUUAUAUGCCAUUGACUGGUUAAACUAUGAUCACCCAUAACAGACCUUGUAUUGGAGUUUUUGUUGAGGGAGAUCAAGUCCUUCAAGAAAAGUCUUUUAAGUGUUGUUUGUUACGUAAUCGCUGCUACCCUCAACAAAAGGUAUUGUCCUCAUGUCAAGAUUUUAUCCUCAGCCUUUAUGGAAUAAUCAUGGAGAUUACAUGUGCAAGGAUUCAAACCACCAACCAAUGCAUAUGUAGUAUUUACUUUGGAACCAUCUCCGUGAACCCACGAGGUUCUUUGCAGAAUCAAGAGACAAAACCCCAACACAAGAAUAAUACCAUCUAUUGAGGGUCCUUUAACACAACAAAUGAAAUUCAUACAUUUAUUUAAUAAAAGUAAAUAUCAUAUUUAAUUGGGGAAAAGCAACAAAAAAUCCAACAAUAAAAUCCUUAGCAAAAGAUUAAAACACAGUUAUAUCGUAAAUGACAUAAGAAACUAAGAAAAUCCAAUCUGACAAAGAAAAUAACUUGAUGCUCCAAAGCUACCAUAUACCGUAAUUCAUGGGAAGGUCUGAUGCUCAUUUUAUUGGUUUCCAUCUUGAUUUUGCAAAAGAAGUUUGAAUUUUGAAGAGAGCAAAAGAUUGAGCGAAAGAAAAAAAAUUAGUUUAUUAAUUUUCACAAUUUAUAAGACAAACCUUAUGGAGACAAAUAAUGACAUAUUAGAUAUUUGUGAUUAAAAUUCUAGAAUAGAUUUAAAAUGUUGAAUUAAUGAUGAAAUUAAUAGUGAAUUAAUAACAACAAGCGUACUGAUUACUUAGCUUCUUUGUUAAACAUGUUCGAUGUUGUUUAACAGCCUUUGUUUGAUUUUCUUUAGCUCAACCACAACAUCUUUCAUAUCUUUUCUUUCUUCUGGUAACUCAGCUGAACAAUUCAAAGCCAACUCCAUGAUGGAUGAAAUACAAUUUGCUUUAACAACAAAGUACUCAUCCUUUCUUCUUAGUAAAUCAACAUCUGCAAUUUCUAUCGCUCCUUUAGGCAACGAACUUUCCAUCCAAUGCGUUAUAGUCAUUUCUUCAGCAAAAAAUUUAUCAGUUGGCUUUUUCUUUGUAAAAGUUUCUAUAAGGAUGAUCCCAUAACUAUAGACGUCACAUUUUAUACAAACAAUUCCUGUUGAUCCAAAUUCUGCAUUUCAAGUAUAAUUAGAACAUCAUCAAUCCUUAAUUAGUUCUAAAAUGCUUAUUCAAAUAUAUAUCCAUAUAUGCAUGAAACAAAAGUAUAAAAUGCAAAUUAGGAAAAUAAUGAUACAAAAAAAAAAUUCACCUGGUGCCAUAUACCCGAUAGAUGCAAGAGUCAUGGUUUGCUUUAUUACAUCACCUUCUCCCAACAAUUUGGCACAACAAAAUCUCCCACAUGUGCAACCAUGUCUUUAUCUAGUUGUAAUAGCCCAUUUUGCCCGGGGCCCAAUAAAACCCAAAACAAACCAAAAUAAUAAAACAUUCACAGUCCAUUUACAAUAAAUAAACACACUACCCAUAUCAAGCCCAAUUAAACCCAAAUCUCAAAGCCCAAAACAAAACAACACAACCCGAGCCCAUAAACUAAAAAUUUUCAGCACAAAAAACCCUAGCCCUAAGCCUCCAGUGCCGCAUGUGCUCCACCGCCGCCGCUCGCCUAUCACCGGCCAUCCACGCGUCUGGCACCACCUGCAAGAGCAAACAACACGCAAAAGAAGAGGCCAACCAGUAACAGACAAGAACAAAGAAAUGAAACAAAUUUUGUAAUUUUGGCUAUAAAAGCCCGAAUAUAUCUUUGUAAUUUCUUCUUCCGUUUUACGAACAUCUAGUAAAAAAAAGAAGAAAAGCAGAGAACAGAUUUUCGAGAGGUGAAACCUUUUUUUCGGUUCUUUUUUUUCAUUAUAUUUUAUUUUUUUAUUUUCAUUUUUUAUAUCAAACAAUGAAAUAAAAAAAAGGAGAAAGAAAUGUAGCAGAAUCGACCCUUAGCCCCGCCGUCGGUGGUCUUUUCCCCGGCAUCGAAAUUGGCGAGAAAUGAGGCAAAGGUCGAAUCUUUUUCAUUUUUCUUUACUUUUCAGUCAUUUUCCUUGUAGAUCUAAAAUCUACGCUUAAAACGGGCUAAAAAUAAAAAGUUUUGGGUUCUCCGGUCACCGUGGGCUGCGACACCGUCGCCGACGAUCGGCGGCCGCCACGGGGGUCAACGGCCGGCCCUUUGCCCGGAAUCGAAGAGAAAUUUUAAGAGAAAAGGGAGCUUUGGAAAUUUUUUAAAGCAAAUGGCUGAAAUGGGGUUUCAAAAAAAUGUUGGCUUUUAUAAUACUAUUAAACGGCGUUGUUUUGCAACUGAAGGUCAGGUGCCAAAACGACGUCGUUUUGGCCCUUACCCGCUCGCGCUCCCGACCCGCUCCUGGGGGAUCCGCGUGUUUUUGGCGUUUGGGCUAUUUGCACUGCGGAUCCUUCUGCAUUUCGCCCAGUUUAUGAUUUAGUCCCUUUCGUUAGAUUUCUUUUAUUUUUAAUUUCGCCUUGAAAUUUUGUUCUGAUUUUAUCGGAGUCCCGCAAAGUGCUGCGUUUUGGAGGGCAGGGAUAUUUUCCCCUUUGGUCCCUCCUUGUUAUUCACGCACUCGAUUUGGUCCCUUUCUUUUAUUCAUUUGCGAAUUUGCCCCCAUAUUUCUGUGUUAAGUUCAAAUUAGUCUCUUUUUUAUUUAUUUUUGCUAUUAAAUUAAUUAAUUUUGAUAAUAUUAUCAUUAUUAUUAUUAUUAUUAUUAUUAUUAUUAUUGCUAUUAUUAUCUUCGUAUUAUUAUUAUUGUUUGCUUUAUUAUUAGUAUUAUUAUUAUUUUCAUUAUUACUAAUAUUAUUAUUUUUAUUUUACUACUCUUAUUAUUAUAUAUUGUUAUUAUUUUUAAAUUGUUUUACCUAAUAUUCCCUCGUUUAUUAUUUAUAUUCACUCGUUCAAAUUUUCAAUCAUUUUCAAUUAGUUACUUCUUUUUUUAAAUCAGUUUGUUUUAUUUUUUAUUUUCAUUUUAUUAUUUCAUUAUUUUAUUGUUUUUAUUAUUUAUAUUAUUUUUGUUUUUACUCUUAUUAUUCCUUUUUAUUUUGGUUUAUUUCAUUUCAACUUUUGCGCUCAAAUUUUUUUUGUUAUUUCGUCAUCUAUUUAUUUUCGUAUUUAUAUUUUGUUAUACAUACAUUCAAAUCUCAACUAUUCAUUAUCAUUAUUAAUUUUAUUAUUAUUGUUAUUUAUAUUUAUUAUUGACAUCCUCAUCAUGUUGUUGCACACAUUAGCAUUGUAAUCCAUUUUACAUUUUACUAUAAAAUCGCGUUAUGUUAACCUUCAUCCAAUACAUUUUAUAUUAAGCAAUUUUGUAACUCAAAAUUCCAGAAAUCGUACCCUAACUUACUGGGUUUCGAUUUUCCUCGACGAGUCUAAAGAACCAAUCCUUUUUUUAAAAAAUCAAAGCAUAAGUUAAAUAAAAACUUAUCCUCAGGAGUUCAAAAUGUUGUGUCCUAACUCACUGGAUGUGACAUUUUGUUAUCUCAAGGUAAAGAUUUCUAGAAACACAAAGGCAAUAUUUUGAAUUUGGAAAUUCGAGAAAGUGUGCCCUAACGUGCUGGGUUUCAAUUUCUCGUUUGACCAAAUAGCCAAAUAUCCUCUUAAAACUUCAAAGUAUGGGUUUUUCAAACCAUAAGGUGAUCUUUGUUUCGAUGGUUUAAAGUAUCGUGUCCUAACGUGCUGGAUGUGAUAUUCCUUCGGAAUAAGAGAAUCUUAAAUUUCAAUCCAUGUUAUUCAAAUUUUUUUUAAGGAUUGUAUAUUUUUUUAAACUCUUCAAAGUUUUCAAUCUUCGACAUUAAGACACUAAUUAAUCAACUAGGUACCAAUUUUUGGGCAUUACGAGGGUGCUAAUCCUUUCUCGUACGUAACCGACUCCCGAACCUGUUUCUUUGAAUUUCGCAGACCAAAAGAAUUGUUUUAAUAAAUCUAAAUUGUUUAUUAAAAACAAUCGUUUUACGAGGUGACCCGAUCACACCUCAUCAAAAAAGAUUGGUGGCGACUCCCGUGUUUAUUAUCAUUUUCAAAACCCAAGUCGACCCCGUUUUCACAAAAAAAAUGGUGCCAACACUAGUAAAAUAUUGCUUGGUUUUAAGUCACAAUGAAUUACAGAUGUUGGAUGUCCAUUGUGGAGAUGUUCUAUAGCUACCGCAACAUCUAUCAUUAUGUCGACCCUUUGUAUGAUAUCAAGGAAGCAAAUUUCGGAAUGUAACCAUUUCUCAAGGUUUCCAUUAGACAUGUUAUCAAGCACCAAGGCUUUAAAGUCAACACUUGAGCAGCAAGUAAUGACCUUCACAAUAUUACGAUGAACUAUAUUACGCAUAGCAUCACAUUCAAUGUCAACACUCCUAAAUGCUCCCUCUGUUUGCAAAUUAAAAACUUUUAUUGCAACUUCCAUUCCAUCUGAAAGCCUCUCUUUAUAUACAUAUCCAAAACUCCUUGAACCAAGCAUAUUGUUUUCCUCAAAUCCAUUAGUUACUUGUGAAAGUUCAGCAUGUGAAAUUCUUCUCAGCGUUUUCAAAGACAACAAAUCAUCCUUACUUGGUAGAGUUGUACUCCUACUUUGGCAUCUUCUAUACAUAAUAGUUAAGACUAUUAGUAAUACGACAAUACCAAUUGUUGGUAAACCAUACCUUAAAACAUGCAAUAUAUUCAUUUGGGAGUUUUCUUGGAUGUCGUUUUUGCAAGGGGGGACUAGCAAUCUAGGUGGACCACAAAGUGCAAAAUUCUUCAUGAAUGAUCUACUAGAAAAGUUUGGAAAACAUCCUUCGGUGGGAAUUUCCCCUUCAAGUCUAUUGAAAGACACAAUAAAAUACUUUAGAUCUAAAAGAUUUUUCGAAGAUUUGGGAAUGGCUCCAGAGAGAUUGUUAUUGCAUAAAUUCAAGAAUUCCAAACUAAUCAAACCAUCUAAUGAUCCAGGGAUAUGACCAUGUAGUAUAUUAUUUAAUAAAUCUAAUGAAAUCAAAGUUUGAAGACCCCCAAAUGUGAAUAAGAUAUCGCCUGUGAGAAUAUUCCUUGAUAUAUUUAGUUUCAAUAAACUCCUCAAAUUUCCAACAUCAAUAGCAUGUGAAUUGUGAAGAUGGUUUGAUGAUAAAUCUCUUUCUAAGAUAUCUUUAAGAUUCCACAAAGUUGAGGGUAUUGCAGAACUCAAUUUGUUGGAAUUUAAGUAAAGAUAUCUUAAAGAAGUACUAUAACCCAAACAAGAGGGUAUGGAUCCAUGCAAGUUAUUCAACCCUAAAUACAUCUCGUAUAGUCUCUCCAAACCACAAAGGCUUUUUGAGAUUGGUCCUAAUUUAUUCGAGUGAAAAGUUAGACUUUGGAGAUUUCUCAUUCCUCCUAUUGAUGCUGGAAUAGAUCCACUUAAUUUAUUAUACCCAAGUUGUAAAAGCAAUAGGUUGUUUAAGUUACCUAUUUCCAUAGGACUAUUGCCUUUAAGCUCACAAUUAUUGGCAAAAAAGUAUUGAAGGGAUUUUGAAAGGUUCCCGAUAUAAGUAGGAAGAACAUCACUCAAUGGAUUUCCUGAAACAACUAUUCUUCUCAAAUGCCUGCAAUUUGCCAAAGAAGAAAGAAAGGUCCACUCAUGAUCAAUAGCAGAUCCUGUGAUCAAAUUAUUAUUUAUGAUUCGGAGCACUUCAAGGUGUCUUAAGUUGCCAAGCGUUUUAGGAAUUGGGCCAGAGAAUAAGUUAUCUUCCAAGGCUAGAUUCUUAAGCAUGGAAGCAUUGGAGAUAGAGCCGGUAAUGUUUCCGCUAAAUUUAUUUCCCCACAAUACAAGAUUCUCAAGUUUUGGAGCAUUGGUAAGGGUGGUAGAGUACCUGUAAGAUAGCAUCUUUUAAUAUACAUAGCCAUUGGAUACCAAAUUCACAAAACAUAUAAUACAUUAAAAUACAUUUUUAAAAUAAAAAUUGUAAACCUUUAAAUCAAAUAAAAAUAUAAUUUUGGCCUGGAAAAAUGUGAUCAAAUCAAUUAGUCCCUUGUGAUUUGUAUAAACAAAAAAAUAAAAUAAAACCAUUCCAUACCAGUAUUGUAUUUGAUUUAAUGAUAGAGUUGUAAGUUACUUGUAAAAGUUACAUGCUCUAGCAUAUAAAUUUUGUCCAAGCCUUGGGUUGAAAUCAUCGUUACUUUUUUAGAUCUAAAAUUGAUUGAAUAUCAAAUUUGUAAAAUACUGUAAAAUUUUGAAUCAAAUAAAAACAAAACUUUGACAUGAAAAUGUGGCAUCUAAUCAAUUUUAAAAAUGACAUUGACACUGAAUACGAAAUUAUGAAUAAAAAUUAGUUAUGGUUUGGGAAACAAAAAUAUUAAAUUAUUCUGUAUGAUUUGGUAUUAGUUAUUAUUUUGAAUAAUAUUGUUAAUUUUUAAUUACAUAAAACUAUUGUAUGUUAAAUAUGGUUUUAAUUAUGCCUUGAAAUUUUAUUAUUAUAUUUCAACUACCAUAUAAUAUUUUAAUUAUGUUUAGCCAUUUGAAUAACAAACCAAAAAACUAAUUAAAAACUAAUUACUUCUUUAAGUAUAAUGGAAAUUAAAAGUUUUCAAUUCAUAUAAAUUUUAUUGUUUAUUAUCAAAUUAAUACAUUUUAAUAGAUGAUAAAAUAUAUGAGCAAAAAAGAAGAAACAAUUAAAGAGAAUGUUUUUGGAGUUUGGAAAAAAUUAAAGUGAAAAACAUACCUUCUAAUUUGUUGUCACAUAGAUCUAUUUCUUCGAGCGUAGUUGAAUAAAAAACACUUUCCGGAAUCAGCUCACUGAAUUGAUUUGCUGCUACGAAUUCUAAAGCUUGUAACAUUCACUUAUACUAGAUGGAAUGUUACAGAUAAUUCAUUUGUAUCCAAGUAAAGCCCCUCAAACUUGGGAAGAUGUUGACACAUAUCAUUAAGUAAACUACCUGAUAGGCUAUUGCAGGAGAGAUUAAUAGUCUUCAGAGAAGAAAUAUUGAAGAUAGAAGACGGAAUCUGACCUGUAAGGUAUUUAAUUACUGUAAUACUAAGCAUUUUCAAACAUUACUAAUAUAAAUAGUUCAUGGAAGUAAGAAAGUGUGCAUAAUAAAACCAAAUUGUAUAAAAAAUUUAAAAAAUUUUGAUUAAUCAAUAAAUUUAAGAUUUUAUAUAUUGAAGUGGGUUCAAAUCUCACUAUUAUUUUUUGUUUUGUUUUUUUUUUAAAAACCAAAGUACCUCAAAUAAUGUAACUAAUUUUAAAUACGAAAAGUUAUUUUUGAAAUUUCUCUAAUCGAGUUGGUGCUCAUUGACUCGUAACACAAUCCUAAUCAGAUACUUAAAUAACAAUAUAGAUAUUCACAUUCACCAAAAAAGUUCAAAAAAAUUGUUACUUUAGUUUCAAAUAACAAAUUUUAAUUAUUUAUAUAACAAGUAACUUUAUAAUUCAUGUAUAAAUUUGACUAUUAAGAAAAGAAAAAAUGAAAUUAAAUAAUGAAUAAUUUAAUUGAAAAUAUAUCAAUUUUUAUAUUUUCUACAUAUGCUUUAAUGAUGAUGGAUUUUUUUUAUUAUCACUAUUUUUGAAUUAAAAGAAUUUAUUAAUAUAAUUUAAUUAUAUUUUGAAUAAUGUUACUCUUUUUUAAUGACAUGAAGUAAAAUCAUAUUAUAUAUUAAAGAGGGUACAUAUGCUUUAAUUAUAGCUUGAAAUUUUAUUAUUACAUUUGAGUUAUUAAAUAAAUUAAUAUAUUUUAAUUAUAUUCAGCCAUUUGAAUAACUAAUUAGAAUAAUUUUAAAAAACAUUAUUUAAAAGCUAUGUAUAUAAAUGUAUAUGUAUAUAUAUGGUUGUUUCAUAUUUUUAAAAUAAAUAUAUUUUCAAUGUUGGUUUCUUUUCUUCCACACACAAAGUAUUUCUAAUGUUUUUUUUUUAUAACUUUUACUUAUAUAAAAUAGAUUAGUUAAUGCAAUAACAAAUUAAUUACUUUUUUUAAACUUAAUGGAAAUUAAAAUAAAUAAAUUCAUAUAAAUCUUAUUGUUUAUUAUCAAAUUAAUAGAUGAUAAAGUAUAUGACAAAAAGAAAAGGACAAAUUAAAUUCAAUAGAAUGUUUUUGGACUUGUGGAAAAUUUUAAAGUGAAAAACAUACCUUCUAAUUUGUUGUCAAAUAGAUAUAUUUCUUCGAGAAUAGUUGAAUUAAAAAUACUUUUUGGAAUCAGCCCACUGAAUUGAGUUGUUGCUAAAUUCAAAACCUGAAGCUUGUUACAUUCACCUAUACUUGAUGGAAUCUGACCUGCACACAUACUUGACAUAAGUCAAAGAGGUUUUCUUUUCUAUAAUUUGGAGAUGUUAUAUUUUAAUAUAUUUAAUCAUAUUUUUUCUUCAAAUUAACUAUUUUGAUUUUAAUGAAAUAAAAAGCUCUUACUUUUUCUUUUAUAAAAAAAAAAUACUUUAAACUAAAGAAACCAAAGAAAUUUAGUACCUUCUAGAUUAUUAAACACCAAAUAUAAAUGUCUAAGUCGUGUCAAGUUUCCAAUACUUCUUGGAAUGAUACCUGUGAAUUGAUUAAUGGACAGUGACAAAAUUUGAAGGUUGCAUUUGUCUAUACUUAAUGGAAUGUUACCAGAUAAUUCAUUCAAACUCAAGUGAAGCCCUUCAAGCUUAGGAAGAUGUUGACACAUAUUAUCAGGUAAUCUACCUGAUAGGAUCAAUAGCCUUCAGAGAAGAAAUGUUGAAGAUAGAAGAUGGAACCUAGACAGAUAAUUGAUUGAAUUCCAAGUUCAAGAUCUCUAGAUUGGACAUGUUAACAAGUGUUUGAUGGAUUGUGCCUGUAAAGUUAUUAUUUUUCAUUUCCAGCCUUUGGACUCUGUGUAAGUUCCCAAGCCAUGAUGGAAUUUCCCCAUUAAGACCAUUGUAGCUUAAUUGGAUGAUCCUCAAACGGUGCAACUGGCCCAAUUCUUUAGGCAGAUGGCCAUAGAAAUUGUUGCUACUCAAGUCGAGAGAGAGUAGGAAUGAAAGUUUUCCAAGUUGUGAAGGGAUAGUACCUCGAAGAUUCAUGUUUGUAAGAUUCAAAGCUACAACUCUUUCAUGGAUGAUGCCACAAGAAACACCAAUCCACCUGCAAACAGAGCUAGAGGCUAUCCAAUUGUUUUCCAAGACAUUGUGAGGAUCGACUCGAUCCUUAUACUCGAGGAGUGCAAACUAAUCGGUGGUGAGAUUCCUGGCUGUCAUAGCCAAACAAAGUACGGAACAUGGUACGAAUAGAGCUAAAAGAAGAUGAAAGCAAGUGGUGUAGUUUAUGAUUGCAAGACGGAAUAAGGCAAGAAAAUAAAAGAGUAGGAAAAGGGAAAUUGAAAUGAUAAAAUAGUUGGAUGAUGAAGAAAAGCCCAGAGAGCCUGCUUUAAUAUGUUUCAACCCUCCCACACUUCUCCUAAUUAAAUUCACUCGGCUGGGGUUACAACAUUAAUUUUCAAAAUAAAUGUCAAGUCUUCUUUUAAAACACAUCCAAAGAAGCGAAUUUUCUCCAAAAUUUCUUCACAUUACUCCACAUAAUCCAUAACAAAAUUAAUAAAAUAUAAUUUUUUAAUUACUAUAUAUUCUUUUAUUUUCUUCACAAUAAUAAGUUGGUUAAAUAUGCUAUUAAUCCCUGUACUUUUUAGAAUUUGAGAUUUAGUCCUUAUACUUUAAAAGUUAAAAAUUAAUUCAAAGAUAUUCUUUUUUCUAAACUGAGUGAAUUCACAAGCUUUGUUUUCCUUUAACAAAUAUUUUUGGUAUUUUCGUGGAUAUGAGGAGAUACUGAAAAUUAUUUUACUAUGAACUUUUAAUUCACUCAAAAAAAUAAGUGUUUUAUUUCAAGGGAACACAAUUAAACAUUAGAUUUCCCAUUUUUAUGUUUUGAAUAUUUUUGACAACUGCAUAAUCAACAAAGUAUCAAUUUUGGGCGUUGUGAGAGUUUUAUAACCUUCCAUAUGUGUAAUCGAUUUUUGAACCCACUUUUUAUUUUAGAAUUCAGGACAUACCUUAAAUUUUUCUUUUUAUAAGUUAUUUAAAAUCUAUUUGUAAAAAGCGAAUUUUUAAGUGACCGAUCACGCUUAACAAAAAUGAUUGGUGGCGACAAGUCCUUUUUGAUAAAAUCUUGUUCUUGGAAAGACCAAAGUUUUCAUUUUUUUAAGAAGUUUUCAAUUUAAUUUUCUUUUUGAAUUUUUAUUUUUAACCAGAAAAUGGUCCUUACAGUUAUUAUUUAUUUCCCAAUUUUUAAUGGUUUUUUUCAAGGAGAUGAAUAGUGGGAUGAAAAUUUUUGGUUAAGGUAAACUCAUUAUGUAUAGUUGAUUCUUUUUUGAUCCUUCAAUUAUUAAUUUUUUUGAUUUAAUUACAUAUUUUUUUAAAAAAAAAUUAACACUCUCUUAGUUGCCUCUUAAUUGAGGGACAAAAAACUUAGACAUUUUUUAAUCACAAUUAAUUUAAUUGCGUUUAGGAUCACAUAAUUUUCUUUUAUUCUUUUUAAAUUAUAAACUGUUUCAAAAAUUCCGUCAAUAGCUUAAGUGAAAUUAUCCUUUUUUGAAAUAUCAAUUUCACUUAAGCUAUUGACUUAAUUUUCAGCUAUUAGUCUUUUUUCCAAUCAAAUUGACUCUUAGCAGAAAUGCAAACUGCGCAAAAGAGUGUAAACAAAGAAGUUGAAUUUAAUUAUUUUCUGAGUCUAGUUUCAAAAGACAUAAUUAAUAAUAAACUUAUAACUAGCCUUAUUUAUUUAACAUGUUAAGAAACCUUUGCUUCAUUUUCUUGAACUCAACCACAACAUUCUUCCUAGCUUUUCUUUUUUGACGUAAUUCAGUUCAACAUUUCAAAAGAAAUUCCAUAAUCGAUGAAAUACAAUUUGCUUUAACAAUAAAUCUGCAUCCUCAAAGUCUAGUAGUCCUUCCAACAAUGAGCUUUGUAGGGCCCAACUUCUGCCCCGGGCCCAAAUAAUAAAAACCAAAAAUAAUCCAAAGUUAAACAGUCCAGUUACAUUAAACCCAAAUACAAGCCCAACUACCCAAACCCUAAGCCCAAACCUAAUAGCCCACAACAAACUUUCAAUAGCAGCAAAACGUGCAACACGCAACAAAAAGAAGCAACCAAAUCGCAAAACAACAAAAAACAGGCAUCAAAGAGUUGUUUAGAUCGGCUAUAAAGCCAAAAAUCAGAGACUUGUAGUUUUUCGGCUUCCUUUUUUAACACACAUCAGAAAUAAAAGAUCAUAUAAACUUCUAAAAGGUUGCUGUUCUUUCUUUGUUUUUCUUUUUAUUUCACUUAUUUUAUUUAUUUUUUUUACUGAUCCUUUUUUACAAAUAAAAAACGAUUAAUAAAAGAAAAACAAGAAAGGAAGAGAAGGGGAAUAGCUAGAAUCACCCGCAAGUCCCAUUGCCGGAGCCCUUUUGCGGCCACCGGAGUCGUGCUGGGAGGGUGCGGGGUCUCCUUUUCCUCUGGUCUUUGGGCCAAGAAAGGCACCGUCACCAAAAGGCCUUUUAAAUCGGUUUAAAAUAGACCUUCGGGUCGCAGGCCACCGCCCGCGGCGGAUCUAUGGCGGCGCGAGUGACGGCCAUGUUGGCCGAAUUUGGGGGGACCGAGAGAGAAACCUUACUCUCUCUGUUUUUUCUAGAAAAUUGAAGGAAAUGAUUUCUUUUUUAUUUUUUUUGUAUUUAUAUAUGCUAUAAUACGGCGUCGUUUUGGCCUUAGCAUCAGUGGCCAAAAACGGCGCCAUUUUGAUGUUUGACCCGCGACCCGACCCAGUAACGCUAAAGAUCCGCGCGUUUUCGUUUAAGGGUCUAUUUGUGCAAUAGGUCCCUCCACCUUUGUUGCGUGUUUCAAUGUGCUUUUUUUAUUUUUUUGAUUUUGGCCACCAGAUUUUUAUUCUGUUUUAAUUUGGUUCUGGGAUGCGCAGGCCCCAGUAUUGCGAACGGCCCCGUUCAGGUGGCAUGGGAUUAUUUCCCUUUCGACCCUACGUCUAUGUGCGCAUUUCGCUCAGGUCCUGAAUGUUCUUUUGUUUUUCAAAUUUUACCCUUUAAUUUUAUUUUAACUUCAAUUCGGUCCUUUAUCCUAUAUUUUAUUAUUUUGAAUGCUUACCUUGAAAUAUCAUUUAGUUUCCAAUUUAAUACAUAUAUCCCACAUGUUUUAUGAUCCAUAUAUAUUCAUACGUCUUUUAUAUUUUAUAAUUUUAAAAUUUGUACAUGCAUACGUAUAUUUUAUAAUUUCUAUAUGCGUAUAUAUAUAUCUACAUAUGUAUUUUUUAAAUUUUUUUUUACAAAUAUACACAUACUUAUACAUACUCUUUAUAUUUUAAAAUCUAUAUUUUUCUUAUGUAUUUUCCAUAGUUUAUAAUUCAUGUAUACAUAUUUUUAGAAAUUUUACAAUGCAUACAUGCACAUAAUAUAUAUAUAUGCGUUUUAUUUUUAUAAAUACAUAUACAUUACCUACCUUUAUAUUUUAUAUCUUCCAUGACUUUAUAUAUAUAUAUACAUGAAUGUACACAUACAUACUUACAUAUUUUUUACGUACAUAGAUUUUUCAUAUUUUCAUAAUUUUAUGCACACACAUAUAUAUCUUUUUACUUUUUCAUAAUUUUAUUUAUUAUUUAUUUAUUUCAUUUUUAUUAUUGAUUUGAGGAAAUGUUUUAAUUUUAUUUGCUUGUAUACAUUGUUAUUUCGGACGUUAUUGAUUUGUACUUUUUAUUUAUCUUAUAUUCGUUGCUAUUACUCGUAUUAUUUUUACAUCAUCGUAUUCAAUAUUGUUUUGUUACGAACAUUAACAUCGUGUUUUAUUUUUACUAUUUGGUGUUAGAUUAUUUUUAUUCAACACAUAAAUUAUGAUUUUUUGAAUAAGCAAAAUCUCGUGUUUAGAUUGGAGAAGGUUGUACCCUAACUUACUGGGUUUCGAUUUUCGCAAUGACUUUAAAUACGUGAAUCUUUUCAAACUCAAGUUUUAAAUGAUCUUGGGAUUUAAAAAAGAUCGUGUCCUAACUUACUGGGCAUGAAUCCUUUUUAAAAAAAAAUCUGAGAUAGCUAAAUAUCUUUUAAACAAGCAAAUUUUUAGCAUCCAUUCGCGUAUCGGGAAUUCGAGAUAUUGUGUCCUAACUUACUGGAUAUGAUUCUCUUUCUCGAUUAACGUGAAAUAUGCCCAUUUUCCCAAAAAUUUUCAACAUUUUAAUACAAGGAUCGUAUUUUUUAAAAUUCUUUAAAGUUUUCAAAUUUCGACCUCAAGACAUUAGCUAAUCAACUAGGUACCAAUUUUUGGGCGUUACGAGGGUGCUAAUCCUUCCUCGUACGUAACCGACUCCCGAACCCGUUUUUUGAAUUUUGUGGACCAAAAUUAUUGUUUUAAUAAAAUCUAAAUCGUUUAUUAAAAACAAUCAUUUUAUGAGGUGACCCGAUCACACCUCAUCAAAAAAAGGAUUGGUGGCGACUCCCAUUUUUGUUUUAUUUUUGAAAUUUAAGUCGACCCCGUUUUACCAAAAAAUGGUGUCAACAGCUUGGCGACUCCGCUGGGGAAGAGAUAUGUGAGUCAAGCCACGUGUUGAUUACUUUUUGUCUUUUUGUCGAAAAUCGAGAAUUUAAUUUAAAUUUACGAUCCGUUCAUUGCAUUUCAUUCGUCUUUAUUACGAUCUUCAUCAUUGUGGUUUUAUAGUUGUGUUGGUUUAAGUCUUGAUAUAUUUUUGCACAUUGCAUUGCAUGACCGUUGGUCACACCUUUUAAGUGGGAGUGAGAAGCUAUUUCCUUCGUGAGGUAUUCACCUCCGUGCAGGAUAGCUGAUCACUUUCGGGAUACAUCCGUACCUAUGUCUUUGUAAGAUUUUCAUCUCCGUGCAGCCAUAGGGAAAUGUAUUCCCCUGAACCGAACUCGGUCCGUAUGAGCCUAUAAUGGGUGAGGAUCGAGGAACCUACUGGUUUGGGUACCUUCGCUUUAGAGCCGAACCACAUGUAGUGAACCUAAGAGCCUACCUUAGGAAGAACCACUUCAAACCCCUAGUGGUCACCCGAGUAGGUGUUCUAUUUAUUCUUGCUUGCUUUUGCUUUGUACUAACCUGUUUUCUUUUGUUUUGAUUAUGAUUGCAUUGCAUUAUCAUCAUUAAAAAGAGGUGUUGAUUCACGUUCAGUUGCUAAAUAGAGAGCUUGUGAUAAAGUGGAUGACGAUACGAUUGUCCGAAUAUGGUCCAAGAAAACGUGAUAAGAAAAGGAUGAUAGUUUAAUGGAGGACUACAAGACUAUUGCUCCGUUGCCCAAGGAUUCAAGAUGACAAAGAUUAUUCGAGAGUCGCUGAACCUUCUUAAAAAGAAGCCAAUGAGCAUUACGAGGAUGAGUGAGCAACGAGUCGCGGCCUAGAUCAAGCAAAAAGGAGAUAGAAGAGACAUCUUUUUGAAGAGUUCGUGAAAUUUAUCUUAACGCUCAAAUGAAGAAAAGGAUCAAUUGUCUCCGCAUAUGAGGGCAAAGCCGUAUAUAUCCGUUACAGAGAUUUAUUUUCUAGUAAAGCUGUUCUAAUAGAGUUGAAUCAGAAUCAACAUCUCUUUUUGCAUUCAUUCCAUGCAUCUGUUUUACAUUUCAUUGCAUCAUUUGCAUUAAAUUUCACAAAAGAGCCCUACUUAAACGAGAUUAUUUCAGUUAAUCUGGAAACCAACAAGAAUCUACCAACCAAAUAUCACUAUGGUACCCGUCGCAAAACAAAAGUAAUGGAUUAGAGGUUAGAAAGAUUGGAACAAUUGCAAAAAAAGAUGCAAGAUCAGAUGCAGGAACGACUAGAUAAAAUCCAGCAAGACAUGCAAGAAUCCUAGAACACUAUGAUGAACAAAUUGGAGCAGUUAUUGGCUGGAAGGAAUGAUAAAGGAAAAAGCCCUUUAGUUGAUUCUGGAGUUGAUCAUGAGGACCCUAUUUAUCCUCCAGGUUUUACCCCAAUAGGCAUCCAGGCACAACCGGAUAUAUGCCCGCAAAGAGUACCUGUCAUUAUCAGACCUCAAUAUACGGUUGGUGCCUCAGUGCCAAUGCAUUUUCAAACGGGCUUGGGUUCUAAUCCCGGAGACAACCCUACCAAUCCUGUGGUCCCUAAUCUCGAUGACGUGGAAGAAAUAGAAAAAGCAAGAAUGGACCUGCCAAAACAACUUGACGACCGAUGUAGAUGGCUAGAGGAAAAAUUUAGAGCCAUGGAAAACACCGACUACCAUUGUGGAGUUGACGCCAAGGAUCUGAGUUUGGUCCCUGAUUUAGUGCUCCCGCCUAAGUUUAAGAUGCUGGAGUUCAAAAAAUACAACGGGACUAGUUGUCCUGAAGCUCAUAUCACUAUGUUCUGUUGAAGGAUAAUAGGAUACGUCAAUAAUGAUCAACUAUUAAUCCACUGUUUCCAGGAUAGUUUGAUCGUGUCUGCAGCCAAGUGGUACAACCAAUUGAGUCGUGCUAAAGUUAGUUCAUGAAGAGACUUGGCACAAGCUUUUAUGAAGCAAUACAGUCAUGUAACAGAUAUGACACCUGAUAGAAUUACGUUACAGAAUGUGGAAAAGAAGCAAAAUGAGAGCUUUAGGCAAUAUGCCCAAAGAUGGAGAGAGGUAGCGACACAAGUCCAGCCACCUCUUCUGGAGAAAGAAACCACAGUGCUUUUCAUUAACACUCUGAAAGCCCCAUUCAUUAACCACAUGUUGGGAAGCACUACUAUGAGCUUCUCAGAUAUGGUAAUGUCUGGCGAGAUGAUUGAAAACGCCAUAAGAAGUGGGAAGAUAGAUGCAAGGGAAGGUGCCAAAAGAUCAACCCCAAAGCACAAAGAAAAUGAAGUGAGCAACCUGAGCUUGUAUAAUAAAGGGUAUUCAAAAUUAGUCACUGUAGGCCAGCCAAGGACGGUAGCAGCUAGCUAUCAAGGCCCCUCAAAGUAAGAAUCCAACUCGAGGCCAAACACAGAAAGACUCGAGUUCACACCUAUCCCGGUGAUGUAUAAGGAGUUAUAUCAAAAUCUGUUUGAUGCGCAUGUAGUAGCUCCGUUCUACUCAAAACCCAUGCAACCUCCAUACCCCAAAUGGUACGACGUAAAUGCUCAAUACGAGUAUCACGUAUGAACUACGGGGCACUCGAUUAAAAACUACACUACAUUUAAAAAGUUAGUCGAAUGGUUCAUUAAUAUGGGCAUCGUGAAGUUUGACGAUCCAUCUGGACCUAAUGUGGCAGGAAGUCCGUUACCCAGUCAUCCAGACCCAGGAGUAAAUGCGAUAGCUGAGAAUGGAGGAAAAAAAACCAAAACAAAUGUUGCAGAAGUAAAACCCCCACUAAAAUGGGUUUUGAAACAAAUGAUGGACAUGGGAUUAAUCAUUCAGAAUUUGGAGAAGAGACCAAAAUGGAUGAGGAGCUACUGUGAGUUUCACGCUAAAGAAGGCCAUGAAAUCCAGGAGUGCACUGAAUUCAAAGCUUUGGUGCAAAGUAUAAUGGAUAAUAAAGAGUUGGAAUUCUUUGAAAAAGUCAAAGGCCUAGAAGAAAUGUUGGGAAAUUUAAAUGUUAACGAUGUAUCCGAAGAGGGAACUGAGGAAGAUAAUUUAUGAGGCAUCGGCCCUUAACGCAUUUGGGAGUGUUUUGAACAAUGAGAUUGUGGAAGAGAUCCCUAUAUUUUUUUAGAUCUAUUUCAAAGUAAUGUCCAAAACACGCUUAUUGCUCUAAGCCUAGGAGCAAUAAGAAUCCUUUUGUGAGAUAGACUUAUGUUCAAUAUCUUUAUUUUAAUAAAAUGCAUCUUUGUUUCUCACUUCGAGCAAAUAUUCCUUUAUUAUUUCCAUUUCAUUCAUAAUCAUACUGUACAGAUAAAUAUUCUUAGAUUCUUUUUAUUCUUUGGAUUUGCUUUCGUCCCUACAAUAGGUCUCCAGAUAUCAAAGAUAUGAGUGACACUACUACUGACUCAGAAUCUCCUUUGAGCAAGAUAUGUGUCCAGAUGAGCCUCAGGACUUUGAAGAUAACUGAGACUGUAACUUAUCCCCUGAUUUGUUAAUGAUGGUAGAACAAGAUCCUACCUUACAAAUAAUCAAUGGAAGUCUUGACCUUUCUCUAUGUGGGGUACGGAUGUCAUUGAACCAAUCUCGUCUAAGGUUUUGGCGAUCAUCAAUUCAUCUUUAUGGUCGUUAAUUACCUCACUAAGUGGGUAGAAGCUGCUUCAUAUGCCAAUGUCACAAAAAUGACGGUCAGUAAAUUCGUAAAAAAAGAAAUCAUAUGUUGGUAUGGGAUGCCGAAAAGGAUCAUAUCUGAUGAUGCACCAAAUUUGAAUGAUAGCACGAUAUCAGAAGUUUGCAGUCUGUUCAAGAUUAACACCAUGUCGCCCAAAAUGAAUGAUUCAGUGGAGGAAAAAAAAAGGAAACCAAACAAAAAACAAAACAAAAAAAACAAAAAACAAAAAUAAAAAAACAAAAAAUAAAAAACCUCUACCGGGGUAACUUAUUUCUCAUUGGUAUAUAGAAUAGAGGCAAUUUUACCCAUCGAAGUUGAUAUUCCUUCCCUUCAAGUCUUGUUAGAGCUGAAGUUGGAUGAAGCAGAAUAGAUCUAGGCCUGAUAUCAUCAGUUAGAUUUGAUUGAUAAGAAAAGGUUAAAAGUUAUCUGUCAUGGUCAAUUGUACCAAAAGCGAAUGAUGCGAGUUCACUAAAAGGUUCGCCCAGAGAAUUCCAUGAGGAGGACUUGAUAUCGAAGAAGAUCCUUCUCAAACAAAAGGACUUAAGAAGAAAGUGAAUGCCAAAAUGGAAAGGACCUUAUGUGGAAGGCCUUAUUUGAAAAAGCGUUGAUAUUGACCAAGAUAGAUGGUAAGAACCUGCCCAAUCUUGAGAAUUCUGAUUCCAGCAAUAAAUACUUCACUUGAAAAAAGAAACGAAAAGAAAAAAGAAAAGAAGAAGAAUGAAAAAAGAAAAAGGAAAGGCCAAGGUGAAAACCCGCAAAGGGCGCCUUGAGACCAAAGAGGUUUUGAAUUGAAAACCCAGGAAUGGGCAGUUCAAAUUUUGAUCAAAGGUGGGGCAUGCAGUAGUCUUGUCGUCUCUGAAUUAAUAAGAAGGAGAGAUGCUACAUCUUGGGGGCAUCAAUGAAGUCUUCUAGGACUUCUAAACACAUAUCAAGUUCAAAAGGGUCCUCAAGAAGUUUGGGGCAGAGAAGCUCAUGCCACGAUAUCUGGGGCACCUCUUUUCAUUUAUUCUUUUUGUAUUUGUGACAAAAUACGCCAUCUUGAUUAAUUUAUUCUCAUUUUGUAUUCUAGCAAAAUUUGCUAUCUUGAUUAAUUUAUUCAUUCAGAGCUUUGCUCUCAAUAAUUUUUCAUCUUAUCCAUUGUGAUAAUCCUUUCAUCUUAUUCAUCUCAUAUCUUAGCAAAAUUUGCUAUCUUGAUUGAUUCAUUCAUUUCAAGCUUUGCUCUCGACAAAAUUUUAUCUGGUCCAUUUUGAUAAUCUUUUUCAAGCAUUUUUCUUUGAAAUAACGAUUAUUGGACUGAUAAUGUUCAAGCAAAAGAAGUUUUGCAUAUUACUCUGAAAGCUUCUAAAUAGUACGAGGACCUAAAGCAGGGCUAUUGUUUAGAACUAACCAACUUAAGGGUUAGAAGCAUUGGAGAAAGAAUAAUCUAAAUUGCGACUAUUUCUUUGGUUUUUCUAUCAAAGAUACCACUGAAUAAGAAAGCAUCGGUGAUAAAACCUUGAUGAACAAUAAAGAAUGACAAUCUAAGCAUUAAAAAUGGAUCAUUCUCAUGACAUUCUACAAAUAUCAUACAUACACAUCUAGUUAGGAGCAUUUUAUUCAUUCUAAUCAUGACAUCCUAAAUGCUAGGCAUAAAUAGGUAUAUAAAAUGGAUUUUACAGGUCAUGUUCCCCAAGGAACAGAUCAAUGAAGUUACCCAUACCCCUGAAGUUGCAGUGGGAUGGAUUGAAGUCAUCAUAUCCAACAUUAUCUCCCUGAGCAACAGUGGAGAAGGUUGAAGAAAGCAAGUCUUGUCUUCCUGUAUUGGCAGCGAAGUAGACUGAAGAUAGCAGAUCUUGUCUUAUUGUAUUGGCAGCGAAGUAGACUGAAGAUAGCAGAUCUUAUCUUCCUGUAUUAGCAGCAAAAUGGAUCAAAGAUAGCAGAUCUUGUCUUUCUGUAUUGGCAGUAAAGUGGAUCAAAGAUAGUAGAUCUUGUCUUCCUGUAUUGGCAGCGAAGUAGAUCGAAGAUAGCAGAUAUUAUCUCCUUGAGCAGCAGUGGAGUAGAUCGAAGAUAGCAAGUCUUGUCUUCCUAUAUUGGCAGCGAAGUAGACUGAAGAUAGCAGAUCUUGUCUUCCUGUAUUGGCAGCGAAGUAGACUGAAGAUAGUAGAUCUUGUCUUCCUGUAUUGGUAGCGAAGUAGAUCGAAAAAAGUAGAUCUUGUCUCCCUGAGUAGCAGUGGAGUAGAUCGAGGAUAGCAAGUCUUGUCUUCCUGUAUUGGCAGCAAAGUAGAUUGAGGAUAGCAGAUCUUGUCUUCCUGUAUUGGCAGCAAAGUAGACUGAAGAUAGUAGAUCUUGUCUUCCUGUAUUGGCAGCGAAGUAGAUCAAAGAUAGCAGAUCUUGUCUCCCUAAGCAGCAGUGAAGUAGAUCGAAGAUAGCAAGUCUUGUCUUCCUAUAUUGACAACGAAGUAGACUGAAGAUAGCAAGUCUUGUCUUCCUGUAGUGGCAGUAAAGUAGACUGAAGAUAGGAAGUCUUGUCUUCCUGUAUUGGCAGCGAAGUAGACUAAGGAUAGCAGAUCUUAUCUUCCUGUAUUUGGCAGCAAAGUAGAUCGAAGAUAGCAAGUCUUAUCUUCCUGUAUUGACAGUGAAAUAGACUGAGGAUAGUAGAUCUUAUCUUCCUGUAUUGGCAGCGAAGUAGAUCGGAGAUAGCAAGUCUUAUCUCCCUAAGCAGUAGCAGAGCAGACAGAUGAAACCAAUCCUAUCUCUCUGAAGUUGCAGUGGAGCAGAUUAAAAUGAUGAAUCAUAUGCCUCUGAAAUUACAGUAGGUCGAAUUAGAUCAUAUCACAUCAAACCUUAUCUCCCUGAAGUUACAGUGGAGCAGACUAAAACCACGAAUCUCAUCCCCACGGAUUUACAACAGAGUAGAUUGAAGUCAUAUCUCUCUGAGGAUGCCGUGAAGAGGAUCAAAGUCAUAAGGCGCAGUGGGCUAGAAAGAGACUACUUGAAGAAGAGGAGUAUCAAGAGAUCAAGAUUCGUGCGACCAUUGAACGUAAAAUCAAAAUGCUUAAAGUGUAUGGAGAUUCCGCGUUGGUGAUAUACCAACUCAAAGGAGAGUGGGAAACCAAAGACCCUAAAUUGAUCAAUUAUAAAGAACUGGUUCUUGAAUUGAUUUACGAGUUUGAUGACAUCACCUUCAGUUAUCUCCCAUGAAAGGAAAACCAAAUGACUGAUGCAUUGGCUACUCUAGCUUCGAUGAUUCAGGUGAACAGGCUUGAAGUAAUGAAGCCUAUUCAGAUGAGUAUCUACAAAACCCCAGCUCAUUGCUACAAUAUUAAGGGGAAGGGAAAAGACAAUCACCCUUGGUAUCGGAGUAUCCUACAGUAUGUGAAGAAUCGGGAGUACCCUAGCCAGGCAACAGAGAACGACAAGAGAACUCUGAAAAGAAUAGCCAUCGAAUAUAUCUUAGAUGGGGAAGUGUUAUACAAAAGAAGGAAAGAUCAGGUAUUGUUAAGAUGUGUAGAUGCCGUAGAAGCUAAGAAAAUUUUGGAGGAAGUCCAUGAGGGUAUCUGUGAGACGCACGUCAAUGGCUUCACCAUGGCCAGAUAGAUCAUGAGAUUUGGGUACUAUUGGUCCACUAUGGAAGGGGAUUGCAUUAAUUACGCCAAGAAAUGCCAUAAAUGUCAAAUUUAUGGAGACAAGAUGCAUCCCCCCUUCGCUACUUCAUGUUAUGACCUCUCCAUGGCCAUUUUCCAUAUGGGGUAUGGAUGUCAUUGGGCCGAUAUCGCCAAAGGCUUCUAACGGGCAUCGUUUCAUCUUCAUAGUCAUUGAUUACUUCACUAAGUGGGUAGAAGUUGCUUCUUAUGCAAAUGUCACGAAGUCAGCAGUUAGUAAAUUCUUGAAAAAUGAGAUUAUUUGUCGAUAUGGAAUGCCUGAGAGAAUCAUAUCCAACAAUGCGCUGAAUUUGAACAAUAGCACAAUAGCAGAGGUUUGCAGCCAAUUUAAGAUCAAGCAUCAUAACUCAUCGCCGUAUCGUCCAAAAAUGAAUGGUGCAGUAGAGGCGACCAAUAAGAAUAUUAAAAGAAUUGUGGGGAAAAUGACUGAGACUUACAAAGAUUGGCAUGAGAAGUUAUCAUUUGCUCUCCUUGCCUAUCGAACAUCUGUUAGAACUUCUACUAGGGCAACACCUUUUUCUCUAGUUUACGGAAUGGAGGCAAUAUUACCCAUCGAAGUUGAAAUCCUCUCUCUACGGGUAUUAUCCGAACUCUAGUUGGACGAGGCUGAAUGGGUCCAAUCUCGUUAUGAUCAGUUGAACCUAAUAGAGGAGAAGAGAUUAAAAGCUAUUUAUCAUAGGCAAAUGUACCAGAAACGAAUGAUGUGAGCCUAUGAUAAAAAGGUUCACCCCAGAGAAUUUAGUGAAGGAGAUUUGGUGCUAAAAAAGAUUCUUCCUAUGCAAAAGGACUUUAGAGGAAAAUGGAUGCCAAAUUGGGAGGGUCUUUAUGUCGUAAAGAAGGCCUUUGAUGGUGGAGCUUUGAUUCUAAGUGAGAUAACUGGAAAAGACUUGCCCAAUCCCGUAAAUUCAGACUCAGUCAAGAAAUACUUCACUUGAAGAAAAGGGACCAAAGUGAAAACCCGCAAAGGGCGCUUUGAUCCCUAAAAAAAAAGAAAUGAUGAUGAUAAAAAUGGAGAGGCUAAGGGGAAAACCCGCAAAGGGCACCUUAGGCCAAAGGGGAUUUGAGUUGAAAACCCGAAAAGGGCGGCUCAAAUGUUUGAUCAGAAUGGGACAUGAAAUGCUUAGAGCAGCUGGUAUCUUGAUCAGAUCGGGAUGUGUGGCAAUCUUGCUAUGCCUGAAUUAACAAGAAGGGAUAGGCGAUAUCUUGGGGCAUUGACAAAGCAUUGAAGAUCUCCUAAACACAUGUCAAACUCAGGAUGGCCUUUAGAAAGUUUGUACAGAGAAAUUCAAGCUGCGAUAUCUGGGGGAUUUAAUUCCCCUAUUAUUUUGUAUAUAUUGAAUUUUGUUGAUUCUUGGAAUAUUUUCUUUCUCUUUUCCAAGAUAUAUAUUCCCAAUCAAUUUCUCUACUAUUUGUGAUGACUUAUUUAUUUUUAGCUAUGUUCAGAACCAAAUUUAUUCUUAUAUAUUGUUAUGACCUUUUCUGCAAACAUGUUACAUUAGAAUAAUGAUUAAUGGACUAAUAAAACUUUCACAAAAGAAGUUUUGCAUAUUACUCUGAAAAGUUCCUAAAUAAUACAGGAGCCUAAAACAAGACUAUUGUUUAGAACACACCCAAUUUUAAAGAUUGGAAAUUUGAGAAGGAGUUUAAAUUUGGACUUUCUCUUUGGAUUUUGUUGUCAAAUGCAUUGAUUGGCAAGAUGCCAUGUUGAUGACGAAGCUUAAGUAAACAAGCAAACAAUGAUCACCAGGCAAGAGGAAGAGGUUACUUUGAAAAAGCCUUCAUCUACACAUAAGUUUCUAGUAUGACACCUUCAAAAUUGUGUGAGAAACCAGAACGAUUCAGAUCCUAUAUCCUUGAAUUGUGGGGAUUGAGGAAAAGCCACAUAUUUCUACCCUUGGAUUACAAUGGGAAAGUGGUGGUACAAUUUUUUUGCGCCCCAAUGGUUUAAACUUUAAGGUUCACAGUGGGGGCAAUCUGACUAAGUGAUUCUUUGAAGAAGCCGGUCAAGCGAGGAGGCGUUACAGCACAUCAGUGUUAAAGCCUUAAUAAAUUUCGAGUAAUAAUAACCUAAGCGGGAUCAUUCUCAAAAAAUAAAAUUCUGCAUUCAUGCAAACACUAUCCACACAUGUCUAUUUAGGAGCAUUCGAUUCAUUUUGAUCAUGCCAUCCUAAUCAUUAGGCAUAAUUAGGUUCAUUAUACAGGUCAUGUUCCCCAGAGAAUAGAUCAAUAAAGAUCGAAAACAAAGCCUUGCCUCCAUCGGUUGCAGUGGAGCGGAUUAAAAUAAAGGAUCUUAUCUCUCUGAAGUUACAGUAGAGUAGAUCGCAUCAGAUUGAAGCCAAAAAUCUUAUCUCCCUAAGAUUACAGCGGAGCAGAUUGAAGCUAGAAAUUCUAUCUCCCUGAGAUUACAGUGGAGCGGAUUAAAAUAAAGGAUCUUAUCUCUCUGAAGUUAUAGUAGAGUAGAUCGCAUCAGAUUGAAGCCAGAAAUCUUAUCUCCCUGAGAUUACAGUGGAGCAGAUUGAAGCUAGAAAUCCUAUCUCCCUGAGAUUACAGUGGAGCAGAUUAAAAUAAAGGAUCUUAUCUCUCUGAAGUUAUAGUAGAGUAGAUCGCAUUAGAUUGAAGCCAGAAAUCUUAUCUCCCUGAGAUUACAGUGGAGCAGAUUGAAGCUAGUAAUCCUAUCUCCAUGAGAUUACAGUGGAGCGGAUUAAAACAAAGGAUCUUAUCUCUUUGAAGUUACAGCGGAGUAGAUCGCAUCAGAAUGAAGCUACAACAGCAAAUCUCACUACCCCGACCUCACAAUUAAGCAGAUUAAGGUUACGAGUUACAAAUCCUAUCUCCCUGAUGUUACAGUGGAGUGGAUCGAAGCACCAAUUCCUAUACCUCUGAAGAUGUAGUAGGUUGAAAUGAGUCAACUCGAAGAAGAAGAGCACCAAGGUCCAAACACGACUGGGCAAAAAGGGGCUUUAGUCUUUGCACCGUUCCCGUUACACGACAACAAGCAAAGAGGGGUAGCUGUAAUAGCCCAUUUUUGCCCGGGCCCGUAAUAAGUAAACCAAAAUUAAAAAUUAAAAAUUAAAGUCCAAAAAAUAAUAAUAGAGUCCAUUUUUUACAAUAGGCCUAAUAGCCCAAAUCCACUACCCAAACCUAAUUAGCCCAAAUCCACUACUUAAACCCAACUAGCCCAAAUGCCCAUGACCGAACACUAAAUCUGAUUAGCCCAAUUACAGUGGCCCGACACCUAACCCAAAACCCGAUUCAGCCCAAUUAGCCCAUUUUGAAAAAGCAUUCCAGAAAUCACUAGGGUUUCUAGAACCCUUCAGCCGCCAUUGCCACGCACGGGCUCCCCUUCGAGCCACUCCUCACGCGCGUGAUGCCUUCGUACGCCACGCAUGCCUCCGUACGGCCACCUCUGUACCUCUAGGCUGGCCGAGUACCUGCAAAUACAAGCGAACACACGGAAGCAGCAACAAAUAGAAAAACAACAGCAUUUUUAUUUUAUUUUUUUAUUUUCUGUAAAUGGGGCUAUAAAGAAGCCAUUCGAACACUGUAAACGAUUUACACGCAUUUUCAGAAUACAGAAAUCAAAAAAAGUUCCAAAAGGUGAUUUUCGGUUCUCUUUUCUUUUUCGCAGAUCGUUUUCCUUCUUUCCUUUUGUUUUUACAUACAUUAGUCAUCUGUUAAAGGAGAAAAGGGGAACCAAAAGGGAAGAGGGGCAUACCUGAGGGCCGGAUUUUUGCUCACUCCGCAGCCAUCGGAGUUGGGGCGAAUAUUGGGAGUCUUUGGAGGCAAUGAAUCCCCAGAGCGGCGACGAGCCUUUCUUUUUGUUUAGGUUUUGCUAAUGUAAACCCUAGGUUUUAGGAUUUAUUUAGUUUUUAAGUGCAUGAAUUAAAACGACGCCGUUCAGAGUCAAUGCAAUGGCACUGAAAUGACAUUGUUUUGGAGACUCAACCCAAACGAUGACCCGAUCCGGGAAGGAUCCGCACAAUAUGGGUCGAAUGGUUUAUUUGCUAAAUAGGUCCCUGUGUGUUUAUUGAGAUUACGUUUUGUUUUUUUAUUUAAUUGUAAUUUGUACGGCACAUUUAAUUUUGUUUCCAUUCAGAUCCGACUUGAUACGGUACCGUUCUGCGGUUGAUUGUUAUUGUUUAUAAUGCUUGCGUUUAAUUGUUGGUUUAGUCCUCCAAGGUUAAAAAGGAUUUCGAUUUGAUACAAAUUUAGAUUUUUUUACUCAAAAUGCCUUUAAUUAUAAUUAAUCCUACUUUUAUAAACGGAUUUCAUUAUUGUUUUAAUUUUAUCUAAGCUUCGAUUUUUAAAAGAAUUUGUUGAUUAUUAUUUUCAAUGUCAAAAAAUGCCUUUUAUGUUAAUUUUGAUUUAAAAAGUUUUUUUUAAAUAAAUCAAUUUUUAAUAUUACUUUAAUAGAUAUUUUUUUCAAAUUUAUUAUUAGCACAAAUUCUAUUUUUUAAAAAAAAUAUAAUAAUAAUAAUAUAUUUUUUAAUUGUUAUCAAUAUGUUUUAAAUGUAUCAAUAUUAUUUAAAAAUACAUAUAAUUUAAAUUAGACUAUUUUAGUAUAUAUGUACAUAGGGUAUAUCGUUAACUUCAAAUUAACCUUUUAUUCACAUAAUUUUUUAUACAUAAUUGUUUUAUUUCUUAAACCUUAUUUAUUUUAUUCGUUUUGGUGGGUUGUCAAAUUAUUAAUAUGGAUGUUUGUAUAAUAUGAUUAAGGUCAAUGUUAGUAUUUGCCUAUUAUUUGUUUAAUUGUUUCUAGUUUAAGUUUAAAUUGUUAUUUAUAUUUUGCAUUACAAGUUGUUAUUCAAUUAUGUUGGUUGUAAAAAUUUCAUUUCGUUAAAAUAUUAUAAUCGUUUCAUUUCAAAAGUUCAAAAAAGAGGCUUGGUGUUAAAUAAUUCUCGAGAGAAUUGUGCCCUAACUUACUGGGCCUCAAUUCUUCUCGAUGAAUUUAUAUCAUCAAGUAUCCCUUUCUUUAAGACAUUUAAAAAAAAAUUCUUUAGAUUUCAAAAUGUUGGAUCCUAACUUACUGGAUGUGACAUUUUGUUAUCUCGUUUUUAAAUAAAGGAAAUAUUUGGUGUUUAAGGAUUUUAAGAAAAUUGAACUCUAACUUACUGGGUUUUGAUUUUCUCGAUCGAUUUAAAUAACCAAAUAUCCUUCUCAAAAUGUAUGAAUUUGUUUUAAAUUUUAAAAAGGGACGAAUCUAACUUCGAAGAUUGAAUCGUUGCACUCUAACUUACUGAAUAUAACGAUUUAUUUCUUUAAAGUAGGUAAGUCUUAUUUCCCAAUCCGAUUACUCAAAUUUUCUUUUCAAAGGAUUGUAUUUUAAAAUCCUUUCAAAGUUUCGACAUUAAGACAUUAAAUAAUCGAUUCGGUACCAAUUUUGGGCAUUACGAGGGUGCUAACCCUUCCUCGUGCGUAACCGACUCUCGAACCUUAUUUUUUUCAAAAUUCGCAGACCUAAAAUUAUUUUCAAGGUGAUCUGAUUACACCACAAUAAAAUAUCAGUGGCGACUCCCAUUUCCGUUUUCAUUUUAAAAGUCGAUCCCCGUUUUUUUAAAUUUCAAAAAAAAUGGUUUCGACAAGAAACAAAUGAUUCAUUAUAUAUAUAAUAUAAUUAUGAAAUUCAAGCCAUAUAUUUUAUGUUUCAUACAUAAAAAUUUCAUGGGAGGCCCAAAGGUAAUUAAAUGACUUGUAGGCUUGCUGAAUUUCUUUGAAAGGCCCAAAGGCAAUUUAACAUUCACAAAAUAAUCUCUAAAUACUGUAAAGACAAAUCAAAUCCACAGUAGCAUAAGAGUUGAUUAAGCUAAGCAUUGGCAAAUAUUACUAUGAUUUUGCAUGCAAUAUUGGCAAAACCUCCUCUUACAUUAGAAAAACAACAUAAUCCAUGAAACAUUGAUAGCCCAAUACAAAUUUCAUCGACAUGAAAGUCUCUUUGUUUUGUAGAACAUGAUAGUAAAGAUGUGGAGUUUCAUUCUUCUUAUUGGCCUCCUUUAGUUUUCCUUGAUCAACAACCACUAGCCAAAAACACAAUUAGAUUACAUUAUCAAUGAUACUCUCAACUAUGACAAUAUUAAAUACAAAACACUCUAAAUAACUCUAAAUAAAUGGAAAGCAGCAAAAUUACCUGACGAGACAAGCUAGCUCAAUUAAGACCAUUGUGUUAUACUUGUCUCUGAAUUGAAAAUUUUAGAAGGAAAUAAAGAGAAAGACUUAGAAAAUACUUGAAAACAGGUAAAACUUAUAUGUCAUUUAAAAUAAAAAAUUUCUAUAUAAGCCAUUUAAAAUUUUUAAGAUUUUUAAAAUUUUAAAAUGAUAAAGGUAAAAUUGUACUUUGGCAUCCCAAAAAUGACAAAACUUUGAUUUAAUUCUUUAGAAAUUAUAAAAAUAUAGGCUAUUAAAAUGGUGAAAUUAUAUUUUUACUAUAGUAAAAAAUUACAAUUUAAUUUCACCCCUAAAAGGACUUUCUCACUUCGCCCCUAAUAAAAUCUUUUGCAAAAGAUUAAAAUAAAAUUAUACAUAAGAAAAUCCAAUCUAACAAAGAAAAUAACUUCUUGUCCAAAAGCUACCAUAAACCGUAAUUCAUGGGAAGGCUUGUUGCUUAUUUUAUUGGUUUCCAUUUCGAUUUUGCAAAAGAAGUUUGAAUUUUGAAGAGAGCCUACUACGUGAGAGCAAAAGAAAAAAAAAGUUUAUAUGAUUAAAUUCCAGAAUAGAUUAAAAAUGUUGAAUUAAAGAUAAAAUUAAGUGUGAAUUAAAAAAAUUUCUAUUUAGGCCCUUUAAAAUUUUAAAAUGAUAAAGAUAAAACUGUACUUUGGCACCCAAAAAAAAUAAAAUUUUAAUUUAAUCCUUUAAAAUUUAUAAAAAUAUAGGUUAUUAAGUGUGAAUUAAUAACCACAAGUGUAUUCAUUACUCACCAUCUCUGUUAAAAAUGUUGGAUGUUGUUUAGCAACCUUUGUUUGAUUUUCUUCAGCUCAACCACAACAUCUUUCAUAUCUUUUCUUUCUUCUGGUAACUCAGCUGAACAAUUCAAAGCCAACUCCAUGAUAGAUGAAAUACAAUUUGCUUUAACAACAAUGUACUCAUCCUCUCUUCUUAAUAAAUCAACAUCUGCAAUUUCUAUCGCUCCUUUAGGCAAUGAUCUUUCCAUCCAAUGCCUUAUACUCUCUUCUUCAACAAAAACAUUAUCAGUUGGCUUUUUCUUUGUGAAAGUUUCUAUAAGGACGAUCCCAUAACUAUAGAUGUCAGAUUUUAUAGAAACAAUUCCUACUGAUCCAAAUUCUGCAUUUCAAGUAUAAUUAGAACAUCAUCAAUCCUCAAUUAUUUCUAAAAUGCUUAUUCAAAUAUAUAUCCACAUCCACAUGAAACAAAAAUAUAAAAUGCAUAUUAGGAAAAUAAUCAUACAAAAAUAAAAAAGAAUUCACCUGGUGCUAUAUACCCGAUAGUUGCAAGAGUCAUGGUUUGCUUCAUUACUUCACCUUCCCCCAACAAUUUGGCAACGCCACAAUCUCCAACAUGUGCAACCAUGUCUUCAUCUAGUAAAAUAUUGCUUGGUUUUAUGUCACAGUGAAUUAUAGGUGUUGGAUGUCCAUUGUGGAGGUGUUCUAUGGCUACCGCAACAUCUAUCAUUAUGUCGACCCUUUGUAUGAUAUCAAGGAAACAAUUUUCAGAAUGUAACCAUUUCUCAAGGUUUCCAUUAGACAUGUAAGCAAGCACCAAGGCUUUGAAGUCAACACUUGAGCAGCAAGUAAUGACCUUCACAAUAUUACGAUGAACUAUAUUACGCAUAGCAUCACAUUCAAUGUCAAAACUGCUAAAUGCUCCCUCUGUUUGCAAAUUAAAAACUUUUAUUGCAACUUCCAUUCCAUCUGAAAGCCUCCCUUUAUAUACAUAUCCAAAACUCCCUGAACCAAGCAUAUUGCUUUCCUCAAAUCCAUUAGUUGCUCGUGAAAGCUCAGCAUGUGAAAUUCUUCUCGGUGUUAUCAAAGACAACAAAUCAUCUUUAAUUGGUAGACUUGUACUCCUUCUUCGGCAUCUUCUAUACAUAAUAGUUAAGACUAUUAGUACUACGACAAUACCAAUUGUUGGUAAACCAUACCUAAAAGCAUGCAAUAUAAUCAUUUGGGAGUUUUUGUGGAUGUCAUUUUUGCAAGGGGGGACUAGCAAUCUAGGUGGACCACAAAGUGCAUAAUUCUUCAUGAAUGAUGUGCUAGAAAAGUUUGAAAAACAUCCUUUGCUUGGAAUUUCCCCUUCAAGUCUAUUGAAAGACACAUUAAAAUACUUUAGAUAUAAAAGCUUUUCCAAAGAUUUGGGAAUGACUCCAGAGAGAUUGUUAUUGCAUAAAUCCAAGAAUUCCAAACUAAUCAACCCAUCAAAUGAUUUAGGGAUAUAACCAUGUAGUAUAUUAUUUGAUAAAUCUAAUGAAACCAAAGUUUGAAGACCCCCAAAUGAGGAUAGGAUAUCGCCCGAGAGAAGAUUCCUUGAUAAAUUUAGUUUCAGUAGACUCCUCAAAUUUCCAACAUCAAUAGCAUGUGAAUUCUGAAGAUGGUUUGAUGAUAAAUCUAUUUCUAAGAUAUCUUUAAGAUUCCACAAAGUUGAGGGUAUUGUAGAACUCAAUUUGUUGGAAUUUAAGUAAAGAUAUCCCAAAGAAGUAAUAUUACCCAAACAAGAGGGUAUGGAUCCAUGCAGCUUAUUCAACCCUAAAUACAUCUCGUAUAGUCUCUCCAAAUCACAAAGGCUUUCUAAGAUGUGCCCUCCUAAUUUAUUAGAGGAAAGAUCUAGAGCUUGGAGAUUUCGCAGUCCUCCUAUUGAUGCUGGAAUGAAUCCACUUAAUUUAUUAUGGCGAAGUUGUAAAAGCAAUAGGUUGGUUAUGUUACCUAUUUCCAUAGGAAUAAUGCCUUGAAGCUCACAAUUAGAGGCAUAAAAGUAUUGAAGGGAUUUUGAAAGGUUCCCGAUAUAAGUAGGAAGAACGCCACUCAAUGGAUUUCCUGAAACUCCUAUGGUUUUCAAAUUCUUACAAUUCGUCAAAGAAGAAAGAAAGCUCCACUCAUGAUCAGUAGCAGACCCUGUGAUCAAAUUAUUGUUCAUGAUUUGGAACCAUUCAAGGUGUCUUAAGUUGCCAAGCGUUUUAGGGAUUGGGCCAGAGAAUAAGUUAUCUUCCAAGUCUAGUAUCUUAAGCAUGGAAGCAUUGGAGAUAGAGUUGGGAAUGUUUCCUCUAAGUUUAUUUCCCCACAAUGCAAGAAUCUCAAGCUUUGGAGCAUUGGUGAUGGGUGGUAAAUUACCUGUAAAAUAGCAUCUUUUAGUAUACAUAUUCAUUGAAUACCAAAUUCACAAAAUAUAUAAUACAUUAAUAAUAUGAAGUUUCGAGUACUAAUUAGUCCUUGUGAUUUGUAUAGAAAAACAUAUAAUACGCUAAUAAAUUUUUAAAAUAUUGUAAAACUUGAAAUAAAAUAAAAAUAAAAUGUUGGUAUGAGAAUGUGGCAUCUAAUCAAUUUUAAAAAUGAGACUGACACUGAAUAAUAAAUAGUUAUGAUUUGGGAAACAAAAAUAUUAAAGCCAUUGUUUAUCUUUAUUAAAUUAUAGUGUAAAAUUUAAAGAUUACUAUUUGCUCAAAAUUUUUGUAUUUUUCGUAUAUUUGAAAUUUAAUCUUUAUAUUUUUAUUUUCUGUGAUUUAGUCUCUCUACUUUUUGAAUUGAAAAUUUUAAGUUUAUUUAUUAAAACUGUUAAGAAGUUUUUGGGUUAGUAUGGCAUUUUGAAAAAUAAAAUAAACUUGAUAUCUAUGUUUUUAAUUAUUUCAAAUAAUGUUUUACUAUUCCAAGAUAAAUUAUUUGUGUCUAGACCAAUAUCUUAAGAACUAUUGUUGCAUGUUUAAUUAUUCAAAAGAAUUGUUGAUUGAGUCUUAGCUUGAUUGACAUGUGUAUUGUUACCAAUGUAAGAGAAUGUGGGUUCAAGUAUGCUAAAGUGCAUUAUCUUCUUAUUUAUAAAUUGGGGAGUUGGUAAGGUAUUAAAUUUUGAUAUAUUUUAAAAUAUUAAAAUUUUAUUAAAAUAUUUUUUAUAAAAAUUGAUUGCACCACAAUAUACAAUUUUAAUAUCAAAUUUUUAAUUUUUUUAAAAAAUAUUAGCGACUAUAUACUUUAUUUCAAGUUACACAAAUUUUACUAGUUUUUAACUUUUUUUUAAAUAUUUACCGUCUUUUAUAAUUUUUUACAAUAUUUAAAAAUUUCUGCCAAUUUUUAAUAAUUUUAUUAUUUAUUACAAAUUUAAAAAUUAACAAAUUUAAAAAUUAACAAAUUUUUAUUUUUUAAACAAUUAUAUAUUUAUAAUGUAGUUAUUUUUUAUAUAAUUUCACUUUAAAUUUUAAAGAUUUUUUGGGUUUUUUUUUAGAUGAUGAUGCCGUUAUGAUGUCAUCAUAUACCACAUGGCAAUUUAUGAUUAGUUGGAUAUCUCAAUCUAUUUUUUAAUUUCCAAUGGACUAAACCAAGAACACCUGAUAAUGUUAGAGACUACACUAGCAAUGUUUGAUAAUAUUAGGUACUAAAGUGGGCAAAAAAAUAUUAAGAACCAAAGUAAAAAAAAAAAAAAGAAGAAGAAGCAAUAUGCUGUAGAGAAUAAACUAUGCAUUAAGCCAUUAAAAAUAUAUCUAUAAUAUAUAUAAAUGCAUGGAUUUUGAGAAACUUUUGAAGUGAUAAUUAUAUAGUCUUUGUUGUUUACUAUAUUAUUGAAUUUGUUAUUUUAAAUAUUUUUUUAUUACUUUUAAGAUUUAUUGGAUAAGAAUUUUGGUUUUUACUAAAAUAUUUGGUUAAAUAAAUUAACUUCAUAAGAAAAUUUAGCAUCCUUAUAAAUAACAAUUUUGAUUCUAUUAAAAAAUUAUUUUAAAAAGCAUAUAAUAAAAAUUUAAAAUUUAUAUUGAAUUACUUUAUACUUAAAUUAUUAUUAGAAAUUUUAUACUUAAAUUUAUGAGAACCACAAAUUUAGAACUUAAAUUUGUGUUUUAAAAUAACUUAUGAUAAAUAAUGAAAUGUAUAAUUUGAAACUAUUUAAUAAUAACACAUGGCAUAUCUACCAUAUUGAAAUAAAAAUAGAUUAAAUUGUAAGUAAAACAUAAUUUAAGCAUAGGUAUACAUCAAAUUAAGAAUACUAAAUGAAUACAGUUAUUUAUGAUGAUGUUGUUGUCAAUUCCUAAGUUGGUGUCGAGUUAAUUUGUGACAUCAUAAAUUUAAGUGAUAAAUUUAAGGUUUUACGUAUUGAUGUGGAUUGAAAUAUCACCAUACUUUUUUUAAAAUAAAAAACUAAAAUACCCUCAAAUAAUAUAACUUAUAUUAAAUAUGAAAGGGUAAUUUUGUAAUUUCUCUGACUGAGUUGGUGCCAGGUUGACUCAUGACACCAACUAAAUCGAAAGCUUCAAUAAUAAUAUAGAUAUUCACAUUAAAAAAAAGUACUUUAGUUCCAAAUAAUUAUAUAACAAGUAAAUUUAUAAUUGACGAAUAAAUUUAUAGAUAAUAUAUUUAUAUGAUCUAAUAUAUUAUAUUUAUAUUAAUUAUAUAUCAUCUACAAACUUUGAAAAUCAAUUUAUUAAGUAUCAGGAAAAGAAAAAAAUGAAAUUGAAUUAACACUAAAUCAAUUUUUGAAUUAACAAAAAAUUAGUGAUAUAUUUUAAUUAUAUUUAUUAUUUAUUUUUUUAAUAAUAUUUUUUUAAUUAUAUGAAGUAAAAUUAUAUUGUAUGAAGUAAAAAAAAUAUAUUUUCCGCAUUGGUUUCUUUUAUUCUACAGACAAAGGAUUUCUAAUGAUUUUUUAAAAAAAAAUUACUUAUAUAGAAUAGAUUAGUUUAUGCAAUAAAAAAUAAUUUCUUUUUUUAAAGUUUAAUGGAAAUUAAAAAAUUAAAAAUAAAUCAAUUCAUAUAAAUCUUAUUGUUUAUUAUCAUAUUAAAAUGAUAAAAAGUAUAUGACCAAAAUAGAAGAAACAAAUUCAACACAAUGUUUUUGGAGUUUAUUAUCAUAUUUCUAAUUUGUUGUUAAAUAGAUCUAUUUCUUCCAGCGUAGUUGAAUUAAAAAUAUUUGAUGGAAUCUGACCUGCACACAUAGUCGAAAAUUGAAGUGAAAAUUAUAUCUUCUAAACUGUUCAACUAAAAAUACUUUAAGCAUAUUUUUUAAGGUUAUUGCAUUUACCCAUGCCAAAUGGAAUGCUACCAAAUAACUCAUUGCUAUGCAAGUAAAGCCCUUCAAGCUUGGGAAGAUGUUGACACAUAUCAUUAGGAAAUUACCUGAUAGGCUAUUUUUGGAGAGAUCAAUGGUCUUCAGAGAAGAAAUGUUGAAGAUCAAAGUUGGAAUCUGACCUGUAAGGCCUUUAAUUGCUUGAAUAUUAAGCAAUUCCAAACCAUGAAGAUUACCAAUUUCCUCAGGAAUUUGACCUGCACACAUAGUCGAAAAAUCAAGGUGUCAAACUACCUAUUUUGUUAGCAUAAGUCAAAGAGGUUUUCUUUUCUGUUCUAUGGUAAUUUGGAGAUGUUAGAUUUUCAUAUAUUUCAGCAUAUGUUUUUCAUCAAAUGAAAUAAAAACUUUUUCCUUUUGUUAUCUAUUACAAAUCAAACUCUUUUAUAAAAAAAAUACUUAAAAUUCAAGAAAUCAAGGAAAUUGAUUACCUUCUAGAUUAUUAAAUCCCAAAUAUAAUUCUCUGAGUUGUGUCAGAUUUCCAAUACUUCUUGGAAUGAUCCCCGUCAAUUGAUUCAAGGACAAGGACAAAUUAUUAAGGUUGCUGCACUUGCCCAUACUUGACGAAAUGUUACCAGAUAACUCAUUGCUCUGCAAGUAAAGCCCUUCAAGCUUGGGAAGAUGUUGACACAUAUCAUUAGGUAAACUACCUGGUAGGCUAUUGCUGGAGAGAUCAAUGGUCUUCGAAGAAGAAAUGUUGGAGACCGAAGUUGGAAUCUGACCUGUAACGCCUUUAAUUGCUUCAAUAUUAAGCAAUUCCAAACCAAGAAGAUUACCGAUUUCCUCAGGAAUUUGGCCUGCACACAUAGUCGAAAAAUCAAGGUGUCAAACUACCUAUUUUGUUAGCAUAAGUCAAAGAGGUUUUCUUUUCUGUUCUAUAGUAAGUUGGAGAUGUUAGAUUUUCAUAUAUUUCAGCAUAUGUUUUUCAUCAAAUGAAAUAAAAACUUUUUUCUUUUGUUAUCUAUUACAAAUCAAACUCUUUUAUAAAAAAAUACUUAAAAUUCAAGAAAUCAAGGAAAUUGAUUACCUUCUAGAUUAUUAAAUCCCAAAUAUAAUUCUCUGAGUUGUGUCAGAUUUCCAAUACUUCUUGGAAUGAUCCCCGUCAAUUGAUUCAAGGACAAGGACAAAUUUUUAAGGUUGCUGCACUUGCCCAUACUUGACGGAAUGUUACCAGAUAACUCAUUGCUAUGCAAGUAAAGCACUUCAAGCUUGGGAAGAUGUUGACACAUAUCAUUAGGCAAACUACCUAAUAGGCUAUUGUUGGAGAGAACAAUGGUCUUCAGAGAAGAAAUGUUGAAGAUCGAAUUUGGAAUCUGACCUGUAACGCCUUUAAUUGCUUGAAUAUUAAGCAAUUCCAAACCAUGAAGAUUACCGAUUUCCUCAGGAAUUUGACCUGCACACAUAGUCGAAAAAUCAAGGUGUCAAACUACCUAUUUUGUUAGCAGAAGUCAAAGAGGUUUUCUUUUCUGUUCUAUAGUAAUUUGGAGAUGUUAGAUUUUCAUAUAUUUCAGCAUAUGUUUUUCAUCAAAUGAAAUAAAAACUUUUUCCUUUUGUUAUCUAUUACAAAUCAAACUCUUUUAUAAAAAAAAUACUUAAAAUUCAAGAAAUCAAGGAAAUUGAUUACCUUCUAGAUUAUUAAAUCCCAAAUAUAAUUCUCUGAGUUGUGUCAGAUUUCCAAUACUUCUUGGAAUGAUCCCCGUCAAUUGAUUCAAGGACAAGGACAAAUUAUUAAGGUUGCUGCACUUGCCCAUACUUGACGGAAUGUUACCAGAUAACUCAUUGCUAUGCAAGUAAAGCACUUCAAGCUUGGGAAGAUGUUGACACAUAUCAUUAGGCAAACUACCUAAUAGGCUAUUGUUGGAGAGAACAAUGGUCUUCAGAGAAGAAAUGUUGAAGAUCGAAUUUGGAAUCUGACCUGUAACGCCUUUAAUUGCUUGAAUAUUAAGCAAUUCCAAACCAUGAAGAUUACCGAUUUCCUCAGGAAUUUGACCUGCACACAUAGUCGAAAAAUCAAGGUGUCAAACUACCUAUUUUGUUAGCAUAAGUCAAAGAGGUUUUCUUUUCUGUUCUAUAGUAAUUUGGAGAUGUUAGAUUUUCAUAUAUUUCAGCAUAUGUUUUUCAUCAAAUGAAAUAAAAACUUUUUCCUUUUGUUAUCUAUUACAAAUCAAACUCUUUUAUAAAAAAAUACAUAAAAUUCAAGAAAUCAAAGGAAAUUGAUUACCUUCUAGAUUAUUAAAUCCCAAAUAUAAUUCUCUGAGUUGUGUCAGAUUUCCAAUACUUCUUGGAAUGAUCCCCGUCAAUUGAUUCAAGGACAAGGACAAAUUUUUAAGGUUGCUGCAUUUGCCCAUACUUGACGGAAUGUUACCAGAUAACUCAUUGCUAUGCAAGUAAAGCACUUCAAGCUUGGGAAGAUGUUGACACAUAUCAUUAGGCAAACUACCUGAUAGGCUAUUGCUGGAGAGAAUAAUAAUCUUUAGAGAAGAUAUGUUGAAGAUGGAAGAUGGAACCUGACCAGAUAAUUGAUUGAGUCCCAAGUUCAAAAUCUCUAGAUUAGAUAUGCUAACAAGUGUUUCAGGGAUUGUGCCUGUAAAGUAAUUAUUUUUCAUUUGUAGCCUUCGAACUCUCUGUAAGUUCCCAAGCCAUGAUGGAAUUUCCCCAUUCAGACGGUUGUAGCUUAAUUGAAGGAUCCUCAAACGAUGCAAUUGGCCCAAUUCUUUAGGGAGAUGGCCAUAGAAAUGGUUGCUACUCAAGUCGAGAGAGAGUAGAAAUGAAAGAUUUCCAAGGUGUGGAGGGAUAGUACCCCUAAGAUUCAUGCUUGUAAGAUUCAAAGCUAUAACUCUUUUAUGGAGGAUGCCACAAGAGACACCAAUCCAAUUGCAAACAGAGGUUGAGGCCGUCCAAUUGUCUGCCAAGACAAUUUGAGGACCGCCAAUACGAUCCUUAAACUCAAGAAGUGCAAACUGAUCGGAGUUGAGAUUCCUGACUGUCAUAGCCAUGCAAAGUACGAAACAUGGUAUGAAUAAAGCUAAGAGAAGAUGAAAGCAAGUUUUGUAGUUCAUGAUUGCAAGACAGAAUAAGGCAAGAAAAUAAAAAAAGUAGGAAAAGGGCAGUUGAGUUGAUAAAAUAGUUUGGAUGAUGAAGAAAAGCCCAGAGAGCAUGCUUUAAUAUGUUUCAACCCUCGCACACUUGAUAAACUUGAUAAAAAUAUUUUGAUCUAAUAAAUGUAAAAAAAAAUUAAACAAAAUAAGGUUGAAAUAAUCUAUUUGUCCUUAUAUUUUGAUAAAGGUUGAGAUUAGUCCUUAUACUUAAAAGGUUAAAAAUAAAGUUUUCUUGUUUUUAUUUAAAAAUCUUAGUCCUAUCGUUAAUUUUUUUUGGGCAAAAUUUGUCAACUGGACAUAUUAAUUUGGUUUCCCUUAUAUGUCGUUGUAUAUGACUAACACAAAAUAAGCAAGUUGACAAAUUAUGACAAAAAAAUAUCAAAGAUGAUAAUAAUUUGAUUAAAAUUUUUAAAUUGAAUUAAUAACCUUUAACAUAUAAGGAAUGGAUAUCAAAUAUUUAUAGGAAUAAAGGGACAAACAACAUAUUUUAACCACAAAAUAAUAUGAGUGAUUAGAAUGAAUCUAAAAGAGACUAACAACAUAUUGAUAACUUUGAAAUCUCCUACGAUCAUCCUUUUUCUACGUAGAAAAAGAAAAUUAAUUAGCAUCUAAAGUGUCAAUUAAUGAAACCUUCAAAAGAAAAUGUGAAAGUGAUUUACCAAACAAUAAUAUUCUAACUUAUAAUAUAUUUAAUUACAUUUAGUACUUUAUCAAUCAAAACUUAAUUAACAUCCAUCAAUACUUCAUACAUAAGUAAAUUUACCAUUUAACUCAGAUUUAACUUUGCAAGUAAACUUGAAAUUUUAUUUAAUUUUGUCACUAAAUUUAAUUUGCUCAAUAUAGAUUUUGGUGACUUAAAACAAAAUUAAUAAAAAAUUAUUCUUUCAGACAUCUUUUUAAUGUUUAAUAAUAAGUUAAUUUAUAAAAUAUACUUUCAUUGGACACAAGCCUCCAAGGCAGUGAACCACUAAUCAAAUUAAUUUGGAGAUAUCUUUUUUUUCCAAAUAAAAUGGAUAUCAAGAGAUACCAAAAAUUAUUUCACUAAGAAAUUUUAAUUCACUCGAAAAGUUAGUGUUUUAUUUCAAGGGGUCAUAAUUAUAAAUUUUGAACUUUUUGACAAUUGCGUAAAUAAUAAAUACCAAUUUUGAGUGCUGUAGGGCUAGGACAAUCUCCCUUACACAUAACCGACUCUUGAACCUACUCUUUUCUCUAGAAUUCAACUCAGACCUCAAAUUUAUCUUUUGAAAAGAAUUUUAAAAUCUUUGUAUAAAAGGUGUAAAAAUAUAUAUUUUAUUAAUUACUAUAUAUUCUUUUAUUUUCAGAAUAAUAAAUUGUUUAAAAUAUGCUACUAGUCCCUAUAAUUUAAAAGUUAAAAGUAAUUGGGAUCUUGAGUGCAUCAAAUUCCUCCUUUUAUUAUUAAAUGUUUUAUUUUAGUUACUCUAAUUAAAUAUAUCCAAAUUGUAAUAAACAUUUAUUAUAUAAAAAAUAUUUUAAAUUUAUUUCAAUUGCAAUUUAAUUUUAGUAGAAAUAUUUCAUUUAUAAAAUCAUAAAAUUUUAAAAUAUUAACUUUAUUAAAUAAAAAAUAAUUUUUUUUAAACAGUAAAUGUUGACUUUAUUAACACAAAUGGGUCUUUAGGGUUAAACUUCAGUAACUGACGAGCUCUUCCACAAACUGUGGAUGAUUUGGGGAUAAGAACUUCAAUAAUUCUAGAGUUAAAGUGUAAAUUUACUACUAUAUUAUAAGUAAAUAUUGAAAUUUAUCACUAAAUUUUAAUUGAUACUUGUCAUUACACUUUGAAAAUAUAAGUAAAUUUACCAUUUAACUCAUAUGUGAUUGAGCUUUGCAAAUAAACUUAAAAUUUUAUUUAAUUUUGUCACUAAAUUUGAUUUAUUUAAUUAAAUUUACAACUCAAUAUAGAUUUUGGUGACUUGAAUUAAAGUUAAAAAAAAAACUAUUCUUUCAAAUAACUUUUAAUGUUUACUAAUAAGUAGAUUUAUAAAAUAUACUUUCAUUGGACACAAGCAUCCAAGGCUGUGAACAAACCACUGGUCAAAUUAAUUUGGAGAUAUCCUUUUUGCGUUUUUCUUUUUUUUUAAAUAUUUUUAAUAUUUUUGUGGGUAUCAACAGACACCAAAAAUUAUUUCACUAAGGAAUUAAUUUGUAUUUUAUUUUAAGGGUUCACAAUUGAACAUUAGAUUUUUUAUUUUUAAAUUUUGAAUUUUUUGACAGUUGCGUAAUUAACAAGUACUAAUUUAGGGUGUUGUAGGGUUAUUACAACCUUCCCUACACGUAACAGACUCUUGAACCUACUUUUUUUUCUCUAGAACUCAACACAAACCUUAAAUUUAUCUUUUUAAAACAAUUUUAAAAUAUCUUUAUAAAAGGUUAUUUUUUUACCCAUCACACUUAACAAAAUUUUAAAAAUUAUUAAUUUCUUUUUGAAAUUUAAAGUGAUCUAAAAAUAUAUUUUUAAGUGCUUUAGACCCUGCGGUGCUGAUUUCUUUAUUGUAUUAAAUGCUUGCAAUCACUCCUGAUAUCUUAUACUUGAGUUGUAACAAAACCAAUUAUCAUGUUCCAUAAUGUUCUAUUGAUGCUGAAACUGAAGUUUUUGUUAUAUUAAUAGAGCUUGUCCUUCAACACGUAUAACGGGUGUUUGUUAUUUUUUUCUUCAAAUUGUAUGAUCUCAUUCAUUAAAUGAAUUAAUGAAUUUCCCUUUAAAAAAUAUAAUUUUAAAAAUUAAAUACUUUAUAAGAUAUUUAAAACUAUUUAAAAAUUGUAAGCGUUAAAACAAUCAACAAGAUAUAUUUUUCUUUAAAAAAUCAAUAAAAAUAUGUUUAAAAUUUUAUAUGAAAUUUACAAUUUUUUAACAAUAAUAUAUUUUAAAAUUAUUUACACCUUUUUUAUAUAUUUUUCCUAACAUAUAUUUUCAACACUAUCGUAAUCCUGUUUUGAUAACUCCCUUUCCAUACAUCCUUUUUCUACAUAGAAUUUCGAAAGAAAAUGUGAAUUAAUGCAGACGUGAGAAGACUUAGAGGUAAGUCACCCAAUGAAAGUGACCUACUUAUGGAAAAAUCAAACAAUAAUUUUGUAUCUUAUAAUAUAUUAAAUUACAUUUAUGAGGUUAUCAAUCAAAACUUAAUUAAAAUCCAUCAAUAAAGUUGUUGAUUGUAUAGCUAAGGCAGAUGGAGGCAUAAUUGAGCAGUUAGUUAUCUUGGAAAAUCCUCCGCAUUAUGUGAGAUGUUGGCUUGAAGAAAAUAUUAGACAGUCGUUGGUCACUGAUGAUAAUUUUUAUUUGGAUUGAAGCUGGCUUAAUUUUCUAAGUUUAUGUUCAACUAGAAAAAAAAUGUCUAAAUUGUAAUUGAAUUAACAUUUAGUGUAUAAAAAAUAUCUUAAAUUUUUUUUUUCAAUUGCAAUUCAAUUCCACAAAUACCGACGAUGAACCCUAAAACGGACAUGAAAAUUACAAAAAGAAAAAAAGCACAUCUAUUAUCAAACCAGCAAUACAUGCCUAAACUAAUAGAGAUGAACCCUAUGAUAGAUUGUGACCCCCCAAAGUCGACCGGGAUAGACCAGCCUGAAUUCAAAGCAUUACAUUAGCCACCUAAAUGACUCUCCAGCUAACGACCACCCAAGGCACACCCCAACCUUAUAACACCUCAAUUUUAUCUAAUUAUUAGUUAUUUAUUAAUGCCAAAGUAAAUUAUGAGCCAAUUUUAAACUUUUCCUAAGUAAUUUAAUCUAUGGGCAUUUACGUUAUUUUACCACCUAUGGUAAAACUAACUUGAUUUUAGAUCUAAGUGUUUACUCACCUUCUUUUAGUCAAAUUAUGCAAGUCUAAAAUUUCCAGGUGAAUUUGAGUUUGUUUACUAUGUCUAAUUCAAGUUUUAUUAUUUAGGAUUAAAUUGUAACUUAAACAAAUUCGAAUACCAAUUUAAAGAGGCAAAAAUUCAAAACCCAAAACAGACACAAGCAUGUGCGUAAAUGACACGGGCGUGUGAAAACUGGAACUAUCACAUACGGACGUGUGGGAUUGAAAAAUAUAAAAUAAAUUAAUCCACUCAAUUUUCCAAUAGCCAUGCUAUACUACCAAACCAAAAAAUGCUUGAAGCUUUGAAUAGGGGUGAAUCUAAAAAAAAAAUUAGAAGAAUUAGAAUUAAAUUAUAAUCUAAAAAAAAUUAGAAGAAUUAGAAUUAAAUUAUAAAACUUUGAGAAGUUAAAAUAUAAUUUUAUCAUGUAUUAAUUUAUUAUUUUUAAAAUGGUCUUAAUUGAAUUUUUUUUUCCAUUUUUGUUGGGCCAAUACCCCUGCUUGCCUCUUUGAAUUUGCUCCAACCCUAAACCCAAUAAUCAAUUUGGAUUAACAACAAUAUAUAGGUUAGUAUUUGUGGGAGUUUGACAAUAAAAUUUUUUUUAAAAGGUUUAAAUUAUAAAUUUUUGAAAGAUUAAAAUAAAUUUGUAUUUUUUAUUAACAAAAUAUAAAAGAAAAAAACAUGUUUAGACAAGCCAAGAGACCUUUGGGAUCAUACGGGUGAUUUUGAUGAUGUUAAUAGUUAUUUUGGUGGAGAGGCUGAGAAAGAAACAAAUGAUUCAUUAUAUAUAAUAUAAUUAUGAAAUUCAAGCCAUAUAUUGUAUGUUUCAUACAUAAAAAAAAUUGGAGCAAUUUAAUCCCUAUCAAUUUUGAAAGUGAGCAACUAAGAACAAUGAAUUAUGGUGUUUCCUUCUUAAUUUCACAAUUGCGCAAAUUAGUCCCUCUCAAAAAAAAUUGGAGCAAUUUAAUCCCUAUCGAUUUUGAAAGUGAGCAACUAAGAACAAUUAAUUAUGGUGUUAAAUUCUUCCAUCAAUUGUACAUAAUUUUGAUUGGUAUAGUAAUAAAUUUAGCCUUCAAUGUUUAAAUAUUUUGUCAUUUUGGCCUUAAUUUUUUUUUAAAAAAAAUUCAAGCAUUUCAACCUCAACAUUUAGAUAUUUACACAAACGUUGCGGGAAAUUUUUGUUAAAUUUAGACCAAAUUGCAAGUAUAAAUUUUGAAGGCUAAAUUUAUUAUUAUACCAACCAAAAUCAUGUACAUUUUAUGGAAAAUUAACAUCCUGAUUAAUUAUUCUUAGUUACUCACUUUCAAAAUUAAUAGGGACUAAAUUGCUCUGAUUUUUUAAGGGUGACCAAUUUCCUCAAUUUGGAAAUUGAGAGAGACUAUUCAGAUAUUUUACAUAUUUUUUUAUAAAUAUAUUUUUUUAAUAUAAAAUAUAUUUGUUCACACAUAUUGUGAGUAUGAUAAAAUAUUUUUAUUAUUGAUUGAGUUGGUGUCAAAAAUUAACUCGACACCAACUCAAGAUUAAUAAUAACAAUAUGAUAAAUAAUUUAUUUAUUUAAUAUUCUUAAUUUAACAUAUUGAUGUAAAUUUUAAGACAUGCAUGUCUUGUAGAAUUGAGAUUAUACUAUUUGAGUAUUGAGUCAGUUUUCCACAAUGGUGGGUCUCGAGCAACAGCACAAUUUCAACAUUUCUUCAUCUCGCUUAAUCCAAAUGCAUUUAGGAUUUUUUUUUUAUAUCAUUGUUUCAAAAACGAUAAAAAAAAACGUGGACAUUGAAUUUUCUGUUUCACAUUCAAUUUUUGGAGAAGUAGAAUUUUCUAACUUAUUUUCCAUCAACUUCACUUCAAUUUUCAAUCACAAUCUAUUGUAUUCAAGAGUACCACAUCUUUUUGGAUGAAACAAACCUCUCAAUCUUAAGAUAAACGGAAUCUAUUGCAUUCAAGAGCACCACAUCUUUUUGGAUGAAACAAAGCACUCAAUAUUAAGAUAAACGGGUCUUUAGGGUUAUUAACUGAGGGCAUUUUCCACAAAUGGCAUCGUUAUUUGAAGGUGAUUCGGGGAUAAUAACAUCAACAUUUCUGUAUCACAUUUAAUUCAAUUCCACAUUUAACUUUUAAUUUUUGGAGAGAUGAUUGGGCUACAACAAUGGUUUGAAGUGAAGAUAUUUCAAAAGAAGGCAAAUAUAUCAAUUUUUUUAAGGGGUCUUUGGAGUUAUAUGUGACUUUAGCAUUAUUGACCGAUUUUUUUAUGGUUAAUCUUUUAUAAUAAGGUAAAUAUAUCAAUUUUAAUAACAUCGGCAUGUUUUUUAGUAGGGUCGAGCAAAACCCAAUUAAAACCUUUCAUCACUGCAAAAAUGAAAAUAAUAGAAAUGAAAGACUAGCCAUUGUAUGAGAUUUAUAAUUGUAACUGUCAACGAAAUUGGGAGAAAUUUUUAAAUUUUAUGAAAUUUUAAAAUUUAACUGUCAAUAAUAGAAAAUUGCCUGAGUAACUUGAGAUAAGAGGUUGAACAUUUCUGGAUCACAUUACAUUUAAGAUGGGUCUUUAAGGUUAUACUUUAGUUAUUGAGAACAUUUUCCACAAGUUACCGUCGUUAUUUGUGGGGUAAGUGGUUGAACACUUCUGGAACACAUUGCAUUUAGGACGGGUAUCAUUCAUAGACUGACUUUUCUAUAAUUAGUCCUUGCUUUACUUUAGGUGGAUUCUUCCAACUAGUCCAAGAAUUAUUGUACAGUUACAAUUAAUCUUUUUAAAUGAGACAAACAUUUCAAAUUUGUCGUUACUAUUUGUGAGUGAUUUGGGGGUAAGAAGUUUAACACUUCUGGAUGUCUUAUAGAAUUGUGAUUAUACUUUUUGAGUAUUGACUCAGUUUUCCACAAUUGUGGGUCUCUAUUUGAGCAAAACAAUUUCAACAUUUCUUCAUCUCGUUUAAUCCAAAUGCAUUUAUGCAUUUCUUAUAUCAUUGAAUUUGCUGUUUCCCAUUCAAAUUUUGGACAAGUAGAAUUUUCUAACCUAUUUUCCAUCAAGAAUUUUCUAACCUAUUUUCCAUCAACUUCACUUGAAUUUUCAAUCACAAUCAAUUGCAUUCAAGAGCACCACAUCUUUUUCGAUGAAACAAAACUUUCAAUUUUAAGAUAAACGGGUCUUUAGGGUUAUUAUUCAUUUAUUGAGGGCCUUUUCAACAAUUGCCAUCAUUAUUUGUUGGUGAUUUGGGGAUAAUAACUUGAACAUUUCUGGAUCACAUUGAAUUCAAUAUUCUUAUACAAUAGUAUUUUAUAUAUAUACGUACAUAAUUUAUAUUAAACUAUUUUUAUUUUAUAUAUUAUUGAUUUCGUAUUAUUAUAACUAUUGACCUUAUGUUUAUAUGUUUUUUUAAAACCUAUUUUUUACAUAUACAAUUUACUUCUUUUAAAAAAACCCUACUUCAUAUACUUGGUUUAUUUCAAAUUUCUACAUAUAUUAUUAUGCAUAUAUAUAUAUAUUAUCAUUUGUAUUGUUAUUAAGCUUUUCAUUUCAUAUAUAUUAAUUAUUUAGGUUAAUACAUACAUUAUUUUGUACAUUACCUAUUUUGAUUUUAUUCUUAUGCAAAAUUUACUUUAAAAUUUGUUUACAUAUUAUUGUUUCACAUAGUAUUUAUUUUUAACUCUAUUUUUGGUCUAUUUCGAAUUUUCAUGUACAUUAUUUAUUUUUAUACUUUUUGGAUUUACAAUUUCCUUUCUUUCAUGCCAUUUUUUAAUUAUUUCAAAACUUAUACAUUGGAUUUGCAUUUGUGUUAAUUUGUUUGCUUUUUAGGUUUUACUAGCUUUUAAAUAUGGAUGUUAGUAGUUGCAUAAUGUGUAAUAUAAGAUUGUUGCCCUUAUGUAUGUUGUAUUGUUUAUUUGUAUUUUAUUGAUCCUUUGUUGCUCAUUAGCUUACAUUUAGCUUACAAAUUGUAAGUGUAACUUUUGAGGGCUAAAUUUAUUAUUAUACCAACCAAAAUCAUGUACAUUUUAUGAAAAAUUAACAUCUUGAUUAAUUAUUCUUAGUUGCUCACUUUCAAAAUUUCUCUGAUUUUUUUUGGGUGACCAAUUUCCUGAAAUUGGAAAGUGAGAGAGACUAUUGAGAUCUUUUACGUAUAUUUUUUUAUAAAUAUAUUUUUUAAAUAUAAAACAUAUUUGUUCACACACAUCAUGAGUGUCGAAACCAUUUUUUUAAUAAAUGGGGGUCGACUUUUAUUUUGAAAAUGAAAAUAAACAAAUGGGACUCGCCACUGAUCUUUUGUUUAGUGUGAUCAGAUCACCUUGAAAGCGAUUUUGGUCUACGAAAUUUGAGAAAACAGGUUGGGGAGUCGAUUACGCACGAGGAAGGGUUAGCACCCUCGUAACACCCAAAAUUGGUACCUAAUUGAUUAAUUAAUGUCUUAAUGUCGAAAUUUUAAAAAAAAAAUUUAAAAUACAAUCCUUCUAUUCAAAUGAACACUUGUAUGAAUCAGAUUGCGUACUAAGACCCUCUUGUUUUGGAGAAAUAGAAUGCCACACACAGUGAGUUAGGAUAUGACAUUUUCACAUCUUCCAAAAAUGAGCUGGCCUUUUGAUUUUUUUUUUUAAAAAAAAAACUCUUGCAGUGAAGUUUAAAAAAAGGAUACUCUAUUGUUUUGGUUAGAUGAAAAUAAAUGAAUAAAUGAAUAGCAUACAAGAAAGGAAAUUUAAAAUUAUCAAUACAUAAACAAUAAAUUAUAUGCAUUAACUUUUAAAAUAAACAAUAUAUAUACGAGUUUGAAAUAGAUCAAAAAUGAAGAUAAAAAAUAGAUACUAUAUGAAAUGAUAAUAUCAAAAUGAAUUUUAAAGUAAAUAUUGAAUAAAAAAAAUCAAAAUAUGUAAUAUACAAAAUAAUAUAUAUUAAUCUAAAUAAAUAAUAAAUAUGGAAUGAAAAAUUCGAAAUAGAUAAUACUAUAUAUAUAUAUAUAUAAAUAUAUGUGAAAAGUCGAAAUAGGUAGAAUAUAAUAAAAUAGGUUUUUUAAAGAAAUAAAUUAUAUAUAUAUGGAAAUAGGUAACAAAGAUAUAUAUAACAGCAUGAAAUCAAUAAUAUAUUAUAUAUGCAUAUAUGUAUAAUAAAAAUAGUUUAAUAACACUUGUAUAUAUAUGUAUAAAAUAGUAAUAUGAAAGAGCAUUAUCGUAUAAAUCUUUAAAACAAAGAAGUAUAUAUAAGUGCAUUUUAAAAAUGUAUUUAAAAUAAAACCAUUAAAAACGUAUAAAUUAUAUUGAAAUUGCAUAAAAAGUAUAUAAAAUAAUAGAUGGAAAUUAAAAUAAUAAUAUAUGAUAAAUUUUAAAAAAAAAGUAAUUAUACAUGAAAAACUUAGAAUAAUAAUACAUAAAAAACUUAAAAUAAUAAUACAUGAUGAAUUUAAAUAACAAAUACAUGAUAAAUUUAAAUAAUGUUAAUGAUAAAUUUAAAAUAAUAAUAUAUUACAAAUUGAAAUAAUAUUGAUGAUAAAUUUAAAAAUAAUGUUAAGCUUAAACAUAAAAAUAAUAUUAGAUUUAAAAUUAAAUAUAUAUUUUUUUAAAAAUAACAGGAUAAUAAAUAUUUAAAAAAAUUGAACACGUUAAAUUAAACAAAUACGGGUUAAAUUGUAUUUAAUACAAAAUUAAAAGAAAAAAUGAAAAUAAAAUAAAAUAGAGGGCCAAAAUGCAGCACACGAAUAACAUGGGGGACUAAAUGGGGAAUAUUCCCUGCCCACCAAAACGCUGUGUUGCAAUAUGGAUCAAAAUGAACAGUAUUCAAAUUAAACGAGGUAAAUUUAAAAAUAAAAAAUGAAAUUAAAAUAGUGAAAGAAAAUAAAAGGGUCAAUGGUGCAAAUAUCCCCUUUUAGACCCAAAACACGUGGAUCUGACCUUGCUCGAGUCGGGUCAUUAGAUCUCUUAAACCUAAACCAUUGAAGCAAGGCCCAAACGGUACCAUUUCAUGGUCUUCUUAAAACAAAAACCUAAACCACUAUUUGGUUGUUCUUAAAUCAGAUUAGCCAAAACCCUAGCCGCUCGAAUGCUUUGCCGAUAUUCAACCUUACAGUCCUCGCUUGAGCUCCGAUUACGACAAAGUGAAUGGGGAUACAAUGGCGCUAUCUUAUAGGUAAAUCCCUCUCCUCUCAUUCAUUUCUCUUUCACAAACAAGUAUAACAAACAAAGAUUGAGGAAACAGAAAAGAAAAAAGAAAUCUAAAGAUAAAGAAAUGGGAUUUUUUUUCAUAACGGCUAAAUCAUUCAACUCAUAGUUUUUGUUAAAUGAAGAGGUCAAUUGAUUUUUUUGGAAUCAUUGAGUACUCAAUUGGUGCACUUUUUUCAUAAAGGCUAAAUUAAUUUUUUAAUUUGUUACUGUUGAGGGCUAUAGCAAUAAAAAAAAUUGAGGUAAAAUGGAAAAAAUGUUAGAGCUAAAUUUAUCACUAUGCCUAAAACCAAAAUUUUUUGAAAAUAAAAAAAAAUGGAAAAUCACAAAUUUUGUCACUUAUGUUAGCUUAAAAUUAUAGUUUUGGUCACCAAUCUUUUGAAGUAAAUAUCUGGUCAACAAUAUUAUCCAUUUGUUACUUUGUAAUAACUCACCUUAAAGUUAUAUCCCUGCGCAAGAAAGGAUUAAAUGACAAACUUGUAUCUUUUUUUAUUCAUCCAAUGUCAUUUCAACAUUUUCAUUUAAAAAAAUUGACAUAUCAUUUUGAAUUCCAUCUUUUUCAUGAUGAAACUAUUGAAAUGAUGUUAAAUUACUGGAAAGAGAUACAAGUUUAAUCUUAUCUAUCUAAGAAAGCUGAUGUAACACAUUAAUGACAUCAUUCCAAACAAAGUUUUAGGUCCAAUUGUUCAUCUAGCCCUUGUAAUUGUUUUUAGGUGAAUUUCAUUAUUAAUCUUUUAUUUUCUUUGGCUUAAAUACACAUUUACCCUUAAUUUUAUCACAUUCUCCUUCACUGGUAUUUAUGGUUUAGAAAAUUUUACAAAUAUAUUAUUUUUUAAGAAAUUAUAAGAAGAUUACAAAAAUUCCAAAAUAAUAUAAAAAAGCUAAGGAAAACCUAGAAAUUCAAAAAAAAAAUCAUGUUUUUACAAAUUGGGAAAUACCUAAAUUUGUUUUCAUCAAUUAAGAAAUUAAAAAAAUUGUUGAGAAAUAUCUUUUUAGAAAUAUCAUAAUUGCAUUUAAGACCUCAUGAUUAUCUUUUAUAAUUUCAAGGUUAUCAACUAUUUUGAAAACAAAGACAAAAACAAAAACAAAAACGUCGACAUAUCACUUUAGCAUUGACUUACUUUUCUACAGUUAGUCUUCUCCAACAAGAUAAAUAUUUCAAUUUUAACAACAUUGACAGGUCUUUGGGGUAGGGUCGAGCAAAAGUCAAUAGAAACAGAUGAUAUAAGUUUAAAUCGGCCCGGUCAAGCCGAUGUCCUGGUAAAAUCAAUUUUAAAAUUAAUUAUAAUAGUUUAAGCGAAUUGAUUAUUAAGUAAUGAAAUACUUAAUUCAAACAAUUGAUGUAAUCAAAUUAUAAUAAAUAUAUAUUUACUUUUAUGGGAUCCUUCAUCUCCUUUUUAGAGUUUGUGGCAAUAUUUAUUUUAAGCUUCAAAUUUAUAUUUUUUAUUUAUGAGUACAAUGUGUUUUACAAUUACAUCUACAGUGUAUAUUUUUUAUUUUAAAACAUAUAUUAUAAUAUAUGAAAAACAUAUAUGUCGAAACCAUUUUUAAUAAUUUUGAAAAACGGGGAUCGACUUCGAAAAUAAAAUGGGAGUCACCAUCGAUCUUUUAUUGAGAUAUGAUCGGUUCACCAUUAGACGUAAUUUUGGUCUGCAAAUUUUGAGAAAACAAGUUCAGGAAUCUGUUAAGCACGAGGAAGGGUUAGCACCCUCGUAACGCCCAAAAUUGGUACCAAAUUGAUUGUUUAAUGUCUUAAGGUCGAAAUUUUGAAAAGAUUUUAAAAUACGAUCCUUUGAAGUUUAAAUUUGAAUAAACCAAAUUGAAUAAUAAGACACACUCAUUUCGAAUAAAUAAAUUGUCACACUCAGUGAGUUAGGAUGCAACAAUUCAAUCAUCAAAAUUAAGUAUGUCUUUUUUAAUUUUAAAAUUUUAAAAUUCAUGCAUUUUGAGAAUGUUGUUCGGUUAUUUAAGUCAAACGAGAAAUCAGAAUUCAGUAAGUUAGGUUUCGAUUUCUUGAAGUUCUUAAACAUCAAAUAUUGUCUUUAUUUUAAAAUCAGGAUAUCAGAAUGUCACAUCCGGUAAGUUAGGAUCCGACAUUUUGAAAUCCUAAAUGCUUAGUUUUAAAAUGGUAUGGUUUUAAUAAAAUAAGCAUAUAGCUAUUUAAAUUCAUCGAGAAAAAUUGGAACCCAAUAAGUUAGGGCACAAUUCUCUCGAAAAUUAUAAAUGCUAGACCUUUUUUAAUAUGAAAUAGAAUAAAAAAUUUAAAAGAAGUAUGAAAUGUAAAAGAUGAUUGAUAAUUCAAACUUAAACUAAGAAGUAGCAAAUAAGUGAUAAAUAAAUACAAAUAAGGAAUAGCAAUAAUAGUUUUAAUAAUAUUAUAUUAACGCUAACAUUGACAAUCAAACAUCAAAUUCUAAAGUAUAUCCAAGAUGAUAAAAGGGGAAUUUCACCUCACGAAACUUAUGCACACAAGUUCUAAAAGAUUUAUUCACAAAAUCAAAAUAGAUUCGAAAUAAAAUAAUAAUAACAUUGUAUAAUAGCAUUUCGAAAUGAGCUUGAAACAAAUAAAAUAUAUUUAUUAAUCCACCUUAAAUAAUACACAUAAAAUAACUAUGAAAGGGUCUCAAUGCAUGUAUGAUUUAAAAGAAAUAAGUAAUUACCCAAAUAGGUUUUCAAAGAAAUAAAUUAUAUAAAUGAAAUCGACUUAAAAUUCAUAUAUGCAUAUAAAAAUACUUUGAAAAUUUAUAAUCAUGAUGAUAUUAAACAUCAAAACAAUAAUAUAUAUAUUUUUUGAAAUAAUUUAAUAUCACAUAUAGUAGCAUUUAAAAACAUUAUAUUAAAAGAAAAUUAAGUUAUAACACAAAAUGAAUUACUAAAAUAUGUUCAAAGUAUGUCAAAUUGCUAUAAAACAUUUUUACAUAUAUAGAUGAUGAAACAUAUAAUGAUAUAGAGUUUUAAAAUAAAAAGGAUAAAUUUUAAAAAAAUGUUAAUAAACUCAAAACAUGUUAAUAAUAAUUUUAAAUAACAAUAUGUUGUACCUUAAAAUUAUAAUAAAAAUGUUUGAAAACAGUGUUAAUCCUAAUAUUUAAAACUUAUUAAAAAUAAACAUAUUAAAAAUACUAAGCUAACUUUACAUUAUGUUAUAUAUAUAAAAAAAAACUAAAUUUGAAUGAAAUUUGUAGAAGCCCAAAUUUGCCGGGCCCAUACCAACAAAAUAACCCAAACAAUAAACCCGAAGCCCAACUACCCCAGCCCAUUAACCUAAGCUCAGCAUUCAGAAACCCUAAUCCCACUAACCCUAGCCACCUACCCCCACUUGCCCACUUGCCCACUUGCGCCGAACACCACCAUGCCACUAUCGGCCAUGGCCACCUGCAAGAAGCCAAGUAGAAAUAAACAAAUAGAAAAUAAACAUUUGUAAUUGGUUAUAAAAACCGAAAAUCUCACCAUUGAUAAAGGGGAUUUUUUAUUUUUUGCUAUGAAAACAAAAGAUUUUCUUUCAAUAUUAACAGAUUCAAUACAAGAACCAUUCGAAAAUAUAUAUACUAUCAGGGGCUCUAACACCAAAUCGGAGAAUCAAAUCUAAAACCUAAGGUGAACCUAAGGUGACUCUUUCUUUUUUUUUUCUUUACUGUUUUGAGUUUAUUUUCUACAUAAAAAUACUAAAAAAUAUUAAAACAUAAAAAUAUAUGCAUUAUUAAGCAAAAAAAAAAAGAAAAAAAGAAAAAAAAUAUUUUUUUUACCUUUUCCGGCCACCGCCGGCGAGCCUCCGGUGGCCGUCCGGUGACCGGCCCCCUGGCCGGAUUCCCCUUUCCCCCUCCCUUCUCUCUCCCUUCUCUCUUCCCUCUCUCUCUUCUUUUUUUUCUUUCCCUCUCCCCAAAGGAUUUUUUUGGCUAUUUUAGGCCUUUAUAUAGCCCUCCAAAACGAUGUCGUUUUGGGGGCUACACUUAAGCCUCAAAACGACGUCGUUUUGACCAUUGCCCGACCCAUCCGACCCGACCCGCUAGAGGAUCCGCGUGUUUUCGUUUGAAUGGGAUAUUUAUGCGCGCAGUCCUUCCGCUUUUUCAAGGUUUUGCAGUUAAGUCAUUUUUCUUGUUUCCAAUUUGGCCCCAUAAUUUCUCGCGCUUUUCGAUUUAGUCCCCGCUAAUGUGCUGUGUUUUAAUGGAAUGGAAUAAUUGUUGUUUCGGUCCUCCUAUGUUUUGUGCGCGCUCAAAUAAGCCCAUUUCUCUUUAUUUCCUUUCACAUUUGCCCCACAACUUUGUUUUUAAUUCAAUUUUAGUCCUUUUUCGUUUAUUUUUAUAUCUUUAUUAAAUAUCAUUGUUAUUUUAUAUUAUUAGUAUUAUUAGUAUUACUAUUAUUAUUAUUAUGUAUUAGUAUAUAUUUUUAUUAUGUACGCGUAUACAUGUAUAUAUAUUUUCAUAUUUAAUAUUUUUAUUUCAUUUUUUUCUAAUAUUUUAUUAUAAUUUAUAUAUAUAUACAUAUACAUAUUCUUUAUUUAUUUUAAGUAUAUAUUUUUUAUAUUUCAUAUUUUCUACAGGCAUAUAUAUACUUAUAUAUUUACAUAUUUUAAUUCAUAUACUUAUAAAUGUAUGUACAUACUUACGUUAUUUUAUUUUUAUAAUAUACAUAUUUAUAUUUUUUUGUCUUUAUGUAAUAUAUAUACAUACAUGCGCAUGUUAUUUAUAUAUAUGUAAUUAUGUUUUCAUAUUUUAUAAUUCUUGUACAUACAUAUAUAUAUAUAUAUGUAUAGACAUACAUAUUUUCAUUAUAUAUAUAUACCUACAUAGUUUUUUUUUUGUAUUUUAAAUCUUUUAAAAUUCAUACAUGCAUUUUUAAAACUUUUAUAAUUUUAUUCAUUUCUUUAUUAUUAUUAUUGUUUUACUUUAUGUUUAUCUAUUUAUUUAUGUGUCCAUUAUUAUUUUUUUUAAAAAAUGUUUUAGUUUUUUUUAUUUUGUUUAUUUACUUGUUAUUGUAUAUAAUUGAUUUUUUAUAUAUUUAUUUUUGUUAUCUUCGCUCGUAUUAUUUUUACUCGCAUUAUCGUAAUUGUUAUUCCGUCACAUCAAUUUUUACCCAAAUUCGUAAAAAAGGGAAAAUUUUGGAAAUAAAGGCAAUACUCGAUACUUGGGAUCUUCGAGAGAAUUGGGCCCUAACGUGCUGGGUUCUAAUUUUCUGUUGAAUCUAAAUGCUCGAGAAUGCUCUUUAAUAUAAAACAUAAAUAAAAACUCAUUAUCGGGAUUUCAAUAUGUUGUGUCCUAACGCAUUGGAUAUGACACGUGGUUUUCUCGAUAUGAGGAUUUUUUUUUUCGAAAGUAAAGACAAUAUUCCGUAUUUAGAAAAUUCGAGAAAAUCAUGCCCUAACUUACUGAGCUUCGAUUUUUCUCGUUGAUUCUAAGUAAUCGGAUAUCCUUUUAAAAUUAAAAUAAAUGAGGUUUAAAUAAAAAAAUGAAAGGCAAGUUUACUCUCGAAAAUACGAGGUGUCGUGUCCUAACUUACUGGAUGUAACAUCUUGUUACUUCGAGAUAAAGAGGCAUUUUCCAUUUUGAUUUAUUCGAGUAUUUUUAAAAUAACACGAUAUAAGGAGGGAUCAUAUUUUUAAGAUUCUUUUCGAGUUUUUAAUUUUCGACACUAAGACACUAAUUAAUCAACUAGGUACCAAUUUUGGGUGUAUCGAGGGUGCUAAUCCUUCCUCGUGCAUAACCGACUCCCGAACUCAUUUUUCUGAAUUUCGUAGACCAAAAUCGUUGUUUUAAUAAAAUUAAAUCAUUUAUUAAAAACAACCACUUUUUGAGGUGACCCGAUCACACCUCAUCAAAAAAGGAUUGGUGGCGACUCCCAAUUUCGUUUCAUUUUCAAAAUCCAAGUCGACCCCGUUUUCAUCCAAAAAAUGGUGUCAACAGCUUGGCGACUCCACUGGGGACAAUAAGAGAGUCAAGCCACGUGUUGAUUAUUUCUUGUCUUUCUGUUGAAAGUGGAAAAUUCGAUUUAAAUUUACGAUCCUCUCAUUACAUCUCUUUUGUUUUGAGUUAUAUUUUUAUUGUGUUCUGUAUUUUAUUUUAUACCUCUGCACAUUGCAUUGCAUGACCGCUGGUCAUACCCUUUUUAAGUGGGAGUGAGAAGCUACGCCUUCGUGAGGUUUUCACCUCCGCAUGGGAUAGUGAAUCGCUUUCGGGAUAUAUCCGUACCUAUGUCUUCGUGAGAUUUUCAUCUCCGCAUGGCCAUAGGGAAAUGUAUCCCCCUGAAUCGAACUCGGUCCAUAUGAGCCUAUAAUGGGUGAGGAUCGAGGAAUCUGCUGGUUCAGGUACCCUUACUUUAGAACCAAACCUCAUGUAGUGAACCUUAGGAGCCCACCCUAGGUAGAACCACCUCCAAACCCCUAGUGGUCACCCGAAUUGCUUUAUUUGUUAUUUAUUCUGCACUAACGUGUUUUGUUUUUUUUUUGUUUAUAAUUGCAUUGUAUUACAUCAUCCUAGGAAGGAGGUGUUGAUUUAUAUUUGAUUGCUAAAUAGAACAGUUUGUCAUAAGAAAACAAAUUUUUUGAUAAAGUGGAUUAUAACACGGUUGUCUAAAUAUGGUCCAAGUGAAUACAUGAAAGAAGGCUGAUAGUCCGUGAAGAAAUACAAGACUUUGCUUCAUUGCCUGAAGACAGAAACUAACAAAGAUUAUUCGAGAGCUGUCAUGUCUUGACUUUCUUAAAGGAGCUGAAAAGUAUCAUAGAAAUAAGUGAGCAACGAGUCGCUGCCUGGAUCCAGCAAAAAAGCAGUUAAUAUAGACAUCUCUUGGAGAAUUCGUCAGACUCGACCAUAAGAUCCAGAUAUGAAGAGGAAGAAAGGUGUCUUCACUUGGAAUAUGAGAGAAAGACCGUGUAUGUAGUCCGUUUUAUGUAAAGGAAUUUGUUUUCUAGAAAAGUUGUUCCAAUGAAAUUAAAUUUAGAAUCAAUGUCUUCCUUUCUUUUUGCAUUCAUGCAUUUGCAUUACAUUACAUCAAAGAAAAGAAUGUGUUGAUUCGAAAUUCGAUUCCUAAAUAGAAUAGUUUGUCAUAAGGAAACGAAUUUCUUGAUAAAGUGGAUUAUAGUGCGGUCACCUGAAUAUAGUCUGAGUAAACACGAUGAGAGAAAGCUGGUAGUUCACGGAGGAAUACAUGAUGUAAUUUCUAGAGAUUCAAGCCAACGAAGGCAUGACGAGAGAAAGCCGGAAGUCCACGAAGGAAUACAUGACUUGAUUUAAUUGCCAACGAAGAUUAUCCAAGAGCCGGCACUUUUUGAUGAAUAUCAUGGAGAUAAGCGAGCAAGAGAUCGAGGCUCAGGUUAAGCAGUAAGGAGCUAGCAAAGGCAUCUUUUGGAGAAUUUACAGGGUUUAACCAUGAAGAAAAUAUCAGCGUUUACUUGGACUAUGAAGGGCAAUACCACAUAUGUAAACUAUUUUCAUGUAAAAAAAUUUGUCUUCUAGAAAAAUUAUUCUAAUAGAAUUAAAUUUAGAAUCAACGCAUUCUUUUUCUUUGCAUUCUUUUCAUGCAUUGCAUCACAUCAUAUGCAUUAAUGACCAUUUAAAAAGAACUUAAUCGAAUAAAAUCAUUUCAGUUAACCUGGAAAACCAACAAAGUUACGGCACCCGAGCUAAGGCAAAAGUUAUGGACCAAAGGUUGGAGAAGCUAGAGCGACUUCAAAAAGAAAUGCAAGACCAGUUGCAGGCGCAAAUGAAAGAGCAAAUGGAAAAGAUUCAGCGUGACAUGGUGCAAAAGAUGGAGGAGUCCCAAAAUGAUCUGGUGGCUAAGAUGACGCAAUUAUUGAAGGGAGUAGAUAAGGGUAAAGGUCCUGUGAUUGUUAGUGAAGAAGAAAACAAUGGUGAACCACUUUAUCCUCCAGGUUUCACGCCUCCGCAUGAGCAAGUACAGACUGAGCUGCAUCUGCGGAGACCCUCUGUGUCGGUUAGGCCCCAGCAGUUCCAAGGCGAUGCUUCAAUCCCAAUGAAUUUUCAACCCGGAGCGGGCUUUAAUCCCAGUGAUAGCCCGAAUAAUAUUGUUGUCCCAGAUCUUGAUGAGAUGGUUGAAAAGGACAAGGCGAAGGAGGAAUUUCCAAAACAAUUUGAGGAGAAAUGGAAAUGGAUAGAAGAAAAGUUUAGGGCAAUAGAAAGCAUCGAAAGCUACGGAAUAGAUGCAAAGGAUCUGAGCUUGGUUCCGGACUUGGUGCUCCCUUACAAAUUUAAGAUGCCGAAAUUCGAGAAAUACAACGGGACUAGUUGCCCAGGAUCCCAUAUUACUAUGUUUUGUAGAAGAAUGACGGGGCAUAUUAAUAAUGAUCAAUUAUUAAUACAUUGCUUUCAGGAAAGUCUUACGGGAGCGGCGUCAAAGUGGUACAAUCAGCUGAGCCGAGCUAAAAUUGCUACUUGGAGGGAUUUAGCACAGGCUUUCCUGAGACAAUACAAUCAUGUCUCAGAAAUAAUGCCUGACAGGAUAACUCUGCAAAAUUUAGAGAAGAAAUCAAACGAAAGCUUCAGACAAUAUGCGCAGAGGUGGCGAGAGGUGGCAGUUCAGGUGCAACCACCGCUUUUGGAAAAAGAGAUGACAACGCUUUUUAUUAAUACUUUGAAAGCCCCGUUCAUCACUCACAUGUUGGGAAGCGCUUCAAAAAAUUUCUCGGAUAUAAUCAUGAAUGGUGAAAUGAUUGAGCAUGCCAUUAAAAGUGGAAAAAUAGAUGGAGGAGAAAAUAAUAGGAGGGCACCCCUGAAGAAAAGAGAAAAUGAAGUGAAUAAUGUGAAUGCUUAUGGUAGGUCAAUUACCGUGAAUCAACCAAAGAAAGUGGUUGCUAAUCAACAGGGAUCAUCAAGACAAGAGUCGGGAGCUAGGCAAACUACUGAAAAGCCCUAAUUCACGCCAAUCCCGAUGUCAUACAAGGAGUUGUAUCAGACUUUAUUCGAUGCACAUGUUGUUGCUCCUCGUUACUUGAGUCCUCUACAACCCCCGUAUCCAAAAUGGUAUGAUAUGAACGCGCAAUGUGAUUAUCAUGCGGGAAUUUCUGGGCACUCGAUAGAAAAUUGUACUGCCUUCAAGAAGGUAGUAGAAGGACUUAUCAAUUUAGGUGUCGUCAAACUUGACGACUCACCUAACGCAAAGAAUCCGUUACCUAAUCACGCAGAUAAAGGGGUGAAUAUGGUUAGCGAAGAUACGGGAGAAGAAGCCAAGACUGACAUUGCUGAAGUAAAAACUCCAUUGAAACGGGUCUGGAAAGAAAUGGCGAAAAGAGGUUUGGUUAUUUCAGAUUCUGAGGAAGGGCAUGAGAUGGGAAAUUAUUGUGAAUUUCACCAUAAAACAGGGCACGAAAUCCAAGAAUGUGAAGGAUUUAAGGCUUUGGUUCAAAGCAUGAUGGAUAACAAGGAGAUGAGGUUUUACGAAGAUGCGAAAGAAAUGAGGAGCAUAUGCGCGACAGAGUUGGGAACAAAGGCUCCAAAUCAUCCUGUGGUCAUUAUCUCACGCCCUAAGGGUAAGGAGGUUAGGGCUCAGGUAACACCGAAAAUUGUAAUCCAGAAACCAUCAAAUUUCUCUUAUAGGGAUAACAAAAUGGUACCGUGGAAUUACGGGUGUAAUGUGACCAUUUUGGGAAAAGAAGCAGAAAGAAAUCAGGAAAUAGGUUCUUACACGCGCAAUAGAAAAAGAUAUGACGCUCAAGCAGAGUCGUCCAGGGAAGAGAAUUGGAAGAAAGAACAGAGGAAAGGGAAAGCAGUAGAAGUUGAGCCAUUGGUAAAUGAACCAAAAAAAGAAGAGGAGGCAAAGGAGUUUUUGAAGUUUUUGAAACACAGUGAAUACAGUGUUGUGGAGCAACUACACAAACAGCCAGCCCGCAUUUCUGUAUUAGCUUUACUCUUAAACUCGGAAGUACAUCGGAAUGCACUAUUAAAGGUGCUAAACGAAACAUAUGUGGCUGACGAUAUUUCGGUAAACAAGCUGGAUCGGCUGAUCAACAAUAUUGGUGCUGACAAUUUUAUCUUCUUCAGUGAUGAUGAAAUACCAUCCGGAGGAAGAGGUUCUACUAAAGCCCUGCAUGUUACUGUCCGAUGCAAAGGGUACACACUCCCGGGGGCCUUGGUUGAUAAUGGAUCUGCACUAAAUGUAUUGCCUUUGUCCACUCUUAGUCGAUUACCAAUAGACAGUUCGCACAUGAAAGCAUGCCAGAACAUAGUAAGGGCAUUUGAUGGAACAAAAAAGGAGGUUAUGGGGAGAAUUGAGGUACCAUUAAGGAUUGGCCCAGUCACUUAUGAGGUGGAUUUCUUGGUAAUGGAUAUUAAACCCUCCUACAACUGUCUAUUGGGGAGACCGUGGAUACACUCAGCAGGGGCAGUACCUUCAUCAUUACAUCAGAAGGUGAAGUUGGUAUCGGAGGAUCGGUUGGUAACAAUAGAUGCAGAGGAGGAUAUUAUCGCAAUGAUGACUAGCGAUGCACCUUAUGUGGACAUCAACGAUGAGGCACUAGAAUGUUCUUUUCGGUCGUUAGAAUUUGUGAACGCGAUGUUUAUUGCGGAGGGAAAUAGAAUUCCAGUACCAAAAAUAUCCAGGACCACUGAGAUGGGAUUGCGAUUGAUGGUAGGAAGAGGAGCCUUACCCGGGAAAGGAUUGGGAAAAUAUCUUCAGGGAAGGAUUGAGGCACCAAUGCCGAAGGAAAAGUUUGAUAGAUUUGGUUUAGGGUACAAGCCAGACAUGAAGCAGAAGAAGAAAGAAGUAGAGAAGAGACAAGAGAGAAGAAGGGCGCGUUUGAAUGGACAUGAAGCUAAGUGUGAGCCUUUAACCUUUCCCCACAUAUCUACAUCUUUUGUGUCGGGAGGAUUUAUUCAUUCUGAAUGUGGAGUGUCCGGUAGCGGCAUGGGAGGAAUGUUGGAAAACGUUUAUACCAACGCCAUAGAAGCAACGGAAAGGAGGGCCUUGUUGGAGAUCUGCCCUUAUGAGCCUGGAAGCGAGCUAAACAAUUGGACUGCUGAAGAAAUCCCUGUAGUCUUUAGGGCUUAUUCAGAGUAAUGCUCAAAACAUUCCUGUUGUUUGUUGGCCUAGAAACGAUAUGAAAUCUUUUGUGAAAUAGGCAUUGGGCCUAAAUAUCAUUAUUUUAAUGAAAUACGUGUCUACGUUCAUCUCGAUCAGUCACUUUUUUUUCCUUUCAUAUUUUUCAUUUGGUUGAUUGUCUUACAAAUAAUUCUUUCAUUUGUAAUUCUUUUGCACAAACAUAUUCAUAAAUUUAUAUUCUUGGUAUAUUCUUUGAUGCGCCCUCAUAGGUCUUCAGAUAUCAAUGACAUGAGUGACGCUGCCUCAAACACGGAGCCUAUUUUUGAGCAAAAAGUGUGUUCAGAGGGAUCCCACGACUUUGACGAAGAUUAUGAUGCAUCUCCGGACUUGUUAAGAAUGAUGGAACAAGAGGAUAAGCAUAUCCUACCUCAUAGGGAAUCGUUAGAAAUAGUGAGCCUAGAGGAUGGAAAGGAGGUGAAAAUUGGAUCUGAAAUCACCGCAAAGACAAGGCAAGACCUCAUUAAUUUGCUCCGAGAGUUCAAGGAUGUUUUCGCGUGGUCGUACCAAGAUAUGCCUGGGCUAAGUACUAACAUUGUGGUGUAUCGUCUGCCCAUAAAGGAGGAUUGUAAACCCGUUCAACAGAAGCUUAGGAGAAUGAGACCUGACAUUGUGUUGAAAAUAAGAGAAGAAGUCAAAAGACAAUUCGACGCUGGAUUCUUACAAGAAGUCAAGUAUUCGGAUUGGGUAGCCAACAUCGUCCCAGUUCCCAAAAAAGAUGGAAAGGUACGAAUGUGUGUGGAUUAUAGGGAUUUAAACAAGGCUAGUCCAAAGGACAACUUUCCACUGCCUCAUAUUGAUACUUUGGUAGAUAACACGGCGGGCUAUUCAUUGUUUUCUUUCAUGGACGGUUUUUCUGGAUACAAUCAAAUAAAGAUGCAUCCUGGAGACAUGAGGAAAACCACAUUCAUUACCUUAUGGGGAACAUUCUGUUACAAGGUAAUGCCCUUCGGAUUGAAGAAUGCGGGAGCAACAUAUCAAAGAGCUAUGGUGACUUUGUUUCACGACAUGAUGCACAAAGAGAUCGAAGUCUAUGUUGACGAUAUGAUCGCGAAGUCUAGAACGGAAGAAGAGCAUGUUCAGGUCUUGAAAAAGUUAUUUUUGAGAUUAAAGAAAUUUCAGCUCAAGCUUAACCCGGCCAAAUGCACGUUUGGAGCCAGAUCAGGGAAGUUAUUAGGCUUCAUAGUUAGCAAAAAGGGGAUCGAGGUUGACCCAGACAAAGUAAAGGCAAUACGAGAUUUACCUCCCCCGCGCACUCAGAAGGAGGUUCGAGGUUUCCUAGGGAGGCUGAAUUACCUUGCUCGGUUCAUCUCAUAACUGACAGAGAAAUGUGAUCCAGUAUUCCGGCUCUUAAAGAAACAUAAUCCGGGUGAAUGGGAUGAAGAGUGUCAGAGGGCUUUCGAUAAGAUAAAGCAGUACUUGGCUAAUACCCCAGUCUUAUCACCUCCAAGUCCAGAUAGGCCAUUGAUAUUGUAUCUAACAGUGUUGGAGAAUUCCAUGGGAUGCGUAUUGGGCCAACAUGAUGAGAUAGGAAAGAAAGAAAGGGCAAUAUACUACCUCAGUAAGAAAUUUACCGAUUGCGAAAUGAGGUACUCAUCAAUUGAGAAGUUGUGUUGCGCUCUAAUCUGUGCAACCCGAAGACUGAGGCAGUAUAUGUUGUAUCACACGACUUGGCUGAUUUCAAAGUUAGAUCCUUUAAAGUAUAUGAUGGAAUCGACUGCUUUGAACGGGAGAAUGGCUAGAUGGCAGAUCUUGCUCUCAGAAUUUGAUAUAGUAUAUGUCAGUCAGAAGGCCAUAAAGGGAAGUGCAAUAGCCGAUUUCCUAGCUAGUAGAGCCUUGGAGGACUAUGAAUCUUUGAAUUUCGAUUUUCCAAACGAGGACUUGAUGUAUGUGGCGAAUACUGAAGAAAAUCCUUAAAUGGAUCGCGUAUGGAAGUUAAAUUUUGAUGGAGCUUCAAAUGCUACGGGUAAUGGAGUUGGGGCAGUUUUGGUAUCCCCAAGUGGAGAUCAUUAUCCUGUUGCUAGCAAGUUGGACUUCGAUUGUACAAAUAACAUGGCAGAAUAUGAAGCAUGUAUUAUGGGCAUUCGUGCAGCCAUUGAACGGAACAUCAAAGUACUGAGAGUAUACGGGGAUUCAGCGUUGGUGAUAUACCAACUCAAAGGGGAGUGGGAGACUAGGGAUCCUAAGCUAAUCGGUUAUAGAAAACUAGUUCUUGAAUUGGCUGAGGAGUUUGACGAUAUCACCUUCUAUUACCUCCCACGGGAGGAAAACCAAAUGGCUGAUGCUUUAGCUACUCUAGCUUCGAUAAUUCAGGUGAAUAGACUUGAGGCAAUGAGGCCUGUUCAGAUGAGUAUCUCUGAGACCCCGGCUAAUUGCUGCAAUAUUGAGGAGGAGGGAAAAGAUGAUUGUCCUUGGUAUCAGAGUAUCCUACAAUAUGUGAAGAAUCGGGAAUACCCUGAUCAAGCGACAGAGAAUGACAAAAGAACUCUGAGAAAGAUAGCCAUUGAAUAUGUCUUAGAUGGAGAAGUGUUAUAUAAAAGAAGGAAGGAUCAAGUACUGUUAAGGUGUGUGGAUGCUGUGGAAGCCAAGAAAAUUUUGGAAGAAGUCCAUGAGGGUAUUUGUGGGACGCACGCCAGUGGUUUCACGAUGGCCAGACAGAUCAUGAGAUUUGGGUACUAUUGGCCCACCAUGGAAGGAGAUUGUAUUGAUUAUGCCAGGAAGUGCCACAAAUGCCAAAUUUACGGAGACAAAAUGCACGCGCCCCCUUCACCUCUUCACGUCAUGACCUCUCCUUGGCCGUUUUCCAUGUGGGGUAUGGAUGUUAUUGGGCCAAUAUCACCAAAGGCUUCUAAUGGGCAUCGCUUCAUCUUCGUAGUAAUUGAUUACUUUACUAAGUGGGUGGAGGCUGCUUCAUAUGCAAAUGUCACGAAAGCAGUAGUCAGCAAAUUCUUGAAGAAGGAGAUCAUUUGUCGAUAUGGAAUGCCUGAGAGGAUCAUAUCCGACAAUGCGAUGAACUUGAAUAAUAGCACAAUAGCUGAAGUUUGUAGCAAAUUUAAAAUUAAGCAUCAUAACUCAUCGCCGUAUCGUCCCAAAAUGAAUGGUGCAGUGGAGGCGGCCAAUAAGAACAUUAAAAGGAUUGUGGGGAAAAUGACUGAAACCUACAAGGAUUGGCAUGAGAAAUUAUCAUUUGCUCUCCUUGCCUAUCGAACAUCUGUUAGAACUUUUACUGGGGCAACGCCUUUUUCUCUGGUUUAUGGAAUGGAGGCAGUAUUACCUAUUGAAGUUGAAAUCCCUUCUCUACGGGUGUUAUCUGAGCUACAGUUGGAUGAAGCCGAUUGGAUCCAAUCUCGGUACGAUCAGUUGAACCUAAUAGAAGAAAAGAGGCUAAGAGCUAUUCACCAUGGGAAAAUGUACCAGAAACGAAUGAUGCGAGCCUAUAAUAAAAAGGUUCGCCCCCGAGAAUUUCGUGAAGGGGACUUGGUACUAAAAAAGAUUCUUUCUAUGCAAAAAGAUUUUAGAGGAAAAUGGAUGCCAAAUUGGGAAGGCCCUUAUGUUGUAAAGAAGGCCUUUUCUGGUGGAGCUUUGAUCCUAUGCGAGAUGGAUGGCAAAAGUUUACCAAAUCCUGUAAACGCAGACUCCGUCAAGAAAUACUUCACUUGAAAGAAAGGGGAACCAAAGUGAAAACCCGUGAAGGGCGCUUUGCUUCCUAAAAAAAAAAGAAAAAAAAAAACUUUGGGGAGGCUAAGGUGAAAACCCGUAAAAGGCACUUUGAGACCAAAGAGGGCUGGAGUCGAAAACCUGAAAAAGGUGACUCAAGUACUGGGCAGGAUUGGAACAUCAGGAUUUGAGCGGAUCAAAUUUUGAUCGGGGGCAUAUGAUUAUCUUGCUUUACUUGAACCAAUAAGAAAGGAUAUGCAACGUCUUGGAACAUGGACAGAGUAUUCCAGAUCUCCUGAACACAUGUCAAACUCAGAAGGGUCUUCGGAAAGUUUGUACAGAGAAACUCAAGCUGCGAUAACUGGGGCACCUAGUUCUUAUGUGUAUUCUUGAAAAUACAUUUUUUUAUUUUCUUUCUUUCUUCCUUUCUUUUGGUGAAAACGCACAUUCUCAAUCCAUUUCUUUGUUACCUUGCUUUCGCCAUCUUUGAUGUUUUAUUCGAGUUAUGAUCAGAACUAGCUUUAUUCUUAUCCAUUGUUAUGAUCUUUUUGCAAACAUGUUGCAUAGGAAUAAUGAUUAACGAACUAAUAAAACUUUCAGGAAAGAAGUUUUGCACAUUACUCUGGAAAAUUUCUAAAUAAUAUAGGGACCUGAAUCAUGACUAUUGUUUAGAAAAUACCAAGUUUAAAGGGUGAAAUAUCUAAGAAGGAAGAGUCUAAUUUAAAGACUAUCCUUUCAGAUUUUGUUGUCUAAACAUUGAUUGAACAAAAUGACAAGCUGUCGUGUUACAAAGCUUAAAUGAACAAGCAAGCAAUGAUCAUCAGGCAAUAGGAAGAGGUUACCUCGGAGAAGAGAGCCUUCACUUGCGCAUAAGACUUUGGUACGACACCUUGAGAAUGGUGUAGGAAACCAGAACGGUUCAGAUCCUAUAUCCCCGAAUUGUGAUAAAAGAGGACAGAGGAAAAGCCACAUAUUUCUACCCUUAGAUUACUGUGAGAGAAUGAUGGUACAAAUUUUGGCGUCCCAGUGGAUAUAACUUUGAGGUUUACAAUGGGGACAGUCUGGCUAAAUGUUUCUUCAGAAAAAAAAAUCAGUCAAGCGAGAAGGCGUUGCAGCACGUCAGUCACAAAGCCUUAGUAAACUUCGAGUAAUGACAACCUAAGCGAGAUCAUUCUCGGAAAAAUAAAAUUCUGCAUUCAUGCGAACACCAUUCACAUAUGUCUAGUUAGGAGCAUUUGUUUCAUUUUGAUCAUGUCAUCCUAAUCAUUAGGCAUAAUUAGGUUUAUUAUACAGGUCUUAUCUCCCUGAGAUUACAGUGGAACAGACCAAAGAAUUUCAGAUCCUAUCUCCCUGAGAUUACAGUGGAGCGGAUUAAAAUAAAGGAUCUUAUCUCUCUGAAGUUACAGCAGAGUAGAUCGCAUCAAGUCUUAUCACCCUGAGGUUACAGGGGAGUAGACCGAAGAAUUUCAGAUCUUAUCUCCCUGAGGUUACAGUGGAGCAGAUUGAAGCCAGAGAUCUUAUCUCUCUGAGAUUACAGCGGAGUAGAUUGAAGCUAGUAAUCCUAUCUCUCUGAAGUUACAGUGGAGCGGAUUAAAAUAAAGGAUCUUAUCUCUCUGAAGUUACAGUAGAGUAGAUCACAUCAGAUUGAAGCCAGAGAUCUUAUCUCCCUGAGAUUACAGUGGAACAGACCGAAAAAUUUCAGAUCUUAUCUCCCUGAGAUUACAGUGGAACAGACCGAAAAAUUUCAGAUCUUAUCUCCCUGAGAUUACAGCGGAGUAGAUUGAAGAUAGUAAUCCUAUCUGCCUGAGAUUACAGUGGAGUGGAUUAAAAUAAAGGAUCUUAUCUCUCUGAAGUUACAGUAGAGUAGAUCACAGCAGACAAAACCACAGAUCUUAUCUCCCUAAGCAGUUAGUGGAACAGAUCACAUCAAGUCUUAUCUCCCUAAGUAGUAGUGGAGCAGACUAAAAACACAAAUCUCAUCCCCAUGGAGUCGUAGCAAAGUAUAUUGAAGCUACAAGGCGUAUCUGAACUUGAAGUAGAGUGGAUCGAAGCAACAAGAUGUAGCAGGCUGGAAUAAGGCUACUUGAAGAAGAGAAGCACCCAAAGAAGUCAAGCCUCGGUGAGACCAGGCAAAUUUGGUCUUUUUUAGUCUUUGCUCUGUUCUUGUUACACAAAAACGAGCAAAGAGGGGCAGCUGUAGAAGCCCAAAUUUGCCGGGCCCAUACCAACAAAAUAACCCAAACAAUAAACCCGAAGCCCAACUACCCCAGCCCAUUAACCUAAGCUCAGCAUUCAGAAACCCUAAUCCCACUAACCCUAGCCACCUACCCCCCACUUGCCCACUUGCCCACUUGCGCCGAACACCACCAUGCCACUGUCGGCCAUGGCCACCUGCAAGAAGCCAAGUAGAAAUAAACAAAUAGAAAAUAAACAUUUGUAAUCGGUUAUAAAAACCGAAAAUCUCACCAUUGAUAAAGGGGAUUUUUUAUUUUUUGCUAUGAAAACAAAAGAUUUUCUUUCAAUAUUAACAGAUUCAAUACAAGAACCAUUCGAAAAUAUAUAUACUAUCAGGGGCUCUAACACCAAAUCGGAGAAUCAAAUCUAAAACCUAAGGUGACUCUUUCUUUUUUUUUUCUUUACUGUUUUGAGUUUAUUUUCUACAUAAAAAUACUAAAAAAUAUUAAAACAUAAAAAUAUAUGCAUUAUUAAGCAAAAAAAAAGAAAAAAAGAAAAAAAAUAUUUUUUUUACCUUUUCCGGCCACCGCGUGCGGUGGCCGGCGCCGGCGCCGGCGAGCCUCCGGUGGCCGUCCGGUGACCGGCCCCCUGGCCGGAUUCCCCUUUCCCCCUCCCUUCUCUCUCCCUUCUCUCUUCCCUCUCUCUCUUCUUUUUUUUUCUUUCCCUCUCCCCAAAUGAUUUUUUUUGGCUAUUUUAGGCCUUUAUAUAGCCCUCCAAAACGACGUCGUUUUGGGGGCUACACUUAAGCCUCAAAACGACGUCGUUUUGACCAUUGCCCGACCCAUCCGACCCGACCCGCUAGAGGAUCCGCGUGUUUUCGUUUGAAUGGGAUAUUUAUGCGCCCAGUCCUUCCGCUUUUUCAAGGUUUUGCAGUUAAGUCAUUUUUCUUGUUUCCAAUUUGGCCCCAUAAUUUCUCAUGCUUUUCGAUUUAGUCCCCGCUAAUGUGCUGUGUUUUAAUGGAAUGGAAUAAUUGUUGUUUCGGUCCCCCUAUGUUUUGUGCGCGCUCAAAUAAGCCCAUUUCUCUUUAUUUCCUUUCACAUUUGCCCCACAACUUUGUUUUUAAUUCAAUUUUAGUCCUUUUUCGUUUAUUUUUAUAUCUUUAUUAAAUAUCAUUGUUAUUUUAUAUUAUUAGUAUUAUUAGUAUUACUAUUAUUAUUAUUAUGUAUUAGUAUAUAUUUUUAUUAUGUACGCGUAUACAUGUAUAUAUAUUUUCAUAUUUAAUAUUUUUAUUUCAUUUUUUUCUAAUAUUUUAUUAUAAUUUAUAUAUAUAUACAUAUACAUAUUCUUUAUUAUUUAAGUAUAUAUUUUUUAUAUUUCAUAUUUUCUACAGGCAUAUAUAUACUUAUAUAUUUACAUAUUUUAAUUCAUAUACUUAUAAAUGUAUGUACAUACUUACGUUAUUUUAUUUUUAUAAUAUACAUAUUUAUAUUUUUUUGUCUUUAUGUAAUAUAUAUACAUACAUGCGCAUGUUAUUUUUAUAUAUGUAAUUAUGUUUUCAUAUUUUAUACUUCUUGUACAUACACAUAUAUAUAUGUAUAGACAUACAUAUUUUCAUUAUAUAUAUAUACCUACAUAGUUUUUUUUUUGUAUUUUAAAUCUUUUAAAAUUCAUACAUGCAUUUUUAAAACUUUUAUAAUUUUAUUCAUUUCUUUAUUAUUAUUAUUGUUUUACUUUAUGUUUAUCUAUUUAUUUAUGUGUCCAUUAUUAUUUUUUUUAAAAAAUGUUUUAGUUUUUUUUAUUUUGUUUAUUUACUUGUUAUUGUAUAUAAUUGAUUUUUUAUAUAUUUAUUUUUGUUAUCUUCGCUCGUAUUAUUUUUACUCGCAUUAUCGUAAUUGUUAUUCCGUCACAUCAAUUUUUACCCAAAUUCGUAAAAAAGGGAAAAUUUUGGAAAUAAAGGCAAUACUCGAUACUUGGGAUCUUCGAGAGAAUUGGGCCCUAACGUGCUGGGUUCUAAUUUUCUGUUGAAUCUAAAUGCUCGAGAAUGCUCUUUAAUAUAAAACAUAAAUAAAAACUCAUUAUCGGGAUUUCAAUAUGUUGUGUCCUAACGCAUUGGAUAUGACAUGUGGUUUUCUCGAUAUGAGGAUUUUUUUUUUUCGAAAGUAAAGACAAUAUUCCGUAUUUAGAAAAUUCGAGAAAAUCAUGCCCUAACUUACUGAGCUUCGAUUUUUCUCGUUGAUUCUAAGUAAUCGAAUAUCCUUUUAAAAUUAAAAUAAAUGAGGUUUAAAUAAAAAAAUGAAAGGCAAGUUUACUCUCGAAAAUACGAGGUGUCGUGUCCUAACUUACUGGAUGUAACAUCUUGUUACUUCGAGAUAAAGAGGCAUUUUCCAUUUUGAUUUAUUCGAGUAUUUUUAAAAUAACACGAUAUAAGGAGGGAUCAUAUUUUUAAGAUUCUUUUCGAGUUUUUAAUUUUCGACACUAAGACACUAAUUAAUCAACUAGGUACCAAUUUUGGGCGUAUCGAGGGUGCUAAUCCUUCCUCGUGCGUAACCGACUCCCGAACUCAUUUUUCUGAAUUUCGUAGACCAAAAUCGUUGUUUUAAUAAAAUUAAAUCAUUUAUUAAAAACAACCACUUUUUGAGGUGACCCGAUCACACCUCAUCAAAAAAGGAUUGGUGGCGACUCCCAAUUUCGUUUCAUUUUCAAAAUCCAAGUUGACCCCGUUUUCAUCCAAAAAAUGGUGUCAACAAAAUUUUCUUUAAUAUAUUCACUAUAAGAGCCAAUAAUAUUUAUGAAACUUAACAAAACAUUAUGACUAAUGAGAAAUAAAGAUAAAAUUAAAAAAAGAAGAAGCAAUAAUUGAAUCGAAAUUACAGCACUUGGAAGACUAAAUUUGCAAUCAAUCGAAAACAUGAGGACUAAAACCAUAAUUAAACACAAUGGUUCAAACAUUCAAAUUCAGAUAAUGGAAACGUCGCCGUUUAACUAUGAACCAAAUUGAAACCAGAUUAAAUCAUACGGUAUAAAUCGAAAAAUUGCAGAAAAUCGAAUUAGAACAAUACAAGAUAAAAGAGGACUGAUUGCGGAAAUAGUCCAAUGAACCAGAAUGCGCGGAUCCUGCCCCGGGUCGGGUCACCGCGUGGGUCCAAGGACGCUAAACGGCGUCGUUUCUUUCACACUAUAUAAGCUAAAAUAAACCUAAAACCUAAAGCUCUCAGUCAUUUUUUAAGAAAAAAAACCUAAAAGAAAACUAAACUCCUGGCGCCGCUUCAGCGUCGAAAACCCCCCUCGCCUAUUCAAUCUUGGCCUGAACGGGGGAGGGAUUCGGCGACUCACCGAUCCAGGUAAGGUUUCUGAACUGUCCUCCCUUUUUAUUUUAUAUAUAUGCUUAUAUAUGUGAUUACUAGCAAACAGAAAAAAAGAAAAAGCAAUCGGAAAAGGAACAGAACCGAAAAGAGGAAAAAAGAAAACCUUUUUUGUAUUGAUUUCGUUUUUUUUUUAUACAGUCUCCCCUUCCGGAGUACAUGAGAAAAUAAGGCUCUCAUAGCCCGAAAAAUAAAAAAUAAACCCUCUUUUCUCCUUUUUUCUUUUGUUGUUAUCGUUUUUUGCUUUUUUUCUUCUUCUUUUGCUGUUGUCUUGUUAUUUGCUGCAGGUACGGGUACGCGUGACGUGGCUCAACGCGUAUGGAGGCAGAGGCUGGCGUGGAGCGGCUCGGAGGCGUGGCUGCAGCGCUGGAGGCUGAAUGUUGCUAGGGUUUGCUGCUGUGCAUUCUGGUGUUGGGCCAUUUGGGCUGAGUUGGUUUGCUGGGCUUAGAAUCAGGUUUAGGUUUGGGCUAGGGUCUAGGCAAAUUGGGUUUGGUGAAUUUUUUUGUAAUUUGGACUGUUAUUUUAUUUGUUUUUUUAUUAUUUAUUUUAAUAGCGGGCUGGGCAAAUUGGGCCUAUUACAAUAUAUAUAACCAAAUUUUGUAACACCCAUUUUAUGUUAAAAAUAUUUUCUUUAAAAUUAAGUAUAGGUUGGGUGGUAAAGUACUUAUAUUUUAAUACUAGUAAAUACAUGUUCAAUCUUUAGAUUUAUAAUUUAUAAUUCUUUUAAUUAAAGAUGAUAUACAAGUAUGAAAAGACAAAAGUGACAUAGUAAUAAUAUUAAUUAUAAAUUUUAUAAUUUCAUAAUUGAGUUGAUGACGUGGUUGAAGGUGGCACUAACUCUAAAACACUUAAAUAUAAUAAUAGCUUAAAAAUAAGGGGCUUUUGGAAAAUACAUUUCUGAGUUGGUGACCUGAGGGUCACACCAACUCAAUAAAACUCUUAAAUAUUGAUUACAAAUCCUAUCACACACUUAUGUGUAUCAAUAUCACAAAUUUAGAAUAUAAAGAUGUGUUUAAAAUUAACAUACAAUAAAGAAUGAAAUUUAUGGUUUGAAACUAAUUAGUAAUAACACAUGAAAUAUGUAUGAUAUUAAAAUGAAAAAAGAGAGAUUAAAUUGUGCAUAAAACAAAAUUUUAUCCUAUUACAUCAAUAAAGUUAUAUUUAUUACCCUCGCCAAUUAUUUGUCAUUAAGAACAUUAAAGUAUCCUUGAAUGAUAUAACUUAUUCUAAAUAGAGUUGAUGUAUGGUUGGCUUGGGAUACCAACUCAGUCAGGAGCUUAAGAUUAUUAAAAUAUUCUUAUUUUAAAGAGAAAUUAAUAUUAUUAUAAGAGCACGUUUGGUUCGUUGUAUUGGAUUAGAGGCGUAAUGGAAUAGAGGUGUAAUGGAUUAGAGGUGUAAUGGAAUAGAGGUGUAAUAGCAAAUCAACUGUUUGGUUAAAUGUAAUGGAAUAGAGGCGUAAUAGUAAUCUUGUAUUUGGUUGAAUGAAAUAGAGGUGUAAUAGCAUAAUGGGAAAAACUAAAAUGACUAGAAUACCCUUAGCAUAAAUUUGUUAAUGAUUAUUGUUAUUGUUAUUUAAAUUUUAAUAAGAUUAUUAUUAUCAAUAAUAAAUAAUUUAAUCAUAUUUAAACAUAAUUAUUAUUAAAUAUAUUAUAAUUAAAAUAUAUAAUUUAAUAAAAUUCUUAAUAAUCAAUAUUCUUAUAUGAAUUUACUCAAAUCAUAAUAUAUGAUACUAUAAAAUUUAAAUUAACAUAAUUAUUAUUAAAUAUAUUAUAAUUAAAAUAUAUAAUUUAAUAAAAUUCUUAAUAAUCAAUAUUCUUAUAUGAAUUUACUCAAAUAAUAAUAUAUGCUACUAUAAAAUUUAAAUUAACAUAAUUAUUAUUAAAUAUAUUAUAAUUAAAAUAUAUAAUUUAAUAAAAUUCUUAAUAAUUAAUAUUCUUAUAUGAAUUUACUCAAAUCAUAAUAUAUGAUACUGUAAAAUAUAAAUUAAAAUAAUAAUUAUUACAUAUAAUUUAAUAAUAAUAUAUAAUUUAAUAAAAUUCUUAAUAAUUAAUAUUCUUAUAUGAAUUUACUCAAAUCAUAAUAUAUGAUACUAUAAAAGAUAAUUUGAAAUAAUUAUAACUAAUAAAUUAUAUUUUAUGAAUUUGUAUAAUUUAAAAUAAUAAUUAUUACAUAUAAUUUAAUAAUAAUAUAUAAUUUCAUAAAAUUCUUGAUAAUAAAUUUUCUUAUAUGAAUUUAUACAAUUUAAAAUAAUUAAUAUUAAAUAUAAUUUAAUAGUGAUAUAUAAUUUCAUAAAAUUCUUAAUAAUAAAAUGUUCUUAUAUGAAUUUACUAAAAUCAAUAUAUAACUUGAGAAUUAUAUUCUGCAUAAACAUAAUUAACUUAUAUUAAGAAAAGGUUAGAUGAAAAUGAAAUUCUACAUCAUAAUCCAUAUGUUAUAUAGUUUUACAACAUCAAAAAGUUUGAACAUUGAUAUUUAAUGGUGAGAAAGAAAUCUUCUGACCCAUUCCAAUCGGGCAACAGAAGGUAAACUAAAGAAAACGAUCAUUUGAGUUGGAUGAUCUGGAAUUUUACUCAAAGCAUCAUACCGCUGAUCGUCAGUUAAACCUUCAAUUGACCAUAGGGCUGAAUAUAAAUUUGAAGCUUUCUCUUCCAUCUUUUGAUAUUCUUCUGACUUCUGCUGAACUACCACCUCGAAGGCAAUACUCCUACUGAUUUGAUCGCCAACGGCCUGGAUUUUUUCCCCCAACAAAGUGGCAGCCUCAUCAAAUGAAGAAUACACAUUAUCACGAGCAUCAGAUUUCUUCUUUCUCUUGUUUGAAGAUGAGGAACCCCCUUGGUCUCUAUCUCCUCACGGAUCUGUACCAGAAACAUCCAUGUCGUCUAAAGAGACGUCAGCUUCGCAGUCAUAGAAUGUGUUUCUCUCUUCAUUCAUAUCUGUAGUACGUACAUCCUCAGCAUGUAUUUCUUCAAGAACAUCAGCAGCUGUUUGAGCGUCUUUCCCAGUUGCUCGAUCUCUUGCUUAUAUGGUAGUAAGCUGGUCAUAGUAAGAGAAAGUACGAUAUUUGAAUUGAGUGGCUUCUCUGUGACUCUAAAAAAAAUGAGGAAAUCAUAUUAGUCAUAAGUUUGGUAUAAAUAAGAUAAUAAAGACUUGAAAUAAUCUUACCUUUAAAUAGGACUCCCAAACCGUAUCUUCAGCAACAACGAGCUGCCUAUGCUCGUCCCAACCAAAACCGCUAUUGUUUUGGCCAUUAAGCAUGUCAUAAACGAUUGACCACUCCCUUUUUAGUAACCUAACCCUUGAUUCAAUAUUAGGUUUCGCCUUCAACAUUGCAUUUAGUAAAACCGUUUGUAGCAUUCUUUCCAACUCGUUCAAAUAACCGGCUUUGAACCCGGUAUCAGCAUUAAAUGUUCCAACAUUGUGCAGGUCCACCAUGCAGGAAACUAAUGCUGCAUCUUCUUCUGGAACCCAUUUUCUUUUGCUUCCUCGAGAAGCUUGAGAAGAAGCAUUUGAUUCUGGAACACCUGACAUAAUGAUCUUAAGAACAAAAAAAAAACAAAUUAUAUUAAUUACUAUUUUAAUAUCAUGAUUCAAAAGGUCAACACUAUAUAAAAUCUAAGGAAUUAAGUUGAAUAUCAUGAAUCAAAAGCUCCAUACCACAAAAAAUUUAAAAUUAUAACACAUGCUGAAUUAGAAGAAAUUAUAUUAUAAUUCAACAAGUUUAGUACAAUACAAAAAUCAAUACAAAAGUUUCACAAACUAAUUUCUAGAUGCUUGCCAUUCAUCGAACAUUUGGUUGGCUAGUUCCAUCCUCCAAGUAGCCCAAGCAUCUGAUGGAUGAAUAUUUGUGAUAUUCGGUUCAUCGUCAUCCACCACAUUAAUUGUAGGUAAUCCUUCUCCCACCUCCGCUUCAAUGGGAUCAAUACUCAUAUGGGUUCGAAUAAAAUUAUGGAGCAAACAACAUGCAAUAAUAAUUCUAUUGUGCACCCUUACAGGAUAGAACGAUGGACUCCUAAGUAUUCCCCAUCUAAGUUUUAAUAAGCCAAAGCAUCUUUCAAUAACAUUACGUGCUGAGGCAUGUUUCAUAUUAAAAAACUCUUGCGGAGAACUUGGCUGAUAACCCUGACGCCACUCGUUCAAAUGAUAUCGCUGUUCUCUAAAUGGUGCAAGAAAUCCCUCACAAUUUGUGUAUCCAGCAUCAACUAGAUAAUAACAACCUAUAAAAUAAAUUUUUUUUUAAAAUGAUUAAUUCAGCACACAAAGUUUACUAAAAAAAUAAUUCAAAGUCCUCUAACUAUACACUUUACCAUGAGGAACUUUUAAUCCAUGUCUUCUACUAAUGGCAUCUCGAAGAACCCGUCCAUCAGCAACUAAACCUUCCCAACCAGGAAGAACAUAAACAAAUUGCAUCUCAGGUGUACAAACACCUAGCAUAUUUGUUGCUAUGUCACCUUUUCACGUUCGAUAUCUAGGUUUAUCAACUGUUGGAACCCUAAUCUUGAUGUGGGUUCCAUCAAGAGCACCUAAGCAAUUCUAUAUCACAUGAUAUAAAACCUUGAGUUAGAAUACUAAUUUAAAUCUAAAUCAAGUAAAUGUUGUUGAAGAUAUAUAUAAAACUUAGUCCAAUACCUUAAACCAUUUCCACCUUGUGUCAGAAGAAUCAGCUGUAAUUAGCUCUGGCUUUUUAAAUAACACAUCUUGUAAGCGUAUGACAGCAUUUAAAACACUAUGAAAUGCUCUGCUAACAGUUUCCCCGGACCUUCUAAAGUGAUGCUUGAUAACUCGAUUUUUCAGGUGAUGGGAGAUGAUAAGUAAAAACAUUGCUACUUGCUCGUCAACAAGCAUGAACCUUGUCGACUUCAAUCCCCUAUCGAUUCUAACAUCUCACAUUGUUUAAAAAAGGCAGCUCUAUUCAUCCUAACUUGUUCAAUACAGGUCUCGUCACUAGCAUAUACAAGCCUCUUCACAUAAUCCCGUUUUGCAUAAAAAUCUACGGUAUAGGACCUAAUCCUUGGUCUAUGUAGCCUAAGGCUGGCACCCAUUCUAAAUAAGAACCAAAUCGCGAUUCUACAGAUUUCCAACCAUAUUGUCACAGCAAUACCAAUUCUUUUACGCCUCACACUUUGUGCAAUUAAAGGCAGACGAGCCAUUACUGCAACAUUUAGAACACACAUAGUUUAAACUCACGAAUUUAGAACACACGAUAGUUUGAACAUUAAUUAGUUUGAACAUUUCAUUUCGUAUAAAUAUAUUGAUUAGUUAAUUAAAGCAUGUUCAAUGUUUGAACAUUGAUAGUUUGGACAUUUAAAUUUAAAUUUAAAUAUAAUUUCGUAUAAUGAAAUUUAAGAUUUAAUAAAGGUGAGUAUCAAAGUUUGAUCAUUGAAUAAUCUUUUUUAUUGAUGAUUAGUUUAAUUAAGGUUUUCUAAUUUCAAAAUAAAUAAAAUGAAGAAUGAAGAUUUGGUUUAAUAAUGAAGAUUUGGUUUAAUAAAUAAAAUGAAGAAUGAAGAUUUGGUUUUCUAAUUUCAAAAUAAAUAAAAUGAAGAAUGAAGAUUUGGUUUAAUAAUGAAAAUGAAGUUUUAAAAUUUUUAUAACAUUUUAAAUGGUAAUUUUAUUUUGUAAAAAUAUAUAUAACUUUUAUCUCAUUUACAUGUACAAAUUAAUAUUAACAGUAUUGUAUUUGCAAUUAUGAUUGGAAAGAUUGAAAUCUAGUAUUGUAUUUACAUGUACAAAUUAAUAUUAUUUAAGCCCAUUAUUUGUAGGCAUAAUGCUCUUUAAGAUUGAACAUAAUUAAAGGUUGAACAUAAUUAUUAUUAUUUGAAUAAUAUCAAUUAAAGGUUGAACAUAAUUAUAUAUUAGUAUCAAAUUUGUAUGUACUCUUUAUAUGUACUCUUUCACUAAUAAAUUAUAUAUCAAAUUUGUAUCACAUUGAUUUUAUGUACGCUUUCAGUAAUAAGUUAUAUAUUAGUAAAAAGUUGGUGCAUUGGUACACCAAAUAAUUUGAAUACAUACUACUUUCUUUAAAAAAAAUGUUACCUAUUAGUAAAAACAUAUAACCUAUUUGGGAAACAACAAAAGCUGUAAUGACCAUAAUUAUGCAAAUUGGUGAUAAAAAAGAACAAUAAUUAUGCAGCAAUAACCAUAACCAUACAAACAAAAGCUGUAAUGAGCAAUACAAACAUACAAACAAAACCAUAUUCAUUUGGGAAACAACAGAAGCAGCUACAGCAAUACAAACAUAACCAUACAAGGAAAACAUACUAAUAAACCAUGAAUACCAAUGGAAAACUAACCUGUAAUGAGCAAAUCGGGGACGACUGCGAUGUAGAAGUGUUGGAACAAAGAACCUGUAACCAGUAAAGGGAAAUCAAUGUUACAAAAAUAAUCAGUUUAUAAAAUUGAUCAUACACUUUACCAAAGCAGCCUCUCAUUUAGUAACCAGUCCUUUAGAUUAUUAAAUAUACCAACUUGGCAGCUUUGAAUAUAUAUGCAAAGCCAUUUUACUUUAAAAUACAUCCCUCCAUUUAUCCUCUUUAAUGUGGUUCACUAGCACCAAGGAAGGCUUAGCAAUGAGGACUUUACAUUCCCUUUCGAAUUUUAAAAUCCCAGGGUUUACCAUCACAAGAAGAUACAUCCUUAUUCAAUCACACUCACCAACUAUUAUGUAAUUACUAAAAAAUGCAACCAAAAUGGGGUUGGCCUAACAUAAAUCAUACACCACACCAUCAAUUGAAGGUUAAUUCAUGGUAACAUUAGUAUUGAAAGGUUGCGUUGUGGGCAGCCUAAGAGGACUCGCAACACUAGGCUUAAUUGCUGUAACAUAUCACAUUCGGAGGCUGGUUCGGACAGCAUCAAUAAUACAAUAUUUAGACAUCAUUAACAACGCAAUAUUCGAACAACAUCAAUACCACAAUCGGACAGCAUAAACAGGGCAGCAAUUAACAAUACCAACAAGGUAAAAUUCGGACGGCAAUUUAACAGUUUCAACAAUUAUCAAACACAAGAAAAUAGAAGUUCAAGGAAAACUCGCCAAGGUUCCCAACACCAAUUUUACCUAUUUAAUUUACUUCUUCCCUUUUCCGCUACAGCCUUCUCCCACCUUGUUAGCUAAAUACAAUGAACCCAAAAGUUACAAAAAUGGUGUAUAACAACUCAAGCAUUCACUAAAUUCUUUUAACACAAGUGAGAAACUCCUCAUCUUCUAGACAUGCAACGUUUACAACUAGAAAAGAAACUCUUCUCUUCUCCCACACAUUCGGUCAAGCUCAAUUCAACAAUGCAACCAGAAUUUGUCAACGAAAAGCUAUGGGCAAGGGAGAGCUUAGAAGAGUUACAGUUCUACUUGAAAAUUUUAACUUCUAAGCAAGCAAAUUUCAUGGUUUUCCAGUACAUGUAGCCGGCCUCUCCUCUCUAGCUUCAUUUGAAAGAGACAAGGAAGCAAGAUAGAAAAAUAAAAAGUCGAAGUCUUUCUUUCUUACUUACCGUCCAUUUCUCCACCCUUUACCCAUCAUAAAAUGAAAUUUAGCCAAUCAACAAAUCUUAGCCGGCCACCAACCAAAAACCAAAAACCAAAAACCAUAAAAUGAAAAGAAUCAUGUAAAAGUUUAUUCAUACCUCAAAAACCAAACGCCGAGACCGAGAGAAGAAACGAUGAGGACUGAAUCAUCAACGAAAGCAGUGGGAAAUGGGAGGAGAAAUUAUGAGGACAGAAGAUGAGAGGGUCGGGUAGGGAGGGAGGGUAAAACAGAGAGUUGGGGAGGGAAGCCGGACGUAAUACCUAUUACUCGAUUUGGGAAGGGAUUAGAAAAGCAGGGAAUUUGGGGAUUAGGUCGGGAUUGUAUUACGCGCGUAAUACCUAUUACAGCGAACCAAACGCCAGAUUAGGGGCGUAAUGUAAUAGCCGCAUAAUCAGUCAGUAAUGGAUUACCUAAUACACUGAACCAAACAUAGUGUAAGUGUAUUUUCACCUUUUCAUACUUUGAUAUAAUCUUCAAGUAAAACGAUUGAAAAAUAUUAUUUGACGACACAAGACUAAAAAAAUUCAUAUAGAAAAUGCUUACCACUCCACUAGUAAUCAUUUGUCAAUGUAUUUUUGGUAAAAAGACCUCUCCAAUCCCUCUUAAUUUCACAAUUGCGCAAAUUAGUCCCUCUCAAAAAAUUAAAGCAAUUUAAUCCUUAUCAAUUUUGAAAGUGAGUAACUAAGGAUAAUUAAUUAUGGUGUUAAAUUCUUCCAUCAAUUGUACAUAAUUUUGAUUGGUAUAGUAAUAAAUUUAGCCUUCAAUGUUUAUAUAUUUUGUCAUUUUGGCCUUAAUUUUUAAAAAAAUUUUAAGAAAUUCAACCUCAACAUUUACAAUUUACACAAACGUUGCGGGAAAAUUUUGUUAAAGUAAGACCAGCUAAAUUUAUUAUUAUACCAACCAAAAUCAUGUACAUUUUAUGAAAAAUUAACAUCCUGAUUAAUUAUUCUUAAUUGCUCACUUUCAAAAUUAAUAGGGACUAAAUUGCUCUGAUUGUUUUAGGGUGACCAAUUUCCUCAAUUUGGAAAUUGAGAGAGACUAUUGAGAUCUUUUACAUUUUUUUUUAUAAAUAUAUUUUUUAAUAUAAAAUAUAUUUGUUCACACACAUCGUGUGUAUGAUAAAAUAUUUUUAUUGUUGAUUGAGUUGGUGUCAAAAAUUAACUUGACACCAACUCAAGAUUAAUGAUAACAAUAUGAUAAAUAAUUUAUUUAUUUAAUAUUUUUAAUUUAAGAUAUUGAUGUAAAUUUUAAGACAUGUAUGUCUUGUAGAAUUGUAAUUAUACUUUUUCAGUAUUGACUCAGUUUUCCACAAUUGUGGGUCUCUAUUUGAGCAAAACAAUUUCAACAUUUCUUCAUCUCGCUUAAUCCAAAUGCAUUUAGGAUUUUCUUAUAUCAUUGCUUCAAAAAGGGUAAAAAAAAACGUCGACAUUGAAUUUUCUGUUUCACAUUCAAUUUUUGGAUACGUAGAAUUUUCUAAUUUAUUUUCCAUCAACUUCACUUCAAUUUUCAGUCACAAUCAAUUGCAAUCAAGAGCACCACAUCUUUUUGGAUGAAACGAAGCUCUCAAUUUUAAGAUAAACGGGUCUUUAGGGUUAUUAAUUGAGGGCCUUUUCCACAAUUGCCAUCGUUAUUUGCGGGUGAUUGGGUUACGACAAUGGUUUGAAGUGAAGCUGUUUCAAAUGAAUAUGAAUACUCUACCAGUAAGUCAUAAUUUAAAAUUCAGGUUAUGUUUCAUUUCAACUAAGUUAAAUGUUAAGAUUGAAGUUAAACCUUUUAGAGGUUGCUCACAAAAGGAUCAAACCUUUAUAAAAGUGCUUAAAUGAAUGCCAAAUUUUUUAAAAUAGACAAAUAAGGCCCUAACCUUUUAAAAGGUGUUCAAAUAAGGGCUUCUCAAAUGUUGUAUAUCAGGUUAUGUGUUUUACUCUAAACAUAUCAGUAUUUACUAUUUUUUCUACAAAUUGGGUUGAAGUGCAUGAAAAAUUUUAUUUUAGCACUUUUGUAAAGGUUAAACUCUUAUUUGACAAUUUUGAAAGGUUUGAUCCUUAUGUGAGCAACCUUUAAAAGAUUGAGCACUAAUUUAACAAGUUGAGAAAUACCUAAAUUUGUUUUCAUGAACCAAGAAAUUAAAAAAAAAAAAAAAACAUGUUGAGAAAUAUUUUAGAGAUUCUUAGCCUUGACAAGUUCCCUCCACCAUCUCCCUGCCUCCAGUCCCACCUCUUCUCUUAUGCUCCUUCCAGGUUCUUGUUUUUUGUGUAUUGAAAAUUCGACGGAACAAAAUAUCAACCUACAUCAUAAGGCACGAAGGCCAGAACUUUACUUUCUAGCCCGUCCGAUCCAAUGAAAGAAGAACAAAGAGUAUUGAGAUCUGACAACUUUAUUUCAUUUUCAUUUUCUUUGUUAUUUUCUAUGUUUCAUGUCAAAUACAAUGGAAGAAGAACAUAGAAAAAUGUUGCCUAUUUAUUUCCCAAUCAUCAUGAAAUUACUUGCCAUAGUCUUAGAAUUUUCUCACCAAUUUUCAAGCAAUCUCACAUGAUUUCUCAAUCACAAUUAAUUGAAUUCAAGAUCUUUUUGGAUGACACAAACAUUUCAAUUUUAACACAAACCAAUAUUUAGGUUAUACUUCAGUGCUUGACAAGCACUUUCACAUUUGUGGGAUAAUAACUCUAGCAUUUUAGGAUCACAUUUAAUUCAAUUGCAUUUAAGACCUCAUGAUUUUAUUCUAUAAUUUGAGUCUUAUCAACCUUUUGGGAAAUAAUAAAACAUCGACAUUAAACUUGUUGUUGAUGCAUUCAAUUUGAUUUUUUGAGGGGUCGUUGGAGUUAUAUAUGACUUUAGCAUUGAUUGAUUUUUUUAGAAUUAAUCUUUUAUACCAAUUUAAUAACAUCGACAUGUUUUUGGGUAGGGUAGAACAAAACCCAAUUUAAACCGAUUAUAGUGGUUUAGUUGACUCGGUCAAGUCCAUUAGAUGGAUAAAAUCAAUUUUAAAAUCAGUUAUAAUGGAUUAAGGUAAUUAAUUAUCUAGUAAUGAAAUACAUAAUCAAAUCAGUUACGGAAUCCGCCAUGUUAGAUAAUAUGAACAUCCCAUAUAUAAUAAGAAAAAAUUACGUACGAUUAUUUAUUAUCAUAAAUGGUUAGCUUAAAUUUAAAGUAAUCUAAUAUUUUUAUUGAUCUUCAACUAUUAACUAAAGUAUAAGCUAAAUAUGUGUAAAUAUUCUAGAAAUCAUUUCUAAUUGAUGAUAGGCUAAUUCGGAAUUAAGAUUAAUAUAUAAAAACUAGAUAGUAGGGUUAUAGUCCUCAAACUACACCUAAUUUAGUUUUUCCGACAUAUUUUUGAAAAAAUAUCACCUUCUUUAAAAAAAAUUGGUACAAAUUUCAAAAAUUAAAACUAUCAAUAAAUUCAGAUAUAUUAAUAAGUACCAACUAAACAAUACUUAAAUAUAGAUGUGUUUUAUAAAAAAAAAUUAUCAGCUUAAAGAAGUUGCAACAAAAAUUUAAAAUUCAUUUAUCAAAUGAAUAUUUAAAACUUAUAAUCUAAACUCUGACAUAAUAAAAUACAUAAGCAUAACUUGGAUUUACCAAAAAUCUAUGAACUUUUCUAAAACUUAAAUUUUAGUCCCUAUACUUUAAUUUAGAGACAUUGAGUCACUAUACUUUUUUAUUUAAAAAUCUUGGUCCCUUCAUCAAUUUUAUCAUUAUAAUUGUUGAUUUACUUGUUAUAAAAAAGGUAGAAUAACUUUUUUAGCCUUAAACAUUUAUAGUUUUUAUUAAUUUGGUCCUUACUCUUUAAAAUUACAUAAAAAUUCAAAAAUAUUUUAAAAAUUAAAUUUUUUCGUAUUUUUAAAAACAUUUAUAGUUUUUUUUUGUGGUUUGGUAACUUAUCAACUCGACUCUUAAUUGUGACAAACUUUUUUGACCUUUUUCGUACCCUUAACCUAAGUCCCGCUACAACUUUCUAAAGACCUCUUGAUUGGUGUAUCAUCUCGAUUUGUUUUUAUAGUGGUGGAGAUUUGGUUUUGAAGCAAGCCUAUGAUAAUCACAUUUUUCAUUCAACUGUUGAGCACACAAUACUUGAACCUUAAACACUUAGAGUGCUUUGAGUGAAUCUUAGAUAGGGUAUUGAUUAUGGUUGAGUUUGAAUUUCAGGUAAUUAUUGAGAUAGAGGAGACGCCUAUGUUUUUUGUGCUUUACAAAUUUUUGCUUAGAUUGCUUUUAUUCUUUAGUGUUAUGCUAGUUUCAAUUUCUAGUGCGUGAUUAUCUGUAGAUUAUUCCUAAGGAAUUGUCGGUGAAAACAAUAAAUUGAGGGAGAUUAACUUGAAUAAGGGUUGAGAAUUUUGCUUAAGGACAAACAAAUGCUUAAGUGUGGGGAUAUUUGAUAAGUGCUAAAAUUAAUAUGUUUUAACAUCAUUCUUAAUGUGUUUUUGGUUGAUUAUUUGAUGUUAAUUAUGAAUUUUAUGCUCCUAAUUCGUGUUUUUAUGCUUAAUAGAACAUUUGGGAGGAAAAUGAGCUAAAAUGGGGGCAACUAUAGGACCCACACAGGCUGACCUAUUCCAUAUGACCAUGUGGGUCAUGUGGCAGGCCAUUCGAUUUCGUAAAUUUUCACUCUGAACUGCGAAAAAAAAACGAAUUUUAGGUUUUUCAAGCAUUUUAAGGCGUAUAUAUGAAAAACAUAAGAAUAUAGGAGAGAACCUACCUAGAAUAUUUAAGAAAACAACUCCAAAAACACCAUUGAAGUCGGCUCUGAAGUAGAUUUUCAUCAAGAUUGAAGAUUCCCAGUUGAUUUCUUAGGAGAUUAUCAUGAGUUUCUUUAUUUCUUUCGGUUAUACUGCCCUUUGGAUGUUUUUAUUUUUAAGCAUGAACUAAUUUUCUAAAUACCUAAGAGAGAUGAACCCUAUGAUAGAUUGUGGCACCCCAAACCCGAUCGGGAUAGACCGGCCCGAAUUCGAAACAUUACAUUAGCCACCUAAGUGACUCUCCAGCUAACGACCACCCAAGACACAACCCAACCUUAUAACACCUCAAUCUUGUUUAAUUAUUAGUUAUUUAUUAAUGUAGAAGUAAAUUAUGAACCAAUUUUAAACUUUUCCUAGGUAAUUUAACCUAAGGGCAAUUUCAUCAUUUUACCACCUAUUGUAAAACUAACCCGAUUUUAGAUCUAAUUGCUUAUCAACCUUUUAAUCAAAUUAUGGAAGCCUAAAAUUUUUAGAUUCAUUUGAGUUUGUUUACUAUGUCUAAUUCAAAUUUUAUUACUAGGGACUAAAUUGUAACUUAAACAAAUUAGAAUAUCAAUUUAAAGAGACAAAAAUUCAAAACCCCAAAACCUACACGGGCAUGUGGAGACUGGAGCUAUCACAUACGGGCAAGUGAGAUUGAAAAAUAUGAAAUAAAUUAAUCGACUUAUUUUUCCAACAACCAUGCUAUGCUACCAAACCAAAUAAUGCUUGAAGCUUUGAAUAGGGGCGAAUCUAAAAAAAAAAAAAAUAGAAGAAUUAUAAUUAAAGUAUACAAUUUUGAGAAGUUAUCAUGUAUUAAUUUAUUAUUUUUUAAAGGGUCUUAAUAGAAAUUUUUUCCCAUUUUGGUUGGGCCAAUACCCUUGUCUGCCUCUUUAAAUUUGCUUCAACCCUAAACCCAAUAUUCGAUUUGGAUUAACAAAAAUAUAUAGGUUAGUAUUUGUGGGAGUUUGACGAAUAAAAAUUUCUUUUCUAGAGGUUUAAAUUAUAAAUUUUUGAAAGAUUAAAAUAAAUUUGUAUUUUUUUAUUAACAAAAUAUAAAAGAAAAAAAACAUGUUUAGACAAGCCAAGAGACCUUUGGGAUCAUACGGGUGAUUUUGAGAUGUUAAUGGUUAUUUUGGUGGAGAGGGUGAAAAAGAAACAAAUGAUUCAUUAUAUAUAAUAUAAUUAUCAAAAUUCAAGCCAUAUAUUGUAUGUUUCAUCCAUAAAAAUUUGAUGGGAGGUCCAAAGGUAAUUAAAUGACUUGUGGGCUUGCUGAAUUUCUUUGAAAGGCCCAAAGGCAAUUUAACAUUCACAAAAUAAUCUCUAAACACUGUAAAGACAAAUCAAAUCCACAGUAGCAUAAGAGUUGAUUAAGCUAAGCAUUGGUAAAUAUUACUUUGAUUUUGCAUGCAAUAUUGACAAAACCCCCUCCUACAUUAGAAAAACAACAUAAUCCAUGGAACAUUGAUAGCCCAAUACAAAUUUAUUCGAGAAAAAAGUCUCUUUGUUUUGUAGAACAUGAUAGUAAAGAUGUGGAGUUUCGUUCUUCUUAUUGGCCUCCUUUAGUUUUCCUUGAUCAACAACCACUAGCCAAAAACACAAUUAGAUUAGAUUAUGAAUGAUACUUUCAACUAUGACAAUAUUAAAUACAAACCCACUCUAAAUAACUUUAAAUAAAUGGAAAGCAGCAAAUUACCUGACCAGGCAAGCUAGUUUAAUUAAGACCAUUGUGUUAUACUUGUCUCUGAAUUGAAAAAUUUAGAAGGAAAUAAAGAGAAAGACUUAGAAAAUACUUGAAAACAGAUAAAACUUAUAUGUCAUUUAAAAUAAAAUAAAAAAUUCUAUUUAAGCCAUUUAAAAGUUUUAAGAUUUUUAAAAUUUUAAAAUGAUAAAAGUAAAAUAAUACUUUGGCACCCAAAAAUGAUAAAACUUUGAUUUAAUUCUUUAGUAAUUAUAAAAAUAUAGGAUAUUAAAAUGGUGAAAUUACAUUUUUACUAUAGUAAAAAUUACAAUUUAAUUUCACCCCCUAAAAGGAUUUUUUGGCUUCGCCACUAAUAAAAUCUUUGGCAAAAGAUUAAAAUAAAAUUAUACCGUAAAUGGAAAAAGAAACUAAGAAAAUCCAAUCUAACAAAGAAAAUAACUUGUUGUAACCAAAAGCUACCAUAAACCGUAAUUCAUGGGAAGGCUUGUUGCUUAUUUUAUUGGUUUCCAUUUUGAUUUUGCAAAAGAAGUCAGAAUUUUGAAGAGAGCAAAAGAAAAAAAAGUUUAUAUGAUUAAAAUUCUAGAAUAGAUUAAAAAUGUUGAAUUAAAGAUAAAAUUAAGUGUACUCAUUACUCACCAUCUCUGUUAAAAAUGUUGGAUGUUGUUUAGCAACCUUUGUUUGAUUUUCUUCAGCUCAACCACAACAUCUUUCAUAUCUUUUCUUUCUUCUGGUAACUCAGCUGAACAAUUCAAAGCCAACUCCAUGAUAGAUGAAAUACAAUUUGCUUUAACAACCAUGUACUCAUCCUCUCUUCUUAAUAAAUCAACAUCUGCAAUUUCUAUCGCUCCUUUAGGCAAUGAUCUUUCCAUCCAAUGCCUUAUACUCUCUUCUUCAACAAAAACAUUAUCAGUUGGCUUUUACUUUGUGAAAGUUUCUAUAAGGACGAUCCCAUAACUAUAGACGUCAGAUUUUAUAGAAACAAUUCCUGCUGAUCCAAAUUCUGCAUUUCAAGUAUAAUUAGAACAUCAUUCACCCUCAGUUAUUUCUAAAAUGCUUAUUCAAAUAUAUAUCCACAUCCACAUGAAACAAAAAUAUAAAAUGAAAAUUAGGAAAAUAAUCAUACAAAAAUAAAAAAGAAUUCACCUUGUGCCAUAUACCCGAUAGUUGCAAGAGUCAUGGUUUGCUUCAUUACUUCACCUUCUCCCAACAAUUUGGCAACGCCAAAAUCUCCAACAUGUGCAACCAUGUCUUCAUCUAGUAAAAUAUUUCUUGGUUUUAUGUCACAAUGAAUUAUAGGUGUUGGAUGUCCAUUGUGGAGGUGUUCUAUAGCUCCCGCAACAUCUAUCAUUAUGUCGACCCUUUGUAUGAUAUCAAGGAAACAAAUUUCAGAGUGUAACCAUUUCUCAAGGUUUCCAUUAGACAUGUAAUCAAGCACCAAGGCUUUGAAGUCAACACUUGAGCAGCAAGUAAUGACCUUCACAAUAUUACGAUGAACUAUAUUACGCAUAGCAUCACAUUCAAUGUCAAAACUCCUAAAUGCUCCCUCUGUUUGCAAAUUGAAAACUUUUAUUGCAACUUCCAUUCCAUCUGAAAGCCUCCCUUUAUAUACAUAUCCAAAACUCCCUGAACCAAGCAUAUUGCUUUCCUCAAAUCCAUUAGUUGCUCGUGAAAGUUCAGCAUGUGAAAUUCUUCUCGGUGUCUUCAAAGACAACAAAUCAUCUUUAAUUGGUAGAGUUGUACUUCUCCUUUGGCAACUUCUAUACAUAAUAGUUAAGACUGUUAGUACUACGACAAUACCAAUUGUUGUAAACCAUACCUAAAAGCAUGCAAUAUAAUCAUUUGGGAGUUUUUGUGGAUGUCGUUUUUGCAAGGUGGGACUAGCAAUCUAGGUGGGCCACAAAGUGCAUAAUUCUUCAUGAAUGAUGUGCUAGAAAAGUUUGAAAAACAUCCUUUGCUGGGAAUUUCCCCUUCAAGUCUAUUGAAAGACACAUUAAAAUACUUUAGAUAUAAAAGCUUUUCCAAAGAUUUGGGAAUGACUCCAGAGAGAUUGUUAUUGCAUAAAUCCAAGAAUUCCAAACUAAUCAAUCCAUCAAAUGAUUCAGGGAUAUGACCAUGUAGUAUAUUAUUUGAUAAAUCUAAUGAAACCAAAGUUUGAAGACCCCCAAAUGUGGAUAAGAUAUCGCCCGUGAGAAGAUUCCUUGAUAAAUUUAGUUUCAGUAGACUCCUAAGAUUUCCAACAUCAAUAGCAUGUGAAUUGUGAAGAUGGUUUGAUGAUAAAUCUAUUUUUAAGAUAUCUUUAAGAUUCCACAAAGUUGAGGGUAUUGCAGAACUCAAUUUGUUGGAAUGUAACCAAAGAUAUCCCAAAGAAGUAAUAUUACCCAAACAAGAGGGUAUAGAUCCAUGCAGCUUAUUCAACCCUAAAAACAAGUUGUAUAAUCUCUCCAAAUCACAAAGGCUUUCUGAGAUGGGCCCUCCUAAUUUAUUAGAGGAAAGACCUAGACUUUGGAGAUUCCGCAGUCCUCCUAUUGAUGUUGGAAUGAAUCCACUUAAUUUAUUAUAGCCAAGUUCUAAAAGCAACAUGUUGCUUAAGUUACCUAUUUCCAUAGGAAUAGUGCCUUGAAGCUCACAAUCUUCGGCAUAAAAGUAUUGAAGGGAUUUUGAAAGGUUCCCAAUAUAAGUAGGAAGAACGCCACUCAAUGGAUUUUCUGAAACUCCUAUGGUUUUCAAAUUCUUACAAUUCGUCAAAGAAGAAAGAAAGCUCCACUCAUGAUCAGUAGCAGAUCCUGUGAUCAAAUUAUUGUUUACGAUUCGGAACCAUUCAAGCUGUCUUAAGUUGCCAAGCGUUUUAGGGAUUGGGCCAGAGAAUAAGUUAUCUCCCAAGUCUAGUUUCGUAAGCAUGGAAGCAUUGGAGAUAGAGUAGGGAAUGUUUCCGCUAAGUUUAUUUCCCCCCAAAAAAAGAAACUCAAGCUUUGGAGCAUUGGUAAUGGGUGGUAAAUUACCUGUAAAAUAGCAUCUUUUAGUAUACAUAUUAAUUGAAUACCAAAUUCAUAAAAUAUAUAAUACAUUAAAAUAAAAACUGUAAAACUUCAAAUCAAUUAAGAAUAAAAUUUUGGCAUGGAAAAAUGUGAUGAAAUCAAUUAGAAAGUUGAGACAUAAUAAGAAGUUUUGAGUAGUAAUUACUCAUGAUUUCUAUAGACAAAACAUAUAAUACACUGAUAAUUUUUUAUAAUUUUUACAAUAUUUACAAUUUCUAACAAUUUUUAAUAAUUUUAUUAUUUAAUACAAAUUUAAAAUUUAACAAUUUUUUAUUUUUUUAAAACAAUUAUAUAUUUAUAAUGUAGUUAUUUUUUUUAUAAUUUUUUUUGAAAUUUUAAAGAUUUUUUUGGUUUUUUUUCUAGAUGAUGAUGCCAUCAUGAUGACAUCAUAUGCCACAUGGCAAUUUAUAAUUAGUUAAAUAUCUCAAUCCAUUUUUCUAACGUCAAAUGGACUAAAACAAGAACACCUGAUAAUGUUAGAGACUACACUUGGAAUGUUUGAUAAUAUCAGGUACUAAAGUGGGCAAAAAAAUUAAGGACUAUAUUAAAAAUAUAUCUAUAAUAUAUAUAAAUGCAUGGAUUUUGAGAAACUUUUGAAAUGAUAAUUAUAUAGUCUUUGUUUUUUUUACUAUAUUAUUGAAUUUUUUAUUUUAAAUAUUUUUUAUUACUUUUAAGAUUUAUCAUAUGUAUGUAUAAGAAUUUUGGUUUUACUAAAAUAUUUGGUCAAAUAAAUUCACUUUAUCAAAAAAUCUAGCAUCCUUAUAAAUAAAAAUUUUGAUUCUAUUAAAAAAAUUAUUUUAAAAAAUAUAUAAUAAAAAUUUAAAAUUUAUAUUGAAUUACUUUAUACUUAAAUUAUUAUUAGAAACUUUAUCAUACACAUACGUGCAUUAGAACCAUGUAUUUAGAACUUAAAUUUGUGUUUUAAAAUAACUUAUGAUAAAUAAUGAAAUGUAUAAUUUGAAACUAUUUAAUAAUAACACAUGACAUAUCUACCAUAUUAAAAUAAAAAUAGAUUAAAUUGUAAGUAAAACAUAAUUUAAACAUAUGAAUACAUCAAAUUACGAAUACUAAAUGAAUACAGUUAUUUAUGAUGAUGUUGUUGUCAAUUCCUAAGUUGGUGUCGAGUUAAUUUGUGACAUCAUAAAUUUAAGUGAUAAAUUUAAGGUUUUAUGUAUUGAUGCGGAUUCAAAUAUCACCAUAAUUUUUUUUAAAUAAAAAACUAAAGUACCCUCAAAUAAUAUAACUUAUAUUAAAUAUGAAAGGGUAGUUUUGUAAUUUCUCUAACGAGUUGGUGCCCGGUUGACUCAUGACACCAACUCAAUCAAAAGCUUCAAUAAUAAUAUAGAUAUUCACGUUAAAAAAAAAGUACUUUAGUUCCAAAUAAUUAUAUAACAAGUAAAUUUAUAAUUGAUGAAUAAAUUUAUAAAAAUAUAUUUAUAUGAUCUAAUAUAUUAUAUUUAUAUUAAUUAUAUAUCAUCUACAAACUUUGAAGAUCAAUUCAUUAAGUAUCAAGAAAGGAAAAAAAUGAAAUUGAAUUAACACUAAAUCAAUUUUUAGAUUUUGUACAGAUGAUUUAAUGAUGAUAAAAAAAUUAUUAGCACUAUUUUUGAAUUAACAAAAAAUUAGUGAUAUAUUUUAAUUAUAUUUAUUAUUUAUUAUUUUUAAUAAUGUUUUUUUAAUUAUAUGAAGUAAAAUUACAGUGUAUACUAAAUAUGGUACAUAUACUUUAAUUAUAACUAGAAAAUUUAUUAUAUAAAUUAAUAUAUUUUAAUUAUAUUCAACCAUUUGAACAACAAAAUAAAAAAAAUAAUUAGAAUAAUUUAUUUUUUAAAGUUUAAUGGAAAUUAAAAAAUUAAAAAUAAAUCAAUUCAUAUAAAUUUUGUUGUUUAUUUCAGAUGAAAAUGAUAAAAGUAUAUGACAUAAAUAGAAGAAACAAAUUCAACACCAUGUUUUUGGAGUUUGGAAAAAAUUAAAGUGAAAAACAUACCUUCUAAUUUGUUGUCAUGGAGACCUAUUUUUUCGAGCAUAGUUGAAUUAAAAAUACUUGAUGGAAUCUGACCUGCACACAUAGUCGAAAAUUGAAGUGAAAAACAUACCUUCUAAAUUGUUCAACUAAAAAUACUUUAAGCAUAUUUUUUAGUAAAGCCCUUCAAGCUUGGGAAGAUGUUGACACGUUGACACAUAUCAUUAGGCAAAGACUAAUAGCUUUCAAAGAAGAAAUCUUGAAGAUGGAAGAUGGAACCUGACCAGAUAAUUGAUUGAGUCCCAAGUUCAAGAUCUCUAGAUUAGACAUGUUAGCAAGUGUUUCAGGGAUUGUGCCUAUAAAGUUAUUAUUUUUCAUUUCCAGCCUUCGAACUCUGUGUAUGUUCCAAAGCCAUGAUGGAAUUUCCCCAUUAAGACGGUUGUAGCUUAAUCGAAGGAUCCGCAAACGAUGCAAUUGGCCCAAUUCUUUAGGGAGAUGGCCAUAGAAAUGGUUGCUACUCAAGUCGAGAGAGAGUAGAAAUGAAAGAUUUCCAAGGUGUGGAGGGAUAGUACCCCUAAGAUUCAUGCUUGUAAGAUUCAAAGCUGUAACUCUUUUAUGGAGGAUGCCACAAGAAACACCAAUCCAAUUGCAAACAGAGGUUGAGACAGUCCAAUUGUUUGGCAAGACAUUUUGAGGACCGGCGAUGCGAUCCUUAAACUCGAGAAGUGCAAACUGAUCGGAGUUGAGAUUUCUGACUGUCAUAGCCAAGCAAAGUACGGAACAUGGUAUGAAUAAAGCUAAAAGAAGAUGAAAGCAAGUGUUGUAGUUCAUGAUUGCAAGACAGAAUAAGAAAAGAAAAUAAAAUAAAAAAAAGUAGGAAAAGGGAAGUUGAGUUGAUAAAAUAGUUUGGAUGAUGAAGAAAAGCCCAGACAGCAUGCUUUAAUAUGUUUGGAUGAUAAAUUUAAACUUGAUAAAUUUAAGACUACCCUAAAAAUACGUACAAAGAAAUUUCAAAAUUUCAAAAUAAAUACGUACAAAGAAGCGAAUUUUCAAAAUUUCUCCUAAAUUUUCUUCACAUUACUCUACAUAAUCCAUUAAAAAAAACUUAAAAAAUAUAUUUUAUUAAUUACUAUAUAUUCUUUUAUUUUCAGAAUCAUAAAUUGUUUAAAAUAUGCUAUUAGUCCCUGUAAUUUAAAAGUUAAAAAAAUUCAAUCCUCCUAUUUUUCUAAUUUAAAAAUUCUAGUCCAAUCAAUUUUAAUUCCAUUAAAAAAUUUCAACUUAAUAGAUUUUUUAUUAUCAAUCAUAUGCAACAUUAUAUGAAGACAGUCUACUCAGCAUAUAUCCAAGUUUACAGAUUUUAAUAGAAAAUACUUACAAUCCUAAUGGUAGGACUAAGUUUUUUAAACUAGAAAAGUAAGAAGACUUAAUUUUUAACUUUUUAAGUACAAGGAUUAAAUUUUAAAUGUUGUCAAAGUACAAGCACUAACAAAAUAUUUUGAUCUAAUAAAUGUAAAAAACUUUUUAAACAAAAUAAGGUUUGAAAUAAUCUAUUUGUCCUUGUAAUUUUAUAAAUUUGAGAUUUAAUCUUUAUACUUAAAAGGUUAAAAAUUAAGUCUUCUUGUUUUUAUUUAAAAAUCUUAGUCCUAUUGUUAAUAUUAUUUUUUUUUUGCCAAAAUUUGUCAACUUUACAUAUUAAUUAGGUUUCCCUUAUAUGUCGUGGUAUAUGACUAACACAAAAUAAGCAAGUUGACAAAUUCUGACAAAAAAUAUCAAAGAUGAUAAUAAUUGGAUUAAAAUUUUUAAAUUGAAUUAAUAACCUUUAAUGUAUAAGGAAUGGAUAUCAAAUAUUUAUAGGAAUAAAGGGACUAACAACAUAUUUUAACCAGAAAAUAAUAUGAGUGAUUAGAAUGAAUCUAAAAUUUUAUAGAAAUAAAAGAGACUAACAACAUAUUGAUAACUUUCAAAUCUCCUUCGAUCAUCCUUUUUCUACGUAGAAAAAGAAAAUUAAUUAGCAUCUAAAGUGUCAAUUAAUGAAACCUUCAAAAGAAAAUGUGAAAGUGAUUUAUCAAACAAUAAUAUUCUAACUUAUAAUAUAUUUAAUUACAUUUAGUAAUUUAUCAAUCAAAACUUAUUUAACAUCCAUCAAUACUUCAUACAUAAAAAACGCAAGCAUAAAUUACCAUUUAACUCAGAUUUAACUUUGCAAGUAAACUUAAAAUUUUAUUUAAUUUUGUUACUAAAUUUGAUUUGUUCACUAUAGAGUUUGGUGACUUAAAAUAAAAGUAAUAAAAAGUUAUUCUUUCAGAUAUCUUUUUAAUGUUUAAUAAUAAAUUAAUUUAUAAAAUAUACUUUCAUUGGACACAGGCCUCCAAAGCGGUGAACCACUAAUCAAAUUAAUUUGGGGAUACCUAAAUUUGUUUUCAUCAAUUAAGAAAUUUAAAAAAUUGUUGAGACCUCAUGAUUAUCUUUUAUAAUUUCAGUCUUAUCACCAAAAACUAAAAAAUAAAAACGUCGACAUUAAAUUUGUUGGUAUGCAAUCAAUUUUAAGAUGGUUUUUGGGGUUAUAUAUCACUUUAGCAUUGACUUACUUUUCUACUCUUAGUCUUCUCCAACAAGUUAAAUAUUUGAAUUUUAACAACAUUGGCAGGUCUUUGGGGUAGGGUCGACCAAAACUUAAUAGAAACAGAUGAUAUAGGUUGAGUUGGCUCGGCCAAGUCGAGUCGACUUGUUCAAAUUAUUUAAAUUAGUAAAUUUUAGGGUGCAGUUAGAAUUUUUUGUUUUGAGAUGCUAAGAUUAAAAAAUUUCAGUUGCUAAAACAAAAAAUUUGUAUUUAAAAAGGCAUAAAUUAAAUAAUUAAGUUUUUCAAGUUUCCAUUUAAUCAAAGGUUAAAAGGACUAAAUUGAAGCUUUUUAUUUUUAAGAAAGGCUGAAUGCCAAAUUGCCCAAAGCCCAUGCCCCUAGCUAUACAACUAACUUUUCUAUGAUUAGUCCUUGGUUUGCUUUGGGUGGAAUCUUCCAACUAGCCUCAUCCUUCGUUUUACUUUCCAACAAUUAGUUUAUCAUGAGUUUUGUUUUCUUUAAAAAAAUAUUUUUGUGGAUAUUAGGAGAUAAUGAAAAUUAAUUUAGUAUGAAAUUUUAAUAAAACUGGAAAAUAAGUAAUUUAUUUAAGAGAUCACAAUUAAACGUUAGAUUUCCAAUUUUUAAAUUUUAAAUUAUUUUGACAAUUGCAUAAUAUUUUGAGCAUUGUAGGAAUGCCAUAAUCUUCCCUACGCAUAAUCGACUCUUGAGCAUGAUGGAUCCUAGGCCUUCUCCUCUAUUCUCGUACCACAAACUGCUUCGAGUGUGGAUUCGAACAAUCACAAAUUAAACACAAAACCAGAAAUGAUUUAUUACUUUCAAUAGCAAAGUAAUUCUCUCUCAAUAGAAACCAAUAGAAUUGUAAUUCCUAAAAAAUAAAAUUUAUUUUUGGAAAAUAUAUUCCCACUACUUUCUAGCAGAAUAAUAAUAUGUGAAACUUAUGUCUUGUGUUAAUAGCUCUACCAGCACUAUCUAUUUAUAGGGAGAGACGAGAAUCCUGGUUGACUUAGUAAAACACGAAUAAUAUUUAUUUCAUUGAAAACAAUAUUCCACCCUAAGUAGAUCAAGUUUGUAUGACGCAUGGAUCGAAGCUCAAUCUAGGAGAAAAAAAAAAGGAAUUUUCUUUGUAAAGAAAAUCUGAGAUUGUACUAUUUUCAAAGUUAUAAAUAAAAUUAUAAGCUAAAUUUUCAAGUCAAUUUUCAACUCCAAUUUUGUAUGCACAAAUUUCUAAUACACUUGGUGGGACAUUCUUUGACUUUUAUCUAUUCUCUCAAAAAGUUAAAGUUCAAAGUUGCAUUAAACUCAAAGAAGAUAAUCAUUAGUAAACCAGCUCACAAGCCUGCUCAAGCUAAUCCUACAACUUGUUCCACUUCAUCAUCAAACACCAAUGUUCUUGCUUAUCCUUAUGGAAUUAAACAGUCUCAUUUUCUGCAUUUUGGAUACACACCUAGUUUUGUUUGAUGCUAAAACAGUCCCUGAGCACUCCAAAGCCUAUAAUUGAACAAAUAACACUAAUUUAAUCUUACAUAACGUGAUCCCAAAUUGAACUUGUAUCGAGGUUUUAACCCAUAAGUGACUAAACUUUACCUUCAACCGAUGAACAGUAAUUCCCACAUAAACUAAGACUCCGAUUGGCGAUUACGAGCCCUUGAAUCCUCCCCUAAUUGGCAUAAACAAAACACUUCAGAAGAAAGUUAACAAACAGAGACAAAUCACUUAUCUAAAACUUACUGAAUGAUCACAGACAAACGUGGAGCGACACAAGGCAGAGUGGGAAAAGAAAAAUCAAGAGGAUGAAGGGUGAAAGAGAGCAGAAAUUCGGUAGCAAUAAAGAGAAAACGGUAAGAGGGUGGAGGGAUUUUGGGGAAAGUAAAAAAAAAAGAUGAACAGAAUAUUUGAUAACUACCCCAAUCCCUUAUUUCUCUCCAUCAAACUCUCCACUAAAUCCACUACUCGAAUUUUUAGUCCAUCUCAAACUCUCCUGGACGCAUGAGCAAAAAAUAAUGCCCAUGCCAAAAUUUGAACACAUGACCUCCUUCACACCAACACUCCACUUAUCCACUAGACCAACAGGCUCAUUCUUUUAAUUAUUUGUCAACUUUUACUUAAAAGCCUACUGACCAAAAAAUACCAAAAUUUGCCCAAGUCCUAGAUUGAACUUGGGACCUCCCAAACACACCCAGAACACAUAGCCAAUUUUCAAGCAAUCUGACAUGAAUUCUCAAUCACAAUUAAUUGAAUUCAAGAUAUAUUUGGAUGAGAAGACAAAUAUUUCAAUUUUAACACAAACCAAUGCUUGGGAUGAUUUGGGAUAAGAACUCCAACAUUUUAAGAUCACAUUUUCUUUUAUAAUUUCAGGCUUAUCAACUAUUUUGAAAACAACAAAACGUCUUACACCAAAAACUAAAAAAUAAAAACUUCGACAUUAAAUUUGUUGGUAUGCAAUCAAUUUUAAGAUGGUUUUUGGAGUUAUAUCUCACUUUAGCAUUGACUUACUUUUCUACUCUUAGUCUUCUCCAACAAGUUAAAUAUUUCAAUUUUAACAACAUUGACAGGUCUUUGGCCGAAUAAUUUUAAACGUCUCAUCAUUGCAAAAAUGAAAUAAUAGAAAAGAAAGAGUAGCCAUUUUAUGAAAUCUAUAAUUCCAACUGUGAAUAAAAUAUAAAUUUUAUGAAUGUGGACAAGCCAUUUUAUUUAUAAUUUUCUGUGUUUUUCUGACUUUUUUUAAGUCAUUUUCUUUGUUUCCUAACCAAAAAAUUUGCCCAUCACUUUAAAUAUAAAUUUAAAUAUAAAUUUUCUUUUUAAAAUAUAAAUUACUUGUCACAAUUCAUAUUUCUAAGUCAAUUUGCCAUCACUUUAACAUACACUAACUGUUCUAUGAUUAGUCCUUGGUUUGCUUUGGGUGCAAUCUUCCAACUAGCCUCAUCCUUGGUUUUACUUUCCAACAAUUAGUGUAUUACGGGUUUUGUUUUCCUUAAUAAAUAUUUUUGUGGAUAUUAGGAGAUACUGAAAAUUAUUUCACUAUGAAAUUUUAAUAAAACUGGAAAAUAAGUAAUUUCUUUUAAGAGAUCACAAUUAAACAUUAGAUUUCCAAUUUUUAAUUUUAAAGUUUUUUGACAAUUGCAUAAUUAAUAAGGUACCAAUUUUGAGAGUUGUAGGAAUGCUAUAAUCUUCCCUACGCAUAAUUGACUCUUGAGCAUGAUGGAUCCUAGACCUUAUCCUCUAUUCUCGUACCAGAAAUUGUUUCGAGUGUGGUUCGAACAAUCACAAAUUAAACACAAAACCAGAAAUGAUUUAUUACUUUCAAUAGCAAAGUAAUUCUCUCUCAAUAGAAACCAAUAGAAUUGUAAUUCCAAGAAAAUAAAAUUUAUUUUUUGAAAAUAUAUUCUCACUACUUCCUAACAGAAUAACAAUAUGUAAUACUUAUGUCUUGUGUUAAUAGCUCUACCAGUACUAUCUAUUUAUAGGGAGACACACGAGAAUCCUGGUUGAAUUAGUAAAACACGAGUAAUAUUUAUUUCAUAGAAAACAAUAUUCUACCUUAAGUAGAUCAAGUUUGGAUGACGCAUGGAUCGAAGCUCAAUCUAGGAGAAAAAAAUAAAGUAAUUUUCUUUGUAAAGAAAACCUGAGAUUGUACUAUUUUCGAAGUUAUAAAUAAAAUUAUACGCCAAAUUUACAAGUCAAUUUUCAACUCGAAUUUUUUAUGUACAAAUUUCUAAUAGACUUGGUGGCACAUUUUUUGAAUUUUAUCUAUUCUCUCGAAAAGCUAAAGUUCAAAGCUGCAUUAAACUCAAAGAAGAUAAUCAUUAGUAAACCAGCUCACAAGCCUGCUCAAGCUAAUCCUACAACUCGUUCCACUUCAUCAUCAAGCACCAAUGUUCCUGCUUAUCCUUAUGGAAUUAAACAAAAGACAAAAGCUCUCUAAGAGUUAUUUGAACAGACAAAAUAUUCAGAUGUGUUGAGAUGGAAAGUGACAACGCAAAGUUGAUUGAAACUAUUUGUAACGGGUUGGCUACAAUAAGUAGUGUUGUGAAGUAAGAUAGAUUCACGAUUGGUGUUCCAAAAUUGAGUAGCUAGUUAUCUUGGAAGAUCCUCCACAUUAUGUGAGAUGCUGGCUUGAAGAAGAUAUUAGACAAUUGCUAGUGACUGAUGAUAAUUUUCAUUUGGACUGAUGCUUGCUUAAUUUUCUAAGCUUAUGUUCAACCAAAAAAAAAAAAAUUAAAUAUGUCUAAAUGAUCAUAGAGUUAACAUUUAGUGUAUAAAAAAUUAAUAUAUAAUUUGUUUUCAAUUGUAGUUUAGUUCUAGAAAUACCAACGAUGAACCUUAAAACGGAAAUGAAAAUUACAAAAAAAAAAACAAACCACAUCUAUUAUCAAACCAACAAUCCAUGUCUAAACUUAAAUUAACAAAAUUCGUUACGCAACUCGGUACACUAUUUUAUAUAAUCAAUAUAUUAGAUUUAUUCUUGAUGCACAUGUUUUAUUAUAGUUAAAAAUUAAAAUAUAUGAUUUACUAAGUUUUAAUUGAAUUAGUAUUGGUAUUAUAUCAGUGUAGGAAAAUGUGAGUUUAAUCGUACUUAAAUAUGUAUCCUCCAACUCAACAGUUGGGAAAAGGUUAUUGAUAAUUAAAUUAUACCAAUUUUUACAAUAUCUAAAAAGCAUUCAUAAACAUAUUCAUAUUGAUGGGCUCUUUCAUUAUUAAACUUUUUUUCUCUCACAAGUAAAAGUACUUGUGGUGAGGAUCAUGUAAAAUAAUAAACUGAAUAAUUUUAAACGUCUCAUCAUUGCGAAAAUGAAAUAAUAGAAAAGAAGCCAUUUUAUGAAAUUUACAAUUCCAACUGUGAAUAAAAUAUAAAUUUUAUGAAUGUGGACAAGCAAUUUUAUUUAACUUUUUUUAAAGUAAUUUUCUUUGUUUCCUAACCAACAUGAAAUUACUUGUCACAAUUCAUCUUUUUAAAUGAGAAACAUUUUCAACAAUUUGCCAUCACAUCAACAUACACUAACUUUUCUAUGAUUAGUCCUUGGUUUGCUUUGGGUGCAAUCUUCCAACUAGCCUUAUCCUUGGUUUUACUUUCCAACAAUUAUUGUAUCCUCCUCAUUACUUUUACUUACCGACGGAUGAAAAAUUCACUGAUCAAAUUAAUUCAAAGAUUUUUUUUUUCUAAAUCAAGUGAAUUCACGAGUUUUAUUUUCUUUAAAAAAUAUUUUUGUGGAUAUUAGGAGAUACUGAAAAUUAUUUUACUAUGAAAUUUUAAUAAAAUUGGAAAAUAAGUGAUUUAUUUAAAGGGAUCACAAUUAAACAUUAGAUUUUUAAUUUUUUAAUUUUAAAUUUUUUUGACAAUUGCGUAAUUAAUAAGGUACUAAUUUUGAGCAUUGUUGGAGUGCUAUAACCUUCCCUAUGCAUAAUCGACUCUUAAAUUCACUUUUUUCUCUAGAAUUUUAACAAACUUACAAAAUGAUUUAAUGAUAUUUAAUUAUUGAUGGGUAAAAAAAUUAUAUCAUAUAAAUUCCGAAUAAUUAAUUAUAUAUCUACAUAUUAUAACCAAUUCAUCUUUCAAAAUUAUUUCCUUAUAAUUAAAGCAAAAAUUAUAUUUAUAAAAUUCUAAAUAUAUUAUAAUUCUUGUAAAUAUAUAUAUUUACAUAUAUAAGUCCAAAUUGUAAUAGAGUUAACAUUUAUUGUAUAAAAAAUGUCUUGAAAUUUUUUUUUUCAAUUUCAAAAGAACUAUUCCAUUUAUAAAACCAUAAAACUUUAAAAAUAUAAACUCUAUUAAAUAAAAAUAAUAAUAUUUUUAAACAAUAAAUAUUGACUUUAUUUUAAAUUGACAUUAUCUAAUUCUUUUUAAUAUGUAUCGCUAAGCUUUACAUUAAUAUACAUGAUUUAUUUGUUCGUUAUUAUUAUUAUUAUUAUUAUUAUUAUUAUUAUUAUUAUUAUUUCUAUGAUUAUUAUAUUAUACUUAUCGGACUACAAUCAUAACCAUGUCUAUUAUCAUUCGAUAAAAAAAAAUUAAGUGUUGAGUAUAAUGACAAGGCACAUUACACUCUGAAGGGGAGAUUAAGGUUUGGACAAAGGAAGAAUAUGAUUCAAAUUUUGGAGACAACAUUCUUGAAAUGAGCAACCAUAAACCCCGAUUAUGAACCAUAAAACGAUCAUGAAAAGUACCCAAAAAAACACAUUUAUUACCAAAUAGUAAUCCAUCUAAGGAUUAAAUUAACAAAAUUCACCAUCCAACCGUGUAGACUAUUAUAAAUAUAUAUACUAUAUUUAUUCUUCAUGCAAAUGUUUAUUAUAUUUAAAAAUUAAAAUAUAUGGUUGAUUGAGUUUUAGUUGUGUUAAUAUUGAAAUUAUUGUCAGUGCAAAAGAACAUGAGUUCAAUCAUGUUUAAAUACGUUUUAUACUCCAAUUUAGGAGUUGGAGAGGAUUCUCAAUAGUUAAAUUAUAUUAGUUUUUGUCUAUUUAAAAAUGAUUUAUAAAUAAUAUAAGUAGAAAAUUUUAAAAAAAAUACAUAUUCAUAUUGAUCGGCUUUUUCAUUAUUAGACUUUUUUCCCCACAGUUAAAAGUAUUUAUCGAAUUCAAAUUUUGGGUUUUAAAUAAGGGUUUCGGAUUUUUUUUAAACAUUUGUGUGAGUUUUUGCCAAAUUUUAUAUUUUCGGAACGAAUAACUAAGUUGAUUUUUAAUUACUUUUUCAAACAAGUCGAUGUAAUUCCUCAAAAAUCUAGUCAAAGCGUCUAGGCUGGGUUUGGAGGUGUUACACUAACGUUACUAAAGUUAAUCUUAAUCUAUUUAGUCUAGAUCUAAACAUCAAUAUUCUCUUCCAAGAAAAAUCAAGAUUAUCAAAUUAUUACAACUGUGUAGCCAGACAAUCAUAUUAAAUAUGCAUAAAACAUAAUAAAUAAUUAGCGAAGAUUGAAACAAUCAAAGAAAAAAAUAAAUAAAUAAACUAAGAAAUAAGGAUCCAUUAUUGUUUCAAGAAAACAGAGUUUAGUUCAUAUUGAGUUGAGAAAACCAGAAAGGAGAUUCAAAACAAACUUGUGAUAAGGGGAACAAUGUCAAUAGAUCAUAUUCAAGUUGUUCGACUUCAGAUUUGACCUGAAAAGAAGAAACCAAACAUAUUUAGGAAAACAAGAAAAAACAAAGAAAAAAAACUAAAAUGAGAAAUUUAAGAAUAAAUAAUAAAUAUUAAAAAUAAAUAAAGAAAUUAUAGAAUAAAAAGUGGCAGAUGGAAUGAAGAAAUGAUGGAUAUAAAUAAAAGAUGGAUAUGACAUAUAGAUGAAUAAGUGUCUGAUAACUCUUGAAAAAAAGUUAUAUUUCAUGCCUUUAGACCUAGCUAAUUGCUUGUACUUAAGUAUAUUUUGUUGCUUUUUAAGACAUUUUAGUGAGCAUUUUUAAUAUUGUAUUAGGACUUAGACUGAGUUGGAAUUAGGUGCUUUUAAUCGCUUGUGGUGGAGUUUUUUGUGUGUUGGUAUGGCAGGAACAGGUUUUAGAUCGAGGAAAUAAAUGAGUGAAGUUUUGUUUGGGCAAAAGUGCAUAUAGUUUUCCAACAAGGAUGCCGUGGCAAUGCCGAGAAGACCAAGUUCAUAUUUUUUGUGCAACAGUCCUAGUUCAAAUUCAAACUUGUAUGAGAUAAAUCCCCCUAAAAGAGGAGAAGAUAAUUACAUUGAUGUUAGUUGACCCUAGCCUAAUCUAUCUAUUAAAUCCAAUGAAAGGGAUCUCACAAAUGGUAGAAAAAAGUGAGAGAGAUCUUUAGGGGUGAAUAAGGGUUUGGCUGUGCAAAGGAAAAGAAGUCAAGGGCAAUCAUUCUUAGCCUUCACAGGACGUUUUGUUGCCAAAGUGUGGACUGGGCAAGUGAAAGCUGUUUCCCAAAGUUCUUCUGUUAUUUCCAUCAGUGUUCCUUCGAAAGAUUGAAUUGAAGUAGUUGAACACAAUGUCAGAUAAUAUUUUGGUUUGAAAUUCUAUUUCCCAGUUUAUGAGCUAAAUCUCAUAAGGUUGGGAUUACUUUCGAUGAAACCUUUAAUUUUUUUUAUGGAUGCAAUAUAUAUCUAAUUUACAUUACAGUUUCAUUUGAUUGUUCUUAUUUCUUAAUUAAAAUGCAAAUGAUCUCUAGACAUAGAAGACUAUUCACAUACUUAUAAACUGAUUAUAAUUCUAAAAGGGUUGGAUUAAAAUUAAAUGAAAUGAGCAAGUAUUUGAUAGACACUUGUAGCCGACUCCAGACAUAGAGUCACGAUCAUACAGAAGGAACCCAUGCAAGAUAUCUGAAAAGCCUUUAGACACAGGCAAGGCAACUUGAGGUUAUUCUCUCACACGAGGCAGACCAUUUUAGAACUCUUCUGUGUUGUAAAGUAGAUACGAUUUUGCCAAGGCAUUAUUGACAAUAAGGGUUGAUUCUGGGUAAUCCCGACCUUCCAAAUCCACAUCGUAUAUCCUUCAUUAUUUUCCAUAGUAUCUUUUCCACAUCAUUAUUAAUUAUUUAUUUGUUCAUUUACAUAAUAUUCCCAUAGUAAUUCUCAUAAUUGCCAUUACAUUUCUACUCUCGAUUUGCCAUAGCAUUACCAAAUAUUCAUUAAUUCCACAUAUUGAUUACAUCAUUACUCUACUCAUUGCCAUUGCAUAUUUAUCAUUGACUUUGUCACAACAUUAAUUGUAUUUUAUGAUAAUAACUUGAUCGAUUUUGUGCCUCAAUCUGAUCAUCGUGGGAAUGAUACUCACUCAUCAUUUAUUACUUGAUUCAACGUGUAUACUUGCACAAAUCGCAUAUCAUUUCACAUGCGACAAUGUCCAAUUGAACCCUUUAAGAUAUAAACUCAAACAAACUCAAUUAAUGGCUUUAAUCAACCCACCAAGAAAUAAUCCUUGGCAAAUUGAAGGAUGAAUAAUGAAUUCCCAUGACUCCUUAAAGAAAAUUGAGAAGAAAACUGCUUCUAAAAAUUACAAGAAACAAUCUUGCACAAAGAAACUAACCUUGAGAGUUGGAAAUUUUAGUAACGAACAAAGACAAUUGUGUCUCUAAUGACCAUGAAAGAGCUUUACAUAGGCUAGAUAAGUACAUCCAAAUAAAAUUUCGAAGUAUCUUAAAACUUUAAUUAAUGUAAGCAAAAAGUAAUUUUCAACUAAAAUAGUCAUAAUUUCCGUAAUAAUCCCGUCUAGAAAUUCUACUCACAUAGUCAUCACUAAAAUAGUCAUCAUUUGAGCUCUUGAACUAGAAAUUGAGUGAAUAAAAGUGUGUUUGAUAGACCUUAGAACUCCAUCAAGACAUAUCAAUCGAAAAAUAUUUGGAUCCCAUCCAAAAAGUCAUUGCAAGUUAACUGAUUUUCCAAACUUGAAAAUUGGCAGCUUCAGUGAAUGAAAUUUAAUAAAGUUCACCCCAUCUGCUCAUGUAUAAACUUGCAGUGGUAAAAAGUAAAAAGAAAUAAUCUAUAGAGAAAAUAGUUGAAGAAUUUAUGACAAUUUAUUCAGACCUUUUUUUCUUCUAGCCUUUGCAAGCUUGAAGUUUCCGUUGGUGUGUGAGAGUUGUUCCUUACCCUUUAAGUUAUUUCUUUUCUUUUCCUUCUUUUUCUUUCUCUUCGAUCUCAUCACCUAAGGGUGCUCAAACAACUGAUUCAGUUAAUACCCGAACAAAGCUAUCAUUAAAUGAAAUUUUGAAACCCUUAAUCAUUAAUGAAACCAAUUUUUUGUUGAAACCUAUUAACCGGCCGGAUUGAUUUCGGUUAAUUUGUGCAGUUAACCAGAAUUUAUACAUUGUUUGUUUUUUAUCAAACAAUUUUAAAACAAAGAACAAUCCAUGACAACUUUUUCCUUGUUUUUUAUUCAAAAAUUAUUAAAAGAACUAAAAAAAAUAACAUAAUAACAACACUAAAUUAAAAACAUAAUAGCAUUCAUUACAGUACAAAUCUUUUUUCUUUUUUUUCUUUUUGUUGACUUUUUAGUUUAAUUUUAGUUUUUUUUCAAAUAUUUUAGUUUUCAUAUUCUUGUUAAGCUUAUUAUAAGAAAACUUAUAAAUCCAUUAGUUUUUAUAUAUUAGGUUUGUAUAAUGUAUUGGAGCUAUCUCUAUAAUAUAUUUUUAUUGAUUUCGGUUAAUCAAUUAAUUCGGUUAAUUAGUCGAUUUCAAACGAAACUAAUUGAUAAACAAAAUCUUCAAAAACAUUUAACCAACUCCCAACCAAAUUAGAUUCGUUGAUCGCCUGCUUAAUCAAGUUAAUCAUAUGGUAAAAUGGCAUAGUUUUGGAAUGGUUUUUUGGAAUUAUUGGUAUAGGUUUAAGUUAUGAUCUUGAGAUGUUGAGUUGAAUUAAGUUUGAUAUGUAUAUUGUGAUGCCUUCAUUGGCAUAUUGGUUAGAUAUUAAAGGAUGGUUGAUUUGGUAUGUUUUUAAAAUGGUUGUUGGUAUGUGUGAUCUAAAUUGAUUAAAUGAACUUGUAAUGUUGAAUGGUAUAAUAUUUGUUGGUACAUUAGUUAGUCUUAUAGGUUGAUGGAAUUGGUAUGUUUUAAAUGUGUUUAAAAUGUGUUUUGAUUGUUUAAAUGUUUGUGGAAAUGGUGUGUCUUGGUGUACAAGAUUUGAAAUUGAAAUGGCUUGAUUUAGAAGCAACUUAUGUUGUACACCACCUGGGACACUGGUUGUCACAUGGUUGUGUGUCAUUAUUGUUUUAGGUACAGGUUUCACACAAUCUGAGACUCGGCUCACGACAUAGCUGUGUAUCACAAGUCAGUAUGUAACACGGUUUGGUACAUGGCCUGCGACAUGACCGUGUGUCCAAACUUCGAAUGUCCACACGGUCUGGGCUAUGUCACACGGGUUGGCCACAUGGCCGUGUGACCCUUGUUUUCAAGUUUUCUAAAAUUUUCUAUUUUAUUUCAAAUUGAUCCUAGAAUAUUCUCAAACUGUUUUUAGGGCCCGUAGGUUCGAAUUAAGGCCCAUAAGUGUAUGUUUGCUAUAAUUAAGUUGUGUUAAUUAAUGUUAUUAAUUAAAUGGCAUGAAUAUUUUAUUGUAAGUUAAAUGUUUUAAUUUGAACUAUAAUGCUCCGUAACUCUAAUCUGGCGACGGAGACAGGUUUGGGGUGUUACAAUUUUGGACUUGAAAUUUGUUUUGGGGCUUUGUUCGAUGUUUGUUGGAUUUUAGUGUUUUAACAUUAAACUACAAAAUUGUAUGAUUUAACAAACUAAAAAUUAGGUUUUCAAAAUUAAAACUCUGGAAGUUUCUGUUUCAAAGAUUAAGUAAUCACUUAAGUGUUUUCCCAUAAAUAAUUAAAUGGUUUUUAACAAAUGUUUUCCUUAGUUUUGGAAAUGAUAUGCCAACAUUAGUACUUUUAAAACACAUGAUUUCAAAUUCAAAUUCUUGGUUUUAAGUAAGGGUUUUCAAACUUUGAUUUUUUUUAACAUUUGUGAGAGGUUUUUGCCAAAUUUUAUGUUUUCAGAACGUGUAACUAAGUUGAUUUUUAAUUAGUUUUUCAAACAAGUCAAUGUAAUUCCUCAAAAAUCCAAUCAUAGCGUCUAGGUCGGGUUUGGGUUGUUACACUGACGUUACUAAAGUUAAUCUUAAUCUAUUUAGUCUAGAUCUAAACAUUAAUAUUCUCUUCCAAGAAAAAUCAAGAUUAUCAAAUUAUUACAACUUGGUAGGCAGACAAUCAUAUUAAAUAUGCAUAAAAGUUAAUAAAUAAUUAGCGAAGAUUGAAACAAUCAAAUAAAAAAUAAAUUAAUUAACUAAGAAAUAAGUUCCAUUAUUGUUUCAUGAAAAUAGAGUUUAGUUCAUAUUGAGUUGAGAAAACCAAAAGCGAGAUUCAAAACAAACCUGUGAUAAGGGGAACAAUGUCAAUAGAUUAUAUUCAUGUUGUUUGACUCAAGAAAGAAAUAUUCGAAUCUAACUUGAAAAGAAGAAACCAAAUAGAUUUAGAAAAAUAAGAAAAAAAAACAAAGAAAAUAACUAAAAUGAGAAAUUUAAGAAUAAAUAAUAAAUAUUAAAAAUAAUAAAGAAAUAAAGAAAUUAUAGAAUAAAUAAUGGAAGAUGGAAAUGAAACGACGGAUAUGACAUAUAGAUGGAUAAGUGUCUGAUAAUUCUUGAAAAGAGUUAUAUUUCAUACCUUUAGACCUCACUAAUUGCUUGUACUUAAGUACAUUUUGUUGCAUAUUGAGACAUUUUUGUUCGUAUUUGUAAUAUUGCAUUAGGACUUAGAUUGUGUUAGAAUUAGGUGUUUUUGAUCACUUGUGGUGGAGUUUUUAGUGUGUUGGUAUGGUAGGAACAAUAUUUAGAACGAGGAAAUAAAUGAGUGAAGUUUAGUCAGCGCAAAAGUGCAGAUAGUUUGCCAACACGUAUGCCGUGGCAAUGUCGGGAAGACCAAGUCAACAAAUUUUUGCGCAACAGUCCUAGUUCAAAUUCAAACUUGUACUAGAUAAAUCUCCUUAAAAGAGGAAAAGAUAAUCACAAGUUGUUAACCGACCCUAGCCUAAUCUAUCUAUAAAAGCCAAUGAAGGGGAUCUCACAAAUGGCAGAAAAAAGUGGAAGAGAUCCUUAGGUGCGAAUAAUGGUUCAGCUGCGCAAAGGAAAGGAAGUUGAAGGCAAUCUUUUUUAGCCAUCACAAGACGUUGUGCUGUCGAAGUGUGGACUAGACAAGUGAAAGUUGUUUCCCAAAGUUCUUUCGUUAUUUCCGUCAGUGUUCCUUCAAAAUAUUAAAGUAGUUGAACAUAAUGUUGGAUAAUAUUUUGGUUUGGAAUUUUAAUUCCUAGCCCAUGAGCUAAAUCUCGUAGGGUUGGAAUUACUUUUGAUAAAACCUUAAACUAUUUUUAUGGAUGCAGUAUAUAUGUAAUUUACUUUACUGUUUCAUUUUAUUAUUCUUAUUUCUUAAUUAAAAUGCAAAUGAUCUCUAGACAUUGAAGCCUUUCACAUACUUAUAAACUGAUUUUAAUUCUGAAAGGGUUGGAUUGGUUGGAUUAAAAUUAAAUGAAAUGAGCAAGCAUUCGGUGGACACCUGUAGUAGACUUUAGACAUAGAGUCACGCUCAUACAGAAGGAACCCAUGCAAGAUAUCUAAAAAGCCUUUAGACAUAGGCAAGGUAACUUAAGGUUUUGCUCUCACGAGAGGCAGGCCAUUUUAGUACUCUUUUGUGCUUUAAAGUAGAUACGAUUUUGCCAAGGCAUUAUUGACAGUAAAGGUCGAUUAUGGGUAGUCCCAACCCUCCAAAUCCACAUCGUAUAUCCUUUACUCUUUGCCAUAGUAUAUUUGCCACAUCAUUAUAAGUUAUUUAUUUGUUCAUUUACAUAAUAUUUCCGUUGUAAUUCUCAUAAUUAUCAUUACUUUCUACUCUCGAUUUGCCACAACAUUACUAGUUAUUUAUUAAUUCCACGUAUGGCUUACAUCAUUGCUCUACUAAUUGCCACUGUAUAUUUACCAUUGACUUCGCCAUAGCAUUAAUCAUAUUUUAUUAUAAUAACUUGACCAAUUUUGUGCCUCAAUUCGAUCCUCAUGGAAAUGAUACUCACUCAUCACUUUAUUUGUAACACCCCAAACUCGGCCUAGACGUUAUGGCCGAAUCUGGUGAUGUCACAUGGAGAGGGAUUUGAAGACAAGAUUGUUGAGUUUAAAAACCGUUACAGUAAGUUAGCUUUUAUUUAGGGAAAAUCGUGUUUUGUAGAGUUGUAGUUUUUAGGAAAAAAAUCGUGUUUUGUAGAGUUGUAGUUUUUUUAAAAAACCCAAUAAAAAAUAGUAUAAAGUCCCAAAUUUAAAACCAAUCAGUCCAUAGUCCAGAAGAUACAUCAAAAACUCAAAAUAAGUAAUAAAUUCUAGGCAUUAACGGAAAACAAUCUAAAAUUUACGUGUGGCCACCAUUGAGUCCUCUGCUGCACCGAUUCGUCAAGUCUGAGGAUUACCUAUACAAAUUAAAUAGAGAAAGGGUGAGUUGUCGCAAACUUAGUGUGUAAUCCCCACAGAAAACAUGCAUAGAGAUAAUUAACAAAAUUUAGUUAGAUACAGUCUAGGGCCUGUGCCCAUCAUAGAAUCAGUUUGGGCCUUAGCCCAUUCAGAUAUAGUCUUAGAAAUACAUUAGGGCAUUGACCAGCCUCUACAAACCACCUCCAUCCAACCAUACACACCAUGUGGGGAUUAAAUCAACCAACCCAUCCCUACACACCAUGCUGUACCGAAAUGCGGCACAUAAUUAGAAGGUUGCAGCUGGGCUGCCAGAUAACAUAAGUCAUGCUCGGUAUAGAAAUCAGACAGACAGAUCACACAUAUAGGUGUCUAAGUAAAGCUUACUGACCCUACAGUAGGUCCACAGUUAACUUGGGCGACCCGUGCAAAAUUACAGAACUUUUUAGAAAAAUGGGCUUACACGCCUAUGUGGCCCACUCGGCCCAAAUUGGCCUUGACCACGUGAUCCAUUUUUAAUGUAACCAGUGCUAGUUAAUUAUUCAUAUAUGUUUUCACUAUUUACUUAUAUGUUAAUUUAAAGCUGUCUACUUGAGUCACUGUUACUAAAUUAUUUAUAUCUUGAGCUACAGAAUUUCAAAUUAAGAUCCGCUUAAUGUCUUUGAAACUAGACUCAAAUAUCUUUCUACUAUAAAAUUUUUAUAAUUUUUGGUUGAGCCAACAAGUACAGUAAAAUCUUCAAACCUUCCCCUAUUCUGCUGUCUGACAACUUCAACCCUUCUUUGCUAAGAAUUAAUUAUCUCUUAGUACAAGAUUUGGAUGAUGUUUACAUUUGUUUCUAUUGAAAAUAAACUCAUUAAUAAUUUAAAAAUGUAAAUUUUAAACCCCUAAUUAUUUUUCUCCAAUUUUUGAUGAUUUUCCAAAUUUAGAACAGGGGAACCUUAAUUCUUUCUGACCUUGUCUCACGAAGUUUAUUAUACCUCACAAUUUACAAUUCCAUUACUUACAUCGUUUAAGAUUUAAUUCCAUAUUUUUUUCAUCCUCUAAUUCAAUUUCCACAAUUUAUGGCAAUUUUUCAAAGUUAACCUACUGUUGUUGUCCAAACAGCAAGCAAUUUUGGCUUUUCGCCGAAUCCUUUUUUUUGCAUUUCGGGUACACACCUGGUUUUGUUUGAUGCUAAAACAAUCCCCGAACACUCUAAAGUCACCAAUGAUAACCAUCCAUUUAAAUAUUGUUAACACGAGAACACUGAAUUCACUAGUCCGAGUCUCCCCCUACGCCCAAAUCGCAGAGAAAAUACGUUACCACUUUAGUCGCUAAAAGAUUCAUGAUAGAAAAGAAGAGAAACACUUACCGAACUAAGCGAGCACUAACCGUGUGUGAAAAUGAAGGAAAAUAAAUGGAUUAGGGAAAAAUCAAGAACAAGAAAAAGAAGAAAAAGAAAAACUCAGAGAAUUUCAACAAGAGGAGAGGGAGAAGAAUAGACGGCGAAUAAAAUUCUGAUAACCCCCAAAAUCCCUUAAUCUUCUCCCCUAAUUCCCACUACACAUCCACUAUUCAUAACCCCCUAUUACAUAACUCUAUCCGAAAUCUGAUAAAAAAAAACAUAAUACCCUUGCCUGCAUAGGGGUUCAAACACAAAACCUCUACUAUAAUAACACAUCAUUUAACCACCAGACCAGCAGGCCCAUUCUGAUGUAAUUUACCCAAAAAUCAAAUAAAAGCCUACUCAACAAGAGUAAAGCCUAAUUCAUUCAAAAUACCAAAAUUUGCCCAAGCAAAAGCUUGAACUUGGGACCUCCCAAACACUCCCAGAACACAUAACUACUAAAGCUGACAAAUAUUUGUGUCAUAUUUUCACAAUAAUGAAAUUAGAAAUUUUGGGACAUUACAUUAUUACUUGAUUCAACUCUUGCACAAAUCGCAUAUCAUUUCACACACAACAGUGCUCAAUUGAACCCUUUAAGAUAUGAAAUCUAACAAACUCAAUUAAUGGCUUUAAUCAAUCCACCAAGAAAUAAUCAUUGGCAAAUUGAAGGAUGAAGAAUGAAUUCCCAUGACUCCUUAAAAAAAUUGAUAAGAAAACUACUUUUAAAAAUCACAAGAAACAAAUCUUGCAUAAAGAAACUAACUCUCAGAGUUGGUAAUUUUAGUAAUAAACAAAAACAAUUGCGUCUCUAAUGAACAUGAAGGGGCCUUUACAUAGGCUAGAUAAGUACAUCCAAAUAAAAUUGUCAAAUAUCUUGAAACUUUAAUUAAUGUAAGCAAGAAGUAAUUUUAAACUAAAAUAGUCAUAAUUUUCGUAAUAAUCCCGUCUAAAAAUUCUGCUCACAUAGUCAUCAUUAAAACAAUCAUAAUUUGAGCUCUUGAACUCAAAAUUGAGUGAAUAAAAGUGCGUUUCGAAGUUAAGUGAUAGAUCCUAGAACUCUAUGAAGACAUAUCAAUCAAAAAAAUAUCUGGAUCCCAUCCAAAAAGUCACCGCAAGUUAACUAAUUUUUCAAACUUAAAAUUUGGCAGCUUCGGUGAAUGGAAUUUAAUAAAGUUCACUCCAUCCAUUCAUGUAUCAACUUGCAUUGGUAACAAGUAAAAGAAAAAAAUCUAUAGAGAAAAUAGUUGAAGAAUUUAUGACAAUUUAUUCAAAUCUCUUUUUCUUCUAGUCUUUGCAAGCUUGAAGUUUCCCUUGGUGUGAGAGAGUUGUUCCUUACCCUCUAAGUGAUUUUUUUCUUUUUCUUUCUCUUCGAUCUCGUCACCUAUUGGUGUUCAAACAAUUGAUUCAGUUAAUACCCGAACAAAACUAUCAUUAACUGAAAUUUUGAAACCCUUAAUCGUUAAUCAAACCAAUUUUUUUAAAAAAAACCUAUUAACUAGCUGGAUUGAUUUCGAUUAAUUUUAGCGGUUAACCAGAAUUUAUACAUGGUUUUUUUUUGUUCAAAAAAUUUUAAAACAAAGAACAAUCCAUGACAAUUUUUUCCUUGUUUUUUAUUGAAAAAAUUAAAAGAACUAAAAAAAUAACAUAAUAACAACAAUAAAUUAAAAACAUAAUAGCAUUCAUUACAUUACAAGGCAUAUAUAUAUAUUUUUACUUUUUCUUCACUUUUUAGUUUAAUUUUAUAUUUUUUAAAAUAUUUUUAGUUUUCAUAUUUUUGUUAAGCUUAUUAUAAGAAAACUUAUAAAUCCAUUAAUUUUUCUAUAUUGGUUUUGUAUAAUGUAUUGGACUUAUCUCUAAUAUAUUUGGCCUAUAAUAUAUUUUUAUUGAUUUCGGUUAAUCAAUUAAUUCGGUUAAUUAGUCGAUUUCAAACUAAACUAAUUGGUAAACAAAAUCUUCAAAAACCUUUAACCAACUCCCAACCAAAUUAGAUUUGAUUGCUUAAUCAAAUUAAUUAGGUUUGAUAAAUUAAUUCGUUAAAACCAAAAAAUCCACACCCCUAUCAUCACCUUUAUUUUUAGGGAUUUUAAUCAUGUUGCUGCACCUGAUGCAGAAGUUGAGGUGGAACGAACUGCUUGCUACCACAAUUUAUGAAUUAUAGAGCAUGCUCCACCGUAGUGAAUCAAAUUCGGUGGAGUAGAAGACUUUUCUUCACUACUUUAUGCUCUAUGCUCCAAGUCUUCUAUUCUUCUUCUGAGACCUACAAUGGGAAAAUAAAAACUAAGAAACAAGUCUAAACUAACUUUGAAAAUUAGAAAUUUUCAACAAAAUUGAAAUAAAAUAUAAUUAAUCCAUAAAAAACUAUAAAAUGCAAUAAAAACAAACCUAAAUACUAAAAUUACCUCCUAAAAUGCUGUGGAAACUAUACUAAAAUAACUCUAAAUAUGAUAGUUAUCAGAAGCGACUUGAAUAAGCCAAUCGAGUAGAUGAUUUCAACUAUUGCAAAUAGCAUCAGUCGAUUAACCAUCCUCUUGAGAAGAUCAUAGAGUUGAAAGAAAAAAUCAUACAACUCCAUGAAGAAGAAAAAAUCAUGUUUGAAAAAGAAGUGGCAUUAUCAAACUUGACAUCAAUGCUUUGGUUUCUCAAUACAAUAUUAAGGAGAAAUUCAUCAAAUUUGGCUCUUUCACUCCUAUUACACUAGCUCUAAGUAGAAGUAAGAUGGUGAAUUUCGAAGGGAUUGGGGACAAUCAUCUAUUUUUGGAAUAUCAGAAUGGUCAUGAUUGGACUCAAAGAAGCCAAUGAAAUGCAUCUCUCCUAGGUAUAAGCUUAUAUUGUCACAUUGCUCCUAAGCACGAGCAUAAAUUGUUCAUCCAAAAUGAUGAUGCUCCUAAGCAUGAGCUUAAACUGUUCAUCUAAUGCUCCUAAGAAGGAGCCUAAACUAUUCAUAAAAAAUAAAUGAUGAUCCAGUGAAGCACGAGAUUAAACUAUUCAUACGAAAUAAAUGAUUACCUCCUAAGCAUGAAUUUAAAUUGUUCAUACAUAAUAAAUGAUGAUACUCCUAAGCAUGAGCUUAAAUAGCAGUCCAAAAAAAAUUGAACAACAUUAUAACUUUAUCUUUUAAAAAUGAAGGUACGUAGAUAGCCUGGUUUCAUUGCCAAGUUCAGUCAGUGAAACAAAUUCUUGAAAGUAGGAAGCAAAUAAAAUUUCAAGACUUGUACCCUUUCUACGCCCAACAAAAUUCAGAAUUCAGCAUUUGUUAUUACUGUUUAUCUCUAACUAAAUUAAUGAAAAGAUAAAUCAAGAAAUUAAAUCCUUUUAGAACUGUCUUAUAAAGAAACCAUAUUCUUUAAGGAUUACUUUAUCUAUAAUUAAUUAAAUUAAUAAGAUAUGAAUAAUAAUAAUAGAGUUUAAAUUCUUAUAGAACACUCAAAUGAAAAAGCUAAAUUCUACAACAACUCUCUUAUAUCAAAGUGAUUGGGCACUAUAAAAAUGGGUCACCUCCAAGUCAUUCUACACAUUCACAAGUUCAAGAAGUUCAAAAAUUCUUUACGAAAAUAUGAAGAAACUAAAGAAGUAGAAGAAAUUCUGAUGAACAUCAUAUCAGUUCUAAAGAAAAACUGCCUCCUAUCCAAUUCAAUUGAGAGGAGGAUGUCAACAGAAGAGAAGAAUCGAAGAAGUUUUGUUUGUAAAUAAAUUCAAAACUAUACACUCUUCGAAAUAAUAAAUAAAAUUUGACGCAAAAUUUUCAAGUCAAUUCUCAACUUAAAAUUUGCGUGUACAAUAUAUAUAGGAAAGAAUCCAUUUACAUUAUAUAAAACUAGUGUAUGUAUAAUACAGAAAUAUUUAGUACAUUAUCAAUAAAGUUUUUAAACUAUGCACUGUGAUUAAAACCAAAAUAAUAAUAAUAAUAACAACCAAUCACUUUAUUUGACUAACUUUUCCCUACAAGUCUUUAGUAUGGAGACAAAUCAGUUUAAUCAGCCUUUGGAGCUAUUAACUGACAUUUCCACCAUUGAUUUGAAAAUCCUAACCCAUCAAUUCACUUUAAAUGAAACGAGAUCCACUAGUGUUUGGUGUUAUAUUUUUAAAAUGUAUUUAGAUUAUUGUUUAUUAAUUUUAUUUGUUUAUAUUUAAAUCAAAUGUAAUAAAUUGUUGAAUUUAUAUACUUCAUAUUAUAACAAUAUAUUUUAACUUGCUACUUCUCUUUUUAAUUUAAUUUUUUGUAACUCUUCACAAUUUAUUUUGAAAAAAAUUGAAAAAACUAAAUGAUUAAAUUAAGGCUCAACUUUUCACUAACCUUAGUUUAUUUAGUCUAACUUUUCACAAAUUAAUAUACUCAUUUCAUGUUUCAUACCAACAACUUUUCUUUUUGGUAAAAAGAAAAAACAACUAUACGUUUUUUUUAAUCCCAAAAUUAAGGCUUUAUGAAUGAAAAUAAUAUUAUAUUAACUAUGAUAAUUAAGUCUUUAUUUUUAAUAUGAUUAAUAUUAUAUAUAAUAACUUUAAAUAUGCUUCCACUAAUCAGAUAUACUAAAGGAAAGAGUAACUUUCUUUUUAUGGUAACUAAUUUUCAAUUAUGUAUUUUAAUCUAUCACUAAAUAAUUAAUUAUAAUCAAGAUGUUAAUUUUCCAUAAAAUGUACAUAAUUUUGGUUGGUAUAUUAAUAAAUUUAGCCCUAAAAAUUUACACAUGCAAUUUGGUCUUAAUUUAACAAAAUUUUCCCGCAACAUUUGUGUAAAUAUGUAAAUGUUGAGGUUAAAUUUCUUGAAUUUUUUUUAAAAAAUUAAGGUCAAAAUGACAAAAAUAUAAAUAUUGAAAACUAAAUUUAUUACUGUACCAAUCAAAAUGACAAAAUAUAGCUAGGGACAUGGGCUUGACCGAGCCAACUCAACCUAUUUCAUCUGUUUCUAUUGACUUUUGCUCGACCCUACCCCAAAGACCUGUCAAUUUUGUUAAAAUUGAAAUAUUUAACUUGUUGGAGAAGACUAACUGUAGAAAAGUAAGUCAAUGCUAAAGUGAUAUGUCGACGUUUUGUUGUUUUCAAAAUAGUUGAUAAGCCUGAAAUUAUAAAAGAUAAUCAUGAGGUCUUAAAUGCAAUUAUGAUAUUUCUAAAAAGAUAUUUCUCAACAAUUUUUUUAAUUUCUUGAUUGAUGAAAACAAAUUUAGGUAUUUCCCAAUUUGUAAAAACAUGAUUUUUCUUUGAAUUUCUAGGUUUUUCUUAGCUUUUUUUUAUAUUAUUUUGGAAUUUUUGUAAUCUUCUUAUAAUUUCUUAAAAAAUAAUAUAUUUGUAAAAAUUUUUAAACCAUAAAUACCAAUUAAGAAGAAUGUGAUAAAAUUAGGGGUAAAUGUGUAUUUAAGCCAAAGAAAAUAAAAGAAUAAUAAUGAAAUUCACCUAAAAACAAUUACAAGGACUAGAUGAACAAUUUGACCUAAAACUUUGUUUGAAAUGAUGUCAUUAAUGUGUUACAUCAGCUUUCUUAGAGAGAUAAAAAUUAAAUGAAUAUGAGAUACAUGAAACUUGUAUCUCUUUCCAAUAAUUUAACAUUAUUUCAAUAUUUUCAUCUUGAAUUCACGAGUGAAGCGUACAUCAUAUACCAACUCAAUUGGAAAAAAGUCUUUAAAUUAUUUUUAAAUUGUAACAAAUAUUAUUAUUAAGAUGUUUUUCUUUUUAUAUUUUUUAUAAAAUAUAUUAAAAAACAAUUAAAAUAAUUUUAAGAGAAAAAAACUCAUACAAGGUAGAAUUUAAUCUAAAGAUGUCAAAGUUUUAAAGCCUCAACUUUAACAUUUCAACCGAAAUUCCAUUAGUAUAUAAAUAUUUAUAAAUAUAGAUUUUAUAUAAAAAAUUUUAUGUAAACUUUUUUUUAACCCGCAUCACAAGUACACCAUAUUUAGAGAUAUUCAUAGUUAGGCAGUCCACUUUGAGUCAAGCUUGAGCUUAGGUUUUCAAUCUCAAGUUGGCCCAAUUCAACUUAUUUUACUACUUAAAAAUAUAAAUAUAUGUUAUAUUGAUAUUUAUAUAUGUCUAUAGUUAAAAAAUUAUUAAAAAUAAAUUCAACUUAUUUAUUAAUUAAAAAUAUAAAUAUAUGUCUAUAAUUAAAUUUUAAAGAAAUUUAUUGUUAUUUUCUAAACAUAAAACAAAGAAAACUUUCACCCAAAUUAUAAGUUUGUGGUCAGGCAGCCCACUUUGGGACUGGAAUCAGCUUACUUUUUUAAUCUUGGGCUUUAAAAAUAAUAAAAAUAUAAAAAUAAUGUUCUAUUAAUAUUUAUAAAUUUUAUAAAUUUAAAUUUAAUUAUAUUUUUUAAACAGUAAAAUCAACCAUUUAUAUGGGCUAAAUUGAGUUAAGUUCGGUUUGCAUCAAGCCUUAACUUUGACCAAAUCCAACUAAAAACACCUCUAACCAUAAUCUAGUAUUGUUUUUAUGAAUUCAAUUUUAACUUGUAAUUUUCAAUUCUAUUACAAAAUUUCUUUGCCUACGAUAAGAAAAUAACAUAUUUGUAACUAAGUAAUUAAUUAAGUUAAUGUCACGAGUGAAUCAUACAUUAUAUGCCAACUCAAUUGGAAAAAGUUUUUAAAUUAUUUUUAAAUUGUAACAAAUAUUAUUAUUAAGAUGUUUUUCUUUUUAUAUUUUUUAUAAAAUAUAUUAAAAAACAAUUAGAAUAAUUUUAAGAGAAAAAAACUCAUACACGGUAGAAUUUAAUCUAAAGAUAUCAAAGUUUUAAAGCCUCAACUUUAACAUUUCAACUAAAAUUCCAUUAGUACAUAAAUAUUUUAUAAAUAUAGAUUUUAUAUUAAAAAAAUUAUGUAAACUUACAUAUAUGGUUCGUCAUGCAAAUGUUUAUUAUAUUUAAAAAUUAACAUAUAUGGUUAUUGAAUUUUAAUACUGGCUUGAGGAGUCGACUCUAUUGUAGAUUCUAGAUUAAUCUAAUAUUUCACCCUCUUUUAAUUUUCUUUAUUGGAAGAGUCUUUAAGAGAUAAGUUAAGUAGUAUAGCAGUUUCAUCUAAAACAACAUCUCUGCUAAUCACAACUUUUCUAUUUUUAGGACACCAUAACUUAUACCCUUUUACAUCAGCUUUAUAACCAAUAAAAACACAUUUAAUGAAUCUCGGUUCCAAUUUUUCAUUAUCAACAUGAGCUUACGAAGGACACCCAAAGAAUUUAAUCUAAAGAUAUCAAAGUUUUAAAGCCUCAACUUUAACAUUUCAACCGAAAUUCCAUUAGUAUAUAAAUAUUUUAUAAAUAUAGAUUUUAUAUAAAAAAAUUUUAUGUAAACUUUUUUUUAACCCGCAUCUCAAGUGUACCAUAUUUAAAGAUAUUCAUAGUUAGACGUCCACUUUGGGUCAAGCUUGAGCUUAUGUUUCCAAUCUCAAGUUGGCCCAAUUCAACUUCUUUUACUUUUUAAAAAUAUAAAUAUAUGUCUAUAAUUAAAUUUUAAAGAAAUUUAUUGUUAUUUUCUAAACAUAAAACAAAGAAAACUUUCAUCCAAAUUAUAAGUUUGUGGUUAGGCAGCCCACUUUGGGACAGGAUUCAGCUUACGUUUUUAAUCUUGGGCUUUAAAAAUAAUGUUCUAUUAAUAUUUACAAAUUUUAUAAAUUUAAAUUUAAUUAUAUUUUUUAAACAGUAAAAUCAACCAUUUAUAUGGGCUAAAUUGAGUUAAGUUCGGUUUGCAUCAAGCCUUAACUUUGACCAAAUCCAACUAAAAACACCUCUAACCAUAAUCUAGUAUUGUUUUUAUGAAUUGAAUUUUAACAUGUAAUUUUCAAUUUUAUUACAAAAUUUCUUUACCUACAAUAAGAAAAUAACAUAUUUGUAACUUCUCCAAUUCGACGUAAAUGUUCAGUCUGAAUUCAGAAGAUUACAUCAGCCAUAAAGAUGGCCUAGCAAGGUUAUUAGAGUUUUCAAAAACAGGCAUCUUUAAAAUGCUUGUUUAAUUUAUACAAAAACUUAUUUAAUUUCCAAAUUAUUUAUUACUUGAAAUCUUAAUUAUACUUUGAAAGCAAGAAGUGGUAACUAUUUAUUUUUAAUAAAAAUCAGGGUUCAUGUAUAAUUGAUUAAUAACUGUUAGAAUUAAGCGACCCGAAUCUUUAUUUAAAUGAAAUACAGUGGUAAAAUAAAAUAAAAUUAAAAUCCCUAUAGAACUACACUUAUUUUAUUUUAUUUUAGAAUAAGGAUUUUUAAACCUUAUUAAACUCCAUCCAUUUGAUAUUGAUUAGAAUAAGGUGUUUCAAUCUUACUACACUCCUAUUAGAAUAUGGUUUUACAAGCCUAUAAAUAGACAUAGUCUACUCCUCUUGUAAUUAUUCGAAUUCGACAUAGGGAUUUAUCUUCUCCUCUACCAAUAGCUUUUUCCCUGAAAGGGUUUCCACGUAAAAUCUGUGUGUUUUUUUUAUUUUUCUCCCUUUUAUUCUUUGCAAUACAUUGUCAUUACCAACAUUCUAUUUUUAGCAAAUUGGUAUCCAAGCUUCCAAUUUGUUCAUCUCAAUCAUGGUAAUGGCGUCUUUGAAGUAUGAAAUUCUGCUAUUGGAUCGCAACACCAGAUCCGCAUUGUGGCAGAUAAAGAUGCAGGCAGUUCUUACACAGAUAGACUUAGAGGAAGCCUUGCUAGGGGUAGAUAAAAUGUAUUCAACAUUAACAGAGGAAGAGAAGAAGCACAAGGAUCGAUAGGCGUUAACACAAUUACAUCUUCAUUUGUCCAACGAAAUUUCACAGUAUGGAGAAGACCGUCGCUGGAUUAUGGAAGAGGUUGGAACAAAUAUGUACGUCGAAUACUCUAACUAGCAAGUUGCAUAUGAAGCAGCUUCUUUAUGCUCAUCGUUUGGAGGAAGGUGUCUCUAUGCACGAACACUUAAUAGUGUUUAAAGGAAUUCUCUCGAACUUAGAGGUCAUGAAGGUUCAGUAUGAUAAUGAAGAUCUACGAUUGAUUCUACUUUGUUCGUUGCCUCUAUCUUAUUCAACCAUUAGAGAUGGGAUUUUAUAUAGCCGCGAGUCUCUCACAGUUGAUGAGGUUUAUGAUUCUUUAACCUCGUAUGAUAAGAUGAAGCAUCUUUUUCGUAAAACUGACUCUUAGGGAAUGGGUCUCAUUGUUCAUAGUAGAUAAGAUCAGAAUGCUGAUGAUGAUCGUGAAAGGACACAGGAAUAGAAUUCUCGCGAUAAAUCUAAGGAUAGAUCAAAGAUUUCAAGCAGAGGUAAAACUUGUAACUUCUGCAAGAAGAAAGGGCACAUUAAAUCUGACUGUUAUAAGCUACAAAUCAAUAUCAAAAGGGAGGUUGUGAAACAAAAUGGAAAACAACUAGAAUAUGUUGGUAAAGCUGAUGUUGUAGAAGACUAUAGCGAUGGUGAACUUCUAGUCACUUCUAUCAACAAUUCUAAAAUAAGCGAGGAGUGGAUCCUUGAUUUGGGCUGCACCUUUCACAUGAGUCCCAAUGGAUAUUGGUUUAUAACUUACGAAAUAGUGUUUGAAGGUGUUGUUUUGAUGGGAAAUAAUGCUUUAUGUAGAAUUGCAGGUGUUGGGACAAUAAAAGUUAAGAUGUUUGAUGGAGUUCUCAGAACACUUAAUGACGUACGACAUGUUCUAGAAUUGAAGAGAAAUUUAAUUUCAUUGAGUACUCUUAUUCAAAAGGUUAAAAAUACAUAGCUAAAAGUGGGGUUUUUAAUAUUUCCAAAGGUUCUCUCGUUGUGAUGAAAGGGCAGAGAAAGACUGCCAAGUUAUAUGUUUUGUAGGGUUUAGGAGUUCUUUGGCAUAUACGCCUAGGGCAUAUAAGUGAGAAUGACAUGGCAGAAUUGAGCAAAAGAGGACUUCUUGAUGGGCAAGGAAUUUGCAAACUGAAGUUCUGUGAUCACUGUAUUUUUGAGAAGUAAAAGAGAGUUCGAUUCAUCAGAGGAAUCUAUAACACGAAGGGAACAUUGGAGUAUAUUCAUUCUGAUCUGUCGGGGACACCCAGAGUGCAUUCAAGAGGUGGAGCUAAUUAUAUGCUAACUUUUAUUGAUGAUUUUUCUAGAAAAGUUUGGGCGUUCUUCCUAAAGCAGAAAAUCGAUGUGUUUUUCGCAUAUAAGUCUUGGAAAACUAUGAUUGAAAAACAUAUGGAAAAACAAAUAAAAUAUCUCCACAUAGAUAAUGGCUCAAAGUUCUGUUCUAAUCACUUUAAUAAACUGUGCAAGUCAGAAGGGAUCGUGAGACACUUGACAGUUUGCCACACUCCACAACAAAACGGUGUUGCAGAACGAAUGAACAGAAUGAUCGUGGAGAAGGUUUAAUGUAUGUUUUCAAAUGCCAACUUAACAAAGUUGUUUUGGGCCGAAGUAGCCUCUACUAUAUAUUUUUUGAUCAACCGAUCUCUAUCUAUUGCCAUUGAGAAAAAGACUCCACAAGAGGUAUGGUCUGGUAAUCCUGCUAACUGUUCUGAUUUAAAGAUCUUUGGGUGUCCUGUGAAUGCUCAUGUUGAUAAUGGAAAAUUGGAACUGAGAUCCAUUAAGUGUGUUUUUCUUGGUUAUAAAGCUGGUGCAAAAGGGUAUAAGUUAUGGUGCCCUAAAAAUAGAAAAGUUGUGAUUAGCAGAGAUGUUGUUUUUGAUGAAACUGCUAUGCUACCUAACUCAUCUCUUAAAUACUAUUCCAAUAAAGAAAAUAAAAAGCAGGUGGAGUAUCAGAGUAAUCCAAAAUCUACAACAGAGUCGACUCCUCAAGCCAAUACAAAAAUUCAAAAUAGAGUUGCUUCUUUACCACAAUACUCUAUCGUAAAAAAUAAAACUAGAAGAGAUAUUAAACCCUCAAAGAAAUAUGCCGAGGCUGAUCUAGUUGCUUAUGCUUUAAAUAUUGCUAAAGAUAUAGAUGCAAACCAAGAGCCAUCUAAUUAUUUUGAUCCGGUUAGCUAUAAAGACUCAGAAAAAUGGAUGUUUGCUAUGUAAGAGAAGAUGGAAUCACUCUACAAAAACAAAACAUGGGAUCUUGUAAAACUUCCUAAAGGUAAAAAGGUUGUUCGUUGUAAAUGGGUGUUUAAAAAGAAAAAGGGGACUCUGGGAGUUGAAGAACCCAGAUUUAAAGCAAGGCUUGUUGUAAAGGGUUACAGUCAAAUUCCAAGAGUGGACUUCACAGAUGUGUUCUCCCCAGUUGUGAAGCAUAGUUCGAUUUGAGCUUUGCUUGGUAUUGUGGCCAUGCAUGAUUUGGAGCUAACUGUAAAAACUACAUUUUUGCAUGAAGAACUUGAGGAUGAUACUUACACGCAACAACCAUAGGGUUUUAUAGUCUCAGAAAAAGAGGACUAUGUUUGCCUGUUGAAAAAGUCCUUUUACGGUUUGAAACAGUCACUAAGAAAGUGGUACAAGAGGUUUGUUUCCUUUAUGACUUCUUAUGAUUUUAAAAAAAGUAGCUUUGACAGUUGUGUUUACUUUAAGAAAAAUAGUGAUGAUUCUUUUGUGUAUCUACUUCUUUAUGUUGAUGACAUGUUGAUAGCAACAAAAGAUAAAUGAGAGAUAAGAAAGGUUAAAGCCCGACUAAGUGAAGAUUUUGAGAUGAAAGAUUUGGGACCAGUAAAGAAGAUACUUGAUAUAGAGAUUCUCAGAGAUAGAAAAGUAAGUAAAUUGUACCUAAGUCAGAAGGGGUACAUUGAGAAAGUUCUUUGCAAAUUCAAUAUGCAGAAUGCUAAGCCUGUUAGUACUCCUUUAGCAGCCUAUUUCAGACUUUCAUUGGCUUUGUCUCUACAAUCAAAUGAUGAGAUUGAGUACAUGUCAUAUUUUUCAUACUCUAGUACAAUGGGAUCUCUCAUGUAUGCUAUAUUUUGUUCACGUCCAAAUUUAUUAUAUGCAGUCAAUACAGUUAGUAGAUAUGUGGCAAAUCCUGGUAAAGAACAUUGGAAAAUACUGUUUCCAAAAAUUUAUGGAUUUCUGGUGAGUGAACUUCUAGUGAAAUUAUUGUGCUAAGUCCAUUGGGGCAGUCUGUUUGAGUAAGUACACUUUAUAGGAAUGUACCUUUGGAAGUACAAGGGAUUGUGUUUUCGGCAGAUCUGGUGAGGUUACUUCUAGUGAAAUUAUUGUACUAAGUCUGUUGGGGUAGUCUAUUCGAGUAAGUAGACUUUAUAGGAAUGUACCUUUGGAAGUACAAGGGAUUGUGUUUUCGGCGUUUUAUUCACAUAAAAGCAGCAAAAUUUAGCGACAUUGUCUACAGCGGCAUUUUUUACGGCGCUUGUGAAAGCGCCGCUAUAGGCCUAAAAAACACCGCUAAAAGCCUAUUUUGCUGCAGUGAAUUAAUAUUAUUAUAAGUAUAUUUUCACCUUUUCAUUCUUUUAUAUAAUCUUCAAGUAAAAUGAUUGAAAAAUAUUAUUUGAGAAUCAAACACAAGACUAACAAUAUUCAUAUAGAAAACGCUUAUCACUCCACUAAUAAUCAUUUGUUGAUGUAUUUUUGGUAAAAAGAGCCCUCCAAUCCCUCUUAAUUUCACAACUUCUCAAAUUAGUCCCUCUCAAAAAAAUUGGAGCAAUUUAAUCCCUAUCAAUUUUGAAAGUGAGUAACUAAGGACAAUUAAUUAUGGUGUUAAAUUCUUCAAUCAAUUGUACAUAAUUUUGAUUGGUAUAAUAAUAAAUUUAGCCUUUAAUGUUUAUGUAUUUUGUCAUUUUGGCCUUAAUUUUUUUAAAAAAAAUUCAAGAAAUUGAACCUCAACGUUUACAUAUUUGCACAAAUGUUGCAGGAAAAUUUUGUUAAAUUAAGACCAAAAUGCAAGUGUAAAUUUUGUUAAAUUAAGACCAUAUUUUCCCCCUUUAUUUUUUCAGUGCCGACCGGAAAAAAAAAUUUCAGUCUCAUCUAAAUAAGACAUACUUCAGCAGACCAAUAGACUGCAGAUCAGACCCAAUUCAAGGGUAAUGCAGUCCAAAGUUCCUUGAACUCCCUCCUCCAAAGUGAAAAACAAAUCUAUAUAUUUCUGCAUGAUUCAAACAGAAAGGACUGUUGGACAUGUAACUCAGAAAGAAUGCAAAUACAUUGAAAGUACCAUAGACUUUAUAAAUUAGUUUCAUGUUGUUAAAUUUCAACACUAUAAACCUAAAAAUUCCCAGAACGAAAUGCGGGAAUCAUGCCUUAAACUCCAAUACUCAAAUAAGAGACAGAUAAAUUGCACAUUUUUUAAUAUAAUAUUUACAGACUAGAGAUAAAAAUAUAGAAAAAUAUAAACAUGGACAUCGACAAAAAGACUAAUUGACUGUGCAUGUGUGCUAGAGAGUGGCAAUUAAACAUUAUCCAAACACAAUCAUUUCUCAACAUUUGUAAAACAAAAAGAAGAUUAAGAUUAGCAGUAAACUAAAUAAAACCAAAGAAGUGAGAACCACAAGUAAAUGAGAAAGAAAACAAAAUAGAGAUCCUAGUAGCUUUCCCAUUGAACUUCGUAUAAGAGAAAUAACAACAUUUGAACUUUAAGCAAAUAAAAAUGUAAAAUAUUCAGAAUCAAAACAAUCUUUUAUCAAAAUUCAAGCCAAAAACAAUGAGCUUCACUCUAUACAAGAAGCAUGUUAAAGUCAUAGGCUUUCUCGUUUCUGGAAACCAAAUCCAGAAACGUCUCCCACCAAAAAUCAAGAAAAUAACUUCUGUUUUUGAAAAUCACAUUCAAAUCGUGAAAUAGGAGCAAGGUCCUUCAAAUUCAAGCAAAGUUGGUAGUAAAAGCUUAACUUUCAAAGGUCAAACAACACAGCAUUAAGUAUAAAACUAACCCAAUCUCCACCAAUUCAAAAACAAGAAACCAAACACGAACCCGAAGAUCCAAACACGAUUUCGAAAAAAAAAAAUAGAUAUUCCUGAAAAUCGGAUAAAAAACUAGCAUAUACUUAAUGAAAAGAGAAAUUGACGAAAAAUCACAAGAGAUCUGCAUGCAAAUAUAGGCACACUUUUGCUUGAUUAUUCGCUUAAAAAAGUAACAAUGGAAAACAAGAUGCAAGUGUCACGGGCCGCAGUUCAAAGCCCGUGACCAGCGCACCAAAUGCAUCCAAUAGAGAUCUAUUGCUCAGAUAGGGAUCAUUUGGCCCACAAGAACUGGCUCGAUUCAAGGAGCUAUUGGACAAGCCUGUCAGAUUGAAGCCUGGUUGGCCCGAAAACGAAGAGAUGGCAACUUAGGCUAAUAUGGUAACUAAUCUUAGAAGAUAGAGGGAAUCUUAUCUUGUAAAGAUUAGAUUAGAUUAGAUAAGGCUUAUCUUGUAAAUCCCUAAAAUUAAGGGAUAUGGGUUAAUCUCAUCCGUCGAUGUAAAUGUAUAUUGACCGUCGAUUUUGGGGGAGAUCAACUAUAAAUAGAGAGCCUCCCCCUCAUUUGUACUCACUCUUGUAAUUAUUUCAUUAUUCUUUGUGAAUAAGAGAAUUGAGAGCAUUUACUCAAACACUUUACGAGCGUCCUUUCUGUUGUUCUUUUGUUUAGCUUCUUUUGGCACAAUCGCUUCCGCUAUACAAAUUGGUGCCUUGGAGGAGUUCUAAAAGAAUCCUCACUUGAGUUAAGCCUGACUUGGGCGAGUUUGGAUGAACAAAUUGUCUAAGGCUGCACGAAUUACGAGACGAAAGGUCUAGCCCUGUGACAAGUGGUAUCAGAGCCAAGUUUUGAACCAAGUGACAUUCGAGUUGGUUUGAAGGCACCGUUGGGAUGUCAAGAGAAGAGUUCGAACAAAGGUGGGAGAAGAAGUAUUUGAGGGAGACAUUAUCGGUAGUAGAGAAACGUGUGGGUAAACUCGAGGGAUCCAUGGAGGAUGUAAAGGAGGCACUCGAUGGGGUCGAGGAUCACAUUGCAAACUGGAAGGAGCAGUCUAGAGACUAUGUAAAGAUGUCUCUUAGUUCCAUCAUGGAUAUGGUAAACGAGUUGUUUAAUUCACACAGGGAUAAGCUGUCGGAAAGGAAUGAUGCUCUCGAGGCCAAAAUGAUGGCUUUGAAAGAGGAAACAAUGGCCACGACGAGGGCUUUGAGCACAAGAAUAGAGGAGCUCGAGGGAGAGCUGGCCUUGUGUUGAGCAGCCGUGAGGAAAGGAGUGGCAAAUGUAGCACUCAGUAACGAGGAUGUCCCAAAGCUGAAAGAGUUUGUGGGGACAAGGUCUGCGUGCGAUGUGGAUAAUUUCUUAUGGAGGAUGGAAAACUACUUCCGUGCCAAAGGCGUCAUGGAUGAUACGGUUAAGGUAAACACUACUUCAAUGUUUCUUACUGCCAUUGCACUUUUAUGGUGGAGAGGUAGGACCACAAAUAAAAGGCAAGGUGAGAUUGGGACGUAGCAAGAGUUCCAAUGCGAAUUGAAGGGACAGUUUUACCCAGAGUUUACCGAGGAAGAAGCUCGGGCAAAGUUGCAAGGGAUAACGUAACAGGGCACAGUGGGGGAGUAUGUUCGAGAGUUCAAGGAACUCAUGCUCCAAGUUUUAAAGGUGACCGAAAGAGAGGCAUUGCUUGCUUUUCAAAAUGGAUUGAAGCCGUGGGUCAGACAGGAGGUGGAACAAAGAGGUGUCCAAAAGCUAUCGGAAGCCAUGACGGUAGUUGAGUCUGUGGUUAAGCUUAGUCUAGGGAAAGACAAGCUUGGAUCUUCCAAGUCCGAUGGAAGGGGUAUAUGUGAAAUGGAUCAAAAGGAAGAUAGUGUUGAUGGCAAUGGCAACGGCAACAAUGGUGGUAAUGGGAAACCAUGAGUUGGGAAGAAGAAACCCAAGAGGAAAAGGGACAAGCUAAAAUGCUUUCUCUGCGACGGUCCACACAUGCUGAAGAAAUGUCUGAAAAAUUUGAGCUCAAGGAGAAGCCGGUGGGUAAGGCCUUGGUACUUGGUUCGAGCGCAAGGGGUGUCGAAGCCAAGAAGGCCAAAAGUAAGAAGAAGCCAGUGGAGUGGUUCUUGUGUCAUGGUCCGCAUAGGUUACGAAAGUGUCCGAGGAAGUCUAUCAUCGAGGGGAAUGAUGGAGCAGACAAGGAGCCCAAGAAGCUUGGUUCGAGCAAGGGAAAAGCCGAAGCCAAAGGGGCAAAAGGGAGCAAAAAGAAGCGAGUAAAGUGCUUCUUGUGCCGUGGUCCGCAUGAGUUACGGAACUGUCCAAAGCAAGCCGGAGUCAUAAGAAAGGCAACGUCUGAGCUUGGUGAGUCAUCGGAGGGGCUUCCACCCAAGGAAGAGGUGAGUUUGUCAUCGAACUUAAAGGAAAUAGUUGCGAUGAAAACAGUGAAGCUGGGACCAAUGAGGCUCAAGUUGAGUGAAGCGUCGGAGUUGGCCGAGUCAUCGAUAAGGCUUCCACCUAUGGGAGAGGUGGGUGGUGCAUCAGACUUCAAGGGAAAAGAAGGGAUGCAUGUGGGACAGUUGACCAGAGUAAAUGCGACGAGUAGGACGGUUUGAGUUAAGAAGCGACGUAAGCCGAGGCAAAAAUCCCGAAGGAAGGGAAAGGCUAAGGCAUUGAGACAAGACCGAGGUGAAUCGAGUCAGUGCCAUUCAAAAGUCACAACGAGGACGGUGCAAGAAUGUGUGGGGGAGAAUGUCACGGGCCGCAGUUCAAAGCCCAUGACCAGCGCACCAAAUGCAUCCAAUGGAGGUUUGUUGCUCAGAUGUGGAUCAUUUGGCCCACAAGAACUGGCUCGAUUUAAGGAGCUAUUGGACAAGCCUGUCAGAUUGAAGCUUGGUUGGCCCGAUAACGGAGAGAUGGAAACUUAGGCUAAUAUGGUAACUAAUCUUAGAAGAUAGAGGGAAUCUUAUAUUGUAAAGAUUAGAUUAGAUUAGAUAAGGCUUAUCUUGUAAAUCCUAAAAUUAAAGGAUAUGGGUUAAUCUCAUCCGUCGAUGUAAAUGUAUCUUGACCGUCGGUUUUGGGGGAGCUCAACUAUAAAUAGAGAGCCUCCCCCUCAUUUGUACUCACUCCUGUAAUUGUUUCAUUAUUCUUUGUGAAUAAGAGAAUUGAGAUCAUUUACUCAAACACUUUGUGAGCGUCCUUUCUAAUGUUCUUUUGUUUAGCUUCUUUUGGCACAAUCGCUUCCGCUAUACAAAUUGGUACCUUGGAGGAGUUCUAAAAGAAUCCUCACUUGAGUUAAGGCUAACUUGGGUGAGUUUGAACGAACGGAUCGCCUAAGGCCUCACAGAUUGUGAGACGAAAGGUCUAGCCCCGUGACACAAGUGCUAGGUAAAACCAUCAUGUCUGCUUACUCACCACAAACAAAGGCCCUCUAGGACCUUCAUGAAUUUUUGUCUUAUAAGUGCUUCCAUUGUGAGCCUGAACAGCUUGAUAGCCCACAAGAUAAGGAUAUCGAUCUUUACCCUACAGAUUAACAAGGUUAAAUCCACUUAAAUGAAGCACCAUUAGUCUAUAACAAUUUACUUCAAUUUUCUGCUGUUAGUUCAAAUAUUUAUUUUUUUAAUUUGCCAAAACUUGCUAGGAUCGAAGAUUUGGAAUUCCUAAAUUUCAAUUACAAAUUUACACCGUACUUGCAGAAAAAUAUAUUACUAUUAGAGACACCAGCAAUCAACCAGAGUUCUUUAGUUUUCAAUCAAGUUAUUCGACAGGUAUCUAUAUUGAUUACACAAAAAAAAUCAUACACCGUGAGAAUGUCGAGUAAAUUACAAAUACAAAAGCAAACGAACCCUAAAGGAGCUCCAAUACUUCUUCUCCCAGGGGCCUUUGUAUAGAGAUCCAAUGGAAACGAUCUCUAGAUCCUCUAAUUUCGUUGUUUGUUCUCCUUUUUUUGUUUUCGCCAUUCAAAGAAAUGAGAAGAAAGCAAGAUUUCCAAACAACUAACAAUAAGAGAGUAGAGAGGAUUUUCAAGAUAGACGAAGACAUGGCAUUUUAAAAUAGGGGAACUAAAAUCUUAAAAUGCAUGAUUUCCCUUGAAAUUCUAAAUAAAAACUUUAUUUGAUUAGGAAAAAUGUGAAUUGAUUUUGGGAAAAAGAAGGGAAAAAAAAGAAAAGAUUUCAUUUGAAAUAUUGGGAUAAAAAAAUAUAAUUACAAAACGACGCCGUUUUGAAAAAAACAUAUUCGUGGCGUUUGGAAAAAAAAGUCACUAUUGCUCGACUUUUAGCGACAUUUGGACCAAAAACGCUACUAUUGUUCAACUUUUUUCUGCAUUUACAACAAAAAAGCCGCUAUUGCUUACCUUUUGCGGCGUUUUUUUUAUAAAUGCCGCUAACACUUGACUUUUUUACAAUUUUUAUAUUGAAUUAUUGUAUCUUUCAUAUAAAUUUUAAAUGAAUAAUUUUUAGUUUUUGUAUUUCAUUUUUAUUUUUGUAUUUCAUUUUUAUUUGUUAUAAUUUUGUCCUAUCCAAAAUAGAUAGUUACCUAUCCAUAUCAAUCUGUUACUUUUUUUUAUUUAUUUAUCAAUAUUUUUUUAAAUUUAAUAGUUAAAUAUAUUAAAUGGUUUAGAUUUAAUAUUUUUAAAUAUAAAAGCAUUAAUUGAUUGUAUAAAAUUUUAUCAUUUAACAAAUCUCAAGUAAACCUUAAAUCCUAAACCAUUUAAUAUAUAUAAAGUUUAUCUAUUAUCUCUUAAAUAAUUUAAACUAUAAUCAUAAUUUUAAUAUAUUAAAAUUAAAAUUAAAAUGAUCUCUUUUACAAUUAUAUAAGAAAUUAUUUAAUAUAUAAAUUAAAAAACACUAAUUAACCUAAACCCUAAACCCUAAACCCCUAUCCCCUAAACCUUGAAUUAUAAAACAUAAAACAUAAACCCUAAAUCCCUGAAUCCCUAACCCUUAACCCCUAACCCCUAACCCCUAAACCUUAAACCCCAACCCUUAAACCAUAAUCCCUAAACCCAUAAUCCAUAAUCCAUAAACCUUAAAAUAGUAACUCUUAAACCUUAAACCCUAAACCAUAAACCCUAAACUAUAAUGAUAAUUAAUUCAAUAUUUUAAAAUUAAUACUAUCUCUUUUACGAUUAUAUAAGAAAUUAUUUAAUAUAUAAAUUAAAAACAAUCAGUCAUGUACCCAAGAAACUUUAAAAUUAUUUUAAAUAAUAUAUUUUAAUUUUUUCAUUUUUAACAAAUAUUUUCUAUGUUUUUACUUUCAAAAUUUCUCUACGUGUCAUUAUUUUUUUCUGAAGAAUUUAAAUAUUCAAUUAAAAAUAAAUUUAUUUUAAUUAAUAUAAAUAAAGCGGUUAAAUAAUAAAUAGACAGAUAAAAUACUUUUUGCGGUGAUUUUCAUAAAGUGCCGCUAAAGCUCGAUCUACAGCGGCGUUUUACGAAAAAGAGUCUUACUGAAUUUUUUGGGGCAUUUUUCAAAAAGCGCCACUAAUUCUCGAUCUAUAGUGGCGUUUUUCAAGAAGCGCCGCUAAUGCCACUAAAGCUCAACAUAAAACACCAGCAUUGAGCUUAAUUUUUUUGCGGCGUUUUUCAAAAAGAGCCGCUAAUGGUAGACCUAUAGCGGCGUUUUUCAAAAAGCGCCACUAAAGCUCAACAUAAAACACCGGCGUUGUGCUUAAUUUUUUUACGGCAUUUUUCAAAAAGCGCCGCUAAUGGUCGACUUAUAGCAGUGGUUUUAAAAAAGACCCACUAAUGCUCGAUCUAUAGCGGCAUUUUUCAAAAAGCGCCGCUAAUGCUCGAUCUAUAGUAGCGUUUUUUAUCCAAACGCCGCUAAAAAUGCCACUAAAAACCUAUUUUGCUGUAGUGAUUUGUGGGGUAAGUGGUUGAACAUUUUAAUAUAGACUGACUUUUCUAUAAUUAGUCCUUGCUUUAAUUACUUUGGGUGGAUUCUUCCAACUAGUCCAAGCAUUAUUGUACAAUUACAAUUAAUCUUUUUAAAUGAGACAAACAUUUCAAAUUUGUCAUUACUAUUUGUGAGUGAUUUGGGGGUAAGAAGUUUAACUCUUCUGGAUGUCUUAUAGAAUUGUGAUUAUACUUUUUGAGUAUUGACUCAGUUUUCCACAAUUGUGGGUCUCUAUUUGAGCAAAACAAUUUCAACAUUUCUUCAUCUCGUUUAAUCCAAAUGCAUUUAUGCAUUUCUUAUAUCAUUGAAUUUGCUGCUUCAUAUUCAAUUUUUGGACAAGUAGAAUUUUCUAACCUAUUUUCCAUCAACUUCACUUGAAUUUUCAAUCACAAUCAAUUGCAUUCAAGAGCACCACAUCUUUUUGGAUGAAACAAAAAUUUCAAUUUUAAGAUAAACGGGUCUUUAGGGUUAUAAUUUCAAUUUUUAAAAGUUUAAAAUAAAUUUGUAUUUUUAUUAACAAAAUGUAUAUAAAAAAAAACUUGUUUAGACAAGCCAAGAGACCUUUGGGAUCAUACGGGUGAUUUUGAUGAUGUUAAUGGUUAUUUUGGUGGAGAGAGUGAAAAAGAAACAAAUGAUUCAUUAUAUAUAUUAUAAUUAUGAAAUUCAAGCCAUAUAUUGUAUGUUUCAUACAUAAAAAAAAUUGGAGCAAUUUAAUCCCUAUCAAUUUUGAAAGUGAGUAACUAAGGACAAUUAAUUAUGGUGUUAAAUUCUUCCAUCAAUUGUACAUAAUUUUGAUUGGUAUAGUAAUAAAUUUAGCCUUCAAUAUUUAUAUAUUUUUUCAUUUUGGCCUUAAUUUUUUUUAAAAAAUUCAAGAAAUUCAACCUCAACAUUUACAUAUUUACACAAACAUUGCGGGAAAAUUUUGUUAAAUUAAGACCAAAUUGCAAGUGUAAAUUUUGAGGGCUAAAUUUAUUAUUAUACCAACCAAAAUCAUGUACAUUUUAUGGAAAAUUAACAUCUUGAUUAAUUAUUCUUAGUUGUUCACUUUCAAAAUUAAUAGGGACUAAAUUACUUUGAUUUUUUUAGGGUGACCAAUUUCCUCAAAGUGGAAAUUGAGAGAGACUAUUGAGAUCUUUUGCAUAUUUCUUUUAUAAAUAUAUUUUUUAAAUAUAAAAUAUAUUUGUUCACACACAUCGUGAGUAUGAUCUCAAUAGUCCACAUAAUCCAUUAAAAAAACUUAAAAAAUAUAUUUUAUUUUUUAACACCUAAGUGAUUCUCCAGCUAACGACCACCCAAGACACACCCCGACUUUAUAACACCCCAAUCUUAUUUAAUUAUUAGUUAUUUAUUAAUGCAGAAGUAAAUUAUGAGCCAAUUUUAAUCUUUUCCUCGGUAAUUUAACCUAAGGCCAAUUUCAUCAUUUUACCACCUAUUGUAAAACUAACCCGAUUUUAGAUAUAACAACAUGUUUGGUUUGGUGUAAUAGAUUAGCCAUUACACCCCUAUUUCGUGGGCCCCACUAAUCCCCACUUAUUCUUGUGUUUGGUUUGAUGUAUUGCCUAUUACAGGCCUAUUACAACACGAAUGUAUUCCUCAUUUUCUCUGCUUCAACAAUGAUUAGCCAUUCCGUUCCAAAAGUAAGGAUUAGCUAAUCGUCUCUGUUUUACCCUCCUCAGCCAAAAUCUACUGCUCCACCCCACCCUCUCCCUCCCAACAUCAACAGCAGUUUUCUUCGAACCAAAUCUCCACCGUCUCAGAUCGCCUGUGAGUAAUCUCAACAGCAGUUGCCAGUGAAAAUUGCCCUUUCUUCAAAAACCCAGCCCUAAACCCUUCUUCUCUUUCAAUACUCCAUUCGAACAGGUUGCGGUGUCUCCCUCCUCUGAGGUAUGGCUCUGUUUCUUUAACUUUAGCAUUGAGCGACUCUUUUCAAUUCCAAAAUUAGUCUACUCUGCUAAGGGUUCUUGCUUUUCAAACCAUUUUUUCACCAUUUUUCUUGUAAUUCUUUUUCUUGUUAGAGUUCAGAUUUUAGAUUUUUUUUAAAAAAAAACGAUUAGAUUGUGAGGUUCAGUUAAUUAUUAGGGUUUUCUGUUUUGGGUUUCCCUGUUGCGUGGUAAUUUUGAAGUGCAUAUAAAAUGGAUGCUUUUGAGGAUCUUAAGCAAUUCGGCGAUACUGAUAAAGGUUGAUAUUCGAUUCAUUUUGCUUUAAUUUACUUGGUUUAUGCAUUUUGGGGAUAAAAUUAGCUUUGUUUUCUUCUCUUUUGGUUGGCUUUAAGCUGAGAGUAAAAUUUGAAACCUUUGUGGUGGAGGAGUUACCGUUCUUCUGAGAUCAAAUGUAUAACAGGUUAGAAGGAAAUGAAAUUAGAUCCUUAAAUAUUGUGUUUUCAAUGUUAAGGGCAGGCUUUUGUUGCUAAAACAAUUGUGGUAACACUGUUUGAUUCAGUUAGAAGUCAAAUGUCGUUUCCAUGUGUGAACAAUUUCUGGUUUUUAAGUAGCGACUUUGUUUCAUGUUGGCCUGGACAUUUUCCAAAUUAGUAAUUAUAAGUUUGAAUUUGGCUACUAAAUCACGCCAAUUAAUGAUUUCAGUGUGCUGGUGUUUCAGACUUUCAGUUGAAUUGACUUUGGUUUCGAAUAUUUUUAGUGAUGGAAAUAAGCACGAUUUAUUUAAAUUAUGAUUGAAUUGGAGAAACUGCUUUUUGUACAUUUUGAGAAAUAUCAGGCCCUUGGAUACACAAAGGGUGUUAACUUGCGCCUAUCUCAAUUACCCCAUUCCUGCCCAUUGAAUUGGAGAAAGUUCUUUUUUUUAAUGAUUCUGCGUUGCUACUGAUUUUUAGUGAAAUGGUAUUUUUCUUAUGAUGUGUUUUCUUCUUUAUGAAGAGCUCAUUUCAGUAAAGUUAACCUUUCUAUUAUGCAGAAGGUGCAGUAUUUGAUGCAUCACAAUAUGCAUUUUUUGGAAACAAUGUUCUCGAGGAAGUUGAAUUGGGGGGGCUAGAUGAUGAGGAUGAGGAUUUACCUGCAGCUGGACUUGAUGAAGAGGAGUUUUUGUUUGAUCAAGAGGAGGUUAAUAUUCUUGUUUCUUUCAGUUUUAUUUUUCCUGUUUCGAUUGUUCUUGCAAGUUUCUGCAGCAUAGCACAACCAGUGACUAUUCGAUCGAAAAAUAAAUGUAUCCCUUCCAGGCGUCAUGCUAAAAAAUAGCCUUUUGGAUUAGUGUUGGAUUUUUUCUCCAUGUUCUUUAACAGAUAGAUUCCACUGCAUUCAAUUAGUGGUUGGCAUGCGAGUUUUAUUUGUGGAAUAAAGCUCUGUGGGAGUUCAUAUUAUAUAUUGUUCUAUUUGUCUGUGCAAAACAUUGUGAACCUUGUUCUCUGUAUUUAUAAGUUGACAAUGUAGCCAUCUUGGUUGGCUGCUUUCCGAAGUCAAUUUAUUUGAUUCGUUCUCUUUGCUCUUCACAAUGAGAGGUAGCUCUUUUGUACUUUUUUAAUAAGAUCAUAUUAUACAUGCUCUUUUGCAGUGGUCUAGUGGUUUAGUAUCUUGUUAAUAAAACCAUAUUGUAUAUUUGAAUAGUUUGGAGAUUGUGUUAACUGUAUUUGGUGCAUCUUGAAGUAAUGUUUGUUGUAUCUUAUAUGCUUCCUGAAUCAAAUAUGGAGAGAAGGUAGUAUAUGGAGUUUAUAUUUUCAAGUAUUUUUCACACAAUUGAUUUAUCUGUUCCCUUCAUUGAGGGGAAAACAUGGAAUGAAUUGACUUACACCUCACUUCUUCCUCAAACAUCUUUUGUACCACUUAUUUUCAUAAAAUGAUAAGAAUCUUUUUAGAUUACAACUUCCAGAGGUCUAUGUCACCUUCUUGACAAUCAGGUUUUUAGGAAUAUUUUUACCCAUCAUGCAGAAGUUUUAGACAAAAUCUUGUUCGUGGUUGCUGCUAGAUGCAUGAUACUGCCUCAUUUCCUUUGUGGUGGUUCUUCGCUCUCCCCCUUCUUAGUAUUUUUGGUUGUUGAGUCUUGGAGGCAGUUGUAUUCAGUAAUGGCUGGCUUGCUUUGAUGCAUUGCUUCUGUAUAUCUUUGUAGAAAACGAAUCUGUAUCUAUUAUUAACACAAAUUUGAUUAGUUCAUGCCAAUGGAUUUGUAAAGUUAAAUUAGUUAUUGGCGUUAGAAAUUUACUCUUAUGCCUGGAAGGAGAUCUGGCUUACAGAUCAACUACUGGAGUUAAUUGUGGAAAUUUGUUUGAUUUGGUUUCUUAUAAAAUUGUUACCCUGUUCUAUUUAUGUUGGAGUAGCUGAAAUCUGAGGUUGCAUUUGUCAUUAACAAAUAGAAAUCCAAAAAGAGAGGAAAGUGAUAUCAUCCCCUCCACUUUUUCCUUGGAAUUGCGUACUUCAAACUUUUUUAAUUGUAUAAAUUCAUAUAAGAAAAUUUAUUAUGAUGUUGUAAAACUAUAAAACAUAUGGAUUAUGAUGUAGAAUUUCAUUUUCAUCUAACCUUUUCUUAAUAUAAGUUAAUUAUGUUUAUGCAGAAUAUAAUCUCAAGUUAUAAUUUGAUUUUAGUAAAUUCAUAUAAGAACAUUUUAUUAUUAAAUUAUAUUUAAUAUUAAUUAUUUUAAAUUGUAUAAAUUCAUAUAAGAAAAUUUAUUAUCAAGAAUUUUAUGAAAUUAUAUAUCAUUAUUAAAUUAUAUUUAAUAUUAAUUAUUUUAAAUUAUAUAAAUUCAUAUAAGAAAAUUUAUUAUCACGAAUUUUAUGAAAUUAUAUAUUAUUAUUAAUUAUAUUUAAUAAUAAUUAUUUUAAAUUAUACAAAUUCAUAUAAGAAAAUUUAUUAGUUAUAAUUAUUUUAAAUUUUAUUAAAUCAUAUAUUUUAAUUAAAAUAUUUUUAAUAUUAAUUACUUCAAAUUAUAUUUUAUAGUAUCAUAUAUUAUGAUUUUAGUAAAUUCAUAUAAGAAUUUUGAUUAUUAAGAAUUUUAUUAAAUUAUAUAUUUUAAUUAAAAUAUAUUUAAUAAUAAUAAUGUUAAAUUAUCUUUUAUCGUAUCAUAUAUUAUGAUUUGAGUAAAUUCAUAUAAGAAUAUUAAUUUUUAAGAAUUUUACUAAAUUAUAUAUUUUAAUUAUAAUAUAUUUAAUAAUAAUUAUGUUAAAUUAUAUUUUAUAGUAUCAUAUAUUAUGAUUUGAGUAAAUUCAUAUAAGAUAUUGAUUAUUAAGAAUUUUAUUAAAUUAUAUAUUUUAAUUUAAUAUAUUUAAUAAUUAUUAUGUUAAAUUAUCUUUUAUAGUAUCAUAUAUUAUGAUUUGAGCAAAUUCAUAUAAGAAUAUUAAUUAUUAAUAAUUUUAUUAAAUUAUAUAUUUUAAUUAUAAUAUAUUUAAUAAUAAUUAUGUUUAAAUAUGAUUAAAUUAUUUAUUAUUGAUAUUAUUAAUCUUAUUAAAAUUUAAAUAACAAUAACAAUAAUCAUUUACCCAAACAAAUUUAUGCUAAUGGUAUUCUAGUCAUUUUAGUUUUUUUCCAUUAUGCUAUUACACCUCUAUUCCAUUCAACCAAACACAAGAAUACUAUUACGCCUCUAUUCCAUUACGCCUCUAUUCCAUUCAACCAAACAAUUGAUUUGCUAUUACGCCUCUAUUCCAUUACACCUCUAUUCCAUUACGCCUCUAUUCCAAUACAGCGAACCAAACGUGCUGUAAGUGUUUACCAACCUUCUUUUAGUUAAAUUAUGCAAGCCUAAAAUUUUCAGCUUUAUUUGAGUACGUUUUCUAUGUCUAAUUCAAGUUUUAUUAUUAAGGACUAAAUUGUAACUUAAACAAAUUAGAAUACCAAUUUAAAGAGACAAAAUUCAAAACCCCAAAACCCACACGGGCAUGUGGGUAAGUGGCACGGGCCAGUGGAGACUGGAGCUAUCACAUAAGGCGAGUGAGAUUGAAACAUAUGAAAUAAAUUAAUCCACUUAAUUUUCCAACAACCAUGCUAUACUACCAAACCAAAUAACGAGUGAAGCUUUGAAUAGGGGCGAAUCUAAAAAAAAAAUUAGAAGAAUUAGAAUUAAAUUAUAAAAUUUUGAGAAGUUAUCAUGUAUUAAUUUAUUAUUUUUUUAAAGGGUCCUAAUAGAAUUUUUUUCCCAUUCUGGUUGGGCCAAUACCUUUGACUGCCUCUUUAAAUUUGCUUCAACCCUAAACCCAAUAUUCGAUUUGGAUUAACAACAAUAUAUAGGUUUGUAUUUGUGGGAGUUUGACGAAUAAAAAUUUCUAUUUAAAAGGUUUAAAUUAUAAAUUUUUGAAAGUUUAAAAUAAAUUUGUAUUUUUUAUUAACAAAAUAUAAAAGAAAAAAAACAUGUUUAGACAAGACAAGAAACCUUGGGAUCAUACGGGUGAUUUUGAUGAUGUUAAUGGUUAUUUUGGUGGAGAGGGUAAACACGAAACAAAUGAUUCAUUAUAUAUAAUAUAAUUAUGAAAUUCAAGCCAUAUAUUGUACUUUUGGUUUUUCUGCAAUAUGAUACAUGUAUUUGGUAAAAAGUUAUAUAUUUUGAUACUUAAAAGUAACAUUGUUAAUUUUUUUAGUGCUUAAUCUGAAUUUUAGAGUUUAUUUAAUGAACAUUAAUUGUUAAUAUUGUUAUGUUUAUUUUUUUAUGAUUUUGUUAAUAAAAUAAAUUUUAUGUUUAUCUUGUUAUCUUUUUUAUUUUAGAAUUGAUUACAUGAAAGUUAAUUGCUAAUAUUAUUAGUUAACUAUUAGUUUUCUUCAAAUCAAAUUAAAACCCGAAAGAUCCCACUUUUUUUUUAUAUUAGUUUUAGUUAUCCAUUAAAUUUGUUUCUUUGUAAUAAAAUUAAAUUAUAGAAAUAACAUUAAAAUUUUAAAUAAAAUUAAUUCACAAUAAUUAUACAGAAUUUAAUUUUCUUUCAAAUACUGCAGUUAAUAAGGAAAGUGAAUAUAGUAAAAAGAAAUAUUGUUUAAUUAGUUAAUUUAAAAAUCAAUAGCGUCUAAAAACUGUCAGAAUGGAAUAUUAGAUUUUAUAAGAUUUCAUUAUUCUAAAAAAUAAAAUAUGACAAUGCUUAAAAAUUUUAUCAAAAAAGUUUUAAAUUUUAUAUAAAAUUUUAAAAAAUAAAAAAACAGUAUUAAAAAUUUUUAUAAGCAAAUUAAAUAUUAAUUAGUAAAUUAUUUUUGUAAUAUUUAUAUGUAUUUUCAUUUUUAUAAAUACUAUUAAAACUUUUUUUAAAAAAAUUGAAUGCUAUGUAAAAACAUUAUUAAAAAUAAAAUAUUAUAUGAAAGUUAAAAUGAUGUAAAAACAUAUUUUCAGUGUUGGCGUUGCUCGUUCGUAAAUGGGUUAGUUUCCGUUUUGAUGUGUUUUUACGUGGAUAGUAAAAGAAAUGUGUUAAUUUUUGGAUUAUGGAGUUGAUCGUUUUUAAUCAAUUCUCCAGUAAGUUGACUCGUUUGUUGUUGUUAUGUGCUAGGAUAAGAGAUUAAUUCUGAUUUGGGCCUGUGUGGUUGUGUAGAUUUUCCAUGUGAAAUCGUUUGGUAUUUUUAGGAUAAAUCAUUCUUUAAAUCGUAUUGCUACCAUCGCGAAUGUGAUGUUUUAAUUUAUGCAUUUAGGAUCUGGUAGUCUUAUAGGUGUUUUCGCAUAAAAAAUUGAACCAUGUGUGUAACGAAAGCUAAAAAAUUGCACUGUUGACGCCACACGGCCAUGUGACAAGUCGUGUGCUGGAUCAUGUGUAACACACGAUUUGAGCUAGUUGAGCCAUGUGGAAAACAAAGGUGUGUGUGAAGGCGUGUGCCACACCAUGUGGGCCACACAGGCUGGCCAUUUAGGCCGUAUGGGACCAAAAUUCUAAUUUUUUUCCUAGGGUUAUACACAGUGUGUAUACUUGUCUUUGAAUUGAAAAAUUCUAAACAACUCUAAAUAAAUGGAAAGCAGCAAAUUACCUGACGAGGCAAGCUAGGUCAAUUACGACCAUUGUGUUAUUCUUGUCUCUGAAUUGAAAAUUUUAGAAGAAACUAAAGAGAAAGUGUUAGAAAAUAAUUGAAAACAGAUAAAACUUAUGUCUCAUUGAUUGGAUAAACUACGAUCACCCAUAAUAGACCUUGUACUUGACUUUUUGUUUAGGGAGAUUGACUCUUUUAGGAGAAGUCUUUUGAGUGUUGUUUGCUAGGCAAUCGGUGCUGCCCUCAACAACUAAUGGUAGUGUCCCCAUGUUGGGAUUUUAUCCCCAGCCUCUGCGGAAUAAUCAUUGAGGAUAUGUGCGUAGGGAUUCAAACUACCAAUCAAUGCAUGUGUAGCCUUUACCUUGCAACCAUCUCCAUGAACCCAUAGGGUUCUUAGCGGGAUCAAGAGACGAAACCCUAAUGUGGGAACAAUACCAUUUGUUGAAGGCUUUGUUAAUAGGGUCACACCUAGGGGAGUUGGCAGGGGUCCCAACCCCCCUUAAAAUGAAAAAUUUUCCAUUUAGGCCCUUUAAAAUUUUUAAAAUUUUAAAUUAAUAAAAGUAAAAUUGUACUUUGGCCCCCCAAAAAGUGAUAAAACUUCGAUUUAGUCCUCUAAAAAUUAUAAAAUAUAGGCUAUUAAAAUGGUGAAAUUGCAUUUUUACUAUCAUAAAAAUUAUAAUUUAAUUUCACCCCCUAAAAAGAUUUUCUGGCUUCGCCCCAAAUAAAAUCUUUGCCAAAAGAUUAAAAUAAAAUUAUACCGUAAAUGAAAAAAUAAACUAAGAAAAUCCAAUCUAACAAAGAAAAUAACUUGAUGUCCAAAAGCUACCAUGAACCGUAAUUCAUGGGAAGUCUUGUUGCUCAUUUUAUUGGUUUCCAUUUUGAUUUUGCAAAAUAAGUUUGAAUUUUGAAGAGAGCCUACUACGUGAGAGCAAAAGAAAAAAAUUCUAUAAAGAUUUUGAAUUUUGAAUUUUGAAUUUUGAAUUUUGAAUUUUGAAUUUUGAAGCAGAUUUUCAUUAAGAUUGAAGAUUCCUAAUUGAUUUCUUAGGAGAUUAUCAUGAGUUCCUUAUUUCUUUCAGUUAUAUUGCCCUUUGGAUUUUUUAUUUUUAAUCAUGAACUACUUUUCUAAAUACGUAAGAGAGAUGAACCCUAUGAUAGAUUGUGACACCCCAAAGCUGACCGGGAUAGACCGGCCUGAAUUCAAAGCAUUACAUUAGCCACCUAAGGACCACUCAAGACACACCCCGACCUUAUAACACCUCAAUCUUAUCUAAUUACUAGUUAUUUAUUAAUGCCGAAGUAAAUUAUGAGCCAAUUUUAAAGUUUUCCUAGGUAAUUUAACCUAAGGGCAUUUACAUCAUUUUAUGACCUAUGGUAAAACUAACCUAGAAAUACCGAAAACAUUCCAAAAUAAUAUAAAAAAAAAGCUAAGAAAAACCUAGAAAUACAAAAAAAAAUUCAUGUUUUUACAAAUUGGGAAAUACCUAAAUUUGUUUUUAUCAAUUAAGAAAUUAAAAAAAUUGUUGAGAAAUAUCUUUUUAGUGAUUGUUAGCUUUGACAAGUUCUCUCCACCACUUCUCUUACGCUCCUUCCAGGAUCUUGCUUUUUGUGUGUUGAAAACUCAAAUGAACAAAAUAAAGUGAAUUUACGAGUUUUGUUUUCUUUUAAAAAUAUUUUUAAUAUUUUUGUGGAUACCAAGAGAUACCAAAAAUUAUUUCACUAAGAAGUUUUAAUUCACUCGAAAAGUUAGUGUUUUAUUUCAAGGGGUCAUAAUUAAUCAUUAGAUUUCUCAAUUUUAAAUUUUGAAUUUUUGACAAUUGUGUAAUUAAUAAGUACCAAUUUUGAGUGGUGUAGGGCUAGUACAAUCUCCCUUACACAUAACCGACUCUUGAUCUAAUAAAUAUUUAUCCUUAUACUUUGAUCUAAAUAUUUUGAUGUAAUCAAUGUAAAAAACCUUUUAAACAAAAUAAGGUUGAAAUAAUCUAUUUGUCUUUAUACUUUGAUAAAAUUUGGGAUUUAGUCCUCAUACCUAAUGUUGACACCAUUUUUUUGUGAAAACGGGGUUGACUUGGAUUUUGUAAACGAAAACGAAAACGGGGGUCGCCACCAAUUCUUUUUGAUAAGGUGUGAUCGGGCCACCUUGAAAAGUGGUUGUUUUUAAUAAACAAUUUAAUUUUAUGAAAACAACGAUUUUGGUCCACGAAAUUCAGAAAAACAGGUUCGGGAGUCGGUUACGUACGAGGAAGGAUUAGCACCCUCAUAACGCCCAAAAUUGGUACCUAGUUGAUUAAUUAAUGUCUUAGUGUAGAAGAUUGAAAACUCUAAAGAGAUUUAAAACACGAUCCUUUACUGAAAUGAUAAAAAUUUUCGGCAAAAAGGGCAUAUUUCACAUUAAUCGAGAAAGAGAAUUAUAUCCAAUAAGUUAGAACACAAUGUCUUGAAUUCCGAUGCGCGAAUGAAUACCAAAAAUUUACUUAUUUAAAAGAUAUUUAACUAUCUCGGAUUUAAAAAAGGGAUCAUGCCCAGUAAGUUAGGACACGAUCUUUUCUUAAUUCCCGAGAUCGUUUAAAACUUGAGAAAAAAGGGAUCAUGCCCAGUAAGUUAGGACAUGAUCUCUUCUUAAUUCCCGAGAUCGUUUUAAACUUGAGUUUGAAAAGAUUCGUGUAUUUAAAUUUAUUGUGAAAAUUGAAACCCCGUAAGUUAGGGUACGACCUUCUCGAAUCUAAACAUGAGAUUUUGCUUAUUCAAAAAAUCAUAAUUUAUGCAUUGAAUAAAAUUAAUCUAACACGAAAUAGUAGAAAUGCAACACGGUGUCAAUAUGUGUAACAAGACAAAAAUGAAUAUGAUAAUGUAAGCAUAAAUAGUACGAACGACAUCGUAAAUGAGAUAAAUAAUAGGAGAGACAAAUCCAUCAUAUCACAACAAAUAAAUAAAUGCAAUAUUAAGACAUUCUUUUCAAAUGAUAAUGAACAUAUACGCAAAUAAACAAAUUAACAUCGAGUGAAACAAAAAUGCAAUAACGAAAUUAAUAAAACUAUAAAAAGUAUAAAAAUAUGUGUGUAUGUACGUGUAGGUAUGCAUUAUAAAAAUAUAUGUGCAUAUAUAUAUAUAUAUAUUUGAAAUUACAAAAUAUAAAAGAUAUAUAUAGGUAUGUAUAUGUAUGAGUUAUAAAAUAUAUGUAUGUAUAUGUGUACAUAACUAAAUUUGAAAUAAAUAGAUAUAGAUAAACAUAAUAAUAAUAUAGUAAGACAGAUAUAUUUAAUAUUUAAAUAAGUGAACAUAAUAAAUGGGAGUAUAAUAAAUAAUAAUAAUAAUGCAAAGCUAGUAAUAUGAUAUAAUGAUAUAAUAUUAAUGACUAAGUAAAUAUAAGAAGAAAAUAUUAAUAGAUAAUGUAACAACCCGGUUUUGACCCUAAUCGGAAUAGUGGUUUCGGGACCACAAAUCCGAACUAGAAAAAUAUUAUUAAUAUUAUUUAGUGUGUUUAUAUUGUGUGCAUUUGAAUGUGUGAAAUUUUCGUGUUUUAAUUUCAUCGUUUAAGUGUCCGAUUUAAUAAAAGGGUUUAAUCGCGUAAAAUGAAAAAUUAGGGGUUAAUUAUAAAAGCACCUAAUUGUUGUUGGCUUUAUAAUUUAGAGGUUUUACUAUGAAAUUAGUCCACUAUAUAAGUUAGUGGGUGGCAAAAGACUAAUGUAACCUUAUUAUAUAUGUUUUAUAUAUAUAUUAGUAAAGGUUAAAAUAGUAAAUUAAUUAUAAAGUUAAUAUAUGUUUAAUAUAACAAAUUAAAUGGCUAUGUUCUUCAUCUUUUGGCCGAAUGGGUGAGAAAAUAAAAGGGGUUUAAAGCUUUUUGUAUUUCGGCAGAUUCAAGCUUUGAUUUAGGUAUGUUUUUGCUUCGGUUUUUGAUGAUUUUUACGUUUUUGAGAUCGUUGCUUUGAAUACUUCAAAACCCAUGUCUUAAUUUUGUGAAUUGAUGAAUAUUUUGAAUUAUGUCAUUGAUGAAUAUUUGUGUUUUGGGAUGUUUGAUGAUGAAUAAUGGAAGAUAUGUCUUAGAUUAACAUGUUUUGUAUUGGUAUUUUUGAUGAAUUUGAGUAUUUAGGGCUAAAUUGUGAAAAUAAAUUUUUGAGGGAUUAAAAUGUGAAAUAAAUGCAAUGUGUGGACUUGUAUGAGAACCAUGAAUAUUCGGCCCUUGUGUGGUAUGGGCAAAUUUUGUGUAUUUUGUGUUUUGUGCAAAAAGGACUAAAUUGCAAAAAGUGCAAAAUGUUAGGGGCAAAAUGGUAAUUUUCACAUUUAUGUAUUGAUGGACUCAAAUGAAUGUUUUGAUGAAUAAGAAGGUUAAAUUUGACUAUGUUUAGAUCAAGGAACGAAGAAAACGAAUUUGGAUCGGGGGAAGUCGAAAGUAAUCGAAUAGUCGAUCGUGUUUGCUGAUAUCCGAGGUAAGUCUAUUAGCAACUAAAAGUUAUUAAGUUAAUAUUUAUACAUGCAUACUAAUUUUAUCUUAUGAUUGAGCUAUAAUUUAAAGUAUAAAAGUUGAAUAAACUUUGGACUAUAGAUAUUGUAUAUAACAUGUUCGAAUAUACAAGUAUGAUCUUGUAUAAAUUAUUGGAUUAAUCAAAGAUAUGUAUAAGAUAUAUGUAUAUACAUAUAAGGUUUGAAUGAUUAUAUGAGUAUGUAUAUAUAUGUAUAAACUCUUGGAUUUGAUUUGUGAUAUGUAAUUUAUAAUUGUAUAUAUAUAUAUAUAAAGUCGAAUAAGCAUGCAAUUAUACAUGUAUGUGUUGUGUAUUGAAUUUAGAUAUGUCAUUAUAUAAGUAUAUGAGGAUUGAUUGUGAAUUUAUAUAUGUAUAAGUUUUUGUUUUGAAAUUAAGUAUGAAAUUAUACAUUCAUAUGGUAGAUUCGAAUAUGUAUAAAUGCACAUGUAUAAUUUCUUGAAUUGAAAUUAGGUAUGGAAUUAUAUAUGUAUGUGAAAGUUUCGAUUUGUAUGUAUAUUCACGUAAAAUUUUUUGAAUGGAAGUGAAGAUAUGAAAUUAUUAGUUUGGAUCAUUAUAAAGUGAUUGAAUGUAAUACAGACGUUACGUCUAGCAGGCUUGAUGCCGGUGAAGUAAUUCAGACUUUAAGUCUAGCAGGCUUAAUGCCGGUGAUACAUUUCAGACUAUAUGUCCAGCAGGCUAAGUGCCGGUGUACUGAAUCAGGCUUUAAGCCUAGCAGGCAAAAUGCUAGUGAAUCUUUUUAAAUUAUGUGAGAAUAUGCAAUUGAUAUAUCUAUGAUUUUGAUUAUACGAAAUAGAUGAAUACAUGAACAUUCGGUUUUUUUUUAUAUGCCUGGUGAGCUUACACCUACAUUCGGGUUUUAUAUUGGUUAAACAUAAUUGUAUGGAUUCGGUAUAUACAAUUAAUAAAGGCAUAUGUACAUUAGGUAUAUGCGAUUGCUGAAAUUAUAAAUGCAUAUGGUGAUAUGUGAUUGUUAAAUAUACACGUUGAGCCUAUGUGUUCGAUAAUUAAUUAUGUAUGCAAUUGAGAUAUGUAUAUAUAUACAUGUACUCAUUUAUAGGUAUAUAUAUUCGAAUGUAUAUACUAGCUAUGUAUUCAGGUAUAAAUCCAUAAUGAGUAUAUAUAUAUACAAACGAAUAUAAAAUGUGAUUGAUACAUAUGUGUUAGAUUCGAAUUGAUUUAAAGUUUACCAUGAGUAUACAUACACAUUCGGUUAAGAUAUGUGUAUAAUAUAUAUAUAUGCUCGAUUGUAUACAUUGGGUUGUAAUGUUGUUUUGUAUAAUAUAUAUUCAAUUGAUUUCAUUCGACAGGUAUACAUAUCUGACUAUAAAUAAAAUGGUCUGAGUACAAUAAUGUAUGAAUGUUAGUUGGUCGUGUUAGUUGAAAUUUCAGUAAAAUAGAUUAAAAGGUUAUAUUAAUUAUGUGUUUAUAUAUACAUUUAGUUAUGCUGUAGACUUACUAAGCUAUAAAAGCUUACUUCAUUUGUUUUCGUUCAUUUGUUUUUAUAGAUUUUGGAGACGCGUUACGAGCUCGGGGAUCAUCAGCAUAGUCCAUCACACUAUCGACUUCUUUUGGUAUUUUGUUAAAUAUUUGAACUCGAUCUUAUGGCAUGUAUAGGCUUGAUAAUGUUUUGGUUAGUUUUGGAUCCUAAUAUGUAAAUAGUCAUGCGAAAAGGGUUUAAUUUCCAUGCUUGAAUUUGACUACAUAUGAUCAUGAUUUGGGCUUGCAUUUGAAUGAGAUAUUCAAGUUACAUGUAUGUUAUAAAUUUUGGAUUAUGUUAGGUAUUAAAGUCAUGUUUAUGUGUGCUUUGUUUCGUAAUGCCUCGUAACCCUAAUUCGGCGACGGAGACGGGUUAGGGGUGUUACAGAUAAUAGCUAGGUUAAUAAAAAAAACAAAAUGGACUAAUUCAUGAUAAAAAUUAAAUUUAAAGGUUCAAUCUAUAAUAAAAUAAAUAAAGUGGGUCCAAAAUGAAAAGGCACGAAAGGGCGGAGGGCCAAAUGAGCAAUAAACCCAAAUUCCAGGCCACGCCCAGGGGUCCAACGAAUUGAGGAACGAAUUGAAAACCGCAACAAACCUACGGUCCAAAUUACAAAACGAGGGAAAAAAGAAAAGGAACUAAAUCAAAACAAAUCGAUAAUGCGGAGGGGCCAAAGGAGCAAAUAACCCAACACUUAACAAUGCACGGAUCCUCUGGUCGGGUCGAGUCGACGAGUGGAUCUGGGGGGCAAAACGACGCCGUUUUGGUACCUGGGAGGCCUGCCCAAAACGACGUCGUUUUAGGGCCUAUAUAAGUAAAAAAACAUAAACAAAAAAAUCAUUUUAAAUCCAUUUCAGAAAAAAAAAACUUUCCCUUUUUUAUUUUCUCUCUAGCCCCACUCCCUUCGAUCCAGACUCCGACCGAUGGCCGUCGCACCGCCCACCGACCACCGGCGACGGUGCCGCCCACUGACCACCGAUGACGGCGCCGUCGUGCACAGUUGUCGGAAAGUUCAAAACCCCUUUUUCUCUUCUCUUUUCGAGUAAAGUACCUAUUUGGGUUUAAGACAUCCCAAAAGUCCUUCAAAAUAAAAAAAGAAAGAGAGAAAAAUCUAGAGACCUUUCGGUUUCUCAUCACCGCCGAUGGAGUUUUUGGCGAACCCGUUGGUUUGACCACCCCAAGACCGGAGGUACCUCCGUCCGCGGCAAUAAAGGUAAUAGAUUUCUCUUUUUAUUUACUAUUAUAUUUAUUUUCGAAAUAAAUAAAUAAAUAAAAAUAUAAAAGAGGCACCUUUGUUUUUUCCAAAUCUGUUUCAAACUUUUUUAUUUUCGAAAAAAUCCCAAAAAUCCCCAUGAUUACAUUGAAUUUGUGGCUUUUAUAGCCCAAUGCAUAUUUUCUUUUUUCUUUUUGUUUAUCACUGCUUCUCUGCUAUUUGUGCUGUUGUUGCGUGUUUUUUUCAUGUUUUGCAGGUCUUGACGGAGCAGGUGGGCAGGUGGCAGAGCAAGUGGCGGUGGGUGGUGUCAGAGGUGGCAGAGGCAGAAGGUGACGCCAGAAGAUAGGAACCCCUAGGUGUGGCGCACCUAGGGUUUGACAUUGUUGUUUUUUAUUUGAUUUUUUGGGCUAGGUUUAGACAGUUGGGCCUGUGCAUUUUGCUUCGGGUUUGGGUUUAAUCUCGUUGGGCCGGGUGUAAUUGUGUUAGUUAGGCCGGGGCAUAAAUUGGUUAUUACACCUAAAAGGUUAAAAAUUAAGUCUUCUUAUUUUUUUUUAAAUCUUAGUCCUACCGUUAAUUUUUUUUUGUCAAAAUUUGUUAACUUGACAUAUUAAUUAGGUUUUCCUUAUAUGUCGUGGUAUAUGACCAACACAAAAUUAAACAAGUUGACAAGUUCUGACAAAAAAUAUCAAAGAUGAUAAUAAUUUAAUUAAAAUUUUUAAAUUGAAAAAGUAAGGGAUUAAAUUUAUAACUUUUGAAGUGUAAAGAAUGAACUUAUUGAAAUACAAGAACUAACAACACAUUUUAAAAUAUUACUAGUAAAUUAUAUAUCUACAACGUAAGCUCUUAUAUUAUAUUCUUGUAUCUAUUUUGUAUCUUUCAUUAUAAUAUGAUUUAUUAAUUUUAAUAUUUUUAUAGAAUAAUAUGCUUUAAACUAUUUUUUGUAUAAUUUAUAAAAAUUAUAAUAAACUUGCAAAAUGAUUUAAUGAUAUUUAAUUAUUAAUGGAAAAAAAAAUGAUAACAUAUAUAUUCUGUAUAUAUUAAGAUUUUGAGUCAUUAAUUAUAUAUCUACACAUUAUAAUAAAUUCAUCUUUCAAAAUGUUCCUUAUAAUUAAAGCAUAAAUUAUAUUUAUAAUAUUAUAAAUAUAUUAUAUCAUAAAUAUUCUUUCAAAUAUUUUUUAAUGUUUAAUAAUAAGUUAAUUUAUAAAAUAUUCUUUCAAUAAAUUAACGUGAUGCGAUCGUUAGGUGCUUGGAUUUGGUGAUGGGGGAUGAAGAGAAAAGGGAUGGAAGUGAAGAAAAAUGUUGAGAAAUGGAAAGGGUUAGCAAGGGAAGCUGCCAUGAAAGUUGGUUCUAUGGAUAUGAACCUUCAAGCUUUUGUGGAUGAUGUUACUCAAGGUUGUUGGAAGUAAAUUUUAAAAAAAUUGAGGUAAAAUUAAAAAAAUGUUAGAGCUAAAUUUGUCAUUAUGACUAAAAUGUAAAACCAAAAUUUUUUGAAAAUAAAAAAAAAUGGAAAAUAACAAAUUCUGUCACUCAUGUUUGCUUAAAAUAUAGUUUUGGUCACCAAUCUUUUGAAGUAAAUAUAUGGUCACCAAUAUUAUCCAUUUGUUACUCUGCAAUAACUCACCUCUAUGAAAUUUGGCAGGCCGUGUCAAUUUUGUAGAUUUGCGCUCUGAACUGUGAAAAAAAUGCAAAUUUUAGGUUAUUCAAGCAUUUUAAUACGUAUAUAUGAAAAAAAGAAGAAGAUAGGAGAGAACCUUCCUAGAAUAUUUAAGAAAAUAGCUCCAAAGACACUAUUGAAGUCAACUUUGAAGCAAAUUUUCAUCAAGAUUGAAGAUUCCCAGUUGAUUUCUAAAGAGAUUAUCAUGAGUUUCUUUAUUUCUUUCGGUUAUACUGCCCUUUGGAUGUUUUUAUUUUUAAGCAUGAACUAAUUUUCUAAAUACCUAAGAGAGAUGAAUCCUAUGGUAGAUUGUGGCACCCCAAACCCAAUCGGGAUAGACCGGCCCGAAUUCGAAGCAUUACACUAGCCACCUAAGUGACUCUCCAGCUAACGACCACCCAAGACACACCCUGACCUUAUAACACCUCAAUCUUGUUUAAUUAUUAGUUAUUUAUUAUUGCAUAAAUAAAUUAUGAGCCAAUUUUAAACUUUUCCUAUGUAAUUUAACCUAAGGGCAAUUUUGUCAUUUUACCACCUAUUGUAAAACUAACUCGAUUUUAGAAGUUUUUACCAACCUUAUUUUAGUCAAAUUAUACAAGCCUAAAUUUUUUAGCUUAAUUUGAGUUUGUUUACUAUGUCUAAUUCAAGUUUUAUUAUUAAGGACUAAAUUGUAACUUAAACAAAUUAGAAUAUCAAUUUAAAGAGAAAAAAUUCAAAACCCAAAAACCCACACGGGCAUGUGGGUAAGUGACACGGGCGUGUGGAGACUGGAGCUAUCACACACGGGUGAGUGGGAUUGAAAAAUAUGAAAUAAAUUAAUCCACUUAAUUUUCCAACAACCAUGCUAUACUACCAAACCAAAUAACGCUUGAAGCUUUGAAUAGGGGUGAAUCUUAAAAAAAUUAAAAGAAUUAGAAUUAAAUUAUAAAAUUUGAGAAGUUAUCAUGUAUUAAUUUAUAAUUUUCUAAAGGGUCUUAAUAGAAUUUUUUUUUUCCCAUUUUGGUUGGGCCAAUACCCCUACCUCUUUAAAUUUGCUUCAAUCCUAAACCCAAUAUUCGAUUUGUUGUGGAAGUUUGAUGCAUAAAAUUUCUUUUUUUAGAGGUUUAAAUUAUAUAUUAUUGAAAGUUUAAAAUAAAUUUGUAUUUUUUAUUAACAAAAUAUAAAACAAAAAAACAUUUUUAGACAAACCAAGGAACCUUUGGGAUCAUACGGAUGAUUUGGUGAUGUUAAUGGUUAUUUUGGUGGAGACAAGCCAAGAAAAGAAACAAAUGAUUCAUUAUAUACAAUAUAAUUAUCAAAAUUCAAGCCAUAUAUUGUCUGUUUCAUCCAUAAAAAUUUCAUGGGAGGUCCAAAGGUAAUUAAAUGACUUGUAGGCUUGCUGAAUUUCUUUGAAAGGCCCAAAGGCAAUUUAACACUCACAAAAUAAUCUCUAAAUACUGUAAAGACAAAUCAAAUCCACAGCAGCAUUAGAGUUGAUUAAGCUAAGCAUUGGCAAAUAUUACUUUGAUUUUGCAUGCAAUAUCGGCAAAACCCCCCUCUUACAUUAGAAAAAACAACAUAAUCCAUGUAACAUUGAUAGCCCAAUACAAAUUUCAUCAAGAAAAAAGUCUCUUUGUUUUGUAGAACAUGAUAGUAAAGAUGUGGAGUUUCAUUCUUCUUAUUGGCCUCCUUUAGUUUUCCUUGAUCAACAACCACUAGCCAAAAACACAAUUAGAUUAGAUUAUGAAUGAUACUUUCAACUAUGACAAUAUUAAAUACAAAACACUCCAAAUAACUCUAAAUAAAUGGAAAGCAGCAAAUUACCUGACGAGGCAAGCUAGCUUAAUUAAGACCAUUGUAUUAUACUUGUCUCUGAAUUGAAAAAUUUAGAAGAAAAUAGAGAAAAAGACUUAGAAAAUACUUGAAAACAGAUAAAACUUAUAUGUCAUUUAAAAUAAAAAAAAAUUAUUUAAGCUGUUUAAAAUUUUUAAGAUUUUUAAAAUUUUAAAAUGAUAAAGGUAAAUUGUACUUUGGCACCCCUAGAAAUGAUAAAACUUUGAUUUAAUCCUUUAAAAAUUAUAAAAAUAUAGGCUAUUAAAAUGAUGAAAUUAUAUUUUUACUAUAGUAAAAAUUACAAUUUAAUUUCACCCCCUAAAAAGAUUUUCUGGCUUCGCCCCUAAUAAAAUAUUUGGCAAAAGAUUAAAAUAAAAUUAUACCGUAAUUGAAAAAAGAAACUAAAAAAAUCCAAUCUAACAAAGAAAAUAACUUGAUGUCCAAAAGCUACCAUAAAUCGUAAUUCAUGGGAAGGCUUGUUGCUCAUUUUAUUGGUUUCCAUUUUGAUUUUGCAAAAGAAGUUUGAAUUUUGACGAAUACCGACAUAUUAUAUAUAUGACUAAAAUUCCAGAAUAGGUUAAAAAUGUUGAAUUAAAGAUGAAAUUAAGUGUGAAUUAAUAACCACAAGUGUACUCAUUACUCACCAUCUCUGUUAAAAAUGUUGGAUGUUGUUUAGCAACCUUUGUUUGAUUUUCUUCAGCUCAACCACAACAUCUUUCAUAUCUUUUCUUUCUUCUGGUAACUCAGCUGAACAAUUCAAAGCCAACUCCAUGAUAGAUGAAAUACAAUUUGCUUUAACAACAAUGUACUCAUCCUCUCUUCUUAGUAAAUCAACAUCUGCAAUUUCUAUCGCUCCUUUAGGCAAUGAACUUUCCAUCCAAUGCCUUAUAGUCUCUUCUUCAACAAAAACAUUAUCAGAUGGCUUUUUCUUUGUGAAAGUUUCUAUAAGGACGAUCCCAUAACUAUAGACGUCAGAUUUUAUAGAAACAAUUCCUGCUGAUCCAAAUUCUGCAUUUCAAGUAUAAUUAGAACAUCAUUCAUCCUCAAUUAUUUCUAAAAUGCUUAUUCUAAUAUCUAUCCAUAUACACAUGAAACAAAAAUAUAAAAUUCAAAUUAGGAAAAUAAUCAUACAAAAAUAAAAAAGAAUUCACCUGGUGCCAUAUACCCGAUAGUUGCAAGAGUCAUGGUUUGCUUCAUUACUUCACCUUCUCCCAACAAUUUGGCAACGCCAAAAUCUCCAACAUGUGCAACCAUGUCUUCAUCUAGUAAAAUAUUGCUUGGCUUUAUGUCACAAUGAAUUAUAGGUGUUGGAUGUCCAUUGUGGAGGUGUUCUAUAGCUAACGCAACAUCUAUCAUUAUGUCGACCCUUUGUAUGAUAUCAAGGAAACAAUUUUCAGAAUGUAACCAUUUCUCAAGGUUUCCAUUAGACAUGUAAUCAAGCACCAAGGCUUUGAAGUCAACACUUGAGCAGCAAGUAAUGACCUUCACAAUAUUACGAUGAACUAUAUUAAGCAUAGCAUCACAUUCAAUGUCAAAACUCCUAAAUGCUCCCUCUGUUUGCAAAUUGAAAACUUUUAUUGCAACUUCCAUUCCAUCUGAAAGCCUCCCUUUAUAUACAUAUCCAAAACUCCCUGAACCAAGCAUAUUGCUUUCCUCAAAUCCAUUAGUUGCUCGUGAAAGUUCAGCAUGUGAAAUUCUUCUCGGUGUUUUCAAAGACAACAAAUCAUCUUUAAUUGAUAGAGUUGUACUCCUUCUUUGGCAUCUUCUAUACAUAAUAGUUAAGACUAUUAGUACUACGACAAUGCCAAUUGUUGGUAAACCAUACCUAAAAGCAUGCAAUAUAAUCAUUUGGGAGUUUUUGUGGAUGUCGUUUUUGCAAGGUGGGACUUGCAAUCUAGGUGGACCACAAAGUGCAUAAUUCUUCAUGAAUGAUGUGCUAGAAAAGUUUGAAAAACAUCCUUUGCUGGGAAUUUCCCCUUCAAGUCUAUUGAAAGACACAUUAAAAUACCUUAGAUAUAUAAGUUUUUCCAAAGAUUUGGGAAUGACUCCAGAGAGAUUGUUAUUGCAUAAAUCCAAGAAUUCCAAACUAAUCAAUCCAGCAAAUGAUUCAGGGAUAUGACCAUGUAGUAUAUUAUUUGAUAAAUCUAAUGAAACCAAAGUUAUAAGACCCCCAAAUGUGGAUAAGAUAUCGCCCGUGAGAAGAUUCUUUGAUAAAUUUAGUUUCAGUAGACUCCUCAAAUUUCCAACAUCAAUAGCAUGUGAACUGUGAAGAUGGUUUGAUGAUAAAUCUAUUUCUAAGAUAUCUUUAAGAUUCCACAAAGUUGAGGGUAUUGUAGAACUCAAUCUGUUGGAAGCAAAGUAAAGAUAUCCCAAAGAAGUAAUAUUACCCAAACAAGAGGGUAUGGAUCCAUGCAGCUUAUUCAACCCUAAAAAAAAGUUGUAUAAUCUCUCCAAAUCACAAAGGCUUUCUGAGAUGGGCCCUCCUAAUUUAUUAGAGGAAAGACCUAGACUUUGGAGAUUCCGCAGUCCUCCUAUUGAUGUUGGAAUGAAUCCACUUAAUUUAUUAAAGCCAAGUUCUAAAACCACCAUGUUGCUUAAGUUACCUAUUUCCAUAGGAAUAAUGCCUUGAAGCUCACAAUUAGAGGCAUAAAAGUAUUGAAGGGAUUUUGAAAGGUUCCCAAUAUAAGUAGGAAGAACGUCACUCAAUGGAUUUCCUGAAACAUCUAUUGCGGUCAAAUUCCUACAAUUCGUCAAAGAAGAAAGAAAGCUCCACUCAUGAUCAGUAGCAGAUCCUGUGAUCAAAUUAUUGUCAUUGAUUUUGAGCACUUCAAGGUGUUUUAAGUUGCCAAGCAUUUUAGGGAUUGGGCCAGAGAAUAAGUUAUGUGACAAUUCUAGUUGCUUAAGCAUGGAAGCAUUGGAGAUAGAGUUGGGAAUGUUUCCGCUAAGUUUAUUUCUCCACAAUAAAAGAAUCUCAAGCUUUGGAGCAUUGGUGAUGGGUGGUAAAUUACCUGUAAAAUUGCAUCUUUUAGUAUACAUAUUCAUUGAAUACCAAAUUCACAAAAUAUAUAAGACAUUAAAAUAAAAACUGUAAAACUUUAAAUCAAUUAAGAAUAAAAUUUUGGCAUGGAAAAAUGUGAUGAAAUCAAUUAGAAAGUUGAGACAUAAUAAGAAGUUUUGAGUAGUAAUUAGUAAAACAUAUAAUACAUUAAUAAUUUUUAAAAUAUUGUAAAACUUGAAAUAAAAUAAAAAUAAAAGUUUGGCAUGAGAAUGUGGCAUCUAAUCAAUCUUAAAAAUGAGACUCACAUUGAAUAAUAAUUAGUUAUGAUUUGGGAAACAAAAAUGUUAAAGCCAUUGUUUUUAAUGUAAGCUGGUAUGACUUUUAUCUAUUGGGUUAAUUAUUUAUUUUUAUUAAAUUAUAGUGUAAAAUUUAAAUAUUAUUAUUUGCUUAAAUUUUUUGUAUUUUUCGUAUAUUUAAAAUUUAAUCUUUAUAUUUUUAUUUUCUGUGAUUUAGUCCCUCUACUUUUUGAAUUGAAAAUUUUAGGUUUAUUUAUUAACACCGUUAAAAAGUUUUUGUGUUAGUAUGGCAUUUUGAAAACUAAAAUAAACUUGAUAUCUAUGUUUUUAAUUAUUCCAAAUAUUGUUUUACUAUUUCAAGAUAAAUUAUUUGUGUCUAGACCAAUAUCUUAAGAACUAUUGUUGCAUAUUUAAUUAUUCUAAAGAAUUGUCGAUUGAAUCUUAGCUUGAUUGGCAUGUGCAUUGUUGCCAAUGUAGGAGAAUGUGGGUUCAAGCAUGCAUGCUGAAAUGCAUUAUCCUCCUAUUUAUGAAUUGGUAAAGUACUAAAUUUUGAUAUAUUUUAAAAUAUUAAAAAUUUAUUAAAAUAUUUUUUUAUAAAAAUUGAUUGUACCACAAUAUACAAUUUUAAUAUCAAAUUUUUAAUUUUUUUAAAAAAUAUUAGCGAAUAUGUACUUUAUUUCAAGUUACACAAUUUUUACUAGUUUUUAAAUUUUUUUAAUUUUUAUCGUCUUUUAUAAUUUCUAAUAAUUUUUUAUAAUUUUUUACAAUAUUUAACAAUUUCUAAAAUUUUUUAAUAAUUUUAUUAUUUAUUACAAAUUUAAAAAUUAACAAAUUUUUAAUCUUUAAAACAAUUAUAUAUUUAUAAUGUAGUUAUUUUUUUUAUAAUUUUAUUUGAAAUUUUAAAGAUUUUUUUGGUUUGUUUUCUAGAUUAUGAUGCCAUCAUAAUGUCAUCAUAUGCCACAUGGCAAUUUAUGAUUAGUUGGAUAUCUCAAUCUAUUUUUUUAACGUCCAAUGGACUAAGCCAAGAACACCUGACAAUGUUAGAGACUACACUACGAAUGUUUGAUAAUAUUACGUAUUAAAGUGGACAAAAAAAAUUAAGGACCAAAGUUAUAAAAAAAAAAAAAAAACAGCAAUCGGCUGCAGGGAAUAAACUGUGCAUUAAGCCAUUAAAAAUAUAUCUAUAAUAUAUAUAAAUGCAUGGAUUUUGAGAAACAUUUGAACUGAUAAUUACAUAGUCUUUGAUGUUUACUAUAUUAUUGAAUUUGUUAUUUUAAAUAUUUUUUUAUUACUUUUAAGAUUUAUCAUAUGUAUGGAUAAGAAUUUUGGUUUUACUAAAAUAUUUGGUUAAAUAAAUUCAUUUAAUAAGAAAAUUUAGCAUCCUUAUAAAUAACAAUUUUGAUUCUAUUAAAAAUUAUUUUCAAAAAUAUAUAAUAAAAAUUUAAAAUUUAUAUUGAAUUACUUUAUACUUAAAUUAUUAUUAGAAACUUUAUCAUACACAUACGUGUAUGAGAACCAUGUAUUUAGAACAUAAAUUUGUUUUUUAAAGUAACUUAUGAUAAAUAAUGAAAUGUAUAAUUUGAAACUAUUUAAUAAUAACACAUGUCAUAUCUACCAUAUUAAAAUAAAAAUAGAUUAAAUUGUAAGUAAAACAUAAUUUAAACAUAUGAAUACAUCAAAUUAAGAAUACUAAAUGAAUACAGUUAUUUAUGAUGAUGUUGUUGCCAAUUCUUAAGUUGGUGCCGAGUUAAUUUGUGACAUCAUAAAUUUAGGUGAUAAAUUUAAGGUUUUAUGUAUUGAUGUGGAUUCAAAUAUCACCAUAAUUUUUUUAAAUAAAAAACUAAAAUACCCUCAAAUAAUAUAACUUAUAUUAAAUACGAAAGGGUAUUUUUGUAAUUUCUCUAACCGAGUUGGUGCCCGGUUGACUCAUGACACCAACUCAAUCAAAAGCUUCAAUAAUAAUAUAGAUAUUCACGGUAAAAAAAAUUACUUUAGUUCCAAAUAAUUAUAUAACAAGUAAAUUUAUAAUUGACGAAUAAAUUUAUAAAUAAUAUAUUUAUAUGAUCUAAUAUAUUAUAUUUAUAUUAAUUAUAUAUCAUCUACAAACUUUGAAGAUUAAUUUAUUAAGUAUCAAGAAAAGAAAAAAUGAAAUUUAAUUAACACUAAAUCAAUUUUUAGAUUUUGUACAGAUGAUUUAAUGAUGAUAAAAAAAAUAUUAGCACUAUUUUCGAAUUAACAAAAAAUUAGUGAUAUAUUUUAAUUAUAUUUAUUAUUUAUUUUUUAAUAAUUUUUUUAAUUAUAUGAAGUAAAAUUAUAUUGUAUACUAAAAAUGGUACAUAUACUUUAAUUAUACUUGAAAAUUUAUUAUAUAAAUUAAUAUAUUUUAAUUAUAUUUAACCAUUUGAAUAACAAAAUAAAAAAAAACUAAUUAGAAUAAUUUAUUUUUUAAAGUCUAAUGGAAAUUAAAAAAUUAAAAAUAAAGCAGUUCAUAUAAAACUUAUUGUUUAUUAUCAGAUUAAAAUGAUAAAAGUAUAUGACCAAAAUAAAAGAAACAAAUUCAACUCAAUGUUUUUGGAGUUUGGAAAAAAUUAAAGUUAAAAACAUACCUUCUAAUUUGUUGUUAAAUAGAUCUAUUUCUUCGAGCGUAGUCGAAUUAAAAAUACUUGAUGGAAUCUGACCUGCACACAUAGUCGAAAAUUGAAGUAAAAAACAUACCUUCUAAACUGUUCAACUAAAAAUACUUUAAGCAUAUUUUUUAGUAAACUGUGCAACAGGUGAUAUGAGAAUCUAUGUAUAUAAAUGUAUAUGUAUAUAUAUCGUUGUUUCAUUUUGUAAAAUAAAUAUAUUUUCCACAUUGGUUUCUUUUCUUCUACAGACAAAGGAUUUCUAAUGAUUCUUUUUUAUUUUUACUUAUAAAAUAGGUUAGUUUCUGCAAUAAUAAAAACAAUUUCUAAUGAUUAUUGUUGUUACCAGAUAACUAAUUUUCAUUCAAGUAAAGCCCUUCAAGCUUGGGAAAAUGUUGACACAUAUCAUUAGGCAAACUACCUGAUAGGCUAUUGUUGGAGAGAUCAAUGGUCUUCAGAGAAGAAAUGUUCGAGAUCGAAGUUGGAAUCUGACCUGUAAGGCCUUUAAUUUCUUUAAUAUUAAGCAUUUCCAAACUAAGAAGAUUACCAAUUUCCUUAGGAAUUUGACCUGCAGACAGUCAAAAAAUCAAUGUUUUUCAGCAUAUGUUUUUCAUCAAAUGAAAUAAAAAGUUCUUCCUUUUGUUAUCUAUUACAAAUCAAACUCUUUUAUAAAAAAAAAACUUUAAAUUCAAGAAAUCAAGGAAAUUGAUUACCUUCUAGAUUAUUAAACCCUAAAUAUAACUUCUGGAGUCGUGUUAGAUUUCCAAUACUUCUUGGAAUGAUACCCAUAAAUUGAUUAUAGGACAACGACAAAAUUUGAAGGUUGUUGCAUUUGCCCAUGCCAAAUGGAAUGUUACCAGAUAAUUCAUUCAAACUCAAGUAAAGCCCUUCAAGCUUGGGAAGAUGUUGACACAUAUCAUUAGGCAAACUACCUAAUAGGCUAUUGCUGGAGAGAUCAAUAAUCUUCAGAGAAGAAAUCUUGAAGAUGGAAGAUGGAACCUGACCAGAUAAUUGAUUGAAUCCCAAGUUCAAGAUCUCUAGAUUAGACAUGUUAACAAGUGUUUCAGGGAUUGUGCCUGUAAAGUUAUUGUUUUUCAUUUUCAGCCUUCGAACUCUUUGUAAGUUCCCAAGCCAUGAUGGAAUUUCCCCAUUCAGACGGCUGUAGCUUAAUUGAAGGAUCCUCAAACGAUGCAAUUGGCCCAAUUCUUUAGGGAGAUGGCCAUAGAAAUGGUUGCUACUCAAGUCGAGAGAGAGUAGAAAUGAAAGAUUUCCAAGGUGUGGAGGGAUAGUACCCCUAAGAUUCAUGCUUGUAAGAUUCAAAGCUAUAACUCUUUUAAGAAGGAUGCCACAAGAAACACCAAUCCAAUUGCAAACAGAGGUUGAGACUGUCCAAUUGUUUGGCAAGACAUUUUGAGGACCGACGAUGCGAUCCUUAAACUCGAGAAGUGCAAACUGAUCGGAGUUUAGAUUCCUGACUGUCAUAGCCAAGCAAAGUACGAAACAUGGUAUGAAUAAAGCUAAAAGAAGAUGAAAGCAAGUGUUGUAGUUCAUGAUUGCAAGACGGAAUAAGCCAAGAAAAUAAAAAAAAGUAGGAAAAGGGAAGUUGAGUUGAUAAAAUAGUUUGGAUGAUGAAGAAAAGCCCUGAGAGCAUGCUUUAAUAUGUUUCAAUCAUCGCACACUUGAUAAACUUGAUAAAUUUAAGACUACCCUAAAAAUUAAAAAGGAAAGCAAAGUUUUGAAGAAAUUUCAAAAUAAAUGUCAAGUCUUCUUCUUUUAAAAAUACGUACAAAGAAGCGAAUUUUCAAAAUUUCUACUAAAUUUUCUUCACAUUACUCCACAUAAUCCAUUAAAAAAACUUCAAAAAAAAAUAUUUUAUUAAUUACUAUAUAUUCUUUUAUUUUCAGAAUAAUAAUUGUUUAAAAUAUGCUAUUAGUCCCUGUAAUUUUAAAGUUAAAAAAAAUCCAAUCCUCCUAUUUUUCUAAUUUAAAAAUUCUAGUCCAAUCAUUUUUAAUUCCAUUAAAAAAUUUCACCUUAAUAGGUUUUUUGAUUAUCAAUCGUAUGCAACAUUAUAUGAAGGCAGUCUAAUCAGCAUAUAUCCAAGUUUAUAGAUUUUAAUAGAAAAUACUUACAAUCCUAAUGGUAGGACUAAGUUUUUUAAACUAGAAAAGUAAGAAGACUUAAUUUUUAACUUUUUAAGUACAAGGAUUAAAUUUUAAAUGUUGUCAAAGUACAAGGAUUAAAUUUUAAAUGUUGUCAAAGUACAAGCACUAACAAAAUAUUUUGAUCUAAUAAAUGUAAAUGAACUUUUUAAACAAAAUAAGGUUGAAAUAAUCUAUUUGUCGUUGUAUUUUGAUAAAAUUUGAGAUUUAGUCUUUAUACCUAAAAGGUUAAAAAUUAAGUCUUCUUGUUUUUAUUUAAAAAUCUUAGUCCUAUCGUUAAAUUUUUUUGUCAAAAUUUGUCAACUUUACAUAUUAAUUAGGUUUCCCUUGUAGGUCGUGGUAUAUGACUAACACAAAAUAAGCAAUUAAGUUGACAAAUUUUGACAAAAAAUAUCAAAGAUGAUAAUAAUUGGAUUAAAAUUUUUAAAUUGAAUUUAUAACCUUUAAUGUAUAAGGAAUGGAUAUCAAAUUUUUAUAGGAAUAAAGGGACUAACAACAUAUUUUAACCACAAAAUAAUAUGGGUGAUUAGAAUGAAUCUAAAAUUUUAUAGAAAUAAAAGAGACUAACAACAUAUUGAUAACUUUGAAAUCUCCUUCGAUAAUCCUUUUUCUACGUAGAAAAAGAAAAUUAAUUAGCAUCUAAAGUGUCAAUUAAUGAAACCUUCAAGAGAAAAUGUGAAAUUGAUUUACCAAACAAUAAUAUUCUAACUUAUAAUAUAUUUAAUUACAUUUAGUAAUUUGUCAAUCAAAACUUAAUUAACAUCCAUCAAUACUUUAUAUAUAAAAAACGCAAGCAUAAAUUACAGUUUAAAGUAAUUGGGAUCUCGAGUGCAACAAAUUCCUCCUUUUAUUAUUAAAUGUUUUAUUUUAGUUACUCUAAUCAAAACUUAAUUAACAUCCAUCAAUACUUCAUACAUAAAAAACGCAAGCAUAAAUGACCAUUUAACUCAUAUUUAACUUUGCAAGUAAACUUCACUAAUUAUAGAGUUAUAGUGUAAACUUUGAAAAUAUAAGUAAAUUUACCAUUUAACUCAGACUUAACUUUGCAAGUAAACUUAAAAUUUUAUUUAAUUUUGUCACUAAAUUUGAUUUGUUCAAUAUAGAUUUUGGUGACUUAAAACAAAAUUAAUAAAAAAUUAUUCUUUCGGAUAUCUUUUUAAUGUUUAAUAAUAAGUUAAUUUAUAAAAUAUACUUUCAUUGGGCACAGGCCUCCAAGCCGGUGAACCACUGAUCAAAUUAAUUUGGAGAUAUCUUUUUUCUGAAUAAAGUGAAUUUACCAGUUUUGUUUUCUUUUAAAAAUAUUUUUAAUAUUUUUGUGGAUAUCAAGAGAUACCAAAAAUUAUUUCUCUAAAAAAUUUUAUUUGACUCGAAAAGUUAGUGUUUUAUUUCAAGGGGUCAUAAUUAAUCAUUAGAUUUCUCAAUUUUAAAUUUUGAAUUUUUUCACAAUUGCGUAAUUAAUAAGUUCCAAUUUUGAGUGUUGUGGGGCUAGUAAAAUCUUCCUUACACAUAACCGACUCUUGAACCUACUCUUUUCUUUAGAAUUCAAUGCAGACCUCAAAUUUAUCUUUUGAAAAGAAUUUUAAAAUCUCUGUAUAAAAGGUGUUUCUUUUUGUUACCGAUCACAUUUAACAAAAAUUUAAAAAUUAUUAAAAAAUAAUUUCUUUUUGAAAUUUAAAAUGAUCUAAAAACAUAUUUUUAAUUGCUUUGGACCAUCUAUUGCUGAUUUCCUUAUUAUAUUAAGUGUUUGCAAUCACUCUUAAUAUAUUGUGCUUGAGUUGUGACAAAGCCGAUCGUCAACGUGCCAUAAUGAUCAAUUGACGCUGAAACUGAAGUUUUUGUUAUAUUGAUAGAGCUUGUCCUUCAACGCAUACAACGUGUUUGUUAUUUUUCUCCCUUCAAAUUGUAUGAUCUUAUUCAUUAAAUGAAUUAAUGAAUAUCCCUUUUAAAAAGAUAUAUUUUUAAAAAUUAAAUACUUCAUAAAAUAUUUAAAACCAUUUAAAAAUUUGUUAGCCUUAAAACAAUCAACAAAAUAUAUUUUUCUCUAAAAAAUCAAUAAAAAUAUGUUUGAAAUUUUAUAUGAAAUUUAAAAUUUUUUAACAAUAAUAUAUUUUAAAAUUAUAGUAACGCUACAAAAUAUAUAUAUUUACUAAUUAUAUACACCUUUUUUAUAUUUUUUCCUAACAUAUCAUUAUUUUCAACAUUAUCGUAAUCCUGUUUUUAUAAUUCCCUUGUCAUACAUCCUUUUUCUACUUAGAAUUUCAAAAGAAAAUGUGAAUUAAUGUAGACGUGAGAAGACUUCAAGGUAAGUCACCCAAUGAAAGUGACCUAAACCGACUUAUGGAAGAAUCAAACAAUAAUUUUGUGUCUUGUAAUAUAUUUCUUGUAAUAUAUUUAAUUACAUUUAUUAGUUUAUCAAUCAAAACUUAAUUAGAAUCCAUCAAUAUUUCACACAUCAAAAACCCAAACAUAAAAUUCACUUCUAAAUUAUUUGGGAUAUAUUUGUAUUAUAGGAAAUGGAUUAAAUUAGUCUUUUUAUUAUAAAAUGUAUUAUUUUAAUCUUUGUAUUAGGUAUGAAUGAUAUCUCCUAGAUUGAACCCAAAGCUAUUCUUGAAAGACUGAAAUUAGGAUUUAGAUGUGUUGAGAUGGAAAGUGACAACACAAUGUUGAUUGAAACUAUUUGUAAUGGGUUGGCUACAAUAAGUAGUGCUGUCGAAAUAAGACAGAUUCACGAUUAGUCUUCCAAAAAUUGGGAAGUCAAAUUUCGACAUAUUUAGCGGAAUGCCAAUAAAAUUGUUGAUUGCUUAGCUAAGGCAAAUGGAGGGGUAAUUGAGCAGCUGGUUAUCUUGGAAGAUCCUCCGCAUUAUGUGAGAUGCUAGCUUGAAGAAGAUAUUAACAGUCACUGGUCUGAUGAUAAUUUUCAUUUGGACUGAUGAGCGCUUAAUUUUCUAAGCUUAUGGUCAACAAAAAAAAAUUAAAUACGUCUAAAUUGUAAUAGAGUUAACAUUUAGUGUUUAAAAAAUAUCUUAAAAUUUAUUUUUUCCAAUUGCAGUUCAAUUCCACAAAUAUCGACGAUGAACCCGAACAUAAAAAUUACAAAAAAAAACACAUCUAUUAUCAAACCAACAAUCCAUGUCUAAACUUAAAUUAACAAAAUUCACCACGCAACCUGGUACACUAUUUUAUAUAUAUAUAUAUACUAGAUUUAUUCUAGAUGCACAUGUUUUAUUAUAUUUAAAAAUUAAAAUAUAUGGUUGACUAAGUUUUAGUUGAAUUAGUAUUUGUUAAAAAUAUAAUGUUGGUAAUGACAAUAUAUAGCAAAGAAAAUAGAAAUAGAAAAAUAAAGAACACACAUAUUUUACGUGGAAACCCUUUCGGGAAAAAACCACAGGCAAAAGAGAAGAAAAUUCACUAUGUCGAAUUCAAAUCAAUUACAAGAGGAGUAGACUAUGCCUAUUUAUAGGCUUGGAAACCUUAUUCUAAUAGGAGUGAAACUCUUUAUUCUAAUAAUAUCAAAUAGAUGGAGUUUAAUAAGGUUUAAAAAACCUUAUUCUAAAAUAAAAUAAAAGAAGUAUAAUUCUAUAGGGAUUUUACUUUUAUUUUAUUUUACCAUAGUAUUUAAUUUAAAUAAGGAUUUGGGUCACUUAAUUCUAACAAUCUCAACCUUGACACGAAUUCUUAAUGAACAAGUUCUUCAUCGCGAACUCUCAACGAACAAGUUUCUCCACCUCUUCCAUAAAACCCCUUAAGGGUUUAUUUUCAACAAUGAACACCAACCAAGUCUAAGCAGUGCUCAAACUUGGUUAUAGGAAGUGACUUAGUCAUCAUAUCUACAGGAUUUUCAUGAGUACUAAUUUUGCUCACAACAAUAUCACCACGAGCAAUAAUAUCACGAACAAAAUGAUACCGAACAUCAAUGUGUUUUGUUCUCUCAUGAAACAUUUGAUCUUUUGUAAGGAAGAUGGCACUUUGACUGUCACAAAAUACUGUAUUAAUUUGAAGGUCUUCAUUGAGUUCACUAAAGAGUCCGUUCAACCAAAUAGCUUCUUUGCAAGCCUCAGUAAUCGCCAUGUGCUCAGCUUCAGUGGUAGACAAAGCGACUGUAGUUUGCAAAGUGGCUUUCCAACUGAUUGCACAACCUCCGAUUGUAAAGACAGAACCUGUGAGAGAUCUUCUUCUAUCCAGGUCUCCAGCAAAAUCAGCAUCAACAUACCCAAUGACUCCAUCUCUAGUUCUUCCAAACUGUAAGCAAACAUCGGUAGUACCUCGUAAGUAUCUUAAAACCCACUGAACUACUUUCCAAUGUCUUUUAUCGAGAUUCGCCAUGUAUCUACUAACUGCACUAACUACAUAUGAUAAAUCUAGAUGUGAACAAACCAUGGCAUACAUGAGAGAUCCUCCUGCACUAGAGUAUGGAACAUGUGACAUGUACUCAAUCUCAUCAUUUGAUUGUGGAGACAAAGCUGAUGAUAGUCUGAAAUGGGCUACUAAAAGAGUACUAACAGGCUUAGCAUUCUGCAUAUUGAAUCUAGAAAGAACUUUCUCAAUGUACCCUUUCUGACUUAGGUACAAUUUACUUGCUUUUCUAUCCCUGAGAAUCUCCAUACCAAGUAUCUUCUUUGCUGGUCCCAAGUCUUUCAUCUCAAAUUCUUCACUUAGUUGGGCUUUGACCUUUCUUAUCUCUCAUUUAUCUUUCGCUGCUAUCAAUAUGUCAUCAACAUAAAUGAGUAGAUACACAAAAGAACCAUCAUUGUUUUUCUUAAAGUAAACACAACUGUCAAAGCUACUUCUUUUAAAAUCAUGAGAAGUCAUAAAGGAAUCAAACCUCUUAUACCACUGUCUUGGUGACUGUUUCAAACCGUAAAGAGACUUUUUUAGCAAGCAAACAUAGUCCUCUUUUUCUGAGACUGUAAAACCCUCUGGUUGUUGCAUGUAAAUAUCCUCCUCAAGUUCUCCAUGCAAAAAUGUAGUUUUUACAUCUAACUACUCAAGCUCCAAAUCAUGCAUGGCCACAAUACCAAGCAAAGCUCGAAUCGAACUAUGCUUCACAACUGGAGAGAACACAUCUGUGAAGUCCACUCCUGGAAUUUGACUGUAACUAUUUGCAACAAGCCUUGCUUUAUAUUUGGGUUCUUCAACUCUUGGAGUCCCCUCUUUCUUUUUAAACACCCAUUUACAACGAACAAUCUUUUUAACUUUGGGAAGUUUCACAAGAUCCCAUGUUUUGUUUUUGUGGAGUGAUUCUAUCUCCUCUUGCAUAGCAAACAUCCACUUUUCUGAAUCUUCACAACUAAUCGCCUUAGAAUAAUUAGAUGGCUCUUGGUUUGCAUCUAUAUCUUCAGCCACAUUUAAAGCAUAAGCAACUAGAUCAGCCUCAACAUACUUCUUUGGAGGUUUAAUUUCUCUUCUAGUUCUAUUUUUGGCGAUAGAGUAUUAUGGUGAAGAAGCAACUCUAUUUUGAAUUUUCGUACUGGCUUUAGUAGUCGACUCUGUUGUAGAUUCUAGAUCAAUCUGAUGCUCCACCUGCUUUAGAUUUUCUUUAUUGGAAGUCUUUAAGAGAUAACUUAGGUAGCAUAGCAGUUUCAUCUAAAACAUCUCUGCUAAUCACAACUUUUCUAUUUUCAGGACACCAUAACUUAUACCCUUUUACACCAGCUUUAUAACCAAGAAAAACACAUUUAGUAGAACUCGGUUCCAAUUUUCCAUUAUCAACAUGAGCAUACGCAGGACAACCAAAGAUUUUUAAAUUAGAAUAGUCAGCAAGAUUACCAGACCAUACUCUUGUGGAGUCUUUUUCUCAAUGGCAACGGAUGGAGAUCGGUUGAUCAAAAAACAUACAGUAGAGGCUGCUUCUGCCCCAAAAUGACUUUGAUAAGUUGGCAUUUGACAACAUAUAUCAAACCUUCUCCAUGAUCAUUUUGUUUAAUUUUUCUGCAAUGCCGUUUUUCUAUGGAGUAUGACGAACUGUCAAGUGUCUCACGAUCCCUUCUGACUUGCACAGUUUAUUAAAUUCAUCAGAACAGAACUCUAAGUCAUUGUCUGUGCAGAGGCAUUUUAGUUGCUUUCCUAUCUAUUUUUCAAUCAUGGUUUUUCAAGACUUAAAUGAGGAAAACACAUCACUUUUCCGCUUUAGGAAGAAUGCCUACACUUUUCUAGAAAAAUCAUCAAUUAAAGUUAGCAUAAGUAGCUCCACCUCUCGAAGGCACUCUGGAUGGCCCCCACAGAUCAGAAUGAAUAUACUCUAACGUUCCCUUCAUGUUAUGGAUUCCUCUGGUGAAUCAGACUCUCUUUUGCUUCCCAAAAAUGCAGUGCUUACAGAACUUCAGUUUGCAAAUUUCUUGCCCAUUAAGAAGUCCUCUUUUGCUCAAUUCUGCCAUGCCAUUCUCACUCAUAUGCCCUAGGCGCAUAUGCCAAAGUUUAGUAAUAUCAUCAUCUGACAAGGAAGAGGAUGAGACAGUUGCAUCACCAGUAACAGUAGAACCCUGCAAAACAUAUAACUUGGCAGUCUUUCUCUGCCCUUUCAUCACAAUGAGGGAACCUUUGGAAAUCUUCAAAACCCCACUUUCAACUGUGUAUUUGUACCCUUUUGAAUCAAGAGUACUCAACGAAAUUUAAUUUAUUUUUAAUUUUAGAACAUGUCGUACGUCAGUGAGUGUUCUGACAACUCCAUCAAACAUCUUAACUCUGAUUGUUCCAACACCUGCAAUUCUACAUGAAGCAUUAUUUCCCAUCAACACAAUACCUUCAGACACUAUUUCGUAAGUUGUAAACCAAUCCCGAUUGGGACUCAUGUGGAAGGUGCAACCCGAAUCAAGGAUCCACUCCUCGUCACUUUGGAAUUGUCGAUUGAAGUGACUAGAAGUUCACCAUCGCUGUAAUCUUCUACAACAUCAGCUUUACCAGAAUUUUCUAGUUGUUUUCCAUUUUGAUUCGCAGCCUCCCUUUUGAUCUUGUUCUGUAGCUUAUAGCACUCAGUUUUAAUGUGCCAUUUCUUCUUGCAAAAGUUACAAGUUUUACCUCUGUUUGAAGACUACUUUUAGAUUUACUGCGAGGAUUCCGUUCCUGUGUCCUUCCAUGAUCAUCAUCAGCAUUCCGAUCUUGUCUCCCAUGAACAAUAAGACCCUCUCCCCGAGAGUCGAUUUUAAGCACAAGAUGCUUCAUCUUAUCAUACGAGGUUAAAGAAUCAUAAACCUCAUCAACUGUGAGAGACUCGCGGUUAUAUAAAAUCGUAUCUCUAAAGGAUGAAUAAGAUGAGGGCAACGAACAAAGUAGAGUCAACCCUAGAUUUUCCUUAUCAUACUGAACCUCCAUGGCCUCCAAGUUUGAGAGAAUUUCUUUGAACACUAUUAAGUGUUCGUGCACAGAUGCACCUUCCUCCAAACGAUAAGCAUAAAGACGCUGCUUCAUAUGUAGCUUGAUAGUUAGAGUUUUCGACAUACAUAUCUAUUCCAACCUCUUCCAUAAUCCAGCAGCAGUCUUUUCCUUCAUCACAUCCUGCAAAAUUUUGUUAGACAAAUGCAGAUGUAACUGUGUUAAUGCCUUUCAAUCCUUGCACUUCUUCUUUUCUUUCGUCAAUGUUGAAGGCAUCUUAUCUACCCCUAGUAGGGCUUCCUCUAAGUCCAUCUGUGCAAGAACUGCUUGCAUCUUUAUCUGCCACAAUGCAAAUCUAGUAUUGCGAUCCAACAGCAGAAUUUUGUACUUCAAAGACGUUAUUACCGUGAUUGAGAUGAACAACCCAGAAGCUCUGAUACCAAUUUGUUAAAAAUAUAAUGUCGGUAAUGACAAUAUAUAGCAAAGAAAAUAGAAAUAGAAAAAUAAAGAACACACAGAUUUUACGUGGAAACCCUUUCGGGAAAAACCCACGGGCGGAGGAGAAGAAAAUUUACUAUGUCGAAUUCAAAUCAAUUACAAGAGGCGUAGACUAUGCCUAUUUAUAGGCUUGUAAACCUUAUUCUAAUAGGAGUGAAACUCCUUAUUCUAAUAAUAUCAAAUAGAUGAAGUUUAAUAAGGUUUAAAAAACCUUAUUCUAAAAUAAAAUAAAAGAAGUAUAAUUCUAUAGGGAUUUUACUUUUAUUUUAUUUUAUCACAGUAUUUAAUUUAAAUAAGGAUUUGGGUCACUUAAUUCUAAUAGUAUUGAUAUUAUUGUCAGUGUAGGAAAAUAUGAGUUUAAUCAUGCUCAAAUGUGUUUUAUCCUCCAAUUCAAGAGUUAGGAAAAGGUUAUUGAUAAUUAAAUUAUACCAACUUUUAUGAUAUUAAAAAAGGGUUUAUAAAUAAUAUAAGGAAAAGAAAAAAAAGCGAGAAACAUAUUCAUAUUGAUAUUAGACUUUUUUUUUUCUAUCACAAGUAAAAAUAUCAAAGGUGAUAAUAAUUAAAUUAAAAAAUUUAAAUUGAAAAAAUAGGGGAUUGAAUUUAUAACUAACAACAUAUUUUAACCACAUAAUAAAAGUAGUUAUGAAGAGGAUCAUGUAAAAUAAUGACCUGAAUAAUUUUAAACGUCUCAUUCUUGCAAAAAUGAAAUAAUAGAAAAGAAAUAAGUGUUGGGUGUAGUGACAAUGUACAUUAUACUUCUAAGGGGAGAUCAGGGUUUUAGGCAAGGGAAGAAUUUAAUUUAAACCUACUUUUUUUUCUCUAGAACUCAACCCAAACCUCAAAUUUAUCUUUUUAAAAGAAUUUUAAAAGAUCUAUAUAAAAGGUGAUUUUUUUUUAUCGAUUACACUUAACAAAAUUUUAAAAUUUCUUUUUUUGAAAUUUAAAGUGACCUAAAAACAUAUUUUUAAGUCCUUCAGACCAUCCUGUGCUGAUUUCUUUAUUAAUUUGAUUUGUUCAAUAUAGAUUUUGGUGACUUAAAACAAAAAUAAUAAAAAAUUAUUUUUUCAGAUAUGUUUUUAAUGUUUAAUAAUAAGUUAAUUUAUAAAAUAUACUUUCAUUGGAUACAGGCCUCCAAGGCGGUGAACCACUGAUCAAAUUAAUUUAGAGAUACCUAAAUUUGCUUUCAUCAAUUAAGAAAUUAAAAAAAAAUUGCUGAGACCUCAUGAUUAUCUUUUAUAAUUUCAGGCUUAUCACCAAAAACUAAAAAAUAAAAACGUCGACAUUAAAUUUGUUGGUAUGCAAUCAAUUUUAAGAUGGUUUUUGGAGUUAUAUAUCACUUUAGCAUGGACUUACUUUUCUACAGUUAGUCUUCUCCAACAAGUUAAAUAUUUAAAUUUUAACAACAUUGACAGGUCUUUGGGGUAGGGUCGAGCAAAACUCAAUAGAAACAGAUGAUAUAGAUUGAGUUGGCUCGGCCAAGUCGAGUCGACUUGUUCAAAUUAGUUAAAUUAGUAAAUUUUAGGGUGCAGUUAGUAUUUUUUGUUUUGAGAUGCUAAGAUUAAAAAAUUUCAGUUGUUAAAACAAAAAAAUUGUAUUAAAAAAAGGCAUAAAUUAAAUUAUUAAGUUUUUCAAGUUUCCAUUUAAUCAAAGGUUAAAAGGACUAAAUUGAAGCUUUUUAUUUUUAAGAAAGGCUGAAUGACAAAUUGCCCAAAGCCCAUGCCCCUAGCUAUACGCCCCUGGUAAAAUCAAUUUUAAAAUUAGUUAUAAUAGUUGAAGCGAAUUGAUUAUUGAGUAAUGAAAUACAUAGUUCAACAAAAAAAAUAAGUUGACAAAUUUUGACAAAAAAAUAUCAAAAAUGAAAUAAUAGAAAAGAAAGAGUAGGCAUUUUAUGAAAUUUAUAAUUCCAUGAAUAAAAUAUAAAUUUUAUGAAUGUGGACGAGCCAUUUUUUUAUAAUUUUCAGUGUUUUUCUUCUUUUUCUUACUUUUUUUAAAGUAUUUUUCUUUGUUUCCUAACCACCAUGAAAUUACUUGUCACAAUUCAUCUUUUCAAAUGAGAAACAUUUUCCACAAUUUGCCAUCACUUCAACAUACACUAACUUUUCUAUGAUUAGUCCUUGGUUUGCUUCGGGUGCAAUCUUCCAACUAGCCUUAUCCUUGGUUUUACUUUCCAACAUUUAGUGUAUCACGAGUUUUGUUUUCUUUAAAAAAAUAUUUUCGUGGAUAUUAGGAGAUAAUGAAAAUUAUUUUACUAUGAAAUUUUAAUAAAACUGGAAAAUAAGUAAUUUAUUUUAAGCGAUCACAAUUAAACAUUAGAUUCCAAUUUUUUAAUUUUUUUUUUACAAUUGCAUAAUAUUUUGAGCAUUGUAGGAAUGCCAUAACCUUCCCUACGCAUAAUAUACUCUUGAGCAUGAUGGAUCCUAGACCUUCUUUAUUCUCGUACCACAAAUUGCUUCAAGUGUGGGUUCGAACAAUCACAAAUUAAACACAAAACCAGAAAUGAUUUAUUACUUUCAAUAGCAAAGUAAUUCUCUUUCAAUAGAAACCAAUAAAAUUGUAAUUCCUAGAAAAUUAAAAUUUAUUUUUUCAAAAUAUCUUCUCUCUACUUUCUAGCAGAAUAACAAUAUGCGAAACUUAUGUCUUGUGUUAAUAGCCCUACCGGUACUAUCUAUUUAUAGGGAGAGACACGAGAAUCCUAGUUGAAUUAGUAAAACACAAAUAAUAUUUAUUUCAUAGAAACCAACAUUCUACCCUAAGUAGAUCAAGUUUGGAUGACGCAUGGAUCGAAGCUCAAUCUAGGGGAAAAAAAUAAAGGAAUUUUCUUUGUAAAGAAAAUCUGAGAUUAUACUAUUUUCGAAGUUAUAAAUAAAAUUAUACGCCAAAUUUUGAAGUCAAUUUUCAACUCAAAUGUUGUAUGUACAAAUUUCUAAUACACUUGGUGGGACAUUCUUUAACUUUUAUCUAUUCUCUCAAAACGUUAAAGUUCAAAGUUGCAUUAAACUCAAAAAAGAUAAUCAUUAGUAAACCAGCACACAAGCCUACUCAAGCUAAUCCUACAACUCGUUCCACUUCAUCAUCAAACACCAAUGUUCUUGCUUAUCCUUAUGGAAUUAAACAAAAGACAAAAGCUCUUUAAAGUUAUUUGAACAGACUUCUUUAAUGGUAAAUGAUAAUCCACUCUAUGAUGCUUCUUCGCCCAACUCAUGAUUUAAAAGAAGUUUCUACUCAUAGAUCAAGUGUAGCUCGCCAGUUAUCAUUAAGGAGAAAAAGGAGUCAAUCAAGUGAAAAUUAUAUUCCAACAUCUCCCCAGAACCAAAUUUCAUAGUGAUGAAUGUCAUGACAACUGACACUACAUUCUUAGAAGAAUAAGUAGAUUUCUAGCAAAAACGAUGGAGAGUUUUACUACAAGCAUAAAAGAAAUGGAUGAUCAAAUUGAACAUCUUAGUGGAAGUAACCAAACCUUUUCCAACGAAACUCAACAUCCUCUUCACAAAGUUGUUGGAAUCUUAAUUGUUGAAGGACUUUAAAGUGUUUCUUUAGAUCAACUCAAGGAGUUUAUUAAAAAAACCAUCAAAGAUCAAGUCAAAAGUGUUACUUUGCCUUCAUAUACAUACUCAAAGUCAUACAUCUGAAGGAUUUAUCAUUUGAAUAUGCCUGAGCAUUAUCCACCUUUAAAAUUGUAAUAGUUUGAUGGUAAAGGAAAUCCAUGUAAACAUGUCGUUCACUUCAUGGAAACUUGUGAUCGCGUCGAUGUAACACCCCACUCGUGACCCAAUCGCUGGAUUCAAGAAGAGAGAUACCAAAAUCAUGUUGGAAAAAAUCUUCGAUAAGUGUAGCAUGAGUGCUCACACUCUCCAAACACUCCAUACUAUCUUUGGUAUUGAAGUUAAGCUUGACACUCCCUUAUCUCUCUAAUGUUAUCUUCAGGCCAUAAUGCCCUAUCACAUAGUAAAAAAGGUGAGUACUCACAAUCCUAUGGCAUGCCAAUGAUAUCUAAUGGUUUCAAGUGUUCACAAUGCCAACAUAUGUUUUGUAUCACAUUCACUUUACACAAUUUAAAAGGGCUCACAAUACAGCAGAUCUCACGUAUAAUAGUUUUUAAUAACACAAUUCACAUUUCUGUAGGGCUCGUAUUAUAUAUAAGUUCGUAAUAACAUGGAUUCGCAUAACACUUAUGGCUCGCAUAUAUUUAGGGCUCAUAUGUAACAGUUGGGAUCCUAUAUAUUUAAACUCGCAUAAUACAGGGGCUCGCACGACAUAUUUUGGCUUGCAUGCAAUAUAGGGCUUGAUCACAUAUAUAGGUUCACAUGAUCUUAGGGCUCGCAUCACAUAUAUAAGCACGCAUGAUACAUGGGUUCACUCAACAUGUAUAUAUCAACUCGUGCAUCAAAGUAUAGGCUCGCAAGCAUUAAGGUGAUAGAGUUUGCAAACAAUUUAGAGCUCGCACACAUCAUAGGCUUGCAUACAUACAUGUUAGCAAGGUCUGCAGGUUACAAAUCGAGGCUCACAUAACUAUAGAGGCUUGCAUGGAAAUAUAAAAUUGUUCAGAUAUCAUUUUAAUCGGCUUCACACAUUAAAUCAAAUGGUUUGCAUGCAUUCCUUGGCUUUCAUUAGCAUGCGAACUCGUGUUUUUAACACAGUGUGCAAGGACACUCACUAGUUGUUUGUUGAUACUGUCGAACCUAUACCACCUUUUGCUUGACUUUUUCCUUGCUCAUGGAUGCACCUUCACAUUGAAAGGAUUUGCAUAAAACAAGAAAUAAUACAGAUUACUACUUUCACAGACAUAAUAACCUUCUUAACAAACAUAGUAGCGAAUCUUCCAAUCUUCCUUAAUAAUUCCUUAAAUGAAGCUAAACCAAAAUGCAUUAUAAAUUCAAUCAAUUUACCAUUAAACCAGCCCCCAAACACCCACUUAUAAGUUCAAACUGAUCAUUGAAAUUAUAAUUAUUUUAUGAAUCCAAACUAGUUAGAUUCCUUAAACUGUAUUGAUGCGAAUUGUAUGUACAAUCGUUCUUCACCUUUACGGAUGAUUUGGGGUGUUUGGGUCAACACCUAAUUCAAUAAUAUACUGGAAAACUAGUAGUUAACCAAUUCAUAACCUUUACCCAACAACUAUGUCGAAAUAACAAACUAGUUUAUAAUUAAUCGUACUUAUACCAAAUUGCGAGAUCUGAAUGGCUAAUUGAUCAAGAAUGUGUUUUGUAACAUCCCAAAAAUUAGGUUAGAAGAAAUGGGGCUUUGAAACCAAGAGUGGUCAUCCCCCGAUUAUGAGUUUAGAUCUUGGAAAAUUUGACAAGUAAACUGAUCUGGUUAAUGGUUAAGUGUCUUGGUUAUAUGUGUCAGGUUUUGGGUUCAAAUCUUGUUUUUGGAAAUUUUGUUACUUUGCUUAAACUCUUACCUUGAAUGUUUGGUUUAUAAGUUAAAUUUAGUCAAUUGAUGUCAAGAAUGAGUCUAUUGGUUCAAUGGUUAAGUUUUUGUAUAAUCAUUGGUCUUGUGUUCGAAUCUCAACAAAAGUAAUAGGGAAUGUUUUGUUUUUAAAUUUUUUUUAUAGGGUAGUUAGUUUCGAUUGGUUAUUUAAAGCCUUCCAGAAACCUCUAUUGCUUUUAUUUUUAUUUUGUUCUUUCUUUUUCUGCGACAUUUUCUAUCAUUUUGUUUCUGUUCUUUAGUUUCGUCAUAUUGGUUUUUUAUUUUCAAGCAACUUUUUUUUUGUUAUGUUACAUUACGCCGAUUGUGUACGGAGUCUAACUUCACCCUCUAGUUAAUUCGCUGGCCGGUAAGUUCGAUUUAAAGUUUUGGUGUUGAAAGUUUUUUAACGUAAAUUUAAUUUUGAAAUGUUAGUUUUUAGUGGUUUAGCUGCAAAUUAAUCGUUUGUUGGAAAAUUGCUUGUCGUUCAGGGACAUGAAUUUAUCCUUGUUACUCUUGCAUCAAGUUCGUAUCAAGUGGGUAUCAGAAAACCCUUCUUCUUUAAAUUUUAGUUGUCAAAUAAUGGCACUAUCGAUGCCACAUAGCUGUGUGGCAGGCCGUGUAACUUACUGUUCAAAAAAAUUAGAGGCAUACGAGCGUGGGCCCAAAUUGUGUGUGGUUAUGAAUUGUGUAGGGUUCACACAGGCCAGUGACACUAGCAUGUGUCAGGUCGUGUGGGACACACGGGCAAGUACACGAGCGUUUACCAGACUGUGUGGAGUCACAUGGGCCAGUUCUCUAGGCCGUGUAAAACCAUAUAGGUAUGUGAAGCAAUAUUUGGAAUUUUUCCCUUGGGUUACAAGAGUUGUUUGAAACAAACGCAUAAAUACUGUAGGGUCCGUACGAUUUGGAUUAGGCUAUAUAACUUGAUAUUUGAUGAUAUGAUGAUGAACAACUUGUGAUCUAUACGUAUAUUUGUUAUGUUUGAACCUAUGUGAGUAGGAUCUGUUAGAAUGUAACAUGUUAUUUUUUGUUGUGUGUGAACUAUCCAGGUACAAUUUGUAUUCUAUUAAGUUUUUUGGUACGCCUAUGUGUUACUCUAUUGAUGAAGAAUAUGUGACAUUUGAUUAUGUUAGAUUGAUUGUUACUGAUUAUAAUUUAUAACCCUCUACGUUACUUCAUUGAUGAGGAAUACACGUAUAUGAAAAUGUUAGAUUGAUUGUUACUGAUUCUAAUUUAUAGUCGUGUAUGUGACUUCAUGGCAAAUAUGAUAUGAUUUGUUGAGGUUUGAUAAGUCUAUUUUACAAAACAUGGACCCUCAUGUCUCCUGAUUCUGUUAUUGAAAGAUAUCAUGACUUACAUGCUCAUCACUCUAAUUCUUCAUAUGUAUGUCAUGACACGUUGCAUGGGAUUUGGGUUGAUGUGAAAGGAGGAAGUUUUUGGCAGUUAAUGAUCUGUAUUAUCUGGUGGUUUAUCCAUGAUUCUGUUCCGGCAACUUAGUUGUACUAUAGUGGCUUGACCAAAUGUAACCGAUCUGGCAGUCUUAACUGCAAAAUUUUGGUGGCACCAUUCACAAUUAUCUAUUGGUGUAAUUUGGCCGGAUGAGUUAUGGGGGAACUCUAUUUUGGUUAGUAGCAAAGUUUGGGUAUGAUGUUUUCUGAUAAUUUUGCAUUCUAAUCUAUUUGAAAAAUACAAUAUUUGCAUAACACAUUUUCUACUCUGCUCUAUUCUGUUCUACUCAGUUCUAUUCUGCUUGAUUUAUUAUGUUCUGCUUCAUUCUGUUGUGUUCGGUUCUGUUGGACUGUUGUUGUGAAAAUUUUCGUGAUACUCUAGAUCUAUUCCAUACUGGUUAUAAAUUUGUUAUUAAGUUCUUUGCGUUACUUUGAUUUAUAUAAUAAAAUCUGUUUAUUUGUAUCUAAGUUUCAUUAUACACGACGCUUGGUGUUUCACCCUUUGUCUUAUCUUAAUCUGUUCAAGUGCACAUCUUACUUACGACUAGAUGUACAGGAGCUCAGAUUGUUUUGCAUUGAUAUAACUAUGAUUUGAUCUUUUAGGUUGUAAUUUGUUUUUGGACUUGUCUUGCUUUUCUUUUGAUAAUCUCGUCAAUAUCUGUCAUUUUCUAACACAAAAAUAAAAAACCACCUAAGUCGACUAAAAUGAAUUUCUGGUUUUCAAAGUUGAAAUUUUGAAAAGAAACUAGUUUUCUGCACGUUGGCGUAACUCGUCCAAAUUUGGCUUAAAUUUGUAGGUCGAGUUUGGGGUGUUACAUCUUUCCCUAAUUAACAUGUGAUUAAAUAUUUAUUAGAAGGAUUCAAAAACUCAACUUAAUGCUGGAAAAAUAUGGGCAAGAACCAAGAAACAAAACAACCCCCUUUCUUACACAUAGCCGUACGAACCACCACCCAUGAUGGCCAAAAUUGGGGUUGAAUUUUAAAAUGGUUUGAGAUCUCAUUAAAAAUAUAGAAAAACACAUUUGUGUCGAAACCACUAUUUAUUUUUGAAAAAUGGGAAUCAACUUUAAAAAAUGAAAAUGGGAGUCACCACUGAUCUUUUAUUGAGGUGUGAUCAGAUCACCUUAAAAAUGAUUUUAGGUCUACGAAUUUUAAGAAAAUAGGUUUCGGAGUUGGUUACACACGAGGAAGGGUUAGCACCCUCAUAACGCCCAAAAUUGGUAUCGAAUAGACUGUUUAAUGUCUUAGUGUCGAAAAUUUGAAAACAUUUUAAAAUACGAUCCUUUUUUAAAGAAAAUUUGAAUAAGUUGACUUAGAAGAUAAGACCCUUUUAUUUCGAAGAAGUAAAAUAUCACAUCCAGUGAGUUAGGGUGCAACAUUUCUAAUCCUUAAAAUUAAGUUUGUCUUUUGAUUUUUAAAACUCAUGCAUUUAAAUUUGAAAAGGAUAUUCAGUUAUUUGGGUCAAAUGAAAAAUCAAAACCCAAUAAGUUAGGGUUCAACUUCCAAAAAUUGCUAAAUACCGAAUAUUGCCUUUAUUUUUUUUAGAAAUCCAUAACUCAAGAUAACCAAAUGACAUAUCCAGUAAGUUAGGAUCCAACAUUUUGAAAUCCCAAUAGAGAACUUUUUAUUUAGGAUUUGUAUGGUUUUAUUGCAAAAGAGAUACUUGGCUAUCUAAAUUCAUCGAAGAGAAUUGAAGCCCACUAAGUUAGGGCAAAAUCUUCUCGAAAAUCGUGAAUACCGAGUAUUUUGAAAAUUUACGAAAUAAGAUGAUUUUAAUGCUUUAAGGAAACAUAAUUUUUAAAACAAAUGUAGUGUGAUUGAACGACAAUGUACAAUGCAAAAGGAUAAUUAAAAAAAAACAUGUAUACAUUAGUGAAUAACUAUCAAUCAAUAAAUAUAAAUAAGUAAAAUGAUACAUACGAGAACAAUAAUCUUACAUUCCAGAUUAUGCAAAUACUAAAUUUUAAAACUAAUGAAUUAUAAAUUAAUUUUGAAAGAAAUGCCAAGCAAACUAACACAAAUAAAAUAUAACAAGUUUUAAAAAUAAAAAGAAAUAAAAAAAGUACACAGAAAGAAAUUUAAAAUCAUCAGUACAAACAAUAAGUUAUAUGAAUAAUAUUUCAAAAUAAACAAUAUAUAUAUGAAUUUGAAAUAGUUCAAAAAUAAAGGUAAAAAAAUACUAUGUGAAAAGAAAUAAUAUCUAAAUGAAUUUUAAACAAAUAUUGUAUACAAAGAAAAUCAAAAUAAGUAAUACACAAAAUAAUACACGUAUAUCAAUCUAAAUGAAUAAUACAUAUUAAAAAAUCUUUAAAUCAUAGAAAUAUAAAUAAGUGAAUUUUUUAAAAAAUUUAAUUAUACUGCAAAAUAAAACCAUUAAAGAAUGUGUACAAUUCUAUUGAAUUUAUAUAAAAUAAUAUAUGACAAAUUAUAAUAAUAAUACAUAAUAAAUCUGAAAUAACAAUAUACAAUAAACUUAGAUAAUAUUAAUGAUAAAUUUAAGAUAAUAAUAAGUUUUAACAUUCAAAUAAUAUUAGAUUUAAAAUUAAAAAUAAAAAAUAGCAUAAUAAAAAAUACUUAAAUAAGUAAAAAGCAAGCAAAUUAAAAUAAAGUAAUGAGGAUUAAAUUGAAUUUAAAACAAAAUUUAAAAUAAAAAAAUGAGAAUAAAACAAAACUGAGAGCCAAAAAAAGACGCGCGGAUAACAUGGGGACCAAAUGGGAAAUAUUCCCUUCCUUCAAAACGCAGCGUUUUGACACGGACCAAAUUGGAAUGAAACAUAGAAUGCGUGGCCAAAUCUAAAUAAAAUAAAAGGAUAAAUUUGAAAGAGUUAUAAAAAGAACGGGGACCAUUUGCGCAAAUUUCUCCUACGCUAUAAAACGCGCGGAUACUUCUCCGGGUAGGGUCACCGGGCGCGUAUAGGCCAAUAUAGUGUCGUUUUGAAGCCACUGAAGCAGGCUGAAAAUGACAUCAUCACAAAAUUAGUAUAAGAUUAAAAUUAAAGCAAACAUUAAGCCAUUUAACCACAGAAACCCUAGCCCCUUUCGCCGUUCUGAACUUUGCUAAUUCUUUUAGCCUUGAAACCCUUGCCAAACUCUGAUCACGGCGAAGCAAACAAGGAUUUCGCGGCGGUUUUAUUAAGGUAACUUAUUCUUUUGUUAAUCGCCUCUUUUUUAUAUCUAGUAAUAAACAAAAUAAGGAUUCAAGAGCAGAGAAGAGAACUAUCAAGAGAAAAAGAAAAAAAUGAAAACUCAAAUCACCUUUCGAGAUUUCGUAUUUUUUGCCUAUUAGAUUUCUUUUUCUGAAUCAGUAUAUGUAAUCCUUUUACAAAUGAAUCAAUCGGCUUUAUAUAGCCGAAUAAAACCAAAAAAUUACAAAAUUAUUAUUUUUGUUAUUUAUCACUGCUGCUAUUCUCGUUUUUUCUUUUAUGUUAUUGCCUUCCUUCGUUUGCUUGUUUGUUGCGUCUAUUGUAGGUACCAAACCAGCUGGAGCACACGCAUGGAGGCACAAUGGAUGGGGGGCACACGCGUGUGGGGUUGGAGCUGCUGCGGCGUUGGGGCAACAGGCUAGGGUUUUUGGAAACUGCUUAGGUUUAUCUAGGUUUGGGCUUGUUGGGCCAAAUGGGGUUAGUUUUGGGUACUUUAAGUUAAAAUGAUUUGGGCUAUGUAUUUGGGUAUGGGUUUUAGGCUAAUACUGGACUACUAUUAUUUUUAUUUUAUUUUGGUUUAUUAUUGAUUGGGCCUAGGUUUUAUUAGAUUUGUAAUUGUAUUUGGUUUUUUAGUAUUUGGUUUGGGCUAGGCAAAAUUUGGUAUUACAAUUUGAAUUCAUUUAAAAUCCCCCAAAUUCCAGAUCUAAAAUUUUUUCUUUUUAAUUGACAAGAUUAAUUAAGAAAUUGAAGAGAAAAGAGAUCUUACCCAAGCCAGUUGAGAGAAAUGACGAUGACACUUUCUUUGCAAUGCUCAAGAUCGAUCUUAGGGUUCAAGAUUUUAGAUUUGGGGAUGAUUUAAAUGAGGAUAAAUGAUAGCAAUAGAGUAAAGGAGAUGGUGCACAAUCUUGAUGCAAAAAGAAGAAGAAAGAGAUGGUAAAUGGGAGGUGUAAGCAAUGACAACAAUGGGAGAAAGAAAGAAAAUAAGAGAAAAGUGGGGAGGAAGAUGCUGAACAGAUAGGGUAGGGAAAAAUUGAAUUUUAGGCUAAAAAUAUACUUAGGGUUCAAGGUUAUGGACAGCACACACAUUUAAAAAACAAAGGAUUUUGCAAAAUUUACUAUUUUGCAAGGGAAAGGAUUCGAAAUUGGGACCUCAUUUAAUUUUCAUGUUUUCUCAUAUUUCUUUUAACCAUUAGGAUUUUUCCUCAUUCUUAAAAUCAUUUUGAAAUAUUUAUUUUAAAAAUAAGGCAUGUCACACUAGGGUUUAAGGCAAAAUUAGCAAAAUAAUAAAAAAAAUGAGAGAGAAGGGGGUUUCAAGGAACGCUUCACUAAAACUUAUCCAACAAACCAACACCUCAUUAUUUUCCUAAAUAUGCAUAGGUAAUCAUCAAAAUUAAGGCAUCACCACUCUUUCUCGAUUCACAAACCCGAUUCUACUAACCCUUGAUUUUUGGGAUGUUAUAAGGUGAGUUCGUAGUGUAACAAUAUAUAUGUGUGUGUUUUGGGGAUACGAUUGGCAUGCCAAUAGGGUUAGUUACACUUCAAUGCCUCUCUUUACAAUUUGGUGCCACUGUAUUUGCACUACAGUGCCUCUGUUAGUAUUUCGAUGUUUAGGGGAAACCCGAGUAUCCAAGUCAUUUUAAUAUAGUUCAAAAGGCCAUGAAAUUUUAUGUUUAAAUGUUAAAUUACUCUUGAGUUUGAUUUAUGUAUAAAAUGAUAUAUUUGUGUAUAUACGUAUAUAAGCAUGGAUUGCUUUGGUUUGAGCCAUUGUUUAUAUUGAAUCAUAUGAGACAAAUGUUUUGAUUAGUAUAGUUUGAGAAUAAAUAUUAAUGCUUUGGUGUAAUUAUAUGAUUCAUAUGUCUAUAAACAUGAAUCUAAUUAUGUUUAUGGUGUGUUUAGAGAAUUAAAUGGUUAUAUGAUUAUUUUCCAGGUAUUCGAGGUUGUUUAAUUUGGUUUAAUGGGUAAAUAAAGCUUUAAAGGGUAUGUGAUUACAUGAAAUGAACUAUCAUAUUUGAGUAAUGAUAUGGAUUAUGAUGAAAUGUUUAAUUGAAAAGAAAAUAUGGUUUAGUAUAUAUGUAUGAGUGGUGAAUUAUGAAAGUGAAAUGUAGAUAUGUUUUAUACCAUGUUUUGAUUUGAAUUAUAUAUGAUAUGUUACACCAACUAACCUUGUGAGGUGGUGUGUAUAGGAAAGGAAAGUUGGCUUAAAACAUAAUGAAAUUAUGCUUGGUUUUUUAACUUAAAAUAUUCAAUAAGUUAAGUUUCAUUUAUAUGAACUUACUAAACAUUAAUUGCUUACAUAGUUAUUUUUCUUUAUUUUGUAGUUCAUCAGAAGCUCGGCCGGUUGGAAUCAUGUCAGAGCACGAUCACACUAUCCAUUCAACAUUUUGAUAGUUUUUGGUUAUUUUGGUAAAUGGUUAUAAAUGACAUGAAAUAGGGUUUAAAGGUCAUUCCAGUGAUUUGACUUGUUUUGAGUUGUGUCAAGCUUAUUGUGAUUAAUGUUGUUAGUUGCUGGCAUGUAAAUAAUGGUGUAAAUAUGUGUGGUCGGACCCUUAUGCAUGCUUUAUUGAUUAAAGAUAUCAUAUGUUAAAAUGGCAUGUUUUUGGAAUGGUUAUUUGGCAUGAUUGGUAUAGGUUUAAGUUAUGAUCUUGAGAUGUUGAAUUGAAUUAAGUUUGAUAUGUAUAUUGUGAUGCCUUCAUUGACAUAUUGGUUAGAUAUUAAGGGAUGGUUGAUUUGGUAUGUUUUUGAAAUGGUUGUUGGUAUGUUUGAUCUAAGUUGAUUAAAUGAACUUGUAAUGUUGAAUGGUAUAAUAUUUGUUGGUACAUUCAUUAGUCUUAUAGGUUGAUGGAAUUGGUAUGUUUUAAAUGUGUUUUAAAUGUGUUUUGAUUAUUUGGAUGUUUGUGGAAAUGGUGUCUCUUGGUGUACAAGAUUUGAAAUUGAAACGGCUUGAUUUAGAAUCAACUUAUGCUGCACACUGCCUGGGACAUGGAUUGUCACAUGGCUGUGUCAUAAUUGUUUUAGGUACGGGUUUCACACAAUCUAAGACUCGGCUCACGACACAGUUGUGUAUCACAAGUCAGUAUGUAACACAGUUUUGCACAUGGCCUGCGACACGAUCUUGUGUCUAGACUUCGAAUGUCCACAUGGUCUGGGCUAUGUCACAUGGCUUGGCCACAUGGUCGUGUGACUUUUGUUUUCAAGUUUUCCAAAAUUUUCUAUUUUAUUUCAAAUUGAUCCUAGAAUAUUCUCAAACUAUUUUUAAGGCCCCGUAGGUUCGGAUUAAGGCCCCGUAAGUGUAUGUUUGCUAUAAUUAAGUUGUGCUACUGAAUGUUACUAAUUCAAUCACAUGAAUAUUUUGUUGUAAGUUAAAUGUUUUAAUUUUUACUAUAAUGCUCUGUAACCUUAAUCUUGCGAUGAAAACAGGUUUGGCGUGUUACAAUUUUGGAUUGUAAAUUUGUUUUGGGGCUUUGUUCUUUGGUUCUUGCGAUGUUGGUUAGAUUUUGGUGUUUUAACAUUAAACUGCAAAAUUGUAUAACUUAAUAAACUAAAAAUUAGGUUUUCAAAAUUAAAACUCUGGAAAUUUUUCUUGCAAAGUUUAAGUAAUCACUUAAGUGUUUUUCCAUAAAUAAUUAAAUGGUUUUUAACAAAUGUUUUCCUUAGUUUUGGAAAUGAUCUGCCAAUAUUAGUACUUUUAAAACACAUGAUUUCAAAUUCAAAUUCUCAGUUUUAAAUAAGGGUUUUCACACUUCAGUUUUUUUUAAACAUUUGUGAGAGGUUUUUGCCAAAUUUUAUGUUUUCAGAAUGUGUAACUAAGUUGAUUUUUAAUUAGUUUUUCAAACGAGUCGAGUAAUUCCUCAAAAAUCCAGUCAUAGCGUCUAGGCCGGGUUUGGGAUGUUAUACUGACGUUACUAAAGUUAAUCUUCAUCUAUUUAGUCUAGAUCUAAACAUUAAUAUUCUCUUCCAAGAAAAAUCAAGACUAUCAAUUUGUUAAAACUUGGUAGGCAGACAAUCAUAUUAAAUAUGCAUAAAACUCAAUAAGUAAUUUGCGAAGAUUGAAACAAUCAAAGAAAAAAUUAAUUAAUUAACUAAGAAAUAGGAUACAUUGCUGUUUCAAGGAAACAGGGUUUAGUUCACAUUGAGUUGAGAAAACCAAAAGGGAGAUUCAAAAUGAACUUGUGAUAAGGGGAAUAAUGUCAAUGGAUCAUAUUCAAGUUGUUCAGCUCGAGAAAGAAAGAUUCAGAUUUAACUUGAAAAGAGUAAACCAAAAAGAUUUAGAAAAACAAAGAAAAUAACUAAAAUGAUAAAUUUAAGAAUAAAUAAUCAAUAUUAAAAAUAAUAAAGAAAUUAUAGAAUAAAUAGUGGAAGAUGGAAUGAAUAAACGAUGGAUAUGACAUAUAGAUGGAUAAGUGUCUUAUAAUUCAUGAAAAGAGUUAUAUUUCAUGCCUUUAGACCUAACUAAUUGCUUGUACUUACGUACAUUUUGUUGCAUUUUAAGACAUAUUAGUUAGCAUUUCUAAUAUUGCAUUAGGACUUAGAUUGUGCUGGAAUUAGCUGUUUUUAAUCGCUCGUGGUGGAGUUUUUUUUGUGUUUUGGUAUAGAAGGAACAUGUUUUAGAUCGAGGAAAUAAAUGAGUGAAGUUUUGUCAAGGCAAAACUGCAGAUAGUUUGCCAGCACGGAUGCCGUGACAAUGCCGGGAAGACCAAGUCAACAUUUUUUUGUGCAAUAGUCUCAGUUGAAAUUAAAACUUGUACCAGAUAAAUCUCCCUAAAAGAGGAAAAGAUAAUCACAAGACCCUAGCCUAAUCUAUCUAUAAAAGCCAAUAAAGGGGAUUCUCACAAAUGGCAGAAAAAAGUGGGAAGGAUCCUUAGGUGUGAAUAAGGGUUUAGCUGCGCAAAGGAAAGGAAGUCGAAGGCAGUCCUUUUUAGCCAUCACAGGACAUUGUGUUGCCGAAGUGUGGACUAGGCAAGUGAAAGUUGUUUACCAAAGUUCUUUUGUUAUUUCCAUCAGCGUUCCUUCAAAAUAUUGAAGUAGUUGAACACAAUGUUGGAUAAUAUUUUGCUUUGGAAUUUUAUUUCUCAUCCCACGAGCUAAAUCUCGUAGGGUUGGGAUUACUUUUGAUGAAACCUUAAACUAUUUUUAUGAAUGCAGUAUAUAUCUAAUUUACUUUACUGUUUCAUUUGAUUGUUCUUAUUUCUUAAUUAAAAUGCAAAUGAUCUCUAAACAUAGAAGACUGUUCACAUACUUAUAAAUUGAUUCUAAUUCUGAAAGGGUUGGAUUGGUUGGAUUAAAAUUAAAUGAAAUGAGCAAGUAUUCGAUGGACACUUGUAGUAGACUCUAGACAUAGAGUGGCGAUCAUACAGAAGGAACCCAUGCAAGGUAUCUAAAAAGUCUUUAGACACAAGCAAGGUAACUUGAGGGUUUGCUCUCACGAGAGGCAAGCCAUUUUAGUACUCUUCUGUGCUUUAAAGUAGAUACGAUUUUGCCAAGGCAUUAUUGACAGUAAGAGUCGAUUUUGGGUAAUCAACCUUCCAAAUCCACAUCGUAUAUCCUUUAUUCCUUACCAUAAUAUAUUUGCCACAUCAUUAUUAGUUAUUUAUUUGUUCAUUUACAUAAUAUUCCCGUAGUAAUUCUCAUAAUUGUCAUUACAUUUCUACUCUCGGUUUGCCACAACAUUACCAGUUAUUUAUUAAUUCCACGUAUUGCUUACAUCAUUACUCUACUAAUUGUGACUAUAUAUUUAUCAUUGAGUCUGCCAUAGCAUUAAUCAUAUUUUAUUAUAAUAACUUGAUCAAUUUUGUGCCUCAAUUCGAUCCCCAUGGGAAUGAUUCUCACUCAUCAGUUUAUUACUUGAUUCAACUGUAUACAUGCACAAAUCACAUAUCAUUUCACACACGACAGUGUUCAAUUGAACCCUUUGAGUUAUAAACUCGAACAAACUCAAUUAAUGGAUUUAAUCAACCCACCAAGAAAGAAUCAUUGGAAAAUUGAAGGAUGGAGAAUGAAUUCCCAUGACUCCUUAAAAAAAUUGAGAAGAAAACUACUUCUAAAAAUCACAAGAAACAAAUCUUGCACAAAGAAACUAACUCUCAGAGUUGGAAAUUUUAGUAAUAAACAAAAACAAUUGCGUCUCUAAUGAACAUGAAAGGGCCUUUACAUAGGCUAGAUAAGUACAUCCAAAUAAAAUUGUCAAGUAUCUAGAAACUUUAAUUAAUGUAAGCAAGAAGUAAUUUUAAACUAAAAUAGUCAUAAUUUUCGUAAUAAUCUCGUCCAAAAAUUUUGCUCACAUAGUCAUCAUUAAAAUAGUCAUAAUUUGAUCUUCUAAACUCAAAAUCGAGUGAAUAAAAGUGCGUUUCGAAGUUAAGUGAUAGAUCUUAGAACUCUAUGAGGACAUAUCAAUUGAAAAAUGCCUGGAUUCCAUCCAAAAAUUCACCGCAAGUUAACUAAUUUUUCAAACUUGAAAAUUGGUAGCUUCGGUGAAUGGAAUUUAAUAAAGUUCACCCCAUCUAUUCAUGUAUCAACUUGCAUUGUAAAAAGUAAAAAGAAAUAAUCUAUAGAGAAAAUAGUUGAAGAAUUUAUGACAAUUUAUUCAGAUCUCGUUUUCUUCUAGUCUUUACAAGCUUGAAGUUUCCCUUGGUGUGAGAGAGUUGUUCCUUACCCUCUAAGUGAUUUUUUUUCUUUUUCUUUCUCUUCGAUCUCGUCACCUAAGGGUGUUCAAACGAUUGAUUCAGUUAAUACCCGAACAAAACUAUCAUUAACUAAAAUUUUGAAACCCUUAAUCAUUAAUCAAACCAAAAUUUAUUUGAAACCUAUUAACCAGCCAGAUUGAUUUCGAUUAAUUUGAGCGGUUAACCAGAAUUUAUACACUGUUUGAUUUUGUUCAAACAAUUUUAAAACAAAGAAUAAUCCACAACAAUUUUUUCCGUAUUUUUUAUUCAAAAAAAUUAAAAGAAUUAAAAAAAAUAACAUAAUAACAACACUAAAUUAAAAACGUAAUAGCAUUCAUUACAUUACAAAGCAUAUAUAUAUAUUUACUUUUUCUUGAAUUUUUAGUUUAAUUUUAGUUUUUAUUCAAAUAUUUUUAGUUUUCAUAAUUUUGUUAAGCUUAUUAUAAGAGAACUUAUAAAUCCAUUAGUUUUUAUAUAUUGGGUUUGUAUAAUGUAUUUGACCUGUCUCUAAUAUAUUGGGCCUAUAAUAUAUUUUUAUUGAUUUCGGUUAAUCAAUUAAUUCGGUUAAUUAGUCGAUUUCAAACUAAACUAAUUGGUAAACAAAAUCUUCAAAAACCUUUAACCAACUCCCAACCAAAUUAGAUUCGUUGAUCAACUGCUUAAUCAAAUUAAUUAGGUUUGAUAAAUUAAUUCGUUAAAACCGAAAAAUUGACAUCCCUAUCACCACCUUUGUUUUUAGGGAUUUUAAUCAUGUUACUCCACUUGAUGCAGAAGUUGAGGUGGAACGAAUUGCUUGCUACCAAAAUUUAUGAAUUAUAGACCAUGCUCCACCCGGUGAAUCAAAUUCAGUGGAGUGGAAGACUUUUUCUUCACUACUUUGUGCUCUAUGCUCCAAGUCUUCUAUUCUUCUUCCGAGACCAACAAUGGGAAAAUUAAAAAUAAGAAACAAGUCUGAACUAACUUUGACAAUUAGAAAUUUUCAACAAAAUUGAAAUAAAAUAUAAUUAAUUAAUAAAAACUAUAAAAUUCAACAAAAACGAACCUAAAUACUAAAUUUACCUCCUAAAAUGCUAUGGAAACUAUAUUAAAAUAACUCUAAAUAUGAUAGUUAUCAAAAGCGACCUGAAGAAGCCAAUAUUCGAGUAGAUGAUUUCAACUAUUGCAAAUACCAUCAGUCGAUUAGCCAUCCUCUUGAGAAGAUUAUAGAGUUGAACGAAAAAAAUCAUACAACUCCAUGAAGAAGAAAAAAUCAUGUUUGAAAAAGAAGUGGCAUAAUCAAACUUGACAUCAAUGCUUUGGUUUCUCAAUACAAUAUUAUGGACAGAUUCAUCAAAUUUGGCUCUUUCAAUCCUAUUACACUAGCUCUAAGUAGAAGUAAGAUGGUGAAUUUCGAAAGGAUUGGGGGCAAUCAUCUAUUCUUGGAAUACCAGAAUGGUCAUUAUUGGACUCUAGCCACAUGUCAAAGAAGCCAAUGAAAAGCAUCUCUCCUAGGUAUAAGCUUAUAUUGUCACAUUACUCCUAAGCACGAGCAUAAAUUAGUCAUCCAAAAUGAUGAUGCUUCUAAGCAUGAGCUUAAAUUGUUCAUCUAAUGCUCCUAAGAAGGAGCCUAAACUAUUCAACCCAAAUGGUCAUGCUUUAAGAAAAAUCUUAAACUAUUUUUAAGGCCUUAUAGUUCGGAUUAAGGCCCGUAAGUGUAUGUUUGUUAUAAUUAAGUUGUGUUAUUGAAUGUUAUUAAUUCAAUCACAUGAAUAUUUUGUUGUAAGUUAAAUGUUUUAAUUUGUACUAUAAUGCUCCAUAACCCUAAUCUGGCAAUGGAAACAGGUUUGGCGUGUUACAAUUUUGGGUUCUUGCGAUGUUGGUUGGAUUUUCGUGUUUUAACAUUAAACUGCAAAAUUGUAUGAUUUAACAAACUAAAAUUAGGUUUUCAAAGUUAAAACUCUGGAAAUUUUUGUUGCAAAGUAUAAGUAAUCACUUAAGUGUUUUUCCAUAUAUAAUUAAAUGGUUUUUAACAAAUGUUUUCCUUAGUUUUGGAAAUGAUCUGCCACCAUUAGUACUUUUAAAACACAUGAUUUCAAAUUCAAAUUCUUUGUUUUAAAUAAGGGUUUUCACACUUCGUUUUUUUUUAACAUUUGUGAGAGGUUUUCGCCAAAUUUUAUGUUUUCAGAACGUGUAACUAAGUUGAUUUUUAAUUCGUUUUUCAAAUGAGUCGAUGUAAUUCCUCAAAAAUCCAGUCAUAGCAUCUAGGCCGGGUUUGGAUGUUAUACUGAUAUUACUAAAGUUAAUCUUCAUCUAUUUAGUCUAGAUCUAAACAUUAAUAUUCUCUUCCAAGAAAAAUCAAGAUGAUCAAAUUGUUAAAACUUGGUAGGCAGACAAUCAUAUUAAAUAUGCAUAAAACUUAAUAAAUAAUUAGCGAAGAUUGAAACAAUCAAAGAAAAAAUAAAUUAAUUAACUAAGAAAUAGGAUCCAUUAUUGUUUCAAGAAAAUAGAGUUUAGUUCACAUUGAGUUGAGAAAACCAAAAGGGAGAUUCAAAAAAAACUUGUGAUAAGGGGAAUAAUGUCAAUAGAUCAUAUUCAAGUUGUUCGGCUCGAGAAAGAAAGAUUCAGAUCUAACUUGAAAAGAAGAAACUAAAAAUAUUUAGAAAAACAAGAAAAAACAAAGAAAAUAACUAAAAUGAUAAAUUUAAGAAUAAAUAAUCAAUAUUAAAAAUAAUAAAGAAAUAAAGAAAUUAUAGAAUAAAUAGUGGAAGAUGGAAUGAAUAAAUGAUGGAUAUGACAUAUAGAUGGAUAAGUGUCUUAUAAUUCAUGAAAAGAGUUAUAUUUCAUGCCUUUAGAUCUAACUAACUGCUUGUACUUAAGUACAUUUUGUUGCAUUUUAAGACAUUUUAGUUAGUGUUUCUAAUAUUGCAUUAGGACUUAGAUUGUGUUGGAAUUAGGUGUUUUUAAUCGCUCGUGGUGGAGUUUUUCUGUGUGUUGGCAUGGCAAGAACAUAUUUUAGAAUGAGGAAAUAAAUGAGUGAAGUUUUGUUAGGGAAAAAGUGCAGACAAUUUGCCAACACGGAUGCCGUGACAAUGCUGGGAAGACCAAGUAACAUUUUUUUGCGCAAUAGUCUCAGUUGAAAUUAAAACUUGUACCAGAUAAAUCUCCCUAAAAGAGGAGAAGAUAAUCACAAGAUGUCAGCUGACCCUAGCCUAAUCUAUCUAUAAAAGCCAAUAAAGGGGAUCUCACAAUUGGCAGAAAAAAGUGGGAGAGAUCCUUAGGUGUGAAUAAGGUUUUAGCUGCGCAAAGGAAAGGAAGUCAAAGGCAGUCCUUUUUAGCCAUCAUAGGACGUUGUGCUGCCGAAGUGUGGACUAGCCAAGUGAAAGUUGUUUCCGAAAGUUCUUUUUUUAUUUCCAUCAGCGUUCCUUCAAAAUAUUGAAGUAGUUGAACACAAUGUCGGAUAAUAUUUUUCUUUGGAAUUUUAUUUCUCAGCCCAUGAGCUAAAUCUCGUAGGGUUAAGGUUACUUUUGAUGAAACCUUAAAUAUUUUUAUGGAUGCAGCAUAUAUCCAAUUUACUAAACUGUAUCAUUUGAUUGUUCUUAUUUCUUAAGUAAAAUGCAAAUGAUCUCUAAACAUAGAAGACUGUUCGCAUACUUAUAAACUGAUUCUAAUUCUAAAACGGUUAGAUUGGUUGGAUUAAAAUUAAAUGAAAUGAGCAAGUAUUCGAUGGACACUUGUAGUAGACUCUAUACAUAGAGUGACGAUCAUACAGAAGGAACCCAUGCAAGGUAUCUAAAAAGUCUUUAGACACAGGCAAGGUAACUUGAGGUUUUGCUCUCACGAGAGGCAGGCCAUUUUAGUACUCUUCUGUGCUUUAAAGUAGAUAAGAUUUUGCCAAGGAAUUAUUGAGAGUAAGGGUCGAUUUUGGAUAAUCAACCUUCCAAAUCCACAUCGUAUAUCCUUUAUUCCUUACCAUAGAAUAUUUGCCACAUCAUUAUUAGUUAUUUAUUUGUUCAUUUACAUAAUAUUCCCGUAGUAAUUCUCAUAAUUGUCAUUACAUUUCUACUCUUGGUUUGCCACAACAUUACUAGUUAUUUAUUAAUUCCACGUAUUGCUUACAUCAUUACUCUACUAAUUGCGACUGUAUAUUUAUCAUUGAGUUUGCCAUAGCAUUAAUCGUAUUUUAUUAUAAUAUCUUAACUAAUUUUGUGCCUCAAUCUGAUCCCCAUGGGAACGAUACUCACUCAUCACUUUAUUACUAGAUUCAACUGUAUACUUGCACAAAUCGUAUAUCAUUUCACACACGACAAUGUUCAAUUGAACCUUUUGAGUUAUAAACUCGAACAAACUCAAUUAUUAGCUUUAAUCAACCCACCAAGAAAGAAUCAUUGGCAAAUUGAAGGAUGAAGAAUGAAUUCCCAUGAAUCCUUAAAGAAAUUGAGAAGAAAACUACUUCUAAAAAUCACAAGAAACAAAUCUUGCACAAAGAAACUAACUCUCAGAGUUGGAAAUUUUAGUAAUAAACAAAAACAAUUGCGUCUCUGAUGAACAUGAAAGGGCCUUUACAUAGGCUAGAUAAGUCCAUCCAAAUAAAAUUGUCAAGUAUCUAGAAACUUUAAUUAAUGUAAGCAAGAAGUAAUUUUAAACUAAAAUAGUCAAAAUUUUUGUAAUGAUCUCGUCCAAAAAUUCUGCUCACAUAGUCAUCAUGAAAAUAGUCAUAAUUUGAUCUCUUGAACUCAAAAUCGAGUGAAUAAAAGUGCGUUUCAAAGUUAAGUGAUAGAUCUUAGAACUCUAUGAGACAUAUCAAUUGAAAAAUGUCUGGAUUCCAUCCAAAAAUUCACUGGAAGUUAACUAAUUUUUCAAACUUGAAAAUUGGUAGCUUCAGUGAAUGGAAUUUAAUAAAGUUCACCCCAUCUAUUCAUGUAUCAACUUGCAUUGUAAAAAGUAAAAAGAAAUAAUCUAUAGAGAAAAUAGUUGAAGAAUUUAUGACAAUUUAUUCAGAUCUCUUUUUCUUCUAGUAAUAUAUUGGGCCUAUAAUAUAUUUUUAUUGAUUUCGGUUAAUAAAUUAAUUCGGUUAAUUAGUCGAUUUCAAACUAAACUAAUUGUUAAACAAAAUCUUCAAAAACCUUUAACAAACUCCCAACCAAAUUAGAUUCGUUGAUCGACUGCUUAAUCAAAUUAAUUAGGUUUGAUAACUUAAUUCGUUAAAACCGAAAAAUGCACAUCCCUAUCAUCACCUUUGUUUUUAGGGAUUUUAAUCAUGUUGCUCCACCUGAUGCAGAAGUUGAGGUGGAACGAACUACUUGCUACCAAAAUUUAUGAAUUAUAGAGCUUGCUCCACCGCAGUGAAUCAAAUUCGGUGGAGUGGGAGACUUUUCUUCACUACUUUAUGCUCUAUGCUCCAAGUCUUCUAUUCUUCUUCCGAGACCUACAAUGGAAAAAUAAAAAAAUAAGAAACAAGUCUGAACUUACUUUGAAAAUUAGAAAUUUUCUACAAAAUUGAAAUAAAAUAUAAUUAAUCAAUAAAAACUAUAAAAUGCAAUAAAAACGAACCUAAAUACUAAAAUUACCUCCUAAAAUGCUAUGGAAACUAUACUAAAAUAACUCUAAAUAUGAUAGUUAUCAGAAGCGACCUGAAGAAGCCAAUCGAGUAGAUGAUUUCAACUAUUGCAAUAAUAUUGGUCGAUUAGCCAUCCUCUUGAGAAGAUCAUAGAGUUGAAAGAAAAAAAUCAUACAACUCCAUGAAGAAGAAAAAAUCAUGUUUGAAAAAGAAGUGGCAUUAUCAAACUUGACAUCAAUGCUUUGGUUUCUCAAUACAAUAUUAUGGACAGAUUCAUCAAAUUUGGCUCUUUCAAUCCUAUUACACUAGCUCUAAGUAGAAGUAAGAUGGUGAAUUUCAAAAGGAUUGGGGGCAAUCAUCUAUUUUUGGAAUAUCAGAAUGGUCAUGAUUGGACUCUAGCCACAUGUCUUCGGAACAUCAGAAUGGUCAUGAUUGGACUCUAGCCACAUGUCAAAGAAGCCAAUGAGAAGCAUCUCUCCUAGGUAUAAGCUUAUAUUGCCACAUUACUCCUAAGCACAAGCAUAAAUUGUUCAUCCAAAAUGAUGAUGCUUCUAAGCAUGAGCUUAAACUGUUCAUCUAAUGCUCCUAAGAAGGAGCCUAAACUAUUCAACCCAAAUGGUCAUGCUUUAAGCAAAUAUUAAACUAUUCUUAAAAAAUAAAUGAUGAUCCAAUGAAGCACAAGCUUAAUCUAUUCAUACGAAACAAAUGAUGACCUCCUAAGCAUGAAUUUAAAUUGUUCACACAUAAUAAAUGAUGAUACUCCUAAGCGCGAGCUUAAAUUGCAGUCCAAAAAAUAUUGAACUACGUUAUAACUUGAUCUUUUAAAAUUGAAGGUAAGUAGAUAGCCUGGUUUCAUUGCCAAGUUCAGUCUAUAUGAUAAAAAAAAUUUGAAGGUGAUCUUUGAAACAAAUUCAUCAAAGUAGGAAGCAAAUAAAAUUUCAAGACUUGUCCCCUUUCUACGCCCAACAAAAUUCAGAAUCCAUCAUUUGUUAUUACUGUAAUAAUAUCUCUAACUAAAUUAAUGAAAAGAUAAAUCAAGAAAUUAAAUCCUUUUAGAACUCUCUUAUAAAGAAACCAUAUUAAGGAUUACUUUAGAUCUAAUUAAUUAAAUUAAUAAGAUAUGAAUAAUAAUAAUAGAGUUUAAAUUCUUAUAGAACACUCAAAUGAAAAUGUUAAAUUCUACAAGAACUCUUAUAUGAAAGUGAUUGACACUAAAAAAAUGGGUCACCUCCAAGUUAUUCUACACAUUCACAAGUUCAAGAAGUUGAAAAAUUAUUUACAAAAAUAUUUGAAGAAACUAAAGAAGUAGAAGAAAUUCUAAUGAACAUCAUAUCAAUUGAGAGGAGGAUGUGAACAGAAGAGAAGAUUGAAAAGAGUUUUGUUUGUAAAGAAAUUCAAAACUUGUUAUAAAAUUUGACGCAAAAUUUUCAAGUCAAUUUUCAACUUGAAAUUUGUGUGUACUAUAUAUAUGGGAAAGAAUCCAUUUACAUUAUAUAAAACUAUUGUAUGUAUAAUACAAAAAUAUUUAAUACAUUAUCAAUAAAGUUUUUAAACUAUGCACCUGUGAUUAAAACCAAAAUAAUAAUAUUAAUAACAACCAAUCACUUUAUUUGACUAACUUUUCCUCACAAGUCUUUGGUAUGGAGACAAAUCAGUUUAAUCAGUCUUUGGAGCUAUUAACUGACAUUUCCACCAUUGAUUUGAAAAUCAUAACCCAUCAAUUCACUUUAAAUGAAACGAGAUCCUCAAGUGUUUGGUGUUAUAUUCUUAAAAUGUAUUUAGAUGAUUGUUUAUUAAUUUUAUUUCUUUAUAUUUAAAUCAAAUGUAAUAAAUUGUUGAAUUUAUAUACUUCUUAUUAUAACAAUAUAUGGACUAUCUUCCUACUUCUUUUUUUAAUUUAAUUUUUUGUAACUCUUCACAAUUUAUUUUGAAAAACAUUGAAAAAAAACUAAAUGAUUAAAUUAAGGCUCAACUUUUCACUAAUCUUAGUUUAUUUAGUCUAACUUUUCACAAUUUCAUAUACUCAUUUCAUGUUUCAUACCAACAAUUUUUCUUUUUGGUAAAAAGAAAAAAACAACUAUACUUUCUUUAAUCCCAAAAUUAAGGCUUUAUGAAUGAAAAUAAUAUUAUAUUAACUAUGAUAAUUAAGUUUUUAUUUUAAAUAUGAUUAAUUUUAUAUAUAAUAACUUUAAAUAUAAAUAUAUAUAUAUCUAUAAUUAAAUUUUAAAGAAAUUUAUUGUUAUUUUCUAAACAUAAAACAAAGAAAACUUUUUACCCAAAUUAUAAGUUUGUGGUUAGGCAGCCCACUUUGGGACAGGAUUCAGCUUACGUUUUUAAUCUUGGGCUUUAAAAAUAAUAAAAAUAUAAAAAUAAUGUUCGAUUAAUAUUUAUAAAUUUUAUAAAUUUAAAUUUAAUUAUAUUUUUUAUACAGUAAAAUCAACCAUUUAUAUGGGCUAAAUUGAGUUAAGUUCGGUUUGCAUCAAGCCUUAACUUUGACCAAAUCCAACGAAAAACACCUCUAACCAUAAUCUAGUAUUGUUUUUAUGAAUUGAAUUUUAACUUGUAAUUUUCAAUUUUAUACAAACUUUCUUUGCCUACGAUAAGGAAAUAACAUAUUUGUAACUUCUCCAAUCUGGCGUAAACAUUCAGUCUGAAUUCGGAAGAUUACAUCGGCCAUAAAGAUGGCCUAGCAGGGUUAUCAGAGUUUUUGAAAAUAGACAUCUUUAAAACGUUUGUUUAAUUCAGUAAAAAACUAAUUUAAUUUCCAAAUUAUUUAUUACUUGAAAUCUUAAUUACACUUUAAAAGAAGGAAGUGGUAACUAUUUAUUUUUAAUAAAAAUUAGGGUUCAUGUAUAAUUGAUUAAUAACCAUAAUUCGAAAACAUUAAAACUUAAAUUAAAUGUCAUGCAAAAUAAAACAAGCUUAAACCUAAAUCUCAUGCCACAGUUCAAAAUAAUUUAUUGUAGUCUUCAAAAAUAAAAUAAAUCAUAUAAUCAACCAAAAAUAAGUUUUGUAAUUUAGCAAUGUAUCGAGACCUUCUAGAUGUCAUGCCCGCGUCCUAACUUGGUUAUUUGUAAGUGUAACGACCCGAAUAAUUUAUCUCUAUUUCUGUAAAUAUUUGACGCAAAUACUUGUUUGCUUCAGUGGUUAAAUGUUUUGGGUGUGUUUGAGAGGUCUUGGGUUCAAGUCUCAUUUUUGUAAAAUUUUGUUAUUUUUAUGAUUCAAGCCUUAGCCUUGUUGAGUGGGCUUUUAUGAAAUUGUUUGCUACUUCAUAUUAGAAUGAGCUUGCUAGUUCAAGUGGUAAGGAGUUGGUGUGAAGGAGGUUCUGUGUGUGAAUCCCUGCACGAGCGUGGGUAUUAUUUUUUUGCUCAGUUAUAUGGUAGAGUUUCGGUGCUUUUGGGAUUAUAGGGUAGUUGGAUGUGAAUUAGUGGGGAGUUAGGAUAUUAGUGGGUUUUUAAUUAGAUUUUAUUUAAUUUUUAUUCUUUUUGUUUUUCCCAAUUUUUCUCUUAGCUUUUGACGUUCUGUUUCCCUUUUCUCCUCUGCUGAAUUUUUGCCGCUCCCUCUCAUUUUUGAUUUUUCCAAUUCGUCUCCUUUUUGUGCAAUGUUUGAUUGCAUUCGUUCGGUAAGUCUUGUAUUGUUACGAUCUUAUUGUUUGGUGGUUAAUGUUUUAAUGGGGGUUUUGUGUUUACUCUCGAUUAAGGGAAGGGCAAGAAGAGUUGGUACUCCUGCAAGAUUUGAGCGUUAAGGGUGUCUGUUCGUUGGCGGUAAGUUUUCAAAUUCUUUGUUGGUUAUUGUAAGGCUCCGUUUGUGGAAUGGUUUCGGAUUGAGUUUCGUAAGUGUGUAUCGAAUUUGGGCUUCUGGAUACUGUUUCUUAGGUUCGGUGGUCUCAGGGGUGCUUGUGCAUCAAAAUGAUAUCAGGUGUGUACCCGAAACGUAGAAAAUCGAGUUUCGAUGAAAGGUAAAAAACCUUAUUUUCGAUGCCACACGGGCGUGUGCAUGGCCGUGUGGUUGGCCGUGUGCAGGACACAGUCAUGUGUUCGACGAGGGUAGGGCCGUGCGCAAGACACGGCUGUGUGACGAUGUGGGUGUGGCCGUGUGGGCCACAUAGGCUAGGCCAAGUUGGGCUUGUGGGUUUUGGGCCACACGUGCAUGUGCCUUUUAAACAAGUCCGUGUGGACCACACGGGUAGGGCUAAUAUGGGCGUGUUGGCCACAUGGGCAUGUGGGCCGAAAAUUCUAAAAUUUUCCUUAAGGUCGCACAGGUCGUUCUAGUCGACUGUGGGCCUACCGUAGGGUCGGUAAGGGCUAACCAAACCCUAAAACUAUGUGAUCUGUUAGUUUGAUAUUUUGUUCUGAAUAUGAUACUGCUAUGCAUGUUUGAUUAGUUUGGUGUAUGUAUAUAUAUAUAUAUCUGAUAUCUAUGUAUGAGCAUGUGAGCAUGGUAACUCUAAUUAUCUAUAUCUGAUUGGGGUGGGAUUUGUAUAUGUGGAGGAAGUGUUCUGUAUGGCGGUCAUCGCUUAUAUUCUGGCAGCUUGGCUGCACAUUAUCUGACAUGUGUCGUAAUGGCACGAUAUGGUGUGUAGGGAUGGGUGGGUGUUUUUAACCCCACAUGAUGUGAUGGGAUAGUUGGAGUUGGUGUGUAGAGGAUGGAGUUAGGAUUUUGUAUUUCUGAUCUGAUCUGCAUAUCUGUUAUGUUAUCUGAAUCUGUAAAGGACUUAGGUCUGAAUCCGAAUCUAAAAUUGUAUCUGACUAUGUAUGAGUUUACUGCAUGUAUUGCAUGCAUUUUUUUAUUGGCUUACACACUAAGUUUACAAAAACUCACAUUUGUUUGUCUGUUAUGUUCAGGUAAUCCACAGAUUUAGGCGGGUCGGUGUGACGGAGGCUCAGUGGUGACCACCUGAUUGAGAACUAUUUUACUUAGUAAAUUAUGUUUUAUUUAUAAUUUCUAUUUCAUUUGAGAGUUUUUAAUUUUUGAGACUCUCAGUACUGCUGGUUUUUAUUUUGGUUUUGGAUGCGAUUUUAGACUAUUUUGUUGCGAUGCAUGAUGGAAAACACGAUUUUAUGAAAAAAAGUUAUUCUGAAAAUACGAACUGGAUUUCUAAAAUAUAACGGUUCAAAAACUUUCACUAAAAAUCACGUUUUGGUAAAUAAAUGAAUUAAAUAAUACUUUCAAAAAUGGUUAUAAAUAAUUAUGAACUAUGAAUCUUUAAUGAUUUGAUGAAACGACCUUAUUUUCAAAACCAUACCUUGUGACCACUCCGGAUUCAGCCAUAACGUCUGGGCUGGUUUGGGGUGUUACAGUAAGGAUGAAAAUUUAAGGGAAUGAGCUAUGACGCUUACUAUGAGUUCAUUCACAAUAAAUUCAACGCAAACGGUUGGUAGGACACAUUAAAUAAUAUCGCAUAAAAUAAUCACAAUUAGAUAAUAGUUCAGAAUGUCGGUUUUACAAUUUAACCACCAAUAUAAUCACAGUAUUCACAGUUGUAAUUUUAGAAUAUCAAAUUUCCACAUCAUUCACAAUAUUCAGAUAUAUAUAAAUAUAUCAUAACAGAAUUCUGGAUUUGUAUGCACAUGAUUUAGAAGAUGCCAUACAAUUUCAGGUUUUAACAGAAUAAAUCCUACCCCACGUUACAUACCAUAAUGGGAGUUCCCCUAAACUCCCUUCUGCAACACACUGGGUUAUGGAUAAACCACUACCGGUUUACAGAUAAUAACUAUCAUUUGGUUGUGGACACACAGCAAGUCUCCACAAUUGGAUUCUAGAUUUGGUUGUGGGUUCACAGCAAAAAAAAUCUACAAAUGAAGCCUGCUUUUGCCUGUAGAUUAUACAACAUAUACCCAUAGUUGGAAUCUGCCUUCGGCUAUGGAUGCACUGUAACACCUCAAACCUGACCUGGACGUUAUGACCGAAUCCUGAGGAAUUACUUUAACUCACUAGAAAACCCAAGAGUUUACUAUGAAAUCAUGUGGUUAAACUAGUGUUCACUUUGAUAAAUCGUUUUCCAGUUUUAGGGAAAAUUAUUGUUAAAACUGUUACUUUAUUACAAUAAAACAUUAAAGUGAUUAUAUCAUUUUGUAACGGAAUCUACUGAGCUAUAAGGUUAUGAAAAUCGUGGUUUAAUUUGCAACAAAUCAUUUUGUAAAUAGAAAUUUAAUACUACUUAAUUUGGAAAAGCAUGCUAAAACGAAAGCAAAGUCCAAACUAAUUUAUGAUUUAAAAUUCUAAAAAGUCCAAAUUAAACAUAAAGUCAAUUUAAACCAGUUUAUCGAACGUGUAACACCCCAAACCUAGCCUGGAUGUUAUGGCUAAAUCUGGAUGUGUUACGAAAAAAAAGUUUAUAAAACGACUUCCUUAUUAUUGGCAAAUCAUCGCAACCAUUAUUACUUAGUAUGCUCGAUUUGUUUGGAAAACUUAUUGAUAUACUUAUUUGAUUUAAAAUCAUUGCUCGCUUAUGCCUUUCUAUUAAACUGAAUGUUUUGUAGUGGAGUUUCUUUAAAACACCAUAUUUUGGCAAAUCAAUUUGUUUCUUGAAAAUCGUUAUUUCAAAAAAAUUGUCAUUUUUAGAAAAAACUAUUUUAUCAGUUGUUACGCUUAGAAACCAAAAUAAAAUCCAAAACCAAAAAUAGUCCCAAAAAGUCCAGAGAGUCCCGAAAUUACAAAACUCUCAAAACCAGAAAAGUUUGAACUAAUUUAAAAAGAAUGAAAUUUUACGGAAAUAUGGUUAACACUGAGCUUCCAUCACACCGACCCACCUAAAUCUGAGGGUUACUUGAAUAGAACAAACAAAUAGAGAGAGUUUUGAAACUCAGUGUGUAACGCGAAUAUAAACAAAAAUUCAGAAUCAAUCUCAUGCAGAACAUAUACAAAUGUAAACCAUUUAUAGAAUAAGAAUUAUACAGAUACAAAUAUGCAACAUCCUACCCUCAUCCUAUACACACCAAUUCUGACCAUCCCAUCACACCACGUGGGGUAUAAAACACCCACCCAGCCCUACACACCGUAUAGUGUUUAUACAACACUUUUCAAAAUAAUCGCAGCAGAGUUGCCAGUAUAUAGGUGAGAUAUCGCUUCACACAGAACACUUCCUCCUCAUAAUACAAAUCCCGCUCCAUAGCCAGAUACAGAUAGAAUAUCAGGUAAAACAAAUUAAUAGAUACCAGAGUUAACAUAUCACGCGUGAGCGUAUAACAGAUAUUACACAUGCUUAUACAUAACAGAACAAAUCAUACAUACCGUAUUCCAUAAUACUCAUAUAAAUGUUAUUUUUUAAAUUGUAACAAAUAUUAUUAUUAAGAUGUUUUUCUUUUUAUAUUUUUUUAUAAAAUAUAUUAAAAAACAAUUAGAAUAAUUUUAAGAGAAAAAACACUCAUAAACAGUAGAAUUUAAUCUAAAAAUAUCAAAGUUUUAAAGCCUCAACUUUAACAUUUCAACCAAAAUUCCAUUAGUAUAUAAAUAUUUUAUAAAUAUAGAUUUUAUAUAAAAAAAUUUUAUGUAAACUUUUUUUUAACCCACAUCACAAGUAUACCAUAUUUAGAGAUAUUCAUAGCUAGGCAGCCCACUUUGGGUCAAACUUGAGCUUAGGUUUCAUCUCAAGUUGGCCCAAUUUAACCUAUUUUACUAUUUAAAAAUAUAAAUAUAUGUUAUAUUGAUAUUUAUAUAUUUCUAUAAUUAAAUUUUAAAUAAAUUUAUUGUUAACUUUUAAACACAAAACAAAGAAAACUUUCACCCAAAUUAUAAGUUUGUGGUUAGACAGCCCACUUUCGGGGCAGGAUUCAGCUUACGUUUUUAAUCUUGGGAUUUAAGAAUAAUAAAAAAUAUAAAAAUAAUAUUGUAUUAAUAUUUAUAUAUUUUAUAAAUUUAAAUUUAAUUAUAUUUUUUAAACAGUCAAAUGAACCAUUUAUAUGGGCUAAUUAGAGUUAAGUUUGGUUUGAAUCAAGCCUUAACUUUGACCAAAUCCAACUAAAAACACGUCUAACAAUUAUCUAGUAUUGUUUUUAUGAAUUGAAUUUUAACUUGUAAUUUUCAAUUUUAUUACAAAAUUUCUUUGCGGACGAUAAGAAAAUAACAUAUUUGUAACUUCUUCAACCCGGCGUAAAGGUUAAGUCUGAAUUUGGAUUACAUCAGCCAUAAAGAUGGCCUAGCAGGAUUAUCGGAGUUUUUAAAAACAAACAUCUUUAAAACGUUUGUUUAAUUUAUAGAAAAGCUUAUUUAAUUUCCAAAUUAUUUAUUACUUGAAAUCUUAAUUACACUUUAAAAGUAGGAAGUGGUAACAAUUUAUUUUUAAUAAAAUUCGGGGUUCAUGUAUAAUUGAUUAAUAACCGUAAUUCGAAAACAUUAAAACUUAAAUUAAAUGUCAUGCAAAACAAAACAAGCUUAAAUCUAAAUCUCAUGCCGCAGUUCAAAAUUAUUUAUUGUAGUCUUAGAAAAUAAAAACAAUCAUAUAAUGAACCUAAAUUUUUUAUUUUACUUUAAUAAUGUGUCAAGGUCUUACAGAUGUCACGCCUGCGUUCAAUCUUGGUGGGUUAUCUGUAAGGAUGAAAAUUUAAGGGGGAGUGAGCUAUGACGCUUAGUGUGAGUUCAUUCACAAUAAAUUCAAUGCAAACGGUUGGUAAGACACAUUAAAUAACAUUGCAUAAAGUAAUCACAGUCAGAUAACAGUUUAGAAUGGCGAUUUUACAAUUUAACUACCAAUAUUAUCACAAUAUUCACAGCUGUAAUUUCAGAAUAUCAAAUUUCCACAUCAUUCACAAUACUAACAUAUAUAUAAAUAUAUCAUAACAGAAUUCCAGAUUUGUAUGCACAUGAUUUAGAAGAUGCCAUACAAUUUUGGGUUUUAACAGAAUAAAUCCUACCCCACAUUACAUAUCAUAAUGGGAGUUCCCCUAAACUCCCUUCUCCAACACACUAGGUUGUGGAUAAACCACUACUCGUCCACAGAUAAUAACUAUUAUUUGGCUGUGGACACACAACAAAUCCCCACAGUUGGAUUCUAGCUUUGGCUGUGGGUUCACAGCCAAAAGUCCUGCAAAUGAAGCCUGUUUUUGCAUGUAGAUUAUACAACCUAUACCCGCAGUUGGAAUCUGUCUUUGGCUAUGGAUGCACUAUAACACCCCAAACCCGACCUGGACGUUAUGGCUCAAUCUUGACGUAAUGCCCCAAAAUUUCUAAUUUCGUUAUUGUGAAAAUAUGACACAAAAUAUUUGUCUGCUUUAGUGGUUAUGUGUUCUGGGAGUGUUUAGGAGGUCCCAAGUUCACGCCUUCACAUGGGAAAAUUUUGGUAUUUUGAAUGAAUUAGGUAUUACUCUUAUUCAGUAGGCUUUUAUUUGAUUGUUGGGUAAAUUAUAUUAGAAUGGGCUUGCUGGUCUAGUGGUUAAAUGGUUUAUUAUUAUGGUGGAGGUCUUGUGUUCAAGUCCCUAUGUAGGCAAGGGUAUUAUUAUUAUUAUUAUUUGCUCAAAUUUCUGGAUAGAGUUGUGUAAUAGGGGGAUUCUGAGUAGUAGAUGUGUAGUGGGAAUUAGGGGAGAAGAUUAAGGAGUUUCAGGGGUUAUCGAGAUUUUAUUUUAUUUUUUCCCAUAACCGAAUUUUGACUUUCUUUUUCCAAAAAAAAUCUGCCAUCUAUUCUUCUCCCUCUCCUCUUGUCGAAAUUCUCUUAGUUUUUUCACCUUUCUCUUCUUUUUCUUCUUCUUGAUUUUUCCCUAAUCCAUUUAUUUUUCUUCAUUUUCGCACGCGGUUAGUUUUCGCUUAGUUUCGAUAAGUGUUUCUCUUCGUUUCUAUCAUGAAUCUCCUAGCGACUAAAGUGGUAACUUUUUUUCUCUGUGAUUUGGGUGUAGGGGAAGGCUCGAACUGUUGAAUUCAGUAUUCUCGUCUUAACAAUAGUUAAAUGGAGGGUUAUCGUUGGUGGUAAGUUGGGUUUCUGUUCAUUCUUAGUUGUCAAUUUGCUUGUAAAUCUGUUAAAUUGAUGUUGAGUAUCUUGAUUAUAGGCUUUGGAGUGCUUGGGGACUGUUUUAGCAUCAAACAAAACCAGAUGUGUACCCGAAACGCAAAAAAAAAGGGAUUCGAUCGAAAGCCGAAAUUGUUUGCUGUUUGGACAGUAGCAGUAGGCUAACUUUGAAAAAUCGCCAUAAAUUGUGGAAAUCGAAUUAGAGGAUGAAAAAAAUAUGAAAUUAAAUCUUAUUGAGUCUAGUUUCUCAUAGAAGAACGGUGUAAGUAAUGGAAUUUUAAAUCGUGAGAUAAUAAACUAUGUGAGACAAGGUUAGAAUAAAUUCGGGUUCCCUUGUUCUGACUUUGGAAAAUCAUCAAAAAUUGGAUAAAAAUAAUUAGGAAUUAAAAUUUACAUGUUUAAAUUAUUAAUUAGUCUUUUUUCAAUAGAAACAAAUGGGAACUUCAUCCAAAAUUUUUACUAAGAGAUAAUUAAUUUUUAGCAAUGAAGGGUCGAAGCUGUCAAACAGCAGAACAAGGGUAAGUUUGAAGAUUUUACCAUACUUAUUGGCUGAGCCAAAAAUUUAAAAAUUUUAUGGUAGAAAGGUAUUUGAGUCUAUUUUCAAAUACAUCAAGUGAAUUUUAAUUAGGAAUUCUUUAGCUCAAGAUAUAAAUAAUUUAGUUACAGUGAGUCAAGUAGAAAGCUUUGAAGGAACACAUAAGUAAAUUGUGAUAAGAUAUAUGAAUAUUUAGCUAGCACAGGUUACAUUGAAAAUGGAUCACGCAGCCAAGGCCAAUUUGGGCUGAGUGGGCCACAUGGGCAUGUGAGCCCAUUUUUCUGAAAAAUUCUGUAAGGUUGCACGGGUCGCCCAAGUCGACUAUGGACCUACUGUAGGGUCGGUAAGCUUUACUUAGACGCCUAUAUGUGUGAUCUAUCUGGCUGAUUUCUAUACCGAGCAUGACUUAUGAUAUUUGAAUGUAUGUACUUUUAAUUACAUAAUGGCAUGACAAAUUUUGUAUGUUGCAUUGCAUCGGAGUGGGUUGAUGAUAUUUGGAGGAAGUGUCUAAAAGGCUAUUAAGCCUGUUAUCUGGCAGCUCAGCUGUAACCUUCUGAUUAUGUGCGCAUUUCAGUACAACAUGGUGUGUAAGGAUGGGUGGGUUGAUUUAACCCCCACAUGGUGUGUAAGGUUGGACAAAGAUGUGCGUAGAGGCUGGUGGGUAGGAUUCUGAUUUCUGUAUCUACAUUAUGUAUCUGAUAUGGGCCAAGGCUCUAAUGUAUUUCUGAGACUGUAUCUAAACGGGCUAAGGCCCAAACUGAUUGUGUGAUGGGCCUAGGACCCAGACUGUAUCUAACUAAAUUCUGUUGAUUAUUUGUAUGCAUGAUUUCUAUGGGGAUUACACACUGAGUUUGCGAAAACUCACCCUUUCUCUAUUUAAUCUGUACAGGUAAUCCCCAGACUUGAUGGGUCAGUGCAACAAAGGAUUCGACAGUGGCCACACGUAAAUUAUGGAUUGUUUUCCGUUAAUACCUAGAAUUUAUUAAUUAUUUGGGGUUUUUGAUGUAUCUUCUGGACUAUGGACUGGUUGGCUAACAUACCUUUUUGCAUUGCAUCAUGUGCACGACAUAUUUGAAUAUUAUUGGUUUAUGCUACGUAGUGUAUUUUGUUGUAUUGAAUGGUAUCAAAAUUAAUGAUUGUCACUCGAAUGAAUUAUGACCUAUGCUCAUACACUGUUUGACAUCAAUUUGAUAAUGGCUAUGUAACGAUAUGAAAUUCCUAUAAUGGUUCUAUUUUCUUCUGUUAAAGCUAAUUAGUUUUACUGUAUUUGAUAUUUAUGUUUGUUUCAAUAAUUGUUCGACUCACGCUGAGCUUUUCAUAAGCGCACCCCUAAUAUGUUAAACUUUUCAGGUAAACCUCGAAAUUAAGACCAGACUUGGCAUUCGAAGAAUCACCUUAGACCUUGAAUUAUUUUUCUAAUAAGUAUUAAUCAAUCUCUAAUGGUUUUCGUUUGUAAUUUUUAAUUAUAUCUAGUCUGUGGCUUGAUAACUUUUCUUCUGGGAUUUUUGCAUGCAUGGAUUACUCAAGCAUAGUAACCGGAUAAUGCAUGAUAUUAGGCUUAAGUAAAAUUUGAUAUUGUUCCCUAGAUUCCGCUGCAUUGCAAAGGAUUUGUUUUUGAAAAACAAAUUGAUAAGGUAACUAAGUUUUCAAAAUGACUUGAAAAAUGGUUUUUCCCCUGCAUUAGUUUAACAUCGAAUUUUUUUUAAAGGAGAGCAACAAGCAAAUGAUUUUUCUAAAACAACACUAUCAACAAUAAAAUGAAUUCUAAGUAUACACAACCUAAUGAAUGAAUGCUUUUAAGCUAACUUAAAGUACAACUAUGGUUUUCUCUAAAAUGAGUUUAUUUAAAGUUUUCAUAAGUAAUGUAAGUUAGCUUAGCCAUUUCGGUGGCUAAUGUAGCCUUCUCAUUCUAGCCAUAACGUCUAGGCCAGGUUUGGGAGGUUACAGUAUUGAUAGGAACUGUGGUAUAAAUUUUAUUUUGGACAUUCUUAAAUUGUUAUUUGGACUAAACUUUAGAAACUAUGGAUUUUAUACUGAGCCUAAAUUUACGAAGUUCAUGCGUGGUUUUUACGAAAAUGAAACUCAUAUGAAAUUUCAAAACCGUGAUGUUUUUUUUAACGCUCCAAUUUGAAAUUGUACAAGAAAUGUCAAUUUGAAUUAUUUUUGAAUGUUUUUUAUGCCAAUUAAAUAUUGUUUCAAAACAUAGCUAAGUAUUAUUUAAUUUCGUAAAGAUGAAGCAAACUCCGAACAAUCUAAAACUUCAAGGACUAGUUUGCAAUUUUUUUUUCCUCAAUUGUCUCCGGUUUGAUUCAAUUCUUGAUCUAUACAAUUAUUCCAUUCAAUUCAUCAAUAUUAAACAUUUAUACAUUAUGUCAUGUCAUGAAUGAACCUAGAUAAAUUCAUUUUUUGAUACCCUUAAAGUUUUACAUUUAUUUCAAUUUAGUCUCUAAAAUCGAAAUAGUCAUAACUUUAAAUUCUGAACUUCGGUUUGAAAAUCGACCUCAAUUUCAUUAUAGACUCUCUACUAUCCAUUAUUAUCAAAAUUUCACAUCAAUUUCACAAUUUAUUUACUUUAGUUAUUAUGUACAAAAUUAACAACCAAACAUCACAAUUUAGUCAUUUUUCAUAAUUUAAGCUUAAAAUCUAUCAAUUUAAUACCAAUUUCUUCAAGAAAUCAACCAUGAUAACUAUAAAAAAAAAUUAACAGUUUUGCAAAUUGAUACAUAGGUCAUUUAAAUCAAACUUUCAUGACCUCAGAAACACAAAAAAAAAUUAUACGAAAAUGAUUUAGAAAUGCAUACCAAUUGAGGACCGAAAGCUUGAAGCUCAAAAUGGCUUUUUCCCUUGAGGUUUUAUGUUGAUUAAAUGAUGAAGAAGAAGAAAUAAAGAUGACAACUUGCACUAAGUCACCUUUAUAUACUUAGAUUAAAUCUUAAUUAAUCAAAUUUAAUUAAUUAAAUCUUAAUUAAUUAACCUUAAUCACAAUUAAAAAAAAUUAGUGGAUGUUAACAUCAUCCUACACUAUUUCAUAUAACCAAAUGAUCUAUUUACCAUUUUGAACCUUUAGCUAAUUAGAAAUCUAUAGCGAUAAGACUUUUAAAAUUUAGUUUCUGUAUCUUAAUUAUGCAAUUAAUAGACAAAGUUGAAGGUUUAAAAUUUAAUGUUCUAUUAUACCAACUCUGUAAAUAUUCAUAUUUAAUAUUUACAGACCCGAAUUACGAAAAUGAGAUUUUGAAAUUGUAUUUUCCAAUACCACUGAAAAUCGAACAAUUAUGUAACCUAUUUGCACCAAAGGGCCAAACAUGGCAAAUACUUGACAUGUAUGUCUUAAUAUCCUCAUCUAUUCUCUUCAAUAUAAUAACAUCCAAUAAUUGUUUCAUCCACUGUAACUAUCACGAAGAUUAGAUUUACCAAUACAGCCUACAAUUUGCAGAAGCGCGACAUUUUCAUUCUAGAGAAAGGUAUAAUUGAAACAAAAUUGAAAUAAAGAUUUCAAUACAGAAUCAACAGACAUUCCAGCUAAUACUUAUCAAUUAUUUGCAGCUUCAUUGCUCCAACUAAGAUGGUUUUUAGUCGAAUAUGGUAAAUGAAAUCAAUGAACACCAGCUACUUGAUGAACGAGUGAAUCAAAGUCCUGAUAUGUGCCGGCUUAUUGGUGAAAAAAUACAUGGGUUAGUUUUGCAGCAAUUCAUGAUCUUACAUUUUAUAACCUUUGCUUACAAUUAUUCACUGACUAAUCAUUCAAUGAAUGUAGGCCUCAAAUUUAGCCACUAAACUUUGUUCUUUAUUUUUAGAUACAUAUUAUUUGAUCACUUCAUACAGCCUAUUACUCAUAAUAACUUCCAAUUUCCCUUCUUUAGGUUAGUUGCAAAUGUACAGCUUUUUCUAGAAGAAGAAAAUUGUCAAGAGCCACCUGUUCAAGAGAGGCGCAAACAGAAUGUAACAAUACCUGACCUACUUACGGUACAGCCAAGUAAUCAUGUGUUUCUAUGCUAGAACAUUAAAUCAAUGACUACAAAUUUCAUGUCAUGGUUGUGUAUCAUUUAUGCCACUGAUGCUGCUAUUUUCUAUUCUAAUGCAUAAUAGGGAUUUAGUGUUUUUACCGUUAAAAUUGUGUCCUUUAAUUUUGGCUUUUUUCAAUUGUUGAUCAUGUCCACCUAUGCUUUAUUUUACUACUAUUGCUUUCUUCAAUGAUAGAUGAUUGAAUCGGUAGAAUUUUAUUAAUCCUCUACAUGUUUUAGCUUGAUAUGUGGAUCCUAAGCAUUCCUUGGAUUGUGCCCUCUUUGUUCAUUUAUUUUUUUUCCUGGAACCUUAUUACAUGUUGUAACACUCCAGUUUUUUGGAGACAUUGAAGACGACUAACUGCUGAAUUCUUUCUUCUGCAGAGGAACCAAUGGCAAGAGACUCUAAAACUCCUACUCUUUUUUAUACCUUCCUCACCUCUUUGUGACAUUAUAGCUGAAAAAUGAUGUAUGCUAAUACAUGAAAUGUUUCCUCUUGCCUUUCUUUUUGUAGUACUAAAACUACAAAUAGUGUCUGUAAAUCUCUUUUCCCGUAAUCUUAUCUUUUCCUCAUUGUAAUAGUUGGAAAACAGCUUUGUUGAAGACAAUGUCAACUACUGGGAUAAGUUACAAACACUGUUAUUGUUUAUUUUGUAGUCUAAAUUAUGAUAAUUUCUGCACAAAAUUCACAUAAAUGGUUACCCUCCCGAAGCGGAGCGAGGGUGAUGCUUACUAGUUAUUAAGAAAACAGGACCUUGUAGGGCUUAACUGUUGAAUCGAGAAAGAAAUUUCUUUUAAUGCCUUCAAUUUUUUUUAAAGCUGAUUUUUUUUUACAAAUUAAAGUUUUGAUUGUAUGUUAAUUGCUUGAGGGAAGGUCGGAUACUUUAUUAUCCCUAUUUUUAUUUGUUAUAUAUUUUAACCAUAAUGAUUUUUUUGGCCCUACAAUUUUACCAAAAAAAUCAUAUUAGCUUUCAUUUAAUUUUCGUCUCUUUUAACCCUUUAACUUGUAUUUUUUUUGUCAAAUCACCCCAAAAUGGAUCGAAAACUUUAACAUUUGUGAACUUUGAUUAUGUGACAUACACAUGAAUUGUCACAUGGAUGACAAGUCAACAUUUCUUUUAAAAAAAAACUUAAAAAAUAUUAAAUAAAAUAUUUUUGAUAUUUUUUAAUGAUUUUUAAAUUAAAAAAAGUUUUUAAAUAUUUUUUAAUUUUUAAAAAUUAAUUAGACGCAGGCAUGGAAAUUCACAUCUAUGUGUCACAGGCCGUGGAUUAAAGCCUGUGACCAUUGCGCAUAGAACACCCCAUAGAAUUUUGGCUUUUUAUUUGGUCAAUCAUGUCCACCUAUGCUUUAUUUUACUAUUAUUGCUUUCUUUAAUGAUAGAUGAUUGAAUCGGUAGAAUUUUAUUAAUCCUCUAUGUAAUAACCAAAUUUUGCCCGGGCCCAAUGCCAAACAAAUAAAACCCAAACCAAAUAAAUAAAAUAAGAGUCCAAAUUACAGUCCAUUAGAGCUCAAUUCAGACCAGCCCACUAUUCAAUCAGACUGGCCCAACACCCAAAUAACCUAACAACCCUAGCCCAACAAAAUCAGAAAAAUGAACAGCAAAAAAACCUUAGGUGCGCCGCACCUAGGUCUUUUGGCCUAACCGCCGCUGUUCGCCUAUCACCAGCCUCCUCGCUGCCACCGCCGCAUGCGCACCAGGCCUCCUCCAUGUGUGUCUGACACCUGCAAAGAGAGUCACACGCAACAGUAGAAACAAAAACAAAAAACAAAUAGCAAAACGACAAAAAAAAUAAUGAUUAAGGAGUUCGUAAUCCGACUAUAAAAGCCCUAAUCUGUGACUUGUAAUUUUUUGACACACAUUAGAAAAUAAAAACCAAAAAAAAAAAACUUUAAGGUGAUACUCAUUUCAUUUUAUUUUUGUUUUAUUUUAUUUUAUCAUUUUUAUCUUUUUAUUUCGAAAUAACAUAAAUAAAAAGGGGAGGCUGGGUUGCCGUUGCCAGAGCAUAUUUUGUGCUAAAGGGGGUUGCGCAGGAGGAAAAGAGGAAACUUUUCAGUUUCCCGCCGCCGUGAUGGCCGAACCUCUGACUGGCGCUUGGAGAAAGAAGGGGAGAGUUUGAGAGAAUUUUAGGUUUUUUGUUUAAGAAAAGUGAAAAAUGAAGAAUUCUGAAAAAAUUAAUAUUUAUAGCACCUAGAAAUGGCGUCGUUUUGGCCAGUUUCAUUUGGCCCCAAAAUGACACCGUUUAAUGGCCUAUACCGGCACAGUGACCCGACCCGGGGAAGGAUCGGAGUGUUUUGUGCUAUUGGGUAAUUUUCGCAUUUGGUCCCUCUUAUUUUGUAGUGUUUUCAAAUUAGAUUUUAUUUAUUUUAAAUUUCAACAUACAUUUUUGUUUUUGUUUCACUUAGAUCCUGAACAAUGCGCAGCGUUUUGGGGGCGAGGAAAUAUUUCCAAUAUGGCCCCAUGUAAUCUGCAUAUUACACUUUAACCCCUCGUCUUGUUUAUAAUUCUAUUCUUUUCUUGUUAAUUUAGAUUCAAUUGCGAUUUAAUCUUUUGUUAAAACAUUUGUUUUCUUUAUUAAUUUAUUAACUAUUUUAUUAUUAUUUUAGUGGUAUAUUCGGUCAUAUUUUCAUUAUCUUAUUAUAUAUUAUCAUUUUGAGUUUUACUUAUAUUAUUAUUAUAAUUUUAUAAUGUGUUAUUUUAUUAACUCAAUAUAACAUAUAUAUAUAUGUAUUUUUUUGUGGUUUUAUUUUUAUAAUAUAUUUUUUUAAAUCCAUUUUUAUGCACUUUAUAUUUAAGUAUUUAUACAAUAAUAUUCUUAUAAUAUUUUUAUACAUGUACAAUUUAUAUAUAAUUAUUUCUUAUACGUGUAUAUAUACAUAAUAAAUCAUCGAUUACAUGUUAUUAUAUUAUUUCCACUUAUUUCAUAUAUAAUUUAUUUCUUUUAAAAUACUCUAUUAUAUACUUCAUUUAUUUCAACCUUUUAUGUGUAUCAUUAUAGAUAUACUAUUAUAUGAAGUUUUUCAAUCCCUAUGCAUUACUUAUUUAAAUUAAUAUAUGUAUAUUAUUUUAUGUAUUUAGAUUUAUUUUGUAUAUAAUAUCUACUUUUAAAUUUAUUUGGAUACUAUUAUUUUAAGUGGAAUUUAUUUUUAACUAUAUUUUUUUAUUUAUUUCAAUUUUUCAUAUAUGUAUAUAUUAUUUAUUUUAAAUUUAUUUUAAUCAUAAUUUCCCUUCUUUCAUAUUUCUUAAGUUUAAAAAAAAAAACUUGUACAAUUUCAUGUGCGUCAAUUUGUUUGGUGCUUUGAUUGUUUUUUAAUUCAUUAGCCUUUGAAUGUUAGCAUAAUACAUUAUGUGAGAUUAUUGCUCUUAUACGUAUUAUAUUGCUUAUUUUUAUUUACUAAUUAUUCGUAGAUCAUUAGAAUACAUUUUGGUUUACAAAUUAUCGCUUUGUAUUGUACAUUAAUAUUCAAUUGUUUUUUUAUUCGUUCGAAAGAUUACGUUUAAUAUCAUUUAAGUAUCAAAAUCGAUUUAUUCAAAAACUUUCAAGAUAACGUAAUAUUCUGUAUUUGGGAUAUUCGAGAGAAUUGAGCCUUAAUGUAUUGGGUUCCAAUUUUCCUCGUUGAAUCUAGAUAAUCGAGAAUAAUCUUCAAUCAAAAUACAUACAUAAAAAGCUCAUUAUCGGGAAUUCGAUACAUUGUGUCCUAACGCAUUGGAUACGACAUGUUGUUUUCUCGAGAUGAGGAUUUUUCUAAAAAAAAUAAUAAAGGCAAUAUUCCGUAUUUGGGAAAUUUGAGAGAUCGUGCCCUAACUUACUGGGUUUCGAUUUUUCUCCUUUAACCCAAAUAAUCAAAUAUCCUUCUCAAAAUGCAUAGGUUUUAAAAGUCAAAAGAUAAACUUAAUUUUGAAGAUUAAGAAUGUUGCGCCCUAACUCACUGGGUGUGACAUUUUAUCUCUUUGAAAUAAGAGUGUCUUAUCAUUUAAUUCAAUUUAUUCAAGGUUAAAAGGAUCGUAUUUUAAAACCUUUUCAAAAUUUCAACACUAAGACAUUAAGUAAUCAACUAGGUACCAAUUUUUGGGCGUUACGAGGGUGCUAAUCCUUCCUUGUACGUAACCGACUCCCGAACCUAUUUUUUUGAAUUUCGUGGACCAAAAUCAUUAUUUUAAUAAAAUCAAACCAUUUAUUAAAAACAACCACUUUUCGAGGUGACCCGAUCACACUUCAUCGAAAAAGAUCGGUGGCGACUCCCAUAUUCAUUUUCAUUUUCAAAAUCCAAAUUGACCCUGUUUUAUCAAAAAAUGGUGUCAACACUGCACAUGUUUUAUCUUGACAUAUGGAUCCUAAGCAUUCCUUGGAUUUUGCCCUCUUUGUUCAUUUAUUUUUUCUUGGAACCUUAUUACAUGUUGUACCAUUCCAGUUUUUUGGAGACAUUGAAGACGACUAACUGCUGAAUUCUUUCUUCUGCAGAGGAACCAAUGGCAAGAGACUCUAAAAAUCCUACUCUUUUUUAUACCUUCCUCACCUCUUUGUGACAUUAUAGCUGAAAAAUGAUGUAUGCUAAUACAUGAAAUGUUUCCUUUUGCCUUUCUUUUUGUAGUACUAAGACUACAAAUAGUGUCUGCAAAACUCUUUAGAGAAAAACAAAUGUCUGUAAAUCUCUUUUCCCGUAAUCUUAUCUUUUCCUCAUUGUAAUAGUUGGAAAACAGUUUUGUUGAAGACAAUGUCAACUACUGGGAUAAGUUAUUGUAAGCAUCUUUUCUUUAAGUGUUUCAUAUUAAAAACAAACACUGUUAUUGUUUAUUUUGUAGUCUAAAUUAUGAUAAUUUCUGCACAAAAUUCACAUAAAUGGUUACCGUCCCGAAGCGGAGCGAGGGUGAUGCUUACUAGUUAUUAAGAAAACAGGACCUUGUAGGGCUUAACUGUUGAAUCAAGAAAGAAAUUUCUUUUAAUGCUUUCAGUUUUUUUAAAGCUGAUUUUUUUUACAAAUUAAAGUUUGGAUUGUAUGUUAAUUGCUUGAGGGAAGGUCGGAUGCUUUAUUAUCCCUAUUUUUAUUUGUUAUAUAUUUUAGCCAUAAUGAUUUUUUUGGCCCUACAACUUUACCAAAAAAAUCAUAUUAGCUUUCAUUUAAUUUUCGUCUCUUUUAACCCUUUAACUUAUAUUUUUUUGUCAAAUCACCCCAAAAUGGAUCGAAAACUUAACAUUUGUGAACUUUGAUUAUGUGGCAUACACAUGAAUUGUCACAUGGAUGACAAGUCAACAUUUAGUUUUUUUUUUAAAAAAAAAAACUUAAAAAAUAUUAAAUAAAAUAUUUUUGAUAUUUUUUAAUGAUUUUUAAAUUAAAAAAAGUUUUUUAAUAUUUUUUAAUUUUUAAAAAUUAAUUAAAUGCAAACAUGGAAAUUCACAUCUAUGUGUCACAGGCCGCGGAUUAAAGCCCGUGACCAUUGUGCAUAGAACACCCCAUAGAGGUCAACUUAUUAAACAAGGUUCAUUUGACCCGCAUGAACUGGCCCGACCCAUGGAACCCGUGGAGAAGCCCAUCUACUUGAAGCCUUGGUGGUCUAGUGAAAUAUAGUUUAAUUUUUUUUAAACAUAGGGUAAGGGAAGAAGAAUGCCUUAAAAUUAAUUUUUGUUAGAAAACUAAUAAGAAUGAGUUUGUUGGUUUAGUGUUAAGGCCUUAUCCUAUCCAUAGAUCCCAAGUUUGAAUCCCUUGGUGAGCAUUCAACCAAAAUAUUUUUAUUUCCUUGUUUUUACCACACUAAAAGUGACAAAUUUUAAAAUAACCCAGCCCAAAAACUAUUUUUUUUUAAUUUUAGUCCUUAAUUUAAAAUUUUCCCAAACCUACAUAAAUUUUUAAAACCUAUUCCAAUUAGGAAAAAUAAGUAUUAUAAAUAGACAAUUUCAAAACAAACUCUAGAAUUUCAUCUAGCAAAUUUUCAAGAAAACAUCCAUAAACACUUUCUUUUCCAAAUCAAACUUUCAAGCUAAAGAAAUCAGAAUCUUCAAAAUCAUCCCUCAAGUAGAUCUUCAAUCUUUUCUCCAGCACUAAGGUUUCUAAGUAUUCAAAAUAGGUGUGGGAACUAAACCUAAAUCUUUGUGUAUAAUUGAAUCUAAUAGCAAGUAGAGAACCAGUAUAGGCUAACCCUAGGAGAAACCCCCUGUAUGUGCAAUCAUGUAGGUGUGAGCCUAUAGAUGCAAAACCCAUUGUACAUGAAAACCCCAUGCAUGCAAACCCUUACGUGAAACCCCCCUUUCAUGCGAACCCUGUAUGAAUACCAUGUGAACCCUAGAUUAUAGUUGCGAACCCUAGGUUGUUAUGUGGAUACCCAUACUGUGAACCCAAGUGCACAAACAUAUAGGAAUAUUCAUGCGAGCCCCCUUGCAUGCGAACCCUAGUUAGUGUACAUACGGGUCUCAUAUUUACAUGCAAACCACUACUAGUGCGAGUCAAUUAUAUGAUAUCACAUACGAACCCUACUAUUACAUGCAAACCUUUAUACAUGUUAUAUUCGAACCUUUUUUUGUUAAAACUGGUGAGACUUGUCUAGUAUUACAUACGACCUAAUUUGCGAACUCAUAUGUUAAAAGUAUGUGAACCUAUCUAUGUUUGUUAUGCGAGCUCACAUGUUAGCAGUAUGUGAACCUAUAUAUAUCAGUUAUGCAAACUCACAUGUUAGCAGUAUACGAACCAUAAGUCUGUUAUGCAAACUCACACGUUGGCAGUAUGCGAACCCUAUAUACACCUUUAUGCAAACUCACACAUUAACAGUAUGCGAACCCUAUAUACGCCUUUAUGCAAGCUCACACGUUAGCAGUAUGCGAACCCUAUAUACGCCUUCAUGCAAACUCAUAUGAUUUGCAGCAUGCGAUCUCUAUAUUUAUGCGAACCCUUGUAAUAAAAAAUAUGCGAACCUUAACUUGCGAACCCUUGGCAGGAACCCUGCACUCGCAAAGCCUUCUUCCGGACCUGUACAUAUGCUAGAUAACCAAGCCUAUUAGUUUACAUUAAAUCACUGUACAUAUGAGACUGUUUGUUUACUUGCACAAGUUAUAUGUGUAUUUACUAUUCGAUACAAGAGUACCUAUCGACCUUUUGAUGAGAAUUCAGAGAUUAACGAUGAUAAUUCCAACAAUCGGUGUAAGAACGAGUUAAAUCGAGAGUUGAUGUAAUUUAAGGUAAUAAAGUUAAUUUUUCAGUAAUAAAUGUAAAAUUGUUAUGGAAAGAAACGAUGGGUAAAAAAAAAAAUGAGAGUUUUAAAGAAAAGAGAGGAAAACUUCAAUUUAGGGUUGAAGAGGAACUAAAAAUCUACGUGAAAUUAGGAAAAAAUAUAAAAUACCUAGGAUUAAGAAAUUUGAGGGGGUUGAAUGGUAAAAUACCCUUUUUUCUUAAAAAUGAAAAAAAUGGAAAUGGGUAUUAAGUUUGGCACGACUUGAAACUUGGAAGCAAAGGAAAAAAUUACAAAGGCCUUACCAUUUGGGUUGCUACCCACAUUUGGCAUAUUUUUACACUAUUUAAAAUAUAUCCUAGCUUAGUUUUGAUCAUAGGUUGUUGAAAAAAAAAAACAAGGGGUAAGAGUGUGGCUUCAACCUUAAUUCUCUAGUUAGUAUACUAAGCUCUGAACCAUUAAAAUUAAGGCUCAUGUCUUAGUCAAUUAAUUCAUCUAACUCUAUAUAUUUUGAGGUAUUACAUCUUGAAUUAGAAAAACCCAUAAAAUGCAUGUAGACUUGUAUUGCUCGGUACUUGGUACUAUAUAUGUAGACUUGUAUGUUGAUUAAGCUAGCUUAAUUAAGACCAAUGUGUUAGACUUGUCUAUGCAUUGAACAAUCUAGAAGAAAAUGAAGAAAAAGACUCUGAAAAUACUUGAAAACAGAUAAAACUCAUAUGUCAUCGACUAGUUAAACUAUGAUCACCCAUAAUAGACCUUGUAUUUGACUUUUUGUUGAGGGAGAAGUUUCGUGAGUGUUGUUUGUCAGGGAGUCAGUGUUGCCCUAAACAACUAAAGGUAUUGUCCCCAUGUCGAGAUUUUACCCCCAGCCUCUGCAAAAUAAUCAUGAAGAAUACGUGCGAAGGAAUUCAAACACCAACCAAUGCAUGUGUAGCCUUUACCUUCCCACUAUCUUUGGGAACUCAUAAGGAUAAAAUCCCAACAAGAGAAUUGUAUCAGAGGGGUCUGUCAACACAAUGAAUGAAAUUUCAUACUUUUUUUUUAAUGAAAGUAAAUAUCAUAUUUAGUUAGAGAAAAGCAACGAAAAAUCUAACAAUAAAAUCCUUAGCAAAAGAUUAAAACACAAUUGUACCAUAAAUUAAAUAAGAAAUUAAAAAAAUUCAAAUCUAACAAAGACAGUAACUUGAUUCCUCAAAGCUACCACAAACAGUAAUUCAUAGGAAGGCCUGCUGCUCAUUUAUAACACAAACUUCAUGGUGACGGAUACCAACAUACUAGAUACUAUGAUUAAAAUGCUAGAAUAGAUUAAAAAUGUUGAAUUAAUGAUAAAAUUAAGAGUGAAUUAACACAAAGUACUCAUCCUCUCUUUUUAAUGAAUCAACAUCUGCAAUUUCUAUCACUCCUUUAGACAGUGAACUUUCCAUCCAAUGCCUUAUAGUCACUUCUUCAGCAAAAUAAUUAUCAGUUGGCUUUUUCUUUGUGAAAGUUUCUAUAAGGACAAUCCCAUAACUAUAGACAUCACAUUUUCUAGAAACAAUUCCUGCUGAUCCAAAUUCUGCAUUUCAAGCAUAAUUAGAGCAUCAUUAAUCCUUAAUUAUUUCUAAAAUGUUUAUUCAAAUAUACACAUGAAACAAAAAUAUAAAAUGAAAAUCAAGAAAAUAAUCAUAAAAAGAAUUCACCUGGUGCCAUAUACCCGAUAGUUGCAAGAGUCAUGGUUUGCUUCACUACAUCACCUUCUCCCAAAAGGUUGGAAAAGCCAAAAUCUCCCACAUGUGCAACCAUGUCUUUAUCUAGUAAAAUAUUGCUUGGUUUGAAGUCAGAAUGAAUCAUAGGUGUUGGAUGUCCGUUGUGGAGAUGUUCUAUAGCUGUCGCAACAUCUAUCAUUAUGUCAACCCUUUGUAUGAUAUCAAGGAAACAGUUUUUACAAUGUAGCCAUUUCUCAAGAUUUCCAUUUGACAUGUAAUCAAGCACCAAGGCUUUUUUAAAAAUAAAAUAAAAUAAACUUGGUAUCCAAAAUGUUUUUGUGUUGACAUGGCAUUUUUAAAAAUAAAAUAAACUAGGUAUCCGUGUAACAAAAAUAAAAUUGUAAUAUAUAGGCCUAAUUUUAGUAAAGAAUGUUAAUGAUGUUAAGAAUUCUUUAAAUUUCACAUAAUCAUUUUUAUUAGAAUAAAGUAUUUAGACUAACUAAUUAUAUUAUAAAAAUUAAGAUACCAAAUUAUGUCAAAAUUAAAGUUAUAGAUUAAAUCUCAAUUUUAACAUUCUUAUAAUUUAAAAAAGUAGAAGAUUGGAAUUAAAUAAAUUUAUAAUCCUUAAUUGUAAAUUUGAUAAUUCCUAUUAAUCUAAAUUAUUACAAUAAUGUGCUUACUAUGCUUGGUUUUACUCAAUGAGUGAUAUUAAAUUAAUUAAAAAAUUAGAUAAAAAUCAAAUAUCUUAUUUCUAAUAAUAAUAUUAUUACUCCCUCACAAAACUAUAUUUCACUUGAAAGAAAUUCUAUUCCCUUCAAAAAAAAAUUACCAUCUUAAAACACUUCCAUCUUUUAAAAAAUCUUAAUGCACACUUUAAUCCUUGAAUUAUAUCACUUUUUCAACUUUAGUCUUAAAUUUUUUUUAUUGAUUUUAGUCCCUAAUAUUAUUAAACGUUUCCAAUUUAGUUCAUUGGACAAUAAAAAUUGAUUGUCGUUGGGAUAUCCAACCAAUCAUACACUACCAAAUAUUGUACGAUGAUAUCAUUAUGACAUCAUCAACAAAAAAACCUUAAAAAUCUUUAAAAAUGAAAAAAAUUAUUAUAAUUAUUUAAAAAUAGAAAAAAAAUAAAAUUGUAAAAAUAAAAAAUCUAUGUAAAAUAUAAAAAUUUACAUAAAAUUUAAAAAUAUAUUAGAUAUUUUAAUAUCUUUAAAAUUUUAUAAAUCACAUUUACUAGAGUUUGAACCUAUGAUUAUUGUCAACAAUUGUUUUAUGACUCAAUUAAUCAUAAUUUAUAAUUGGUAGAUCUUUUUAUGUGAUAAACUUGGAUAAUUUUUUUUUCAAAUUAUUUAAAUAAUGAAAAGUAAUAUUAUUUCAAAUAAAUAAUAAAUUAUAUAAUAUUUAUAAUUAUUCCAAAUAUUUUUUUUUACUAUCUUAAGAUAAAUUAUUUGUCUCUAGACCAAUAUCUUAAGAACUAUUGUCGUGUGUUUAACUAUUCUAAAGAACUUUGGUAUAAAAUAGAAAAAGCAUGUGCACAAUGGUAAAUAGGGAGUCGAGUCAAAUAAACUUGUUGCCAGUAACGCUGGUAAAGUACUAAAAAUUGAUGUAUUUUAAAAUAUUAAAAUUUUGAUAUAAAAAUUUAUUCAAAUUUUUAUUAUAAUAAUUUUAAAUAAUUUUUUAUAAAAAUUGAUUGUAUUACAAUAUACAAUUUCAAUAUCAAAUUUUUAAUAUUUUAAAUGUGAUUAGCGAAUGUAUACUUUAUUUCAAGUUACAUAAUUUUUACCAGUAUUUUAAAUUUUUUAUUUUUUUACAAUCUUUUAUUAUUUCUAAUAUUUUUUAUAUUUUUUACAAUAUUUAAAAAUUUAUAAUAACUUUUAAUAAUUUUAUUGUUUUUAGAAAUUAAAAGAAUUAACAAUUUUUUAUUUUUUAAAAAAAUUAUAAAUUUAUAAUGUAGUUAAUUUUAUUUAAGUUUAUUUGAAUUUUAUGAUAUUUUUAAAAAAUAUUUUUUUAUUUUUGCAAUCGUGACAUCAGCAUAUGACACGUGGUAAUUUAUGAUCAGAUGAAUUUUUAGUUUUUUUUUUAACGUCCAAAGGAUUAAGCUGAGAACACCUGGUAACGUUAGGGACUACACUAAGAGCAUUUGAUAAUAUUAGGUACUAAAGUGGGCCAAAAAAACAUUAAGGACCAAAGCAAAAAAAAUGCUAUACUUGAACUUUCAAAAUUAUCUUUCAUUUAGUUAGGAUUAAUAUUUAAUGAUUUACUUAAAAAAUAGAAAUUUAAAAAUUUGUAGUAUUGAGGUUAAAAAAUGAGUAAGAGGUGGUGGAUGGUUCAUACAAUGGUGAGGCACAAAGAACCAUUUUAAAAUAAGAGAAGGGAGGGGUGCUUAUUCUUGAGGUUAAGAAUGAGUAUUUAUAGGUGAGGUUAAUCAUCCUUGAUCAUUAGACCUUGACAAGUGUUUGAUGCCAGUCUUAUCGUGGUUGGCCACUAAGGGAAUGAUGGACCUCUAGGUAGUGAUGGAAUUGACAUGAAUUAGAUGAGAUUAGGAUGACAAUUUGGAUUUUGAAUUCGGAUAAUAUUGGAAUUAAAAUUUUGAAAUUACUAUCUGUUGCAUAUUUGAAGUGAAUGCGGAAAGAUAUUUCAGAAUUAUAUUAGUCGAAUCUACUUUACUUAUUCGAAUAGAUGUAGAUUGGAAUUUAGAUAUCUGAAUCAACUAGUCACGAAAUGUGUAUAGUUUUGAUUAUAUAUAAAAAAAAUUUGGUGGAUUCAAUUUUGAAUUUUCGUGGAUUUGGAUAUCCAAAACAUGAUUGAAAUUUUUAAAAUUACUCCUUUUCUGUUGAUUCAGAUAUUUGACGAAUAAUAGUACUUAACUUAAGCCAAAUUUAGACAGUAAUACUCGGAUAAUUUGUAUAUAAUAAAUAAAUUUUGAUUUUCAAGCAAAUAUGCAUAUUCUAAUUCAAAAAAUGUAGUUACUAACCUAUUGCCAUUCCUAGGCAAGAGUACCCUACGUGUGAUCCAUGCACAGAAGGAUCCAACAUCUUUCACUGACGAGGUAGAUUAGAAGCGUCACGUACCAGGCAUAUAUGUAUCAAUGAGGUCUAUAGCUGGCAAAGUGUAGCCCACAACUGAAAUCAUAGUUGACGAGGUAGUAGUUGGGCGACAUGAUGGUGACAAAAGCCACUCUGGUAAAAUAUUAAUAGCAAUCACCCUCCAAUUAAUGAGAAGUUAUAAAAUGACCUAAUUAAAUGGUAGCAUAGUUUACCAUAAGUGUCAUAUGUGUUGUAAGGCAUGAGCUCAAACCCUACCAAACUCAAAUGAUCAAAUUUCCUUGGUAGGUGGUCAUACGUCACGUACCGUUUGUCCCAACAAGGCGCUCCCACUCUGUUGAACCUGUCACCUCUUUAGGUAGCUUUAGGCACUUGAGAUCUUUACAAAGUCGAGAGGUAAAAUUAUUGGAAAAAAAAAACUCGGUUUGAAAAUAGUUUUCUUACACAGUAGAAAAAUAAAAUUUUGAAAAUCGACCUGGUUUGUGAUAUUUAUAACAAAAAAACCUUAACUGAAUUCAUACAUGUGUUUUUGGAUAAGUGGAUCCUUGAUGUUUUCAGGCUUUCAACCAAAUGAUCUUUUGCACUAUUCUCGUACCACGAACUGCUUCGAGUGUGGCCUCGAACCAAUUGAAUCAAAACACAAAACUAGAAAAGGUUUUCCUUUUUGGGUGAAAACCAAAAUUCUCUCUUCUUUAAUAGAAAUCAGUAAAAUUAUUAUUAUGAAAAAUAUGUUUAUAAGUUGAGAAUAAAUUCUCUCUAUUUUUCGACAGAAUAAAAAUCUCUCAAAAGUUGUGUAAAUAGCUCUACUGGUGCCAUUUAUUUAUAGGAAGAGAAAGUAGAACCCUUGUAGAGUUGUAAAAGUUUAUAUCCACUAGAAAAAUAAUAUCCUAGCCUAUCUAGGAUAUAGGGAGCAACAACCGUAGUUAAUGAUACUAGGGUUUUGUCAUCCCACCUCUUUAUAUGAGGGGUUUUAGGCCUCUCUCACAUCAGAUCCAAGUACAAGUACUUCUUAAAUAUAAAUUUGAAUUUGAUAUAUUGAUUACAUAUGAAUUUAUAUAUUGUGAGUAAAAUUUUUAUUUGAUAUAUUAAUAAUGUAUAAAUUUAUAUAUUGUUAAUACAUCAUAUGUUUAAAAAAUCUAAUAAUUAUAUAUUAUUUUCAAUAAUUUUUAAAUUUAUUAAUUGAUUUAUUGGUAUAUUAAUAUUAUUUAUUAGUAAUAUGUAAAUUUAUACCCUGUCAAUUUAUGAAAUAACAUUUAGUGAGUGGAAUAUAUAUAAAAGAAGAUAUUCUAAAUCUUUCUAAAUUCUUCCUUAAAAUAGAAAAAGAAAUAAAUUGUUGAUAUAGAUAUGUUGAUAAGAUUUUCAUGUAGGGCUUUUCUGUAAUUCAUGAUUUUGUUACAUGCAUAAAUUGUAAUUGUGAUAUUUUAUAUUUUAUUUAUAUAAAUCAUGUUAAAUUUGAUUUAAAUUCCUUUUUUAAUUAUUUAUUCUUUUAAGAAAUUUCAAGUAUUCAAUAAAUAUUAAUGUAUACUUUUUCUUAAAUUGAUAUAAUAGUGAUAUCAGAUUAGUUUAAAAUUUUGCGUGUAUGACAAGUACAAUUAUAUCGAUAGAUUCAAUAGUCGGAUUAUUCAAAUAUUACUCCUACAAAUAUAUAUAUGAAGAAGUAUAAACUGCUUUAAUUUUACAUUGGUAUAAGUAGAUCUCUCUCUUACAUCUGUUGUAUAUAUGAAAUUUUGAUUUUGAUUCAAACGUACUCAUUUAAAGAAAUAAAUACAUCAAUUUAUUUUUAUAUUGAAUAAGUAUAAUUAUUUGGAUAUGCUAUAUAUAGAUGUAAAAUGAUGGUAUAUAAAUAACGAUGUUAGAUGUUUGUAAAAAUUGAAUCAAAUCAAUAUUUCAUGUAUAAAAUUGCACAAUGGACCAAAGUUCAUGUACAAUUUUGAUCUUUAUAUCUGAAAUUUAUUAAUGCAAAUUAUUUUCCAAAAGAUCACAUUGAGUAAGAUUAAUUUAAAUUUCAAUAUUUAAAUUUUUUCUCAUAUAGAAAUAUAAUUUUUUUAAAAGAAGUGUAUACUAAUUGUUGAAAGAUUUCCGACUCUUUUGGAAAGUCUUCGAAGUGGCAUAUUUUGAAGAUGGUGGACCCUCAACACGUCCAAUAUUAUCAUUGGUUAAGGUUUUUUUUGGAUCUAGUGUCCUAAGUGUAGUACUUUUCAUCAAUAUACAGUUGUAAAUUUUUUUAACAAAUUGGUUAAUAAAACAAAUUUAUUGAUUAUAUUAAUAUACUUUAUAUAAUUGUCCUAACAUAGUUUUUGCACGCAAAGCAAAAUGGAAGUAAAUGUUGCUCAUUGGUUGCCUAAAUAUUUAAUUAAUACUAAGCGGUAUUAUGUGUAUAAAAAGACAGCUUGUAUUAGUAGACAAACCUAAACAUGUCCUUAGCAUAAUUGGAAAUUAGUAAAUUGAUUGAAAGACUAAUAUGUCGUCUAUCAAGUGUAUUUGGGGAGAUGCCUUGUCUUGGGCAUCGAAGCAGAUGACUCCCAAAAGGUAGAGACAUAGAUGUGACUGACUGGACUGGUAGUAAAUUGGAUAGCACACAAACAGAAUAGAUCCUGAAUUCGUUUAUGGACUUAUUCACUUGUGAUGUCCAUAGUGUGGCAUACAUAAAUCUUGAAUGGAUAGCGGAGUACGUAUGUGUGACUUUUACACUUUGAUGUAAGUAAAAACAUAAGUUCAAUUAGAUAAGGAACCAGAAUCUGGUACAUUUGGUUUACGACUUCUAUAGUAUGUAGCAUCAUUCAUAAUAGUGAAAUUCAUAGCGCAAAACAUGGGUAAAUGAUAUCCUCUCAUUGACAUUACAUGGUUAAUGAAAAGUAAACGUGGCCACGGGUUGUCCGUCUUUGUGAUGGAAACUUGAUCACUAAUUGAUAAUGAUUGAUUUUUCACGAAAGAAGAUGUAAUGGCUACCAUGAGAUAAAAUAUGAUAUAUUGGGAGAACAAAUAUUAUCCCAAAGAGAUCAAGGAUAUCCUAUGAGGGUAACACACUAAUGACAAGGUUAUUGGACGAGCAUUAAGUAGUUGCUUUCGUAAUGGUAUGUCGUUGGGGAUAUUUCAUUCACGACACUAUAGUGGAAUGACUUCAUCACUAAAUGAUUUUAUAAUUAAUAGGUGAAAAAAAUAGAAUUUAAAUAUAAAUCAUUUGAGCCUCAACUUUAUAUGUCUACUCGGUCCCCCAACUGUUAGUUCAUUGAAACCAAAAAUUAAUUGCACGUUUGAAUGGAAAUCAGCGAAAUGGAUAGAAAAAGAGAAAUGAGAAACAUUCAGGAAUGAUUAUGGUUUCCUCUAAAAUGGAGAAAUGGAAUAAUUUGAAAAUGAAUGUAGGUUUCCAAAAACGGAAAUAGAAAUGAAAAUGGAAACUUGCAAUUUUAUAUAUGAUUACUUAAAAAAUGAUGGAAGAAUGAGUUUAUAUUUUUGGACUAUUUUGAAGCUCGAAAAUGAAAAUAAAUCAUUCAGUCAUAGUGAACAUAUUGAGUUGUGUCAUAUUAAACGAAUUUUCUUGAAAUUUUAUUGGAGGUAAAAUUGCCAAAAUUUUACUGGGUAAAAUUGUCGUGAGAAAAUAAUUUAAUAUGUAAAUAUUAAAAUUUAUUUUGGAAAUAGAAAAAUUGAAUCGGGUUGGACCAUAUUACAAAGUACUAGAUCAAAAAGGCCCAGAAAGUACUCGUACUUGGACCCGAUGUGAGAGAGGCCCAAAACCCCUCAUGUAAGGUGGGACGGCAAAAACCUAUUAACUAGGGUUGUCGACCCUUAUAUCUUAGAUAGGCUAGGAUAUUAUUUUUCUAGCGGAAAUAAACUUUUACAACUCUACAUGGGUUCUACUUUCUUCUCCUAUAAAUAGAUGGCACCAAUAGAGCUAUUUAUACAACUUUUGAGAGAUUAUUAUUCUACCGAAAAGUAGAGAGAAUUUAUUCUCAACUUAUAAACAUAUUUUUUAGAAUAACAAUUUUACCGAUUUCUAUUAAAGAAGAGAGAAUUUUCGUUUUCACCCUAAAAGGAAAACCUUUUCUAGUUUUGUGUUUUGAUUCAAUUGGUUUGAGCCCACACUCGAAGCAGUUCGUGGUACGAGAAUAGCGCAGAAGAUCGUUUGGUUGAAAGCCUAAAAACAUCAAGGAUUCACCCAUCUAAAAACACAUGUAUGAAUUCGGUUAAGUUUUUUUUGCUACAAAUAUCACAAACUGAGUUGAUUUUCAAAAUUUUAACUUUUGAUGUGCAAGAAAACCAUUUUCAAACUGAGUUUUUUUUUUCAACAGUUUUAUCUCUCAACUUUGUAAAGAGCUCAAGUGCCUAAAUCUACCUAAAGAGGUGAUAGGUUCAAUAGAGUAGGAGUGCCUUGUUGGGACAAACGGUACGUGAUGCAUGACCACCUACCAAGGAAAUUUGAGCAUUUGAGUUUGGCAGGGUUUGAGCUCAUGCCUUACAACAGAUAUGACACUUAUGGACAACUGCUACCAUUUAAUUAGGUCACUUUAUAAAUUCUCAUUAAUUGGAGGGCGAUUGCUAUUAAUAUUUUUCCAGAGUGGCUUUUGUCACCAUCACCUCGGCCAACUACAACCUCGUCAACUAUGACUUCAGUUGAGGGCUACACUUUGCCAGCUAUAGACCUCAUCAAUACAUAUAUGCCUAGUACACGAUACUUCUAAUAUACCUCGUUAGUGAAAGAUGUUGGAUCCUUCUAUGCAUGGAUCAUACGUAGGGUACUCUUGCUUAGGAAUGGCAAUAGGUUAGUAUCUACAUUUCUUGAAUUAUUAGAAUUUGGAUAUGCAUAUUUGCUUAAAAAUCAAAAUUUGCUUAUUAUGUAUAAAUCAUCUGAGUAUUACUAUCUAAAUUUGGCUUAAUUUAAGUACUAUUAUCUGUCAAAUAUCUGAAUUCGCAAAAAAAGAGCAAUUUUAAAAUUUUCAAUCAUUUUUUGGAUAUCCAAAUUCACGAAAAUUCAAAAUUGAAUCCACCAAAUUUUUUUAUAUAUAAUCAAAAAUAUACACAUUUCGUGACUAGUUGAUUUAGAUAUUGAAAUUCCAAUCUACAUCUGCUAUUCGAAUAAGUAAUGUUGUAACACCUUAAAUAAUUUAAGUUUGUUUUUGUGAAAUUUAACACAAAAUGUGUACUUGCUUCAGUGGUUAAGUGUUCUAGGUGUGUGUGUGAGGUAUUGGGUUCAAUUCCCACUUUUGGCAAAACUUUGUUAUUUUAUAUCCAAGCCUAACUCUUAUUGAGUAGGCUUAUGUUAAAUUGUUUGUUAAUCCAUAUCAGAAUAAGCUUGUUGGUUUGAGUGGUAAGGAGUUGGUGUGUAGGAGGUCCUGUUUUUGAAUCCCUACGUGAGCGUAGGUAUUAAUUUUUUCUCGGUUGUCUGAUAGAGUUUGAGUGGUCUUGAAAGUCUGAGGUUGUUAAGGCUGGGUGUUAGUCUGAAGUUAGGAUAUUGUGGGGGGGAUUUUUAUGUUGAUUAUUAUUAUUUUAUUUUAUUCCUUUUUCAAAUUUUCCUCUCUCUUUCCAAAAUUUCCCUUUAAUGUUAUUCUUCAAGUUUUUUUUAUUGUCUCUGAUAUUUUUCCCCCUUUUCAUUAAAUCUUUGUUUUGUUCUUCUUUUUUGAUUAUGUUCGUCAACCUAUCAUUCGAUCGUGCCAUUGGAGUUGUCGGGUUAUCUAAUCGGUUGGUAAGUAAAACUUUGCUUCCCUUUAACUUUUGAUUUGGGAUUAUAGUGAUUUCAAUAUGUAGCAAUUGAUUAGUGGAACUUCGUGUUUAGGAGAAGAUUAUGGAGCAAUGAAUUGCACUCCAACAGUUUAGUGUGCAUUGAAGUGGUUUGUCAUCGACGGUAAGUCAGUUUCGUGUUGUUUCUUGUUGUCAAAUUCAUUAAUCAAACUACUAAAUCAAUGUUGGGUACUUUAAUUUUAGGAUUUGGAAGGCUCGGGAGUAUUUUUGCAUUAAAAUCGUAAUAGGUGUGUCCCCAAAACAUAGAAAGUCAGGUUUCGAUAAAAGUCAAAAAUGCAUUUUGUCGAUGCGACAAGGGCAUGUGCCUGGUCAUGUGGCUAGUCGUGUGUGAGACACGGCCGUGUAUUUGACGAGGGUGUGGCUGUGCGCAAGCCACGGUCAUGUGGUAGUGUAAGUGUCGCUAUGUAGGCCAUACGGGCUAGGCCAGUCUAGGUUUGUGGGCCUACAUAGGCAUGCCACACGGACGUGUAGGCCCAUACGGCCAUGUAGGCCCACAAUUUUGAGAUUUUCCCUUAGGUCGCACGGUUCGUUUCGAACGAUUGUGGACCUACCAUAGGGUCAGUAAGGGCUAAUCAAACCCUAAAUUAUGUGAAAUGAUAUUUUGAUAGUUCGCCUUGUGUAGGAUGUCGAUAUGUACAUCUGUUUUAUUUACGUAUAUAUAUGCUAUCUGUAUAUGAGCAUGUUAUGCAUGAUAUUACUGUAUCUGUUAUUUCUGUAUUAUGUAUUUGUAAAUGGGGUGGGUUUUGUAUAUGUAGAGAAAGUGAUCUGUACGAUAACACUUCCAUUAUAUUUUGACAGUUGACUGCAUAUUAUUUGUAAUGUGUCGUAUUGACACUAUAUGGUGUGUAGGGAUGGGUGGGUGCUUUUAACCCUAUAUGGUAUGAUGGGAUAGUCGAAGAUGUUGUGUAGAGGAUGGGGGUAGGAUUCUGUAUAUCUGUACUACUUAUCUGAUUUUGUUAUCUGUAUCUGGAAUGGAUAUAAGUCCGGAUCUUGAUCUGACUGUAUAUAAGACUUCUAUUUGUAUUGCAUUUCUAUUUUUGUUAGGUUACACAAUAAGUUUACGAAACCUCACAUCUGUUUGUCUGUUCUGUUCAGGUCUAUAGACUUAGGCGGAUCAGUGUGACGGAGCCUCACAGUAACCACGAGAUUGUAAACUAUUUAAUAUUACGGUUUUUAUUUAAUUUAAGGAUUCUUUCUGGAAGUUUGUAAUAAUUGGACUUUCUAGAAUAUUUGACUUUUAUUUCAGUUUUGGAGGUGUUUUAACUUUUAUGGCCACGUUUGACCAAAUUCACGGUUUUACUAAAAUAAAGGAUUUUCUGAAUACACGAAUUAGAUUUCCAAGAUUCAAUGCUUUUUGAAAACUUCCGCUAUAGAUUAUGUUUUGGAAAAUGAAUGAAUUAAAUAACGCUUCUAGUAACAGAUAGUACACUUGGGGUGAUUUAUUGAACGACUAAACAAAGCUUUAUUAAAAGAUCACUAUUUUAAAAACCCUUCCAUGUAACACUCUUAGAUUAGGCCACAACGUCUAGGCCAGGAUUAGGGUGUUACAUUUAAUGGUAUCAGAGUUAGGUUACAAAACUCGAGCUGUGAAUUUUGGGUUUCAAAAUUAUGUUUUGAAAAAGAACAGGUUUUCAAAUAAUUUGGAUCAUUUUGAAUAAGUAUGUGGUACACUGAGUCUCCGGCAUUGAUCCUAUAAGUACUUUUGAACUUAGAUAAAACUUUCUGAAAACACUAUAGUUAGUACUUUCUGAAACUGUACUGAGUUAGUUAAAAAAUAAAAACUUUUGAAAUAUGUUCGAACUUCUGAUAAUUUGAGCAUGAAAUAUAUGUUAAUAAACAUUGGAGCUGAUGCAUAAAAUUUUAUAAUGUAGAUAAAUUUGAAAAUAUACGAUGAGCGCUUAUGGAACUUGCGGUCAUGGUAUUCGUGGGCUCAGUGGGAGCCGUAAGGGGCUGGAGCUGAGUCUUUUUCUCUGGGCAGUAUGCCAAACUUAGAUAUGAGUAAGCCACCAGUGUCACUUGCUACUGAGACAAGGUCUCAAAGCCACUUUGGUGGGGACGACGCACUAUCCCAAGCCAUGUUGAGGGUGUUGGAGAGGGUCAUUGGACCCCAUUCUGGAUCUGUGGGCCGUAGGACGGUAACUGAACGACUCUGGUCCAAUAGAGCUGAGUUGUUUAGGGGUGUCAUUGAAGUCGCCCCUAUUGUGGUCGAGUAUUGGUUGGAGGGCACAAAGAGGAUUAUGAACGACAUCGAUUGUACUCUUAAGUAGAAAUUUAAUGGUGCAGCCUCUCUACUUCGCGAUGAGGCAUAUCAGUGAUGGUUGUCGGUUGAGGAGGGUACUCAACGGGACUGUCUGAACUGGGAUUAUUUUAAGACUACCUUUCAGGGGAAGUAUGUGGGUGCAAGCUAUCUUGAUACUUGUAGGCGUGGGUUCAUGAAUCUCACGCAAGGUGAUAAAUCUGUGGCUAAGUAUGAGGCCGAGUUUCUAAGGUUAAGCCGCUACGCUUAAGGCAUGGUGGUGACUAAAUAUGAGAAAUUCAUCUAUUUUAAGGAUAGCUUGAGGUAUAAUCUGAGGGUAUUGAUUGCUCCACAGAGGGAAUGAGAGUUUGAGUUCUUGUGGAUAAGGUGAAGAUCGCCGAGGAGAUUAAGUGCGUGGAGCGCUAAAAUAGGGAUCGUGAGUGAGGCAAGAAUAAGAGGGAUUCAGAGCCCUCUAGUUCUGUUUAGAGGGCUAUUAGAGUAGGGGUUCCUAUUACUUCUAAUAGGAUUCAGCCACGUGAUGAUUGUGGUAGGCACCAUCCGGGUGAGUGUUAGAGGAGGUUGGGGGCUUGUUUGAGGUGUUGGUCUUUGGAGCACCACAUUAGAGAAUGUUCACUCCAUGCGGAUUAGAUGCAAGCUGUAGGAUCAAGUUUUAUACAACCUUAGAGGGCAGUUCAGCAGCCAUCUAAGGGUCGUGGUCCUACUAGGGGUGGUAAUGGUAUGGGUCGAGGACAUAGAAUAUCGGGAAAAGGUGUUAGUUAGAUUGAAUCCUAAAUUAGAGUUAAGUUUGGUUUGAAUCAAGCCUUAACUUUGACCAAAUCCAACUAAAAACACGUCUAACAAUUAUCUAGUAUUGUUUUUAUGAAUUGAAUUUUAACUUGUAAUUUUCAAUUUUAUUACAAAAUUUCUUUGCGGACGAUAAGAAAAUAACAUAUUUGUAACUUCUUCAACCCGGCGUAAAGGUUAAGUCUGAAUUUGGAUUACAUCAGCCAUAAAGAUGGCCUAGCAGGAUUAUCGGAGUUUUUAAAAACAAACAUCUUUAAAACGUUUGUUUAAUUUAUAGAAAAGCUUAUUUAAUUUCCAAAUUAUUUAUUACUUGAAAUCUUAAUUACACUUUAAAAGUAGGAAGUGGUAACUAUUUAUUUUUAAUAAAAUUCGGGGUUCAUGUAUAAUUGAUUAAUAACCGUAAUUCGAAAACAUUAAAACUUAAAUUAAAUGUCAUGCAAAACAAAACAAGCUUAAAUCUAAAUCUCAUGCCGCAGUUCAAAAUUAUUUAUUGUAGUCUUAGAAAAUAAAAACAAUCAUAUAAUGAACCUAAAUUUUUUAUUUUACUUUAAUAAUGUGUCAAGGUCUUACAGAUGUCACGCCUGCGUUCAAUCUUGGUGGGUUAUCUGUAAGGAUGAAAAUUUAAGGGGGAGUGAGCUAUGACGCUUAGUGUGAGUUCAUUCACAAUAAAUUCAAUGCAAACGGUUGGUAAGGCACAUUAAAUAACAUCGCAUAAAGUAAUCACAGUCAGAUAACAGUUUAGAAUGGCGAUUUUACAAUUUAACUACCAAUAUUAUCACAAUAUUCACAGCUGUAAUUUCAGAAUAUCAAAUUUCCACAUCAUUCACAAUACUAACAUAUAUAUAAAUAUAUCAUAAUAGAAUUCCAGAUUUGUAUGCACAUGAUUUAGAAGAUGCCAUACAAUUUUGGGUUUUAACAGAAUAAAUCCUACCCCACGUUACAUAUCAUAAUGGGAGUUCCCCUAAACUCCCUUCUCCAACACACUAGGUUGUGGAUAAACCACUACUCGUCCACAGAUAAUAACUAUCAUUUGGCUGUGGACACACAACAAAUCCCCACAGUUGGAUUCUAGCUUUGGCUGUGGGUUCACAGCCAAGAGUCCUGCAAAUGAAGCCUGUUUUUGCAUGUAGAUUAUACAACCUAUACCCGCAGUUGGAAUCUGUCUUUGGCUAUGGAUGCACUGUAACACCCCAAACCCGACCUGGACGUUAUGGCUCAAUCUUGACGUAAUGCCCCAAAAUUUCUAAUUUCGUUAUUGUGAAAAUAUGACACAAAAUAUUUGUCUGCUUUAGUGGUUAUGUGUUCUGGGAGUGUUUAGGAGGUCCCAAGUUCACGCCUUCACAUGGGAAAAUUUUGGUAUUUUGAAUGAAUUAGGUAUUACUCUUAUUCAGUAGGCUUUUAUUUGAUUGUUGGGUAAAUUAUAUUAGAAUGGGCUUGCUGGUCUAGUGGUUAAAUGGUUUAUUAUUAUGGUGGAGGUCUUGUGUUCAAGUCCCUAUGUAGGCAAGGGUAUUAUUAUUAUUAUUUGCUCAAAUUUCUGGAUAGAGUUGUGUAAUAGGGGGAUUCUGAGUAGUAGAUGUGUAGUGGGAAUUAGGGGAGAAGAUUAAGGAGUUUCAGGGGUUAUCGAGAUUUUAUUUUAUUUUUUCCCAUAACCGAAUUUUGACUUUCUUUUUCCAAAAAAAAUCUGCCAUCUAUUCUUCUCCCUCUCCUCUUGUUGAAAUUCUCUUAGUUUUUUCACCUUUCUCUUCUUUUUCUUCUUCUUGAUUUUUCCCUAAUCCAUUUAUUUUUCUUCAUUUUCGCACGCGGUUAGUUUUCGCUUAGUUUCGGUAAGUGUUUCUCUUCGUUUCUAUCAUGAAUCUCCUAGCGACUAAAGUGGUAACUUUUUUCUCUGUGAUUUGGGCGUAGGGGAAGGCUCGAACUGUUGAAUUCAGUAUUCUCGUCUUAACAAUAGUUAAAUGGAGGGUUAUUGUUGGUGGUAAGUUGGGUUUCUGUUCAUUCUUAGUUGUCAAUUUGCUUGUAAAUCUGUUAAAUUGAUGUUGAGUAUCUUGAUUAUAGGCUUUGGAGUGCUUGGGGACUGUUUUAGCAUCAAACAAAACCAGGUGUGUACCCGGGACGCAAAAAAAAGGGAUUCGAUCGAAAGCCGAAAUUGUUUGCUGUUUGGACAGUAGCAGUAGGCUAACUUUGAAAAAUCGCCAUAAAUUGUGGAAAUCGAAAUAGAGGAUGAAAAAAAUAUGAAAUUAAAUCUUAUUGAGUCUAGUUUCUCAUAGAAGAACGGUGUAAGUAAUGGAAUUUUAAAUCAUGAGAUAUAAUAAACUAUGUGAGACAAGGUCAGAAUAAAUUCGGGUUCCCUUGUUCUGACUUUGGAAAAUCAUCAAAAAUUGGAUAAAAAUAAUUAGGAAUUAAAAUUUACAUGUUUAAAUUAUUAAUUAGUCUUUUUUCAAUAGAAACAAAUGGGAACUUCAUCCAAAAUUUUUACUAAGAGAUAAUUAAUUUUUAGCAAUGAAGGGUCGAAGCUGUCAAACAGCAGAACAAGGGUAAGUUUGAAGAUUUUACCAUACUUAUUGGCUGAGCCAAAAAUUCUAAAAAUUUUAUGGUAGAAAGGUAUUUGAGUCUAUUUUCAAAUACAUCAAGUGAAUUUUAAUUAGGAAUUCUUUAGCUCAAGAUAUAAAUAAUUUAGUUACAGUGAGUCAAGUAGAAAGCUUUGAAGGAACACAUAAGUAAAUUGUGAUAACAUAUAUGAAUAUUUAGCUAGCACAGGUUACAUUGAAAAUGGAUCACGUAGCCAAGGCCAAUUUGGGCUGAGUGGGCCACAUGGGCAUGUGAGCCCAUUUUUCUAAAAAAUUCUGUAAGGUUGCACGGGUCGCCCAAGUCGACUAUGGACCUACUGUAGGGUCGGUAAGCUUUACUUAGACGCCUAUAUGUGUGAUCUAUCUGGCUGAUUUCUAUACCGAGCAUGACUUAUGAUAUUUGAAUGUAUGUACUUUUAAUUACAUAAUGGCAUGACAAAUUUUGUAUGUUGCAUUGCAUCGGAGUGGGUUGAUGAUAUUUGGAGGAAGUGUCUAAAAGGCUAUUAAGCCUGUUAUCUGGCAGCUCAGCUGCAACCUUCUGAUUAUGUGCGCAUUUCAGUACAACAUGGUGUGUAAGGAUGGGUGGGUUGAUCUAACCCCCACAUGGUGUGUAAGGUUGGACAAAGAUGUGCGUAGAGGCUGGUGGGUAGGAUUCUGAUUUACUGUAUCUACAUUAUGUAUCUGAUAUGGGCCAAGGCUCUAAUGUAUUUCUGAGACUGUAUCUAAACGGGCUAAGGCCCAAACUGAUUGUGUGAUGGGCCUAGGACCCAGACUGUAUCUAACUAAAUUCUGUUGAUUAUUUGUAUGCAUGAUUUCUAUGGGAAUUACACACUGAGUUUACGAAAACUCACCCUUUCUCUAUUUAAUCUGUACAGGUAAUCCCCAGACUUGAUGGGUCAGUGCAACAAAGGAUUCGACAGUGGCCACACGUAAAUUAUGGAUUGUUUUCCGUUAAUACCUAGAAUUUAUUAAUUAUUUGGGGUUUUUGAUGUAUCUUCUGGACUAUGGACUGGUUGGCUAACAUACCUUUUUGCAUUGCAUCAUGUGCACGACAUAUUCGAAUAUUAUUGGUUUAUGCUACGUAGUGUAUUUUGUUGUAUUGAAUGGUAUCAAAAUUAAUGAUUGUCACUCGAAUGAAUUAUGACCUAUGCUCAUACACUGUUUGACAUCAAUUUGAUAAUGGCUAUGUAACGAUAUGAAAUUCCUAUAAUGGUUCUAUUUUCUUCUGUUAAAGCUAAUUAGUUUUACUGUAUUUGAUAUUUAUGUUUGUUUCAAUAAUUGUUCGACUCAUGCUGAGCUUUUCAUAAGCGCACCCCUAAUAUGUUAAACUUUUCAGGUAAACCUCGAAAUUAAGACCAGACUUGGCAUUCGAAGAAUCACCUUAGACCUUGAAUUAUUUUUCUAAUAAGUAUUAAUCAAUCUCUAAUGGUUUUCGUUUGUAAUUUUUAAUUAUAUCUAGUCUGUGGCUUGAUAACUUUUCUUCUGGGAUUUUUGCAUGCAUGGAUUACUCAAGCAUAAUAACCGGAUAAUGCAUGAUAUUAGGCUUAAGUAAAAUUUGAUAUUGUUCCCUAGAUUCCGCUGCAUUGCAAAGGAUUUGUUUUUGAAAAACAAAUUGAUAAGGUAACUAAGUUUUCAAAAUGACUUGAAAAAUGGUUUUUCCCCUGCAUUAGUUUAACAUCGAAUUUUUUUUAAAGGAGAGCAACAAGUAAAUGAUUUUUCUAAAACAACACUAUCAACAAUAAAAUGAAUUCUAAGUAUACACAACCUAAUGAAUGAAUGCUUUUAAGCUAACUUAAAGUACAACUAUGGUUUUCUCUAAAAUGAGUUUAUUUAAAGUUUUCAUAAGUAAUGUAAGUUAGCUUAGCCAUUUCGGUGGCUAAUGUAGCCUUCUCAUUCUAGCCAUAACGUCUAGGCCAGGUUUGGGAGGUUACAGUAUUGAUAGGAACUGUGGUAUAAAUUUUAUUUUGGACAUUCUUAAAUUGUUAUUUGGACUAAACUUUAGAAACUAUGGAUUUUAUACUGAGCCUAAAUUUACGAAGUUCAUGCGUGGUUUUUACGAAAAUGAAACUCAUAUGAAAUUUCAAAACCGUGAUGUUUUUAUUAACGCUCCAAUUUGAAAUUGUACAAGAAAUGUCAAUUUGAAUUAUUUUUGAAUGUUUUUUAUGCCAAUUAAAUAUUGUUUCAAAACAUAGCUAAGUAUUAUUUAAUUUCGUAAAGAUGAAGCAAACUCCGAACAAUCUAAAACUUCAAGGACUAGUUUGCAAUUUUUGUUUUUCCUCAAUUGUCUCCGGUUUGAUUCAAUUCUUGAUCUAUACAAUUAUUCCAUUCAAUUCAUCAAUAUUAAACAUUUAUACAUUAUGUCAUGUCAUGAAUGAACCUAGAUAAAUUCAUUUUUUGAUACCCUUAAAGUUUUACAUUUAUUUCAAUUUAGUCUCUAAAAUCGAAAUAGUCAUAACUUUAAAUUCUGAACUUCGGUUUGAAAAUCGACCUCAAUUUCAUUAUAGACUCUCUACUAUCCAUUAUUAUCAAAAUUUCACAUCAAUUUCACAAUUUAUUUACUUUAGUUAUUAUGUAAAAAAUUAACAACCAAACAUCACAAUUUAGUCAUUUUUCAUAAUUUAAGCUUAAAAUCUAUCAAUUUAAUACCAAUUUCUUCAAGAAAUCAACCAUGAUAACUAUAAAAAAAAUUAACAGUUUUGCAAAUUGAUACAUAGGUCAUUUAAAUCAAACUUUCAUGACCUCAGAAACACAAAAAAAAAUUAUACGAAAAUGAUUUAGAAAUGCAUACCAAUUGAGGACCGAAAGCUUGAAGCUCAAAAUGGCUUUUUCCCUUGAGGUUUUAUGUUGAUUAAAUGAUGAAGAAGAAGAAAUAAAGAUGACAACUUGCACUAAGUCACCUUUAUAUACUUAGAUUAAAUCUUAAUUAAUCAAAUUUAAUUAAUUAAAUCUUAAUUAAUUAACCUUAAUCACAAUUAAAAAAAAUUAGUAGAUGUUAACAUCAUCCUACACUAUUUGAUAUAACCAAAUGAUCUAUUUACCAUUUUGAACCUUUAGCUAAUUAGAAAUCUAUAGCGAUAAGACUUUUAAAAUUUAGUUUCUGUAUCUUAAUUAUGCAAUUAAUAGACAAAGUUGAAGGUUUAAAAUUUAAUGUUCUAUUAUACCAACUCUGUAAAUAUUCAUAUUUAAUAUUUACAGACCCGAAUUACGAAAAUGAGAUUUUGAAAUUGUAUUUUCCAAUACCACUGAAAAUCGAACAAUUACGUAACCUAUUUGCACCAAAGGGCCAAACAUGGCAAAUACUUGACAUGUAUGUCUUAAUAUCCUCAUCUAUUCUCUUCAAUAUAAUAACAUCCAAUAAUUGUUUCAUCCACUGUAACUAUCACGAAGAUUAGAUUUACCAAUACAGCCUACAAUUUGCAGAAGCGCGACAUUUUCAUUCUAGAGAAAGGUAUAAUUGAAACAAAAUUGAAAUAAAGAUUUCAAUACAGAAUCAACAGACAUUCCAGCUAAUACUUAUCAAUUAUUUGCAGCUUCAUUGCUCCAACUAAGAUGGUUUUUAGUCGAAUAUGGUAAAUGAAAUCAAUGAACACCAGCUACUUGAUGAACGAGUGAAUCAAAGUCCUGAUAUGUGCCGGCUUAUUGGUGAAAAAAUACAUGGGUUAGUUUUGCAGCAAUUCAUGAUCUUACAUUUUAUAACCUUUGCUUACAAUUAUUCACUGACUAAUCAUUCAAUGAAUGUAGGCCUCAAAUUUAGCCACUAAACUUUAUUCUUUAUUUUUAGAUACAUAUUAUUUGAUCACUUCAUACAGCCUAUUACUCAUAAUAACUUCCAAUUUCCCUUCUUUAGGUUAGUUGCAAAUGUACAGCUUUUUCUAGAAGAAGAAAAUUGUCAAGAGCCACCUGUUCAAGAGAGGCGCAAACAGAAUGUAACAAUACCUGACCUACUUACGGUACAGCCAAGUAAUCAUGUGUUUCUAUGCUAGAACAUUAAAUCAAUGACUACAAAUUUCAUGUCAUGGUUGUGUAUCAUUUAUGCCACUGAUGCUGCUAUUUUCUAUUCUAAUGCAUAAUAGGGAUUUAGUGUUUUUACCGUUAAAAUUGUGUCCUUUAAUUUUGGCUCUUUUCAAUUGUUGAUCAUGUCCACCUAUGCUUUAUUUUACUACUAUUGCUUUCUUCAAUGAUAGAUGAUUGAAUCGGUAGAAUUUUAUUAAUCCUCUACAUGUUUUAGCUUGAUAUGUGGAUCCUAAGCAUUCCUUGGAUUGUGCCCUCUUUGUUCAUUUAUUUUUUUUCCUGGAACCUUAUUACAUGUUGUAACACUCCAGUUUUUUGGAGACAUUGAAGACGACUAACUGCUGAAUUCUUUCUUCUGCAGAGGAACCAAUGGCAAGAGACUCUAAAACUCCUACUCUUUUUUAUACCUUCCUCACCUCUUUGUGACAUUAUAGCUGAAAAAUGAUGUAUGCUAAUACAUGAAAUGUUUCCUCUUGCCUUUCUUUUUGUAGUACUAAAACUACAAAUAGUGUCUGUAAAUCUCUUUUCCCGUAAUCUUAUCUUUUCCUCAUUGUAAUAGUUGGAAAACAGCUUUGUUGAAGACAAUGUCAACUACUGGGAUAAGUUACAAACACUGUUAUUGUUUAUUUUGUAGUCUAAAUUAUGAUAAUUUCUGCACAAAAUUCACAUAAAUGGUUACCCUCCCGAAGCGGAGCGAGGGUGAUGCUUACUAGUUAUUAAGAAAACAGGACCUUGUAGGGCUUAACUGUUGAAUCAAGAAAGAAAUUUCUUUUAAUGCCUUAAAAAAAAGAAAUUUCUUUUAAUGCCUUCAAUUUUUUUUAAAGCUGAUUUUUUUUUUACAAAUUAAAGUUUUGAUUGUAUGUUAAUUGCUUGAGGGAAGGUCGGAUACUUUAUUAUCCCUAUUUUUAUUUGUUAUAUAUUUUAACCAUACUGAUUUUUUUGGCCCUACAAUUUUACCAAAAAAAUCAUAUUAGCUUUCAUUUAAUUUUCGUCUCUUUUAACCCUUUAACUUGUAUUUUUUUUGUCAAAUCACCCCAAAAUGGAUCGAAAACUUUAACAUUUGUGAACUUUGAUUAUGUGACAUACACAUGAAUUGUCACAUGGAUGACAAGUCAACAUUUCUUUAAAAAAAAACUUAAAAAAUAUUAAAUAAAAUAUUUUUGAUAUUUUUUAAUGAUUUUUAAAUUAAAAAAAGUUUUUAAAUAUAUUUUAAUUUUUAAAAAUUAAUAAAACGCAGACAUGGAAAUUCACAUCUAUGUGUCACAGACCGUGGAUUAAAGCCUGUGACCAUUGCGCAUAGAACACCCCAUAGAAUUUUGGCUUUUUAUUUGGUCAAUCAUGUCCACCUAUGCUUUAUUUUUACUAUUAUUGCUUUCUUUAAUGAUAGAUGAUUGAAUCGGUAGAAUUUUAUUAAUCCUCUAUGUAAUAACCAAAUUUUUCCCGGGCCCAAUGCCAAACAAAUAAAACCCAAACCAAAUAAAUAAAAUAAGAGUCCAAAUUACAGUCCAUCAGAGCUCAAUUCAGACCAGCCCACUAUUCAAUCAGACUGGCCCAACACCCAAAUAACCUAACAACCCUAGCCCAACAAAAUCAGAAAAAUGAACAGCAAAAAAACCCUAGGUGCGCCGCACCUAGGUCUUCUGGCCUAACCGCCGUUGUUCGCCUAUCACCAGCCUCCACGCUGCCACCGCCGCAUGCGCACCAGGCCUCCUCCAUGUGUGUCUGACACCUGCAAAGAGAGUCACACGCAACAGUAGAAACAAAAACAAAAAACAAAUAGCAAAACGACAAAAAAAAUAAUGAUUAAGGAGUUCGUAAUCCGACUAUAAAAGCCCUAAUCUGUGACUUGUAAUUUUUUGACACACAUUAGAAAAUAAAAACCAAAAAAAAAAACUUUAAGGUGAUACUCAUUUCAUUUUAUUUUUGUUUUAUUUUAUUUUAUCAUUUUUAUCUUUUUAUUUCGAAAUAACAUAAAUAAAAAGGGGAGGCUGGGUUGCCGUUGCCAGAGCAUAUUUUGUGCUAAAGGGGGUUGCGCCGGAGGAAAAGAGGAAACUUUUCAGUUUCCCGCCGCCGUGAUGGCCAAACCUCUGACUGGCGCUUGGAGAAAGAAGGGGAGAGUUUGAGAGAAUUUUAGGUUUUUUGUUUAAUAAAAGUGAAAAAUGAAGAAUUCUGAAAAAAUUAAUAUUUAUAGCACCUAGAAAUGGCGUCGUUUUGGCCAGUUUCAUUUGGCCCCAAAAUGACACCAUUUAAUGGCCUAUACCGGCACAGUGACCCAACCCGGGGAAGGAUCCGAGCGUUUUGUGCUAUUGGGUAAUUUUCACAUUUGGUCCCUCUUAUUUUGUAGUGUUUUCAAAUUAGAUUUUAUUUAUUUUAAAUUUCAACUUACAUUUUUGUUUUUGUUUCACUUAGAUCCUGAACAAUGCGCAGCGUUUUGGGGGCGAGGAAAUAUUUCCAAUAUGGCCCCAUGUAAUCUGCAUAUUACACUUUAACCCCUCGUCUUGUUUAUAAUUCUAUUCUUUUCUUGUUAAUUUAGAUUCAAUUGCGAUUUAAUCUUUUGUUAAAACAUUUGUUUUCUUUAUUAAUUUAUUAACUAUUUUAUUAUUAUUUUAGUGGUAUAUUCGGUCAUAUUUUCAUUAUCUUAUUAUAUAUUAUCAUUUUGAGUUUUACUUAUAUUAUUAUUAUAAUUUAUAAUGUGUUAUUUUAUUAACUCAAUAUAACAUAUAUAUAUAUGUAUUUUUUUGUGGUUUUAUUUUUAUAAUAUAUUUUUUAAAUCCAUUUUUAUGCACUUUAUAUUUAAGUAUUUAUACAAUAAUAUUCUUAUAAUAUUUUUAUACAUGUACAAUUUAUAUAUAAUUAUUUCUUAUACGUGUAUAUAUACAUAAUAAAUCAUCGAUUACAUGUUAUUAUAUUAUUUCCACUUAUUUCAUAUAUAAUUUAUUUCUUUUAAAAUACUCUAUUAUAUACUUCAUUUAUUUCAACCUUUUAUGUGUAUCAUUAUAGAUAUACUAUUAUAUGAAGUUUUUCAAUCCCUAUGCAUUACUUAUUUAAAUUAAUAUAUGUAUAUUAUUUUAUGUAUUUAGAUUUAUUUUGUAUAUAAUAUCUACUUUUAAAUUUAUUUGGAUACUAUUAUUUUAAGUGGAAUUUAUUUUUAUCUAUAUUUUUUUUAUUUAUUUCAAUUUUUCAUAUAUGUAUAUAUUAUUUAUUUUAAAUUUAUUUUAAUCAUAAUUUCCCUUCUUUCAUAUUUCUUAAGUUUAAAAAAAAACUUGUACAAUUUCAUUUGGUGCUUUGAUUGUUUUUUAAUUCAUUAGCCUUUGAAUGUUAGCAUAAUACAUUAUGUGAGAUUAUUGCUCUUAUACGUAUUAUAUUGCUUAUUUUUAUUUACUAAUUAUUCGUAGAUCAUUAGAAUACAUUUUGGUUUACAAAUUAUCGCUUUGUAUUGUACAUUAAUAUUCAAUUGUUUUUUUAUUCGUUCGAAAGAUUACGUUUAAUAUCAUUUAAGUAUCAAAAUCGAUUUAUUCAAAAACUUUCAAGAUAACGUAAUAUUCUGUAUUUGGGAUAUUCGAGAGAAUUGAGCCUUAAUGUAUUGGGUUCCAAUUUUCCUCGUUGAAUCUAGAUAAUCGAGAAUAAUCUUCAAUCAAAAUACAUACAUAAAAAGCUCAUUAUCGGGAAUUCGAUACAUUGUGUCCUAACGCAUUGGAUACGACAUGUUGUUUUCUCGAGAUGAGGAUUUUUCUAAAAAAAAUAAUAAAGGCAAUAUUCCGUAUUUGGGAAAUUUGAGAGAUCGUGCCCUAACUUACUGGGUUUCGAUUUUUCUCCUUUAACCCAAAUAAUCAAAUAUCCUUCUCAAAAUGCAUAGGUUUUAAAAGUCAAAAGAUAAACUUAAUUUUGAAGAUUAAGAAUGUUGCGCCCUAACUCACUGGGUGUGACAUUUUAUCUCUUUGAAAUAAGAGUGUCUUAUCAUUUAAUUCAAUUUAUUCAAGGUUAAAAGGAUCGUAUUUUAAAACCUUUUCAAAAUUUCAACACUAAGACAUUAAGUAAUCAACUAGGUACCAAUUUUUGGGCGUUACGAGGGUGCUAAUCCUUCCUUGUACGUAACCGACUCCCGAACCUAUUUUUUUGAAUUUCGUGGACCAAAAUCAUUAUUUUAAUAAAAUCAAACCAUUUAUUAAAAACAACCACUUUUCGAGGUGACCCGAUCACACUUCAUCGAAAAAGAUCGGUGGCGACUCCCAUAUUCAUUUUCAUUUUCAAAAUCCAAAUUGACCCUGUUUUAUCAAAAAAUGGUGUCAACACUGCACAUGUUUUAUCUUGACAUAUGGAUCCUAAGCAUUCCUUGGAUUUUGCCCUCUUUGUUCAUUUAUUUUUUCUUGGAACCUUAUUACAUGUUGUACCAUUCCAGUUUUUUGGAGACAUUGAAGACGACUAACUGCUGAAUUCUUUCUUCUGCAGAGGAACCAAUGGCAAGAGACUCUAAAAAUCCUACUCUUUUUUAUACCUUCCUCACCUCUUUGUGACAUUAUAGCUGAAAAAUGAUGUAUGCUAAUACAUGAAAUGUUUCCUUUUGCCUUUCUUUUUGUAGUACUAAGACUACAAAUAGUGUCUGCAAAACUCUUUAGAGAAAAACAAAUGUCUGUAAAUCUCUUUUCCCGUAAUCUUAUCUUUUCCUCAUUGUAAUAGUUGGAAAACAGUUUUGUUGAAGACAAUGUCAACUACUGGGAUAAGUUAUUGUAAGCAUCUUUUCUUUAAGUGUUUCAUAUUAAAAACAAACACUGUUAUUGUUUAUUUUGUAGUCUAAAUUAUGAUAAUUUCUGCACAAAAUUCACAUAAAUGGUUACCGUCCCGAAGCGGAGCGAGGGUGAUGCUUACUAGUUAUUAAGAAAACAGGACCUUGUAGGGCUUAACUGUUGAAUCAAGAAAGAAAUUUCUUUUAAUGCUUUCAGUUUUUUUAAAGCUGAUUUUUUUUACAAAUUAAAGUUUGGAUUGUAUGUUAAUUGCUUGAGGGAAGGUCGGAUGCUUUAUUAUCCCUAUUUUUAUUUGUUAUAUAUUUUAGCCAUAAUGAUUUUUUUGGCCCUACAACUUUACCAAAAAAAUCAUAUUAGCUUUCAUUUAAUUUUCGUCUCUUUUAACCCUUUAACUUAUAUUUUUUUGUCAAAUCACCCCAAAAUGGAUCGAAAACUUAACAUUUGUGAACUUUGAUUAUGUGGCAUACACAUGAAUUGUCACAUGGAUGACAAGUCAACAUUUAGUUUUUUUUUUAAAAAAAAAAACUUAAAAAAUAUUAAAUAAAAUAUUUUUGAUAUUUUUUAAUGAUUUUUAAAUUAAAAAAAGUUUUUUAAUAUUUUUUAAUUUUUAAAAAUUAAUUAAAUGCAAACAUGGAAAUUCACAUCUAUGUGUCACAGGCCGCGGAUUAAAGCCCGUGACCAUUGUGCAUAGAACACCCCAUAGAGGUCAACUUAUUAAACAAGGUUCAUUUGACCCGCAUGAACUGGCCCGACCCAUGGAACCCGUGGAGAAGCCCAUCUACUUGAAGCCUUGGUGGUCUAGUGAAAUAUAGUUUAAUUUUUUUUAAACAUAGGGUAAGGGAAGAAGAAUGCCUUAAAAUUAAUUUUUGUUAGAAAACUAAUAAGAAUGAGUUUGUUGGUUUAGUGUUAAGGCCUUAUCCUAUCCAUAGAUCCCAAGUUUGAAUCCCUUGGUGAGCAUUCAACCAAAAUAUUUUUAUUUCCUUGUUUUUACCACACCAAAAGUGACAAAUUUUAAAAUAACCCAGCCCAAAAACUAUUUUUUUUUAAUUUUAGUCCUUAAUUUAAAAUUUUCCCAAACCUACAUAAAUUUUUAAAACCUAUUCCAAUUAGGAAAAAUAAGUAUUAUAAAUAGACAAUUUCAAAACAAACUCUAGAAUUUCAUCUAGCAAAUUUUCAAGAAAAAAUCCAUAAACACUUUCUUUUCCAAAUCAAACUUUCAAGCUAAAGAAAUCAGAAUCUUCAAAAUCAUCCCUCAAGUAGAUCUUCAAUCUUUUCUCCAGCACUAAGGUUUCUAAGUAUUCAAAAUAGGUGUGGGAACAAAACCUAAAUCUUUGUGUAUAAUUGAAUCUAAUAGCAAGUAGAGAACCAGUAUAGGCUAACCCUAGGAGAAACCCCCUGUAUGUGCAAUCAUGUAGGUGUGAGCCUAUAGAUGCAAAACCCCUUGUACAUGAAAACCCCAUGCAUGCAAACCCUUACGUGAAACCCCCCUUUCAUGCGAACCCUGUAUGAAUACCAUGUGAACCCUAGAUUAUAGUUGCGAACCCUAGGUUGUUAUGUGGAUACCCAUACUGUGAACCCAAGUGCACAAACAUAUAGGAAUAUUCAUGCGAGCCCCCUUGCAUGCGAACCCUAGUUAGUGUACAUACGGGUCUCAUAUUUACAUGCAAACCACUACUAGUGCGAGUCAAUUAUAUGAUAUCACAUACGAACCCUACUAUUACAUGCAAACCUUUAUACAUGUUAUAUUCGAACCUUUUUUUGUUAAAACAGGUGAGACUUGUCUAGUAUUACAUACGACCUAAUUUGCGAACUCAUAUGUUAAAAGUAUGUGAACCUAUCUAUGUUUGUUAUGCGAGCUCACAUGUUAGCAGUAUGUGAACCUAUAUAUAUCAGUUAUGCAAACUCACAUGUUAGCAGUAUACGAACCAUAAGUCUGUUAUGCAAACUCACACAUUGGCAGUAUGCGAACCCUAUAUACACCUUUAUGCAAACUCACACAUUAACAGUAUGCGAACCCUAUAUACGCCUCUAUGCAAACUCACACGUUAGCAGUAUGCGAACCCUAUAUACGCCUUCAUGCAAACUCAUAUGAUUUGCAGCAUGCGAUCUCUAUAUUUAUGCGAACCCUUGUAAUAAAAAAUAUGCGAACCUUAACUUGCGAACCCUUGGCAGGAACCCUGCACUCGCAAAGCCUUCUUCCGGACCUGUACAUAUGCUAGAUAACCAAGCCUAUUAGUUUACAUUAAAUCACUGUACAUAUGAGACUGUUUGUUUACUUGCACAAGUUAUAUGUGUAUUUACUAUUCGAUACAAGAGUACCUAUCGACCUUUUGAUGAGAAUUCAGAGAUUAACGAUGAUAAUUCCAACAAUCAGUGUAAGAACGAGUUAAAUCGAGAGUUGAUGUAAUUUAAGGUAAUAAAGUUAAUUUUUCAGUAAUAAAUGUAAAAUUGUUAUGGAAAGAAACGAUGGGUAAAAAAAAAUGAGAGUUUUAAAUAAAAGAGAGGAAAACUUCAAUUUAGGGUUGAAGAGGAACUAAAAAUUUACGUGAAAUUAGGAAAAAAUAUAAAAUACCUAGGAUUAAGAAAUUUGAGGGGGUUGAAUGGUAAAAUACCCUUUUUUCUUAAAAAUGAAAAAAAAUGGAAAUGGGUAUUAAGUUUGGCACGACUUGAACCUUGGAAGCAAAGGAAAAAAUUACAAAGGCCUUACCAUUUGGGUUGCUACCCACAUUUGGCAUUUUUUUACACUAUUUAAAAUAUAUCCUAGCUUAGUUUUGAUCAUAGGUUGUUGAAAAAAAAAAAAAGGGGUAAGAGUGUGGCUUCAACCUUAAUUCUCUAGUUAGUAUACUAAGCUCUGAACCAUUAAGAUUAAGGCCCAUGUCUUAGUCAAUUAAUUCAUCUAACUCUAUAUAUUUUGAGGUGUUACAUCUUGAAUUAGAAAAACCCAUAAAAUGCAUGUAGACUUGUAUUGCUCGGUACUUGGUAGUAUAUAUGUAGACUUGUAUGUUGAUUAAGCUAGCUUAAUUAAGACCAAUGUGUUAGACUUGUCUAUGCAUUGAACAAUCUAGAAGAAAAUGAAGAAAAAGACUCUGAAAACACUUGAAAACAGAUAAAACUCAUAUGUCAUCGACUAGUUAAACUAUGAUCACCCAUAAUAGACCUUGUAUUUGACUUUUUGUUGAGGGAGAAGUUUCGUGAGUGUUGUUUGUCAGGGAGUCAGUGUUGCCCUAAACAACUAAAGGUAUUGUCCCCAUGUCGAGAUUUUACCCCCAGCCUCUGCAAAAUAAUCAUGAAGAAUACGUGCGAAGGAAUUCAAACACCAACCAAUGCAUGUGUAGCCUUUACCUUCCCACUAUCUUUGGGAACUCAUAAGGAUAAAAUCCCAACAAGAGAAUUGUAUCAGAGGGGUCUGUCAACACAAUGAAUGAAAUUUCAUACUUUUUUUUUAAUGAAAGUAAAUAUCAUAUUUAGUUAGAGAAAAGCAACGAAAAAUCUAACAAUAAAAUCCUUAGCAAAAGAUUAAAACACAAUUGUACCAUAAAUUAAAUAAGAAAUUAAAAAAAUUCAAAUCUAACAAAGACAGUAACUUGAUUCCUCAAAGCUACCACAAACAGUAAUUCAUAGGAAGGCCUGCUGCUCAUUUAUAACACAAACUUCAUGGUGACGGAUACCAACAUACCAUCAACUGAAGUCAUAGUUGACGAGGUUGUAGUUGGCCGAGGUGAUGGUGACAAAAGCCACUCUGGAAAAAUAUUAAUAGCAAUCGCCCUCCAAUUAAUGAGAAUUUAUAAAGUGACCUAAUUAAAUGGUAGCAGUUGUCCAUAAGUGUCAUAUCUGUUGUAAGGCAUGAGCUCAAACCCUACCAAACUCAAAUGAUCAAAUUUCCUUGGUAGGUGGUCAUACGUCACGUACCGUUUGUCCCAACAAGGCGCUCCCACUCUGUUGAACCUCUCAUCUCUUUAGGUAGCUUUAGGCACUUGAGAUCUUUACAAAGUCGAGAGGUAAAAUUAUUGGAAAAAAAAACUCGGUUUGAAAAUGGUUUUCUUGCACAGUAGAAAAAUAAAAUUUUGAAAAUUGACUUGGUUUGUGAUAUUUAUAACAAAAAAAAACCUUAACUGAAUUCAUACAUGUGUUUUUGGAUAAGUGGAUCCUUGAUGUUUUCAGGCUUUCAACCAAACGAUCUUUUGCACUAUUCUCGUACCACGAUCUGCUUCGAGUGUGGCCUCGAACCAAUUGAAUCAAAACACAAAACUAGAAAAGGUUUUCCUUUUUGGGUGAAAACCAAAAUUCUCUCUUCUUUAAUAGAAAUCGGUAAAAUUAUUAUUAUGAAAAAUAUGUUUAUAAGUUGAGAAUAAAUUCUCUCUAUUUUUCGACAGAAUAAAAAUCUCUGAAAAGUUGUGUAAAUAGCUCUACUGGUGCCAUUUAUUUAUAAGAAGAGAAAGUAGAACCCUUGUAGAGUUGUAAAAGUUUAUAUCCACUAGAAAAAUAAUAUCCUAGCCUAUCUAGGAUAUAGGGAGCAACAACCCUAGUUAAUGAUACUAGGGUUUUGUCGUCCCACCUCCUUAUAUGAGGGGUUUUAGGCCUCUCUCACAUCAGGUCCAAGUACAAGUAAUUCUUAAAUAUAAAUUUGAAUUUGAUAUAUUGAUUACAUAUGAAUUUAUAUAUUGUGAGUAAAAUUUUUAUUUGAUAUAUUAAUAAUGUAUAAAUUUAUAUAUUGUUAAUACAUCAUAUGUUUAAAAAAUCUAAUAAUUAUAUAUUAUUUUCAAUAAUUUUUAAAUUUAUUAAUUGAUUUAUUGGUAUAUUAAUAUUAUUUAUUAGUAAUAUGUAAAUUUAUACCCUGUCAAUUUAUGAAAUAACAUUUAGUGAGUGGAAUAUAUAUAAAAGAAGAUAUUCUAAAUCUUUCUAAGAUUUCUAAUUCUUCCUUAAAAUAGAAAAAGAAAUAAAUUGUUGAUAUAGAUAUGUUGAUAAGAUUUUCAUGUAGGGCUUUUCUGUAAUUCAUGAUUUUGUUACAUGCAUAAAUUGUAAUUGUGAUAUUUUAUAUUUUAUUUAUAUAAAUCAUGUUAAAUUUGAUUUAAAUUCCUUUUUUAAUUAUUUAUUCUUUUAAGAAAUUUCAAGUAUUCAAUAAAUAUUAAUGUAUACUUUUUCUUAAAUUGAUAUAAUAGUGAUAUCAGAUUAGUUUAAAAUUUUGCGUGUAUGACAAGUACAAUUAUAUCGAUAGAUUCAAUAGUCGGAUUAUUCAAAUAUUACUCCUACAAAUAUAUAUUUGAAGAAGUAUAAACUGCUUUAAUUUUACACUGGUAUAAGUAGAUCUCUCUCUUACAUCUGUUGUAUAUAUGAAAUUUUGAUUUUGAUUCAAACGUACUCAUUUAAAGAAAUAAAUAUAUCAAUUUAUUUUUAUAUUGAAUAAGUAUAAUUAUUUGGAUAUGCAAUAUAUAGAUGUAAAAUGAUGGUAUAUAAAUAACGAUGUUAGAUGUUUGUGAAAAUUGAAUCAAAUCAAUAUUUCAUGUAUAAAAUUGCACAAUGGACCAAAGUUCAUGUACAAUUUUGAUCUUUAUAUCUGAAAUUUAUUAAUGCAAAUUAUUUUCCAAAAGAUCACAUUGAGUAAGUUUAAUUUAAAUUUCAAUAUUUAAAUUUUUUUCUCAUAUAGAAAUAUAAUUUUUUUAAAAGAAGUGUAUACUAAUUGUUGAAAGAUUUUCGACUCUUUUGGAAAGUCUUCGAAGUGGCAUAUUUUGAAGAUGGUGGACCCUCAACACGUCCAAUAUUAUCAUUGGUUAAGGUUUUUGUUGGAUCUAGUGUCCUAAGUGUAGUACUUUUCAUCAAUAUACAGUUGUAAAUUUUUUUAACAAAUUGGUUAAUAAAACAAAUUUAUUGAUUAUAUUAAUAUACUUUAUAUAAUUGUCCUAACAUAGUUUUUGCACGCAAAGCAAAAUGGAAGCAAAUGUUGCUCAUUGGUUGCCUAAAUAUUUAAUUAAUACUAAGCGGUAUUAUGUGUAUAAAAAGACAGCUUGUAUUAGUAGACAAACCUAAACAUGUCCUUAGCAUAAUUGGAAAUUAGUAAAUUGAUUGAAAGACUAAUAUGUCGUCUAUCAAGUGUAUUUGGGGAAAUGCCUUGUCUUGGGCAUCGAAACGGAUGACUCCCAAAAGGUAGAGACAUAGAUGUGACUGACUGGACUGGUAGUAAAUUGGAUAGGACACAAACAGAAUAGAUCCUGAAUUCGUUUAUGGACUUAUUCACUUGUGAUGUCCAUAGUGUGGCAUACAUAAAUCUUGAAUGGAUAGCGGAGUACGUAUGUGUGACUUUUACACUUUGAUGUAAGUAAAAACAUAAGUUCAAUUAGAUAAGGAACCAGAAUCUGGUACAUUUGGUUUACGACUUCUAUAGUAUGUAGCAUCAUUUAUAAUAGUGAAAUUCAUAGCGCAAAAAAUGGGUAAAUGAUAUCCUCUCAUUGACAUUACAUGGUUAAUGAAAAGUAAACGUGGCCACGGGUUGUCCGUCUUUGUGAUGGAAACUUGAUCACUAAUUGAUAAUGAUUGAUUUUUCACGAAAGAAGAUGUAAUGGCUACCAUGAGAUAAAAUAUGAUCAUAUUAGGAGAACAAAUAUUAUCCCAAAGAGAUCAAGGAUAUCCUAUGAGGGUAACACACUAAUGACAAGGUUAUUGGACGAGCAUUAAGUAGUUGCUUUCGUAAUGGUAUGUCGUUAGGGAUAUUUCAUUCACGACACUAUAGUGGAAUGACUUCGUGACUAAAUGAUUUUAUAAUUAAUAGGUGAAAAAAUAGAAUUUAAUUAUAAAUCAUUUGAGCCUCAAGUUUAUAUGUCUACUCGGUCCCCCAACUGUUAGUUCAUUGAAACCAAAAAUUAAUUGCACGUUUGAAUGGAAAUCAGCGAAAUGGAUAGAAAAAGAGAAAUGAGAAACAUUCAGGAAUGAUUAUGGUUUCCUCUAAAAUGGAGAAAUGGAAUAAUUUGAAAAUGAAUGUAGGUUUCCAAAAAUGGAAAUAGAAAUGAAAAUGGAAACUUGCAAUUUUAUAUAUGAUUACUUAAAAAAUGAUGGAAGAAUGAGUUUAUAUUUUUGGACUAUUUUGAAGCUCGAAAAUGAAAAUAAAUCAUUCAGUCAUAGUGAACAUAUUGAGUUGUGUCAUAUUAAACGAAUUUUCUUGAAAUUUUAUUGGAGGUAAAAUUGCCAAAAUUUUACUGGGUAAAAUUGUCGUGAGAAAAUAAUUUAAUAUGUAAAUAUUAAAAUUUAUUUUGGAAAUAGAAAAAUUGAAUUGGGUUGGACCAUAUUACAAAGUACUAGAUCAAAAAGGCCCAGAAAGUACUCGUACUUGGACCCGAUGUGAGAGAGGCCCAAAACCCCUCAUAUAAGGUGGGACGGCAAAACCCUAUUAACUAGGGUUGUCGACCCUUAUAUCCUAGAUAGGCUAGGAUAUUAUUUUUCUAGCAGAAAUAAACUUUUACAACUGUACAUGGGUUCUACUUUCUUCUCCUAUAAAUAGAUGGCACCAAUAGAGCUAUUUGUACAACUUUUGAGAGAUUAUUAUUCUACCGAAAAGUAGAGAGAAUUUAUUCUCAACUUAUAAACAUAUUUUUUAGAAUAACAAUUUUACCGAUUUCUAUUAAAAAAGAGAGAAUUUUCGUUUUCACCCUAAAAGGAAAACCUUUUCUAGUUUUGUGUUUUGAUUCAAUUGGUUUGAGCCCACACUCGAAGCAGUUCGUGGUACGAGAAUAGCGCAGAAGAUCGUUUGGUUGAAAGCCUAAAAACAUCAAGGAUUCACCCAUCUAAAAACACAUGUAUGAAUUCGGUUAAGUUUUUUUUGCUACAAAUAUCACAAACCGAGUUGAUUUUCAAAAUUUUAACUUUUGAUGUGCAAGAAAACCAUUUCCAAACUGAGUUUUUUUUCAACAGUUUUAUCUCUCAACUUUGUAAAGAGCUCAAGUGCCUAAAGCUACCUAAAGAGGUGACAGGUUCAAUAGAGUAGGAGUGCCUUGUUGGGACAAACGGUACGUGAUGCAUGACCACCUACCAAGGAAAUUUGAGUAUUUGAGUUUGGCAGGGUUUGAGCUCAUGCCUUACAACAGAUAUGACACUUAUGGACAACUGCUACCAUUUAAUUAGGUCACUUUAUAAAUUCUCAUUAAUUGGAGGGCGAUUGCUAUUAAUAUUUUUCCAGAGUGGCUUUUGUCACCAUCACCUCGGCCAACUACAACCUCGUCAACUAUGACUUCAGUUGAUGGCUACACUUUGCCAGCUAUAGACCUCAUCAAUACAUAUAUGCCUAGUACAUGAUACUUCUAAUAUACCUCGUUAGUGAAAGAUGUUGGAUCCUUCUAUGCAUGGAUCACACGUAGGGUACUCUUGCUUAGGAAUGGCAAUAGGUUAGUAUCUACAUUUCUUGAAUUAUUAGAAUUUGGAUAUGCAUAUUUGCUUAAAAAUCAAAAUUUUUUUAUUAUCUAUAAAUCAUCUGAGUAUUACUAUCUAAAUUUGGCUUAAUUUAAGUACUAUUAUCUGUCAAAUAUCUGAAUCCACAAAAAAAGGGCAAUUUUAAAAUUUUCAAUCAUUUUUUGGAUAUCCAAAUUCACGAAAAUUCAAAAUUGAAUCCACCAAAUUUUUUUAUAUAUAAUCAAAACUAUACAUAUUUCGUGACUAGUUUAUUUAGAUAUUGAAAUUCCAAUCUACAUCUGCUAUUCGAAUAAGUAAUGUUGUAACACCUUAAAUAAUUUAAGUUUGUUUUUGUGAAAUUUAACACAAAAUGUGUACCUGCUUCAGUGGUUAAGUGUUCUAGGUGUGUGUGUGAGGUAUUGGGUUCAAUUCCCACUUUUGGCAAAACUUUGUUAUUUUAUAUCCAAGCCUAACUCUUAUUGAGUGGGCUUAUGUUAAUUGUUUGUUAAUCCAUAUCAGAAUAAGCUUGUUGGUUUGAGUGGUAAGGAGUUGGUGUGUAGGAGGUCUUGUUUUUGAAUCCCUACGUGAGUGUAGGUAUUAAUUUUUGCUCGGUUGUCUGAUAGAGUUUGAGUGGUCUUGAAAGUCUGAGGUUGUUAAGGUUGAGUGUUAGUCUGAAGUUAGGAUAUUGUGAGGGGAUUUUUAUGUUGAUUAUUAUUAUUUUAUUUUAUUCCUUUUUCAAAUUUUCCUCUCUCUUUCCAAAAUUUCCCUUUAAUGUUAUUCUUCAAGUUUUUUUUGUUGUCUCUGAUAUUUUUCCCCCUUUUCAUUAAAUCUUUAUUUUGUUCUUCUUUUUUGAUUAUGUUCGUCAACCUAUCAUUCGAUCGUGCCAUUGGAGUUGUCGGGUUAUCUAAUCGGUUGGUAAGUAAAACCUUGCUUCCCUUUAACUUUUGAUUUGGGAUUAUAGUGAUUUCAAUAUGUAGCAAUUGAUUAGUGGAACUUCGUGUUUAGGAGAAGAUUAUGGAGCAAUGAAUUGCACUCCAACAGUUUAGUGUGUAUUGAAGUGGUUUGUCAUCGACGGUAAGUCAGUUUCGUGUUGUUUCUUGUUGUCAAAUUCAUUAAUCAAACUACUAAAUCAAUGUUGGGUACUUUAAUUUUAGGAUUCGGAAGGCUCGGGAGUAUUUUUGCAUUAAAAUCGUAAUAGGUGUGUCCCCAAAACACAGAAAGUCAGGUUUCGAUAAAAGUCAAAAAUGCAUUUUGUCGAUGCGACAAGGGCAUGUGCCUGGUCGUGUGGCUAGUCCUGUGUGAGACACGGCCAUGUAUUUGACGAGGGUGUGGCUGUGCGCAAGCCACGGUCAUGUGGUAGUGUAAGUGUGGCUGUGUAGGCCAUACGGGCUAGGCCAGUCUAGGUUUGUGGGCCUACACAGGCAUGCCACACGGACGUGUAGGCCCAUACGGCCAUGUAGGCCCACAAUUUUGAGAUUUUCCCUUAGGUCGCACGGUUCGUUUCGAACGAUUGUGGACCUACCAUAGGGUCGGUAAGGGCUAAUCAAACCCUAAAUUAUGUGAAAUGAUAUUUUGAUCGUUCGCCUUGUGUAGGAUGUCAAUAUGUACAUCUGUUUUAUUUACGUAUAUAUAUGCUAUCUGUAUAUGAGCAUGUUAUGCAUGAUAUUACUGUAUCUGUUAUUUCUAUAUUAUGUAUCUGUAAUUGGGGUGGGUUUUGUAUAUGUAGAGAAAGUGAUCUGUACGAUAACACUUCCAUUAUAUUUUGACAGUUGACUGCAUAUUAUUUGUAAUGUGUCGCAUUGACACUAUAUGGUGUGUAGGGAUGGGUGGGUGCUUUUAACCCCAUAUGGUGUGAUGGGAUAGUCGAAGAUGUUGUGUAGAGGAUGGGGGUAGGAUUCUGUAUAUCUGUACUACUUAUCUGAUUUUGUUAUCUGUAUCUGGAAUGGAUAUAAGUCCGGAUCUUGAUCUGACUGUAUAUAAGACUUCUAUUUGUAUUGCAUGUCUAUUUUUGUUAGGUUACACAAUAAGUUUACGAAAACUCACAUCUGUUUGUCUGUUCUGUUUAGGUCUAUAGACUUAGGCGGAUCAGUGUGACGGAGCCUCACAGUAACCACGAGAUUGUAAACUAUUUAAGAUUACGGUUUUUAUUUAAUUUAAGGAUUCUUUCUGGAAGUUUGUAAUAAUUGGACUUUCUAGAAUAUUUGACUUUUAUUUCAGUUUUGGAGGUGUUUUAACUUUUAUGGCCACGUUUGACCAAAUUCACGGUUUUACUAAAAUAAAGGAUUUUCUGAAUACACGAAUUAAAUUUCCAAGAUUCAAUGCUUUUUGAAAACUUCCGCUGUAGAUUAUGUUUUGGAAAAUGAAUGAAUUAAAUAACGCUUCUAGUAACAGAUAGUACACUUGGGGUGAUUUAUCGAACGACUAAACAAAGCUUUAUUAAAAUAUCACUAUUUUAAAAACCCUUCCAUGUAACACUCUUAGAUUAGGCCACAACGUCUAGGCCAGGAUUAGGGUGUUACAUUUAAUGGUAUCAGAGUCAGGUUACAAAACUCGAGCUGUGAAUUUUGGGUUUCAAAAUUAUGUUUUGAAAAGAACAGGUUUUCAAAUAAUUUGGAUCAUUUUGAAUAAGUAUGUGGUACACUGAGUCUCCGGCGUUGAUCCUAUAAGUACUUUUGAACUUAGAUAAAACUUUCUGAAAACACUAUAGUUAGUACUUUCUGAAAUUGUACUGAGUUAGUUAAAAAAUAAAAACUUUUGAAAUAUGUUCGAACUUUUGAUAAUUUGAGCAUGAAAUAUAUGUUAAUAAACAUUGGAGCUGAUGCAUAAAAUUUUCUAAUGUAGAUAAAUUUGAAAAUAUACGAUGAGCGCUUGUGGAACUUGCGGUCAUGGUAUUCGUAGGCUCAGUGGGGGCCGUAAGGGGCUGGAGCUGAGUCUUUUUCUCUGGGCAGUAUGCCAAACUUAGAUAUGAGUAAGCCACCAGUGUCACUUGCUACUGAGACAAGGUCUCAAAGCCACUUGGCUGGGGACGACACACUAUCCCAAGCCAUGUUGAGGGUGUUGGAGAGGGUCACUGGACCCCAUUCUGGAUCUGUGGGCCGUAGGACGGUAACUGAACGACUCUGGUCCAAUAGAGCUGAGUUGUUUAGGGGUGUCAUUGAAGUCGCCCCUAUUGUGGUCGAGUAUUGCUUGGAGGGCACAAAGAGGAUUAUGAACGACAUCAAUUGUACUCCUAAGUAGAAAUUUAAUGGUGCAGCCUCUGUACUUCGCGAUGAGGCAUAUCAGUGGUGGUUGUCGGUUGAGGAGGGUACUCAACGGGACUGUCUGAACUGGGAUUAUUUUAAGACUACCUUUCAGGGGAAGUUUGUGGGCGCAAGCUAUGUUGAUACUUGUAGGCGUGGGUUCAUGAAUCUCACGCAAGGUGAUAAAUCUGUGGCUAAGUAUGAGGCCGAGUUUCUAAGGUUAAGCCGCUACGCUUGAGGCAUGGUGGUGACUAAAUAUGAGAAAUUCAUCUAUUUUAAGGAUAGCUUGAGGUAUAAUCUGAGGGUAUUGAUUGCUCCACAAAGGGAACGACAGUUCGCAGUUCUUGUGGAUAAGGUGAAGAUCGCCGAGGAGAUUAAGUGCGUGGAGCGCUAAAAUAGGGAUCGUGAGUGAGGCAAGAAUAAGAGGGAUUCAGAGCCCUCUAGUUCUGUUUAGAGGGCUAUUAGAGUAGGGGUUCCUAUUACUUCUAAUAGGAUUCAGCCACGUGAUGAUUGUGGUAGGCACCAUCCGGGUGAGUGUUAGAGGAGGUUAGGGGCUUGUUUGAGGUGUUGGUCUUUGGAGCACCACAUUAGAGAAUGUUCACUCCAUGCGGAUUAGAUGCAAGCUGUAGGAUCAAGUUUUAUACAACCUUAGAGGGCAGUUCAGCAGCCAUCUAAGGGUCGUGGUCCUACUAGGGGUGGUAAUGGUAUGGGUCGAGGACAUAGAAUAUCGGGAAAAGGUGUUAGUUAGAUUGAGGCAAGGCAGCCUGCACUGGUUUAUGCUACUCGAUGCCGAGAGGAUAGAGACGCUCCUGAUGUUAUCACAGGUACUUCUUUAUUUUUGGUGUUCCAUAUACUGCUCUGAUAGACAUAGGUUCUACUCAUUCCUAUGUAGGUAGUACUAUUUCUAAAAAUUUAGGGAUUUUUGGUGAGGGUACUUCUAGUGAAAUUAUUGUACUGAGUUCGUUGGGGCAGUCUGUUCAAGUAAGUAGGCUUUAUAGGAAUGUAACUUUGGAAGUACAAGGGAUUGUGUUUUCGGCAGAUCUGAUGGAGUUACUGUUUAGGGAGUUUGACUUAAUUUUGGAUAUAGAUUGGUUGGUUGAGCUUCGAGUUAGCUUGGAUUGCACGACUAAGAGGGUCAGUCUAAGGGCUGUGGAUGAAAGAGAGAUAGUAGUGAUCGGUGAGCAUCGAGAUUAUCUACUUAAUGUGAUCUCUGCUAUUGUGGCUGAAAAAUUGGUUCAGAAAGGGUGUGAGGCGUAUUUAGCUUACGUCAGUGUUCCAGUUUUUGGGGACUCUUCUGUCCGGGAUAUCAGAACAAUAAGGUAAUUUUUGGAUGUAUUUCUUGAGGAAUUAUCGGGUUUACCUCCGAAUUGAGAAGUUGAGUUCGAUAUUGAGCUUCUACCAGGUAUAGCUUCAGUGUCCAUCGCUCCCUAUCGAAUGGCAUCGAAGGAGCUUACAGAGCUUAAGGCUCAACUUCAAGAGCUUUUGCAUUGUGGUUUCAUCUAUCCUAGUGUGUCUCUAUGGGGGGCACCGAUUCUGUUUGUAAAGAAAAAGGAUGGUACCACAAGGAUGUGUAUUGACUACCUGCAGUUGAAUAAACUAACAGUAAAGAAUAAGUAUCCACUUUCGAGGAUUUAGGACUUGUUUGAUCAGUUCCGAGGGGCUGCAGUGUUUUCAAAAAUAGACCUUCGUUCUGGGUAUCAUCAGCUUAACAUUAGAUUUUCAAAUUUAAAAAUUAUUUUUUUUACAGCUGCAUAAUUAAUAAGAUAUCAAUUUUGAGUGCUGUAGAAGUGUUAUAACCUUCUCAACGCAUAACCAACUCUUGAAUUCACUUUUUUCUCUAAAAUUCUACAUAGAACACAAAUUUAUUUUUUAAAAGAAUUUUAAAUCUCACAAUUUUUUUAGGUGAUUCACCAAAGAAUAAAAAGAUAGGAGGUGAUUCCUCCUUUUUCAUAAAACCUUGUGCUUUUGCAAACACCAAAUUAUUGCUAAGCUUUACAUUAAUAGACAUGAUUUAUUUGUUCGUUAUUACUAUUUCUAUGAUUAUAAUACUAAACUUAUCGGACUACAAUCAUAACCAUGUUUAUUAUAAUUCAAUAAAAAGAAAUAAGUGUUGGGUGUAAUGGCAAGGUUCAUUACACUCUUAAUAAGAGAUCAGGGUUUUGGACAAAGGAAGAAUAUGAUUCGAAUUUUGGAGAUGCCAUUCUUAAAAUGAGCAACCACGAAGCCCGAUUAUGAACCAUAAAAUGAACAAGAAAAGUACAAAAAAUACGUCUAUUAUCAAAUUAGUAAUCCAUCCCAAGGCUUAAAUUAACAAAAUUCACCAUGCAACCGUGUAGACUAUUUUACGUAUAUACUAUAUUCAUUCUUCAUGCAAAAUGUUUAUUAUAUUUAAAAAUUAAAAUAUAUGGUUGAUUGAGUUUUAGUUGAGUUAAUAUUGAUAUUGUUGUUAGUGCAGAAGAAUGUGAGUUCAAUCAUGUUUAAACGCGUUUUUCUUUCAAUUUAGGAGUUGGAAAGGGUUCUCAAUAGUUAAAUUAUAUAAGUUUUUUUGUCUAUUUAAAAUUGAUUUAUAAACAAUAUAAAUAAAAAGAUUUAAAAUAUAUAUAUUCAUAUUGAUGGGCUUUUUCAUUAUUAGACUUUUUUCCUUACAGGUAAAAGUAUAUAUGGACAUGAUGAUGUAAAAUUAUGACCUGAAUAAUUUUAAACCUUUCAUCACUGCAAAAAUGAAAAUAAUAGAAAUGAAAGACUAGCCAUUGUAUGAAAUUUAUAAUUGAACUGCCAACAAAAUUGGGAGAAAUUUUUAAAUUUUAUGAAAUUUUAAAAUUAAACUAUCAAUAAUAGAAAAUUGCCUGAGUGACUUGGGAUUAGAGGUUGAACAUUUCUGGACCACAAUACAUUUAAGAUGGGUCUUUAAAGUUAUACUUUAGUUAUUGAGAACAUUUUCCACAAAUUGUCAUUAUUGUUUACUGCAGCAAAACAGGCUUUUAGCAUCGUUUUUUUAGGCCUAUAGCGGCGUUUUCACAAGAGUCGCAAAAAAUGCCACUAUAAAAAACGCUGUUAAAUUUUGCGGCGUUUUAGAACAUGACCUUUAGCGGCACUUUACCCACAAAUGCCACUGAAGAACAUGAUCUUUAGCGGCGCUUUCCCAUAAACACCACUAAAGAACUUGAUCUUUAGCGACACUUUUAUCACAAACGCCGCUAAAGAACAUGACCUUUAGCGGCGCUUUUAUCACAAACGCCGCUGAAGAGCAUGGCCUUUUGUGGUGCUUUUAUCACAAACGCCGUUAAAAGUACCAUUCUUUAGCGGCGUUUAUGAAAAAACACCACUAACUUUGGCAGAUUUGUAACAUCCAAUUUUCAUCCAUAUACAACCCUUCCUGUAGCAUGAAAUCCAACCAAAAACAACAAAUCUAAAUGAUACUUCAAAUUCUACAAAAGAUAUAUGAUAUAAAUUGAUAACUGAAGUAUAAUUCAAAAUAUUCUUACAAUAAUGUUAAAAGUUACAACGUUAAAAAUAUUCUUACGAUAAGAAAGCAAUGUCUAAGAUGGCGGAUUUUGCGACUGCUGAAACAUCUUCAUCAUAUUCUGAAGCUGUAGCUGGAGUGCGUAGUACUUUUUGACUGAAUAAACACAAAUCUAUUUUUCGACAGCUAUAUCAAAUUAGCUAUAAACCUUCAACAGGACCAGUACUUGCAAAAACCUCUUGGAGUAGUGGUUCAGCCCACCAACCUGCAGUUUCUCAAAAAUUAAAAUAAAAAAUUAAAAGUUAAAGAAAAAAUAGAAAAAAGAAGAGAUAAAUAAAACUAUAUAAGUAACUUUCUAAGUUGUUAAAAAGAUGCAAGAACAUGCAAGCAUCUAUCAGAUUCCAAAAACCAUUUAACUAGCAAUUAAAAGAGCCAUUAGCUUAGAAUUUUGCACAGAGGGUCAUAGCCACAUAUCCAAUCAGCAACUCAUGAAGGAAAGUGUCUCUAAUUCAUGCAGUUAUAAGCACAAAAGUGACUAGGGUAUGUGCUUAAGCAAGAAGGGGAAAUAAGAGACUCACAAUAUACAAAUAAAACAAAAUGGAAAAAAGGGGAAAAAGAAGUAAAAAAAACCUAGGCAAACACUCACACACUGCGGCAAGUACUUGGAUCAAAACCAUGAGGCAAAUUUCCACUUGGUAUUGGCUCUGUUUGUAGAAUAGAAAAGUGAAAAAUAAAAAAGAGGAGAAAAGAAGAAACGAUGUACAAAAAAUUCAAAUCCCACUCAACUCAAUUCUAAAGCCUCCAUAUCCAAGAAAAAGGAUGAGUUUUUGAAGAAAUCCAAUAGUCAACCUAAAUGAACAAACAAGAUGCUAACUACGACCAUGACAAAUGUAAGCAUCACUUCUCCUACUUUGGAAACACUUUCCACUUGAAAAGACAACAGACUUCCUUGCUUUUACUAUUAUCACAUUUUCCCCCUUCAUUUUUUUAGUGCCGACCAGAAAAAAAAUAUUUUAGCCUCAUCUAAAUAAGACAAAUUUCAGCAGAACAAUAGACAGUAGAUCAGACCCAAUUCAAGGGUAAUGUAGUCCAAAGUUCCUUGAACUCCCUCCUUCAAAGUGAAAAACAAAUCUAUAUCUUUCUGCAUGAUUCAAACAAAAAUGACUGUUGGACAUGUAACUCAGAAAGAAUGCAAAUACAUUGAAAGCACCACAGACUUUAUAAAUUAGCUUCAUGCUGCUAAAUUUCAACACUAUAAACCUAACAAAGCCCAGAAUGAAAUGCGGGAAUCAUGUCUUAAACUCUAAUACUCAAACAAGAGACAGAUAAAUUGCACGUUUUUUUAUAUAAUAUUUACAAACUAGAGAUAAAGAUAUAGAAAAAUAUAAACAUGGACAUGGACAAAAAGACUAAUUGACUGUGCAUGUGUGCCAAAGAGAUGGCAACUAAACAUUAUCCAAACACAAUCAUUUCUCAACAUUUGCAAAACAAAAUGAAGAUUAAGAUUAGCGGUAAACUAAAUAAAACCAAAGAAAUGAGAACCACAAGUAAAUGAGAAAGAAAACAAAAUAGAGAACCUAAUAGCUUUCCCAUUGAACUUCGUAUAAAAGAAAUAACAACAUUCGAACUUCAAGCAAAUAAAAAUGUAAAAUAUUUAGAAUCAAAACAAUCUUUUAUCAAAAUUCAAACCAAAAACAAUGAGCUUCACUCUAUACAAGAAGCAUGUUAACCUCAUAGGCUUUCUGAUUUCUGGAAACCAAAUCCAGAAACGUCUCCCACCAAAAAUCAAGAAAAUAAAUUUUGUUUUUAAAAAUUACAUUCAAAUCGUGAAAUAGGAGCAAGGUCCUUCGAAUUCAAGCAAAGUUGAUGGUAAAAGCUUAGCUUUCAAAGGUCAAACAUCACAGCAUUAAAUAUAAAACUAACCCAAUCUCCACCAAUUCAAAAACAAGAAACCAAACACGAACCAGAAGAUCCAAACACGAUUUCGAAAAAAAGAAAAAUAGAUAUUCCUGAAAACUGGAUCAAAAACUAGCAUAUACUUAAUAAAAAGAGAAAUUGACGGAAAAUCAUAGGAGAUCUGCAUGCAAAUAGAGGCACACUUUUGCUUGAUUAUUCGCUUAAAAAAGUAACAAUGGAAAAUAAGAUGCAAGUUCUAGGUAAAACCAUCAUGUCUUCUUACUCACCACAAACAAAGGCCCUCUAGGACCUUCAUGAAUUUUUGUCUCAUAAGUGCUUCUAUUGUGAGCCCGAACAGCUUGAUAGCCCACAAGAUAAGGAUAUCGAUCUUCAUCCUACAGAUUAACAAGGUUAAAUCCACUUAAAUGAAACACCAUUAGUCCAUAACAAUUUACUUCAAUUUUCUGCUGUUAGUUCAAAUAUGUAUUUUUUUUAAUUUGACAAAACUUGUUAGGAUCGAAUAUUCGGAAUUCCUAAAUUUCAAUUCAAAUUUACACCAUACUUGCAGAAAAAUAUACUACUAUUAGAGACACCGGCAAUCAACCAGAGUUCUUUAGUUUUCAAUCAAGUUAUUCGGCAGGAAUCUAUAUUGAUUACACAAAAAAAAAAUCAUACACCGUGAGAAUGUCGAGUAAAUUGCAAAUAGAAAAGCAAACGAACCCUAGAGGAGCUCCAAUACUUCUUCUCCCAAGGGCCUUUGUAUAGAGAUCCAAUGGAAAUGAUCUCUAGAUCGUCUAAUUUCGCUGUUUGUUCUGCUUCUUUAGUUUUUGCCAUUCAAAGAAAUGAGAAGAAAGCAAGAUUUCCAAACAACUAACAAUAAGCGAGUAGACAGAAUUUUCAAGAUAGAUGAAGAGAUGGCAUUUUAAAAUAGCGGGAACUAAAAUCUUGAAAUGCGUCAUUUCCCUCAAAAUUCUAAAUAAAAACUUUAUUUAAUUAGGAAAAAUGUGAAUCGAUUUUGGGAAAAAUAAGAGGAAAAAAAAAGAAGAUAUUUCAUUUGAAAUUUUGGGAUAAAAAAUAUAAUUACAAAACGACGCUGUUUUGCAAAAUAUAUAUUCGUGGCAUUUGGACCAAAAACGCUACUAUUGUUCAACUUUUUUGCGACGAUUGCAACAAAAACGCCGCUAUUGCUUACCUUUUGUGGCAUUUUUUUUAUAAACGCAGCUAACGCUCGACUUUUUUACAAUUUUUAUAUUGAAUUAUUGUAUCUUUCAUAUAAAUUUUAAAUAAAUAAUUUUUUAAAUUUUACGUAAUAUUUAAAAGAAUUAGAUAAAAUUAUAAUUUUUUAUUUUUUGUAUUUCAUUUUUAUUUUUGUAUUUCAUUUUUAUUUGUUAUAAUUUGGUCCUAUCCAAAAUAGAUAGUUACCUAUCCAUAUCAAUCUGUUACUUUUUUUAUUUAUUUAUCAAUGUUUUUUUAAAUCUAAUAUUUAAAUAUAUCAAAUGGUUUAGAUUAAAUAUUUUUAAAUAUAAAAGCAUUAAUUGAUUGUAUAAAAUUUCAUCAUUUAACAAAUCUCAAGUAAACCUUAAAUCCUAAACCAUUUAAUAUUUAUAAAGUUUAUCUAUUAUCUCUUAUAUAAUUUAAACUAUAAUCAUAAUUUUAAUAUAUUAAAAUUAAUAUUAUCUCUUUUACAAUUAUAUAAGAAAUGAUUUAAUAUAUAAAUUAAAAAACACUAAUUAAUCUAAACUCUAAACCCCUAUCCCCUAUCCCCUAAACCUUAAAUCAUAAAACAUAACCCUUAACCCUUAACCCUUAACCCUUAAUCCUUAAUCCUUAACCCCUAAACCUUAAACCCCAACCCUUAAACCAAAAAUCAUAAACCAUAAACCAUAAUCCCUAAACCCAUAAUCCAUAAACCUUAAAAUAGUAACUCCUAAGCCAUAAACCAUAAACCAUAACCCUAAACCCUAAACUAUAAUGAUAAUUAAUUCAAUAUUUUAAAAUUAAUACUAUCUCUUUUACAAUUAUAUAAGAAAUUAUUUAAUAUAUAAAUUAAAAAACAAUAAGUCAUGAACCCAAAAAACUUUAAAAUUAUUUUAAAUAAUAGUAUUUUAAUUUUUUUCAUUUUUAACAAAUAUUUUCUAUGUUUUUACUUCCAAAAAUUGUCUACAUGUCAUUAUUUUUUUUUGAAGAAUUUAAAUAUUCAAUUAAAAAUAAAUUUUAUUUUAAUUAUAUAAAUAAACCAGUUAAAUAAUAAAUAGACAAAUAAAAUAUUUUUUGCGGCAUUUUUGAUAAAGUGCCGCUAAAGCUCGAUCUAUAGCAGCGUUUUACAAAAAAGCGUCGCUAAUGCCACUAAAGCUCAUUACUGAAUUUUUUGCGGCAUUUUUCAAAAAGCGCUGCUAAUGCUCGACCUAUAGUGGCGUUUUUCAAGAAGCGCCGCUAAUGCCACUAAAGCUCAACAUAAAGGUACUUGAGUCUAGUUUCAAAGACAUCAAGCGGAUAUUAAUUCGGAAUUCUGUAGCUCAAGAUAUAAAUUUAUGUUAAUCUUGUUAUCUUUCUUAUUUUAGAAUUGAUUACAUGAAAGUUAAUUGCUAAUACUAUUAGUUAAUUAUUAGUUUUCUUCAAAUCAAAUUAAAACCCGAAAGGUCCCUCUUUUUUUAUAUUAGUUUUAGUUUUCCAUUAAAUUUGUUUCUUUGUAAUAAAAUUAAAUUAUAGAAAUAACAUUAAAAUUUUAAAUAAAAAUAGUUCACAAUAAUUUAUUAUUUAAAAAACUCCCUGAAAUUUAAAAUUAUUGUUAUAAGUAUACCAUUAAAUUAUACAGAAUUUAAUUUUUCUUUCAAAUACUACAGUUAAUAAGGAAAGAGAAUAUAGUUCAUAUCAAUAAAACUUUAAAAAAGAAAUAUUGUUUAAUUAGUUAAUUUAAAAAUCAAUAGCGUCUAAAAACGGUCAGAAUGAAAUAUUAGAUUUUGUAAGAUUUCAUUAUUCUAAAAAAUAAAAUAUGACCAUGCUUAAAAAUUUUAUUAAAAAAGUUUUAAAUUUUAUAUAAAAAUAAAAAAAUAGUACUAAAAAUUUUUAUAAGCAAAUUUAAAUAUUAAUUAGUAAAUUUUUUUUGUAAUAUUUAUAUGUAUUUUCAUUCUUAUAAAUACUAUUAAAACUUUUUAAAAAAAUUUGAAUGCUAUUUAAAAACAUUAUUAAAAAUAAAAUAUUAUAUGAAAGUUAAAAUGAUCUAAAAACAUAUUUUAAAAAUUUAAAUACUUUAUAAAAUAUUUAAAACUGUUUAAAAAUUUCUAAACCCUAAAAAAAUAAUAAAAUAUAAUUCUUUCUAAGAAAUCAACAAAAAUAUAUUUAUAAUUGAACUCUCAACAAAAUUGUGAGAAAUAUUUAAAUUUUAUGAAAUUUUAUACUUAAACUGUCAAUAAUAGAAAAUUGCCUGAGUGACAUGGGAUAAGAGGUUCAACAUUUCUGGAUCACAUUGCAUUUAAGGCGGGUCUUUAGGGUUAUACUUUAGUUUUUUAGAACAUUUUCCACAAUUUGCCAUCAUUACUUGUGAGUGAUUUGUGGGGUAAGAGGUUGAACACUUCUGGAUCACAUUGCAUUUAAGACUGGUAUCAUUCAUAAAUUAUAUAUCUACAACAAGAAUGGUAGCCUCUUAUAUUAUAUUCAUGUAUCUAUUUUGCAUCUUUCAUUAUAAUAUGAUUUAGUAAUUUUAAUAUUUUUAUAGAAUAAUAUGAUUUAAAUUUUUUUGUAUUUUUCGUAAAAAUUAUAAUAAACUUACAAAAUGAUUUAAUGAUAUUUAAUUAUUAACGGAAAAAUUAUAUCAUAUAUAUUCUGUAUAUAUUAAGAUUCUGAAUUAUUAAUUAUAUAUCUACAUAUUAUAAUAAAUUCAUCUUUCAAAAUUUUCCUAAACUAUAUUCACAAUAUUAUAAAUAUAUUAUAUCAAAAAUAUUCUUUCAAAUGUUUUUUAAUGUUUAAUAAUAAAUUAAUUUAUAAAAUAUUCUUUCAAUAAAUUAACGUGAUGAGAUCGUUAAUUAGGUGCUUGGAUUUGGUGAUGGGGACGAAGAGAAAAGGGAUGGAAGUGAAGACAAAUGUUGGGAAAUUGAAAGGGUUAGCGAGGGAGGCCAGCGUGAAAGGUGGUUCUACGGAUAUGAACCUUCAAGCUUUUGUGGAUGAUGUUACUAAAGGUUAUUGCAAGUAAAUUUAAAAAUGUUUUUUAAUUAUUUUUUGUUAAAAAAUAUUUUUUUUUCUAUGUGGCUUUCCACAUUAGCAUGCUACCAUGUGGUAACUUCUAGUGAUUUCCGUCUGUAAUAUUAGACAGGUUAACAGUUAAACCAUUCAACUGACAAAUUUCGUUAAAGGAAGAGGUCAAUUAAUUUUUUUUGGACUCAUUGAGUACUCAAUUGGUGCAUUUUUUUAUAAAGACUAAAUUAAUUUUUUUAAUUUGUUAUUGCUGAGGGCUACAGUAAUAAAAAGUUUUGAGGUAAAAUUGGAAUAACGUCCCAAAAAUCUAAUACUUAAUUUUUAAAAUUUUAUCAUUAAUAAAUAUUUGUCUUAGUGAUUAAGUAUUUGAGUCGUGUUUAUAAGAUAUUGUAUUCAAGUUCCUACGUGAAUGGAUUGUUAUUAUUAUUAUUUUUUAAUUUUUGAGUUUGAGUCCAUUUCGAACUCUGGAAAAAGGUGGUUACUUAUCUGAGAUGGGGUUAGUGCUUAGUAGAUUUGGAUUUGGUUUAUUUUAAAAUUUAUUAAUUAAUUUGUUAAAAAAUUAAAUUAGUUUUUUCCUAAUUUUUGGCUCACCGUUCUUUCUCUUGUUUUUCUUUAUGCUUUCUUUUUCUUUUCUUUUUCUGUUACCUUUCAAAUCACGUCGAUUUGUUCCUAUUUCGCUUUUGAGUUUUUCUUUUCUUUCCUUUACGCUCCUCUACGAUCGUGUCUUAAUUCCUUCAUUAUUUUCUCUUUGUUGGCGUUGCUCGUUCGUAAGUGGGUUAGUUUCCGUUUUGAUGUAUUUUUACGUGGUUAGUAAAAGAAAUGUGUUAAUUUUUGGAUUAUGGAGUUGAUCGUUUUUAAUCAAUUCUCCAGUAAGUUGACUCGUUCGCUGUUAUUAUGUCCUAGGGUAAAGGAUUAACUCUGAUUUGGGCCCGUGUGGUUGUGUAGAUUUUUCAUGUGAAUUCGUUUGGUAUUUUUAGGAUAAAUCAUUCUUUAAGUCGUAUUGCUACCAUCGCUAAUGUGAUGUUUUAAUUUAUGCAUUUAGGAUUUGAUAGUCUUAUGGGUGUUUUCGUAUAAAAAUCAAACCAAGUGUGUAACGAAAAACCCGACAACAACGAGCGACGAAAGUCAAAAAAUUGCACUGUCGACACCACACGGCCGUGUGUCGGGCCGUGUGACAAGCCGUGUUUCAGACCGUGUGCGACAUAUUGUUUGGGCUAGUUGAGCCGUGUGGAACACACAGGUGUGUGUGAGGAUGUGUGCCACGCCAUGUGAGCCACACGGGCUGGCCAUUUAGGCCGUUUGAGACCAAAAUACUAAAUUUUUCCCUAGGGUUAUACACAUCGUUAUGAUCGAUCGUAGGCCUUUCGUGGGGUCGAUAUAUAAUCAAAUAGACUGUAAAGUAUGAAAUCCGGUCAACUAAUAGUAUAAAUUCUGAUAUCUGUUCAUAUAUUUGAGAUGUUAUUUGUUCAAUAAACCUUGUAAUAGGCUAUGAGAAACUUGAGAAAUAUUAUGUAUGCUUUGUAUCUGUUAUGUCAUACAUGUAUAACUGUAUUAUGUCUGAUUUUGUUCUAUUCUUUUCUGUAUUUGCAUUUGGGGUGGGUUAUAUUAUGUGGAGGAAGUGUUUCUUUGAAUGGCGAUAAUUCGCCUAUUACACUGGCAGCUCAGCUACAAAUAUUCUGAAAAGUGUUAUAUCGACACUAAAUGGUGUGUAAGGUUGGAUGAGUGUUUCAUACCCCAUAUGGUGUGUUGAGCUGGUCGGAGAUAGUGUGUAGCAGAUGGGGGUAGGAAUAUAUGUUUGUAUCUGUACUGCUCUGAUAUGAAUAUGUUCUGCUAAAUCUAUCUGAUAUAAAUUAACUGUUUAAAGUUAUUUGUUAUACAUUGAGUUUUGUAAACUCACUUUCUGUUUGUUUGAUAUUUUUAGGUAACCCUCAGACUUUGGCAAAUUGGUGCGAAGGAGCUCGGUUAAAUUGAUUUAGUUUCAUCAUCUAUUAUAAUCAAAUUUUGUGUUAUUGUGUUUCAUUAUUUUUGAACUUUUGGGACUUUUUGGACUGUUUUGGUUUUUGAGAUUUUAUUUUCAAUUUUUGCAUGAUAUUAUUAAAAAUGUUUUAUCGGAAAUGUCUGUUUUCUUGAAAAACAACUGAUUUCAAAAAAAUAAACUUAGUUUUCCAAACAUAAUGAUUUGAGAAUUUCCGCUGCUAAGUAUUCAUUUUAGAAAAUGUAAGCAAACAUCGUUUUCAACUACAAAGUUAAGUUAGAUGUAUUUUCUCUUAAAUCGAGGUUUAAGUAAUAAAAGAUUAUGUCAUUUUUCCAAAUUUUACGAAAAAUUGGAUUUACAAUUGUUUUAUGUAACAUCUCUAGAUUUGGCCAUAACGUCUAAGUCGGAUUUCGGGCGUUACAUUUUGUGAUAUCAGAGUCAGGUUGCAAAACUCGGGCUGUGAAAUUUUCGGUUCAAAAUUUUGUGAAAACUAUUUUUCGAGUAAAGUUCAUUUCUGCAUUAAUUUGAAAAAUUAAUUAUAUGAAGUAUCGAGUCUCUAACGUUGAUCCUGUAAGUACUUUUGACUUAGAUAAACUUUAGUUUAGAAAACUCUGAAAUGAUUAGAACUAUACUUGGAUAGUUAGAGACUGAAACAUCUUUAUAAAUUCUUUUGAUAACUUUUUGAGAACAAAAUAUCUGCUAAUAAAUACUAAAAUUGAUACAUAAAAUUCGUAAUGUAAGUAAUAUAUACGAUGAGUACUUGUGGAACAUGUGGAUGCGUUACCCGUAGGCGUGGCGGGCGCCGAAGAGGGGCUCGAGCUGAGUCAUCCUCGAUGGGUACCUGAUAGGCUAUUGCUGGAGAGAGCAAUAGUCUUGAGAGAAGAAAUGUUGAAGAUCGAAGUCAAAAUCUGACCUAUAAAGCCUUUAAUUGCUUGAAUGAUAAGCAUUUCUAAACUAAAAAGAUUACCGAUUUUUUCAGGAAUUUGACCUGCAGACAUAGUUGAAACAUCAAGGUGUUAAAUUACCUAUUUUGUUAGUGUAAAUCAAAGAGGCGUUUUAUUUUUUUCGUUUUGAAAUAAUAUGGAUAUGUUAGAUUCUAAUCAUAUUUAAGUAUAUAUUAGUUCUUGAAAGAAAGAGUUCUUAUUUUUGGUAUUUAUAUUGCAAAUAUAUUUUUUUAAAUUUAAAAAAGGGGGGGGGCAAAUGUGUUUAAAACUAAAGACAUCAAGGAAAAGGCAUACCUUCUAGGUUAUUUAACCCCAAGUAUAAUUGUUUAAGUUGUGUCAAAUUCCCAAUGCUUUUUGGAAUGAUCCCACUAAAUUGAUUAAUAGACAAUUCCAAAAUUUGAAGGUUGCAGCAUUUGUCUAUACUUGAUGGAAUAGAACUUGAUAAUUCAUUUCUACUCAAGUAAAGCUCUUUAAGCUUGGGAAGAUGGACACACUAAAUUGAUUAAUAGACAACUCCAAAAUUUAAAAGAUAUUCUGGCUUCGCCCUUAAUAAAAUUUUUGGAAAAAGAUUAAAAAAAAGUUAUACGGUAAAUGAAAAAAAGAAGAAAAUAACUUGAUGUCCAAAAGCUACCAUAAACAGUAAUUCGUGGGAAGGCUUGUUGCUCAUUUUAUUGGUUUCCAUUUUGAUUUUGCAAAAGAAGUUUGAAUUUUGAAGAGAGCAUACUACGUGAGAGCAAAAGAAAAAAUAUAGUUUAUUAAUUUUUACGAAUACCGACAUAUUAUAUAUACGAUUAAAAUUCAGAAUAGAUUAAAAAUGUUCAAUUAAAGAUAAAAUUAAAUGUGAAUUAAUAACCACAAGUCUACUCAUUACUCAUUACUCACCGUCUCUGUUAAAAAUGUUGGAUGUUGUUCAGCAACCUUUGUUUGAUUUUCUUCAGCUCAACCACAACAUCUUUCAUAUCUUUUCUUUCUUCUGGUAACUCAGCUGAACAAUUCAAAGCCAACUCCAUGAUAGAUGAAAUGCAAUUUGCUUUAACAACAAAGUACUCAUCGUCUCUUCUUAGUAAAUCAACAUCUGCAAUUUCUAUCGCUCCUUUAGGCAAUGAACUUUCCAUCCAAUGCCUUAUAGUCUCUUCUUCAACAAAAACAUUAUCAGUUGGCUUUUUCUUUGUAAAAGUUUCUAUAAGGACGAUCCCAAAACUAUAGACGUCAGAUUUUAUAGAAACAAUUCCUGCCGAUCCAAAUUCUGCAUUUCAAGUAUAAUUAGAACAUCAUUCAUCCUCAAUUAUUUCUAAAAUGCUUAUUCAAAUAUAUAUCCUCAUACACAUGAAACAAAAAUAUAAAAUGCAAAUUAGGAAAAUAAUCAUACAAAAAUAAAAAUGAAUUCACCUGGUGCCAUAUACCCGAUAGUUGCAAGAGUCAUGGUUUGCUUCAUUACUUCACCUUCCCCCAACAAUUUGACAAGGCCAAAAUCUCCAACAUGUGCAACCAUGUCUUCAUCUAGUAAAAUAUUGCUUGGUUUUAUGUCACAAUGAAUUGUAGGUGUUGGAUGUCCAUUGUGGAGGUGUUCUAUAGCUACCGCAACAUCUAUCAUUAUGUCGACCCUUUGUAUGAUAUCAAGGAAACAAUUUUCAGAAUGUAACCAUUUCUCAAGGUUUCCAUUAGACAUGUAAUCAAGCACCAAGGCUUUGAAGCCAACACUUGAGCAGCAAGUAACGACCUUCACAAUAUUACGAUGAACUACAUUACGCAUAGCAUCACAUUCAAUGUCAAAACUCCUAAAUGCUCCCUCUGUUUGCAAAUUGAAAACUUUUAUUGCAACUUCCAUUCCAUCCGAAAGCCUCCCUUUAUAUACAUAUCCAAAACUCCCUGAACAAAGCAUAUUGCUUUCCUUAAAUCCAUUAGUUGCUCGUGAAAGUUCAGCAUGUGAAAUUCUUCUCGGUGUUUUCAAAGACAACAAAUCAUCUUUAAUUGGUAGAGUUGUACUCCUUCUUUGGCAUCUUCUAUACAUAAUAGUUAAGACUAUUAGUACUACGACAACACCAAUUGUUGGUAAACCAUACCUAAAAGCAUGCAAUAUAAUCAUUUGGGAGUUUUUGUGGAUGUCGUUUUUGCAAGGUGGAACUAGAAAUCUAUGUGGACCACAAAGUGCAUAAUUCUUCAUGAAUGAUGUGCUAGAAAAGUUUGAAAAACAUCCUUUGCUGGGAAUUUCCCCUUCAAGUCUAUUGAAAGACACAUUAAAAUACUUUAGAUAUAAAAGCUUUUCCAAAGAUUUGGGAAUGACUCCAGAGAGAUUGUUAUUGCAUAAAUCCAAGAAUUCCAAACUAAUCAACCCAUCAAAUGAUUCAGGGAUAUGACCAUGUAGUAUAUUAUUUGAUAAAUCUAAUGAAACCAAAGUUUGAAGACCCCCAAAUGUGGAUAAGAUAUCACCCGUGAGAAGAUUCCUAGAUAAAUUUAGUUUCAGUAGACUCCUCAAAUUUCCAACAUCAAUAGCGUGUGAAUUGUGAAGAUGGUUUGAUGAUAAAUCUAUUUCUAAGAUAUCUUUAAGAUUCCACAAAGUUGAGGGAAUUGCGGAACUCAAUUUGUUGGAAUCUAAGCAAAGAUAUCCCAAAGAAGUAAUAUUACCUAAACAAGAGGGUAUGGAUCCAUGCAGCUUAUUCAACCCUAAACACAAGUUGUAUAGUCUCUCCAAACCACAGAGGCUUUCUGAGAUGGGCCCUCCUAAUUUAUUAGAGGAAAGAUCUAGACCUUGGAGAUUUCGCAGUCCUCCUAUUGAUGUUGGAAUGAAUCCACUUAAUUUAUUAGAGCCAAGUUCUAAACCGAACAUAUUGGUUAAGUUACCUAUUUCCAUAGGAAUAAUGCCUUGAAGCUCACACUCUUCGGCAUAAAAGUAUUGAAGGGAUUUUGAAAGGUUCCCAAUAUAAGUAGGAAGAACGCCACUCAAUGGAUUUCCUGAAACUUCUAUGUCUUUCAAAUUCUUACAAUUCGUCAAAGAAGAAAGAAAGCUCCACUCAUGAUCAGUAGCAGAUCCUGUGAUCAAAUUAUUGUCAAAGAUUUUGAGCACUUCAAGGUGUUUUAAGCUGCAAAGCAUUCUAGGGAUUGGGCCAGAGAAUAAGUUUUGUGACAAUUCUAGUUCCUUAAGCAUGGAAGCAUUGGAGAUAGAGUUGGGAAUGUUUCCGCUAAGUUUAUUUCUCCACAAUAAAAGAAUCUCAAGCUUUGGAGCAUUGGUGAUGGGUGGUAAAUUACCUGUAAAAUAGCAUCUUUUAGUAUACAUAUUCAUUGAAUACCAAAUUUACAAAAUAUAUAAUACAUUAAAAUAAAAACUGUACAACUUUAAAUCAAUUAAGAAUAGAAUUUUGGCAUGGAAAAAUGUGAUGAAAUCACUUAGAAAGUUGAGACAUAAUAAGAAGUUUUAAGUAGUAAUUAUUCCUUGUGAUUUGUAUAGAAAAAACAUAUAAUACACUAACAAUUUUUUAAAAAUAAAAAUAAAAGUUUGGCAUGAGAAUGUGGCAUCUAAUCCAUCUUAAAAAUGAGUCUGACACUGAAUAAUAAUUAGUUAUGAUUUGGGAAAAAAAUGUUAAAGCCAUUGUUUUUAAUGUAAACUGGUAUGAUUUUUAUCUAUUGGGUAUAUUAUUUAUUUUUAUUAAAUUAUAGUGUAAAAUUUAAAGAUUAUUAUUUGCUCAAAAUUUUUGUAUUUUUCGUAUAUUUGAAAUUUAAUCUUUAUAUUUUUUAUUUUCUGUGAUUUAGUCUCUCUACUUUUUGAAUUGUAAAUUUUAGGUUUAUUUAUUAAUGCUGUUAAAAAGUUUUUGUGUUAGUAUGGCAUUUUGAAAAAUAAAAUAAACUUGAUAUCUAUGUUUUUAAUUAUUCCAAAUAUUGUUUUACUAUUUCAAGAUAAAUUAUUUGUGUCUAGACCAAUAUCUUAAGAACUAUUAUUGCAUGUUUAAUUAUUCUAAAGAAUUGUCGAUUGAGUCUUAGCUUGAUUGGCAUGUGCAUUGUUGCCAAUGUAGGAGAAUGUGGGUUCAAGUAUGCUGAAGUGUAUUAUCCUUCUAUUUAUGAAUCAAGGAGUUGGCAAAGUAUUAUAUUUUGAUAUAUUUUAGAAUAUUAAAAAAUUAUUAAAAUAUUUUUUUAUAAAAAUUGGUUGUACCACAAUAUACAUCAAAUUUUUAAUUUUUUUAAAAAUAUUAGCGAAUUUAUAUUUUAUUUCAAGUUACACAAUUUUUACUAGUUUUUAACUUUUUUUUAAAAAUUUUUAUCGUCUUUCAUAAUUUCUAAUAAAUUUUUAUAUAUUUUUGACAAUAUUUAACAAUUUCUAACAAUUUUUAAUAAUUUUAUUAUUAAUUACAAAUUUAAAAAUUAACACAUUUUUAUUUUUUAAAACAAUUUUAUAUUUAUAAUGUAGUUGUUUUUUUUAUAAUUUUAUUUGAAAAUUUAAAGCUUUUUUGGUUUUUUUAAGAUAAUGAUGCCAUCAUGAUGUCAUCAUAUGCCACAUGGCAAUUUAUGAUUAGUUGGAUAUCUCAAUCUAUUUUUUUAACGUCCAAUUGACUAAACCAAGAACACCUGAUAAUGUUAGAGACUACACUAGAAAUGCUUGAUAAUAUUAGGUACUAAAGUGGGCAAAAACUCAUUAAGGACCAAAGUAAAAAAAAAAAAAGAGCAAUAUGCUGUAGGGAAUAAAUGCAUGAAUUUUGAGAAACUUUUGAACUAAUAAUUACAUAGUAAUUAUUAGUGAAUUUGUUAUUUUAAAUAUUUUUAUUACUUUUAGGAUUUAUCAUAUGUAUGGAUAAGAAUUUUGGUUUUACUAAAAUAUUUGGUUAAAUAAAUUCAUAAAAAAAUUUAGCAUCCUUAUAAAUAACAAUUUUGAUUCUAUUAAAAAAAUCAUUUUAAAAAAUAUAUAAUAAAAAUUUAAAAUUUAUAUUGAAUUACUUUAUACGUAAAUUAUUAUUAGAAACGUUAUCAUACACAUAUGUAUAUGAGAACUACGUAUUUAGAACAUAAAUUUAUGUUUGAAAAUAACUUAUGAUAAAUAAUGAAAUGUAUAAUUUGAAACUAUUUAAUAAUAACACAUGGCAUAUCUACCAUAUUAAAAAUAAAAAUAGAUUAAAUUGUAAGUAAAACAUAAUUUAAACAUAUGGAUACAUCAAAUUAAGAAUACUAAAUGAAUACAGUUAUUUAUGAUGAUGUUGUUGUCAAUUCUUAAGUUGGUGUCGAGUUAAUUUGUGACAUCAUAAUUUUAAGUGAUAAAUUUAAAGUUUUAUGUAUUGAUGUGGAUUCAAAUAUCACCAUAACUUUUUUAAAAUAAAAAAUUAAAUUCAACACAAUAAAAUGAAACAAAUUCAACACAAUGUUUUUGGAGUUUGCAAAAAAUUAAAGUGAAAAACAUACCUUCUAAUUUGUUGUCAUAUAGAACUAUUUCUUCGAGCGUAGUUGAAUUAAAAAUACUUGAUGGAAUCUGGCCUGCACACAUAGUCGAAAAUUGAAGUGAAAAAUACACCUUCUAAACUGUUCAACUAAAAAUACUUUAAGCAUAUUUUUUUUUCCAUCAAAUUAACUAUUUUGCCUUGAAUGAAAUAAAAUGCUCUUACUUUUGUUAUCUAUUACAAAUCAAACUCUUUUGUGAAUAAAAUAUUACCAGAUAAUUCAUUCCAACCCAGGUUAAGCCCUUCAAGCUUGGGAAGUUGUUGACACAUAUCAUUAGGCAAACUACCUGAUAGGCUAUUGCUGGAGAGGUCAAUGGUCUUCAGAGAAGAAAUGUUGAAGAUCGAAGUUGGAAUUUGACCUGUAAGGCCUUUAGUUGCUUCAAUAUCAAGCAGUUCCAAACCAAGAAGAUUACCGAUUUCCUUAGGAAUUUGACCUGCAGACAUAGUUGAAAAAUCAAUGUUUUUUAGCAUAUAUUUUUCAUCAAAUUAACUAUUUUUCUUCGAAUGAAAUAAAAAGUUCUUCCUUUUGUUAUCUAUUACAAAUUAAACUCUUUCAUAAAAAAAUACUUUAAAUUCAAGAAAUUAAGGAAAUUGAUUACCUUUUAGAUUAUUAAACCCUAAAUAUAAUUCCUGGAGUCGUGUUAGAUUUCCAAUACUUCUUGGAAUGAUCCCCAUAAAUUGAUUACCGAACAAUGACAAAUUUUUAAGGUUGUUGCAUUUGCCCAUGCCAAAUGGAAUGUAACCAGAUAAUUCAUUCCAACUCACGAAAAGCCCUUCAAGCUUGGGAAGAUGUUGACACAUAUCAUUAGGCAAAGUACCUGAUAGGCUAUUGCUGGAGAGAUCAAUAAUCUUCAGAGAAGAAAUCUUGAAGAUGGAAGAUGGAACCUGACCAGAUAAUUGAUUGAAUCCUAAGUUCAAGAUCCCUAGAUUAGACAUGUUAACAAGUGUUUCAGGGAUUGUGCCUGUAAAGUUAUUAUUUUUCAUUUGCAGCCUUCGAACUCUCUGUAAAUUCCCAAGCCAUGAUGGAAUUUCCCGAUUAAGACGGUUGUAGCUUAAUUGAAGGAUCCUCAAACGAUGCAAUUGGCCCAAUUCUUUAGAGAGAUGGCCAUAGAAAUGGUUGCUACUCAAGUCGAGAGAGACUAGAAAUGAAAGAUUUCCAAGGUGUGGAGGGAUAAUACCCCUAAGAUUCAUGCUUGUAAGAUUCAAUGCUAUAACUCUUUUAUGGAGGAUGCCACAAGAAACACCAAUCCAAUUGCAAACAGAGGUUGAGGCUGUCCAAUUGUCUGCCAAGACAUUUUGAGGACCGGCAAUGCGAUCCUUAAACUCGAGAAGUGCAAACUGAUCAGAGUUGAGAUUCCUGGCUGUCAUAGCCAAGCGAAGUACGGAACAUGGUAUGAAUAAAGCUAAGAGAAGAUGAAAGCAAGUGUUGUAGUUCAUGAUUGCAAGACGGAAUAAGGCAAGAAAAAAGGAAAAAAAAAGUAGGAAAAGGGAAGUUAAGUUGAUAAAAUAGUUUGGAUGAUGAAGAAAAGCCCAGAGAGCAUGCUUUAAUAUGUUUCAACCCUCGCACACUUGAUAAACUUGAUAAAUUUAAGACUACCCUAAAAAUUAAAAAGGAAAACAAAGUUUUGAUGAGAUUUCAAAAAAAAUGUCAAGUAUUCUUCUUUUAAAAAUACGUACAAAGAAGCGAAUUUUCAAAAUUUCUCCUAAAUUUUCUUCAAAUUACUCCACAUAAUCCAUUAAAAAAACUUAAAAAAUAUAUUUUAUUAAUUACUAUAUAUUCUUUUGUUUUCAUAAUAAUAAAUUGUUUAAAAUAUGCUAUUAGUGGCCGUAAUUUAAAGUUUAAAAAAAAAUCCAAUCCUCCUUUUUUUUAAUUUAAAAAUUCUAAUCCAAUCAUUUUUAAUUCCAUUAAAAAGUUUUCAACUUAAUAGAUUUUUUAUUAUCAAUCUUAUGCAACAUUAUAUGAAGGCAGUCUACUCAGCAUAUAUCCAAGUUUACAGAUUUUAAUAGAAAAUACUUACAAUCCUAAUGGUAGGACUAAGUUUUUUAAACUAGAAAAGUAAAAAAAAAAAAAACUUAAUUUUUAACUUUUUUAAGUACAAGGAUUAAAUUUUAAAUGUUGUCAAAGUACAAGCACUAACAAAAUAUUUUGAUCUAAUAAAUGUAAAAAAGCAUUUUAAACAAAAGAAGGUUGAAAUAAUCUAUUUGUCCUUAUACUUUGAUAAAAUUUGAGAUACCAUAAAAUUUGUAUCUUUUUUCGAAUUAUUUAAUGACAUUUCAACAUUUUCAUUCAAAAAAAAAUAUCAUUUUGAAUUUGAUCUUUUUCAAGAUGAAAUAUUGAAAUGAUGUUAAAUUAUUAGAAAGAGAUACAAGUUUCAUGGUGUCCCAAAUUCAUUUAAUCUUAUCUCUCUAAGAAAGCUGAAUUAAGAUAUUAAUGACAUCAUUUGAAACAAAGUUUUAGGUCAAAUUAUUCAUCUAUUCCUUGUAAUUGUUCUUUAAGGUGAAUUUCAUUAUUAUUCUUUUAUUUUCUUUGGCUUAAAUACACAAUUACUCCUAAUUUUAUCACAUUCUCCUUAAUUGGUAUUUAUAGUUUAUAAAAUUUUAUAAAUAUAUUAUUUUUUAAGAAAUUAUAAGAAGAUUACAAAAAUUCCAAAAUAAUAUAAAAAAGCUAAGAAAAACCUAGAAAUUCAAAAAAAAAAAUCAUGUUUUUACAAAUUGGAAAAUACCUAAAUUUACUUUUCAGCCCGUCCGAUGCUAUGAAAGAAGAAGAAAGAGAGUCUUUGCUAACAUUUUUUUUUCUUCGUCAUCUCUAUGUUUCUUGGCAAAUACAAUGAAAGAAGAACAAAGAAAACUGUUGGCUAUUUAUUUCCCAAUAAUCCUGAAAUUACUUGCCAUAGGCGUAGAAUUUGCUAACCAAUUUUCAAGCAAUCUGACAUGAAUUCUUGUUAAGUAUGACUCCUAUUUUCAGUCAAAUUUGAGAAAUAAUCUUCUAGUUAAUUCUGUUUAUUUGUUUCAAUCAAACACUGAUUAGUUUAGAUUAUUUUAUUAUUAUUUGACAUAUGAAUUUAGCCUAUAAAUAGGUUAUUUUACAACCUUAGAAAAUACACCCAAUAGAGUUUAGAACUCAUAACAUAUUUAGAGAAUUUUGUGUUUACGUUUUGAGAGUUCUUUGUUUUCGGAUUUUCGGGGUUUAGUUUUUAUCUCCAUCUCUUGUAUUCUUUGUUCUUUUGCCAUUAUAAUAAAAUUAUCUUUACCCGUGGUUUUUUAUCCUUUUUGGAGGAGUUUUUUCACGUUAAAUUUGUGUGUUCAAUUUCUCAAUUUAUUCCGCUAUUUUGUUACUUGUUGCUUAAUCGGGUCGAUCCCUAACAAUUCUCAAUCACAAUUAAUUGAAUUCAAGAUAUAUUUGGAUGAGAACACAAAUAUUUCAAUUUUACCACAAUCCAAUGUUUGGGAUGAUUUGGGAUAAGAACUCCAACAUUUUAAGAUCACAUUUUCUUUUAUAAUUUCAGGCUUAUCAACUAUUUUGAAAACAACAAAACGUCUUACACCAAAAACUAAAAAAUUAAAACGUCGACAUUAAAUUUGUUGGUAUGCAAUCAAUUUUAAGAUGGGUCUUGGAGUUAUAUAUCACUUUAGCAUUGACUUACUUUUCUACUCUUAGUCUUCUCCAAUAAGUUAAAUAUUUCAAUUUUAACAGCACUGACAGGUCUUUGGGGUAGGGUCCAGCAAAACUCAAUAGAAACAGAUGAUAUAGGCAGAGUUGGCUCGGCCAAGUCGAGUCGACUUGUUCAAAUUAGUUAAAUUAGUAAAUUUUAGGGUGCAGUUAGAACUUUUUUUUUUUUUUUGAGAUGCUAAUAUUAAAAAAUUUUAGUUGCUAAAACAAAAAAUUUAUAUUUAAAAAGGAAUAAAUUAAAUUAUUAAGUUUUUCAAGUUUCCAUUUAAUCAAAGGUUAAAAGGACUAAAUUGAAGCUUUUUAUUUUAAAGAAAGGCUGAAUGACAAAUUGCCCAAAGCCCAUGCCCCUAGCUAUAUGCCCCUGGUAAAAUCAAUUUUAAAAUUAGUUAUAAUAGUUGAAGCGAAUUGAUUAUUGAGUAUUGAAAUACAUAGUUCAACAAAAUAAACAAACUGACAAAUUUUGACCAAAAAAAAAAAUCAAAGGUGAUAAUAAUUAAAUUAUAAAAUUUAAAUUGAGAAAAUAGGGGAUUGAAUUUAUAAUUUUUAAAGUAUAAAGAAUGAAUUUAUAACUAACAUCAUAUUUUAACCACAUAAUAAAAGUAGUUAUGGAGAGGAUCAUGUAAAAUAAUGACCUGAAUAAUUUUAAACGUCUCAUCCUUGCAAAAAUGAAAUAAUAGAAAAGAAAGAGUAAAGAGUAGCCAUUUUAUGAAAUCUAUAAUUCCAACUGUGAAUAAAAUAUAAAUUUUAUGAAUGUGGACAAGCCAUUUUAUUUAUAAUUUUCUGUGUUUUUCUGACUUUUUUUUAAGUCAUUUUCUUUGUUUCCUAACCAAAAAGUUUGCCCAUCACUUUCAAUAUAAAUUUAAAUCUAAAUUUUCUUUUUAAAAUAUAAGUUACUCGUCACAAUUCAUCUUUCGAAAACAAUUUGCCAUCACUUUAACAUACACUAACUUUUCUAUGAUUAGUCCUUGGUUUGCUUUGGGUGCAAUCUUCCAACUAGCCACAUCCUUGGUUUUACUUUCCAACAAUUAGUGUAUCACGGGUUUUGUUUUCUUUAAAAAAAUAUUUUUGUGGAUAUUAGGAGAUAAUGAAAAUUAUUUUACUAUUAAAUUUUAAUAAAACUGGAAAAUAAGUAAUGUCUUUUAAGUGAUCACAAUUAAACAUUAGAUUUUUAAUUUUAAAAUUUUAAAAUUUUUUGAUAAUUGCAUAAUUAAUAAGGUACCAAUUUUUUGAUAAUGCUAUAAUCUUCUCCACACAUAAUCGACUCUUGAGCAUGAUGGAUCUAGACCUUAUCCUGUAUUCUCGUACCACAAAUUGCUUCGAGUGUGGGUUCAAACAAUCACAAAUUAAACACAAAAUCAGAAAUGAUUUAUUACUUUCAAUAGCAAAGUAAUUCUCUCUCAAUAGAAACCAACAGAAUUGUAAUUCCGAAAAAUAAAAUUUAUUUUUUGAAAAUAUAUUCUCACUACUUCCUAGCAUAAUAACAAUAUUUAAAACUUAUGUCUUGUGUUAAUAGCUCUACCAGUACUAUCCAUUUAUAGAGAGAGACACAAGAAUCCUGGUUGAAUUAGUAAAACACGAGUAAUAUUUAUUUCAUAGAAAACAAUAUUCUACCCUAAGUAGAUCAAGUUUGGAUGACGCAUGGGUCGAAGUUCAAUCUAAGAGAAAAAAAUAAAGGAAUUUUCUUUGUAAAGAAAAUUUGAGAUUGUACUAUUUUCGAAGUUAUAAAUAAAAUUAUAAGCCAAACUUUCAAGUCAAUUUUUGACUCGAAUUUUGUACGUACAAAUUUCUAAUACACUUGGUGGGACAUUCUUUGACUUUUAUCUAUUCUCUCAGAAAGUUAAAAGUUAAAAGUUGCAUUAAACUCAAAGAAGAUAAUCAUUAGUAAACCAGCUCACAAGCCUGCUCAAGCUAAUCCUACAACUCGUUCCACUUCAUCAUCAAACACCAAUGUUCUUGCUUAUCCUUAUGGAAUUAAACAAAAGACAAAAGCUCUUUAAGAGUUAUUUGAACAGACAAAAGAUUCAGACGUGUUGAGAUGGAAAGUGACAAUGCAAUGUUGAUUGAAGCUAUUCGUAACCGGUUGGCUACAAUAAGUAGUGUUGCUGAAGUAAGACAGAUUCACGAUUGGUGUUCUAAAAAUUGGGAAGUCAAAUUUUGAUAUAUUUAGUAGAAUGCCAAAAAAGUUGUUGAUUGCAUAGCUAAGGCAGAUGGAGGAGUAAUUGAGCAGCUAGUUUUUUGGAAGAUCCUCCGCAUUUUGUGAGAUGUUGGCUUGAAGAAAAUAUUAGACAAUCGCUGGUGACUUAUGAUAAUUUUCAUUUGGACUGAUGCUCGCUUAGUUUUCUAAGGUUAUGUUCAACCAAAAAAAAAUAAUUUAAAUAUGUCUAUAUUAUCAUAGAGUUAGCAUUUAGUGUAUAAAAAAAUAGUGUAUAAAAUUUUUUCAAUUGCAGUUUAGUUCCACAAAUACUGACGAUGAACCUUAAAACGAAAAUGAAAAUUACAAAAAGAAAAACAAACCACAUCUAUUAUCAAACCAGCAAUCCGUGUCUAAACUUAAAUUAACAAAAUUCAUCAUGCAACUCGGUACACUAUUUUAUAAUAUAUAUAUUAGAUUUAUUCUUGAUGCACAUGUUUUAUUAUAGUUAAAAAUUAAAAUAUAUGAUUAACUGAGUUUUAGUUGAGUUAGUAUUGGUAUUAUAUCAGUGUAGAAAAAUGUGAGUUCAAUCGUACUUAAAUAUGUAUCCUCCAACUCAACAGUUGGGAAAAGGUUAUUGAUAAUUAAAUUACACCAAUUUUUACAAUAUCUAAAAAGCAUUCAUAAACAUAUUCAUAUUGAUGGGCUCUUUCAUUAUUAAACUUUUUUUCUCUCACAAGUAAAAGUACUUGUGGUGAGGAUCAUGUAAAAUAAUAAACUGAAUAAUUUUAAACGUCUCAUCAUUGCUAAAAUGAAAUAAUAGAAAAGAAGACAUUUUAUGAAAUUUACAAUUCCAACUGUGAAUAAAAUAUAAAUUUAUGAAUGUGAACAAGCCAUUUUAUUUAUAAUUUUCUGUGUUUUUCUUCUUUUUCUGACUUUUUUUUAGUCAUUUUCUUUGUUUCCUAACCACCAUGAAAUUACUUGUCACAAUUCAUCUUUUUAAAUGAGAAGCAUUUUCCACAAUUUGCCAUCACUUUAACAUACACUAACUUUUCUAUGAUUAGUCCUUGGUUUGCUUGUCACCAUGAAAUUACUUGUCACAAUUUUCCACAAUCUUCCAACUAGCCUCAUCCUUGGUUUUACUUUCCAACAAUUAUUGUAUCCUUCUCAUUACUUGUACUUACCCGACUGAUAAAAAAUUCACUGAUCAAAUUAGUUCAAAGUUUUUUUUUUUUUUCUAAAUCAUGUGAAUUCACGAGUUUUUUUUCUUUAAAAAAUAUUUUUGUGGAUAUUAGGAGAUACUGAAAAUUAUUUUACUAUGAAAUUUUAAUAAAACUGGACAAUAAGUGAUUUAUUUAAAGGGAUCACAAUUAAACAUUAGAUUUUUAAUUUUUUAAUUUUAAAACUUUUUGACAAUUGCGUAAUUAAUAAGGUACUAAUUUUGAGCGUUGUAGGAGUGCUAUAAACUUCACUACGCAUAAUCGACUCUUAAAUCCACCUUUUUCUCUAGAAUUAUAACAAAUUUACAAAAUGAUUUAAUGAUAUUUAAUUAUUGACCGGUAAAAAAAUUAUAUCAUAUAAAUUCCGAAUUAUUAAUUAUAUAUCUACAUAUUAUAACCAAUUCAUCUUUCAAAAUUAUUUCCUUAUAAUUAAAGCAAAAAUUAUAUUUAUAAAAUUCUAAAUAUAUUAUAAUUCUUGUAAAUAUAUAUAUUUAUAUAUAUAAGUUCAAAUUGUAAUAGAGUUAACAUUUAAUGUAUAAAAAAUGUCUUGAAAAUUAUUAUUUUUUUCAAUUCCAAAAGAACUAUUCCAUUUAUAGAACCAUAAAACUUUAAAAAUAUAAACUCUAUUAAAUAAAAAUAAUAAUAUAUUUAAACAAUAAAUAUUGACUUUAUUUUAAAUUGACAUUAUCUAAUUCUUUUUAAUAAAUAUAGCUAAGCUUUACAUUAAUAUACAUGAUUUAUUUGUUCGUGGUUGUUAUUAUUAUUAUUAUUAUUAUUAUUAUUAUUUCUAUGAUUUUUAUAUCAUACUUAUCGGACUACAAUCAUAACCAUGUCUAUUAUCAUUUGAUAAAAAAAAUUAAGUGUUGAGUAUAAUGACAAGGCACGUUACACUCUUAAGGGGAGAUCAAGGUUUGGACAAGGGAAGAAUAUCAUUUAAAUUUUGGAGACAACAUUCUUUAAAUGAGCAACCACAAACCCCGAUUAUGAACCAUAAAACGAGCAUGAAAAGUACCCAAAAAAACAAGUUUAUUAUCAAAAUAGUAAUCCAUCCAAGGAUUAAAUUAACAAAAUUCACCAUCCAACCGUGUAGACUAUUAUAUAUAUAUAUACCAUAUUUAUUCUUCAUGCAAAUGUUUAUUAUAUUUAAAAAUUAAAAUAUAUGAUUGAUUGAGUUUUAGUUGAGUUAAUAUUGAUAUUAUUGUCAGUGCAAAAGAAUAUGAGUUCAAUCAUGUUUAAAUACAUUUUAUACUCCAAUUUAGGAGUUGGAGAGGAUUCUCAGUAGUUAAAUUAUAUCAGUUUUUGUCUAUUUAAAAUUGAUUUAUAAAUAAUAUAAGUAGAAAAUUUUAUAAAAAUAUACAUACUCAUAUUGAUUGGCUUUUUCAUUAUUAGACAUUUUUCCCCAUAGGUAAAAGUAUUUAUCGAAUUCAAAUUUUGGGUUUUAAAUAAGGGUUUUCGGAUUUUUUUUUAACAUUUGUGAGAGUUUUUGCCAAAUUUUAUGUUUUCAAAAACGCAUAACUAAGUUGAUUUUUAAUUAGUUUUUCAAAUGAGUCAAUGUAAUUCCUUAAAAAUCUAGUGAUAGCGUCUAGCCUGGGUUUGGGGGUGUUACACUGACGUUACUAAAGUUAAUCUUAAUCUAUUUAGUCUAGAUCUGAACAUUAAUAUUCUCUUCCAAUAAAAAUAAAGAUCAUCAAAUUAUUACAAUUGUGAAGCCAGACAAUCAUAUUAAAUAAGCAUAAAACUUAAUAAAUAAUUAGCGAAGAUUGAAACAAUCAAAGAAAAAAUAAAUUAAUUAACUAAGAAAUAAGGAUCCAUUAUUGUUUCAAGAAAACAGAGUUUAGUUCAUAUUGAGUUGAGAAAACCAAAAAUUAGAUUCAAAACAAACUUGUGAUAAGGGGAACAAUGUCAACAGAUCAUAUUCAAGUUGUUCGACUCGAGAAAGCAAGAUUCGGAUUUGACCUGAAAAGAAGAAACCAAACAGAUUAGGAAAACAAGAAAAAAACAAAGAAAAAAAAAUAAAAUGAGAAAUUUAAGAAUAAAGAAUAAAUAUUAAAAAAUAAUAAAGAAAUAAAUAAAUUAUAGAAUAAAAAGUGGCAGAUGGAAUGAAUAAAUGAUGGAUAUGACAUAUAGAUGGAUAAGUGUCUGAUAACCCUUGAAAAAAAGUUAUAUUUUGUUAGGGAUCGACCCGAUUAAGCAACAAGUAACAAAAAAAGGGAAUAAAUUGAGAAAUUGAACACACAAAUUUAACGUGAAAAAAACCUUCCGAAGAGGAUAAAAAAACCACGGGAAAAGAUAAAUUUACUAUAAUGGCAAAAGAACGAAGAGUACAAAAGAUGGAGAUAAAACUAAACUCCAAAAACCCGAAAAUAAAGAACCCUCAAAACGUAAACACAAAAUUCUCUAAAUGUGUUAUGAGUUCUAAUCUCUAAUGUGUGUCAACUAAGGUUGUAAAAGAGCCUAUUUAUAGGCUAAAUUCAUAUGUCAAAUAAUAAUAAAAUAAUCUAAACUAAUCAGUGUUUGACUGAAAUAAAUAAACAAAGUUUAACUAAAAGAUUAUUUUUUAAAUUUGACUGAAAAUAGGAGUCAUACUUAACAAAUCUCCACCUUGACUCAUAUUUCUACAAUGCCAUCUUUGCCAAAGCCCGCUACGAGCCUAUCUUGAACUAUACAGGGAAUUAACUGAGUCGAAUCUGUGCUUAGAAACUGGAAGACUUCUAGCUUUCGACUUGUACACUGCCAAAUCAAAACUAACCCGAGUUUGAUUUUCACGAACACAGUGUCCUAACUUUUCAAAACCUGCAUCCAAAAGAGAACCUCUCUUCAAUGAAACGGUCAUACAUUUUUCCCUCCUAUGACCAAGUUGCCUCUGCUCCAAACGAGUUGACUUCGACUCUGUAACAGACGAGGGAUGUCCGAUUUCACCGGUCAUUGUAGAACCUUCCAGAAUAUAAAGACUGCCAUUUCUUUUACCUUUGAACAAAAUGAGAGCUCCACGAGAUACUUUAAUGCUGCUCGACUCGAUGUUGAUUCUGCAUCAUUUCAAGUCUAAAAUACUCAAGGAGAUGAGAUUCUUUCGUAAAUUAGGUACAUACCUGACAUCUGAGAGUGUCCUAAUCGUCCCAUCGUGUGUCCUAAUUUUAACAGUACCAACACCAAUUACCUUACUAGAUGAAUUGUUUCCCAUGCGCACAACUCCACCUUCAACCGAACUGUAUGUGGAGAACCAUUCUCUAUUGGGACACAUGUGGAAAGAACAUCCCAAAUCUAGGAUUCACUCGAACGUGAGCUUGGAGUUAUCACUCGUUGACACUAACAAGAAAUCAUCACCACUUUCAUCGAUCAAAUUAGCACUAGCUACAUCUUCCUCGUUACUCUCAGCAGCUCCUUUAUUUCGCAGUUUAUAACAAUUUGCUUUGACAUGACCUAACUUUUUACAAUAGUGACACCUUUUGUCUCGUUUCUUUGAUGCCAUCAAAAUGGAAGAUUGCCUAUCUGCCUUGCUAUCUAAAUGAAACUCAUUUUCGAGUUUGUCUCUACUCAACAAAUGACCCUUCACAUCUUCGAACGAGAGUUUGUCUCUGCCAUAGGGUCUCCUUGAAAGAUUUGUAUGAAGGGGGUAAAGAGCAUAAUAAUAGCAUAGCUUGAUCUUCAUCAUCAAUAUGAACCUCAAAGUUCUUUAAAUCAUUUAAAAGAAUAAUGAAUUGACUGAUGUGAUCUCUAAGAAGCUCACAUUCGUUCCUGCGAAACGUAAAUAGACGUUGUUUCAACAGUAAACGGUUAGCCAGAGACUUAGUCGCAUAAAGAGUUUCUAACCUUUUCCAUAAGGUGGAUGAGGUCUUCUCCAUCAAUACCUCCUGCAAUACCGUAUUCGCGAGGCACAACUGGAUUGCAGACAAGGCAUUUUCAUCAAGCUCUUCCCAUUCUGUUUUAUUUAGAUUCUCAGGCUUUUUUUGGUAACAACCUUUUUCAAACCGGAUUGAACUAGAAUUGCCAUCAUCCAAACUUGCCAUAGAUUGAAAUUGGUCUCACCAUCGAACUUCUCAAUUUCAAACCUUGUUGUUGCCAUAUCUGAAUGGGCUGAUUUAUGAAAAUUGAACUAGCUCUGAUACCACUUGUUAGGGAUCGACCCGAUUAAGCAACAAGUAACAAAAAAGGAAAUAAAUUGAGAAAUUGAACACACAAAUUUAACGUGAAAAAAACCCUCCGAAGAGGAUAAAAAAACCACAGGAAAAGAUAAAUUUACUAUAAUGGCAAAAGAACGAAGAGUACAAAAGAUGGAGAUAAAACUAAACUCCAAAAACCCGAAAAUAAAGAACCCUCAAAACGUAAACACAAAAUUCUCUAAAUGUGUUAUGAGUUCUAAUCUCUAAUGUGUGUCAACUAAGGUUGUAAAAGAGCCUAUUUAUAGGCUAAAUUCAUAUGUCAAAUAAUAAUAAAAUAAUCUAAACUAAUCAGUGUUUGACUGAAAUAAAUAAACAAAGUUUAACUAAAAGAUUAUUUUUUAAAUUUGACUGAAAAUAGGAGUCAUACUUAACAAAUCUCCACCUUGACUCAUAUUUCUACAAUGCCAUCUUUGCCAAAGCCCGCCACGAGCCUAUCUUGAACUAUGCAGGGAAUUAACUGAGUCGAAUCUGUGCUUAGAAACUGGAAGACUUCUAGCUUUCGACUUGUACAUUGCCAAAUCAAAACUAACCCGAGUCUGAUUUUCACGAACACAGUGUCCUAACUUUUCAAAUCCUACAUUGAAAAGAGAACCUCUCUUCAAUGAAACCGUCAUACAUUUUUCCCUCCUAUGACCAAGUUGCCUCUGCUCCAAACGAGUUGACUUCGACUCUGUAACAGACGAGGGAUGUCCGAUUUCACCGAUCAUUGUAGAACCUUCCAGAAUAUAAAGACUGCCAGUUCUUUUACCUUUGAACAAAACGAGAGCUCCACGAGAUACUUUAAUGCUGCUCGACUCGAUGUUGAUUCUGCAUCAUUUCAAGUCUAAAAUACUCAAGGAGAUGAGAUUCUUUCAUAAAUUAGGUACAUACCUGACAUCUGAGAGUGUCCUAAUCGUCCCAUCGUAUGUCCUAAUUUUAACAGUACCAACACCAAUUACCUUACUAGAUGAAUCAUUUCCCAUGCGCACAACUCCACCUUCAACCGAACUGUAUGUGGAGAACCAUUCUCUAUUGGGACACAUGUGGAAAGAACAUCCCAAAUCUAGGAUCCACUCGAACGUGAGCUUGGAGUUAUCACUCGUUGACACUAACAAGAAAUCAUCACCACUUUUAUCGAUCAAAUUAGCACUAGCUACAUCUUCCUCAUUACUCUCAGCAGCUCUUUUAUUUCGCAGUUUAUAACAAUCUGCUUUGACGUGACCUAACUUUUUACAAUAGUGACACAUCUCGUUUCUUUGAUGCCAUCAAAAUGGAAGAUUGCCUAUUUGCCUUACUAUUUAAAUGAAACUCAUUUUCGAGUUUGUCUCUACUCAACAAAUGACCCUUCACAUCUUCGAACGAGAGUUUGUCUCUGCCAUAAGGUCUCCUUAAAAGACUUGUAUGAAGGGGGUAAAGAGCAUAAUAAUAGCAUAGCUUGAUCUUCAUCAUCAAUAUGAACCUCAAAGUUCUUUAAAUCAUUUAAAAGAAUAAUGAAUUGACUGAUGUGAUCUCUAAGAAGCUCACCUUCGUUCCUGCGAAACGUAAAUAGACGUUGUUUCAACACUAAACGGUUAGCUAGAGACUUAGUCGCAUAAAGAGUUUCUAACCUUUUCCAUAAGGUGGAUGAGGUCUUCUCCAUCAAUACCUCCUGCAAUACCGUAUUCGCGAGGCACAACUGGAUUACAGAUAAGGCCUUUUCAUCAAGCUCUUCCCAUUCUGUUUUAUUUAGAUUCUCAGGCUUUUUUUGGUAACAACCUUUUUCAAACCGGAUUGAACUAGAAUUGCCAUCAUCCAAACUUGCCAUAGAUUGAAAUUGGUCUCACCAUCGAACUUCUCAAUUUCAAACCUUGUUGUUGCCAUAUCUAAAUGGGCUGAUUUAUGAAAAUUGAACUAGCUCUGAUACCACUUGUUAGGGAUCGACCCGAUUAAGCAACAAGUAACAAAAAAGUGAAAUAAUUUGAGAAAUUGAACACACAAAUUUAACGUGGAAAAACCCCUCCAAAGAGGAUAAAAAACCACGGGCAAAGAUAAGUUUACUAUAAUGGCAAAAGAACGAAGAGUACAAAAGAUGGAGAUAAAACUAAACUCGAAAAACCCAAAAACAAAGAACCCUCAAAACGUAAACACAAAUGGGUGUCAACUAAGGUUGUAAAAGAGCCUAUUUAUAGGCUAAAUUCAUAUGUCAAAUAAUAAUAAAAUAAUCUAAACUAAUCAGUGUUUGACUGAAAUAAAUAAACAGAGUUUAACUAAAAGAUUAUGUUUUAAAUUUGACUGAAAAUAGGAGUCAUACUUAACAUAUUUCAUGCCUUUAAACCUAACUAAUUGUUUGUACUUAAGUAUAUUUUUUUCUUUUUAAGACAUUGUAGCGAACAUUUUUAAUAUUGUAUUAGGACAUAGACUAUGUUGGAAUUAGGUGCUUUUAAUCUCUUGUGGUGGAGUUUUUGUGUGUUGGUAUGGCAGGAACAUGUUUUAAAACGAGGAAAUAAAUGAGUGAAGUUUUGUUAGGGAAAAAGUGCAAACAGUUUGCCAACACAGAUGUCGUGGCAAUGCCGGGAAGACCAAGUUCAUAUUUUUUGUGCAGCAAUCCCGGUUCAAACUCAAACUUGUAUGAGAUAAAUCCCCCUAAAAGAGGAGAAGAUAAUCACAUUGCUGUUAGCUGACCCUAGCCUAAUCUAUCUAUUAAAGCCAAUGAAAAGGAUCUCACAAAGGGUAGAAAAAAGUGAGAGAGAUCCUUAGGGAUGAAUAAGGGUUUGGCUGCGCAAAAGAACAGAAGUCGAAGGGAAUCAUUCUUAGCCAUCACAGAACGUUGUGCUGCCAAAGUGUGGACUAGGCAAGUGAAAGAUGUUUCCAAAAGUUCUUCUGUUAUUUCCAUUAGUGUUCCUUCCAAAGAUUGAAUUGAAGUAGUUGAACACAAUGUCGGAUAAUAUUUUGGUUUGAAAUUUUAUUUCCCAGCUUAUGAGCUAAAUCUCAUAAGGUUAGGAUUACUUUCGAUGAAACCUUAAAUUUUUUUAUAGAUGAAGUAUAUAUCUAAUUUACAUUAUUGUUUCAUUUGAUUGUUCUAAUUUCUUAAUUAAAAUGCAAAUGAUCUCUAGACAUAGAAGACUGUUCGCAUACUUAUAAAUUGAUUGUAAUUAUAAAAGGGUUGGAUUAAAAUUAAAUGAAAUGAGCAGGUAUUUGAUAGACACUUGUAGUCGACUCUAGACAUAGAGUCACGAUCAUACAGAAGAAGCCCAUGCAAGAUAUCGAAAAAGCCUUUAGACACCAGGCAAGGCAACUUGAGGUUUUUCUCUCACGAGAGGCAGACCAUUUUAGAACUCUUCUGUGUUGUAAAGUAGAUACAAUUUUGCCAAGACAAUAUUGACAAUGAGGGUUGAUUCUGGGUAAUCCCGACCUUCCAAAUCCACUUCGUAUAUCCUUUAAUCUUUUUCAUAAUAUCUUUGCCACAUAAUUAUUAGUUAUUUAUUUGUUCAUUUACAUAAUAUUCCCAUAGUAAUUCUCAUAAUUGCCAUUAUGUUUCUACUCUCGGUUGGCCAUAGCAUUACUAAUUAUUCAUUAAUUCCACAUAUUGAUUACAUCAUUAAUCUACUCAUUGUCAUUGCAUAUUUAUCAUUGACUUUGUCAUAGCAUUAAUUGCAUUUUAUUAUAAUAACUUGACCAAUUUUGUGCCUCAAUCCGAUUUUCGUGGGAACAAUACUCACUCAUCACUUUAUUACUUGAUUCAACGUGUAUACUUGCACAAAUCGCAUAUCAUUUCACAUGCGACAGUGUCCAAUUUAACCUUUUGAGAUAUAAACUCAAACAAACUCAAUUAAUGGCUUUAAUCAACCCACCAAGAAAUAAUAAUUGGCAAAUUGAAGGAUGAAGAAUGAAUUCCCAUGACUCCUUAAAGAAAAUUGAGAAGAAAACUGCUUCUAAAAAUUACAAGAAAUAAUCUUGCACAAAGAAACUUACCCUCAGAGUUGGAAAUUUUAGUAAUGAGCAAAAACAAUUGUGUCUCUAAUGAACAUGAAGGGGCCUUUACAUAGGAUAGAUAAGUACAUCCAAAUAAAAUUUUGAAGUAUAUUAAAACUUUAAUUAAUGUAAGAAAAAAAGUAAUUUUCAACUAAAAUAGUCAUAAUUUCUAUAAUAAUCCCGUCUAGAAAUUCUGCUCACAUAGCCAUCACUAAAAUAGUCAUAAAUUGAGCUCUUGAACUCGAAAUUGAAUGAAUAAAAGUGUGUUUGAAAGUUAAGUAAUAGAUCUUAGAACUCCAUCAAGACAUAUCAAUCAAAAAAUGUCUGGAUCCCAUCCAAAAAGUCAUUGCAAGUUAACUAAUUUUCCAAACUUGAAAAUUGACAGCUUCGGGGAAUGGAAUUUAAUAAAGUUCACCCCAUCUACUCAAGUAUAAACUUGCAGUGGUAAAAAGUAAAAAUAAAUAAUCUAUAGAGAAACUAGUUGAAGAAUUUAUGACAAUUUAUUUAGAUCUUUUUUUCUUCUAGCCUUUGCAAACUUGAAGUUUCCCUUGGUGUGAGAGAGUUGUUCCUUACCCUCUAAGUUAUUUUUUUUCUUUUCCUUUUUUUUUCUUUCUCUUCGAUCUUGUCACCUAAGGGUGUUCAAAUGAUUGAUUCAGUUAAUACCCGAACAAUGCUAUCAUUAACUGAAAUUUUGAAACCUUAAUCGUUAAUGAAACCAAUUUUUUGUUGAAACCUAUUAACCGGCCGGAUUGAUUUCGGUUAAUUCAGGCGGCUAGCCGGAAUUUAUACAUUAUUUUUUUCAAACAAUUUUAAAACAAAGAACAAUCCAUGACAACUUUUUCCUUGUUUUUUAUUCAAAAAUUAUUAAAAGAAUUUUAAAAAAUAACAUAAUAACAACACUAAAUUAAAAACAUAAUAGCAUUCAUUACAUUACAAAGCAUAAUUUCUUUUUUUUUUUACUUUUUGUUGACUUUUUAGUUUAAUUUUAGUUUUUUUUUUCAAAUAUUUUUAGUUUUCAUAUUUUUGUUAAGCUUAUUAUAAGAAAACUUAUAAAUCCAUUAGUUUUUAUAUAUUAGGUUUGUAUAAUGUAUUGGACCUAUCUCUAACAUAUUGGGCCUAUAAUAUAUUUUUAUUGAUUUCGGUUAAUCAAUUAAUUUGGUUAAUUAGUCGAUUUCAAACUAAACUAAUCGAUAAACAAAAUUUUCUAAAACAUUUAACCAACUCCCAACCAAAUUAGAUUCGUUGAUCGACUGCUUAAUCAAAUUAAUCAUAUGGUAGAAUGGCAUGUUUUUGGAAUGGCUAUUUGGCAUUAUUGGUAUAGGUUUAAGUUAUGAUCUAAAGAUGUUGAAUUGAAUUAAGUUUGAUAUGUAUACUAUGAUGUCUUCAUUGGCAUAUUGGUUAGAUAUUAAAGGAUGGUUGAUUUGGUAUGUUUUGAAAAUGGUUCUUGGUAUGUUUGAUCUAAGUUGAUUAAAUGAACUUGUAAUGUUGAAUGGUAUAAUAUUUGUUGUUACAUUAGUUAGUCUUAUAGGUUGAUGGAAUUGGUAUGUUUUAAAUGUGUUUAAAAUGUGUUUUGAUUAUUUAAAUGUUUGUGGAAAUGGUGUGUCUUGGUGUACAAGAUUUGAAAUUGAAAUGGCUUGAUUUAGAAAGCAACUUAUGCUGCACACCGCCUAGGACAUGGGUUGUCACAUGGCUGUGUGUCAUUAUUGUUUUAGGUACAGGUUUCACACAAUCUAAGACUUGGCUCACGACAUGGCUACGUAUCAUAAGUCAAUAUGUAACACGGUUUGGUACAUGGCCUGUAACACGACCGUGUGUCCAAACUUCAAAUGUUUACACGUCCUGGGCUAUGUCACACGACUUGGCCACAUGGCCGUGUGACCCUUGUUUUAAAGUUUUCUGAAAUUUUCUAUUUUAUUUCAAAUUGAUCCUAGAAUAUUCUCAAACUAUUUUUAGGGCCUCGUAGGUUCAAAUUAAGGCCCACAAAUGUAUGCUUGCUAUAAUUAAGUUGUGCUAAUUAAUGUUAUUAAUUAAAUGGCAUGAAUAUUUUAUUGUAAGUUAAAUUUUUUAAUUUGUCCUAUAAUGCUCCGUAACCCAAAUCAAGUGACGGAGAUAGGUUUGGGUGUUACAAUUUUGGACUGUAAAUUUGUUUUGAGGCUUUGUUCUUUGGUUCUUGCAAUGUUUGUUGGAUUUUAGUGUUUUAACAUUAAACUGCAAAAUUGUAUGAUUUAACAAACUAAAAAUUAGGUUUUCAAAAUUAAAACUCUAGAAAUUUUCAUUACAAAGAUUAAGUAAUCACUUAAGUGUUUUCCCAUAAAUAAUUAAAUGGUUUUUAACAAAUGUUUUCCUUAGUUUUGGGAAUGAUAUGCCAACAUUAGUACUUUUAAAACACAUGGUUUUAAAUAAGGGUUUUCAAACUUUGGUUUUUUAACAUUUGUGAGAGGUUUUUGCCAAAUUUUAUGUUUUCAGAAUGUGUAACUAAGUUGAUUUUAAUUAGUUUUUCAACGAGUUUAUGUAAUUCCUCAAAAAUCCAGUCAUAGCAUCUAGGCCGGGUUUGGGGUGUUACACUAACAUUACUAAAGUUAAUCUUAAUCUAUUUAGUCUAGAUCUAAACAUUAAUAUUCUCUUCAAAGAAAAUCAAGAUUAUCAAAUUAUUACAACUUGGUAGGCAGACAAUCUUAUUAAAUAUGCAUAAAAGUUAAUAAAUAGUUAGCGAAGAUUGAAACAAUCAAAGAAAAAAUAAAUUAAUUAACUAAGAAAUAGGAUCCAUUAUUGUUCCAAGAAAAUAGAGUUUAGUUCAUAUUGAUUGAGAAAAUCAAAAGGGAGAUUCAAAAAACACUUGUGAUAAGGGGAACAAUGUCAAUAGAUCAUAUUCAAGUUGUUCGACUCAAGAAAGAAAUAUUUGGAUCUAGCCUGAAAAGAAGAAACCAAACAGAUUUAGGAAAAAAAGAAAAAAAAGAAAAAAACUUAAAUAAUAAAUUUAAGAAUAAAUAAUAAAUAUUAAAAAUAAUAAAGAAAUAAAGAAAUUAUAGAAUAAAUAGUGGAAGAUGGAAUGAAUAAACGAUGGAUAUGACAUAUAGAUGGAUAAGUGUCUGAUAAUUCUUGAAAAGAGUUAUAUUUCAUGCCUUUAGACCUAACUAAUUGCUUGUACUUAAGUACAUUUUGUUGCAUUUUAAGAUAUUUUAGUUAGUAUUUGUAAUAUUGCAUUAGGAUUUAGAUUGUGUUGGAAUUAGGUGUUUUUAAUCACUUGUGGUGGAGUUUUUGGUGUGCUGGUAUGGCAGGAACAUUAUUUAGAACGAGGAAAUAAAUGAGUGAAGUUUUGCCAAUGCAAAAGUGCAGAUAGUUUGCCAGCACAGAUGCCGUGGAAAUGCCGAGAAGACCAAGUCAACAUUUUUUUGUGCAACAGUCCCAGUUCAAAUUCAAACUUGUACCAAAUAAAUCUCCCUAAAAGAGGAGAAGAUAAUCACAACUUGUUAGCCAACCCUAGCCUAAUCUAUCUAUAAAAGCCAAUGAAGGGGAUCUCACAAAUGGCAGAAAAAAGUGGGAGAGAUCCUUAGGUGUGAAUAAUGAUUCAGCUGUGCAAAGGAAAGGAAGUCAAAGGCAGUCCCUUUUAGCCAUCACAGGACGUUGUGCUGCCGAUGUGUGGACUAGGCAAGUGAAAGUUGUAUCCCAAAGUUCUUUCGUUAUUUCCAUUAGUGUUCCUUCAAAAUAUUGAAGUAGUUGAACACAACGUUGGAUAAUAUUUUGGUUUGGAAUUUUAUAUCCCAGCUCAUGAGCUAAAUCUCGUAGGGUUGAGAUUACUUUUGAAGAAACCUUAAACUGCUUUUAUGAAUGCAAAUGAUCUCUGGACAUAGAAGACUGUUCGUAUACUUAUAAACUGAUUCUAAUUCUAAAACGGUUGGAUUGGUUGGAUUAAAAUUAAAUGAAAUGAGCAAGCAUUCGAUAGACACUUGUAGUAGACUCUAGACAUAGAGUCACGCUCAUACAAAAGGAACCCAUGCAAGAUAUCUAAAAAGCCUUUAGACACAGGCAAGGUAACUUGAGGUGUUGCUCUCACGAGAGGCAGGCCAUUUUAGUACUCUUCUGUGCUUUAAAGUAGAUAUGAUUUUGCCAAGGCAUUAUUGAAAAUAAGGGUCGAUUUUGGGUAAUCUCGACCUUCCAAAUCCACAUCGUAUAUCUUUUAUUCUUUCCCAUAGUAUAUUUGCCACAUCAUUAUUAGUUAUUUAUUUGCUCAUUUACAUAAUAUUCCUAUAGUAAUUCUCAUAAUUGUCAUUACAUUUCUACUCUCGAUUUGGCACAACAUUACCAGUUAUUUAUUAAUUCCACGCAUUGCUUACAUCAUUACUCUACUAAUUACCACUGUAUAUUUACCAUUGACUUUCCCAUAGUAUUAAUCGUAUUUUAUUAUAAUAACUUGACCAAUUUUGUGCCUCAAUUCGAUCCUCAUGGAACGAUACUCACUCAUCACUUUAUUUGUAACAUCCCAAACUUGGAUUAGAAGUUAUGACUGAAUCCGGCGAUAUCACAUGGAAAGGGAUUUGAAGACAAGAUUGUCGAGUUUAAAAACCAUUAUAGAAAGUUAGCUUUUAUUUAAUUCGGGAAAAAAACUAGUUGAUUUUCUUUAAAACUUGUCUCUUAGCAGAAGCUUUUGUAACCAAUUAAUUUACGAAAAAUCGUUUCUAUUUACAAAAAACUUUAGUAGGAAAAACUAUGUUUUGUGGAGUUGCAGUUUUUAAAAGAAACCCAUAAAAAAAGUAUAAAGUCCCAAAUUUAAAACCAACCAGUCCAUAGUCUAGAAGAUACAUCAAAAACUCCAAANNNNNNNNNNNNNNNNNNNNNNNNNNNNNNNNNNNNNNNNNNNNNNNNNNNNNNNNNNNNNNNNNNNNNNNNNNNNNNNNNNNNNNNNNNNNNNNNNNNNNNNNNNNNNNNNNNNNNNNNNNNNNNNNNNNNNNNNNNNNNNNNNNNNNNNNNNNNNNNNNNNNNNNNNNNNNNNNNNNNNNNNNNNNNNNNNNNNNNNNNNNNNNNNNNNNNNNNNNNNNNNNNNNNNNNNNNNNNNNNNNNNNNNNNNNNNNNNNNNNNNNNNNNNNNNNNNNNNNNNNNNNNNNNNNNNNNNNNNNNNNNNNNNNNNNNNNNNNNNNNNNNNNNNNNNNNNNNNNNNNNNNNNNNNNNNNNNNNNNNNNNNNNNNNNNNNNNNNNNNNNNNNNNNNNNNNNNNNNNNNNNNNNNNNNNNNNNNNNNNNNNNNNNNNNNNNNNNNNNNNNNNNNNNNNNNNNNNNNNNNNNNNNNNNNNNNNNNNNNNNNNNNNNNNNNNNNNNNNNNAGUUCUACACUUACGCCCAUAUAAUGCUUCAUACGGUGCCAUUCGUAUACUUGACUGAUAGCUAUUGUUAUAAGCAAAUUCAACCAAUGGUAGAUAUUUCUCCCAACUGCCUUUCAAUUCUAAAAUACAACACCGGAGCAUAUCUUCAAGAAUUUGAAUCACUCUUUCCGAUUGCCCGUCAGUUUGCGGAUGAAACGCAGUACUGAAAUUCAAUUUUGUACCCAAGGCUUCCUGCAACUUUAUCCAAAACCUCGAAGUAAAUCUCAGAUCUCUAUCCGAUAUAAUAGAUUUAGGCACCCCAUGUAAUCUCACUAUUUCAGCAACAUAUAAUUCUGCCAACCUGUCAAGUGAGUAAUCAAUGCGUAUCGGAAUAAAAUGAGCCGACUUUGUCAAUCUAUCAACAAUUACCCAAAUAGCAUCUUUCUUCUUUGGAGUUAAAGGCAAUCCUGUCACAAAAUCCAUCGUAAUACUAUCCCACUUCCACUCUGGAAUCGUUAUCGGUUGAAGUAAACCCGAUGGUACUUGAUGCUCAGCCUUCACUUGUUGACAGAUUAAACACUUUGAUACAAAUUCCGAGAUAUCCUUUUUCAUGCCUGGCCACCAAUACAACUUCUUCAAAUCAUUAUACAUUUUCACACUACCCGGAUGAACUGACAAGUCACCACUAUGUGCCUCACAUAAAAUGGUCUGAAUUAACUCAUCAUUUCUUGGUACACAUACUCUAUCCCGGAACAUCAAGCAAUCAUCUGAACCAAUUUGAAAAUCUGAGUCAACACCUGCUUCACACUGAGCUCUCUUGGCUUGCAAUUUACUGUCAUUCUUUUGAGAUUCCCGAAUUUACUGAAGAAAUAAUGGUCUAGCUCUCAAUUCAACCAACAUUGAGCCAUCAUCAGAUAAAGUUAACAUCGUACCCAUAGCUCUCAAAGCAAAUAAAGAUUUUCUGCUCAAGGCAUCAGCAACCACAUUAGCUUUCCCGGGGUGAUAAUCAAUCACUAGCUCAUAGUCUUUGAUUAGCUCGAGCCAUCUUCGUUGCCGCAAAUUCAAAUCUUUUUGGCUCAUCAAAUACUUCAAACUCUUAUGAUCAGUGAAGAUUCGGCACUUUUCACCAUACAAAUAAUGACGCCAAAUUUUUAAAGCAAAAACAAUGGCAGCCAAUUCUAAAUCAUGCGUCGGAUAAUUCUUCUCAUGCGGUUUCAAUUGUCUCGAAGCAUAAGCUAUUACUUUGCCCUCUUGCAUUAACACACACCCAAGACCAUUCAACGAUGCAUCACUGUAAAUUACAAACUCCUUCCCGGACUCAGGUUGCACCAACACUGGCGCCUCAGUCAAUAAUGCCUUCAACUUUUCAAAACUCUGUUGACAUUUAUUGGUCCAUUCAAACUUGACAUUCUUCUGCAGUAACUUAGUCAUAGGAGAAGCAAUCAUCGAAAAUCCCUUGACAAAGCGUCUGUAAUACCCAGCUAAGCCCAGAAAGCUUCUAACUUCUGUCACAUUCUUUGGUGGCUCCCAAUCAACAAUUGCUGAAAUUUUGCUUGGAUCAACCCGAAUACCUUCACUUGAAACUAUAUGUCCCAAGAAUCCAACCUCACGAAGCCAAAACUCACUUUUGCUGAAUUUAGCAUACAAUUUCUUUUCUCUCAGAAUCUGCAACACAGUUCUUAAAUGUUCUGCAUGCUCAGAUUCAUCCCGAGAAUAGAUUAAAAUAUCAUCUAUGAACACCACCACGAACUUAUCCAAGUACGGCCGAAAAAUUUGGUUCAUCAAGUCCAUAAAAAUAGCUGGAGCAUUUGUUAACCCAAAAGGCAUUACCAGAAAUUCAUAGUGUCCAUACCUUGUUCUAAAGGCGGUUUUCGGCACAUCAGACUCUUUAACUCUUAACUGAUAGUAACCAGACCUCAAAUCAAUCUUAGAAAACACUGUUGCCCCUUUUAAUUGAUCAAAUAAAUCAUCAAUUCUCGGCAAAGGAUACUUGUUCUUUAUAGUCACCUUGUUGAGCUGACGAUAGUCAAUACAAAGUCUCAUAGAGCCGUCCUUUUUUUUCACAAAUAACACAGGAGCACCCCAAGGAGAAAAACUCGGUCUCACAAAUCCUUUAUCUGUCAACUCUUGUAACUGAGCUUUUAAUUCCUUCAACUCAGUCGGAGCCAUUUGAUACAGUGCAAUAGAAAUCGGUGCAGUACCAGGUAACAGAUCAAUAGAAAACUCAACUUCUCUAAUCGGAGGUAACCCAGGCAAUUCCUCUGGAAAUACAUCUGGAAAUUCACAAACUACCGGCACUGAUUCAAGCUUCGACCCAGUAAUAUCCGUGUUUAGCACAUAAGCAAGAUAAACUUCACAUCCCUUUCUCAAGUAUUUCUGAGCAGACAUGUGCGAAAUCACCAUAGGCAACUUAUUCGGCUCCUUUGUUUCAACCCGGAGAAUUUCACCGUUUUCACAAUUUAAUUCAAGAAUUUUCUGUCUACAAUUUCCCUUGGCAUCAUGCAAUAUCAACCAAUCCAUCCCCAAAAUAACAUCAAACUCAUCAAAUGGUAACAACAUCAAAUUAGCCGGGAAACAGUGGCCUUGAAUCAUCAGGGGACAAUUCUUGCAAACCUUAUCGACUAAGACAUAUUUGCCUAAAGGAUUUGAUACUUUAACUACAAAUUCAGUUUUUUCAACAGGCAAUUUCUUACUAGACACCAAAUUCAUGCAUAUAUAUGAAUGAGUAGAGCCGGGAUCAAUCAAAGCAAUAACAUCAAUAUCAUGAAGAGAAAAUGUACCAGUAAUCACAUCGGGAGAUGAGGCAUCCUCUCGAGCGCGUAUAGCAUAAGUCCUAGCAGGCGCUCUAGUUUCUGAUCCUCCAGCUGUAUCUUUUAUCACACUCUUACCACUGGCUUUGCUUCCCACAUUUCUCGGUGGUCUGCCUCUACUGACAACAUCACCCGAUCCAGCUCUUUGUAAUCUUUCUUCUUCUAUUCUCUCAGGGCAGUCUUUUACAUAAUGCUCUUGGGAACCACAUCUGAAACAAGCUCGUUUAAAUCCCCAACACUCACCAGUAUGUCGCCUGCCACACUGUUGACAUUCAGGUCUGGUGUUUCCUACAUUACCCACACUUGCCACUGAGGUAGCUCGAGUUGUAGUUCCGGAAUAUGACCUCCCUCGGUCUCUGCGUGAAUACCCAACUGAACCGGUUGGUCGUGGAUCCAUCCCUUUAAACUUCUUCGGGUGAGAUUGAAAUGUUCUGCCCAUUGACCUCUUCCUUACAUCUCGAGCUUCCAUCUCUGCCCUUCUCUUUUCUCUACUCAGCUCUUCAGCUUUGCAAGCACGAUCAACUAAUACCACAAAUUCUUUUAACUCUAAAAUUCCAACAUGUAAUCUGAUGUCUUCAUUUAGCCCCUCUUCAAAUCUUUUACACAUAAUAGCCUCCGUAGGCACACAUUCCUGGGCAUAUUUACUAAGCCGGACAAACUCCCGUUCAUAUUCUGCUACUGACAUUCGGCCCUGUUUCAAUCCGAGAAACUCUUUGCGCUUCUGAUCAAUAAACCGUUGGCUUACAUAUUUCUUUCUGAAUUCUUCCUGAAAGAAGUCCCAAGUAACUCUUUCUUUUGGAACCACCGUUAUUAAUGUUUUCCACCAACGGUAUGCCGAAUCCUUCAAUAAAGACACAGCACAUUUCAAACAUUCCUCAGGAGUACAAGAUAAUUCAUCAAAUACCUGGAUAGUAUUUUCAAGCCAAAACUCGGCUUUUUCCGGAUCAUCAUCAACAUUGGCCCUGAAAUCUUCAACCCCAUGCUUUCGAAUUCUAUCAACGGGUGGUUUACUUGAUCUCACCAAUUCAGCACUUCGUGGAGCUACGGGGACCGGCGGAGGAAUAGGAGGGGGUGGAGGAGGUGGAACAUUCGGAUUUACACGGACAUAUUCUGUAUACCAAUCACUCAUCAUUCGGAGGAAGGCUUCUCGAGCCUCAUCCUGUCCAUGUGUCUCAUGUCUACUCUCUUCAUGCGCGGUCCCUUGUGUGGGAACCGGCGUGUUACUUUCAACAUCAUCUGCCAUACUUCGAUUAGGAUCCAUUUACUAUAUAAAACAAAAUUUUAAAUUGUCAGAAAUCAUCACACUAUCACAAUAUAUUGAUGGCAUGUAUAGACUGACUUUCACACAUAUUUUAUUGGUCCGAGAACUGACUAAACCGUAGCUCUGAUACCACUAAAAUGUAACACCCCUUACUCGUAUUCCGGCUCGGAACAGAGUAUGAGGUAUUACUAAGUUUUUUAAAAAAAAUUUCGACAGCAUUUCUUCUUAAUUUUGCUUAAACCUCCUGCAAAUUUAAAUCACAAUCCAAUAUAUAUAUAUCAACCAAACUCAUUUAUAAUAAUACUCACAAUUUAACUAUUAAUGAACACCACAUUUUAAAUCAAACCAUAACAUAUAUUUACAUGAUGAUUCCAUAUUUCAUAGGUCGUCUAUACAUGCCAUAAUUUUCCGGAACGAUAGUAGCAAAAUACCCCAAGUGUGAAGGAUAGUGUGGAUGAUUGUCUGACUUCGUUCCAAAUUUCCGAGUUGUCGGAAGUCACUAUAAUCAAGGGAAAAAUAAAAUCGAGUAAGCAUAUAGCUUAGUAAGUAAACACAUGAUAAAUAAGUAAUUACUCACAUAACUACACCAAAAUAUAAACUUAUUCAUGAAUAACUUCAUUGUUUAGGCAAUUUCCAGCAAACUGUUUUUCUGCGUCAUAUUCGCUAAUUUAUUUUUAUCCGGAGCUACAGGGCUCCAAAUUGAGUUUCGUAAAUUUUCCCUGAAACUAGACUCAUAUACCAUUUCACCAUAAAAAUUUCAGAAUUUUUUACCCAGCCAAUUAGUACAUUUUAUUCAUUAAAACUUCCCCUGUUUCACUGCCCAACGGUUCUGACCCUUCCUCAAAAAAAUUCACUUAACUCUCUGUACAAAAUUUUAAAAAUGGUUUCGCUUGUUUCUAUUAAAAAUAGAGUCAAUAAGGAAUCCAGGAAUAUAAAUUUCACACCAUAAUUAUUUUUGUACAAUUUUUGGUGAUUUUCCAAAGUUAGAACAGGGGAUCCCGAAAUCAAUCCAGCCCUGUUUCAGUAAAAUUCAGAUAUCUCCAAAAAUACAACUCUUUUGCUUAUUCUAUUUAUUUCAUAUGAAAAUAGACACAUUCAGCUUCAAUUUCAUAUAUUAUUCAGCUUCCCAUUCAUUUUCCACCAUUUAUGGUGAUUUUUCAAAGUUACCCAUCUGCUGUUGUUCAACACAGUUUAUAACUAAAUCGUUCCUUUUUUCGUUUUUGAUAUUUUCUCCCAUCUCAUACAUGGAUCGAUUUAGUAUCCAACUCAAUAUUUGCCCCAUAAAAAUUUCCACCAUAUGGCAAUAUUCACCUUCCACACUUUUUCGUUGAGCACUCGGAAUGUUAACCGUUAUUGGUGGAUCUCGCACUUAGCACCACCACUUAAUCGGGGAAUCAGCACUUAGCAACCCCUUGGGGGAAUCAGCACAUAGCAACCCCCUUUUUAUUUCAGAGAUACGGUGGAUAUCGCACUUAGCACCACCAAUGAACCGGGGAAUCAGCACUUAGCAACCCCUCGGGGGAAUCAGCACAUAGCAACCCCCUUUCACAUUUCAAAGAUACGGUGGAUAUCGCACAUAGCACCACCAAUGAAUCGGGGAAUCAGCACACAGCAACCCCUUUAUGUACAACAUACUUCGGCUUAUUCCGAGUGUUCAACCCAUAAAUCAUAUAUUGCAACCCUUUACCACAUUUCCCGAUUUAACAACAUUUUUAGGAUAUGGCCAAACAUUUAUUUUAAUUCCAAAUAAAUCUCAACAUAUAUCAAUUAAUGUCAAAAUAAUACAUCAAGUCACGUGUUUACUUACCUCGGUGCAAAAUAUCGUAAUUUUGCACUUCACUUCACUCCACUAUCUUUUCUUUUCCUCGUUUGAGAUAAUCUUCACGUCUUUCUUGAUCUAUAAUAGCAAAUUUAACUCAUUUAAUGUUCACAUUCAUUAAAAUAAUCCACCACCCAACUUUUUGAAAAAUUACAAUUUUGCCCCCAAACUUUUGCAUAAUUACACUUUUGUCCCCAAGCUCGGAAAUUAAACUUCAUCACUUAUUCUUAGGUUUUAUGACAUGCUGAACAUUUUUCCCUUCUAUGGCAACAUCAAAUUCUCACUCUAACAUACACUUAUGAACAAUAAUUAUUUUUACCGAUUAUGCCUAUUUACCCGUUUUCGCUUAAAAUCGCUUAGCAAAAGUUGUUUAACAUAAUUUAUAGCUUCAUAUUCCACCAUAAAACAGAAAAAUAAACACAUUUCACCUAUGGGUAUUUUUCCAAAUAUGAGCCCUAACACGAAUUAUUGCUAGAAUAAGCUAAAUCGAGUUACGAGGAUUCCAAAAAUGCGAAGAACAUUAAAAACAGGGCUAGGAUGCACUUACUAUGAGCUUGAGAAAGCAAAGAAAACUUAGCUAUGGCUUCCUUCAAAUUUCGGCAGCAACUAAUGAGGAAGAUGAUGAUUUUUGUCAUCUUUUUCCCAUUUUAUUUUAUUUUAUUACCAAAUGACUAAUAUGCCCCAUUUAAAAAAAUCUAUUUCUCUCAUUUCUUAUGUCUAUUUUUGUCCAUCAACUAACUAAUGGUCUAAUUACCACAUAAAGACCUCUAAUUUAAAAUUUCAUAUCAAUUAGAUACUUCUACAUAUAGAACUCAACUUUUACACUAUUUACAAUUUAGUCCUUUUGACUAAAUUGAGUGCCCAAACGUCGAAAUUUUCGAACGAAAUUUUUACGAAAAUUUUCCGUGAAAUUGUAGACCAUAAAAAUAUAAUAAUAAUCAUAUUUUCCCUCGUCGGAUUUGUGGUCCCGAAACCACUAUUCCGACUAGGCCCAAAAUCGGCCUGUUACAUAUAGGCUAUUAAAAUGGUGAAAUUAUAUUUUUACAAUAGUAAAAAUUACAAUUUAAUUUCACCCCUAAAAGGAUUUUUUGGCUUCGACCCUAAUAAAAUCUUUGGCAAAAGAUUAAAAUAAAAUUAUACCGUGAAUGGAAAAAGAAACUAAGAAAAUCCAAUCUAACAAAGAAAAUAACUUUGUUUAGCAACCUUUGUUUGAUUAAAAAUGUUGAAUUAAAAAUUCCAGAAUAGAUUAAAAAUUAUACCGUGAAUGGCAAAAGAUUACAAUUUUUUUGGUAAUAUUUUAAAAUUCCAGAAUAGAUUAAAAAUGUUGAAUUAAAGAUAAAAUUAAUAACCACAAGUGUACUCAUUACUCACCAUCUCUGUUAAAAAUGAUCGAUGUUGUUUAGCAACCUUUGUUUGAUUUUCUUCAGCUCAACCACAACAUCUUUCAUAUCUUUUCUUUCUUCCGGUAACUCAGCUGAACAAUUCAAAGCCAACUCCAUGAUAGAUGAAAUACAAUUUGCUUUAACAACAAUGUACUCAUCCUCUCUUCUUAAUAAAUCAACAUCUGCAAUUUCUAUCGCUCCUUUCGGCAAUGAACUUUCCAUCCAAUGCCUUAUACUCUCUUCUUCAACAAAAACAUUACCAGUUGGCUUUUUCUUUGUGAAAGUUUCUAUAAGGACGAUCCCAUAACUAUAGACGUCAGAUUUUAUAGAAACGAUUCCUGCUGAUCCAAAUUCUGCAUUUCAAGUAUAAUUACAACAUCAUUCAUCCUCAAUUAUUUCUAAAAUGCUUAUUCAAAUAUAUAUUCACAUCCACAUGAAACAAAAAUAUAAAAUGCAAAUUAGGAAAAUAAUCAUACAAAAAUAAAAAAUAAUUCACCUGGUGCCAUAUACCCGAUAGUUGCAAGAGUCAUGGUUUGCUUCAUUACUUCACCUUCUCCCAACAAUUUGGCAACGCCAAAAUCUCCAACAUGUGCAACCAUGUCUUCAUCUAGUAAAAUAUUGCUUGGUUUUAUGUCACAAUGAAUAUAGGUGUUGGAUGUCCAUUGUGGAGGUGUUCUAUGCCUACCGCAACAUUUAUCAUUAUGUCGACCCUUUGUAUGAUAUCAAGGAAACAAUUUUCAGAAUGUAACCAUUUCUCAAGGUUUCCAUUAGACAUGUAAUCAAGCACCAAGGCUUUGAAGUCAAGACUUGAGCAGCAAGUAAUGACCUUCACAAUAUUACGAUGAACUAUAUUACGCAUAGCAUCACAUUCAAUGUCAAAACUCCUAAAUGCUCCCUCUGUUUGCAAAUUGAAAACUUUUAUUGCAACUUCCAUUCCAUCUGAAAGCCUCCCUUUAUAUACAUAUCCAAAACUCCCUGAACCAAGCAUAUUGCUUUCCUCAAAUCCAUUAGUUGCUCGUGAAAGUUCAGCAUGUGAAAUUCUUCUCGGUGUCUUCAAAGACAACAAAUCAUCUUUAAUUGGUAGAGCUGUACUCCUUCUUUGGCAUCUUCUAUACAUAAUAGUUAAGACUAUUAAUACUACGACAAUACCAAUUGUUGGUAAACCAUACCUAAAAGCAUGCAAUAUAAUCAUUUGGGAGUUUUUGUGGAUGUCGUUUUUACAAGGUGGGACUAGCAGUCUAGGUGGACCACAAAGUGCAUAAUUCUUUAUGAAUGAUGUGCUAGAAAAGUUUGAAAAACAUCCUUCGCUGGGAAUUUCCCCUUCAAGUCUAUUGAAAGACACAUUAAAAUACUUUAGAUAUAAAAGCUUCUCCAAAGAUUUGGGAAUGACUCCAGAGAGAUUGUUAUUGCAUAAAUCCAAGAAUUCCAAACUAAUCAACCCAUCAAAUGAUUCAGGGAUAUGACCAUGUAGUAUAUUAUUUGAUAAAUCUAAUGAAACCAAAGUUAUAAGACCCCCAAAUGUGGAUAAGAUAUCCCCCGUGAGAAGAUUCCUUGAUAAAUUUAGUUUCAGUAGACUCCUCAAAUUUCCGACAUCAAUAGCAUGUGAAUUGUGAAGAUGGUUUGAUGAUAAAUCUAUUUUUAAGAUAUCUUGAAGAUUCCACAAAGUUGAGGGUAUUGCGGAACUCAGUUUGUUGGAAUCUAAGUAAAGAUAUCCCAAAGAAGUAAUAUUACCCAAACAAGAGGGUAUGGAUCCAUGUAGCUUAUUCAACCCUAAAUACAUCUCGUAUAGUCUCUCCAAAUCACAAAAACUUUCUGAGAUGGGCCCUCCUAAUUUAUUAGAGGAAAGAUCUAGACCUUGGAGAUUUCGCAGUCCUCCUAUUGAUGCUGGAAUGAAUCCACUUAAUUUAUUAUGGCGAAGUUGUAAAAGCAAUAGGUUGGUUAAGUUACCUAUUUCCAUAGGAAUAAUGCCUUGAAGCUCACAAUUAGAGGCAUAAAAGUAUUGAAGGGUUUUUGAAAGGUUCCCGAUAUAAGUAGGAAGAACACCACUCAAUGGAUUUCCUGAAACAUCUAUUGUGCUCAAAUUCCUACAAUUCGUCAAAGAAGAAAGAAAGCUCCACUCAUGAUCGGUAGAAGAUCCUGUGAUCAAAUUAUUGUUUUUGAUUCGGAACCAUUCAAGGUGUCUUAAGUUGCCAAGCGUUUUAGGGAUUGGGCCAGAGAAUAAGUUAUGCGCCAAGUCUAGUUCCUUAAGCAUGGAAGCAUUGGAGAUAGAGUUGGGAAUGUUUCCGCUAAGUUUAUUUCUCCACAAUAAAAGAAUCUCAGGCUUUGGAGCAUUGGUGAUGGGUGGUAAAUUACCUGUAAAAUAUCAUCUUUUAGUAUACAUAUUCAUUGAAUACCAAAUUCACAAAAUAUAUUAUACAUUAAAAUAAAAACUGUAAAACUUUAAAUCAAUUAAGAAUAAAAUUUUGGCAUGGAAAAAUGUGAUGAAAUCAAUUACAAAGUUGAGACAUACUAAGAAGUUUCAAGUAGUAAUUAGUCUUGUGAUUUGUAUAGACAAAACAUAUAGAUUUGGGAAUGUGGCAUCUAAUCAAUCUUAAAAAUGAGACUGGCACUGAAUAAUAAUUAGUUAUGAUUUGGGAAACAAAAAGGUUAAAGCCAUUGUUUUUAAUGUAAACUGAUAUGAUUUUUAUUUAUUGGGUUAAUUAUUUAUUGUUAUUAAAUUAUAGUGUAAAAUUUAACGAUUAUUAUUUGCUCAAAAUUUCUGUAUUUUUCGUAUAUUUGAAAUUUAAUCUUUAUAUUUUUUAUUUUUUGUGAUUUAGUCUCUCUACUUUUUGAAUUGAAAAUUUUAGGUUCAUUUACUAACACUAUUAAAAAGUUUUUGUGUCUAGUAUGGCAUUUUGAAAAAUAAAAUAAACUUGAUAUCUAUGUUUUUAAUUAUUCCAAAUAUUGCUUUACUAUUUCAAGAUAAAUUAUUUGUGUCUAGACUAAUAUCUUAAGAACUAUUGUUGCAUGUUUAAUUAUCUAAAAAAUUAUCGAUUGAGUCUUAGCUUGAUUGGCAUGUGCGUUGUUGCCAAUGUAGGAGAAUGUGGGUUCAAGUAUGUUGAAGUGUAUUAUCUUCUUAUUUAUGAAUUAGGGAGUUGGUAAAGUACUAAAAUUUGAUAUAUUUUAAAAUAUUAAAAUUUAUUAAAAUAUUUUUUAUAAAAAAUGAUUCUACCACAAUAUACAAUUUUAAUAUCAAAUUUUUAAUUUUUUUUAAAAAUGUUAGCGAAUAUAUACUUUAUUUCAAGUUAUGCAAUUUUUACUAGUUUUUAACUUUUUUUCAAAUUUUUAUCGUCUUUUAUAAUUUCUAAUAAUUUUUUAUAAUUUUUUUACAAUAUUUAACAAUUUCUAAAUUUUUUUUAAUAAUUUUAUUAUGUAUUACAAAUUUAAAAAUUAACAAAUUUUUAUAUUUUUAAAAAAAUUAUAUAUUUAUAAUGUAUUUAUUUUUUAUAAUUUUAUUUGAAAUUUUAAAGAUUUUUUUGGUUUGUUUUCUAGAUGAUGAUGCCAUCAUGAUGCUAACAUAUUAUGAUUAGAUAUCUCAAUCUAUUCUUUUAACGCCCAGUGAAUGAAACCAAGAACACCUAAUGUUAAAGUGGGUAAAAACACAUUAAGGACCAAAGUUAAAAAAAGAAAAAGAAAAAGAGCAAUAUGCUGUAGGGAAUAAACUGUGCAUUAAGCCAUUAAAAAUAUAUGUAUAAUAUAUAUAAAUGCAUGGAUUUUGAGAAACUUUUGAACUGAUAAUUAUAUAGUCUUUGUUGUUUACUAUAUUAUUGAAUUUGUUAUUUUAAAUUAAUUUUAUUACUUUUAAGAUUUAUAUAAGAAUUUUGGUUUUACUAAAAUAUUUGCUUAAAUAAGUUCACUUCAUAAGAAAAUUUAGCAUCCUUAUAAAUAACAAUUUUGAUUCUAUUAAAAAACUUAUUUUAAAAAAUUAUAUAAUCAAAAUUUAAAAUUUAUAUUGAAUUACUUUAUACUUAAAUUAUUAUUAGAAACUUUAUCAUACACAUACGUGUAUGAGAACCACGUAUUUAGAACAUAAAUUUGUGUUUUAAAAUAACUUAUGAUAAAUAAUGAAAUGUAUAAUUUGAAACUAUUUAAUAAUAACACAUAGCAUAUCUACCAUAUUAAAAUAAAAAUAGAUUAAAUUGUAAGUAAAACAUAAUUUAAACAUAUGAACACAUCAAAUUAAGAAUACUAAAUGAAUAAAGUUAUUUAUAAUGAUAUUGUUGUCAAUUCCUAAAUUGGUGUCGAGUUAAUCUGUGACAUCAUAAAUUUAAGUGAUAAAUUUAAGGAUUUAUGUAUUGAUGUGGAUUCAAAUAUCACCAUAAGUUUUUUAAAAAUAAAAAACUAAAAUACCUUAAAAUACUAUAACUUAUAUUAAAUACGAAAGAGUAUUUUUGUAAUUUUCCUAACCGAGUUGGUGCCCGGUUGACUCAUGACACCAACUCAAUUAAAAGAUUUAAUAAUAAUAUAGAUAUUCACGUUAAAAAAACAAAAAAAAAGUACUUUAGUUCCAAAUAAUUAUAUAACAAGUAAAUUUAUAAUUGAUGAAUAAAUUUAUAGAUAAUAUAUUUAUAUGAUCUAAUAUAUUAUAUUAAUAUUAAUUAUAUAUCAUCUACAAUCUUUGAAGAUCAAUUUAUUAAGUAUCAAGAAAAGAAAAAAAUGAAAUUGAGUUAACACUAAAUCAAUUUUUAGAUUUUGUACAGAUGAUUUAAUGAUGAUAAAAAAAUUAUUAGCACUAUUUUUGAAUUAACAAAAAAUUAGUGAUAUAUUUUAAUUAUAUUUAUUAUUUAUUAUUUUUAAUAAUAUUUUUUAAAAUUAUAUGAAGUAAAAUUAUACUGUAUACUAAAUAUGGUACAUAUACUUUAAUUGUAACUUGAAAAUUUAUUAUAUAAAUUAAUAUAUUUUAAUUAUAUUCAACCAUUUGAAUAACAAAAUAAAAAAAAACUAAUUAGAAUAAUUUUUAGAAAAAAGAAAAAACAUUAUUUAAAGGCUAGUUAAAAAUCACGUGCAACAGGUGAUAUGAGAAUCUAUGUAUAUAAAUGUGUAUAUAUAUAUCGUUGUUUCAUUUUUUUUUUAAAUAAAUAUAUUUUCCACAUUGGUUUCUUUUCUUGUACAGACAAAGGAUUUCUAAUGAUUUUAAAAAAAAAAAUUUACUUAUAUAAAAUAGAUCAGUUUAUUCAGUAAAAUAAAUCAAUUCAUAUAAAUGUUAUUGUUUAUUAUCAGAUUGAAAUGAUAAAAGUAUAUGACAUAAAUAGAAGAAACAAAUUCAACACAAUGUUUUCCGAGUUUGGAAAAAAUUAAAGUGAAAAACAUACCUUCUAAUUUGUUGCCAUAUAGAGCUAUUACUUCGACCAUAGUUGAAUUAAAAAUACUUGAUGGAAUCUGACCUGCAAACAUAGUUGAAAAUUGAAGUAAAAAACAUACCUUCUAAACUCUUCAACUAAAAAUACUUUAAGCAUAUUUUUUUUCCCAUCAAAUUAACUAUUUUGCCUUGAAUGAAAUAAAAUGCUCUUACUUUUGUUAUCUAUUACAAAUCAAAUUCUUCUAUGAAAAAAUAUUUUAAAUUAAAGAAACAAAGAAAAUUCAAUAUCUUCUAAGUAAAGCACUUCAAGCUUGGGAAGAUCAUUAGGCAAACUACCUGAUAUGCCAGUGUUGGAGAGAUCAAUGAUCUUCAGAGAAGAAAUGUUGAAGAUCGAAGUUGGAAUCUGACCUGUGAGGCCUUUAAUUUCUUUAAUACUAAGCAGCUCCAAACCAAGAAGAUUACCGAUUUCCUCAGGAAUUUGACCUGCACACAUAUUUAGUCGAAAAAUCAAGAUGUCAAACUGCCUAUAUUGUUAGCAUAAGUCAAAGAGGUUUUCGUUUCUGCUCUACAGUAAUUUGGAGAUGUUAGAUUUAAUAUAUUUCAGCAUAUGUUUUUCAUCAAAUGAAAUAAAAAAGUUUUUCCUUUUGUUAUCUAUUAAAAAUCAAACUCUUUUAUAAAAAAAUACUUUAAAUUUAAGAAAUCAAGGAAAUUGAUUACCUUCUAGAUUAUUAAACCCCAAAUAUAAUUUCUGGAGUUGUGUUAGAUUUCCAAUACUUCUUGGAAUGAUCCCCAUAAAUUGAUUAUAGGACAACGACAAACUUUUAAGGUUGCUGCAUUUGCCCAUGCCAAAUGGAAUGUUACCAGAUAAUUCAUUCCAACUCAGGUAAAGCUCUUCAAGCUUGGGAAGAUGUUGACACAUAUCAUUAGGCAAACUACCUGAUAGGCUAUUGCUGGUGAGACUAAUAGAUUUCAAAGAAGAAAUCUUGAAGAUGGAAGAUGGAACCUGGCCAGAUAAUUGAUUCAAUUCCAAGUUCAAGAUCUCUAGGUUAGACAUGUUAACAAGUGUUUCAGGGAUUGUGCCUGUAAAGUUAUUAUUUUUCAUUUUCAGCGUUCGAACUCUCUGUAAGUUCCCAAGCCAUGAUGGAAUUUCUCCAUUAAGACGGUUGUAGCUUAAUCGAAGGAUCCUCAAACGAUGCAAUUGGCCCAAUUCUUUAGGGAGAUAGCCAUAGAAAUGGUUGCUACUCAAGUCGAGUGAGAGUAGAAGUGAAAGAUUUCCAAGGUGUGGAGGGAUAGUACCCCUAAGAUUCAUGCUUGUAAGAUUCAAAGCUAUAACUCUUUUAUGGAGGAUGCCACAAGUAACACCAAUCCAAUUGCAAACAGAGGUUGAGGCCGUCCAAUUGUUUGCCAAGACAUUUUGAGGACCGGCAAUGUGAUCCUUAAACUCGAGAAGUGCAAACUGAUCGGAGUUGAGAUUCUUGACUGUCAUAGCCAAGCAAAGUACGGAACAUGGUAUGAAUAAAGCUAAGAGAAGAUGAAAGCCAGCGUUGUAGUUCAUGAUUGCAAGACGGAAUAAGGCAAGAAAAUAAAAAAAAGUAGGAAAAGGGAAGUUGAGCUGAUAAAAUAGUUUGGAUGAUGAAGAAAAGCCCAGAGAGCAUGCUUUAAUAUGUUUCAACCCUCGUACACUUGAUAAACUUGAUAAAUUUAAGACUACCCUAAAAAUUAAAAAGGAAAGCAAAGUUUUGAAGAAAUUUCAAAAUAAAUGUCAAGUCUUCUUCUUUAGAAAAUACGUACAAAGAAUCGAAUUUUCAAAAUUUCUCCUAAAUUUUCUUCACGUUACUCCACAUAAUCCAUUAAAAAUACUUAAAAAUAUAUUUUAAUAAUUACUAUAUAUUCUUUUAUUUAAUAAAUUGUUUAAAAAUGCUAUUAGUCCCUGUAAUUUAAAAGUUAAAAAAAAAAUCCAAUCCUCCUAUUUUUCUAAUUUGAAAAUUCUAGUCCAAUAAUUCUUAAUUCCAUUAAAAAAUUUCAGCUUAAUAGGUUUUUUAUUAUCAAUCAUAUGCAACAGUAUAUGAAUGCAGUCUACUCAGCAUAUAUCCAAGUUUACAGAUUUUAAUAGAAAAUACUUACAAUCCUAAUGGUAGGACUAAGUUUUUUAAACUAGAAAAGUGAGAAGACUUAAUUUUUAACUUUUUAAGCACAAGGAUUAAAUUUUAAAUGUUGUCAAAGUACAAGCACUAACAAAAUAUUUUGAUCUAAUAAAUGUAAAAAACUUUUUAAACAAAAUAAGGUUGAAAUAAUCUAUUUGUCCUUGUACUUUGAUAAAAUUUGAGAUUUAGUCCUUAUAUUUAAAAACUUAAAAAUUAAGUCUUAUUGUUUUUAUUUAAAAAUCUUAGUCCUAUCCUUAAUUUUAUUUUAUCAAAAUUGGUCAACUUUACAUAUUAAUUAGGUUUCCCUUAUAUGUCGCGGUAUCAAUCAAAACUUAAUUAAUAUCCAUCAAUAUCCAUCAAUACGUCAUACAUAAAAAAAGCAAGCAUAAAAUACAGUUAAAAGUCCUCCUUUUAUUAUUAAAUGUUUUAUUUUAGUUAUUUUAAUCAAAUAUAUCCAAAUUACAAUAGAGUUAACAUUUAUUGUGUAAAAAAUAUUUUAAAUUUUUUUUUCAAUUUUAGUUUAAUUCUAGAAGAAAUAUUUCAUUUAUAAAAUCAUAAAACUUUAAAAAUAUUAACUCUGUUAAAUAAAAAUUAUUUUUUUAAAUAGUAAAUGUUAACUUUAUUAACACAAAUGGGCCUCAGUAAUUGACAAGCUCUUCCACAAACUGUGGAAGAUUUGGGGAUAAAAGCUUCAAUAAUUAUGGAGUUAUAGUGUAAAUUUGCCACUAUAUUAUAAGUGUAUUGAAAUUUAUCACUAUAUUUUAUUUGAUGUUUAUCAUUACACUUUGAAAAUAUAAGUAAAUUUACCAUUUAACUCAGAUUUACCUUUGCAAGUAAACUUAAAAUUUUAUUUAAUUUUGUCACUAAAUUUGAUUUGUUCAAUAUAGAUUUUGGUGACUUAAAACUCACUAAAUUUGAUUUUUUCAAUAUACAUUUUGGUGACUUAAAACAAAAUUAAUAAAUAAUUAUUCUUUUGGAUAUCUUUUUAAUGUUUAAUAAUAAGUUAAUUUAUAAAAUAUACUGUCAUUGGACACAAGCCUCUAAGGCGGUGAACCACUAAUCAAAUUAAUUUGGAGAUAUCUUUUUUUCUAAAUAAAGUGAAUUUACGAGUUUUGUUUUCUUUUAAAAACAUUUUUAAUAUUUUUGUGGAUAUCAAAAAAUUUUUCAAUAAGAAAUUUUAAUUCACUCGAAAAGUUAGUGUUUUAUUUCAAGGGGUCAUAAUUAAUCAUUAGAUUUCCCAAUUUUAAAUUUUAAAUUUUUCGACAAUUGCGUAAUUAAUAAGUACCAAUUUUGAGUGUUGUAGGGCUAGUACAAUCUUCCUUACACAUAACCGACUCUUAAACCUACUCUUUUCUCUAGAAUUCAAUGCAAACAUCGAAUUUAUCUUUUGAAAAGAAUUUUAAAAUAAUAUAAAAGGUGUUUUUUUAUGACUGAUCACACUUAACAAAAAUUUAAAAAUUAUUAAAAAAAUUUCAUUUUGAAAUUUAAAGUGAUCUAAAAACAUAUUUUUAAGUGCUUUGGACCAUCUGUUGCUGAUUUCCUUAUUAUAUUAAAUGUUUGCAAUCACUCCUAAUAUAUUGUGCUUGAGUUGUGACAGAGCAAAUCGCCAACGUGCCAUAUUGAUCUAUUGAUGCUGAAACUGAAGUUUUUGUUAUAUUGAUAGAGCUUGUCCUUCAACGCAUACAACGUGUUUGUUAUUUUUCUCCCUUCAAAUUGUAUGAUCUUAUUUAUUUAAUGAAUUAAUGAAUUUCCCUUUUAAAAAGAUAUAUUUUUAAAAUUAAAUACUUUAUAAAAUAUUUAAAACUACUUAAAAAAUUGUAAGCCUUAAAACAAUCAACAAAAUAUAUUUUUCUCUAAAAAAAUCAAUAAAAAUAUGUUUAAAAUUUUAUAUGAAAUUAAAUUUUUUUUAACAAUAAUAUAUUUUAAAAUUAUAGUAACGCUAUAAAAUAUAUAUAUACAUAUAUAUAUAUAUUUACUAAUUAUAUACACCUUUCCAUACAUCCUUUUUCUACAUAGAAUUUCAAAAGUAAAUGUGAAUUAAUGUAGGCGUAAGAAGACUUACAGGUAAGUCACCCAACGAAAGUGUCCUAAACCGACUUAUGGAAGAAUCAAACAAUAAUUUUGUAUCGUAUAAUAUAUUUAAUUACAUUUAUUAGUUUAUCAAUCAAAACUUAAGUAGAAUCCAUCAAUAUUUCACACAUCAAAACCCAAACAUAAAAUUCACUUUUAAAUUAUUCGGGGAAUAUUUGUAUUAUAGGAAAUGGAUUAAAUUAGACUUUUAUUAUUAAAUGUAUUAUCUUAAUCUUUGUAUUAGGUAUGAAUGAUAUCUCUUAGAUUGAAGCUAGAGCUAUUCUUGAAUGAUUGAAAUUAAGAUUAAGAUGUGUUGAGAUGGAAAGUGGCAACACAAUGCUGAUUGAUGCUAUUUGUAAUGGGUUGGCUACAAUAAGUAGUGCUGCUGAAGUAAGACAAAUUUAUGAUUGGUGUUCCAAAAUUUUGGGAAGUCAAAUUUUGACAUUUUCAGCGGAAUGCCAAUAAAGUUGUUGAUUGCAUAGCUAUGGCAGAUGGAGGCAUAAUUGAGCAGCUGGUUAUCUUGAAAGAUCCUCUGCAUUAUGUGAGAUACUAGCUUGAAGAAGAUAUUAGACGGUCACUGGUGACUGAUGAUAAUUUUCAUUUGGACUGAUGAGCGCUUAAUUUUCUAAGCUUAUGGUCAACCAAAAAAAAUAAAUAAAUGCGUCUAAAUUGUAAUAGAGUUAACAUUUAGUGUUUAAAAAAAUCUUAAAAUUUUUUUUUCAAUUGCAGUUCAAUUCCAAAAAUAUCGAUGAUGAACCCGAACAUAAAAAUUACCAAAAAAAAAAACACAUCUAUUAUCAAACCAACAAUCCAUGUCUAAACUUAAAUUAACAAAAUUCGCCACCCAACCCAAUACACUAUUUUAUAUAUAUAUUAGAUUUAUUCUAGAUGCGCAUGUUUUAUUAUAUUUAAAAAUUAAAAUAUAUGGUUGACUGAGUUUUAGCUGAGUUGAUAUUGGUAUUAUUGUUAGUGUAAGAAAAUUUGAGUUUAAUCGUGUUCAAAUGUGUUUUAUCCUCCAAUUUAAAGGUUAGGAAAAUAUUAUUGAUAAUUAAAUUAUACCAACUUGAUGAUAUUAAAAAAAGGAUGUAUAAAAAAUAUAAGGGAGAAAAAAAAAAGGAGAAACAUAUUCAUAUUGAUGGGCUCUUUCAAUAUUAGACUUUUUUUCUCUCACAAGUAAAAGUAGUUAUGGAGAGGAUCAUGUAAAAUAAUAGCCUGAAUAAUUUUAAACGUCUCAUCAUUGCAAAAAUGAAAUAGUAGAAAAGAAAGAGUAGACAUUCUAUGAAAUUUAUAAUUCCAACCGUGAAUAAAAUAUAAAUUUUAUGAAUGUGGACAAGCAAUUUUAUUUAACUUUUUUUAAAGUCAUUUUGUUUGUUUCCUAAUCACCAUGAAAUUACUUGUCACAAUUCAUCUUUUUAAAUGAGAAACAUUUUCCACAAUUUGCCAUCACUUUAACAUACACUAACUUUUCUAUGAUUAGUCCUUUGUUUGCUUUGGGUGCAAUCUUCCAACUAGCCUCAUCCUUGGUUUUACUUUCCAACAUUUAGUGUAUUACGAGUUUUGUUUUCUUUAAAAAAUAUUUUUGUGGAUAUUAGGAGAUAAUGAAAUUAUUUUACUAUGAAAUUUUAAUAAAACUGGAAAAUAAGUCAUUUAUUUUAAGAGAUCACAAUUAAACAUUAGAUUUCCAAUUUUUUAAUUUUAAUUUUUUUUGACAAUUGCAUAAUAUUUUGAGCGUUGUAGGAAUGCCAUAACCUUCCCUACGCAUAAUCGACUCUUAAGUAUGAUGGAUCCUAGACCUUCUCCUCUAUUCUUGUACCACAAAUUGCUUCGAGUGUGGGUUCGGAAAAUCACAAAUUAAGCACAAAACCAAAAAUGAUUUUGUAACACCCCAAACCCAGCCUAGUCAUUAUGGAUUAAUGUAGACCUGAGAAGACUUAAUUACAUUUAUUAGUUUAUCAAUCAAAACUUAAUUAGAAUCCAUCAAUAUUUCACACAUAAAAAACCCAAACAUAAAAUUCACUUUUAAAUUAUUUGAAGAUAUAUUUGUAUUAUAGGAAAUGGAUUAAAUUAGUCUUUUUAUUAGUAAAUGUAUUAUUUUAAUCUUUUUAUUAGGUAUGAAUGAUAUCUCCUAGAUUGAAGGCAGAGCUAUUCUUAAAAGACUAAAGUUAGGAUUCAGAUGUGUUGAGAUGGAAAGUGACAACGCAAUGUUGAUUGAAACUAUUUGUAACGGGUUGACUACAAUAAGUAGUGCUACCGAAGUAAGACAGAUUCACGAUUGGUGUUCCAAAAAUUGGAAAGUCAAAUUUCGACAUAUUCAGCGGAAUGCCAAUAAAGUUGUUGAUUGCAUAGCUAAGGCAAAUGGAGGCAUAAUUGAGCAGCUGGUUAUCUUGGAAGAUCCUCCGCAUUAUGUGAGAUGCUAGCUUGAAGAAGAUAUUAGACAGUCACUGGUGGCUGAUGAUAAUUUUCAUUUGGACUGAUGAGCGCUUAAUUUUUUAAGCUUAUAUUCAACAAAAAAAAAAUUAAAUACGUCUCAAUUGUAAUAGAGUUAACAUUUAGUGUUUAAAAAAUAUCUUAAAAAUUAUUUUUUCCAAUUGCAAUUCAAUUCCACAAAUAUCAACGAUGAACCUGGACAUAAAAAUUACAAAAAAAAAAAAACACAUCUAUUAUCAAACCAGCAAUCCAUGUCUAAACUUAAAUUAACAAAAUUUGCCACGCAACCCGAUACACUAUUUUAUAUAUAUACUAGAUUUAUUCUAGAUGCACAUGUUUUAUUAUAUUUAAAAAUUAAAAUAUAUGGUUGACUAAGUUUUAGUUGAGUUAGUAUUGGUAUUAUUGUCAGUGUAGGAAAAUGUGAGUCUAAUUGUGCUCAAAUUUGUUUUAUACUCCAAUUCAAGGGUUAGGAAAAGGUUAUUGAUAAUUAAAUUAUACCAACUUUUAUGAUAUUAAAAAAAGGAUUUAUAAAUAAUAUAAGGAAAAGAAAAAAAGAGAGAAACAUAUUCAUAUUGAUGGGCUCUUUCAAUAUUAGACUUUUUUUCUAUCACAAGUAAAAAUAUCAAAGGUGAUAAUAAUUAAAUUAUAAAAUUUAAAUUGAGAAAAUAGGGGAUUGAAUUUAUAACUUUUAAAGUAUAAAGAAUGAAUUUAUAACUAACAACAUAUUUUAACCACACAAUAAAAGUAGUUAUGGAGAGGAUCAUGUAAAAUAAUGACCUGAAUAAUUUUAAACGUCUCAUCCUUGCAAAAAUGAAAUAAUAGAAAAGAAAUAAGUGUUGGGUGUAGUGGCAAUGUACAUUAUACUUCUAAGGGGAGAUCAGGGUUUUAUACAAGGGAAGAAUUUUAAACCUGCUUUUUUCUCUAGAACUCAACGCAAACCUCAAAUUUAUCUUUUUAUAAGAAUUUUAAUAUAUCUAUAUAAAAGGUGAUUUUUUUGCCGAUCACACUUAACAAAAUUUUAAAUUUUUUUUUUUGAAAUUUAAAGUGAUCUAAAAACAUAUUUUUAAGUGCUUUAGACCAUCCUGUGUUGAUUUCUUUAGUAAUUUGAUUUGUUCAAUAUAGAUUUUGGUGACUUAACACAAAAUUAAUAAAAAAUAUUUUUUCAGAUAUCUUUUUAAUGUUUAAUAAUAAGUUAAUUUAUAAAAUAUACUUUCAUAGGACACAGGCCUCCAAGGCGGUGAACCACUAAUGAAAUUAAUUUUGAGAUACUUAAAUUUGUUUUCAUCAAUUAAGAAAUUUGAAAAAUUGUUGAGACCUCAUGAUUAUCUUUUAUAAUUUCAGGCUUAUCACCAAAAAACUAAAAAACAAAAUCGUCGACAUUAAAUUUGUUGGCAUGCAAUCAAUUUUAAGAUGGUUUUUGGAGUUAUAUAUCACUUUAGCAUGGACUUACUUUUCUACAGUUAGUCUUCUCCAACAAGUUAAAUAUUUCAAUUUUAACAACAUUGACAGGUCUUUGGGGUAGGGUCGAGCAAAACUCAAUAGAAAUAGAUGAUAUAGAUUGAGUUAGCUCGGCCAAGUCGAGUCGACUUGUUCAAAUUAGUUAAAUUAGUAAAUUUUAGGGUGCAGUUAGAAUUUUUUUUUGUUUUGAGAUGCUAAGAUUAAAAAAUUUCAGUUGCUAAAACAAAAAAAUUGUAUUUAAAAAAAGGCAUAAAGAAAGGCUGAAUGACAAAUUGCCCAAAGCCCAUGCCCCUAGCUAUACGCCCCUGGUAAAAUCAAUUUUAAAAUUAGUUAUAAUAGUUGAAGCGAUUGAUUAUUGAGGAAUGAAAUACAUAGUUCAACAAAAUAAAUAAGUUGACAAAUUUUGACAAAAAAAAUCAAAAAUAAAAUAAUAGAAAAGAAAGAGUAGCCAUUUUAUGAAUUUAUAAUUCCAACCGUGAAUAAAAUAUAAAUUUUAUGAAUGUGGACAAGCCAUUUUAUUUAUAAUUUUCUGUGUUUUUCUUCUUUUCCUGACUUUUUUUUAAAGUCAUUUUCUUUGUUUCCUAAUCACCAUGAAAUUACUUGUCACAAUUCAUCUUUUUAAAUGAGAAACAUUUUCCACAAUUUGCCAUCACUUUAACAUACACUAACUUUUCUAUGAUUAGUCCUUGGUUUGCUUUGGGUGGAAUCUUCCAACAAUUAGUGUAUCACGAGUUUCGUUUUCUUUAAAAAAUAUUUUUGUGGAUAUUAGGAGAUAAUGAAAAUUAUUUUACUAUGAAAUUUUAAUAAAACUUUAAAAUAAGUAAUUUAUUUUAAGAGAUCACAAUUAAACAUUAGAUUUCCAAUUUUUUAAUUUUACAAUUUUUUGACAAUUACAUAAUUAAUAAGGUACCAAUGUUGAGCGUUGUAGGAAUGCUAUAACCUUCCCUAAACAUAAUCGACUCUUGAGCAUGAUGGAUCCUAGACCUUCUCCUCUAUUCUCGUACCACAAAUUGCUUUGAGUGUGGGUACGAACAAUCACAAAUUAAACACAAAACCAGAAAUGAUUUAUUACUUUUAAUAGCAAAGUAAUUCUCUCUCAAUAGAAACCAAUAGAAUUGUAAUUCCCAUAAAAUAAAAUUUAUUUUCUGAAAUAUAUUCUCACUACUUUCUAGCAGAGUAACAAUAUUUAAAACUUAUGUCUUGUGUUAAUAGCUUUACUAGCACUAUCUAUUUAUAGGGAGAGAGAUGAGAGUCCUGGUUGAAUUAGUAAAACACGAAUAAUAUUUAUUUCAUAGAAGACAAUUUCAUAGAAAACUUAUGUCUUGUGUUAAUAAUGUUGAAUUUGUAUGUACAAGUUUCUAAUACACUUGUUGGGACAUUCUUUGACUUUUAUCUAUUCUCUCAAAAAGUUAAAGUUCAAAGUUGCAUUAAACUCAAAUAAGAUAACCAUUAGCAAACCAGCUCACAAGCCUGCUCAAGCUAAUCCUACAAGUCAUUCCACUUCAUCAUCAAGCACCAAUGUUCUUGCUUAUCCUUAUGGAAUUAAACAAAAGAAAAAAGCUCUUUAAGAGUUAUUUCAAUAGACUUCUUUAAUGGUAAAUGACAAUCCACUCUAUUGAUGCUUCUUCGCCCAACUCAUGAUUUAAAAGAAGUUUAUACUCAUGGAUCAAGUGUAGCUCACCAGUUAUCAUUAAGGAGAAAAAAGAGUCAAUCAAGUGAAAAUUAUAUUCCAACAUCCCCCCUGAACCAAAUUUUAGAGUGAUGAAUGUCAUGACAACUGACACUACAUUCUUAGAAGAAUAAGUAGAUCUCUAGCAAAAACGAUGGAGAGUCUUACUACAAGCAUAAAAGGAAUGGAUGAUCAAAUUGAACAUCUUAGAGGAAGUAACCAAACCUUUUCCUACGAAACUCAACAUCCUCUUCACAAAGUUGUUGGAAUCAAAAUUGUUGAAGGACUUUAAAGUGUUUCUUUAGAUCAAGUUAAGGAGCUCAUUAAAGAAACCAUUAAAGAUCAAGUCAAAAGUGUUGCUCUACCUUCAUAUACAUACUUGAAGCCAUACAUUUGAAGGGCUUAUCAUUUGAAUAUGCCUGAACAUUAUCCACCUCCAAAAUUGCAAUAGUUUGAUGGUAAAGGAAAUCUAUGUAAACAUGUCGCUCACUUCGUGGAAACUUGUGAUUGCGUCGAUGUAACACCCCACUCGCGACCUAAUCGCUGGAUUCGAGAAGAGAGAUACCGAAAUCAUGUUGGAAAAAUCUAGUUUGAAAAUGGUUUUAUUUAUAGAGGAAAAUAAAAAUUUUGAAAACUGACUCGGUUUGUGAUAUUUAUGGCAAUAAAUGUUAAACUGAAAUCAUAAAUGUGCUUUUGAAUAAGCAAAUCCUUGAUGUUUUCUAGCUUUAAACCAAAUUAUCUUCUUCACUAUUCUCAUACCACAAAAUGCUUUGAAGUGUGGACUUGAACCAAUUGAAUCAAAACACAAAACUUGAAAAAGCUUUUUAUUCUUUUCGGGGUGAAACCUAAAAUUUUCUCUUAUUUAAUAGAAACCAGUAGAAAUGUUUAUUUUGGAAAAAUAUAUUUAAUAGUUAAGAAUAAAUUCUCCUUAUUUUUCAAUAGAGUAACAAUCUCUCAAAGUUGUAUAUAAAUCCCUACUGAUGCCAGAUAUUUUUAAGAAGAGAAGAUAGAACCCUUGUGGAAUUGUAGAAGCUUAUUUCAACUAGAAAAAUAACUUCCUACUUAGAGUAGGAGCAGGUUGGAUGGCAUCCCCUGUCGCCCCUUCGUUUUCCAUGAAGGGAUUUUGGAUCUCUCUCACAUUAGAUCCAACUAUGAGUGCUUUUCGAGCAUUUAGACUCAGUACUUUGUAAUUUGACCCAACUCAAUUCUAUUUUUUUAUUUCCCAAAAUAAACUUCAAUAUUUUAUAUUAAAUAAUUUUCUCAUCCAAAUUUUACCCUCAAUAGAAUUUUUGAGAAAAUAUAUUUAAUAUUUCACAAUUCAACUUGUUCAUUAUGAUCGAAUGAUUUAUUUUCAUUUUCUAGAUUUUAUAUAGCUGAAAAACAUAAACUCAUUCUCCUGAUCAUUUUUAAGUAUAUUCAUCUACAUUUGAAAAUGAAUCAUUUCUCAUUUUCGUUUCCAAAUGAUUUCAUUUCUCCAUUUCGAAGAAAUGUAUAAUCAUUCCUGAAUGUUUGUCAUUUCUUUAUUUCUAUUCAUUUCGAUUCAAACAUGCAAUUCAUUUAUGGUUUCAACGAGCUAGUGAAGGGACUAAUUGGACAUAUACAAUUAGGGCUCAAAUGAUUUAUAUUUGAAGUUUCAACUUUUCAUCUAUUAAUUAUAAACUCAUUUAGUCAUGAAGUCAUUCCACUAUAGUAUCAUGGCUGAGCUUGUGGUUCCCCAAACUUGGACGAGACAGUCUGACCCAAAAUUUGAAACUUACAUUAGCCACCAAAAUGAUUCUCUGUUAAAAUACUACAAAACAGACCAACCAACCAUGCAGGCCACACAUUUUCAACAUAAAUCAUAAUACAAUUAAUCCUAAUUGCAUGCCUUUCUAAACAUACCAUAAAAAAUGAAGAAAAAAAAUUCAUAUUUAGGUCACCUGUGAACCCACCCACUUAGAAACCUAGUAGCACGCAUCAACUUGGCGAGCACCAGCUGAAGACCUCCUCGCGACCCCCAGCUCAUUGCUAGCCCUACGAACCACUAGUUUGCUACUACCCUGUGAUCCCUAAAUAUUGGCAAACCUAGACACACAACUCCCCUUUUAUUUUAAUAGACUACUCAAGUCGUUGGCUCACUUGCGAACUCCUCUAUUUAGUGAACCUACCUAAUAAGGCAAACUCACUAUCCUGACGUACGCAUUAACUAUGGAGAACCUUCUAUUGCUUGGCGUACUCCCUCCUAAUGGCAAACACUAGGUUAUAUAGGGCUAGUCUAUACUAGCGGACUCCCUAUACUUUGGCGAACACUCUAUUAGGGAACUUAUGGUUUUUGGUGAACACACUUUUGUUUGGCGAAACCUACCUUUGGUGAACUCACCCCUAUUGUUGAACACUGUGUUAUGGUAAGGUCCUAUUCCCUUAUGACCCCUGUCUCACACUAUGCUAGGUUGGCUCGUAAGUAUUCUUUCAAUGCGUUAUUACUUCUAUAACAUGCAUUCUAUGUUAUCACUUUAUCUCAACCAAAAAAUUGGUUCAAGGGCGUACCUCAAAAUUCGGCGAACUCCUUGUUUUACAUAAGUAUGUUAGUUCAUCAAUUUACCUAGCAAAAUCAUGUAUUAUAAUCCAAACAAUCAAGCAUUCAAUCAAGCACUUAUAAAGUCUAAAAAUCCAAAAUUUAAAUAGUUCGUAAUAUCUGUUUACAACUUGUCAAAGUUUAUUUAAAAAUUCUAGGUCUACAUCUGAUUCCUUAGGAUAGUCCCACAUUGCCUUCAACUAUAGGGUUUGUAAAAACAAAUCACGUACUCGAAUGGAUUUGCCUUAUGUUGCAUCACUAGAUUGCCAUGCUUCACAACUAGUCACGUGAACUACUUAUCUGCAAGAUAUAUGCAAGGAGUGUGAGCUUAUUGAAGCUCAGAGAAUGCUUAAGCACACAACACAUAAAACACAUCAGUCAUGCUAAAAUUUAGACAUGUUGUAACAAUUCACAUAAAAUAUAAUAAUCAUGCUCGUCAUAGUAAAAUAAUGGCAAUUUGUGAAUAUGAAACAUAAUCAUAUUAUAUAUGCAUUGGAUAAGUAGAUCUUUAGAAUACUCCAAAUGACAUAGAGAGUCAUGCGCUAUCUUUGAUAAGUGUAGUAUGAAUGCUCACACUCUCCAAACACUCCAUACUAUCCUCAAAAUUGGAGCUAAGCUCGACAUUCCCUUAUCUCUCCAAUGCUAUCUUCAGGCCAUAAUGCCCCAUCAUAUAGUAAAAAUGGUGAGUACUCACAAUCCUAUGACAUGCCAAUGAUAUCUAACGGUUUCAAGUGUUCACAAUGCCAACAUAUGAUUUUUAUUUCAUUCACUUUACACAAUUUAAAAGGCCCACAAUAUAGUAGAUCUCACAUAUAAUAGUUCUUAAUAACACAACUCACAUUUUUGUAGGGCUCGCAUGAUACAUAAGUUCGUAAUAACAUAGAUUCGCAUAACACUUAUGGCUCACAUAUAUUUAGGGCUCGAAUGCAACAUUUGGGUUUCCAUAUAUUUAAACUAGCAUAAUACAGGGGCUCGCGUAACAUGUUUUGGCUUGCAUGUAAUAUAGGGCUUGAUCACAUAUAUAGGUUUGCAUGAUCUUAGGGUUCGCAUCACAUAUAUAAGUACGCAUGAUACAUGGGUUCACUCAACAUGUAUAUAUAAACUUGCACAUCAAAGUAUAGGCUCGCAUGCAUUAAGGUAAUAGAUUUUGCAAACAAUUUAGAGCUAGCACACAUCUUAGGCUUGCAUACAUACAUGUUAGCAAGGUCUGCAGGUCACAAAUCGGGGCUCGAAUAACUAUAGAGGCUUGCAUAGAAAUAUAACAGUGUUCGCAUAUCAUUUUAAUCAGCUUCACACAUUAAAUCAGAUAGUUUGUAUGCCUUACUUGGCUUUCAUUAGCAUGCGAACUCUUGUUUUUGACGUAGUGUGUAAGGACACUCACUAGUUGUUUGUUGAUACUGUCAAACCUAUACCACAUUUUGCUUGACUUUUUCCUUGCUUGUAGAUGCACCUUUAUAUUGAGAGGCUUUGCAUAAAACAAGAAAAUAUACAGAUUGCUACUUUCACAAACAUAUUAACCUUCUUAACUAACAUAGCAGCUCACCACUUCUAAAUUUACCGAACUCACCUCAUGUGACCUUAAACUUUUAGUUACUUUAUUUUAGUUCAAUUAAAUCCCCAAUUAUUACUUCCUAAUCUCAUAAGUAAGGUUUAAUUAUAGAUCUAGGCCAUUAAUUUUAGUCAAUUCUUAAAAUCAACAUUUUUCAAAAAAUCAUGCUCAUUUUCUAUCUCAAGAAGAAAAAUCACUUGAUUCAUGCAAUUCCUUUAAGGAUUUGUUAAAUCAAGUUUAUAAACCUCUUAAUUAUGCCAAAAUGAGUUAAAAAUUAUUUUAAAAUCAUGACUUAGCUCACUAUUAUGAGAUUCACCAUUUUUUUAUAUAAACCAAGCUUUAAAGCCAUAGAUCCAAUGAUUUCUCUUGAAACUUCAGGUGCAGUGCACUAACUAUGAAUAAUGUGGACUGAAUAUGUUUUUGGUACUCCAUGGAACUCCUCCUUCAACCACAAAAUCCCAACCCAAUUUAUAUGCAAUAUGUCACACAAUCUCAUACAUAAUCCUAUCUUAAUACUUUUCACAUUCAUUUGACAUGCUCAGCAUGUCCUCAAUAAUCACAUACUUUCAUACUUUUAGAAAAUGGAAACAGUGUUCCAAAGUUUCAAUUACCAUUGUGUUGGUAUCAAUCAAUAUCAUUCAAUUACACAUACUUUAUAGAUUUCCAUUGUGUUUAAAUAGCACCCUUUUCAAUACACAAUAUAAAAAAUAUCUCAUGCAUUUAAUCAUACAUAAGCUUUAUAUCUCAACACAUUAUAUCAUUCAGUCAAACAUUCUCAUAUCUUAUAAUUCAAAUAUGCAAUUACAAACUCAAUCAAACAUUCAUACUAUCAAACUAGCAAUUUUGCCAACAUGUUAAUCUUUUAAGGCUCAAAACAUAAUUGGUUCAGCCACUCACAAAAUCAAUAAUUUGGCUAUUAAGCCAAUCCAAUCAACAAGCUAAUUUAUCACAUAUAACAUGAUAUUUAACAUUUUCAAAAAAAAUUAUAAGUUUAGGACCCACGCAUUAUUUUUUGCUUCCUCGCAACAUACUAGCGAAUCUUCCAAUCUUCCUUAAUAAUUCCUUAAACGAACCUAAACCAAAAUGAAGCAUAAAUUCAAUCAAUUUACCAUUAAGCCAACCCCCAAACACCCACUUGUGAGUUCAAACUGAUCAUUGAAAUUAAAACUACUUUAUGAAUCCAAACUAGUUAGAUUCCUUAAACUGUAUCGAUGCAAAUCGUACGUACAAUCGUUCUUCACCUUUAUGGAUGAUUGGGGGUGUUUGGGUCAGCACCUAAUUCAAUAAUAUACUGGAAAAUCAGUAGUUAAUCAAUGAUUAACUUUCUUUAUUUAACCAAUUCAUAACCUUUACCCAACAACUAUGCCAAAAUAACAAACUAGUUUACAAUUAAUCGUACUUAUACUUCUCAAAUUAUAAGAUUCGAAUGGCUAAUUGAUCAAGAAUGUCUUUUGUAACAUCCCAAAAAUUAGGUUAGAAGAAAUGAGAUUUUGAAACCAAGAGUGGUCAUCCCUCGAUUAUGAGUUUAUAUCUUGGAAAAUUUGACAAGUAAAUUGAUCUGGCUUAAUGGUUAAUUGCUAUGGUUAUAUGUGUUAGGUUCUGGGUUCAAAUCUUGUUUUUGGAAAAUUUGUUACUUUUCUUAAACCCUUACCUUGAAUGUUUGGCUUUUAAGUUAAAUUUAGUCAAUUGAGGUCAAGAAUGAGCCUGUUGGUUUAAUGGUUAAGUUUCUGCAUAAUCCUUGGUCUUGUGUUCGAAUCUCAGCGAAAGCAACAGGGAAUGUUUUGUUUUUGAAUUUUUUAUAAGGUAGUUAGUUUCGAUUGGUUAUUUAAAGCCUUCUAGAAACCUCCGUUGCUUUUACUUUUAUUUUGUUCUUUCUUUUUCUACAAUGUUUUCUAUCAUUUUGUUUUCGAUCUUCAGUUUCCUCAUUUUGGUUUUUUAUUUUCAAGCAACCUUCUUUUUGUUAUGUUACGUUACACUAAUUGUGUAUAAGGUUUAACUUCUCCUUCUAGUUAAUUUGCUGGUUGGUAAGUUCAAUUUAAAGUUUUGGUGUCGAAAGUUCUUUAACAUAACUUCAAUUUUGGAAUGUUAGUUUCUAGUGGUUUGACUGCGAAUUAAUCGUUUGUUAGGGAAUUGCUUGUCGUUUAGGGACCUGAAUUUAUCCUUGUUACUCCUACAUCGAGUUCGUAUCAAGUGGGUAUCAAAAAUAUCUUCUUCUUCAAAUUUUAGUCGUCGAAGAAUAGGACUAUCAAUGCCACAUGGUCAUGCGCAAACUAUCUAGGUACAAUCUGUAUUCUAUUAAGUUUGUUGGUAUGCCUCUGCAUUACUCUAUUGAUAAAGAAUAUGUGACAUUUGAUUAUGUUAGAUUGGUUGUUACUGAUUCUAAUUUAUAACCCUCUGUUUUACUUUAUAGAUGUGGAAUACACAAUAUCUGAAAAUGUUAGACUAAUUGUUACUGAUUCUGAUUUAUUGUCGUGCAUGUGACUUCAUGGCAAAUAUGAUAUGAUCUGUUGAGGUUUGAUAGGUCUAUUUUCCAAAACAUGGACUCUCAUGUCUCCUAAUUCUGUUAUUGAAAGAUAUCAUAACUUACAUGCUCAUCACUCUGAUUCUGCAUAUGUAUGUCAUGACACGUUGCAUGGGAUUUGGGUUGAUGUGAAAGGUAAAAGUUACUGGCAGUUAAUGAUCCGCAUUAUCUGAGGUUUAUCCUCAAUUCUGUUUCGGCAGCUUAGUUGUACUAUAUUAACUUGACCACAUGUAACCGAUAUGGCAGUCUUAACUACAAAAUUCUAGUGGCACCAUCCACAGUUAUCUGUUGGUGUGAUUUGGCUAGACGAGUUCUGAGGGAACUCUAUUUUGGAUUGUAGUGGAGUUUUGGUAGGAUGUUUUCUGAUAAUUCUGCAUUCUGAUCUAUUUGAGAAAUACAACAUCUUCAUAACACAUUUUCUACUUUGCUCUAUUCUGUUCUAUUCUGUUCUGCUCUCUUCGGUUCUAUUCUAUUUGAUUUGUUAUGUUCUGCUUCAUUCUGUUGUGCUUGGUUCUAUUGUACUAUCGUUAUGGAAAUUUUCAUGAUAUUCUCGAUCUAUUCCAUACUAGCUAUAAAACUAUUAUUAAGUUCUUUGAGUUACUUUGAUUUAUAUAAUAAAAUCUAUUUAUUUGUAUCUAAGUUUGGUUAUACGCGACGCUUGGUAGUUCUCCCUUUGUCUUAUCUUAAUCUAUUUAGGUGGAUGUUUUACAUUGAUAUAACUAUGAUUUGAUCUUUUAGGUUGUAAUUUGUUUUUGGACUUGCAUUGCUUUUCUUUUGAUAAUCUCAUCAAUAUUUGUCAUUUUCUUACACAAAAAUAAAAAAACCACCUAAGUCGACUAAAAUGAAUUUCUGGUUUUCAAUGUUAAAAUUUUGAAAAGAAAUUAGUUUUCUACAUGUUGGUGUAGCUCGUCCAAAUUUGACUUAAACUUCUAGGUUGGGUUUGGGGUGUUGUAUCUUUCCAUAAUUAACAUGUGAUUAAUCUUUUAUUAGGAGGAUUCAAGAACUCAACUUAAUGAUGGAAAAAUAUAGGUAAGAACCAAGAAACAAAACAACCCCCUUUCUUGCACACAGGCGUACGCACCACCACCCAUGGUGGCCAAAAUUGGGGAAGAAUUUUAAAAUGGUUUGAAAUCUCAUUAAAAUCUAGAAAAAUACAAUUGAAUUCAUUUAAAAUCCCCCAAAUUCCAGAUCUAAAAAUUUUUCUUUUUAAUUGACAAAAUUAAUUAAGAAUUUGAAGAGAAAAGAGAUCUUCCCAAGCUAGUUAAAAGAAACGACAAUGACACUUUCUUGGCAAUGUUCAAGAUUGAUCUUGGGUUCAAGAUUUUAGAAUUGGGGAUGAUUUAGAUGAGAAAAAAUGGUAGGAAUAGAGUAAAGGAGAUGGUGUACAAUCUUGAUGCAAAAAGAAGAAGAAAGAGUUGGUAAAUGGGAGGUGUAGGCGACGACAACAAUAGGAGAAAGAAAGAAAAUUAAAGAGAAAAGUGGAGAGGAAGAUGGUGAACGGAUAGAGUAGGGAAAAUUUGAAUUAAAGGCUGAAAAAUACAAUAAAAAUUUCUAUUUAUACUUAGGGUUCAAGGGUAUGGAUCGCACAUACAUUUAAAAAAAUAAAGGAUUUUACGAAAUUUAAAAUUUCGUAAAGGAAAGGAUUCGAAAUUGGGACCUCAUUUAAUUUUCAUGUGUUCUCAUAUUUCUUUUAACCAUUAUGAUAUUUUCUCAUUCUUAAAAUCAUUUUACAAGAUUUAGUUUAAAAAUAAGGCAUGCCACAUUCUAGGGUUUAAGGCAAAAUUAGCAAAAUAAUAAAAAUAGUGAGAGAGAAGGGAUUUGAACUUGGGUUUCAUGGAAUGUUUGACUAACACUUAUCCAACAAACCAACACCUUAUUGAUUUCCUAAAAAUGCAUAGAUAAUCUCAAAAAUUAAGGCAUGACCACUCUUUCUCGAUUCACAAACCCGAUUAUGCUAAACCCUAAUUUUUGGAAUGUUACAAGGUAAGUUUGUAGUGUAACAAUAUAUAUGUGUGUGUUUUAGGGAUACGAUUGGCAUGCCAAUAGGGUUAGUAUGCAUGCUUGUACUGGAUCACACUUUGGUUCUUCUCUUUACACUUUGGUGCCUCUCUUUGCACUUCAGUGCCACUGUAUUUGCACUACAGUGCCUCUAUUAGCAUUUCGAUGUUUGGGGGAAACCCAAGUAUCGAAGUCAUUUUGCUGUAGUUCAACAUGCUGUGAAAUUUUAUGUUUAAAUGUUAAAUUACUCUUGAAUUUGAUUUAUAUACAAUGAUAUAUUUGUGUAUCUAUGUACAUAAGCAUUGAUUGCUUUGGUUUGAGCCAUUGUUUAUAUUGAAUCAUAUGAGAUGAAUGUUUUGAUUACUAUAGUUUGAGAAUAAAUAUUAAUUCCUUGGUGUAAUUAUAUGAUUCAUAUGUCUUUAAACAUGUUAUCUAAUUAUGUUUAUGGUGUGUUUAGAGAAUUAAAUUAUUAUAUGAGUAUUUUCCAGGUAUUCAAUGUUGUUUCAUUUGGUUUAAUGGGUAAAUAAAGCUUUAAAGGGUAUGUGAUUACACGAAAUGCACUACGAUAUUUGAGCAAUGAUAUGGAUCAUGAUGAAAUGUUUAAUUGAAAAGGAAAUAUGGUUUAGUAUAUAUAUAUGAGUGGUGAAUUAUGAAAGUGAAAUAUAGAUAUGUUAUAUACCAUGUUUUAUUCAAAUUAUAUAUGAUAUGUUACACCAACUAACCUUGUGAGGUGGUGGGUAUAGGAAAGGAAAGUUGGCUUAAAACAUAAUGAAAUUAUGCCUGCCUUUUUAACAUAAAAUAUUCAGUAAAUUAAGUUUCCUUUAUAUGAACUUACUCAACAUUAGUUGCUUGCAUAGUUAUUUUUCUUUAUUUUAUAGUUCAUCAGAAGCUCGACCGGUUGGAAUCAUGUCAAAGCACGAUCACACUAUCCAUUCAACAUUUUGAUAGCUUUUUUUAUUUUGGUAAAUGGUUAUAAAUGACAUGUAAUAGGGUUUAAAUGUCAUUCUAGUGAUUUGACUUGUUUUGAGUUGUGUCAAACUUCUUGUGAUUGAUGUUGUUAGUUGUUGGCAUGUAAAUAAUGGUGUAAAUAUGUGACAGCCCAAAAUUGACCCUAGUCGGGAAGUGGUUUCGGGACCGCUAAACCGAGUCACCGAAAGGUUUGAAUGUGAUGUUUAUUAUCUAGAAUAUGUAAUAAUGAAUGUGUGAAAAUUUCAAGCUUCGAUUUAGUCGAUUGCAUGCGAGUUUAGUCAAUAGGACUUAUAUGAGAAAAACUUUAAAAUGUGAUAGGUCAAUGCAUGAGGACCUAUUAGUGCAUGUGGAAGAAAAAGGGGACUUGCAUGUCAAAUUCCCCCUCCCUAAUAUGUAGUGGCCGGCCAUGCUAUGGGUGGAAACAUGUCACCAACAUGUUGUGUUAGUGAUGUAUGGUAAGGAAAAUAAAAUAUUAAGCAUGAUAAUUAAAAUAAAUUAAAGAAAGGAAUUAAACAAUGAAAAGGAAGGGUGAUGAAAAAAAUGGUCUCAUCCAUACCCCCCCCCCUUGUUGCCGUGAGUUGAGGAAAGAAAACAAAAAAAAAUGUGUGUUCAUUCUUGAACACCUUUGGCCGAAUAGAGGAAAGAAAGGAAGGGGAAGAGCUUGAGAAAAUCGGCUAUGGUGGUUUGCUAGACUAAGGUAUGUUUGAUGUUGUUCUUGAGAUGCAUGCAUGUUUUAGUAGUUGACUUGAGUUCUAAAAACCCAUGGUUCAAUUUUGUGGAUUGAUGAAGAUUUUGUGUUUUGCCAUUGAUGAGUGCUUGAGCUUUUUGAUAGUUGUUGAUGAAAAGUGAAAGAUAUGUUAAAGAUUAAUAUGUUUUGUGUUGAAGUUUUUGGUGAUUUUGAGUAGUUAGGGCUAUAUUACAAAAACAAAUUUUUGAAGGACUCAAAGGUGAAAUAAAUGAGAUGUAUGGACUUAUAUGGGCACUAGGAAGAUUCGGCCCUUAAGGAGUGUGACCAAACUUUGUGUAUUUUGUGUUUUGUGGAAUAAAGACUAAAUUGUGAAAGUGCGAAAUAUUAGGGGUAAAAAUGUAAUUUACCCAUUUAUGCGUUAUUAGACUAAAUUGAAUGAAAAUAUGUUAAAUUAAGGCUUGGCAAGCUAGCUAUUAAGGUGAAAUGCUAAUGUUAGUAUUUGAUUCGGUAAUAAUCUGUUUGGGGACAGCAGCAGUAAGGUGAUUUUGGAAAAUCGCCAUAAUUUGUAGGAGUUGAAUUAGAAGCUGAGUGAAUUAUGCCAUUAAAGCUUGAAGAGUCUAUUUUCUUACAAAAGAAACUAUGAAAACAAAAGAGUUACCGAUCUUGAGAUAUUUGAAGUAUUGUGGGGCUGAGUCAAAAUGACUACUAGAUUCCCUGUUCUGUUUUUAGAAAAUCAUUAUAAAUUGUACAAAAAUUAUUAUAAGAUAAAAUUUAUAUGCUUAGACUCCUUAAUGAGUCUAGUUUCAAAUGAGAUCAAAUACAACACAUUUUGAAUUCUGUAAAAUGAGAAAUUUGAUUCGUAGUGAAGAGUGGUCAGAAUAGUCAAACAGUGAAACAGGGGAAACUUUAAGAAAAAUCUGGUAUUGAUUGGCCAAGCCAAAAAUUCUGAAAAUUUUAUGGAUGGAAGAUAUAUGAGUCUAUAUUCAGGGAAAAUUAACAGCUAGUGAUUUGGAGUUUUGUAGCUCCAGUUAUAAACAAUUUAGCGACUACUGCUCAGGAAAACAGCUCGUAGUGAAUAUGUGAUUUUGUUGUAAACAUUAAUGAAAAUUUGCCAAUGAGUUAUUUAUUGACUAUUACAAAGCUUACUAUAAUCUAUGUGUGUGAAAGUCAAAUCAAUAUAUAUAUUAUUCUGAAAGUAAUACUUGAAUAGUCGAUUAAUGACUAUUUUAAGUUAUUGAUUUGGCUCAAGGAGUUAAAGGAGGUGAAUCGAGCAAAGGCAAAGAAAAGGUUAUCGAGUAGCCGAGUUGGAACCGUCUUACCCAACACGAGGUAAGUCAUUAAGCAUGUAGUUGGUAUUAUUUCAAUGGUCAUAAUGUUUAUGUAUUGAUGCUGAAUGGAAUGAAUAAAUAUACAUAUAUAUAUAUAUAUGUGCAUGUACGUAUGUGAUGAUGAGAUUGUUGAAUGAAAGAAAAGAGGUAAGAUGUACUGAGUUGUUGAUCUCGGCACUAAACGUGCGGGAUAACCAUUUAUGACCAUGAGAUUGGCGCUAAGUGCGCGGGAUUAAAUUGUACAGCACUAAGUGUGCGAUUUGACUAUGUUGCACUAAGUGUGCGAAAUGAAUAUGAUGCACUAAGUGUGCGAAUUGACCAUGCGGCACUAAGUGUGCGAGUUUGACUAUGUAGCACUAAGUGUGCGAUUUGAUUAUGUAGCACUAAGUGUGCGAGUUGAUUAUAUAGCACUGAGUGUGCGGACUCGAUAUACAUUCGUGAAUCAUUAUGGACACUAUGUGUGCGACACUAUUGAGUCGAUCGCGGACAGCGGAUCGGGUAAGUGUCUUGAGUACAUGGCUAAUAGGUGCUAUGCUUAUACUUGGUGUUGAGCUCGGUAAGUUUGAACCUAUGUGACAAAUAUACUUGAAGUCACGUACAUAAAAUUUAUCGUAGGAUUGGUGAAAGGCCGUUUAGUCGUUUGAUUGUAACGAAAAUAAAUUGAUUUAUGAAAAUGCUUCAAUGUCCUAUUGAUGAGUAUAUGGAAUGUGAAUGCAUGAAUUGAUAUGAAAUUGAAUUGAUAGGUUGGAGGAACUAUGGUAUGGUUCGGAAUGGAUGGAGUAAUUAGCCUCGUUCCAUUUUGUUUUCUCUUGUGAUAAUGUUAUUGAUGGAUGGUAGUGCAUAGCUUAUGACUUACUGAGUUAUAAACUCACUCGGUGUUUCCUUGUCACCCAUUAUAGGUUGCUUGGACUCAUCUAUUUUUUUGCGUGGUCGGGCCGUCAUCGAAGUCAUCACACCGGAUAGCAAGUUUUGGUACUUUCUUCUUAGUUGGCUUAGAAGAACAUUUUGGCAUGUAUAAGCUAUUACGUUGUGUUUGAACUUUGGCAUGUAAACUUUAAGCCAUGUGAAAAUGGCACGAAUGUUCGAUUGAGUUGGAUCAAGGGUAGGCAUGAAAUGGACCUAGUUACUUUCGUAACAGAUGCUGGCAGCAGCAGUGUCAUGAGAUUGAAAAAUCAUUAAAAAUAGUAGGAGUGGAAUUAAUUGAUGAAUAAAUUAUGUAAUCGAAGCUCGAUGAGUCUGUUUUCAUGAGGAAGUAACGAAAAGAUCAUAUGGGCAGUAUAUUAAGAGAUAAUCAGAUUUUUGUGGGACAGGGCCAGAACGGUUUCUGGAUUCCCUUCUCCGACUUUGGAAAUUCAUUACAAAUUAACCAGAGAUAAUUAGGGGUCGUACCAUAUAUGUACAGAUUCCUCUCUGAGUCUAGUUUUCAUAGAAAUAAACGGCAUCAGUAUUGGAGCCCCGUGCAGGGAGAUAUCCAAGUCGGAAUGGGAAAAGGUCAGUGUAGUCGACCCCUGCAACUGGGGAGACUUUGACUAAUAAACUGUACUAAUUGGCCCGACCAAAAAUUCUAGAAAAAAAUACAUAGAUGGGCACAUGAGUCUAGUUUCUGGGAAAAAUUACGAAACUGAUUUUCGAGUUAGGAAACUCAAGAUAUGAUUUUUAAAACGACUAGUACACGGAUUGGGCAGUGUCUGGAAAAUAAAUUUUGUAAGGGGUUAAAGCCAGUUAACACCUCGUGUUCGACUCCGGUGUCGGUUUCGGGUUCGGGGUGUUACAAAAUAUGUGUGGUUGGACCCUUAUGCAUGCUUUAUUGAUUAAAGAUAUCAUAUGGUAAAAUGGCAUGUUUUUGGAAUGGUUAUUUGGCAUGAUUAAAAUAGGUUUAAGUUUUGAUCUUGAGACGUUGAAUUGAAUUAAGUUUAAGAUGUAUAUUGUGAUACCUUCAUUGGCAUAUUUGUUAGAUAUUAAAGGAUGGUUGAUUUGGUAUGUUUUUGAAAUGGUUGUUGGUAUGUUUGAUCUAAGUUGAUUAAAUGAACUUGUAAUGUUCAACGGUAUAAUACUUGUUGGUACAUUAGUUAGUCUUAUAGGUUGAUGGAAUUGGUAUGUUUUAAAUGUGUUUAAAAUAUGUUUUGGUUAUUUCAAUGUUUGUGGAAAUGGUGUGUCUUGGUGUACAAGAUUUGUAAUUGAAAUGGCUCUAUUUAGAAGCAACUUCUGCUGCACACUACCUGGGACACGAGUUGUCACAUGGUUGUGCAUCAUUAAUGUUUUAGGUGCAGGUUUCACACAAUCUAAGACUCGGCUCACGACACGGUCUGGGCUAUGUCACACAGCUUGGCCGCAUGGCCAUGUGACCCUUGUUUUCAAGUUUUCAAAAUUUUCUAUUUUAUUUCAAAUUGAUCAUAGAAUAUUCUCAAACUAUUUUUAAGGCCCCGUAGGUUCGGAUUAUGGCCCGUAAGUGUAUGUUUGCUAUAAUUAAGUUGUGUUAUUGAAUGUUAUUAAUUAAAUCACAUGAAUAUUUUAUUGUAAGUUAAAUGUUUUAAUUUGUACCAUAAUGCUUUGUAACCCUAAUCUGGCGAUGAAGACUAGUUUGGGGUGUUAUAAUUUUGGACUGUAAAUUUGUUUUGGGGGCUUUGUUCUUUGGUUAUUGCGAUGUUGGUUAGAUUUUGGUGUUUUAACAUUAAACUGCAAAAUUGUAUGAUUUAACAAACUAAAAAUUAGUUUUUCAAAAUUAAAACUCUUGAAAUUUCAGUUGCAAAGAUUAAGUAAUCACUUCAGUGUUUUUCCAUAAAUAAUUAAAUUUUUUUUAACAAAUGUUUUCCUUAGUUUGGGAAAUGAUUUGCCAACAUAUGUACUUUUAAAACACAUGAUUUCAAAUUCAAAUUCUCAAUUUUAAAUAAGGGUUUUCAAACUUUAGUUUUUUUUAACAGUUGUGAGAGGUUUUUGCCAAAUUUUAUGUUUUCAGAACAUAUUAGUAAGUUGAUUUUUAAUUUGUUUUUUAAACGAGUCGAUGUAAUUCCUCAAAAAUCCAUUCAUAGCGUCUUAGUCUAGAUCUAAACAUUAAUAUUCUCUUCCAAGAAAAAUCAAGAUUAUCAAAUUGUUACAACUUGGUAGGUAGACAAUCAUAUUAAAUAAGCAUAAAACUUAAUAAAUAAUUAGCGAAGAUUGAAACAAUCAAAGAAAAAAUAAAUUAAUUAACUAAGAAAUAGGAUCCAUUAUUGUUUCAAGAAAACAGAGUUUAGUUCAUAUUGAGUUGAGAAAUCCAAAAGGGAGAUUCAAAACAAACUUGUGAAAAGGGGAACAAUGUCAAUAGAUCGUAUUCAAGUUGUUCAACUCGAGAAGGAAAGAUUCAGAUCUAACCUAAAAAGAAGAAACCAAACAGAUUUAGAAAAACAAGAAAAACAAAGAAAAUAACUAAAAUGAGAAAUUUAAGAGUAAUUAAUAAAUAUUAAAACUAAUAAAGAAAUAAAGAAAUUAUAGAAUAAAUAGUGGAAGAUGGAAUGAAUAAACGAUGGAUAUGACAUAUAGAUGGAUAAGUGUCUGAUAAUUCUUGAAAAGAGUUAUUUUUCAUGCCUUUAGACCUAACUUGUAAUGCCCCAAAAAUCCCUUAUAUAUUUAUUUUCGUAAGUUUGUAACAGAAAUAUCUGUUAGCUUUAGUGGUUAUAUGCUUUGGGAGUGUUUAGGAGGUCCCAAGUUGAAACCUUAGCUUGGGCAAUUUUUUUUUGUUUUAAAUGAAUAAAACUCUAUCUUUGAUUAGUAGGCUUAUAAAUAGAUGUUGGUAAAAAAUGUCAGAAUGGUUUUACUGGUUUAGUGGUUAAGUGGGGUGUAAAUAUGCAGGAGCUCUUAUGUUCGAAUCUUUGUGCGAUCAAGAGCAUUUAUUUUAUUACUUGUGUCGUGUAGGUAUUUUGGUCCAGCCAAAAUACUGAAGAGGUUGACUAAGGGUUGGUUUCGGUUGUUGAGAGGUUUAUGGUGGGUUAGUAGAGAGGAUUUUAAGGAGAAAUUUUAGAGAUAUGAAGAGAGAGUUAGUGCCGAAUUGAAUUUCUUUUGCUUUCUCAAAUUUCAGCUGGGGUUUGAUUUUUCUUUUCAAUUUGUUUCUAUUGACUGUUUUCCAUUCUAGAGGGUCAAAUAUUGCUGAGGGUUCCUACUAGUUUCUUUUUUUUCUUUUUCUCUCUUCUCUCUUUCGACUUUGUUCUUCCCAACUGCAAAAGUGCUCUUCCCUAAACUGUUACUACCGUCUACUUUCUCUUUUCCUCCCUUGCUUUUUUUAUUGUCGAAUUUUGGGUUCUUUAUGCAUUUAAUUCUAAUGUCAAUUUAUCACUUCUCUACCAAAAGAUUAUUAUUUUCUCUCAUUGAUUUUCGUUUGGUUCAUCCUUGCUACCAGAAGUGUGGUUGCCCUUCUUUCUUGGUUUCGUUUGUCAUCAUCUGCUACAUGUUCUUUAACACUCUUUUGGUAAGUGUUCGUUUCUUCACCGCUCAGUUACUUGAAGUUAGUUUUUAAAUGGUUGUGUAUUGUUUUGAAUAAGAAUCUGAUAAAUCGUGUGUUCCAACCCUAUUUAGAUCAGUUCAUGGUGGUGUUUAUUGAUGAUAUACUGGUGUAUUCGAGAACUAAGGAUGAGCACGAUGAACACCUCAGAGUGGUUCUACAGAUUCUACGAGAAAAAGAACUGUACGCCAAGUUUAGUAAAUGUGAGUUCUAGUUAAGUGAAGUAACGUUUCUGGGACAUGUGGUUUCUACUGAGGGGAUUAGAGUUGAUCAUCGAAAGAUUGAGGCUGUCUUGGAUUGGAAGCAGCCUAAGACUGUAUAUGAGAUCUACAGUUUUCUCAGAUUGGCAGGGUAUCGACAAUUUGUGUAAAGGGUUUUCUCUAAUUGCCGUACCCUUGACUAAGCUGCUACGUAAAGGCUUACCGUUUAACUGGACUGAUUCAUAAUAAGAGAGCUUUGAGAAGCUCAAGACUGUACUGACUGAGGCCCCUGUUCUAAUAUAGCCAGAGUCUGGAAAAGAGUUUACUAUUUACACUGAUGCAUCACAUGUCUGUUUAGGAUGUGUGUUGAUGUAAGAAGGUAAGGUGGUAGUGUACACGUCUCAUCAGCUUAAGAAUCAUGAGGUGAAUUAUCUUACGCAUGACUUGGAGUUGAAGUGAUUGAGUAUAAUAACAUUUAACAUAUUAGAGCCAAUUGGUUGUCCAUAAACAUAAAAAGGUGACCUUAAUGAGAUACGCCAUAGACUCAAAAGUGUAUCAUUUACACUGAUCACAAGAGCCUCAACUACCUCCUCACUCAUAAGGAGCUGAAUCUUAGGCAACAUAGAUGGAUUGAGAUGCUUAAGGACUACGACUGUACUAUUGAAUACCACCCUGGUGAGGCUAAUGUGGUGGCUGACGCACUAAGCCGUAAAACUAUGACUGAACUGAGGGUGAUGUUUUCUCGCCUUAUUUUAUUUGAUAAUGGUAGUCUGUUGGCCAAACUUCAGGUUAAACCGAUUUGGAUAGAGUAGAUUAAGUGUAUACAAGUAGAGAAUGAGUUGUUGGGUCUUCGUUUUUGACAGGUUGAGAGUGGGAAUACCAAGGAUUUUAGACUGAAUAGUGAAGGGGUGCUCUAUAUCUGUGGGAGAAUCUAUGUAAAGACCUUCGUGAGUUAUACUAGUGGCCAGGUCUUAAAUGAGAAUUUACUAAAUUUUUGGCUAAGUGUCUGACAUGCUAGCAGGUUAAGGCUGAACAGCAGUUACCUUCGGGAUUGUUGCAGCCAGUCAAGAUUUCAGUUUGGAAGUGGGAGCAUGUAACUAUGGAUUUCAUUAGUGGGUUACCCCUCACACCCACUAAAAAGGAUUCGAUGUAGGUCAUCGUGGAUUGAUUGACCAAAUCCGCCCACUUCAUACCAAUUUGUACUGAUUACUCUCUGUAGAAGCUGGCUAAAUUGUAUGUGUCUGAAAUAGUGAGAUUACAUGGGGUACCGAUUUUAAUAAUAUCUUAUAGGGAUCCUCAUUUCACAUCUCGGUUCUGGAAGAAGCUAUAUGAAGCUUUGGGUACAAGAUUGGAGUUUAGUACUGCGUUUUAUCCUCAGACUGACGGUCAGUCAGAGAGGGUGAUUCAGAUACUAGAGGAUAUGUUGAGAAGUUGUGUGAUUGACUUUCGAGGUAGUUAGGAGGAUUACUUACCGCUAGUAGAAUUUGCAUAUAACAACAACUAUCAGUCUAGCAUUCAAAUGACACCCUAUGAGGCAUUAUAUGGUCGUAGGUGUCGCACACCUUCAUGUUAGACUGAGUUAGGCGAGCAGCGUAUUUUGGGGCCUGAACCAGUUUCUGAUACAGAGGAUAAAGUUAGACUAAUUCAGGACCAACUGAAAGCGAUAUCUAAUAGGCAUAAGUCCUACACCGAUCUAAAGAGUCGAGGGAUUGAGUAUUCUGUGGGGGACUUCAUUUUUCUCAAGGUCUCACCAUGGAAGAAGGUAUUAAGGUUUGGUCGUAAGGGCAAGUUGAGCCCUAGUUUAUUGGGCCCUAUCGCAUACUAAAACGUGUGAGAUGAGUUGCCUACCAGUUGGAGUUACCUCUAGAGUUAGAUCGGAUUUAUGACGUGUUCCAUGUCUCUAUGUUGAGGUUACCGCUCUAAUCCUACGCAUAUUAUUCCUAUUAAGGAAAUCAAGGUUAGGCUAGAUCUAACCUUUGAGGAGGAGUCAAUUCAGAUAUUGGAGUGAGAUAUAAAGGUUCUAAGAAGAAAAUUCAUCCCACUAGUUAAGGUUAUUUGGCGUAACCAUAGCACUGAGGAGGCCAUAUGGGAGUCUAAGGAUGUAAUGCUUUAGCAGUAUCCUCACCUAUUCUGAUCAGGUAAAUUUUCAAGGCCAAAAUUUUCUUUUAGGGGGUAGAGUUGUAGCGCCCCAAAAAUCCCUUAUAUAUUUAUUUUCGUAUUUUUUAUACAAAUAUCUGUCAGCUUUAGAGGCUAUGUGCUCUGGUAGUGUUUGGGAGGUCCCAAGUUCAAGCCUUAGCUUGGGCAAUUUUUUAGUUUUAAAUGAAUAAAAUCAUAUCUUUGAUCAAUAGGCUUAUAAAUAGAUGUUGGUAAAAUAUGUCAGAAUGGGCAUGCUGGUCUAGUGGUUAAGUGGGGUGCAAAUAUGCUGCAGGUCUUGUGCUUGAAUCUCUAUGUAUAGAGCAUGUUGUUAAACUGUACUACAUGCAUAUAUGAUACCAUGAUAUGACAUGACAUGAUUGUGUGGUGCAUGGCAUGGGGAUAGGUUAUUAUUGAUCGAAGGAAGUGUACUGGAAGGCUUUGAGCCUAACUUACUGGCAGCUCAGCUGCAUAUUACUGUAUAGUGUCGCCAUUGGUACUACUUAGAGUGUAGGGAUGGGUGGGUUGAUUAUAUCCCCACAUGAAGUGUAGGGUUGGUCGGAGUUGGUGUGUAGAGGUUGGCUAGGUAGGACUUGUAUACUGCAUAAUCUGUUAAUGUACUGAUUGCUAAUAUUGUAAUGGGCCAAGGCCCAAAUGCAUGAUUACUUUUGUACUAAGAUGGGCUAAAGCCCAAACCAAUACUGUCACUGAUACUGGAAAGGGCUUAGGCCGGACUGAGUUUAUUCUGUUUUCUGUCUGAUUAUUUUGUGUACUGUCUAUUUGUUUGCACUAGGAAUAUCACACUGAGUUUUGAAAACUCACCCUUUCUGUUAAUCUGUGUAGGUAAUCCCCAGUCGUAGGUAGAUCGGUGUGGCGGAGGAUUCAGCGGUGGCCACACGACUCCUUUUUAUUGUUUCGUAUCUAAUGAUAUUUAUUUUUAAGUCUUUAUUUGGGGUUUUUAUCUGUAAUAAUUGCUGCUAUGGAUUUUUUAUUUAAAUUUGGAUUUAACACUACUUCAUGUUUACAUCUGCUAGAGGUAGAUAUAGCACGGAUUUUUGAAAAGAAAUGCAUGUGUUUUAGCAAAAUACCCCAAUGUCACAAACUGUUUUAAAAAGCUUCCGCAACGUAUAAUGAUUUGCAAACUAACAAUUGAAUAAAAAUCACUAUUUUGGGAUUAACAAAAGAUAACGACGACCUCUAAUCGAAAAAUGUUUUAAGCAAAGUUACCAUUUUUCAACAUGAGCUUCGGUUUUGAAAAAUACCACCAUGUGACAUCGCCAAAUUCGCCCGUAACAUCCAGGCUGGGUUUGGGGUGUUAGAUAACUAAUUGCUUGAACUUAAGUACAUUUUGUUGCAUUUUAAGACAUUUUAGUUAGCAUUUCUAAUAUUGCAUUAGGACUUAGAUUGUGUUGGACUUAUGUGUUUUUAAUAUGGUGGAGUUUUUUUGUGUGUUGGUAUGGCAAGAACAUAUUUUAGAACGAGGAAAUAAAUGAGUGAAGUUUUGUCAGGGAAAAAGUGCAGACAGUUUGCCAGCACGGAUGCCGUGACAAUGCCAGGAAGACCAAGUAAACAUUUUUUUGCGCAACAGUCUCAAUUGAAAUUAAAACUUGUACCAGAUAAAUCUUCAAAAAAGAGGAGAAGAUAAUCACAAGUUGUUACUUGACACUAGCCUAAUCUACCUAUAAAAGCCAAUAAAGGGGAUCUCACAAAUGGCAGAAAAAAGUGGGAGGGAUCCUUAGGUGUGAAUAAGGUUUUAGUUGCGCAAAGGAAAGGAAGUCGAAGGCAGUGCUUUUUAGCCAUCACAGGAUGUUGUGCUACCGAAGUGUAAACUAGGCAAGUGAAAGUUGUUUCCCAAAGUUCUUUCGUUAUUUCCAUCAGCGUUCCUUCAAAAUAUUGAAGUAGUUGAACACAAUGUCAGAUAAUAUUUUGCUUUUGAAUUUUAUUUCUCAGCCCAUGAGCUAAAUCUCGUAGGGUUGGGAUUACUUUUGAUGAAACCUUAAACUAUUUUUAUGGAUGCAGUAUAUAUCUAAUUUACUUUACUGUUUCAUUUGAUUGUUCUUAUUUCUUAAUUAAAAUGCAAAUGAUUUCUAAACAUAGAAGACUGUUCGCAUACUUAUAAACUCAUUCUAAUUCUGAAAGGGUUGGAUUGGUUGGAUUAAAAUUAAAUGAAAUGAGCAAGUAUUCGAUGGACACUUGUAGUAGACUCUAUACAUAGAGUGACGAUCAUACAGAAGGAACCCAUGCAAGGUAUCUAAAAAGUCUUUAGACAUAGGCAAGGUAACUUGAUGUUUUCCUCUCAUGAGAGGAGAGCCAUUUUAGUACUCUUCUGUGCUUUAUAGUAGAUACGAUUUUCCCAAGGCAUUAUUGACAAUAAGGGUCAAUAUUCGGUAAUCCUGACCUUCGAAAUCCACAUCGUAUAUCCUUUAUUCUUUUCCACAUCAUUAUUAGUUAUUUAUUUGUUCAUUUACAUAAUAUUCCCAUAGUAAUUCUCAUCAUUGUCAUUACAUUUCUACUCUUGGUUUGACACAACAUUACCACUUAUUUAUUAAUUCUAUGUAUUGCUUACAUCAUUACUCUACUAAUUGCCACUGUAUAUUCAUCAUUGACUCUCCCAUAGCAUUAAUCGUAUUUUAUUAUAAUAAUUUGACCAAUUGUGUGCCUCAAUCCGAUCUUUAUGGGAACGAUACACACUCAUCACUUUAUUACGUGAUUCAACUGUAUACUUGCACAAAUCGCAUAUCAUUUCACACACGAUAGUGUUCAAUUGAACCCUUUGAGAUAUAAACCUAGACAAACUCAAUUAAUGGCUUUAAUUAACCCACCAAGAAAUAAUGAUUGGCAAAUUGAACGAUGAAGAAUGAAUUCCCAUGACUCCUUAAAAAAUUGAGAAGAAAAAUACUUCUAAAAAUCACAAGAAACAAAUCUUGGACAAAGAAACUAACUUUCAGAGUUGGAAAUUUUAGUAAUAAACAAAAACAAUUGCAUCUCUAAUGAACAUGAAGGGCCUUUACAUAGGCUAGAUAAGUACAUCCAGAUAAAAUAUUCAAGUAUCUUGAAACUUUAAUUAAUAUAAGUAAUAAGUAAUUUUAAACUAAAAUAGUCAUAAUUUUCGUCAUAAUCCCGUCCAAAAAUUCUGCUCACAUAAUCAUCAUUAAAAUAGUCAUAAUUUAAGCUCUUGAACUCAAAAUUGAGUGAAUAAAAGUGUGUUUCGAAGUUAAGUGCUAGAUCUUAGAACUUUAUGAAGACAUAUCAAUCGAAAAUUGUCCGGAUCCCAUCCAAAGAGUCACAGCAAGUUAACUAAUUUUUCAAACUUGAAAAUUGGCAACUUCGGGGAAUGGAAUUUAAUACAGUUCACCCCAUCUAUUCAUGUAUCAACUCGCAUUGGUAAAAAGUAAAAAGAAAUAAUCUAUAGAGAAAAUAGUUGAAGAAUUUAUGAAAAUUUAUUCAAAUCUCUUUUUUUUCUAGUCUUUGCAAGCUUGAAUUUUCCCUUGGUGUGUGAGAGUUGUUCCUUACCCUCUAAGUGAUUUUUUUUCUUUUUCUUUCUCUUCGAUCUCGUCACCUAAGGGUGUUCAAACAAUUGAUUCAGUUAGUACCCGUGCAAAACUAUCAUUAACUGAAAUUUUGAAACCCUUAAUCAUUAAUCAAACCAUUUUCUUUUUUGAAACCUACUAACCAGCUUGAUUGAUUUGGGUUAAUUUGAGUGGUUAACCAAAAUUUAAACAUUGUUUGUUUUUGUUCAAACAAUUUUAAAACAAAGAACAAUCCAUGACAAUUUUUCCUUGUUUUUUAUUCAAAAAAAUUAAAAGAAUUAAAAAAAUAACAUAAUAACAACACUAAAUUAAAAACAUAAUAGCAUUCAUUACAUUACAAAGCAUAUAUAUAUAUUUACUUUUUCUUGACUUUUUAGUUUAAUUUUCGUUUUAUUUUCCUAAUAUUUUUAGUUUUCAUAUUUUUGUUAAGCUUAUUAUAAGAACACUUAUAAAUCCAUUAGUUCUUAUAUAUUGGGUUUGUAUAAUGUAUUCGACCUAUCUCUAAUAUAUUGGGCCUAUAAUAUAUUUUUAUUGAUUUCGGUUAAUCAAUUCAUUCGAUUAAUUAGUCGAUUUCAAACUAAAAUAAUUGGUAAACAAAAUCUUCAAAAACCUUUAACCAACUCCAACCAAAUUAGAUUCAUUGAUCAACUUCUUAAUCAAAUUAAUUAGGUUUGAUAAAUUAAUUCGUUAAAACUGAAAAAUGCACACCCCUAUCAUCACCGUUGUUUUUAGGGAUUUUAAUCAUGUUGCUCCACCUGAUGCAGAAGUUGAGGUGGAAUGAACUACUUGCUACCAAAAUUUUUGAAUUAUAGAGCAUGCUCUACCGCAGUGAAUCAAAUUCGGUGGAGUGGAAGACUUUUCUUUACUACUUUAUGCUCUAUGCUCCAAGUCUUCUAUUCUUCUUCUGAGACCUAAAAUGGGAAAAAAAAAGAAGAAACAAGUCUAAACUAACUUUGAAAAUUAGAAAUUCUCAACAAAAUUGAAAUAAAAUAUAAUUAAUCCAUAAAAACUAUAAAAAAUACAAUAAAAACGAACCUAAAUACUAAAAUUACCUCCUAAAAAGCUAUGGAAACUAUACUAAAAUAAUUCUAAAUAUGAUAGUUAUCAAAAAUGACAUGAGGAAGCCAAUCGAGUAGAUGCUUUCAACUAUUGCAAAUACCAUUAGUCGAUUAGCCAUCAUCUUGAGAACAUCAUAGAGUUGAAAGAAAAAAUCAUACAACUCCAUAAAGAAGAAAAAAUCAUUUUUGAAAAAGAAUUGGCAUUAUCAAACUUGACAUCAAUGCUUUGGUUUCUCAAUACAAUAUUAUGGACAAAUUCAUCAAAUUUGGCUCUUUCAAUCCUAUUACACUAGCUCUAAGUAGAAGUAAGAUGGUGAGUUUCGAAGGGAUUGAGGGCAAUCAUCUAUUUUUGGAAUAUCAGAAUGGUCAUGAUUGGACUCUAGCCACAUGUCAAAGAAGCCAAUGAAAAGCAUCUCUCCUAGGUAUAAGCUUAUAUUAUCACAUUGCUCCUAAGCAUGAGCAUAAAUCGUUCAUCCAGAAUGAUGAUGAUCCUAAGCAUAAGCUUAAACUAUUCAUCUAAUGCUCCUAAGAUGGAGCUUAAUCUAUUCAACCUAAACGAUCAUGCUUUAAGCACAAUCUUAAACUAUUCACAAAAAAUAAAUGAUGAUCCAAUGAAGCAUGAGCUUAAACUAUUCAUACAAAAUAAGCGAUGACCUUCUAAGCAUGAAUUUAAAUUGUUCAUACAUAAUAAAUGAUGAUAUUACUAAGAACAAGCUUAAACUGUAGUCUAAAAAAUAUUGAACUAUAUUAUAACUUGAUCUUUUAAAAAUGAAGGUACGUAGAUAGCUUGGUUUCAUUGCCAAGUUCAGUCUAAUUAAAUAUGUUUAUGGUGUGUUUAGAGAAUUAAAUGAUUAUAUGAUUAUUUUCCAGGUAUUCGAGGUUGUUUCAUUUGGUUUAAUGGGUAAAUAAAGCUUUAAGGGGUAUGUGAUUACAUGAAAUGAACUAUCAUAUUUGAGUAAUGAUAUGGAUGAUGAUGAAAUGUUUAAUUGAAAAGGAAAUAUGGUUUAGUAUAUAUGUAUGAGUGGUGAAUUAUGAAAGUGAAAUGUAGAUAUGUUUUAUACCAUGUUUUGAUUCGAAUUAUAUAUGAUAUUUAAACCAACUAACCUUGUGAGGUGGUGUGUAUAGGAAAGGAAAGUUGGCUUAAAACAUAAUGAAAUUAUGCUUGGUUUUUUAACUUAAAAUAUUCAAUAAGUUAAGUUUCCUUUAUAUGAACUUACUAAACAUUAGUUGCUUACAUAGUUAUUUUUCUUUAUUUUGUAGUUCAUCAGAAGCUCGACCGAUUGGAAUCAUGUUAGAGCAUGAUCACACUAUCCAUUCAACAUUUUAAUAGUUCUUCGUUAUUUUGGUAAAUAGUUGUAAAUGACAUGUAAUGGGGUUUAACGGUCAUUCCAGUAAUUUGACUUGUUUUGAGUUGUGUCAAGCUUAUUGUGAUUAAUGUUGUUAGUUGCUGGCAUGUAAAUAAUGGUGUAAAUAUGUGUGAUCGGACCCUUAUGCAUGCUUUAUUGAUUAAAGAUAUCAUAUGUUAAAAUGGCAUGUUUUUGGAAUGGUUAUUUGGCAUGAUUGGUAUUUAUGAUCUUGAGAUGUUGAAUUGAAUUAAGUUUGAUAUGUAUAUUGUGAUACCUUCAUUGACAUAUUGGUUAGAUAUUAAAGGAUGGUUGAUUUGGUAUGUUUUUGAAAUGGUUGUUGGUAUGUUUUCUCUAAGUUAAUUAAAUGAAUUUGUAAUGUUGAAUGGUAUAAUAUUUGUUGGUACAUUAGUUAGUCUUAUAGGUUGAUGGAAUUGGUAUGUUUUAAAUGUGUUUUGGUUAUUUCAAUGUUUGUGGAAAUGGUGUGUCUUGGUGUACAAGAUUUGAAAUUGAAACGGCUUGAUUUAGAAGCAACUUAUGCUACACACCGCCUGGGACAUGGAUUGUCACAUGGCUGUGUCAUUAUUAUUUUAGGUAUAGGUUUCACACAAUCUAAGACUCAGCUCACGACACAGCUGUGUAUCACAAGUCAGUAUGUAACACGGUUUUGUACAUGGCCUGCGACACGAUCGUGUGUCCAGACUUCGAAUGUCCACAUGGUCUAGGCUAUGUCACAUGGCUUGGCCACAUGGCCGUGUGACUUUUGUUUUCAAGUUUUCCAAAAUUUUCUAUUUUAUUUCAAAUUGAUCCUAGAAUAUUCUCAAACUAUUUUUAAGGCCCCGUAGGUUCGGAUUAAGGCCCGUAAGUGUAUGUUUGCUAUAAUUAAGUUGUGUUAUUGAAUGUUAUUAAUUCAAACACAUGAAUACUUUGUUGUAAGUUAAAUGUUUUAAUUUGUACUAUAAUGCUUCGUAACCCUAAUCUGGCGAUGGAAACAAGUUUGGCGUGUUACAAUUUUGUAUUGUAAAUUUGUUUUGGGGCUUUGUUCUUUGGUUCUUGUGAUGUUGGUUGGAUUUUGGUGUUUUAACAUUAAACUGCAAAAUUGUAGGAUUUAACAAACUAAAAUUAGGUUUUCAAAAUUAAAACUCUGGAAAUUUUUGUUGCAAAGUUUAAGUAAUCACUUAAGUGUUUUUCUAUAGAUAAUUAAAUGGUUUUUAACAAAUGUUUUCCUUACUUUUGGAAAUGAUCUGCCAACAUUAGUACUUCUAAAACACAUGAUUUCAAAUUCAAAUUCUCAGUUUUAAAUAAGGGUUUUCACACUUCGAUUUUUUUUAAACAUUUUUGAGAGGUUUUUGCCAAAUUUUAUGUUUUCAGAACGUGUAACCAAGUUGAUUUUUAAUUAGUUUUUCAAAGUAGUCGAUGUAAUUCCUCAAAAAUCCAGUCAUAGCGUCUAGGCCGGGUUUGGGAUAUUAUACUGACGUUACUAAAGUUAAUCUUCAUCUAUUUAGUCUUGAUCUAAACAUUAAUAUUCUCUUCAAAAAAAAUCAAGAUUAUCAAAUUGUUAAAACUUGGUAGGCAGACAAUCAUAUUAAAUAAGCAUAAAACUUAAUAAAUAAUUACCGAAGAUUGAAAUAAUCAAAGAAAAAAUAAAUUAAUUAACUAAGAAAUAGGAUCCAUUAUUGUUUCAAGAAAAUAGAGUUUAGUUCACAUUGAGUUGAGAAAACCAAAAGGGAGAUUCAAAACAAACUUGUGAUAAGGGGAAUAAUGUCAAUAGAUCAUAUUCAAGUUGUUCGGCUUGAGAAAGAAAGAUUCAGAUCUAACUUGAAAACAAGAAACCAAAAAGAUUUAGAAAAACAAGAAAAAACAAAGAAAAUAACUAAAAUGAUAAAUUUAAGAAUAAAUAAUCAAUAUUAAAAAUAAUAAAGAAAUAAAGAAAUUAUAGAAUAAAUAGUGGAAGAUGGAAUGAAUAAACGAUGGAUAUGACAUAUAGAUGGAUAAGUGUCUUAUAAUUCAUGAAAAGAGUUAUAUUUCAUGCCUUUAGACCUAACUAAUUGUUUGUACUUAAGUACAUUUUGUUGCAUUUUAAGACAUUUUAGUUAGCAUUUCUAAUAUUGCAUUAGGACUUAGAUUGUGUUGGAAUUAUGUGUUUUUAAUAUGGUGGAGUUCUUUUGUGUGUUGGUAUGGCAAGAACAUAUUUUAGAACGAGGAAAUAAAUGAGUGAAGUUUUUUCAAGGAAAAAGUGCAGACAGUUUGCCAGAACAGAUGCCGUGACAAUGCCAGGAAGACAAAGUUAACAUUUCUUUGCGCAACAGUCUCAGUUGAAAUUAAAACUUGUACCAGAUAAAUCUCCCUAAAAGAGGAGAAGAUAAUCACAAGUUGUUACUUGACACUAGCCUAAUCUAUCUAUAAAAGCCAAUAAAGGGGAUCUCGCAAAUGGCAGAAAAAAAUGGGAGGGAUCCUUAGGUGUGAAUAAGGUUUUAGCUGCGCAAAGGAAAGGAAGUCGAAGGAAGUGCUUUUUAGCCAUCACAGGAUGUUGUGCUACCGAAGUGUGGACUAGGCAAGUGAAAGUUGUUUCCCAAAGUUCUUUCGUUAUUUCCAUCAGCGUUCCUUCAAAAUAUUGAAGUAGUUGAACACAAUGUCGGAUAAUAUUUUGCUUUUGAAUUUUAUUUCUCAGCCCAUGAGCUAAAUCUCGUAGGGUUGGGAUUACUUUUGAUGAAACCUUAAACUAUUUUUGUGGAUGCAGUAUAUAUCUAAUUUACUUUACUGUUUCAUUUGGUUGUUCUUAUUUCUUAAUUAAAAUGCAAAUGAUUUCUAAACAUAGAAGACUGUUCGCAUACUUAUAAACUCAUUCUAAUUCUGAAAGGGUUGGAUUGGUUGGAUUAAAAUUAAAUGAAAUGAGCAAGUAUUCGAUGGACACUUGUAGUAGACUCUAUACAUAGAGUGACGAUCAUACAGAAGGAACCCAUGCAAGGUAUCUAAAAAGUCUUUAGACACAGGCAAGGUAACUUGAUGUUUUGCUCUCACGAGAGUCAGGCCAUUUUAGUACUCUUUUGUGCUUUAAAGUAGAUACGAUUUUGCCAAGGCAUUAUUGACAGUAAGGGUCGAUUUUGGGUAAUCAACUUUCCAAAUCCACAUCGUAUAUCCUUUAUACCUUACCAUAGUAUAUUUGCCACAUCAUUAUUAGUUAUUUAUUUGUUCAUUUACAUAAUAUUCCCAUAGUAAUUCUCAUAAUUAUCAUUAGAUUUCUACUCUCAGUUUGCCACAACAUUACCAAUUAUUUAUUACCUCCACGUAUUGCUUACACCAUUACUCUACUAAUUUCAACUAUAUAUUUAUCAUUGAGUUUGCCAUGGCAUUAAUCGUAUUUUAUUAUAAUAACUUGACCAAUUGUGUGCCUCAAUCUGAUCCCCAUGGGAACGAUACUCACUCAUCACUUUAUUACGUGAUUCAACUGUAUACUUGCACAAAUCGCAUAUCAUUUCACACACGACAGUGUUCAAUUGAAACCUUUAAGAUAUAAACUCGGACAAACUCAAUUAAUGGCUUUAAUCAACCCACCAAGAAAUAAUGAUUGGCAAAUUGAACGAUGAAGAAUGAAUUCCCAUGACUCCUUAAAAAAUUGAGAAGAAAAAUACUUCUAAAAAUCACAAGAAACAAAUCUUGCACAAAGAAACUAACUUUUAGAGUUGGAAAUUUUAGUAAUAAACAAAAACAAUUGCAUCUCUAAUGAACAUGAAGGGCCUUUACAUAGGCUAGAUAAGUACAUCCAGAUAAAAUAUUCAAGUAUCAAGUACAUCCAGAUAAAAUAUUCAAGUAUCUUGAAACUUUAAUUAGUAUAAGUAAGAAGUAAUUUUAAACUAAAAUAGUUAUAAUUUCCGUCAUAAUCCCAUCCAAAAAUUCUGCUCACAUAAUCAUCAUUAAAAUAGUCAUAAUUUGAGCUCUUGAACUCAAAAUUGAGUGAAUAAAAGUGUGUUUCGAAGUUAAGUGCUAGAUCUUAGAACUUUAUGAAGACAUAUCAAUCGAAAAAUGUCUGGAUCCCAUCCAAAAAGUCACCACAAGUUAACUAAUUUUUCAAACUUGAAAAUUGGCAGCUUUGGUGAAUGGAAUUUAAUAAAGUUCACCCCAUCUAUUCAUGUAUCAACUCGCAUUGGUAAAAAGUAAAAAGAAAUAAUCUAUAGAGAAAAUAGUUGAAGAAUUUAUGAAAAUUUAUUCAAAUCUCUUUUUUUUCUAGUCUUUGCAAGCUUGAAGUUUCCCUUGGUGUGUGAGAGUUGUUCCUUACCCUCUAAGUGAUUUUUUUUCUUCUUCUUUCUCUUCGAUCUCGUCACCUAAGGGUGUUCAAACAAUUGAUUCAGUUAAUACCCGUACAAAACUAUCAUUAACUGAAAUUUUGAAACCCUUAAUCAUUAAUCAAACCAAUUUUUUUGAAACCUACUAACUAGCUUCAUUGUUUUCGGUUAAUUUGAGCGGUUAACCAAAAUUUACACAUUGUUUGUUUUUUUUCAAACAAUUUUAAAACAAAGAACAAUCCACGACAAUUUUUCCUUGUUUUUUAUUCAAAAAAAUUAAAAGAAUUAAAAAAAACAUAAUAACAACACUAAAUUAAAAACAUAAUAGCAUUCAUUAUAUAUAUAUUUACUUUUUCUUGACUUUUUAGUUUAAUUUUAGUUUUUUUUUUCCAAAUAUUUUUAGUUUUCAUAUUUUUGUUAAGCUUAUUAUAAGAAAACUUAUAAAUCCAUUAGUUUUUAUAUAUUGGGUUUGUAUAAUGCAUUGGACCUAUCUCACAUAGUCAUCAUUAAAAUAGUCAUAAUUUGAUCUCUUGAACUCAAAAUCGAGUGAAUAAAAGUGAGUUUCUAAGUUAAGUGAUAGAUCUUAGAACUCUAUGAAGACAUAUCAAUUGAAAAAUGUCUGAACUCCAUCCAAAAAUUCACGCAAGUUAACUAAUUUUUCAAACUUGAAAAUUGGUAGCUUCGGUGAAUGGAAUUUAGUAAAGUUCACCCCAUAUAUUGAUGUAUCAACUUUCAUUGUAAAAAGUAAAAAGAAAUAAUCUAUAGUGGUUAGUGUUUUAAUGGGGGUUUUGUGUUUACUCUCGGUUAGGGGAAGGGCAAGAAGAGUUGGUACUCCUGCAGCAAUUUGAGCGUUAAGGGUGUCUGUUCGUCGGCGGUAAGGUUUCAAAUUCUUUGUUGGUUAUUGUAAGGCUCCGUUUGUGGAAUGGUUUUGGAUUGAGUUUCGUAAGUGUACUGAAUUUGGGCUUCUGGAUGCUAUUUCUUAGGUUCGAUGGUCUCGGGGGUGCUUGUGCAUCAAAACGAUAUCAGGUGUGUACCCGAAAUGCAGAAAAUCGAGCUUCGAUGAAAUCUAAAACACCUUACUAUCGACACCACAAGGGCAUGUGCCUGGCCGUGUGGUUGGCUGUGUGUAGGACACGGUCAUGUGUUUGACGAGGGUAGGGUCGUGAGGAAGACAUGGCCGUGUGACGAUGUGGGCCCGCAGGCUAGGCCAAGUUAGGCUUGUGGGUUUUGGGCCACAUGUGCAUGUGGGUUUUGGGCCAAGCCAUGUGAACCACAUGGACAGGGCUAAUCUGGGUGUGUUGACCACAUGGGCAUGUGGGCCCGAAAUUCUAAAAUUUUUCGUAGGGUCUCACAGGUCAUUUUGGUCGACUUUGUGCCUACCGUAGGGUCAGUAAGGGCUAACCAAACCCUAAAACUAUGUGAUCUGUUAGUUUGAUAUUUGUUCUAAAUAUGAUACUACUAUGCAUGUCUGAUUAGUCUGGUGUAUAUAUAUAUAUCUGAUAUAUAUGUAUGAGCAUGUGAGCAUGAUAACUCUGAUUAUAUAUAUCUGAUUGAGGUGGGAUUUCUAUAUGUGGAGGAAGUGUUCUAUAUGGCGGUCAUCGCCUAUGUUCUGGCAGCUUGGCUAUACAUUAUCUGACAUGUAUCGUAAUGGCACGAUAUGGUGUGUAGGGAUUGGUGGGUGUUUUUAACCCCACAUGAUGUGAUGGGAUGGUCAGAGUUGGUUUGUAGAGGAUGGAGUUAGGAUUCUGUAUUUCUAAUAUGCAUAUAUGUUCUAUUAUUUGAAUCUAUAAAGGACUUAGGUCUGAAUCUGAAUCUGAAAUUGUAUCUGAUCGUGUAUGAGUUUAUUGCACGUAUUGCAUGUAUUUUUCUGUUGGGUUACACACUGAGUUUACGAAAACUCACAUUUGUUUGUCGGUUUUGUUUAGGUAAUCCACAGACUUAGACGGGUCAGUGUUACGGAGGCUCAGUGGUGACCACUUGAUUGAGAACUAUUUUACUUAGUAAAUUAUGUUUUAUUUAUAAUUUCGAUUUCAUUUGAGAGUUUGUAAUUUUUGGGACUCUCCGGACUGCUGGUUUUUAUUUUGGUUUUGGAUGCGAUUUUAGACUCUUUUGUUGCGAUGCAUAAUGGAAAACACGGUUUUAUGAAAACAAAGGUUAUUCUGAAAAUACGAACUGGAUUUCUAAAAUAUAACGGUUCAAAAACUUCUGCUAAAAAUCAUGUUUUGGUAAAUAAAUGAAUUAAGUAACACUUUCAAAAAUGGUUAUAAAGAAAUAUGAACUAUGAAUCUUUAAUGAUUUGACAAAAAGACCUUAUUUUCAAAACCAUACAUUGUGACCACUCCAGAUUCAGCUAUAACGUCUAGACCGAUUUGGGGUGUUACAGUAAGGAUGAAAAUUUAAGGGGGAGUGAGCUAUGGCGCUUAGUAUGAGUUCAUUCACAAUAAAUUCAAUGCAAACGGUUGGUAGGACACAUUAAAUAAUAUCACAUAAAAUAAUCACAGUCAGAUAAUAGUUUAGAAUGUCGGUUUUACAAUUUAACCACCAAUAUUAUCACAGUAUUCACAGUUGUAAUUUCAGAAUAUCAAAUUUUCACACCAUUCACAAUAUUUAGAUAUAUAUAAAUAUAUCAUAACAGAAUUCCAGAUUUGUAUGCACAUGAUUUAGAAGAUGCCAUACAAUUUCGGGUUUUAACAGAAUAAAUCCUACCCCACGUUACAUACCAUAAUGGGAGUUCCCCUAAACUCCCUUCUCCAACACACUGGGUACCACUACUGGUUUACAAAUAAUAACUAUCAUUUGGCUGUGGACACACAGCAAUCCCCCACAAUUGGAUUCUAGAUUUGGUUGUGGGUUCACAGCAAAAAAAUCUACAAAUGAAGCAUGCUUUUGCCUGUAGAUUAUACAACAUAUACCCAUAGUUGGAAUCUGCCUUCGGCUGUGGACACACUGUAACACCUCAAACCUGACCUGGACGUUAUGGCCGAAUCUUGAGGAAUUACUUUAACUCGCUAGAAAACCCAAGAGUUUACUUUGAAAUCAUGUGGUUAAACUAGUGUUCACUUUGAUAAAUCGUUUUCCAGUUUUAGGGAAAAUUAUUAUUAAAACUACUACUUUAUUACAAUAAAAAAUUAAAGUGAUUGUAUCAUUUUGUAACGGAAUCUACUGAGCUAUAAGGUUUUGAAAAUCGUGGUUUAAUUUGCAACAAAUCAUUUUGCAAAUAGAAAUUUAAUACUACUUAAUUUGGAAAAGCAUGCUAAAACGAAAGCAAAGUCCAAACUAAUUUACGAUUUAAAUUCUUAAAAGUCCAAAUUAAACAUAAAGUCAAUUUAAACCAGUUUAUCGAAAGUGUAACACCCCAAACCCGGCCUAGACAUUAUGGCCAAAUCUGGAUGUGUUACAAAAAAAAAGUUUAUAAAACGACUUCCUUGUUAUUGGCAAAUCAUCGCAACCAUUAUUACAUAGUAUGUCUGAUUUGUUUGGAGAACUUUUUGAUAUACUUAUUUGAUUUAAGAUCGUUGCUUGCUUAUGCCUUUCUAUUAAACCGAAUGUUUUGCAGUGGAGUUUCUUUAAAAUGUCAUAUUUUGGCAAAUCAAAUUGUUUCUUGAAAAUCGUUAUUUCAGAAAAGUUGUCAUUUUCAGGAAAACUAUUUUAUCGGUUGUUACGCUUAGAAAACCAAAAUAAAAUCCAAAACCAAAAAUAGUCCCAAAAAGUCCAAAGAGUCCCGAAAUUACAAAACUCUCAAAACCAGAAAAGUUUGAACUAAUUUUAAAAGAAUGAAAAUUUAUAGAAAUAUGGUCAACAUUGAGCUUCCGUCACACCGACCCACAUAAAUGUAAGGGUUACUUGAACAGAACAAACAAAUAGAGAGUGAGUUUUGAAACUCAGUGCGUAACGCGAAUAUAAACAAAAAUUUAGAAUCAAUCUAAUGCAUAACAGAUACAAAUGUAAACCUUUUAUAGAAUAAGAAUUAUACAGAUACAAAUGUGCAAAAUCCUACCCUCGUCCUCUACACACCAAUUCUGACCAGCCCAUCACACCACGUGGGGUAUAAAACACCCACCUAGCCAUACACACGGUAUAGUGUUUAUACGACACUUUUCAGAAUAAUCGCAGUAGAGUUGCCAGUAUAUAGGUGAGAUAUUUCCUCACACAGAACACUUCCUCCUCAUAAUACAAAUCCCGCUCCAUAGCCAGAUACAGACAGAAUAUUAGGUAAAACAAAUUAACAGAUACCAGAGUUAACAUAUCAUGCAUGAGCGUAUAACAAAUAUUACACAUGCUUGUACAUAACAGAACAAACCAUACAUACCGUAUUCCAUAAUACUCAUAUAAAUGUUAUUUUUUAAAUUGUAACAAAUAUUAUUAUUAAGAUGUUUUUCUUUUUAUAUUUUUAUAAAAAUAUAUUAAAAAACAAUUAGAAUAAUUUUAAGAGAAAAAACACUCAUAAAUAGUAGAAUUUAAUCUAAAAAUAUCAAAGUUUUAAAGCCUCAACUUUAACAUUUCAACCAAAAUUCCAUUAGUAUAUAAAUAUUUCAUAAAUAUAGAUUUUAUAUAAAAAAUUUAUGUUAACUUUUUUUUAACCCGCAUCACAAGUAUACCAUAUUUAGAGAUAUUCAUAGCUAGGCAGCCCACUUUGGGUCAAGCUUGAGCUUAGGUUUUAUCUCAAGUUGGCCCAAUUUAACCUAUUUUACUAUUUAAAAAUAUAAAUAUAUGUUAUAUUGAUAUUUAUAUAUUUCUAUAAUUAAAUUUUAAAUAAAUUUAUUGUUAACUUCUAAACAUAAAACAAAGAGAACUUUCACCCAAGUUAUAAGUUUGUGGUUAGACAGCCGACUUUCGGGGCAGGAUUCAGCUUACGUUUUUAAUCUUGGGAUUUAACAAUAAUAAAAAAUUUAAAAAUAAUAUUCUAUUAAUAUUUAUAAAUUUUAUAAAUUUAAAUUUAAUUAUAUUUUUUAAACAGUAAAAUGAACCAUUUAUAUGGGCUAAUUAGAGUUAAGUUUGGUUUGAAUCAAGGCUUAACUUUGACCAAAUCCAACUAAAAACACCUCUAACAAUUAUCUAGUAUUGUUUUUAUGAAUUGAAUUUUAACUUCUAAUUUUCAAUUUUAUUACAAAAUUUCUUUGCGGACGAUAAGAAAAUAACAUAUUUGUAACUUCUUCACUCCGACGUAAAGGUUAAGUCUGAAUUUGGAUUACAUCGGCCAUAAAUAUGGCCUAGCAGGAUUAUCGGAGUUUUUAAAAAUAGACAUCUUUAAAACGUUUGUUUAAUUUAUAAAAAAGCUUAUUUAAUUUCCAAAUUAUUUAUUACUUGAAAUCUUAAUUACAUUUUAAAAGCAGGAAGUGGUAACUAUUUAUUUUUAAUAAAAAUCGGGGUUCAUGUAUAAUUCAUUAAUAACCGUAAUUCGAAAACAUUAAAACUUAAAUUAAAUGUCAUGCAAAACAAAACAAACUUAAAUCUAAAUCUCAUGCCACAGUGCAAAACAAUUUAUUGUAGUCUUAGAAAAUAAAAAAAAAUCAUAUAAUGAACCUAAAAUAAUUUUUUUUACUUUAAUAAUGUGUCAAGACCUUACAAAUGUCACGCCCACGUUCAAUCCUGGUGGGUUAUCUAUAAGGAUGAAAAUUUAAGGGGGGUGAGCUUUGACGCUUAGUGUGAGUUCAUUCACAAUAAAUUCAAUGCAAACGGUUGGUAAGACACAUUAAAUAAUAUUGCAUAAAAUAAUCACAGUCACAUAACAGUUCAGAAUGUCGAUAUUACAGUUUAACUACCAAUAUUAUCACAAUAUUCAUAGUUGUAAUUUCAGAAUAUCAAAUUUCCACAUCAUUCACAAUAUUAACAUAUAUAUAAAUAUAUCAUAAUAGAAUUCUAGAUUUGUAUGCACAUGAUUUAGAAGAUGCCAUACAAUUUUGGGUUUUAACAGAAUAAACCCUACCCCACGUUACAUAUCAUAAUGGGAGUUCGCCUAAAAUCCCUUCUCCAACACACUAGGUUGUGGAUAAACCAAUACUCAUCCGCAGAUAAUAACUAUCAUUUGGCUGUGGACACACAGCAAAUCCCCACAGUUGGAUUCUAGGUUUGGCUAUGGGUUCACAGCAAAAAGUCCUGCAAAUGAAGCCUAUUUUUGCAUGUAGAUUAUACAACCUAUACCUGCAGUUGGAAUCUGCCUUUGGCUAUGGAUGCACUAUAACGCCCCAAACCUGACCUGGACGUUAUGGCUGAAUCUUGAUGUAACGCCCUAAAAUUUCUAAUUCUAUUAUUGUAAAAAUAUGACACAAAAUAUUUGUCUGCUUUAGUGGUUAUGUGUUCUGGGAGUGUUUGGGAGGUCCCAAGUUCACGUCUUUGCUUGGGCAAAUUUUGGUAUUUUGAAUGAAUUAGGCUUUACUCUUGUUCAGUAGGAUUUUAUUUGAUUGUUGGGAAAAUUAUAUCAGAAUGGGCUUGCUGGUCUAGUGGUUAAAUUGUGUGUUAUUAUGGUGAAGGUCUUGUGUUCAAAUCCUUAUGUAGGCAAAGGUAUUAUUAUUAUUAUUUUUGCUCAGAUUUCGGGAUAUAGUUGUGUAAUAGGGGGAUUCUGAGUAGUGGAUGUGUAGUGGGAAUUAGGGGAGAAGAUUAAGGGGUUUCGGGAUUUUAUUUUAUUUUUUCCCAGAACGGAAUUUUGACUCUCUUUUCCAAAAAAAUUCUGUCGUCUAUUCUUCUCCCUCUCCUCUUGUCGAUAUUCUCUAAGUUUUUUCAUCUUUCUCUUCUUUUUCUUCUUCUUGAUUUUUCCCUAAUCCAUUUAUUUUUCCUUCAUUUUCGCACGCGAUUAGUGCUCGCUUAGUUUCGGUAAGCGUUUCUCUUUGUUUUUAUCAUGAAUCUCCUAGGGACUAAAGUGGUAAUUUUUUUCUCUGCGAUUUGGGCAUAAGGGAAGGCUCGGACUGGUGAAUUCAGUAUUCUCAUCUUAUCAAUAGUUAAAUGGGGGGUUAUCGUUGGUGGUAUGUUGGGUUUCUGUUCGUUCUUGGUUGUCAAUUCGCUUGUAAAUCCAUUAAAUUGAUGUUUAGUAUCUUGAUUAUAGGCUUUGGAGUGCUUGGGGACUGUUUUAGCAUCAAACAAAACCAGGUGUGUACCCGAAACGCAAAAAAAAAGGGAUUCGGUGAAAAGUUAAAAUUGCUUGCUAUUUGGACAGCAGCAGUAGACUAAUUUUGAAAAAUCACCAUAAAUUGUGGAAAUCGAAUUAGAGGAUGAAAAAAAUAUGAAAUUAAAUCUUAUUGAGUCUAGUUUCUCAUAGAAGAAACGGUGUAAGUAAUGGAAUUGUAAAUCGUGAGAUAUAAUAAACUUUGUGAGACAAGGUUAGAAUAAAUUCGGGUUCCCCUGUUCUGAUUUUGGAAAAUCAUCAAAAAUUGGAGAAAAGUAAUUAGGAAUUAAAAUUUACAUGUUUAAAUUAUUAAUGAGUCUUUUUUUUCAAUAGAAACAAAUGGGAACUUCAUCCAAAUUUUGUACUAAAAGAUAAUUAAUUUUUAGCAAAGAAGGGUCAAAGCUGUCAGACAGCAGAACAAGGGUAAGUUUGAAGAUUUUACUGUACUUAUUAGCUGAACCAAAAAUUCUAAAAAUUUUAUGGUAGAAAGGUAUUUGAGUCUAUUUUUAAAGACAUCAAGCGAAUUUUAAUUAGAAAUUCUGUAGCACAAGAUAUAAAUAAUUUAGUAACAGUGACUCAAGUAGAAAGCUUUGAAGGAACACAUAAGUAAAUUGUGAUAACAUAUAUGAAUAUUUAGCUAACACAGGUUACACUGAAAAUGGAUCACGUGGCCAAGGCCAAUUUGGGCCGAGUGGGCCACGUGGGCGUGUGAGCCCAUUUUUUUGAAAAAUUCUGUAAGGUUGCACGGGUCACCCAAGUCGACUAUGGACCUACUGUAGGGUCAGUAACCUUUACUUAGACGCCUAUAUGUGUGAUCUGUCUAGCUGAUUUCUAUAACGAGCAUGACUUAUAAUAUCUAAAUGUAUGUACUAUUAAUUGCAUAAUGGCAUGGCAUAUUUUGUAUGUUGCAUUGCAUCGGGGUGGGUUGAUGAUAUUUGGAGGAAGUGUCUAAAGGGAUAUUAAGCCAGUUAUCUGGCAGCUCAGCUGCAACCUUCUGAUUAUGUGUCGAUUUCAGUAUAGCAUGGUGUGUAAGGAUGGGUGGGUUAAUUUAAUCCCUACAUGGUGUGUAGGGUUGGACGGAGAUGGUGUAUAGAGGCUGGUGGGUAGGAUUCUAAUUUACUAUAUCUACAUUCUGAAUCUGAUAUGGGCCAAGGCCCUAAUGUAUUUCUGAGACUGUAUCUGAACGGGCUAAGGCCCAAACUGAUUGUGUGAUGGGCCUAGGACGCAGACUGUAUCUAACUGAAUUCUGUUGAUUAUUUGUAUGCAUGUUUUCUAUGGGGAUUACACACUGAGUUUGAGAAAACUCACCCUUUCUCUGUUUAAUCUAUACAGGUAAUCCCCAAACUUGAUGGGUAGGUGCAGCGGAGGAUUCGACGGUGGCCACACGUAAAUUUCAGACUGUUUUCUGUUAAUGCCUAGAAUUUAUUAAUUAUUUGGGGUUUUUGAUGUAUCUUCUGGACUAUGGACUAGUAGGCUUUAAAUUUUAGACUUUAUACUAUUUUUUAUGUUUUUUUUAAAACUGCAACUCCACAAAACACGGUUUUUUUCUAAAAAAUAAGGAUUUUCGUAAAUAGAAAUGAUUUUCCCUAAAUUAAUUGGUUACAAAAGUUUUCUCUAAGAGACAAGUUUUAAAGCAAAUCAACUAGUUUUUUUUCAUAAUUAAAUAAAAGUUAACUUACUAUAACGAUUUUUCUUAAACUCGACAAUCUUGUCUUCAAAUCCCUUUUCAUGUGACAUCACCAGAUUCGGCCAUAACGUCUAGGCCGGGUUUGGGGUGUUACACCUGAUGAGUUACUUUAAAUCGCUUGAAAACCUAGAAAUUUACUUUGAAAUCAUAUGGUUAAACUAGUGUUCACUUUGAUAAAUCGUGAAAGUAUGUGAUUAUUGAGGACAUGCUGAGCAUGUCAAAUGAAUGUGAAAAGUAUUGUGAUAUGACUAUGUAUGAGAUUGUGUAACAUAUUGCAUAUGCAUUGGGUUGGGAUUUUUUGGUUGACGGAGUAGUUCUGUGGAGUACCGUCGGCAUAUUAAGCCCGCAUUAUUCGUAGUUAGUGCACUGCACCUGGAGUACUGAGGGGAUUGGUAAUUUUAUCGCAUAUUAUAUGUUAUUGGUGAUUGUAUAGCACUAUUUGAUAUCCGACAGAUUUUUUGCAUUAUUGAUUAUUCGGUGGUUUUACCACAUUGAGCUAUGCUCAGAAUGUUUUAGAGUUUGGUAGACGGGUUCUAGGGAACACGUGGUGUGUAGCGGAUGGUAUGGGUAGGAACCUUUUUGCAUUGCAUCAUGUGCACGACAUAUUCGAAUGUUAUUGGUUUAUGCUACGUAUUGUAUUUUUUUGUAUUGAAUGGUAUCAAAAUUAAUGAUUGUCACUCGAAUGAAUUAUGAACUAUGCUCAUACACUGUUUGACAUCAAUUUAAUAAUGGCUAUGUAACGAUAUGAAAUUCCUAUAAUGGUUUUAUUUUCUUCUAUUAAAGCUAAUAUGUUUCACUGUAUUUGAUAUUUAUGUUUGUUUAAAUAAUUGUUCGACUCACACUGAGCUUUUCAUAAGCUCACCCCUAAUAGUGUUAAACUUUUCACGUAAACCUCGAAAUUAAGACCAGACUUGGCAUUCGAAGAAUCACCUUGGACCUUGAAUUAUUUUUCUAAUAAGUAUUAAUCAAUCUCUAAUGGUUUUGGUUUGUAAUUUUUAAUUAUAUCUAGUCUGUGGCUUGAUAACUUUUCUUUUGGGAUUUUUGCAUGCAUGGAUUACUCAAGCAUAAUAACCGGAUAAUGCAUGAUAUCAGGCUUAAGUAAAAUUUGAUAUUGUUCCCUAGAUUCUGCUACAUUGCAAAGGAUUUGUUUUUGAAAAACAAAUUGAUAAGGUAACUAAGUUUUUAAAAUGACUUGAAAAAUGGUUUUUCCCCUAGAUUAGUUUAACAUCAAAUUUUUUUUAAAGGAGAGCAACAAGCAAAUGGUUUUUCUAAAACAACACUAUCAACAAUAAAAUGAAUUCUAAGUAUACACAACCUAAUGAAUGAAUGCUUUUAAGCUAACUUAAAGUACAAUUAUGGUUUUCUCUAAAAUGAGUUUAUUUAAGGUUUUCAUAAGUAAUGUAAGUUAGCUUAGCCAUUUCGGUGGCUAAUGUAGCCUUCUCAUUCUAGCCAUAACGUCUAGGCCAGGUUUGGGAGGUUACAGUAUUGAUAGGAACUGUGGUAUAAAUUUUAUUUUGGACAUUCUUAAAGUGUUAUUUGGACUAAACUUUAGAAACUAUGGAUUUUAUACUGAGCCUAAAUUUACGAAGUUCAUGCGUGGUUUUUACGAAAAUGAAACUAAUAUGAAUUUUUAAAACCAUGAUUUUUUUUAAAGCUCCAAUUUGAAAUUGUACAAGAAAUGUCAAUUUGAAUUAUUUUUGAAUGUUUUUUUAUGCCAAUAAAAUAUUGUUUCAAAACAUAGCUAAGUAUUAUUUAAUUUCGUAAAGACGAAGCAAACUCCAAACAAUCUAAAACUUUAAGGACUAGUUUGUAAUUUUUGUUUUUCCUCAAUUGUCUCUGGUUUGAUUCAAUUCUUGAUCUAUACAAUUAUUCCAUUCAAUUCAUCAAUAUUAAACAUUUAUACAUUAUGUCAUGUCAUGAAUGAACCUAGAUAAAUUCAUUUUUUGAUACCCUUAAAGUUUUACAUUUAUUUCAAUUUAGUCUCUAAAAUCGAAAUAGUCAUAACUUUAAAUUCUGAACUUCAGUUUGAAAAUCGACCUCAAUUUCAUUUUAGACUGUCUGUUAAAAAUUAGUGCAUCUUACUGGAUUUUUUAAUUUACUUGUUUUCUUUAUCAAAUAAGUUGGUUCCUAUUAUAUAGGGAUAUGAUCAGAUUAUGUUUUGUUAGUUGAGGUUUUAGUGGGCUAUUAGUUGCAGGUUUUUUAACUUUAACGUUACAUGUAGUUAAGCUAUUUAUAUGUCAUUUUAUCUAAUGUAAUUUUGUGUGUUUUUUUUAGUAAUCAAAAACGUUCUUUAAUACUUUAAGCUUUUCUUGUUAUUAUUUCUUUCAUUACCUCGGUCAUUCUUUUUUGUUUUAUGGUGUCAGUGCCAGGUUAUUCAUUGGUUAAUUGUGUGAAAGGGUGUUUUGCUAGUUGCUGCAAUGGAGGUUUCAAAUGGAGGAAAUAAUCAGAUUGGUAUGGAGAAGCUUGUAGGCACUAACUACAAGUAUUGGAGGAUGUGUAUGGAGGCAUUUCUUCAAGGCUAGGACUUGUGGGGAUUGGUUGUUGACCUGAUGCAACAAUCCCUCCCAAUAUUCUCGAGAAUGCCAAGUCACGAAGGAGGUGGAAGGUCAAAUGCGGUAAAGCUUCAUUGAUCAUGUUCAUGAUGUUAACUCUCCAAAAGAAGUUUGGGAAACGCUUGAAAGGUUGUUUACCAAGAAGAAUACUGCAAGGUUGCAAUUGUUGGAGAACGAAUUGGCCGGGUUAAAACAAUGAGGUAUGUCAGUUUUAGAAUAUUUUUUACGAGUUAAAAAUAUUUGUGCUGAAAUUUCAGAGAUAGAUACGGAUGAGAAAGUUAGUGAAGCUCGUUUGCGUCGUUAUCUUAUCCGCAGUUUGAAGAAGGAGUAUGGGCCUUUUGUCACUUCUAUUCAAGGGUGGUCGACACAGCCUUCGGUGGAGGAGUUAGAGAAUUUUCUCUCUAAUUAAGAAGCUUUGGCAAAGAAGAUGGUGAAAAGUUUCGAAUCUGAUGCCAGUCUCUUCUCAAAAGGGAAGCCAAACAAGAAGAAUGAGUCUGGAAAUAAAGGCAGAUCUGAAGACUCUAGUUCGAAAAAAGAUGGCAACUCACAAAGCAAAAAGUCUUUCAAAUGCUUCAGAUGCAGAAAGACUGGACAUAUCAAGAGAAAUUGCCGUGUGUAGAUUUCCAAGGCCAAUAUCGUGUCCACGGAAGAAACCGAUGAUCGACUCAAAUGGGAGCAUUGCUUUACUGUUGAAGCUAUUGAACAAAAGUCAUCAAAAGCUUUUGUCAAUUAUGCUGAUAACAAGAAGGAGGAGUGGAUCAUUGAUUCUGGUUGUUCUCACCAUGUAACCGGAAAUGAUACUUUGUUCUUAGAGAUGCAUGAACACCAUGGAGAUCGAGUUAUUGUGACUGCAGAUAACUCCACUCAUCCGGUAGCAAAAGAGGGCAUUGUGGUGAUCGAUGUUGUCGACGAUACGAGAACCGAAAGUGUCAAAUUGACUGAUGUGUAUCAUGUUCUAGAUGAAGCUUAUGUGAAGAAAACAAGCCAAACCGAUAACGCUGCUAUUUGGCAUGCUCGAUUGGGUCAUGUGGGGUACCAAAUGCUGCAACAAAUUUAUUCGAAAAGGUUGUUAGAUGGGAUGCCGAUCUUGAAGAGUGUACGUGAAGAUGUGAUUUGUCAAAGCUGUCAAUAUGGUAAAUCUCAUCGUCUUCCUUUCAAAAGCUCAUCAAAUCGGAGAUCUUCUUUGCUCGAAUUGGUUCAUACAGACUUGACGGGACCAACGAGAACACUGAGUUGUAGCAGCCACUGUUAUGUUAUGGUUUUGGUGGAUGAUUACUCAAGGUUCUCUUGGGUGAAAUUUUUGAAAGAGAAGAGUGAAGCAUUAUCCAAGUUUGUGGAGUUCAAAGCUGCUGUUAAAAAAGAGUUUGGAAAGAAGAUUAAGUGUCUUCGAAGUGACAAUGGCGGAGAAUACAUGUCCAAUAAUUUUUUUCAGUAUUGUGUUGACAACGGCAUCUGUCGUCAAAUGACUUGUCCAGAUACUCCAUAGCAGAACAGAGUUGCAGAAAGAAAGCUUGGUUAUCUUGCUUCGAUUUGCCUUUCAUGGCUGCAUGACAAGAAUCUUCCUCGAGAGCUUUGGGCGGAAGCUGUUCUUUGUGCAUGUCAUGUGACAAAUAGGCUGCCUCCUUGGCCAGGUACACAGAAAUCUCCUUUUGAGAUUUUAUAUGGUGAAAAGCCAAAUGUGAAUUAUUUUCGAGUCUUCGAUUCUAUUUGUUAUGUACAUGUUCCGAAAUCGAAAAGAACUAAACUUGAUCCGAAAGCAAAAAAGUGUGUAUUUGUUGGCUAUGAUUCUUAUAGGAAGGGAUGGAGGUGUAUGGAUCCGGAUACAAAGAAGUUUACUACUUCGAGAGAUGUCGUGUUCGAUGAAGUAUCAUCUUUCUACUCCACUCAAAGAUUUGCUGCAGAAAAUAUUAUUCUUGAAGAUGAUGAUGAAAACUUGGAUGAGCUAUUUCCAAGAGUUAAUUUGCAACCAUUCAUUGAUGAUGAGUUGGAAAAUGAAUCUCCAACACCAACUCCAAGUCAAAAUGUUCAAUGACAUGAAGGUGGUUAGCAACAGAGUGAGGAGGUCUACUAGAGAAACGAGACAACCUGAGUAUCUCAGAGACUAUGAGGUGCAGCUUAAUCAUUGUAGUAUCACUUCUUGUUUCUUUGUUUGAGCGUUUGAUGAAGAACCAGUAAGUUAUGAGAAGCCAAAAGCCAUUCAAAAUGGGAGGCAGCCAUGAAAGAAGAAAUUGAAGCUUUAGACAAAAAUGAGACGUGGGAGUUGGUUCUUAAACCAGAAAAUUGUAAGCCGAUCACUUGUAAAUGGGUUUUUUGCGUGAAGAAAAAAUUAGAUGGCACCAUUGAUAGAUUUAAAGCUCGUCUGGUGGCUCGUGGUUUUUCUCAAAAUUAUGGAUUGGACUACGAGGAGACGUUUAGCCUAGUAGCAAAGAUGGUGACGGUGAGAUCGAUUAUUUUGCUUGCUGCGUUUAAAGGUUGGAGACUAUGGCAACUUGAUGUAAAGAAUGCUUUCUUUACGGAGAUUUAGAUCGUGAAGUAUUUAUGGAGCAACCUAUUGGCUUUGUCUCUAAGGAAUUUCAAAAUCGUGUUUGCCGUUUGAAGAAAGCGUUAUAUGGCCUUAAGCAAGCGCCACGAGCAUGGUAUGGUAAAGCUGCUCAAUAUCUCAUUUUUUGUGGCUUUAGAGUUUCUGAAUCAGAUUCUAGUUUAUUUAUAAAAUUGGAAUCAGGUGCACAUCUCUUGGUAUUAUUAUAUGUUGAUGAUAUGAUAAUAACUGGAGAUAAUGAAUCAGAAAUUUGUAAUUUGAGGAAUGACUUGUCUGUUCGUCUUGAGAUGAAAAUUUUGGGGGAGAUUGGAUGUUUUCUUGGUCUAGAAGUGGAAAAAUCAGAUCAAAGUUGUUAUAGCCCGAUUUUGGGUCUAGUCAGAACAGUGGUUUUGGGACCACAAAUUCAACAAAAAGAAAAUGGGUAAAAAAUAUUAUUAAUUUAGUAAGUAUAAGUUAAAUGUGAAGUUAGGAAAAUUUUUUAAAUACUGAAUAGUGCACUAGAAAUAAAUAUUAAAAUAAUUAGAAUCGAAAUGAGGUAUCAAGACCUCGGGGAUUUUAAACCGAGCCAUAAAUAUUUUUAUAAAUAUUUAUGGAGUGUUAAAAAGUUAGUAUUAAAGUUUCGUUAGGAAAUUUUAAAGUUCCGAUAAUUAAUUGAACAAAAAGGACUAAAUUGUAACAAAUGCAAAAUUUUGGGAAAUGAUUAAGUAGCUUAAAUGAUAAAAGGAAGAGGGCUUAAAAGGCAAAUAGACCCAAGGUUUAUUUGGGCUGGACGGCAAAGGCAUGAAAUCAGCAAGAAAGUAAGGAGAAUUAAGGGCAAAAUUGGAAUAUUGCAAAAUUUGCUUAAUAAAGUUAGGACCCAAGUGGAAUUAUCUAGAUUUCUCUUCAUUUUUCUGAAUUCUCAUCAGCAAAAACACCAUGGAAGGGCUUCUUCAAGCUGGUUCUUCAUAUUUUUACUACAAGUAAGUUCAAUUCUUGACUAUUUCUUGAAAUUUUUGUAUUUUUAUGACUUUUACAAUUAGGCUCACUUGUUAAAUUCAUUAGUUUUUGAUUUUAUGAAAGAAGUUGAAAGUUGAUAUGAAUAUGUGCUGGAAUUAUAUGAUGAUUUAGCAUGGAAUUAGAGCUUUAAAUUGUUCAUAUGCUGAUUUUAUUGAAAGAAUUGAAUAGAAAGUGAAUGUUUGGGACCUAAUAGUAAAAGAGUUUGAAGAUAGAAUUAUAUGUGGAAAUUCUGAAUUUCAAUAGUUGUGUAACAACUUAUAAUGUCUAGGUAAAGUAUUAAUUCAGAAAAUUGGAUUAAUUGAGGGGUUAAUUGAGAAAGGACCGAAUUGUAUAAACUGUAAAAUUUGGGGCAAAAUGGAAAUCAACAUUUUGCACUAAAGCAGUUUUGGACAGCAGCAGUAGUGUAACUUUGAAAAAUCACAAAAAAUUGUAGAGAUUGAAUUAGAGGAUGAAUAAAAUAUGAAAUUAAAUCUUAUUGAGUCUAGUUUCUUAUAAAAGAAACGGUGUGAGCAAUGAAAUUGUAAAUCAUGAGAUAUAAUAGAUUUUGUGAGACAAGGUCAGAAUGAAUUCGGGUUCCCCUGUUCUGACUUUGGAAAAUCAUUAAAAAUUUUACAAAAAUUAUUAUGAGUUAUAAUUUAUAUGGUUAGAAUCCUUAAUGAGUCUAUUUUUAUAAGAAACAAACAAAAACAGCAUCCGAAUUCUGUACAAUGAGAUAAUUAAUUUUUAGUGAAGAGUGGUCGGAACUGUCAGACAGCAAAACAGGGAAAAAUUUAAAGAAUAAACUGUACUAUUUGGCUAAACAAAAAAUUCUGAAAAUUUUAUGGAAAUAAUAUAUGUGAGUCUAGUUCCAGGUAAAAUUAACGGAUCUUAAUUUGGAGCUUUUUAGCUCCGGAUAAAAAUAAUUUAGUGACUCUAACUCAGACAGACAGCCUAAAUUUUUCAUACAAGAAAAUAGUGAAAGUAUGAAUAAUGUUGUUUAAAUGUGUUAUACACAUUAAGGAUGAGGAAUGGAGAGGAGGUGGAGGAAAAUUGGGAAAUAUAUGAAUGGUUUAUCAUGUUGUUAGUUCCAAAAAGAGUUAUGUUUCAAUACACUAGCUUGCAACUAUGGUUGAAUGAUAUGUUUAUAUCUUGUGUGAUGUGCAUAGGAAACAAGUGUGGAAAGAUAAUGAAAUAGUAAGUUCAUAUGGCUGAAAUUUAAUGGUUAAAUGUUAAUUCCAUGAAUUAUAUGAUGUAUGAUGAGAUAUUUUUAUUGUUGAAAUAAGAAUAAAAUAAAAGUGCGAAAGCUGAAUAAAUGAUCAAAUUGAGCGGAACGCCGGAUUUGAGUACUUCUGAUCAAGUGACAAAGUGAUAAGUGAUAGCUUUAGCUACACUUAUUUGAUCAAGAACAAGUGAUAAGCGGUGACAAAGUGAUAAGUGGUAGCAUUAGCUACACUUAUCUGAUCAAGUGAGAAAGUGAUAAGUGGUAGCAUUAGCUACACUUAUCUAAUCAAGUGAGAAAGUGAUAAGUGGUAGCCUUAGCUACACUUAUCUGAUCAAGUGACAAAGUGAUAAGUGGUAGCCUAGCUACACUUAUCUGAUCAGGGACAGGUGAUAAGUGAUCAUACGUAAGACCAUAGUUAUACUAUGGCAAAGUGAAAGUGAAGUACUCAAUUUUCCGUGACCGUUCCCUAAUUUGAUUAAGGAUGGUAAGUGACAAAUGAGCCCAAAAGAAUUAAAGUAAAUGGAUAAGUGGUAGUAUAUUUAUAUCAGGACGAUGUUGUUAUUCAAGCUAAAGUGAUAUUUUCAUUGCAAAAUUGAGAAUUUCAUAAAUGUGUUAUUGAAUGGUAUAAUCAAUAAACAUUGAGUUAAAUGGUAAAUACGUAAUAGUGUUGAACUUGAUGUCAUUGAAUUGUAUGUGAAUUAAAUGGAAAUUGCUAGUGAUAUGAUGUAAAUUGUGAGCAUGAGAAAUUGCGACUUGAAUGAAAUGGAAAUGAAGCAUUGAAUUGCAUGAGUAUGUAUCGGGUCUCAUAGGCCCUAAUUAUUAUGAUUAUAAUAUUUCGAGGAUAUAUUGUGAAAAGUUAUAGAAGCAUGUUAAUUAUUUUGAAAGUUUAAAUUUAUAUGAAAUUUUAUAACUCGGUUAAAUAUGCUUACAAGUGCAUAUGUUUUGGUGAUACCUCGUACCCUAUUUCGGCGUUGGAUACGGGUAAGGGGUGUUACAAGGUUACUUUGUUUCUCAAAAAGGCUAUGCAAGGAAUCUCUUGGAGCUUUUCGGUAUGGGGGAGUCGAAAGAAAAAGCUACUCCGAUGGAGCCGAAUUUGAAGUUGAAGAAAGAUGAUGGGAGGCCGUUGGAAGAUGCAAGGAAGUUUCGACAACUUGUUGGAAGCUUAAUCUAUUUGACCAUUACAAGGCCUGAAAUUUCAUACUCUGUUAGUGUUGUUUCUCAAUUUAUGCAAAAUCCAACAAUUAUUCAUAUGGAUGGAGCAAAGAGGAUUUUGCGUUAUGUUAAAGGAACUAUUGGUUAUGGUCUUCUAUACAAGAGAUGUGAUAGCUUUAUGUUGAGUGGAUUUACUGAUGCUGAUUGGGCUGGAGAUACAAACGAUCGUCACUCGACUUCGGGAUAUUGUUUCAGUAUCAAUUCAGCAAUGGUUUCUUGGUGUAGCAAAAAGCAAGGUGUUGUUGCUUUGUUGAGUAUCGAAGCCGAGUAUCUGGCAGCAACUAUGGCUGCACAAGAGUGCAUUUGGUUGAAGAGGUUGAUUGGAGACAUAUGCAAAGUUAAUUAUGCUGUAAAAAUCAAGUGUGAUAAUGAAAGUGCUAUUAAGCUUGCAUCGAACCCGGUUUUUCAUGCUCGAACGAAGCACAUCGAGGUUCGACAUCAUUUUGUUCGAGGAAAGGUUCUAAGUGAAGAGAUUGAGCUUGUAAACAUUCGCACCAACGAUCAAGUGGCUGAUAUUUUCACUAAGGCUUUGGUGAAGCCUAAGUUUCAUCAAUUUAGAGAUGCUCUUGGAGUUCUUGAUCGUAAGCAUGCACUAAGGGGGAGUGUUAAAAAUUAGUGCAUCUUACUAGAUUUUUUAAUUUACUUGUUUUCUUUAUCAAAUAAGUUGGUUCCUAUUUUAUAGGGAUAUGAUCAGAUUAUGUUUUGUUAGUUGAGAUUUUAGUGGGCUAUUAGUUGCAGGUUUUUUAGCUUUAACGUUACAUGUAGUUAAGCUAUUUAUAUGUCAUUUUAUCUAAUGUAAUUCUGUGUGUUUUUUUUUUAGUAAUCAAAAACAUUCUUCAAUACUUUGAGCUUUUCUUGUUAUUAUUUCUUUCAUUACCUCGGUCAUUCUUUUUUGUUUUACUCUCUACUAUCCAUUAUUAUCAAAAUUUCACAUCAAUUUCACAAUUUAUUUACUUUAGUUAUUAUGUACAAAAUUAACAACCAAACAUCACAAUUUAGUCAUUUUUCAUAAUUUAAGCUUAAAAUCUAUAAAUUUAACACCAAUUUCUUCAAGAAAUCAACCAUGAAAUCUAUAAAAAAAAUUUAACAGUUUUGCAAAUUGAUACAUAGGUUAUUUAAAUCAAACUCUCAUGACCUCAGAAACACAAAAAAAAUUAUACGAAAAUGAUUUAGAAAUGCAUACCAAUUGAGGACCGAAAGCUUGAAGCUCAAAAAUGGCUUUUCCCCUUGAGGUUUUAUGUUGAUUAGAUGAAGAAGAAGAAGAAAUAAAGAUGACAACUUGCACUAAGUCACCUUUAUAUACUUAGAUUAAAUCUUAAUUAAUCAAAUUUAAUUAAUUAAAUCUUAAUUAAUUAACCUUAAUCACAAUUAAUAAAAAUUGGUGGAUGUUAACAUCAUCCUACACUAUUUGAUAUAACCAAAUGAUCUAUUUACCAUUUUGAACCUUUAGCUAAUUAGAAAUCUAUAGCGAUAAGACUUUCAAAAUUUAGUCUCUGUAUCUUAAUUAAGCAAUUAAUAGACAAAGUUGAAGGUUUAAAUUUUAAUGUUCUAUUAUACCAACUCUGUAAAUAUUCAUAUUUAAUAUUUACAGACCUGAAUUACGAAAAUGAGAUUUUGAAAUUGUAUUUUCCAGUACCACUGAAAAUCGGACAAUUACGUAACCUAUUUGCACCAAUGGGCCAAACAUGGCAAAUACUUGACAUGUAUGUCUUAAUAUCCUCAUCUAUUCUCUUCAAUAUAAUAACAUCCAAUAAUUGUUCCAUCCACUGUAACUAUCACGAAGAUUAGAUUGACCAAUACAGCCUACAAUUUGAAGAAGCGCGAUAUUUUCAUUCUAGAGAAAGAUAUAAUUGAAACAAAAUUGAAAUAAAGAUUUCAAUACAGAAUCAACAGACAUUCCAGCUAAUACUUAUCAAUUAUUUGCAGCUUUAUUGCUCCAACUAAGAUGGUUUUUAGUCGAAUAUGGUAAAUGAAAUCAAUGAACACCAGCUACUUGAUGAACGAGUGAAUCAAAGUCCUGAUAUGUGCCGGCUUAUUGGUGAAAAAAUACAUGGGCUAGUUUUGCAGCAAUUCAUGAUCUUACAUUUUAUAACCUUUGCUUACAAUUAUUCACUGACUAAUCAUUCAAUGAAUGUAGGCCUCAAAUUUAGCCACUAAACUUUAUUCUUUAUUUUUAGAUACAUAUUAUUUGAUCACUUCAUACAGCCUAUUACUCAUAAUAACUUCCAAUUUCCCUUCUUUAGGUUAGUUGCAAAUGUACAGCUUUUUCUAGAAGAAGAAAAUUGUCAAGAGCCACCUGUUCAAGAGAGGCGCAAACAAAAUGUAAAAAUACCUGACCUACUUACGGUACAGCCAAGUAAUCAUGUCUUUCUAUGCUAGAUCAUUAAAUCAAUGACUACAAAUUUCAUGCCAUGGUCGUGUAUCAUUUAUGCCAUUGAUGCUGCUAUUUUCUAUUCUAAUGCAUAAUAGGGAUUUAGUGUUUUUACCGUUAAAAUUGUGUCCUUUAAUUUUGGCUCUUUUCAGUUGUUGAUCAUGUCCACCUAUGCUUUAUUUUACUACUAUUGCUUUCUGUAAUGAUAGAUGAUUGAAUCGGUAGAAUUUUAUUAAUCCUCAACAUGUUUUAUCUUGACAUAUGGAUCCUAAGCAUUCCUUGGAUUGUGCCCUUUUUGUUCAUUUAUUUUUUCUUGGAACCUUAUUACAUGUUGUACCACUCCAGCUUUUUGGAGACAAUGAAGACGACUAACUGCUGAAUUCUUUCUUCUGCAGAGGAACCAAUGGCACGAGACUCAAAAAAUCCUACUCUUUUUUAUACCUUCCUCACCUCUUUGUGACAUUAUAGCUGAAAAAUGAUGUAUGCUAAUACAUGAAAUGUUUCCUCUUGCCUUUCUUUUUGUAGUACUAAAACUACAAAUAGUGUUUGCAAAACUCUUUAGAGAAAAACAAAUGUCUGUAAAUCUCUUUACCCGUAAUCUUAUCUUUUCCUCAUUGUAAUAGUUGGAAAACUUUUUAUUUGAAAACGAUGUCAACUACUGGGAUAAGUUAUUGUAAGCAUCUUAAGUGUUUCAUAUUAAAAACAAACACUGUUAUUGUUUAUUUUGUAGUCUAAAUUAUGAUAAUUUCUGCACAAAAUUCACAUAAAUGGUUACCCUCCCGAAGCAGAGCGAGGGUGAUGCAUACUAGUUAUUAAGAAAACAGGACCUUGUAGGGCUUAACUGUUGAAUCAAGAAAGAAAUUUCUUUUAAUGCCUUCAAUUGUAACAUCCCGAUUUUGGGCCUAGUCGAAACAAUGGUUUCGGGACCACAAAUCCGAUGAGGAAAAUUUUAUUUUUACUAUAUUAUUAUGGCCUAUAAUUUCACGGAAAGAUUUCUUGAAAAUUUCGUUCAAAAAUUUUGACGUUAGGGCACUCAAUUUAGCCAAAAGGACUAAAUUGUAAAAAGUGCAAAAGUUGAGUUUUAUUGGUUAAAGGUACUUAAUUGCUAUGGAAUUAUAACUUAGGGGUCCUUAUAUGGUAAUUAGACCAUUAGUUAGUGAUGGACAAAAAUGAACAUAAGUGAAAUAGGAUUUUUUUUAUGUAAGGGUAUUUUAGUCAUUUAGUAAAUAAAUAGAAUUAAAAGGGAAAAAUAUGUAAAAAAAAUUGUGUUCAUCAUCUUUGCUAGGUGCCAAAAUUUGAAGGAAGCCAUAGCUAGGGUUUCUUCACUUUCUCAAGCUCAUAAUCGAGAAGAACGAAAUUUGGAGGUAGAUCGGGGAAAGAAAAAAAUUGAGGACUAAAGUGUUAGAUUUGAUCACAUUUUUGUACCGAGGUAAGUUUACAGUAAAUAAAUGCAAUAUUUCAAUAAUUAUUAUUAAUGCUGUAUUUUUUAGCAAUUAUGUAUUUAUUUCAUGAAUAUAUUUAAUGUUGACUCAAGUAUGAGAUGACAGAGAAUUAGUGACACAAGCCUCAUUGAAACACUAGGAAUGUAUUGGAUACAAAUGCCAUGACAUUUGGGUAAAGAGGUCCCAUGUAAGACCAUGUCUGGGACAUGGCAUUGGCACCGAGAUGAGAGGUCCCCCGUAAGACCAUGUCUGGGACAUGGCAUGGGCACCGAUAUGAGAACUCCCAUGUAAGACCAUAUUUGGGAUAUGGCAUUGGCAGUACAGGAAACAUCCCAUGUGAGACCAUGUCUGGGACAUGGCAUGGGCACCGAUAUGAGAACUCCCAUGUAAGACCAUAUCUAGGAUAUGGCAUUGGCAGUAUGGGAAACAUCCCAUGUGAGACCAUGUCUGGGACAUGGCUUUGGCAUGUUAUUAUCAGAUAUGAGACCCAAGUAUCCUUAUUAUUCCAAUGUGACUCAACGGGCUAGAAAACAGAUUAUGUUCUACGAAAGUUCAAGUAAAAGUAUAAUUAGCAACUUCAGGUGAGUUAUAAGAGUUAAGAACAUAUUAUGUUAUUAGUGAGAACCAAUAUUUUAGCAAGAGAAGAGUAAGUUGUAAUCUUAAGCUAUCUAAGUAGAUAAGUAAGUAAACAAGUAAAUGAGAGUCAGUAAAGAGAAAACUUAAGAACAUGAUACUUGUAUAUCAUUAUUUAUGUUAAAUGAUGUCAUUUAUUUAUUUGUAAACUUACUAAGCUUUAUGCUUACUUCUUUUAUUUCUUUUUCUUUCAUAUAGUAUUAUCAAGCAUAGUCGGGAUCUUGAAGACGUCGGAGAGUGUUCACACUAUCAACCACCACAACUCGGUAUUUUAAGACGAUAAAUAUUUUGGGCUAUGGCAUGUAUAGGGACUUGGUCAUUUCAAUUGUAUAUUCUUAAAAUAUGACCAAAAGAUGAUAUGUAAAUGCUUGAUGAUGAAUAGUUAUUAAAAUGGCUAAGUAUGAAGGUGUUUGUGGUUAUAAAUGUCUAGGUUAUAAAUUAUGCAUAGAAAUCAUGAAAGAGUAAAAAUUUGUAGUGAAUCAGUUUUGAGACAGCAGUAGUGACGUGAAUUUGAAAAAUCACCAAGGAUAGUAGAAAAUGAAUUAGAGAGUGGAUGAGAUAUAGAAUUAAAUCUUAUUGAGUCUAUUUUUAUAGAAAAAUAACAGUGUAGACAAAGAAAUGAUAUAUUCCGAGAUAUUUGCAUUUUAGUUAGACAAGGUCAAAGUUGUUUUCGGAAUCCCCUGUUCUGAAUUUGGAAAAUCAUUAAAAAUUGUAAAAAAAUAUUUAUGAGUUUUAAUUUAUAUGUAGAGAUUCCUUAUUGAGUCUAUUUUCUUUAGAAAGAAUUUAGAACACUAUAUGAAGUAUGUACAAUGAGAUAAUUUAAUUUUAGUGACAAGAGGUUAGGACAGUUGAUUAGUGAAACAGGGGAGACUUUAACUAAUAAACUGUACUAAUUGGCUAAACCAAAAAUUCUGAAAAGUUUACAGUAAAAAUUUAUAUGAGUCUAGUUUCAGGGAAAAUUUAUGGAUCUCAAUUUCAAGUUUCAUAGCUCGAGUUAUAAUUAAUUUAGUAACUAUUGUGCAAGUGAAUAGACUUACUAUGAACAGUGAAUUAACUUUUAAAACUAAAUUUUUAUGCCCCGAACUUUUAAGUUAGUCAAGUAACGCCUCAUGCUCGACUCCGGAAAUGGACUCGGUUAAGGGGUGUUACAUCAAUUUUUUUUAAAGCUGAUUUUUUUUUUUACGAAUUAAAGUUUUGAUUGUAUGUUAAUUGCUUGAGGGAAGGUCGGAUACUUUAUUAUCCCUAUUUUUAUUUGUUAUAUAUUUUAGCCAUAAUGAUUUUUUUGGCUCUACAACUUUACCAAAAAAAUCAUAUUAUCUUUCAUUUAAUUUUCAUCUCUUUUAACCCUUUAACUUGUAUUUUUUUAUCAAAUCACCCCAAAAUGGAUCGAAAACUUAACAUUUGUAAACUUUGAUGAUGUGGCAUACACAUUAAUUGUCACAUGGAUGACAAGUCAACAUUUUUUAAAAAAAACUUAAAAAUAUUAAAGAAAAUAUUUUUGAUAUUUUUAAUGAUUUUUUUAAUUAAAAAAGUUUUUAUAUAUUUUUAAUUUUUAAAAAUUAAUUAAACACAAACAUAGAAAUUCGCAUCUAUGUGUCACAGGCCACAAAUUAAAGCCUGCGACCAUUUCGCAUAGAACACCCCAUAGAGGUCAAUUUAUUAAACGUGGUUCAUUUGACCCGCAUGAACUGGCUCGAAUCGUGGAACCCGUAGAGAAACCCAUCUACUUUAAGCCUUGGUGGUCUAGUGAAAUACUCCAAUAAAACUAGAGUUACUAGGGUAAAUAAUGUAAAUCUUAAAUGGAUAAGAUUGUAUAGAGUUUAAAUUCCUUAUAACUCUCAAUUGUAGAUAAGCGGUAACAUUAAUCAUCGAUGUAACUCAAUCUGUAUCGUUGCUUCUAGGAAGCUCAACUAUAACUAGAGGUCUCCCUCUUCAUUUGUAAUCAUUCCAUUCAUAGUUGUGAAUAUAUUUGAGAGCAUUUACUCAAACACCUUGUGUGCAUUGCUUUUCUUUGGCUAUUCUGCUCUUUCGAGCUUCUGUCUUUGAGUGUCACAUCCCAAAAUUGGGCCUAGAAGAAAUAGGGGGAAAAUUGAGUUUUAAUUUUUUUUUAACAUAGGGUAAGGGAAGUAGAAUGCCUUAAAAUUAAUUUUUUGCUAUAAAUCUAAUAAGAAUGAGUUUGUUGGUUUAGUGCUAAGGUCAUAGCCUACCUAUAGGUUCCAAGUUUGAACCCCUUGGUGAGCAUUCAACCAAAAUAUUUUUAUUUUCUUGUUUUUACCGCACCAAAAGUGACGAAUUUUAAAAUAACCCAGCCCAAAAACUAUAUUUUUUUAAAAUUUAGUCCUUAAUUUAAAAUUUUUCCCAAACCUACAUAAAUUUUUAAAACCUAUUCCAAUUAGGAAAGAUAAGUAUUAUAAAUAAACAAUUUCAAAACAAACCCUAGAAUUUCAUCUAGCAAUUUUUCGAGAAAACAUCCAUAAACACUUUAUUUUCCAAAUCAAACUUUCAAGCGAAAGGAAUCGAAAUCUUCAAAAUCAUCCCUCAAGUAGAUCUUCAAUCUCUUCUCCAACACUAAGGUUUUAAGUCUUCAAAAUAGGUGUGGGAACUAAACCUAAAUCUUUGUGUAUAAUUGAAUCUAAUAGCAUGUAGAGAACCAGUAUUGGCGAACCCUAGGAAAACCCCCCUGUAUGUGCGAUCAUGUAGGUGCGAGCCUGUAGAUGCGAAACCCCUUACACAUGAAAACCCCAUGCAUGCGAACCCUUACGUGAAACCCCCCCUUUCAUGCGAACCCUGUAUGAAUACCAUGCAAACCCUAGGUUGUUAUGUGGAUACUCAUACUGUGAACACAUGUGCACAAACAUAUAGGAAUAUUCAUGUGAACCCUACUAUUAGAUGCGAACCCCCUUAUACGUGAAAACCCCCUUGCAUGCGAACCCUAGUUAGUAUACAUACGAGUCUCAUAUUUACAUGCGAACCACUACUAGUGCGAGUCAAUUAUAUGAUACCACAUGCGAACCCUACUAUUACAUGCAAACCUUUAUACAUGUUAUAUUCUAACUUUUUUUGUUAAAAUAGGUGAGACUUGUCUAGUAUUACAGACGACCCUACAUAUACCUAAUUUGCGAACUCAUAUGUUAAAAGUAUGCAAAACUAUCUAUGUUUGUUAUGUGAACUCACAUGUUAGCAGUAUGUGAACCUAUAUAUAUCAGUUAUGCCAACUCACAUGUUAGCAGUAUAUGAACCCAUAUGUCUGUUAUGCAAACUCACACGUUGGCAAUAUGUGAACCCUAUAUACACCUUUAUGCAAACUCACACAUUAACAGUAUGCGAACCCUAUAUACGCCUUUGUUGAUGUUAGUUCCCAUGCAUCUUGUGGUGCAGCAAUCGUGGCCAUGCAGGUCACAUGGAGAAAAGAAGCAGCACAUGAAGGCAGUAACUGGAGCUUGUGGAUGCUGUCCAAAUUCAACUUAUUUUGUUGGUUUGAUUUUAUAGUUUGUAACUUAGUUCUUUUGGAACUUUCUUGGUAAAACUUUCGAUGUAUUUUUUAUGUUGAUUGACUGAAAAUUCAGCAAAGCAACUUAUGCAAGCUAGUUUAGCAAUUUUCAAUGUAUUAAGUGGUGUUAGGUAAGUGUUUAGGUAGUAUUUUGACUUGUAAGCUUAACUCAUGUUUGAUAUAUGUAAUGGCAACUUGCCAAUGCCUUGUUAAUGAAAAAAUUCAGCUUGUUUUCAAUUUCUGUUCUUAAAAACAAAAAGGUUUCUACUUUGUUUCUUCUCCAAGUCACGAGGCUUGCUGACAAAGCAAAGCUAAAUCAGCUUGCUCACUGCCUUUGACUCCAACAGCCUUUAUACAAACUCACACGUUAGCAGUAUGCGAUCCUUAUAUACGCCUUCAUGCAAACUCAUACGAUUAGCAGCAUGUGAUCCCUAUAUUUAUGCGAACCCUUCUAAUAACAAAUAUGCGAACCUUAACUUGCGAACCCUAGGCAGGAACCCUACACUCGCAAAGCCUUCUUCUGAACCUGUACAUAUGCUAGAUAACCAAGCCUAUUAGUUUACGUUAAAUCACUGUACAUAUGAGAUUGUUUGUUUACUUGCACAAAUUAUAUGUGUAUUUACUAUUCGAUACAAGAGUACCUAUCGACCUUUUGAUGAGAAUUCAGAGAUUAAUGAUGAUAAUUCCAACAAUCGGUGGAAGAACAAGUUAAAUCGAGAAUUGGUGUAAUUUAAGGUAAUAAAGAUUAAAUUUUCAGUAAUAAAUAUAAAAUUGUUAUGGAAAGAAAUGAUGGGUAAAAAAAUGAGAGUUUUAAACAGAAGAGAGGAAAACUUCAAUUUAGGGUUGAAGAGGAACUAAAAAUCCAUGUGAAAUUAGGAAAAAAAUAUUAAAUACCUAGGAUUAAAAAAUUUGAGGGGGCUGAAUGGUAAAAUACCCUUUUUGCUUAAAAAUGAAAAGAAAUGGAAAUGGGGAUUGAGUUUGGCAUGACUUGAACCUUGGAAGCAAAGGAAAAAAUUGCAAAGGCCAUACCAUUUGGGUUGCUACCUACAUUUGGCAUAUUUUUACACUAUUUAAUAUAUAUCCUAGCUUAGUUUUGAUCAUAGGUUGUUGAAAAAAAAACAAGGGGUAAGAGUGUGGCUUCAACCUUAGUUCUCUAGUUAGUAUACUAAGCUCUUAACCAUUAAGAUUAAGGCUCAUCUCUUAGUCAAUUAAUUCAUCUAACUCUAUAUAUUUUGGUGUGUUACAUCUUGAAUUAAAAAAACCCAUAAAAUGCAUGUAGACUUGUAUUGCUUGGUACUUGGUAGUAUAUAUGUAGACUUGUAUGUUGAUUAAGCCACCUUAAUUAAGACCAAUGUGUUAGACUUGUCUAUGCAUUGAACAAUUUAGAAGAAAAUGAAGAAAAAGACUCUAAAAGCACUUGAAAACAGAUAAAACUCAUAUGUCAUUGACUAGUUAAAUGUGGUCACCCAUAAUAGACCCUGUAUUUGACUUUUUGUUGAGGGAGAUUGACUCCUUUGGGAGAAGUCUCCUGAGUGUUGUUUGUCAAGCAGUCAGGGUUGUCCUAAACAACUAAAGGUAUUGUCCCCAUGUCGAGAUUUUAUCCCUAGCCUCUGCAAAAUAAUCAUGGAGAAUAUGUGCGAGAGAAUUCAAACACCAACCAAUGCAUGUGUAGCCUUUACCUUGCCACCAUCUUUGGGAACCCAUAAGGAUAAAAUCCCAACGAGAGAAUAGUAUCAUCUAUUGAGGGGUCUGUCAACCCAAUAAAUGAAAUUUAAAUGCAUACUUUUUUUUUAAUGAAAGUAAAUAUCAUAUUUAAUUAGAGAAAAGCAAUGAAAAAUCCAACAAUAAAAUCCUUAGCAAAAGAUUAAAACACAAUUGUACCAUAAAUUAAAUAAGAAACUAAAAAAAUUCAAAUCUAACGAAGACAAUAACUUGAUUCCUCAAAGCCACCAUAAACAGUAAUUCAUACGAAGGCCUGUUGCUCAUUUUAUAGGUUUCCAUUUUGAUUUUGCAAAAGAAGUUUGAAUUCCGAAGCGAGCCUAGUACAUGAGAGAAAAUUGUCGAAACCGUCUUUUUGAAAACAAAAAUUUAGUUGUCGACUUUAAAAAUAAAACUGGAGUCGCCACCGAUCCUUUAUUAGGGUGUGAUCGGCUCACCUUAAAAAUUAUUUUGGUCUACGAGCUUUAAGAAAACGAGUCCGGGAGUAAGUUACGCAUGAGGAAGGGUUAGCACCCUCGUAACGCCCAAAAUCGGUACCAAAUCGAUUAUUUAAUGUCUUAGUGUCGUGGACUAAAAAGAAGUUAAAAAAACCAAAUGAUGAAAUCAGAAAAGGAUAAUCAAUUGUUCAAGACAUGUAAAGAAAUCGAGUCCCAAUACGUUAGGGUACAAUUUCUCAAAAUUCCCGAACUUUGAAUAUCGCUUUUAUUUUAUGCGAAAACAUUCAUUGUGAGAAAGUAACAUGCCACACCCAAUACGUUAGGACACGACAAGUUAAGUUCCAAAAAAUGAUUUUUAUACUCAUGCAUUUUGAAUAAAAAAUAUUCUCGAUUAUUUAAAAUUAACAAAGAAAAUCGGAACCCAAUACGUUAGGGCUCAAUUUUCUCAGAAUUCCAAAUACCGAAUUGUGCCUUUUAUUCGAAAAUUCUUAUUUCGAGAAGUCAAAAUAUCAUGACCAGUAAGUUAGGACUUGACAUUUUUUGAUUCCCGAGAACAAGCUUCUAUUUGAAAUUUGCAUGAAUUUAUUUCAAAAUAAAUACCUGGUUUUCUAAAUUCACCAAGAAAUAAUCGCAAUCCAGUAAGUUAGGAUACUGUUUUUCUCGAGAAUCAUGAAUGCCAAAUAUUUUGGAAUUUUAUAAAAUAUGAUGAUUUUAAUGCUUUGACAGAACCAAAAUAUAUUUUCUUUAAAAAGUGUAGAAAAAUACUAAUGUAUCACAUAAAAUCAAUAUUUUAAUUUUAAAUUAUAUGCAUAUAUGUAUUUUCAAAAUAUAAGUAUGAUACAUAAAUAAAUUUUGAAAAUAUAAGUAUGAUACAUAAAUAAAUUUUGAAAACAUGUAUAUGCACAUAUUAAAACAAGUAUAUAUAAGUAUACACAUAUAAAAUAAAAUAAUGAAUGAGAUAUGUAUAUCAAAAUAAAAAUUAUCAAAAUUUCUACAAAAAAAAAUCAUGUAUGUAUAUACGUAAUGAAAAUUGUAAAAAUAAAAAUAAAAAAUAUGCAGAUGUGUAUAUAUUUACAAAAAAAAAUUUAAGUAUACAUGCUUUAGUAAAACAGAAAUAAUAAUAGUAUAUGAAGAAAUUAGGAAAAUGUGUAUAUAGAUGUACAUAUAUAAAAAAAAUGCAAAAAUAUAUUUACAAUAAUUUUGAAGGGCGUACGUGUAUAUCAAUAUCUAUUUAUGCAUAUAUAUUAUAAAAUAUGAAAGAAUAUAUAACUAUAAUAGAAAUAUAAAUGUAUAUACGUAUAUAUGUAUAUAAAAGCUAAAAAAGAAAUAAUAACAAUAUAUAUAUAUAUAAAUAUGUAUAUGUAUUAGAGAAAUAUUUAAUAUAUAUAUCUAUUAGCAUACAUAUGCGUAUGUAUGUAAGUAUAAUUAUAAUACUAUAUAAUAUAAUAAUAAUAAUAAUAGUAAUAAUAAUAAUAAUAAUAAUAACAAAAACUACAAAAAAAACCUUAAAAAGCACCAUUAAGGAUUAAACUGAGAGCUAAACGAAGUUAAAAGGCCAAAUUUAAAAAUAGAAAACACCAGGAAGGACAAAGUGAUACGCGCGCCAUGAGAGGAGGACUUAAAAAACAAUUUUCCCAAGUCGCUGAAGCACUGUGCAGUGACAUGGAUUAAAUCGUCACGCGAGCAAAAUAUUUGGGCCGAAUUUAAAAAGGAAAAAAAACUUGAUUGAAACACGUAGCAAAAGGGGAAGGGCUAAAAUAUAUAACAAAAAAACACAAAAAGUCAAUCUGGUAAAUCGAUGUUGGGUACUCUAAUUUUAGGAUUCAGAAGGCUUAAGAGUGUUUUCGCAUCAAAAUCGUACUAGGUGUGUCCCCAAAACACAAAAAGUCAGGUUUCGAUAAAAGCCGAAAAUGCAUCCAGUCGAUGCCACACGGACGUGUGCCUGGUCGUGUGGCUAGCCGUGUGUGAGACACGACCUUGUGGUGGUGUGAGUGUAGCGGUAUGGGCCACACGGGCUAGGCCAGUCUGGGCAUAUAGGCCCACAAUUUUAAAAUUUUCCUUAAGGCCACAUGGUUCGUUUCGAAUGAUUGUGGACCUACCAUAGGGUCGGUAAUGGCUAAUCAAACACUAAAUUAUGUGAUAUGAUAUUUUGAUAGUCUGCAUUGUGUAGGAUAUCGAUAUGUACAUCUGUUCUAUUUAAGUAUAUAUAUGCUAUCUGUAUAUGAGCAUGUUAUGCAUAAUAUUACUGUAUCUAUUAUUUCUAUAUUCUGUAUCUGUGAUUGUGGUGGGUUUUGUAUAUGUAGAGGAAGUGAUCUGUAUGGUGACACUUCCCUUAUAUUCUGGCAGUUGAUUGUAUAUUAUCUGUAAUGUGUUGUAUUGACACUAUAUGGUGUGUAGGGAUGGGUAGGUGUUUUAAACCUCAUAUGGUGUGAUGGGAUGGCCGAAGAUGUUGUGUAGAGGAUGGGGGUAAGAUUCUACAUAUCUGUACUACUUAUCUCAUUCUGUUAUCUAGAUUUGGAAUGGAUAUAAGUCCGAAUCUGGAUCUGACUGUAUAUAAGACUUCUGUUUGUAUUGCAUGUCUAUUUUUGUUGGGUUACACACUGAGUUUAUGAAAGCUCACAUAUGUUUGUCUGUUCUAUUCAGGUCUAUAGACUUAGGCGAAUCAGUGUGACGGAGCCUCACAGUGACCACGAGAUCGUAAACUGUUUAAGAUUAUGGUUUUUAUUUAAUUUAAGGAUUAUUUCUAGAAGUUUGUAAUAAUUGGACUUUCUAGACUAUUUGACUUUUAUUUCAAUUUUGGAGGCAUUUUAACUUUUAUGGCCACGUUUGACCAAAAUCACGGUUUUACUAAAAUAAAGGAUUUUCUAAAUACAUGAAUUAGAUUUCCAAGAUUCAAUGCUUUUUGAAAACUUCGACCUUAGAUUAUGUAUUGGAAAAUUAAUUAAUUAAAUAACGCUUCUAGUAACAAAUAGUACACUUGGGGUAUUUAUCAAAUGACUAAAUAAAGCUUUAUCAAAAUAUCACUGUUUUCAAAACCAUUCCAUGUAACACUCUUGGAUUCAGCCACAAUGUCUAGGCCGAGAUUAGGGUGUUACAUUUAAUGCUAUCAGAGCCAGGUUGCAAAACUCAAGCUAUGAAUUUUGGGUUUCAAAAAUUAUAUUUUGAAAAAGAACAGGUUUUCAAAUAAUUUGGAUCAUUCUGAGUAAGUAUGUGGUACACUGAGUCUAUGGUAUUGAUCCUGUAAGUACUUUUGAAAUUAGAUAGAACUUUCUGAAAACAUUGUAGUUAGUACUUUCUAAAACUAUACUGAAUUAGUUAAAAAUAGAAACCUCUGAAAUAUGUUCAAACUUCUGCUAAUUUGAGCAUAAAAUAUCUGUUAAUAAAGAUUGGAACUGAUGCAUAAAAUUUUGUAAUGUAGAUAAAUUUGAAAAUAUACGAUGAGCAAUUGUGGAACUCACGGUCAUGGUAUUCGUGGGCGCGUAGGGUCGUAGGGGGCUGGAGCUGAGUCUUUUUCUCUGGGCAGUAUGCCAAACUUAGAUAUGAGUGAGACACCGGUUUCACCUGCCAUUGAGACAAGGUCUCAAAGUCGCUUGGCUAGGGACGACGCACUGUCUCAAGCCAUGUUGAGGGUUUUGGAGAGGGUCACUAGACCUCAUUCUGGAUCUGUGGGUCGAUAACUGAACGACUCCGAUCCAAUAGAGCUGAGCUGUUUAGGUGUGUCAUUGGAGUCACCCCUACUGUGGCCGAGUAUUGGUUGGAGGCCACUGAGAGGAUUAUGAACGACAUUGACUGUACUCCUAAGUAGAAACUUAAGGGUGCAGUCACUUUACUUUGUGAUGAGGCAUAUCAAUGGUGGUUGUCGAUUGAGGAGGGUACUCAACGGGACUGUCUGAACUGGGAUUAUUUUAAGACUACCUUCUAGGGGAAGUAUGUGGGUGCGAGCUAUGUUGAUGCUUGUAGGCGUGAGUUCAUGAAUCUCACGUAAUGUGAUAAAUCUGUGGCUGAGUACGAGGUUGAGUUUCUGAGGUUGAGCCGCUACGCUUGAGGCAUAGUGGCGACUGAAUAUGAGAAAUGCAUAUGUUUUAAGGAUGGCUUGAGGUAUAAUCUGAGGGUAUUGAUUGCUCCACAGAGGGAGCGAGAGUUUUCAGUUCUUGUGGAUAUGGUGAAGAUCGCCAAGGAGAUUAAAUGCAUAGAGCGCUAAAAUAGGGAUCAUGAGUGAGGCAAGAAUAAGAGGGAUUCAGAGCCCUCUAGUUCUGUUUAGAGGCCUAAGAAACAGGUCAGACCUGAUUGGCUUGUUAGAGUAGGGGUUCCUAUUGCUUCUACUAGGAUUUAGCCAUGUGGUGAUUGUUUUAGGCGCCAUUCAGGUGAGUGUUGGAGGAGGUUAGAGGCUUGCCUGAGGUGUUGGUAUUUGGAGCACCACAUUAGAGAAUGUCCACUCCAUACGGAUUAGAUGCAAGCUUCAGGACUGAGUUUUAUAUAACCUCAGAGGGCAGUUCAACAGCCACCUAGGGGCCGUGGUCCGACUAGGGGUGGUAAUGGUAUGGGCCGAGGACAAAGAGCACUGGGAAAAGGUGUUAGUCAAACUGAGGCAAGGCAGCCUGCACUGGUUUAUGUUGCUUGAUGCCAAGAGGAUAGAGACGCUCUUGAUGUGAUCACAGGUACGUUCUUUAUUUUUGGUGUUCCAUAUACUACUCUGAUAGACAUAGGUUCUACUCAUUCCUAUGUAGGUAGUACUAUUUCCAAAAAUUUAUUGAUUUCUGGUGAGGGUACUUCUAGUGAAAUUAUUGUACUGAGUCCGUUGGGGCAGUCUGUUCGAGUAAGUAGACUUUAUAGGAAUGUACAUUUGGAAGUACAAGGGAUUGUGUUUUUGGCAGAUCUGGUAAGGGUAGUUCUAGUGAAAUUAUUAUACUGAGUCCUUUGGGGCAUUCUGUUCGAGUAAGUAGACUUUAUAGGAAUGUACCUUUGGAAGUACAAGGGAUUGUGUUUUCAGCGUUUUAUUCACAUAAAAGCAGCAAAAUUUAGCGGCGUUGUCUACAGCGGCAUUUUUUACGGUGCUUGUGAAAGCGCCGCUAUAGGCCUAAAAACACCGCUAAAAGCUUGUUUUGCUGCAGUGAAUUAAUAUUAUUAUAAGUGUAUUUUCACCUUUUCAUACUUUUAUAUAAUCUUUAAGUAAAACGAUUGAAAAUUAUUAUUUGAGAAUCAAACACAAGAGUAACAAUAUUCAUAUAGAAAACGCUUACCACUCCACUAAUAAUCAUUUGUUGAUGUAUUUUUGGUAAAAAGACCCCUCCAAUCCCUCUUAAUUUCACAAUUGCUCAAAUUAGUCCCUCUCAUAAAAAUUGGAGCAAUUUAAUCCCUAUCAAUUUUGAAAGUGAGUAACUAAGGACAAUUAAUUAUGGUGUUAAAUUCUUCCAUCAAUUGUACAUAAUUUUGAUUGGUAUAAGAAUAAAUUUAGCCUUCAAUGUUUAUAUAUUUUGUCAUUUUGGCCAUAAUUUAAAAAAAAUUCAAGAAAUUGAACCUCAACAUUUACAUAUUUACACAAACGUUGCGGGAAAAUUUUGUUAAAUUAAGACCAAAUUGCAAGUGUAAGUUUUGAGGGCUAAAUUUAUUAUUAUACCAACCAAAAUCAUGUACAUUUUAUGGGAAAUUAACAUCCUAAUUAAUUAUUCUUAGUUACUCACUUUCAAAAUUAAUAGGGACUAAAUUACUCUGAUUUUUUUAGGGUGACCAAUUUCCUCAAUUUGGAAUUUGAGAGAGACUAUUGAGAUCUUUUACAUAUUUUUUUAUAAAUAUAUAUAUUUAAUAUAAAAUAUAUUUGUUCACACACAUCGUGAGUAUGAUAAAAUAUUUUUAUUGUUAAUUAGUUGGUGUCAAAAAUUAACUCGACGCCAACUCAAUAUUAAUGAUAACAAUAUGAUAAAUAAUUGAUUUAUUUAAUAUUCUUAAUUUAACAUAUUGAUAUAAAUUUUAAGACAUGCUUGUCUUGAAGAAUUGUGAUUAUACUUUUCGAGUAUUGACUCAGUUUUCCACAAUUGUGGGUCUCUAUUUAAGACAAACAAUUUCAACAUUUCUUCAUAUUGUUUAAUCCAAAUGCAUUAAGGAUUUUCUUAUAUCAUUGUUUCAAAAAUGAUAAAAAAAAACAACGUCGACAUUGAAUUUGCUGUUUCACAUUCAAUUUUUGGAGAAGUAGAAUCUUCUAACUUAUUUUCCAUCAACUUCACUUCAAUUUUCAAUCACAAUCAAUUGCAUUCAAGAGCACCACAUAUUUUUUGGAUGAAACAAACCUAUCAAUUUUAAGAUAAACGGGUCUUUAGGGUUAUUAAUUGAGGGCCUUUUCCACAAUUGUCAUCGUUAAGCAUUUUUCAAUCUUGUCUACUGUGAAUAUCGUUUUUAAGCAUUUUUCAUUGAAAUAACGAUUAAUAGACAAAUAAUAUUCAAGUAAAACAAUUUUUGUAUAUUGGUUUGAAAGGUUUUCUAAAUAGUACAAGGACCUGAAACAGAACCACUGGACAAAGCUAACCAAAUCUAAGAGUUGGAAAUAUUUGGGAAUGAAUAGUUUAAAUUGUGAUUAUUUCUUCGGGUUCCUGUCAAAGAUAUCAGCUGAGCAAGAAGGCAGGGUAAUGUGCCAAUGAUAGAACCUUGAUGAACAACGAGCAAAUGUCAACCUAAGCAUUAAAAGGGGAUCAUUCUCAAAAAAUGACAUUCUACAUGUAACGCCCCAAAAUUUUAAUUUUGGGUAUUGUGAAUGUAUGACACAAAUAUCUGUCUGCUUUAGUGGUUAUGUGUUUUGGGUGUGUUUGGGAGGUCUCAAGUUCAAGUCAAUACUUGGGCAAAUUUUGGUAAUUUUAUGAAUAAGCCCUAUCUCUGGUUAUAGGCUUUUAAGUAAAAGUUGGCAAAUAAUUAAUAGAAUGGGUCUGUUGGUCUAGUGGUUAAGUGGAGUGUUGGUGUGAAGAAGGUCAUGGGUUCAAAUCUUUGGGACGGCAAGGUAAGUCGUUUUACUCUCCAUCUUUCUGACGUUUUCUCUCCCCCAUGUCUGCCGAAUUUUUUUUCUUUCUUCUUUACUUGUUACUCGGUUAUCUUUUCUUUUCUUUCCUCUACUACUGUCGAAAUUCCCUUGUUUCCCCUAAACCAUUCUUUCCUCUUGAUUUCGUAGCUUUAAGCAGCACUUGUUCAAAUUUAGUAAGUUGUUGGGUAUCAUUUUAAGAUAUUAUUUUGUAUUCAAUAGUCUAAUUUUGGGGUGUUGACAGUAGCAUUUCACGAGGAUUAAGGCUCUCCUCGUGAUUUUUGCAACGUACCGAUUUUAAGUUUUGCGGUAAGUGUUCAUCAUUUUAUGGGUAAGUAUUUUGGUUUCGGGAUUUUAAUUACUCACAAGGUAAGACUGAUUAUGGUGUUAUUUGCUCAAUUAUACGCUUAGGAGUGCUCGGGGACUAUUUUAGCAUCAAACAAAACCAAGUGUGCACCCGAAUCGCAAAAAUAAGGGAUUCGGCGAAAAGCCGAAAUUGCUUGCUGUUUGGACAGCAGCAGUAGGCUAACUUUGAAAAAUCAGCAUAAAUUGUGGAAAUCGAAUUAGAGGAUGAAAAAAAUAUGAGAUUAAAGCUUAUUGAGCCUAGUUUCUCAUAGAAGAAACGGUGUAAGUAAUGAAAUUGUAAAUCGUGAGUUAUAAUAGACUUAGUGAGACAAGGUCAGAAUGAAUUUGGGUUCCCCUGUUUUGACUUUGGAAAAUUAUCAAAAAUUGGAGAAAAAUAAUUAGGGGUUAAAUUUUACAUGCUUAAACUAUUAAUGAGUCUAUUUUCAAUAGAAACAAAUGAAAAUGUCAUCCAAAUUUUGUACUAAGAGAUAACUCAUUUUUAGCAAAGAAGAGUCAAAGUUGUCAGACAACAGAAAAGGGAUAAGUUUAAAUAUUUUACUGUACUUAUUAGCUGAACCAAAAAUUUUGGAAAUUUAUGGUAGAAAGUUAAUUGAGUCUAGUUUCAAAGACAUCAAACGGAUCUUAAUUCGGAAUUCUGUAGCUCAAGAUAUAAAUUUAUGUUUAUCUUAUUAUCUUUCUUAUUUUAGAAUUGAUUACAUGAAAGUUAAUUGCUAAUAUUAUUAGUUAAUUAUUAGUUUUCUUCAAAUCAAAUUAAACCCCGAAAGGUAUCUCUUUUUUUAUAUUAGUUUUAGUUAUCCAUUAAAUUUGUUUCUUUGUAGUAAAAUUAAAUUAUAGAAAUAACAUUAAAAUUUUAAAUAAAAAUAAUUCACAAUAAUUUAUUAUUUAAAAAACGCCCUGAAAUUUAAAAUUAUUGCUAUAAAUAUAUCAUUAAAUUAUACAGAAUUUAAUUUUUCUUUCAAAUACUAAAGUUAAUAAGGAAAGAGAAUAUAGUACAUAUCAAUAAAACUAUUAAAAAAGAAAUAUUGUUUAAAAUCAAUAGCGUCUAAAAAUUGUCAGAAUGAAAUAUUUGAUUUUAUAAGAUUUCAUUACUCUAAAAAAAUAAAAUAUGACAAUGCUUAAAAAUUUUAUUAAAAAAAGUUUUAAAUUUUAUAUAAAAUUUUAAAAAAUAAAAAAUAGUACUAAAAAUUUUUAUAAGCAAAUUUAAAUAUUAAUUAGUAAAUUUUUUUGUAAUAUUUAUAUGUAUUUUCAUUUUUAUAAAUACUAUUAAAACUUUUUAAAAAAAAAUUGAAUGCUAUUUAAAAACAUUAUUAAAAAAUAAAAUAUUAUAUGAAAGUUAAAAUGACCUAAAAACAUAUUUUAAAAAUUUAAAUACUUUAUACAAUAUUUAAAACUGCUUAAAAUUUCUAAACCCUAAAAAAUAAAUAAAAUAUAAUUUUUUUCUAAGAAAUCAAUAAAAAUAUAUUUAUAAUUGAACUGUCAACAAAAUUGUGGGAAAUAUUUAAAUUUUAUGAAAUUUUAAACUUAAACUGUCAAUAAUAGAAAAUUGCCUGAGUGACUUGGGAUAAGAGGUUCAACAUUUCUGGAUCGCAUUGCAUUUAAGGCGGGUCUUUAGGGUUAUGCUUUAGUUUUUUAGAACAUUUUCCACAAUUUGCCAUCAUUACUUGUGAGUGAUUUGUGGGGUAAGAGGUUGAACACUUCUGGAUCACAUUGCAUUUAAGACUGGUAUCAUUCAUAAAUUAUAUAUCUACAACAAGAAUGGUAGCCUCUUAUAUUAUAUUCAUGUAUCUAUUUUGCAUCUUUCAUUAUAAUAUGAUUUAGUAAUUUUAAUAUUUUUAUAGAAUAAUAUGCUUUAAUUUUUUUUGUAUCAUUCAUAAAAAUUAUAAUAAACUUACAAAAUGAUUUAAUGAUAUUUAAUUAUUAACGGAAAAAAUUUAUAUCAUAUAUAUUCUGUAUAUAUUAAGAUUUUGAAUGAUUAAUUAUAUAUCUACAUAUUAUAAUAAAUUCAUCUUUCAAAAUUUUCCUAAACUAUAUUCAUAAUAUUAUAAAUAUAUUAUAUCAUAAAUAUUCUUUCAAAUGUUUUUUAAUGUUUAAUAAUAAGUUAAUUUAUAAAAUAUUCUUUCAAUAAAUUAACGUGAUGAGAUCGUUAGGUGCUUGGAUUUGGUGACGGGGACGAGGAGAAAAGGGAUGGAAGUGAAGAGAAAUGUUGGGAAAUUGAAAGGGUUAGCAAGGGAGGCCUCCGUGAAAGGUGGUUCUAUAGAUGUGAACCUUCAAGCUUUUGUGGAUGAUGUUGCUCAAGGUUGUUGCAAGUAAAUUUAAAAAUAUUUUUUUAAUUAUUUUUUGUUAAAAAAUAUUUUUUUCUAUGUAGCAUGCCACAUUAGCAUACUACCAUGUGGUAACUUCUAGUGAUUUUCGUAUGUAACAUUAGACAAAUUAAUCGUUAAAUCGUUCAACUGACAGAUUUCGUUAAAGGAAGAGGUCAAUUGAUUUUUUUGGAAUCAUUGAGUACUCAAUUGGUGCACUAUUUUCAUAAAGACUAAAUUAAUUUUUUUAAUUUGUUAUCGCUGAGGGCUACAGUAAUAAAAAAUUUUGAGGUAAAAUUAGAAUAACGUCCCAAAAAUCUUAUAUUUAAUUUGUAAAAUUUUACCAUUAAUAAGUAUUUGUUUUAGUGGUUAAGUAUUUGAGUCGUGUUUAUAAUAUCUUGGAUUCAAGUCCCUACGUGAAUGGAUUGUUUUUUUUGUUUUUAAUUUUUGCAUGGGUCGGGUAGGUGGUUGAGUUUGAGUCCAUUUCGAACUUUGGAAAAAGGUGGUUAGUUAUCUGAGAUGGGUUAGUGUUAGUAGAUUUGGAUUUGGUUUAUUUUAAAAUUUAUUAAUUAAUUUGUUAAAAAAUUAAAUUAGUUUUUUCCUAAUUUUUGGCUCACCAUUCUUUCUCUUGUUCUUCUUUAUUCUUUCUUUUUCUGCUACCUUUCAAAUCACGUCGAUUUGUUCCUAUUUUGCUUUUGAGUUUUUCUUUUCUUUCCUUUACGCUCCUCUACGAUCGUGUCUUAAUUCCUUCAUUAUUUUCUCGUUGUUGGCGUUGCUCGUUCGAGAGUGGGUUAGUUUCCGUUUUGAUGUGUUUUUACGAGGUUAGUAAAAGAAAUGCGUUAAUUUUUGGAUUAUGGAGUUGAUCGUUUUUAAUCAAUUCUCCAGUAAGUUGACUCCUUUGCUGUUGUUAUGUGCUAGGUUAAGAGAUUAAUUCUGAUUUGGGCCUGCGUGGUUGUGUAGAUUUUCCAUGUGAAUUCGUUUGGUAUUUUUAGGAUAAAUCAUUCUUUAAGUCGUAUUGCUACCAUCGCUAAUGUGAUGUUUUAAUUUAUGCAUUUAGGAUUUGGUAGUUUUAUGGGUGUUUUCGUAUAAAAAUCAAACCAAGUGUGUAACGAAAAACCCGACAACAACGAGCGACGAAAGUCAAAAAAUUGCACUGUCGACACCACACGGCCGUGUGUCGGGCCGUGUGACAAGCCGUGUUUCAGACCGUGUGCGACACACUGUUUGGGCUAGUUAAGCCGUGUGGAACACACAGGUGUGUGUGAGGACGUGUGCCACGCCAUGUGAGCCACACGGGCUGGCCAUUUAGGCCGUUUGAGACCAAAAUACUAAGGGCACGUUUGGUUUGCUGUAUUGGAUUAGAGGUGUAUUGGAUUAGAGGUGUAAUGGAAUAGAUGUGUAAUAGCAAAUCAACUGUUUGGUUGAAUGUAAUGGAAUAGAGGCGUAAUAGUAAAACUGUGUUUGGUUGAAUGUAAUAGAGGUGUAAUAGCAUAAUGGAGAAAACUAAAAUGACCAGAAUACCCUUAGCAUAAAUUUGUUUUGGUAAAUGAUUAUUGUUAUUGUUAUUUAAAUUUUAAUAAGAUUAUUUAUUAUCAAAAAUAAAUAAUUUAAUCAUAUUUAAACAUAAUUAUUAUUUAAUAUAUUUUAAUUAAAAUAUAUAAUUUAAUAAAAUUCUUAAUAAUUAGCAGAAAUUUGUUUUGGUAAAUUAUUUUAUUUAAAUUUUAAUAAGAUUAUUAAUAUCAAUAAUAAAUAAUUUACUCAUAUUUAAACAUAAUUAUUAUUAAAUAUAUUUUAAUUAAAAUAUAUAAUUUAAUAAAAUUCUUAAUAAUUAAUAUUCUUAUAUGAAUUUACUCAAAUCAUAAUAUAUGAUACUGUAAAAUAUAAAUUAAAAUAAUAAUUAUUAAAUAUAUUUUAAUUAAAAUAUAUAAUUUAAUAAAAUUCUAAUAAUCAAUAUUCUUAUAUGAAUUUACUAAAAUCAUAAUAUAUGAUACUAUAAAAUAUAAUUUGAAAUAAUUAAUAUUAAAUAUAUUUUUAUUAAAAUAUAUGAUUUAAUAAAAUUUAAAAUAAUUAUCUAGAUUCAAAUUUAAGAAUUAUUUACAUGAACAAAAAUAUAAUAUUUGUUUCUAAGUUAAUUAUUUUAAUAAAAUAAUUAAAUAUUUAUAUAACGGUGUUCUCAUCUUUUGGUAUUUUUAUAUGCAAUUUUAAAGAUUGAAUCCAAACUUAAAAGAAUAUUUAUUUGUAAGCAUUUCACCGGUUUACUUCAACUCAAUUAUUGAUUAAUUUUUAAUAAACAUAAAUUCAAUCACUAAUUCUCUUGGCUCCUCUGUUUCAAUAUAUGAAACAUGACUCAAUCACUAAUCCUCAUAACUCAAAGGUGAGCCAGAUGGUCCAUCAGGGGGUGCAGAAGCAGCAUGAGUCAAAGCAACUAUGGCAUUUUUCCAGAAAGAGGAGCCAAGAGAAUUAGUGAUUGAUCUUAACAAUGGCAGAUCAUUAAGAUCCCGGGUCUGGCUGUCCAACCGAUCAACAUAGACUACAACAUCGGGGGGACACUUCUUUAUGUAUUGCUUUAUAGAAGCUAGGACUUUGUGAUUGGCACCUUGCUCCAUGGCAGAAGAUUUCAAACCUGGGGUAUCAAUGAUUCUCAGUUUAACACCAUCUACCAUUCCAGUAAUCUCUUUCACUACUGUAGUGGCAGGUUCAAAUGCAUGAAUUGAGGUCUUUGACUCACCAAAGAUUGAAUUUAUUGUGGCACUCUUGCCCACCCCAAUCUUCCCAAGCACAAGCAUGUUUAUGGAGAAGCUUAAAUCAUCUUUACCCUCUGUUUCAAGUUCCAAAGCUUUCCUCUUCGCAGAAUCAACACUAAACAGUUCACUGGUUUGUCUCCUUGCAACAUGUGCCAGUCUAUAAAGAACCUGUGCUGCUAAAGAAUCUUCAGUAGAAAGUCCGAGCCUUUGAAGAAUCCUCAAAAAUUUGACUCUUAUAAGCUGUAACUUUUCCAAUUUUAUUUUAUCUUCUUCUGUCAAGUUGUUGUCAGAAUCUCCCCUACUUGUUACAGCAGGACUAAAUAUGUUAGGCCUGUUUGAUCGAGGUGCGGAUGUUGCAUUUUGCAGUGAGGAUCCUAAGCCUGCAGGACGUUCAACAGUGAAAAGCCUAGAUCCAUCUUGAGAGGUUAUAGUAAUGUUGCCGCCAUCAGAGCCAGCACCAGUUGCUGCUUUCAAGAGGGCUGCCAAAGCAGCAGAAUCAAAUAACUCCUUCCCCUCUCCUUCUUCAUCCGUAUCCCCUUCUUCAUCUGAAUCAACAGCAUUUGUCUGUAUAUGAUUAUGAGAAGUAUCAGCACCCGAGUGAGAACCAAUGGCAGAUCCUCGUUCUAGCUCCUCCAAGAAUUGCUUAGCAGCUUCAGCAUUCUUAAAGAACAUACUUUCAGCCUCUCCAUCAGUCUCUGAGCCUUCAUUCUAAUGCUGCUUCUCUUCCAUUUCACCUUCAAAACUAACUUUUCCAGCCACUGUAGUUUGCUCUACUGACUCAGGCCAAUGAGAUUCUUCUCCUGGCAGGGUUACUGACCUUUUGCUUUGAGAAUCACUAUCUAAAUUCUCUGUUUCAUGAGCUGCCAUUAUUUCUGUAGGUUGAGCAGAACUAUCCUUUGCCUGAAUUCCAUCUCCACCCCCUCCAUCUACUUUCUCAGCAAAUGCUUGUUCCAAAAUAUCUAUGAUCUCCUCAUCUUUGAGAUCAUUUAGCUCAGUCCCAGAAUUGUCUUUACCAAGCAUAACCCCACUGGCAAUAUCAGCUUUAUUCUCAGCAUCAACAGCCAACUCGUCUCCGCCGGAAAACUUCGAACCAUCAGCAUGAUUCAAGCCGUUAUCCAAGCUCGCAUUAUCGUCAACUGGAACCACCUCUGUCUCCUUCAUCACCAAUGUCUCAAUGCCUAAAGCAGCUCCAGUCAAAGGUUUCGCAUCGACAGCCAACUCCUCUUCGCCAGAAAAUUUCGAACCAUCGACUUCAACUACCUGAUGAUCUACUGUUUCUACAAUCAUAGGAUUGAAACCCUUAGCUCCACCAUCUAACACCAAAUUAUUCUCAAAAAUCCCAAUUCUACCUUCCUCUCCACUUUCCAUUGAUAAAACAGAUUGGUCGACUUCUCCAAUGGAACCCAUUUCCACCUUAUCGUCCUUUUCACCAUUACCAACACUAUCAACAUCAACCUUCCCCAUCGAACCCUCACCUCUAUAUUCCUCUAAACCAUUAUCGCCAUCCCCAAACGAGUCCUCAUUCAAAAUCACAUUCGAACCAUCAGAACCAACAAAAGGGGCAUCACUAACAUCCCUCACGGUCGGAAUUACUUCAUCAGGGUCAGCCAUAAAUGGCCUCUCGGGUACUGUUUCAAACUUCCCCUCACCAUUCUCGUUACUAUCAUUAGUUUUACCAUUCCCAUUAUCUUCCAAAGUACGUUCACUUACUGAACUAGUUACAAACUCAGAAUCAUCAUUCGAAGUUAAAGAAGAAGAAGAGGAAGAAGAACCUGGAGAGGUAGAGAGCGACUGAGAAGUGAUUUCCGGGGCAGAAAGCAAGGCGUCCAUGGUUGAAAGAGAGGAAAGGGAGAUAGAGAGAAUUGGGUUUUAGGAUAUGGAAUGAAUUUUGAGUGGCACACAGAGGGAGCAAAUCGGCAGAAAGGGUAAAACAGGGAGGGGAAACCGAAGGGGCAACUAAUCUGCAGAAAAGAGGGGGAUUAGAAAUCGGUGGUUUUCACCGAUUAGGAAGGUAAAGGAUUACACCCGUAUUAGAAAUACAUCAAACCAAACGAUGGAAUACAGUCGCAUUAGGUGGGGCCCACCGAUUAGGGGUGUAUUGGCUAUGCCAAUACACCCAACCAAACAUGGUGUAAAUUUUUCCCUAGGGUUAUACACAUCGUUAUGAUCGAUCGUAGGCCUUUCGUGGGGUCGAUAUAUAAUCAAAUAGACUGUAAAGUAUGAAAUCCGGUCAACUAAUAGUAUAAAUUCUGAUAUCUGUUCAUAUAUUUGAGAUGUUAUUUGUUCAAUAAACCUUGUAAUAGGCUAUGAGAAACUUGAGAAAUAUUAUGUAUGCUUUGUAUCUGUUAUGUCAUACAUGUAUAAUGUAUUAUGUCUGAUUUUGUUCUAUUCUUUUCUGUAUUUGCAUCUGGGGUGGGUUAUAUUAUGUGGAGGAAGCGUUUCUUUGAAUGGCGAUAAUUCGCCUAUUACACUGGCAGCUCAGCUACAAAUAUUCUGAAAAGUGUCAUAUCAACACUAAGUGGUGUGCAGGGCUGGAUGAGUGUUUCAUACCCCAUAUAGUGUGUUGGAAAGGUCGGAGAUAGUGUUAGCGGAUGGGGGUAGGAAUAUAUGUCUGUAUCUGUACUGCUCUAAUAUGAAUAUGUUCUGCUAAAUCUAUCUUAUACAAAAUAAAUAUUUAAAGUUAUUCGUUAUACAUUGAGUUUUGUAAACUCACUUUCUAUUUGUUUGAUAAUUUUAGGUAUUCCUCAGACUUUGGCAAAUCGGUGUGAAAGAACUUGGUUAAAUUGAUUUAGUUUCAUUAUCUAUUAUAAUUAAAUUUUGGGUUAUUGUGUUUCAUUAUUUUUGGACUGUUGGGAAUUUUUGGAUUGUUUUGGUUUUUGAGAUUUUAUUUUCAAUUUUUGCAUGAUACUAUUAAAAAUGUUUUAUUGGAAAUGUUUGUUUUCCUGCAAAACAACUAAUUUCAGACAAAUAAACUUAGUUUUCCAAACAUAAUGAUAUGAGAAUUUUCGCUUUUAAGUAUUCAUUUUAGAAAAUGUAAGCAAACAUCGUUUCAACUAUAAAGUUAAGUUAGAUGUAUUUUUCUCUUAAAUCGAGGUUUAAGUAAUAAAAGUUUACGACAUUUUUCCAAAUUUUACAAAAAAUUGGAUUUACAAUUGUUUUAUGUAACAUCUCCAGAUUUGGUCAUAACAUCUAGUCGGAUUUCGGGUGUUACAUUUAGUGAUAUCAGGUCAGGUUGCAAAACUCAGGCUGUGAACUUUUUGGUUCAAAAUUUUGUGAAAACUAUUUUUCGAGUAAAGUUUGUCGAAACCACUUUUUCGAAACAAAAAAUAGCGUCGACUUAAAAAAUGAAAAUUGGAGUCGCCACCAGUCUUUUUUAUUUAGGUGUGAUCGGAUCACCUCCUAAUUUAAUCAUUUAAAUAAAAGUUAAAAUUUACUAAAACGAUUAAUGGGUUUAAAAAACCUUUUUCUUUACAAACAUUAACAAUAAUAAACGAACAUCGAAGAAAUAGAAAAGAAAAAAGAAAUCGAAAAGAAAAAAAAUUAGAUUUCAAAUCACCUCUCAAAAAUUUAAUUGCUUUCUGAUUUCUUUGGUAUCUUUUUUUACUGAUUUCUUAUUGUUCGCGUAAAAAACUUACAAAGGUCUUUUCUUCCGUUUUAUAGGCAAAAUAUGAAAUAAAUAAAAAAAUACAAUAUAUGUUUUUUCUGUGUUGCUUUUCGUCCUAUUUGUAGGUACGAAGACCAGCUAGCGCUGUACAGAGGCGGUGCAGCACGUGCUUGGCUGAGGUGACUAGAGGCGUGCGGUGGCUGGGUCUGCUGUGUAGUUUAGGGUUUCUGUUGAUUUUUGGUUAUUGGGCUGGGGUUUAAUUUGGGCUUGGGAUUGUGUUUGAUUUUUAAUCUGUAAAUGGACUUUUUAAUAUUGGACUUUUAUUUUUUAUUUGGAUUAUUAUUAUUUUUUGUGUAUGCGGGUCCGGGCUCUACAAAGUUCAUUUCUGGAUUAAUCUGAAAAUUAAUUAUGUGAAGUACCGAGUCUCUGACGUUGAUCCUGUAAGUACUUCUGACUUAGAAAAAUUUUAGUUUAGAAAACUCUAAAAUGAUUAGAACUGUAGUUGGAUAGUUAGAGACAGAAACAUUUCUAUAAAUUCUUUUGAUAACUUUUUGAGUAUAAAAUAUCUACUAAUAAAUACUAAAAUUGAUACAUAAAAUUCAUAAUAUAGGUAAUAUAUACGAUGAGUACUCGUGGAACACAUGGACGUGGUAACCGUAGGCGUGGCAGGCGCCGAAGAGGGGCUCGAGCUGAGUCAUCCUCGAUAGGUACCUGAUAGGCUAUCGCUGGAGAGAGCAAUAGUCUUGAGAGAAGAAAUUUGAAGAUCGAAGUCGGAAUCUGACCUUUAAGGCCUUUAAUUGCUUGAAUAAUAAGCAUUUCCAAACUAAAAGGAUUACAAUUUCUUCAAGAAUUUGACCUGCAGACAUAGUUGAAACAUGAAGGUGUUAAAUUACCUAUUUUGUUAGUGUAAAUCAAAGAGGCUUUUUAUUUUUAUUUUUCGUUGUGAAAUAAUAUGGAUAUGUUAGAUUCUAAUCAUAUUUAAGUAUAUAUUAGUUCUUGAAGAGUUCUUAUUUUUGGUAUUUAUAUUGCAAAUAAUUUUUUUAAAUUAAGAAAAAAGGGGGGAGGGGCAAAUGUGUUUAAACUAAAGACAUCAAGGAGAGUUGUGUCAAAUUCCCAAUGCUUUUUGGAAUGAUCCCACUAAAUUGAUUAACAGACAAUUCCAAAAUUUGAAAAUUGCAGCAUUUGUCUAUACUUGAUGGAAUAGAACUUGAUAAUUCAUUUCUACUGAUCAAGUAAAGCUCUUUAAGCUUGGGAAGAUGGACACACAAAUCAUCAGGCAAGCCACCAGAAAGACUAUUAUCACGUAAAUGAAUCCUUUUCAAAGAAGAAAUGUUAAACAUGGUGCAACCUGGCCAGGUAAUUGAUAAAAUUUUGAUUUAAUCCCUUAAAAAAUAUAAAAAUAUAGACUAUUAAAAUGGUAAAAUUACAUUUUUACUAUUGUAAAAAUUACAAUUUAAUUUCACUCCUAAAAAGAUUUUCUGGCUUCGACCCUAAUAAAUUCUUUGGCAAAAGAUUAAAAUAAAAUUAUACCGUAAAUGAAAAAAGGAAACUAUAAGAAAAUCCAAUCUAACAAAGAAAAUAACUUGAUGUCCAAAAGCUACCAUAAACCGUAAUUCAUGGGAAGGCUUGUUGCUCAUUUUAUUGGUUUCCAUUUUGAUUUUGCAAAAGAAGCUUGAAUUUUGAAGAGAGCCUACUACGUGAGAGCAAAAGAAAAAAAAAUUGUUUAUUAAUUUUUAGGAAUACCGAAAUAUUAUAUAUAUGAUUAAAAAUGUUGAAUUAAAGAUAAAAUUAAGUGUGAAUUAAUAACCACAAGUGUACUUAUUACUCACCAUCUCUGUUAAAAAUGUUGGAUGUUGUUUAGCAACCUUUGUUUGAUUUUCUUCAGCUCAACCACAACAUCUUUCAUAUCUUUUCUUUCUUCUGGCAACUCAGCUGAACAAUUCAAAGCCAACUCCAUGAUAGAUGUAAUACAAUUUGCUUUAACGACAAUGUACUCAUCCUCUCUUCUUAAUAAAUCAACAUCUGCAAUUUCUAUCGCUCCUUUAGGCAAUGAACUUUCCAUCCAAUGCCUUAUACUCUCUUCUUCAACAAAAACAUUAUCAGUAGGCUUUUUCUUCGUGAAAGUUUCUAUAAGGACGACCCCAUAACUAUAGACGUCAGAUUUUAUAGAAACAAUUCCUGCUGAUCCAAAUUCUGCAUUCAAGUAUAAUUAGAACGUCAUUCAUCCUCAAUUAUUUCUAAAAUGCUUAUUCAAAUAUAUAUUCACAUCCACAUGAAACAAAAAUAUAAAAUGCAUAUUAGGAAAAUAAUCAUACAAAAAUAAAAAAGAAUUCACCUGGUGCCAUAUACCCGAUAGUUGCAAGAGUCAUGGUUUGCUUCAUUACUUCACCUUCCCCCAACAAUUUGGCAACGCCAAAAUCUCCAACAUGUGCAACCAUGUCUUCAUCUAGUAAAAUAUUGCUUGGUUUUAUGUCACAGUGAAUUAUAGGUGUUGGAUGUCCAUUGUGGAGGUGUUCUAUAGCUACCGCAACAUCUAUCAUUAUAUCGACCCUUUGUAUGAUAUCAAGGAAACAAUUUUCAGAAUGUAACCAUUUCUCAAGGUUUCCAUUAGACAUGUAAUCAAGCACCAAGGCUUUGAAGUCAACACUUGAGCAGCAAGUAAUGACCUUCACAAUAUUACGAUGAACUAUAUUACGCAUAGCAUCACAUUCAAUGUCAAAACUCCUAAAUGCUCCCUCUGUUUGCAAAUUGAAAACUUUUAUUGCAACUUCCAUUCCAUCUGAAAGCCUCCCUUUAUAUACAUAUCCAAAACUCCCUGAACCAAGCAUAUUGCUUUCCUCAAAUCCAUUAGUUGCUCGUGAAAGUUCAGCAUGUGAAAUUCUUCUCGGUGUCUUCAAAGACAACAAAUCAUCUUUAACUGGUAGAGUUGUACUCCUUUGGCAUCUUCUAUACAUAAUAGUUAAGACUAUUAGUACUAGGACAAUACCAAUUGUUGGUAAACCAUACCUAAAAGCAUGCAAUAUAAUCAUUUGGGAGUUUUUGUGGAUGUCAUUUUUGCAAGGUGGGACUAGCAAUCUAGGUGGACCACAAAGUGCACAAUUCUUCAUGAAUGAUGUGCUAGAAAAGUUUGAAAAACAUCCUUUGCUGGGAAUUUCCCCUUCAAGUCUAUUGAAAGACACAUUAAAAUACUUUAGAUAUAAAAGUUGUUCCAAAGAUUUGGGAAUGACUCCAGAGAAAUUGUUAUUGCAUAAAUCCAAGAAUUCCAAACUAAUCAACCCAUCAAAUGAUUCAGGGAUACGACCAUGUAGUAUAUUAUUUGAUAAAUCUAAUGAAACCAAAGUUUGAAGACCCCCAAAUGUGGAUAAGAUAUCGCCCAUGAGAAGAUUCCUUGAUAAAUUUAGUCUCAGUAGACUCCUAAAAUUUCCAACAUCAAUAGCAUGUGAAUUGUGAAGACGGUUUGAUGAUAAAUCUAUUUCUAAGAUAUCUUUAAGACUCCACAAAGUUGAGGGUAUUGUAGAACUCAAUUUGUUGGAAUCUAACCAAAGAUAUCUCAAAGCAGAAAUAUUACCUAAACAAGAGGGUAUGGAUCCAUGCAGCUUAUUCAACCCUAAAUGCAUCUCGUAUAGUCUCUCCAAACCACAGAGGCUUUCUGGGAUAGGCCCUCCUAAUUUAUUAGAGGAAAGAUCUAGACCUUGCAGAUUCCGCAGUCCUCCUAUUGAUGCUGGAAUGAAUCCACUUAAUUUAUUAUGGCCAAGUUCUAAAACCAAUAAGUUGGUUAAGUUACCUAUUUCCAUAGGAAUAAUGCCUUGAAGCUCACAAUUAUAGGCAAGAAAGAAUUGAAGGGAUUUUGAAAGGUUCCCGAUAUAAGUAGGAAGAACACCACUCAAUGGAUUUCCCGAAACUCCUAUGGCUUUCAAAUUCCUACAAUUCGUCAAAGAAGAAAGAAAGCUCCACUCAUGAUCAGUAGCAGAUCCUGUGAUCAAAUUAUUGUCAAAGAUUUUGAGCACUUCAAGGUGUUUUAAGCUGCCUAGCGUUUUAGGGAUUGGGCCAGAGAAUAAGUUAUGUGACAAGGAUAGAAUCUUUAGCAUGGAAGCAUUGGAGAUAGAGUUGGGAAUGUUUCCGCUAAGUUUAUUUCCCCACAAUAAAAGAAUCUCAAGCUUUGGAGCAUUGGUGAUGGGUGGUAAAUUACCUGUAAAAUAGCAUCUUUUAGUAUACAUAUUCACAAAAUAUAUAAUACAUUAAAAUAAAAACUGUAAAACUUUAAAUCAAUUAAGAAUAAAAUUUUGGCAUGGAAAAAUGUGAUGAAAUCAAUUAGAAAGUUGAGACAUAAUAAGAAGUUUUGAGUACUAAUUAGUCUUUGUGAUUUGUAUAGACAAAACAUAUAAUACACUAAUAAUUUUUUAAAAUAUUGUAAAACUUGAAAUAAAAUAAAAAUAAAAGUUUGGCAUGAGAAUGUGGCAUCUAAUCAAUCUUAAAAAUGAGACUCACACUGAAUAAUAAUUAGUUAUGAUUUGGGAAACAAAAAUGUUAAAGCCAUUGUUUUUAAUGUAAACUGGUAUGAUUCUUAUCUAUUGGGUUAAUUAUUUAUUUUUAUUAAAUUAUAGUGUAAAAUUUAAAUAUUAUUAUUUGCUCAAAAUUUUUGUAUUUUUCGUAUAUUUGAAAUUCAAUCUUUAUAUUUUUUAUUUUCUGUGAUUUAGUCUCUCUACUUUUUUUAUUAAAAAUUUUAGGUUCAUUUAUUAACACUGUUAAAAAGUUUUUGUAUUAGUAUGACAUUUUGAAAAAUAAAAUAAACUUGAUAUCUAUGUUUUUAAUUAUUCCAAAUAUUGUUUUACUAUUUCAAGAUAAAUUAUUUGUGUCUAGACCAAUAUCUUAAGAACUAUUGUUGCAUGUUUAAUUAUUCUAAAAAAUUAUUGAUUGAGUCUUAGCUUGAUUGGCAUGUGCAUUGUUGCCAAUAUAAGAGAAUGUGGGAUCAAAUAUGCUGAAGUUCAUUAUCCUCCUGUUAUGAAUUGGGGAGUUGGUAAAGUAUUAAAUUUUGAUAUAUUUUAAAAUAUUAAAAAUUUAUUAAAAUAUUUUUUAUAAAAAUCGGUUGUACCACAAUAUACAAUUUUAAUAUCAAAUUUUUAAUAUUUUUAAAAUAUUAGCGAAUAUAUACUUUAUUUCAAGUUACACAAUUUUUACUAGUUUUUAACUUUUUUUAAAAUUUUUAUCGUCUUUUAUAAUUUCUAAUAAUUUUUUACAAUAUUUAACAAUUUCUAACCAUUUUUAAUAAUUUUAUUACUUAUUAAAAAUUAACAAAUUAACUAUUUUUUAUUUUUUUAAAACAAUUAUAUAUUUAUAAUGUAGUUAUUUUUUUAUAAUUUUAUUUGAAAUUUUAAAGUUUUUUUGGUUUGUUUUCUAGAUGAUGAUGCCAUCAUGAUGUCAUCAUAUGCCACAUGGCAAUUUAUGAUUAGUUGAAUAUCUCAAUUUAUUUUUUUAAUGUCCAAUGGACUAAACCAAGAACACUUGAUUAUGUUAGAGACUACACUAGGAAUGUUUGAUAACAUUAGGUACUAAAGUAGGAAAAAAAAAAAAAGGAGCAAUACGAUGUAGGGAGUAAACUGUGCAUUAAGCCAUUAAAAAUAUAUCUAUAAUAUAUAUAAAUGCAUGGAUUUUGAGAAACUUUUGAAAUGAUAAUUAUAUAGUCUUUGUUUUUUUACUAUAUUAUUGAAUUUGUUAUUUUAAAUAUUUUUUUAUUACUUUUAAGAUUUAUCAUAUGUAUGGAUAAGAAUUUUGGUUUUACUAAAAUAUUUGGUUAAAUAAAUUCACUUCAUAAGAAGAUUUAGCAUCCUUGUAAAUAACAAUUUUGAUUCUAUUAAAAAAUUAUUUUAAAAUAUAUAUAAUAAAAUUUUAAAAUUUAUAUUGAAUUACUUUAUACUUAAAUUAUUAUUAGAAACUUUAUCAUACACAUACGUGUAUGAGAACUAUGUAUUUAGAACAUAAAUUUGUGUUUUAAAAUAACUUAUGAUAAAUAAUGAAAUGUAUAAUUUGAAACUAUUUAAUAAAAACACAUGGCUUAUCUACAAUAUUAAAAUAAAAAUAGCUUAAAUUGUAAGCAAAACAUAAUUUAAACAUAUGAAUACAUUAAAUUAAGAAUACUAAAUGAAUACAGUUAUUUAUGAUGGUGUUGUCUUCAAUUCCUAAGUUGGUGUCAAGUUAAUUUGUGACAUCAUAAAUUUAAGGUUUUAUGUAUUGAUGUGGAUUCAAAUAUCACCAUUUUUUUUAAAAUAAAAUUUAAAAUAAAUACAUUUUCCACAUUGGUUUCUUUUCUUCUACAGACAAAGGAUUUCUAAUGAUUUUUUUUUUAAAAAAAAUUACUUAUAUAAAAUAGAUUAGUUUAUGCAAUAAAAAUAAUUUCUUUUUUAAAGUUUAAUAGAAAUUAAAAAACAAAAAAAAAAUCAAUUCAUAUAAAGCUUAUUGUUUAUUAUCAGAUUAAAAUGAUAAAAGUAUACGAUAAACCCAUACUUGACGGAAUGUUACCAGAUAAUUCAUUUUUAUUCUAGUAAAGCCCUUCAAGCUUGAGAAUAUGUUGACACAUAUCAUUAGGCAAACUACCUGAUAGGUUAUUGUUGGAGAGAUCAAUGGCCUUCAGAGAAGAAAUGUUGAAGAUCGAAGUUGGAAUCUGACCUGUAAGGCCUUUAAUUUCUCUAAUAUUAAGCAGUUCCAAACCAAGAAGAUUACCGAUUUCCUCAGGAAUUUGAUCUGCACACAUAGUCGAAAAAUCAAGAUGUGAAACUACCUAUUUUGUUAGCAUAAGUCAAAGAGGUUUUCUUUUCUGUUCUACAUAAUUUGCAGAUGUUAGAUUUUAAUAUUUUUAAGCAUAUUUGUUUUCAUCAAAUUAACUAUUUUGAACUAUUUUGCCUUGAAUGAAAUAAAAUGCUCAUAUUUUUGUUAUCUAUUACUAAUCAAACUCUUUUAUAAAAAAAAAUACUUUAAACUAAAGAAACCAAGAAAAUUCAAUACCUUCUAAGUUAUUCAACUCCAAAUAUAAUUCUUUGAGUCGUGUCAGAUUUCCAAUACUUCUUGGAAUGAUCCCCCUCAAUUUAUUAUCGGAAAAUGCCAAUAUUUUAAGGUUGCUGCAUUUGCCCAUACUUGAUGGAAUGUUACCAGAUAAUUCAUUUUUAUUCAAGUAAAGCCCUUCAAGCUUGGGAAGAUGUUGACACAUAUCAUUAGGCAAACUACCUGAUAGGCUAUUGCUGGAGAGAGCAAUAGUCUUGAGAGAAUAAAUGUUGAAGAUCGAAGUUGGAAUUUGACCUGUAAAGCCUUUAAUUGCUUGAAUACUAAGCAUUUCCAAAUUAAAAAGAUUACCGAUUUCUUCAGGAAUUUGACCUGCUGACAUAGUCGAAACAUCAAGGUGUUAAAUUACCUAUUUUGUUAGUGUAAAUCAAAGAGGAUUUUUAUUUUUCUCGUUAUGAAAUAAUAUGGAUAUGUUAGAUUCUAAUCAUAUUUAAGUAUAUAUUAGUUCUUGAAAGAAAGAGUUCUUAGUAUUUAUAUUGCAAAUAUUUUUUUUAAAAUUUAAAAAAAGGGGGGGGGGCAAAUGUGUUUAAACUAAAGAGAUCAAGGAAAAGGCAUACCAUCUAGGUUAUUUAACCCCAAGUAUACUUGUUUAAGUUGUGUCAAAUUCCCAAUGCUUUUUGGAAUGAUCCCACUAAAUUGAUUAAUAGACAAUUCCAAAAUUUGAAGGUUGCAGCAUUUGUCUAUACUUGAUGGAAUAGAACUUGAUAAUUCAUUUCUACUCAAGUAAAGCUCUUUAAGCUUGGGAAGAUGGACACACAGAUCAUCGGGUAAGCCACCAGAAAGACUAUUAUCACGAAAAUGAAUCCUUUUCAAAGAAGAAAUGUUAAAGAUGGAAGAUGGAACCAGGCCAGAUAAUUGAUUGAAUCCCAAGUUCAAGAUCUCUAGAUUGGAUAAGUUGACAAGUGUUUGAGGGAUUGUGCCUGUGAAGUUAUUAUUUCUCAUUUCCAACCUUUGAACUCUGUGCAAGUUCCCAAGCCAUGAUGGAAUUUCCCCAUUAAGACGGUUGUAGCUUAAUCGAAUGAUCCUCAAACGAUGCAAUUGGCCCAAUUCUUUAGGCAGAUGGCCAUAGAAAUUGUUGUUGCUCAGGUCGAGAGAAAAUAGAAAUGAAAGAUUUCCAAGGUGUGGAGGGAUAGUACCCCUAAGAUUCAUGUUUGUAAGAUUCAAAGCUACAACUCUUUCAUGGAUGAUGUCACAAGAAACACCAGCCCACUUACAAACAGAGGUAGAGUUCGUCCAAUUGUUUGCCAACACAUUUUGAGGAUCGACAAUGCGAUCUUUAAACUCAAAGAGUGCAAACUGAUAGGAGUUGAGAUUCCGGACUGUCAUAGCCAAGGAAACAAUGGAACAUUGUAUGAAUAAAAGUGAAAGAAGAUGAAAGCAAGUGUUGUAGUUCAUGAUGGCAAGACGAAAUAAGCCAGGAAAAGGGAAGUUGAAUUGAUGAAGAAAUACCCAGCCAACAUGCUUAAAUAGGCUUCAACCCUUGCACACUUCUCAUACAUAAAGUUCACUGCCAUUACAACAAGAAAACUCGUAUCUCCAUUCAUACCUAUCCAUACUUUAUUUGACUAACUUUUCCCUAACAGGUGUUCAGUAAGGAGACAAAUCACUUUGGAGCUAUUCACCGACUUCUCCAACCUUGGUUUCAAACUCCUAGCCCAUCAAUUCACUUUAAUUGAAACGAUAUACACGAGUCUUUCGGCUUAUAUUUUUAACUUACUACUUCUCUUUUUAAUUUAUUUUUUGUUACUUCUCAUAAUAUUUUUUGAGAAAUCCAAUAUUCCAGUCUGAAAUUUCUUCAUUGCCACGUCUAUCUCCUCGGUAAGUUCGUGGCUAGGCGGCCCACUUUGGGGGCAGGAUUGUAAUUUUAGUUCUAUCCGACUCAUUUUACUAUUUAGAAAUAUAAAAGUAAUAUUAUAUUAAUUUUUAUAUUUUUAUAAAUUUAAAUUUAAAUUUAAUUUUUAAACAAUAAAACGAGUCAUUUUUAUUUGCCUAGGCUAAAUUGAAUCAGGAGUGAAAAAUUUUUUAAUCAUAAUUUACUAUUAUUUUAAUUAAUUAAAUUUUAAUUUACUAUAACUAGUAGUUGCAAAAAAAAUGACAUUCCUUUAGAAAAAUGAGAACUUAUGAAGCAUUCAAUAAGAGUUGUUGGAAUACAUGGUAACGAAACCAUAAUUCGAUAUAAAACUAUAUAAAUAAUGUAAGAUUUGUGAUACCUAAAUUGUUAUGUUUUCUAUAAAUAUAUGGAGAUUUUUUAUUAGGAAAUAAUUUUAUAUAUCAACAUUUGUUAUUUUCUUUUGAUAGAAAUUUAAUUAUGUUAUCUGUAGAAAAAAAUAUUUAUAGAAAUAUCAUUAGUAGAAAAUCAUAAAUUUGUGUGUGGCAAAAAAUUUUCACCACCAAGAAAGGGACAAAUUAAACAACUUGAAAGUCAUUGGUUGUUUAAAAUAUUAGAUAAUAAUUUUAGUGAAGAAUCAUUAAAAUUAUGACAAAAUAACCCUAGAUAUUGUAGUAUUAAAUUAGAAAAUCUCAAUAAUAUUAUUAGAGUAAAACCUAUGAUGUAUCUAAACAAGAUAUAGAAGAAUUUGAUAUACAAAUUAAGGGUAGAAAUCAUACGGAAAUAAUAAAAAACAAGAAAAAGCUAGUAUGGUCAUUAAUUAUAAAAGAUUAAAUCAAAAUAUUAUUUUUUGUAGUUACUUGAAUUAAUCAGGAUAAACAAAAAAAAAUAUUUUAGUAAAUUUGACUGUAAAUCAGGAUUCUAGUAAAUCAUGCUAACAGAAAAAUCUAAACCUUUAACAGCUUUUAGUGCACCCAAUGGACAUUAUUAAUGGAAAGUGAUGUCAUUUGAAUUAUGCGAUGCACCACAAAUCUUCCAAAGACAAAUGGAUUUUAUAUUUAAUAAAUAUAAAAAAUUAUGGGUAGUUUAUAUAGAUGAUAUUUUGAUAUUUUCAGAUACACUAGAAUUACAUAAGAAAUAUUUAAAUAUUAUUUCUUAAGAAUUCAUAAAAUAUAGAAUCAUAUUAAACCCUAAAAGUAUGGAGUUAGAAAAAAGAGAGGGAAUUUUUAUAAUAGUGGAAAUAAAAAAUUGUCCUCAAAAGAUUGAAGAAAAAAAGAAGUUACAACAAUUUGUAAUAUAUUCCUCCCAAAUUUUCAGUUGCAAAUUUAUUACAGAAUUUCUUUGCCGACAAUAAGAAAAGAGCAUAUUCACAUUUUCGUCGCAAUUUCAACUAACAACCAAUCUGUUUCCCACUUUCCUUUUUCGGCCAAUUUCAAACGUAACUGUUUUUCGAAUUUUCCUCUUUAUUUCAUUAAUAAAAUGAUCAAUCUAUUUGUUUUUUAAAUAUAUAAUUUUAUUAAUAUUUUUUAAUUAUAAUAUAAGAGUUGUUGUUUAUUUAUAGUUUUAUUACAUUAUUUAAUCUCUUUUUUAUAUCAAGUUUUUAAAAUUAUAAUAUAAGAUUUAUUUUAUCAAAUUGUGGCUUAUCAAAUGUUCAUCUAUUUUAAUAAUAACUUGAGUUCGAAUCAUUAUCAUACCAGAAAGAGUUCCCUUUAUUCUUUAUCGUAAAUUUUAUAAGAAAUUAUAUUUUAUUAUAAUACUAUAUGUGUUAGAAUAAUAUUUUAUUGUGGAUGCCCAUAAUUCUCAAAGUUGUAACCUUGAAUGUAGUAACCUCAAUGAAAUUAUGAGGCUUUUAUAUUGUAAUCAAGCCUCUAUCUAUUCUUUGUAUUCUUUGUAGAAAAUAUGAAGUUGAUUUUACUUUAUUAAAAAAUUUAAAAUAAAUUAUCUUGUUUUUUUUUAAAUGAGUUAACCAAAUUAGCAUAUUUAUUUUGAUCUAAAAUUAUCCAAAAUAAUAUAAAAUAUUAUAUUAAUAAAAUUAAAACUAUGAAAUAAUUUUUUUUAAAGAUUAUUAUUUACUUUUAUCAAACAAUACAAUUAUAUUCAGUACUUAUAUUUACUAGUUUACCAAACAGUUUUCCAAUAUGAAUUCAACACUUAUCAAAUUCAGUAUUAAAAAUUCAGUGCUUAAUUUUUUAGCACUUAACUUUUCAAUUCAUCAAGCACGUCUAAUUCAAUUUAUACAAUUCCCUAUUUGUAUCUCUAUGAAUUUAUAAAAUCCUUCUCGCAUUUAGUUGUUGGGAUCUUUAUAUGAAGAUAGAUGCUUUUAUUUUUUAUUGGUUCAUUUUUAAUUGUAUUGAUUUAUUUAAUUUUAAUUUUGAUUAAUAUAUAUGAUUAUUGUGGAAUGGGAGUAAAAGUAUUUACUUCUCAUAAACUUUGAAAUAUUCACCCUGUCUACAUAUUAAUUAUUGUAAAAUUUGAAUUGAAAUUAUGCCAUAAAAGGUGGAGGUUAGAAAACCUCUUAUUGAGACCUUAUAAUAUUUUGUAAUUUUUUGUGUUAUGGUAUAUAAAAAAAUAUCUAACCAUAGUGAUUGAUUAGUAAUAUAAAUUUGUUAUUUGUUAUGUUUAAUAUAUAUUUUAUUUAUACUUAUUCAUUUUAUUUUUAUAUGAGUAAAUGAAGUGUUUGAAGAUUCGAAAUUUUUAUCAUCCAUGUUGAAAAUAAGUGCAAAAGUGUAUAUUAUUUAAAAUAAAUUACGCAUUCAUUAAUGUUAUGUGAUAAAAUCAUUACAUUUUCUGAAGAACUAAUAUUGCAUCAAACUGUAAAAAGCUCUUGAAGAGCUAAUAUUUAUCUCCCUGUGAUGCAAAAUCUUGUAAAACAUGAUAUUAUUUUUCAAAUCAAGAAGAUUUAUGUUGAAGGAAAUAUUUAUGUGUUUUACAUUAAAACCAUGGAUAGAAAUGACAUGAGACACUCAUGUAUUUGCAUUAUAAAUAUUCCUUGAAGGAAUACACUUCACUUGUAUGAUUGACAUAUGAGAUAAUAGCAAGAAGUUUAUAGUGUUGGUAUGGCCGGCUAGACCAUCUCAAGUCAAUAAUGAUGCAAAAUAAUUUGAAGAGAAUUUAUAUGAUUUUAUUGAAGAAUGAGAAGUUAUUUUCAUUUUGAUAAUUGUCAUCAACAAUAGUUCUUUGGAAAAAAAAAUAUUGAACUAACAUCAACUAAAGUUAGAGGUUGGUUCAUGGUUGCAUUUUUUGAUGAUAUCCAAAUAAUAUAUGAGCUCAUGUAUCACAUGUAUGCAACCCAAAGUUUACAGUAUUAUUUCUUGAAAUAAUUUGAUUCUACACAAUCUCUAUAGCAUGCAAUUUGUGCUAACAACACUGGUGCAUUAUAUCCUAAGCUUGAUUUUCGUAGUUUUAGCUGAGAUAAUAUUAAGUUGUCUAUGCCUAUAUAUAUUAUACUUAAUGGUUAGCAAAAUUAUGCCUCCAUUUAAUUGCUUAACCAUUAAUAUAAGAAUAGCUUUAAAAUAAGCAUGUAAUUUUAUUUGCAUCGAGCCAACAUGUAAGAAAUAUUUGUCCCAUGAGAAUUAGCUUUUAUUUAUAAGCCAAUAGGUUUCAUUUAUGACUAUUUGGAUGUAAAAUAUCUAUUUUAUAUUCCACCAUAAUGCACUAAGAUGGACCAUCAAGUAUGAAGUUGAGAAAAAUUAGAAUUUUUAUUUGAUGGUAAAAGUUGAAAAGAGAUAUAUAUUUAUAAUUUUGAAAAAAAUAGUCAUGUUGCAAAUUUUCUCAGUAUUAGAGGGAGACAAGUUGGACAAAUACGUAUAAUUAUGUCAUCACUUUUUGUGAUCCCUCACUAAUCUUAUGUGCACAAAGUUUGAAGGAAAAAAAUAAUUUGCUAGACAUGUUUAGUGAUGACAUUUAGAGAUUGUAUAUAUUGGAUGAUACAUAUACCAGCUAAAAUGUUCCAAAUAAUUAUGCGUCCUAGAAGGACAAAGUGAUAAAAAUAAUUUUUGGGCACGCUAGAAGGAUGAAAAACUAGUUGGUUCUAUAAAUAAAAAAAUUCUUGACAGAAAAGAGUAAGAAAUGAAUAUGGCCACACGUUAAAGGAGACGAGUACUCAUGAAGAGACCCAAGGUAUAACUUUUAAUAAAACCCCAAAAGAGGUUCAAUACAUGAAAUUAUGAAUAUAAUAAGUGUAAUAACCAAAUUUUUCCCGGGCCCAAUGCCAAACAAAUAAAACCCAAACCAAAUAAAUAAAAUAAGAGUCCAAAUUAUAGUCCGUUAGGGCCCAAUUCAGACCAGCCCACUAUUCAAUCAGACCAGCCGAACAACAAAAAAAAACCUAGUAGCCCACAGCCCAACUAAGCCUAAAAAAUUUUCAGCAAAAGAAAAAACCCUAGCUGCCAUGCUAGCCGCUGCUCCUGCCCUAGCCUCUGCCCACUAUCGUACGCCACCUCUGCCAUCACCAUUAGCCUCUGACACCUGCAAAACAGCAAACAACAUGCAACAACAGAGAAGAAGACGACAAGCAAAAAACAAAUCACUAAAGGACAAAAAUAAUGAUAACAAAUAGCCUUAGUUUGGCUAUAAAAGCAAAAAAAAUGAAAACUUUGUACUUCUUUGGCAAGAUUAAUACAAAAAAGAAAAGAUUUGAACUUUUUAGGGUGAUAUUUCAUUUUUUUUUACGCUUUAGAUCUAUUUUUUUAUUUCAUCUUCAUCUACGAAAAUAAUAGAAAAAAGACUUUGAUUUCAAGGUGAUAUUUUGUUGUUUUUUUAGAUCUAGUGUUUUUUUAUUUAUUUUUAUCUACAAAAAUAAAAAAAGGAAAAGAGAAACGUACCUAAUUCACCCCGUGGCUCCGUCGACGGAAGUCCCAUCGCCAUCGUCGGAAUCGGGCUUAAAAGGGGAAGGUUUUUAUUUUUCUUUACUUUUUUUUGGAUUUUUCGUCUCAAGAAAUGGACUAAGGGAGGGGAAAUGGCCAAAAUGGUCUUUUUCCGAUGAACUCUGGCAACCACAUGUGGCAGUUAACAGUGCCGGUGCUCGGUGGCUGCGGUGGAGCCAUGGUGGUGUCCCAUGGCCGGAUCUAGAGAGGAAGCCUUUAAGAGGGAGAGAGUUUCUAACAUUUUUUUUAUUUUCUAAGGCAGAAAUGAAUUUUUGAAAAAAAAAAGUUGGGUUUUAUAAGUGCGUGAAAUGGCGCCAUUUUGCGCAAGUGCACAUCGACGUCGAAACGACAUCGUUUACCCCUUUACCCGCUUGCCCGAGUCUGGCUCGAUGAAGGUCCGCAUAUUUUCAUGCCUGAUGGGUUAUUUCCCUGCCCGAUCCUUCCGAUUUUGGGCUUCUUCUCAAUCUGGUCCUGAUCCUACUUUUUCCCGCCUUUUAAAUUGUACCAUUUAAUUUCAUUUCAUUUUCAACUCGGUCCCUCGGCUGACCAAAGGAAAUGAUGCGCAUAAAGUUAAGGGAUAUUUUCCCUUUCAAUCCCCAAUAUUUUUAGAGCGAUGCAUUUUAAUCCCUAACCUUUCAUUCCAAUCUUUUACACAUAUUAUUUCAUUUUAUUCGUUUAUUUAUUGACUUAUCAUUUUUACCCUCUUUUUAUACUUAAAAAUAUAUAUUAUUUACACUAUUACUUGCAUUUUUUUACUAUUAAAUUAUUAUUUUUAAUGUAUUAUAUUCCCAUUAUUUUACCAUUUUAUUUAUUUUGAUACUUUCAUGUCACAUUUAUUUAUUUUAAUAUUGCCAUUAUUUAUUUUAUUUUAUUCUUAUGUUUUUUAGUAUUUUAUUAUUUCUUUUAUUGUUCACGGUUUUUUUUUCAUGUUAUACAUUUUUAUCUUUCUAAUCAUGCAUUUUUCCUUUUUUUAUUUUGUUUUAGGUUACGUUAUUUAUUAUUAUUAUUAUGAUAAUAUUAUUAUAAUUAUAUUACCAUUAUUAUAGAAUUCCUUUAUUUGUAUAUUCCAUUAUAACUAUUAUUAUUAUUAGUAGUCUUUAACUCACUUCUAUUUUUAUUAUUAUUUUUUAGAAUAGUAGUCAACAUGCUUAUCCUUAUUGUUAUUUGGUGUUGUUCUUAUGAUUUUAUCAUCAUUAUUGUUGUAUUUCAUUUUUUGUUCACUCUUUAAAUAUUUUGUUCAUAUAGUUAUUUUACACUAUUGCAAUAUUGUUGCAUUACGCAUUAUGUUUCUUAUAUAAUAAUUAUUUCGCUUUCACGCGAUGUUCGAAUCAAUUAAACAUGAAUCUUCUCAAUUAUUACAUUAAUUGUUACUUAAGUUCAAAAAGAAAAUUUUCAAAAUAAGGCAAUAUUUUGCGUUUUGGAAAUUCGAGAAAUCAUACCCUAACUUACGAGGUUUCGAUUUUCUCGUUAAACUUAAAUAGCAAAAUAUUCUUUUAAAUUUCAAAAUGCAUGCAAUUUCAAUAAAAAUCAAAGGCAAGCUUAUUCUCUAAGGUUCCAAAUAUCGCGUCCUAACUUACGGGAUGUGACAUUUCGUUACCUCGAGACGAGUAGGUCUUCAACUCUCUUUUCGAUUUAUUCGAGCGUUUUUAAUAACAUUAAUAAAAAGGGAUCGUAUUUUAAAUUUCUAUUCAAGUUUUCAACCUUGGACAUUAAGACAUUACUUAAUCAACUAGGUACCACCUUUGGGUGUAUUGAGGGUGUGUUUUCUAGAUUUUGUAGACCAAAUAUUAUCGUUUUUAGUAAAUUUAAAUUUUUAUUAAAAUGAUUAAAUUACAAGUGUUGACACCAUUUUUUUGAUGAAAAACGGGGUCGACUUGGGUUUUAAAAAAAAUGAAAAACGGGAGUCGCCACCAAUCCUUUUUGAUAAGGUGUGAUUGGGUCACCUUGAAAAAUGGUUGUUUUUAAUAAAUGAUUUGAUUUUAUUAAAACAACGGUUUUGGUCCAUGAAAUUUAGAAAACGGGUUCGGGAGUCGAUUACGUACGAGGAAGGAUUAGCACCCUCGUAACGCCCAAAAAUUGGUACCUAGUUGGUUAGCUAAUGUCUUGAUGUCGAAAAUUGAGAACUUGGAAAAAAUUAAAAAUACGAUCCUUGUAUUAAAAUGAAAAUUUUAGGAAAAGGGGGGCAUACUUCACGCUAAUCGAGAAAGAGAAUCAUAUCCAGUAAGUUAGGACACAAUGUCUCGAAUUCCCGAUACGCGAAUGAAUGCCAAAAUUUUACUUAUUUAAAAGACAUUUUAGCCGUCUCGAAUUUAAAAAUGAAAUCACGACCAGUAAGUUAGGACGUGAUUUUUUAAAACUUGAGUUUGAAAAGAUUCGUGCAUCUAGAUUUAUCGUGAAAAUCAAUACCCAGUAAGUUAGGGUACGAUUUUCUUGAAUUUAAACACGAAAUGCCAUUUUUUAAAACAAAUUUUGUUAUAUCGAGUGAAAUAAAAACACAAAGUCGUAGUAAAAAAAUGUGUAAGCAAAUUACAUUGUUAUGCAUGGCAAAAUCAUAAUGAAUACAAAAGUAUAAAAAUGAUACGAGCAAUAACAACAAUAUAAAAUAAAUAAAAGUCAAACCUACAAUAAUAUUAAAUAACAAUGUAUAUAAACAAAUAAAAUUAAAACAUUCAUUCAAAAUAAUAAUGAAAAUGAAAUAAAUAAAUAGUAAAUACAAAAUAAAACAAUAGUAAUGAAUAAAAAUAAUAUAAUAUAUAUAUGUAUGUUAGAAUUAUAAAGUAUAAAAAUAUACGUAUGUGUAUAUAAGAAUAUGUAAGCAUGUAUAUACAUAGAUUAUAAAAUAUAGAUAUUUAUAUAAAAAUGAGUAUUUGUAUUAAAUAAGUUGAAAAAAAAUAUAUAUAUACCUACAUAUAUAUAAAAAAUUAUAUAAUAAUAACAAUAUAAUAAAACACAUAUAUCUAAAAUUUACAUAAGUAAAUAUAAAUAAAAACAUACUAAUAACAAUAAUAUUAAUAGUAAAAUGAUAAUACAUAAAAAUGAUGAAGAAAAUAAUAAAAAUGCUUAAAAGGGGACUAAAUCGAAGUAAGAACCAAAAAAAAGGGGCAAAAUCGAAAUAAAGACAAGAGGGACUAAAUUGUAACGCGCGCUGAAAGAGGGGGACCAACAGGGUAACUAAACCAAAGCCUCAAAACGCUGCUCUGUAAAGGACUGAAAUGAGACAAAAAUAAAAUUUUGUGGCCAAAUUGCAAAUAUGCGAAAAACUUCCAUGAAAUCGCUACAAAAUCAAAGGGACUAAUUGCGCAAAUAGACCCUUAAACAAAAACGCGCGGAUCCUUGGGUGCGGGUCGGGUCGACGUGCGGAUCCCCUCACCAAAACGGCGUCGUUUUGUGUUUAAUAUAAAUAUAAAAAAAGGGCUAAAAAAACAGUUUCAUCAUUUUUGUUGAAAAACUGAGAGAAACCUCUCUCUUUUUUCCCUUUCUCAGGCUCAGAUUCCGGAGAUGGCCCGGCCUAGGCUUCUGGCGAAUCUCCGCCGUAGAGCCACCGUGUGUGGCGGCCGGAGGUCCAAAAUCGGACCUUUUCGGUCCCUUUUUGAAACUAAGAAUCCCUAGGGUACGGAUCUGGGACCAAACCCCCGAAAAAAAGAAUCGGAGACCUAAAGAACGAGGGGAAACCGCUCGUCUUCUCUCCUCCGGCGCGGCGCAGGUAAGGUUUCUUUUUCCUUUAUUUAUAUUACGUAAAAAACAUACAAAAAGAAAAAAAAGAAAAUAGAGUUUAAAAAAAAUCUAAAACAGAAAUGAGAGAAAAUCACCUCUCAAGUUUUCUUGUUUUUUAUUUCUUUUUGCUAAUAUCUGUUUCUUCUUUUUACAAAAGUUGAUGGAAGAAGAAAAAAUUACAUUUUGUUGGCUUUUUAUAGCCGACUUCUACUACUGCCUGUGUUAUUUGCUCUCUGUUUCUUUGUUUUGUUUCUUCUUUGCAGGUGACGGUGCAAGUGGUGGUGGUGACGUGACCGUGGCAGUGGCGGUGUGAUGUUGGCGGCGGCGGCAGGCCAAAGGUCAAUAGGUGUGGAGCCUAGGGUUUUAGUUUUUGAAACCCUAGGCAGAUUUUUUUAGGGGAAUUGGGCCUUAGCUAUUGGGUCGUUCGGGUUUGGGCGUUGGGUUAGGCUAGUUGGGCUUUGAGGUUGGGUUGUUUUGUAAUGUGCUUUGGUGUUUGGGUUGGUAGGUGGUGGGUAAGGUUUAUUGUUUUGGGUUCUUGGGCCUGGUUCUGUUUGGUUAGGGUAAUGGGCCAUUUGGGUCUGGGCAUAAAAUUGGGCUAUACAACAAGGUGACCCGAUUACACCUCAUCAAAAAGGAUUGGUGGCGACUCCCAUUUUCAUUUUCAUUUCUUUUUAAAUCAAAGUCAACCCGUUUUUAAAAAAAUGGUUUCGACAAUAAGAUAUAUUGAUUAGUUAUGUCAUAACUAAAGAUGAUGGAGUUGACAAAAGGAAAUUGUAGUUAACAACGAAUAAUCUACGUAGAACAUUUCAAUAUUAUGGAAAAAUGAGUAUUUACCAACCUUCUUUUAGUCAAAUUAUGCAAGCCUAAAAUUUUUAGCUUAAUUUGAGUUUGUUGACUAUGUCUAAUUCAAGUUUUAUUAUUAAGGACUAAAUUGUAACUUAAAAAAAUUAGAAUACCAAUUUAAAGAGACAAAAAUUCAAAACCCCAAAACCCACAUGGGCAUGUGGGUAAGUGACACAGGCGUGUGGAGACUGGAGCUAUCACACACGGGCGAGUGGGACAGAAAAAUAUGAAAUAAAUUAAUCCACUUAAAUUUCAAACAACCAUGCUAUACUACCAAACCAAAUAAUGCUAGAAGCUUUGAAUAGGGGUGAAUCGAAAAAAAAAUAAAAGAAUUAGAAUUAAAUUAUAAAAUUUUCAGAAGUUAUCAUGUAUUAAUUUAUUAUUUUUUAAAGGGUCUUAAUAGAAUUUUUUUUCCAUUUUGGUUUGGCCAAUACCCCUGUCUACCUCUUUCAAUUUGCUUCAACCCUAAACCUAAUAUUCGAUUUGUUGUGGAAGUUUGACGCAUAAAAAUUUCUUUUUUAGAGGUUUAAAUUAUAAAUUUUUGAAAGUUUAAAAUAAAUUUUCAUUUUUAUUAACAAAAUAUAAAAGAAAAAAAACAUGUGUAGACAAACCAAGAAACCUUUGGGAUCAUACGGGUGAUUUUGAUGAUGUUAAUGGUUAUUUUGAUGGAGAGGGUGAAAAAGAAACAAAUGAUUCAUAUAUAUAAUAUAAUUAUGAAAUUCAAGCCAUAUAUUGUAUGUUUCAUCCAUAAAAAUUUCAUGGGAGGUCCGAAGGUAAUUAAAUGACUUGUAGGCUUGCUGAAUUUCUUUGAAAGGCCCAAUGGCAAUUUAACAUUCACAAAAUAAUCUCUAAAUACUGUAAAGACAAAAUCAAAUCCACAGCAGCAUUAGAGUUGAUUAAGCUAAGCAUUGGCAAAUAUUACUUUGAUUUUGCAUGCAAUAUUAGCAAAACCCCCUCUUACAUUAGAUAAACAACAUACUCCAUGAAACAUUGAUAGCCCAAAUACAAAUUUCAUCGACAAAAAAGUCUCUUUGUUUUGUAGAACAUGAUAGUAAAAAUGUGGAGUUUCGUUCUUCUUAUUGGCCUCCUUUAGUUUUCCUUGAUCAACAACCACUAGCCAAAAACACAAUUAGAUUAGAUUAUGAAUGAUACUGACAUUAUUAAAUAUAAAACACUCUAAAUAACUCUAAAUAAAUGGAAAGCAGCAAAUUACCUGACGAGGCAAGCUAGCUCAAUUAAGACCAUUGUGUUAUACUUGUCUCUGAAUUGAAAAAUUUAGAAGGAAAUAAAGAGAAAGACUUAGAAAAUAUUUGAAAACAGAUAAAACUUAUAUGUCAUUUAAAAUAAAAAUUUUGUAUUUAAGCCGUUUAAAAUUUUUAAGAUUUUUGAAAUUUUAAAAUGAUAAAGGUAAAAUUGUACUUUGGCACACCAAAAAUGAUAAAACUUUGAUUUAAUCCUUUAGAAAUUAUAAAAAUAUAGGCUAUUAAAAUGGUGAAAUUACCUUUUUACUAUAGUAAAAAUUACAAUUUAAUUUCACUUUAAGAUUUUCUGACUUCGCCCCUAAUAAAAUCUUUGGCAAAAGAUUAAAAUAAAAUUAUACCGUAAAUGGAAAAAGAAACAAAGAAAAUCCAAUCUAACAAAGAAAAUAACUUAUGUCCAAAAGCUACCAUAAACCGUAAUUCAUGGGAAGAGAGCAAAAGUAAAAACAAAUAGUUUAUAUGAUUAAAAUUCCAGAAUAGGUUAAAAAUGUUGAAUUAAAGAUAAAAUUAAGCGUGAAUUAAUAACCACAAGUGUACUCUUUACUCACCAUCUCUGUUAAAAAUGUUGGAUGUUGUUUAGCAACCUUUGUUUGAUUUUCUUCAGCUCAACCACAACAUCUUUCAUUUCUUUUCUUUCUUCUGGUAACUCAGCUGAACAAUUCAAAGCCAACUCCAUGAUAGAUGAAAUACAAUUUGCUUUAACAACAAAGUACUCAUCCUCUCUUCUUAGUAAAUCAACAUCUGCAAUUUCUAUCGCUCCUUUAGGCAAUGAACUUUCCAUCCAAUGCCUUAUAGUCUCUUCUUCAACAAAAACAUUAUCAGUUGGCUUUCUCUUUGUGAAAGUUUCUAUAAGGACGAUCCCAUAACUAUAAACGUCAGAUUUUAUAGAAACAAGUCCUGCAGAUCCAAAUUCUGCAUUUCAAGUAUAAUUAGAACAUCAUCAGUCCUCAAUUAUUUGAUAAAUCUAUGUAUAUCCACAUACACGAGAAACAAAAAUAUAAAACGCAAAUUAGGAAAAUAAUCGUACAAAGAUAAAAAAAGAAUUCACCUGGUGCCAUAUACCCGAUUGUUGCAAGAGUCAUGGUUUGCUUCAUUACUUCACCUUCUCCCAACAAUUUGGCAACGCCAAAAUCUCCAACAUGUGCAACCAUGUCUUCAUCUAGUAAAAUAUUGCUUGGUUUUAUGUCACAAUGAAUUAUAGGGGUUGGAUGUCCAUUGUGGAGGUGUUCUAUAGCCACCGCAACAUCUAUCAUUAUGUCGACCCUUUGUAUGAUAUCAAGGAAACAAUUUUUAGAAUGUAACCAUUUCUCAAGGUUUCCAUUAGACAUGUAAUCAAGCACCAAGGCUUUGAAGUCAACACUUGAGCAGCAAGUAAUGACCUUCACAAUAUUACGAUGAACUAUAUGAAGCAUAGCAUCACAUUCAAUGUCAAAACUCCUAAAUGCUCCCUCUGUUUGCAAAUUGAAAACUUUUAUUGCAACUUCCAUUCCAUCUGAAAGCCUCCCUUUAUAUACAUAUCCAAAACUCCCUGAACCAAGCAUAUUGCUUUCCUCAAGUCCAUUAGUUGCUCGUGAAAGUUCAGCAUGUGAAAUUCUUCUCGGUGUCUUCAAAGACAACAAAUCAUCUUUAAUUGGUAGAGCUGUACUCCUUCUUUGGCAUCUUCUAUACAUAAUAGUUAAGACUAUUAGUACUACGACAAUACCAAUUGUUGGUAAACCAUACCUAAAAGCAUGCAAUAUAAUCGUUUGGGAGUUUUUGUGGAUGUCGUUUUUACAAGGUGGGACUAGCAAUCUAGGUGGACCACAAAGUGCAUAAUUCUUCAUGAAUGAUGUGCUAGAAAAGUUUGAAAAACAUCCUUCGCUGGGAAUUUCCCCUUCAAGUCUAUUGAAAGACACAUUAAAAUACUUUAGAUAUAAAAGCUUUUCCAAAGAUUUGGGAAUGACUCCAGAGAGAUUGUUAUUGCAUAAAUCCAAGAAUUCCAAACUAAUCAACCCAUCAAAUGAUUCAGGGAUAUGACCAUGUAGUAUAUUAUUUGAUAAAUCUAAUGAAACCAAAGUUAUAAGACCCCCAAAUGUGGAUAAGAUAUCGCCCGUGAGAAGAUUCCUUGAUAAAUUUAGUUUCAGUAGACUCCUCAAAUUUCCAACAUCAAUAGCAUGUGAAUUGUGAAGAUGGUUUGAUGAUAAGUCUAUUUCUAAGAUAUCUUUAAGAUUCCACAAAGUUGAGGGUAUUGUAGAACUCAAUUUGUUGGAAUCUAAGUAAAGAUAUCCCAAAGAAGUAAUAUUACCCAAACAAGAGGGUAUGGAUCCAUGCAGCUUAUUCAACCCUAAAUACAUCUUGUAUAGUCUCUCCAAAUCACAAAGGCUUUAUGAGAUGGGCCCUCCUAAUUUAUUAGAGGAAAGAUAUAGACCUUGGAGAUUUCUCAUUCCUCCUAUUGAUGCUGGAAUCAAUCCACUUAAUUUAUUAUAGUCAAGUUGUAAAAGCAAUAGGUUGGUUAAGUUACCUAUUUCCAUAGGAAUAAUGCCUUGAAGCUCACACUCAUCGGCAUAAAAGUAUUGAAGGGAUUUUGAAAGGUUCCCAAUAUAAGUAGGAAGAACGCCACUCAAUGGAUUUCCUGAAACACCUAUUUUUCUCAAAUUCCUACAAUUCGUCAAAGAAGAAAGAAAGCUCCACUCAUGAUCAGUAGCAGAUCCUGUGAUCAAAUUAUUGUCAAAGAUUUUGAGCACUUCAAGGUGUUUUAAGCUGCCAAGCAUUUUAGGGAUUGGGCCAGAGAAUAAGUUUCGUGACAACUCUAGUUUCUUAAGCAUGGAAGCAUUGGAGAUAGAGUUGGGAAUGUUUCCGCUAAGUUUAUUUCUCCACAAUAAAAGAAUCUCAAGCUUUGGAGCAUUGGUGAUUGGUGGUAAAUCACCUGUGAAAUAGCAUCUUUUAGUAUACACAUUCAUUGAAUACCAAAUUCACAAAAUAUAUAAUACAUUAAAAUAAAAACUGUAAAACUUUAAAUCAAUUAAGAAUAAAAUUUUGGCAUGGAAAAAUGUGAUGAAAUCAAUUAGAAAGUUGAGACAUAAUAAGAAGUUUUGAGUAGUAAUUACUCAUGAUUUCUAUAGACAAAACAUAUAAUACACUGAUAAUUUUUUAAAAAAUAUUGUAAAACCUGAAAUAAAAUAAAAAAUAAAAGUUUGGCAUGAGAAUGUGGCAUCUAAUCAUUCUUAAAAAUAAGACUAACAUUGAAUAAUAAUUAGUUAUGAUUUGAGAAACAAAAAUGUUAAAGAUGUAAACUGGUAUGAUUUUUAUCUAUUGGGUUAAUUAUUUAUUUUUAUUAAAUUAUAUAUAGUGUAAAAUUUAAAGAUUAUUAUUUGCUCAAAAUUUUUGUAUUUUUCGUAUAUUUGAAAUUUAAUCUUUAUAUUUUUUAUUUUCUGUGAUUUAGUCUCUCUACUUUUUGAAUUGAAAAUUUUAAGUUUAUUUAUUAACACUGUUAAAAAGUUUUUGUGUUAGUAUGGCAUUUUGAAAAAUAAAAUAAAAUUGAUAUCUAUGUUUUUAAUUAUUCCAAAUAUUGUUUUACUAUUUCAAGAUAAACUUUUUGUGUCUAUACCAAUAUCUUAAGAACUAUUGUUGCAUGUUUAAUUAUUCUAAAGAUUUGUUGAUUGAGUCUUGGUUGAAGUGCAUUAUUCUCCUAUUUAUGAAUUGGGGAGUUGAUAAAGUACUUUAUUUUAAUAUAUUUUAAAAUAUUAAAAAUUUAUUAAAAUAUUUUUUAUAAAACUUGAUUGUACCACAAUAUACAAUUUUAAUAUCAAAUUUUUAAUUGUUUUUUAAAAAUAUUAGCGAAUAUAUACUUUAUUUCAAGUUACACAAUUUUUACUAGCUUUUAACUUUUUUUAAAAUUUUUAUCGUCUUUUAUAAUUUCUAAUAAUUUUUUAUAAUUUUUUACAAUAUUUACAAUUUCUAACAAUUUUUAAUAAUUUUAUUAUUUAUUUCAAAUUUAAAAAUUAACAAAUUUUUAUUUUUUUAAAACAAUUAUAUAUUUAUAAUGUAGUUAUUUUUUUAUAAUUUUUUUUUGAAAUUUAAAGAUUUUUUUGGUUUUUUUUUUCUAGAUGAUGAUGCCAUCAUGAUGCCAUCAUAUGCCACAUGCCUUCUAAUUUGUUGUCAUAUAGACAUAUUUCUUCGAGCGUAGUUGAAUUAAAAAUACUUGAUGGAAUCUGACCUGCACACAUAGUCGAAAAUUGAAGUGAAAAGCAUACCUUCUAAGCUGUUAAACUAAAAAUACUUUAAGCAUAUUUUAUUUUCCAUCAAAUUAACUAUUUUGCCUUGAAUGAAAUAAAAUGUUCUUAUUUUUGUUAUCUAUUACAAAUCAAACUCUUUUAUGAAAAAACUAUUUUAAAUUAAAGAAACAAAGAAAAUUCAAUAUCUUCUAAGUUAUUCCACUCCAAAUAUAAUCUUCAGUGAAGAAAUCUUGAAGAUGGAAGAUGGAACCUUACCAGAUAAUUGAUUGAAUCCCAAGCUCAAGGACUCUAGAUUAGACAUGUUAACAAGUGUUUCAGGGAUUGUGCCUAUAAAGUUAUUAUUUUUCAUUUUCAGCCUUCGAACUCCCUGUAAGUUCCCAAGCCAUGAUGGAAUUUCCCCAUUAAGACUGUUGUAUUUUAAUCGAAGGAUCCUCAAACGAUGCAAUUGGCCCAAUUCUUUAGGGAGAUGGCCAUAGAAAUGGUUUCUACUCAAGUCGAGAGAGAGUAGAAAUGAAAGAUUUCCAAGGUGUGGAGGGAUACUACCCCUAAGAUUCAUGCUUUUAAGUUUCAAAGCUAUAACUCUUUUAUGGAGGAUGCCACAAGAAACACCAAUCCAAUUGCAAACAGAGGUUGAGGCCGUCCAAUUGUUUGCCAAGACAUUUUGAGGACCGGCAAUGCGAUCCUUAAACUCGAGAAGUGCAAACUGAUCGGAGUUGAGAUUCCUGACUGUCAUACCCCAGCAAAGUCCGGAACAUGGUACGAAUAAAGCUAAAAGAAGAUGAAAGCAAGUGUUGUAGUUCAUGAUAGCAAGACGGAAUAAGCCAAGAAAAUAAAAAAAAGUAGGACAAGGGAAGUUGAGUUGAUAAAAUAGUUUGGAUGAUGAAGAAAAGCCCAGAGAGCAUGCUUUAAUAUGUUUUGAAGAAAUUUCAAAAUAAAUUUCAAAAUAAAUUUCAAAAUAAAAAUUUAAAAAGGAAAGCAAAGUUUUGAAGAAAUUUCAAAAUAAAUUUCAAGUCUUCUUCUUUAAAAAAUACGUACAAAGAGCGAAUUUUCAAAAUUUCUCCUAAAUUUUCUUCACAUUACUCCACAUAAUCCAUUAAAAAAACUUAAAAAAUAUAUUUUAUUAAUUACUAUACAUUCUUUUACUUUCAGAAUAAUAAAUUGUUUAAAAUUUGCUAUUAGUCCCUGUAAUUUAAAAGUUAAAAAAAAAAUUCAAUCCUCCUACUUUUCUAAUUUAAAAAUUCUAGUUCAAUCAAUUUUAAUUUUAAAAUCUUUGUAUAAAAGGUGUUUUUUUUUUGUGACCGAUCACACUUAACCAAUAUUUAAAAAUUAUUAAAAAAUAUUUUUUUUUGAAAUUUAAAGUGAUCUAAAAACAUAUUUUUAAGUACUUUGGACAGUCUAUUGUUGAUUUCCUUAUUAUAUUAAGUGUUUGCAAUCACUCCUAAUAUAUUGUGCUUGAGUUGUGACAAAGUCGAUCAUCAAAUUGCCAUAAUGAUCUAUUGAUGCUGAAAUUAAAGUUUUUGUUAUAUUGAUAGAGCUUGUCCUUCAACGCGUACAACGUGUUUGUUAUUUUUCUCCCUUCAAAUUGUAUGAUCUUAUUCAUUAAAUGAAUUAAUGAAUUUCCCUUUUAAAAAGAUAUAUUUUUAAAAAUUAAAUACUUUAUAAAAUAUUUAAAAAUUUGUAAGCCUUAAAACAAUCAACAAAAUAUUUUUGAAAUUUUAUAAAUAUAUUUUAAAAUUAUAGUAACGCUACAAAAUAUAUAUAUUUACUAAUUAUAUGCACCUUUUUUAUUUUUUUUCCUAACAUAUCAUUAUUUUCAACACUAUCGUAAUCCUGUUUUGAUAAUUCCCUUUCCAUACAUCCUUUUUCUACAUAGAAUUUCAAAAGAAAAUGUGAAUUAAUGUAAACGUGAGAAGACUUAAUUACAUUUAUUAGUUUAUCAAUCAAAACUUAAUUAGAAUCCAUCAAUAUUUCACACAUCAAAAACCCAAACAUAAAAUUCACUUUUAAAUUAUUUGAAGAUACAUUUGUAUUAUAGGAAAUGGAUUAAAUUAGUCUUUUAUUAUUAAAUGUAUUAUUUUAAUCUUUGUAUUAGGUAUGAAUUGUAUCUCCUAGAUUGAAGCCAAAGCUAUUCUUGAAAGACUGAAAUUAAGAUUCAGAUGUGUUGAGAUGGAAAGUGGCAACACAAUGUUGAUUGAAACUAUUUAUAACGGGUUGGCUACAAUAAGUAGUGCUGCCGAAGUAAGACAGAUUCACGAUUGGUGUUCCAAAAAUUGGGAAGUCAAAUUUCGACAUAUUCAACGAAAUGCCAAUAAAGUUGUUGAUUGCAUAGCUAAGGCAAAUGGAGGCGUAAUUGAGCAGCUGGUUAUCUUGGAAGAUCCUCUGCAUUAUGUGAGAUGCUAGCUUGAAGAAGAUAUUAGACAGUCACUAGUGACUGAUGAUAAUUUUCAUUUGGACUGAUGAGCGCUUAAUUUUCUAAGCUUAUGUUCAACAAAAAAAAAUUUAAAUACGUCUAAAUUGUAAUAGAGUUAACAUUUAGUGUUUAAAAAAUAUCUUAAAAAUUAUUUUUUUCCAAUUGCAGUUCAAUUCCACAAAUAUCGACGAUGAACCCGGACAUAAAAAUUACAGAAAAAAAAACACAUCUAUUAUCAAACCAGCAAUCCAUGUCUAAACUUAAAUUAACAAAAUUUGCCACACAACGCCCGGUACACUAUUAUAUAUCUAUACUAGAUUUAUUCUAGAUGCACAUGUUUUAUUAUAUUUAAAAAUUAAAAUGUAUGGUUGACUAAGUUUUAGUUGAGUUAGUAUUGAUAUUAUUGUCAGUGUAGGAAAAUGUGAGUUUAAUCACGCUCAAAUGUGUUUUAUCCUCCAAUUCAAGGGUUAGGAAAAGGUUAUUGAUAAUUAAAUUAUACCAACUUUUAUAAUAUUAAAAAAAAGGAUUUAUAAAUAAUAUAAGGAAAAGAAAAAAAGAGAAACAUAUUCAUAUUGAUGGGCUCUUUCAAUAUUAGACUUUUUUUUCUAUCACAAGUAAAAAUAUCAAAGGUGAUAAUAAUUAAAUUAUAAAAUUUAAAUUGAGAAAAUAGGGGAUAAAAUUUAUAAGUUUUAAAGUAUAAAGAAUGAAUUUAUAACUAACAACAUAUUUUAACCACAUAAUAAAAGUAGUUAUGGAGAGGAUCAUAUAAAAUGCAAAAAUGAAAUAAUAGAAAAGAAAUAAGUGUUGGGUAUAGUGGCAAUGUAUAUUAUACUUCUAAGGGGAGAUCAAGAUUUUAGACAAGGGAAGAAUUUUAAACCUGCUUUUUUCUCUAGAACUCAACGCAAACCUCAAAUUUAUCUUUUUAAAAGAAUUUAAAAAUAUCUAUAUAAAAGGUGAUUUUUUACCGAUCACACUUAACAAAAUUAAAAAAAAAUUGAAAUUUAAAGUGAUCUAAAAACAUAUUUUAAAGUGCUUUUGACCAUCUUGUGCUGAUUUCUUUAGUAAUUUGAUUUGUUCAAUAUAGAUUUUGGUGACUUAAAACAAAAUUAAUAAAAAAAUAUUUUAUCAGAUAUCUUUUUAAUGUUUAAUAAUAAGUUAAUUUAUAAAAUAUACUUUCAUUGGACACAGGGCCUCCAAGGCGGUGAACCACUAAUCAAAUUAAUUUUGAGAUACUUAAAUUUGUUUUCAUCAAUUAAGAAAUUAAAAAAAUUUGUUGAGACCUCAUGAUUAUGUUUUAUAAUUUCAGGCUUAUCAACUAUUUUGAAAAACAACAAAACGUCUUACACCAAAAACUAAAAAAAUAAAAACGUCGACAUUAAAUUUGUUGCCAUGCAAUCAAUUUUAAGAUGGUUUUUGGAGUUAUAUAUCACCUUAGCAUUGACUUACUUUUCUACACUUAGUCUUCUCCAACAAGUUAAAUAUUUCAAUUUUAACAACAUUGACAGGUCUUUGGGGUAGGGUCGAGCAAAACUCAAUAUAGGCUGAGUUGGCUCGGCCAAGUCGAGUCGACUUGUUCAAAUUAUUUAAAUUCGUAAUUUUUAAGGUGCAGUUAGAAUUUUUUGUUUUGAGAUGCUAAGAUUAAAAUAUUUCAGUUGCUAAAACAAAAUAUUUGUAUUUAAAAAGGCAUAAAUUAAAUAAUUAAGUUUUUCGAGUUUCCAUUUAAUCAAAGGUUAAAAGGACUAAAUUGAAGCUUUUUAUUUUUAAGAAAGGCUGAAUGACAAAUUGCCCAAAGCCAUGCCCCUAGCUAUACAACUAACUUCUCUAUGAUUAGUCCUUCGUUUGCUUUGGGUGAAAUCUUCCAACUAGCCUCAUCCUUGGUUUUACUUUCCAACAAUUAGUGUAUCACGAGUUUUGUUUUCUUUAAAAAAUAUUUGUGGAUAUUAGGAGAUAAUGAAAAUUAUUUUACUAUGAAAUUUUAAUAAAACUGGAAAAUAAGUAAUUUAUUUUAAGAGGUCGCAAUUAAACGUUAGAUUUCCAAUUUUUAAAUUUUAAUUUUUUUUUGACAAUUGCAUAAUAUUUUGAGUGUUGUAGGAAUGCCAUAAUAUAACCUUCCCUAAACAUAAUCGACUCUUGAGCAUGAUGGAUCCUAGAACUUCUCCUCUAUUCUCGUACCGCAAAUUGCUUCAAGUGUGGGUUCGAACAAUCACAAAUUAAACACAAAACCAGAAAUGAUUUAUUACUUUCAAUAGCAAGGUAAUUCUCUCUCAAUAGAAACCAAUAGAAGUGUAAUUCUUAGAAAAUAAAAUUUAUUUUUUGAAAAUAUAUUCUCACUACUUUCUAGCAGAAUAACAAUAUGUGAAACUUAUGUCUUGUGUUAAUAGCUCUACCAGUACUCUCUAUUUAUAGGGAGAGAUACGAGAAUCCUGGUUGAAUUAGUAAAACACGAAUAAUAUUUAUUUCAUAGAAAACAAUAUUCCACCCUAAGUAGAUCAAGUUUGUAUGACGCAUGGAUCAAAGCUCAAUCUAGGAGGAAAAAAAUAAAGGAAUUUUCUUUGUAAAGAAAAUUUGAGAUUGUACUAUUUUCAAAGUUAUAAAUAAAAUUAUACGCCAAAUUUUUAAGUCAAUUUCAACUCCAAUUUUGUAUGCACAAAUUUCUAGUACACUUGGUGGGACAUUCUUUGACUUUUAUCUAUUCUCUCAAAAAGUUAAAGUUCAAAGUUACAUUAAACUCAAAGAAGAUAAUCAUUAGUAAACCACCUCACAAGCCUGCUCAAACUAAUCCUACAACUCAUUCCACUUCAUCAUCAAACACCAAUGUUCUUGCUUAUCCUUAUGGAAUUAAACAGUCUCAUUUUCUGCAUUUUGGGUACACACCUGGUUUUAUUUGAUGCUAAAACAGUCCCCGAGCACUCCAAAGCCUAUAAUUGAACAAAUAAUACUAAUUUAAUCUUACAUAACAUGAUCCCAAAUUGAACUUGUAUCGAGGUUUUAACCCAUAAGUGACUAAACCUUACCUUCAACCGAGUGAACAGUAAUUCCCACACAAACUAAGACUCCGAUUGAAGAUUACGAGCCAUUGAAUCCUCCCCUAAUUGGCAUAAACAAAACACUUCAAAAGAAAGUCAACAAAUGGAGACAAAUCACUUAUCUAAAACUUACCGAACGAUCACAGACAAACGUGAAGCGACACGAGGCAGAGUGGGAAAAGAAAAAUCAAGAGGAUGAAGGGUGAAAGAGAGCAGAAAUUCGGUAGCAAUGAAGAGAAAAACGGCAAGAAAGUGGAGGGAUUUUGGGGAAAGUAAAAAAAAAGAUGAAUAGAAUAUUUGAUAACUACCCCAAUCCCUUAUUUCUCUCUAUCAAACUCCCCACUAAAUCCACUACUCAAAUUUUUAGUCCAUCUCAAACUCUCCUGGACGCACGAGCAAAAAAUAAUGCCCAUGCCAAAAUUUAAACAAAAGACCUCCUUCACACCAACACUCCACUUAUCCACCAGACCAAUAGGCUCAUUCUUUUAAUUAUUUUCCAACUUUUACUUAAAAGCCUACUGACCAAAGAUAGGGCUUAUUCAUAAAAAUACCAAAUUUUGCCCAAGACCUGGCUUGAACUUGGGACCUCCCAAACACACCCAGAACACAUAACCACUAAAGCAGACAUAAAUUUUGUGUCACACAUUCACAAUACCCAAAAUUAAAAUUUUAGGGCGUUACAAAAACACAUUAAAUAAUAUCGCAUAAAAUAAUCACAGUUAGAUAACAGUUCAGAAUGUCGAUUUUACAAUUUAACCACCAAUAGUAUCACAGUAUUCACAGUUGUAAUUUCAGAAUAUCAAAUUUCCACAUGAUUCACAAUAUUCACACAUAUAUAAAUAUAUCAUAAUAGAAUUCCAGAUUUGUAUGCACAUGAUUUAGAAGAUGCCAUACAAUUUUGGUUUUUAACAGAAUAAAUCCUACCCCACGUUACAUACCAUAAUGGGAGUUCCCCUAAACUCCCUUCUCCAACACACUAGGUUAUGGAUAAACCACUAUUGGUUCACAAAUAAUAACUGUCAUUUGGCUGUGGACACACAGCAAGUCCCCACAAUUGGAUUCUAGAUUUGGUUGUGGAUUCACAGCAAAAAAAUCCUACAAAUGAAGCCUGCUUUUGCCUGUAGAUUAUACAACAUAUACCCGCAGUUGGAAUCUGUCUUUGGCUGUGGAUGCAGUGUAACACCGCAAACUCGACCUGGACAUUAUGGCUGAAUCUUGAUGAUUUACUUUAACUCGCUAGAAAACCCACGAAUUUACUUUAAAAUCAUGUGGUUAAACUAGUGUUCACUUUGAUAAAUUGUUUUCCAGUUUUAGAGAAAUUUCUUGUUAAAACUGUUACUUUAUUACAAUAAAACAUUAAAGUAAUUGUAUCAUUUUGUAGUGGAAUCUACUAAGCUAUAAGGUUUUGAAAAUCGUGAUUUAGUUUGCAACAAAUCAUUUUGCAAAUAGAAAUUUAAUACUACUUAAUUUGGAAAAUCACGCUAAAACGAAAGCAAAGUCCAAAAUAAUUUACGGUUUGAAAUUCUAAAAAGCCCAAAUUAGACAUAAAGUCUAUUUAAACCAAUUUAUUGAAAGUGUAACACCCUAAACCCGGCCUAUAUGUUAUGGCCAAAUCUAGAUGUGUUACGAAAAAAAGUUUAUAAAAUGACUUCCUUGUUAUUGGCAAACCAUCGUAACCAUUAUUACUUAGUAUAUCUGAUUUGUUUGGAAAACUUAUUGAUAUACUUAUUUGAUUUAAAAUCGUUGCUCGCUUAUGCCUUUUUAUUAAACCAAAUAUUUUGCAGCGGAGUUUCUUUACAACAUCAUAUUUUGGAAAAUCAAAUUGUUUCUUGAAAAUCGUUAUUUUAGAAAAGUUUUCAUUUUCAGAAAAAUUAUUUUAUCAGUUGUUAUGCUGAGAAAACAAAAUAAAAUCCAAAACCAAAAAUAAUCGCAAAAAGUCUAGAGAGUCCCAAAAUGACAAUACUCUUAAAACUAGACAAGCUUAAACUAAUUUUAAAAGAAUGAAAUUUUACAGAAAUGUGGACACCACUGAGCUUCCGUCGCACCGACCCACCUAAAUCUGAGGGUUACUUGAACAGAACAAACAAACAGAGAGUGAGUUUUGAAACUUAGUGUCUAACGCAUAUAUAAACAAAAAUUCAGAAUCAAUCUCAUGCAGAACAGAUACAAGUGUAAACCUUUUAUAAAAUUAGAAUUGUACAGAUACAAAUAUGCAACAUCCUACCCUCAUCCUCUACACACCAACUCCGACCAUCCUAUCACACCACGUGGGGUAUAAAAUACCCAUCCAGCCCUACACACCGUAUAGUGUUUAUAUGACACUUUUUGGAAUAAUCGCAGCAGAGUUGCCAGUAUAUAUGCGAGAUAUCACCUCACAUAGAACACUUCCUCCUCAUAAUACAAAUCCCGCCUCAUAGCUAGAUACAGACAAAAUAUGAUGUAAAAUAAAUUAACAGAUACUAGAGUUAACAUAUCACGCGUGAGCGUAUAAUAGAUAUUACACAUGCUUAUGCAUAACAAAAUAGAUCAUACAUAUUGUAUUCCAUAAUACUCAUAUAAAUGUUAUUUACGUCAAUCUCAAUCUAACAGAGUAGCAGAUUUCAUGCUUUAACGCUUAUACCACACAUAUAGACCCUAUAGAAGGCCCACAGUCGAUCGAGACAACAUGUAUGUCGCUAGGGAAAAAAUUUGUAAUUUGGGCCCAUAUACAUGUAUGAGCCCACACACCCAAAAUGGCCUUGCCCAUGUGGCUCACCAACCUAGCACUCAGCCCAUACGGUCCAAAAUGGCCUAGGUCGUGUGUCACACACAGCCGCAUGUUGCACACAGCCUACCACAUAGCCAGUCACAAAACUGUUUGGAGUUGAAAAGCCCAAUUUUUGGCUUUCGUCAAUCAUCAUUUUCUUACGUUUUCAUUACACACCUGGUUUGAUUCUGACGCAAAAGCAACCCUAUGUCCACCGAAACCUAAAAAUAGCAUUCCAACGCCCAAUUUCAGUGAACAUUUACAAAACUCAAACAAAAACUAUCCAAAAACAUAGCCUCACAAUAGCAUCCAACGCACUCGCACACUUAUCGUCAACAAAUAGGAAACACCCAACACUCAAUUCGUUGGCGGAGCACCAAUUAUGAUAAUGCAAAAAUUUUAUGGAUUCUCAACACUAUCGAUCCGAAUGUAAGAUUGAUGCUUUCCAAUUAUGAUAAUGCGAAAAUUUUGUGGGAUGGUUUACAUGAAUUUUUUUUGUUGUCAACGAUCAACGUAUUCAAUAAUUAAAAUAAAAUAUUAGUCGUUUUUAGAAAACCAAGACUAUGAGUGUUGUAGUUUAUUUCAGUAAAUUAAAGGUUUUGUGGGAUGAACUAGAUAAUCAUGAACCAUUGAUUUGUUGCAAGUGUGGACAAUGUUUAUGUAACUUAGGGAAGGCGCAUGAACAAUGUCGUGAGCAUGAUUGACUUCAUCAAUUACUUCUUGCUCUCUAUUGUAAUUGUUAUGCUCAAACUAGGUUUACACUGUUUUACCAAGAUCCUUUGCCUUCCUUAAAUCAGGCAUUCCAACAAAUUACUUAGGAGGAACAUGUACGUGGAAUUACACUGAUUAAGGAAGAGAAGUCUGAUAUUUUAGGCUUUGCUAUGCGUACAGAGGGUCAUAACAAAGGCCGAGCUAAUUGUAUUGAUAAGUCAACCUUGUUGUGCACUCAUUGCCAUCGCAAAAGGCAUGAGAUGGCUACCCAUUUUGAAUUACAUAGCCACUUGGAUUGGCGGCUUAAGAAGUAUGGGAAGCCAGAGAAGAAAAGUGAUGAUCGUGGUGGUAAGACAAGUGCCACAUCUUCCACGUAAGUGUUUUAUUUCAAAGGAUCACAAUUAAACAUUAGAUUUCUCAUUUUUAAUUUUUUUAUUUUUUUAACAGCUACGUAAUUAACGAGUACCAAUUUUGGGUGUUGUAGGGGUUCUAUAACUUUCCCUAUAUGUAAUCGACUCUUGCACCCACUUUUUUUUCUCUAGAAUUCAAUGCAAACCUUAGAUUUAUCUUUUUAAAAGAAUUUUAAAAUCUCUUUAUAAAAGACGAUUUUUUUAGGUGACCAAUCACACUUAAGAAAAACAAAUCGGUGGCAACUCCUUUCUAAUAAAUGUAAAAAACUUUUUAAACAAAAUAAGGUUGAAAUAAUCUAGUUGUCGUUAUACUUUGAUAAAAUUUUAGAUUUAGUCCUUAUACUUAAAAGGUUAAAAAUUAAGUCUUGUUUUUAUUUAAAAAUCUUAGUCCUAUCGUUAAUAUUGUUUUUUUUUGUCAAAAUUUGUCAAGUUGACAUAUUAAUUAGGUUUCUCUUAUAUAUCGUGGUAUAUGACUAACACAAAAUAAACAAGUUGACAAAAUCUACAAAAAAUAUCAAAGAUGAUAAUAGUUUAAUUAAAAUUUUUAAAUUAAAAAAGUAAGGGAUUAAAUUUAUAACUUUUAAAGUACAAUGAAUGAAAUUAUUGAAAUACAAGAACUAACAACAUAUUUUAAAAUAUUACUAGUAAAUUAUAUAUCUACAACAAGAAUUGUAACCUCUUAUAUUAUAUUCUUGUAUCUAUUUUUGCAUCUUUCAUUAUAAUAUGAUUUAUUAAUUUUAAUAUUUUUAUAGAAUAAUAUGCUUUAAAUAGUUUUUUGUAUAAUUUAUAAAAAUUAUAAUAAACUUACAAAAUAAUUUAAUGAUAUUUAAUUAUUAACCAAAAAAAAUGAUAUCAUAUAUAUUAUGUAUAUAUUAAGAUUCCGAAUCAUUAAUUAUAUAUCUACGCAUUAUAAUAAAUUCAUCUUUCAAAAUUUUCCUUAUAAUUAAAGCAUAAAUUAUAUUUAUAAUAUUAUAAAUAUAUUUUAUCAUAAAUAUUCUUUCAAAUAUUUUUUAAUGUUUAAUAAUAAGUUAAUUUAUAAAAUAUUUUUUCAAUAAAUUAAUGUGAUGAGAUCGUUAGGUGCUUGGAUUUGGUGAAGGGGGAUGAAGAGAAAAGGGAUGGAAGUGAAUAAAAAUGUUGAGAAAUCGAAAGGGUUAGCGAGGGAAGCCGCCAUGAAAGGUGGUUCAAUGGAUAUGAACCAUCAAGCUUUUGUGGAUGAUGUUACUCAAGGUUGUUGCAAGUAAAUUAAAAAAUAUUUUUUUAAAUUAUUUUUUUGUUAAAAAACAUUUUUUAUUUUUUAUGUGGCAUGCCACAUUAUCAUAGUAUCAUGUGACAACUUCUGGUGAUUUCUGUCUGUAACAUUAGUCAAAUCAACAGUUAAAUCGUUCAACUCACAGUUUUUGUUAAAUGAAGAGGUCAAUUGGUUUUUUUGGAAUCAUUGAGUACUCAAUUGGUGCACUUUUAUCAUAAAGGCUAAAUUAAUUUUUUUAAUUUGUUAUUGUUGAGGGCUAUAACAAUAAAAAAAUUAAUGUAAAAUGAAAAAAAUGUUAGAGCUAAAUUUGUCAUUAUAACUAAAAUGUAAAACCAAAAUUUUUUGAAAAAUGAAAAAAAUGGAAAAUCACAAAUUCUAUCACUUAUGUUUGCUUAAAAUUAUAGUUUUGGUCACCAAUCUUUUGAAGUAAAUAUAUGGUCACCAAUAACUCACCUUAAAGUUAUACCCCUACGCAAGAAAGGAUUAAAUGACAUUGGAAUACCAUAAAACUUGUAUCUUUUUUUAUUCAUCUAAUACCAUUUUAACAUUUUCAUUUUAAAAAAUUGACAUAUCAUUUUGAAUUUGAUCUUUUUCAUGGUAUCUCAAAUUCAUUUAAUCUUUCCCUCUCUAAAAAAGCUAAUGUAACACAUUAAUGACAUCAUUUCAAACAAAGUUUUAGGUCAAAUUAUUCAUCUAGUCCUUGUAAUUGUUUUUAUAGGUGAAUUUCAUUAUUAUUCUUUUAUUUUCUUAGGCUUAAAUACACAUUUACCCCUAAUUUUAUCCCAUUCUCCUUAAUUGGUAUUUAUGGUUUAGAAAAUUUUAUAAAUAUAUUAUUUUUUAAGAAAUUAUAAGAAGAUUACAAAAAUUCCAAAAUAAUAUAAAAAAGCCAAGGAAAACCUAGAAAUUCAAAAAAAAAAAAAAAACGUCGACAUUGAAUUUGCUGUUUCACAUUCAAUUUUUGGAGAAGUAGAAUUUUCUAACUUAUUUUCCAUCAACUUGACUUCAAUUUUCAAUCACAAUCAAUUGCAUUCAAGAGCACCACAUCUGUUUGGAUGAAACAAACCUCUCAAUUUUAAGAUAAACGGGUCUUUAGGGUUAUAAAUUGAGGGCCUUUUCCACAAUUGCGGGUGAUUCGUUGAUAAUAACCUCAACAUUUCUGUAUCACAUUUCAAUUUUUAAUUUUUAGAGAGAUGAUUGGGUUACAAGACUGGUUUGAAGUGAAGAUAUUUCAAAAGAAGAUCGAAUACUCUACCAAUAGUCAUAAUUUAAAAUUCAGGUUAUGUUUCAUUUCAGCUAAGUUAAAUGUUAAGAUUGAGGUUAAACCUUUUAGAGGUUGCUCACAAAAGGAUCAAACCUUUAUAAAAUUGCCUAAAUGAAGGUUAAACCUUUUAAAAUAGACAAAUAAGGGCCUAACCUUUUAAAAGGUGUUCAAAUAAGGGUUUCUCAAACGUUGUAUAUCAGGUUAUGUGUUUUACUCUAAACACAUCGACAUUUACCUAUUUUUUCUAUAAAUUUGGUUGAAGUGCAUGAAAAAUCCUUAUUUGAGCACUUUUGUAAAGGUUAAUCUCUUAUUUGACCAUUUUGAAAGGUUUGAUCCUUAUAUAAGUAACCUCUAAAAGAUUGAGCACUAAUUUGACAAGUUUGAGAAAUAUCUAAAUUUGUUUUCAUGAAUCAAGAAAUUAAAAAAGAAAUGUUGAGAAAUAUUUUAGAGAUUCUUAGCUUUGACAAGUUCCCUCCACCAUCUCCCUGCCUCCAGUCCCACCUCUUCUCUUAUGCUCCUUCCAGCUUCUUGCCUUUUGUGUGUUGAAAAUUCAAAGGAACAAAAUAUCAACCUACAUCAUAAGGCACGAUCGCCAGAACUUUACUUUCUAGCCUGUCGAUCCGAUCCAAUCCAAUGAAAGAAGAACAAGGAGUCUUAAGAUCUGUCAACUUUAUUUCAUUUUCAUUUUCUUUGUCAUUUUCUAUGUUUCAUGUCGAAUACAAUGAAAGAAGAACAUAGAAAAAUGUGGCCUAUUUAUUUCCCAAUCAUCAUGAAAUUACUUGCCAUUGACUUAGAAUUUUCUCACCAAUUUUCAAGCAAUCUGACAUGAUUUCUCAAUCACAAUUAAUUGAAUUCAAGAUCUUUUUAGAUGACACAAACAUUUCAAUUUUAACACAAACCAAUAUUUCGGUUAUACUUCAGUGCUUGACAAGCACUUUCACAUUUGUGGGAUAAGAACUCUUAACAUUUUAGGAUCACAUUUAAUUCAAUUGCAUUUAAGACCUCAUGGUUUUAUUCUAUAAUUUCAGUCUUAUCAGCCUUUUCGGAAACAAUAAAACGUCGACAUUAAAUUUGUUGUUGAUGCAUUCAAUUUUUUGAGGGGUCUUUGGAGUUAUAUGUGACUUUAGCAUUGACUGACUUUUUUAUAAUUUAUCUUUUAUAAUAAGGUAAAUAUAUUAAUUUUAAUAACAUCGACAUGUUUUUUAGUAGGGUCGAGCAAAACCCAAUUAAAAUCGAUGAUAUUGGCUUAGUUGACUCGGUCAAGUCCAUUAGAUUGAUAAAAUCAUUUUUAAAAUCAGUUAUAAUGGAUAAAGGUAAUUAAUUAUCGAGUAAUGAAAUACAUAAUCAAAUCAAUUGAUUUUGUUAGAAACUAAAAGAAAAAGGGCUAAGCUGAAAAUUGAUUGCCCUUUAUUAAAAUUAACGAAUCUGUCUUUUACGUAUUAGAUAAUAUGAACAUCGCAUAUAUAAUAAGAAAAAUUACGUAUGAUUAUUUAUUAUCAUAAAAGGUUAGUUUAAAUUUAAAGUAAUCUAAUAUGUUUAUUGAACUUCAACUAUUAAAUAAAGUAUAAGCUAAAUAAGUAUAAAUAUUCUAGAAACCAUUUCUAACUGAUGAUAGGCUAAUUCGAUUAAUUUAUAAAAACUAGAUAGUAGGGUUAUAGUCCUCAAACUACACCUAAUUUAAUAACAUUUAUAUUUUUUUUAGCCUUAAACAUUUAUAGUUUUUGUUAAUUUGGUCCUUACUCUUUAAAAUUACAUAAAAAUUGCAAAAAAAUUAAAAAUUAAUUUUUAUCAUGAUUUUAAUAACAUUUAUAUUUUUUUUGUGGUUUGGUAACUUAUCAACUUGACUCUUACUUGUAACCAACUUUUCUAACCUUUUUCGUACCCUUAACCUAAGUCCCGUUACAAUUUCUAAAGACCUCUUGAUUGGUGUAUCAUCUCGAUUUGUUUUUAUAGUGGUGGAGAUUUGUUUUUUGUAGUGGCAUGAUUGCCAGAACUUUACUUUCUAUCCUGUCGAUCCGAUCCAAUGAAAGAAUAACAAAGAGUCUUAAGAUCUGUCAACUUUAUUUCAUUUUCAUUUUCUUUGUCAUUUUCUAUGUUUCUUGUCACAUACAAUGAAAGAAGAACAUAGAAAAAUGUUGCCUAUUUAUUUCCCAAUCAUCAUUCUAACAGGCCGAAUUAGCCCAGGCCCAAACAUUAAUAAAAUGUCCAGAUUACAAAAUAACCAACCAAAAAUUAAAAGCCCAAAAUAAUAAAAUAAAACCCAUUACAUUAACCCAAAACUCCAGCCCAAUUACAUUGAAGCCCAAAAAAAUAGUUUUUAGAAACCCCUAGGGUUUCUGGAACAAUCCGCGCCGCUCCUCCAUCCGCUUCUCCACGCACGCUGCACCUUUCCACGUGCGCCUCCAGCUGGCAGUGUACCUCCAAUGCAACAAACAAAGCAACAAGCAGCAAAAGAAAUGGAAAAACAACAAAAAAAAAAAGAAAGGAGCAACAAUGUAUAACAGAUUGAUAACAAAUAAUAGAAAAAAUAGCAGUAAAUAGGAAAAAAAAUUAAAAAAUAAUGAGGGUAAUUUCAUUUUUUUCUCUGUUUUGGCUAUAAAGAGAGCCGGUCAAAAUCUCUAAAGGGGGAUUUAGAAAUCAAUCAGAAAACAAGUAUUUUGUACCAACAAUUAGAGAAAAAAAAUACAAAAAUAGGGAUUGAAGGUUUUUUUUUCUUUCGUUUCGAUUUAUUUUAAAAUAGCAUAGAAAAUAAAAAGAAGGCUUACCUUGCGACGCCUUCAGAUCCUCUCGAAAAGGGGCUAAAAGGCCCUAUGUGGCACAGAUUUGACCACUGUUCACGGUGGAACCGCAGCGGAGGCGCAGAGGAUUGGCAUCAAUUUAGGCAGGGUUUGAAACCCUAGCAGAGAAAAAAUUAGGGUUGAUAGAUUUUUUUUAAAAAAAUGGCAAAAUGUUGUUUUAAAAAAUUUUGUUUUAAAAAAAAUUGUUGCUUUUAUAAAGGGUGUAAAACGGCGUCGUUUAGGGCAUGUUUCGAUGGCCCCAAAACGGCGCCUUAUAAGGCAACCCCCGACGACCCGACCUGCUCCAUGGGGGAUCCGCGUGGUUUUUGUUAAAUGGGUUAUGUCUAACCCUGGCCCUUCUACUUUUUAUACUUGUUUUAAUUUGAUCCUCUUUUUAUUUAUUUUUAUUUCUUUAAAUUAAGCCUGAUAAUUUUUUUCCAUUACAUUUUAAUCCUUAAUGAAACGGCGCGUUUUAGAGGAGAAGGGAAAAUUACCCUUCUAGUCCCUUCUUGUUAUUCGAGUGUUCAGAAGGGUCCUUUUUUGUUUAUUUUUUAUUUGCCCCAAAAUUUUGUUUUAAAGCUUAAUUUAGUCCUAUUUUGUUAUUUUAGCUAUUUUAUUAUUAGAUUAAUUAAUUUAAUAUUAUUAUUACUGCUAUUAUUUUACCCCUAUUAUUUAUAUAUUUAUUAUUAUAACUAUAUCAUUAAAUCAAUUAGUUUUUACAUUAUUAUUUCCAUUCUGUUUUUUAUUUACUUACUUAAAUACUUUAAAUGCAUUUAUUUUAUUUCUUAUUUUUUUAUGAAAUUUCAAAACUUUAGACUAUUUUUUUGUUACUAUAACCCUAAUUUCAUUCAUUUUAUAAUAGUUUUUUUUUAAAAUAUUUCUUAGAUUAAUUCCCUCGAUGUUAUUUUGUAUAUUUAUUUAUCUUUUUAAAUUUUCGAUAUUGUCUUAUUGUAUUAUUGUUGUUACUAUCAUUAUUCAUUAUUAUUGUUGAUUUUAUUCUUCUUUGAUUAAUGUUUAUGUUAGAGUAAUAGGUGUUAUGUGAUCAUUGUUAUUAUAUGUUAUAAUUUGUUGACACUCGUAUUGUAGUCAUUCGUCAGCUUAAUAUUUUGAGUAACAUUUUAAAUAUUACAUUAAUUUUGACCCAAAUGCAUAAUUUUUUAAUAAGUAAUAUUUCGUAUUGUGGAAUUUGAGAGAUCAUUCCCUAACUUACGGGGUCUCGAUUUUUUUGAUAAAUCUGAAUAUAAGAACUAUUUUAAAAAAAUACGUUUUAAAAUUAUCUCGGGAAUUUAAAAAGAAGCGUGUUCUAACUUACGGAAUAUGAUCUUUUUUUAAAAAUCGAGAUAAUCAAAUAUCUUUCAAAUAAAUAAACUUUUCGUGUUUAUUCUCGUUUUAGGAUUUAAGAUAUUGUGUCCUAACUCACGGGACACAAUUCUUUUUCUCGAUUAACGUGAAAUACGCCCUUUUUAAUUUUAUCUUUUUAAGUGAUUUUAACAAAAGGAUUGUAUUUUAAAUCUCUUCAAAAUUUUCAAUUUUUCGACAUUGAGACAUUAACUAAUCAAUUAGGUACCAAUUUUGGGCGUUACAAGGGUGUUAACCCUUCCUUGUACAUAACCGACUCCCGAACCUAUUUUUCUGAAUAUUAUAGGCCAAAAUUGUUUUAAUAAAUUAAACCCUUAAGAGGUGACUCGAUCACAGCUCAUAAAAAUUAUCGGUGGCGACCCUUGUUUUAAAAAAGGUGGUUUCAACAGCUUGGCGACUCCGCUGGGGACAAAAAUAAGAGUCAAGCCGCGAGUUGAUUAUUUCUUAUCUUUUUGUCAGAAAUUGUGAAUUCGAUUUAAAUUUAUGAUCUUUUCAUUGCAUUUUAUGGUCUGCAUCAUUUUUAUAUGCUUGCUUUACUACUUCGAGUCUUUUAAUCUUCGCAUAUUGUAUUGCAUAACCGUUCGGUUAUACCCUUUUAAGCGGGAGUGAGAAAUUAUUCUUUCGUGAGGUUUUCACCUUCGUAUAGGAUAGUGGAUUACUUUCAGGAUACAUCCAUACCUAUGUCUUCGUGAGAUUCUCAUCUCCGUAUAGUCAUAGGGAAAUGUAUUCCCCUGAACUGAACUCAGUCCGUAUGAGCCUAUAAUGGGUGAGGAUUGAGGAAUCUGCUGGUUCAGGUACCCUUUCUUUAGAACUAAACCGCAUGUAGUGAGCCCUAAGAGCAUACCCUAGGUAGAACCACUCCAAACCCCUAGUGGUCACCCAAAUAGGUGCUCUAUUUAUUUUUGCUUGCUUGUUUUUGCCUUGUACUAACCUAUUUGUUAUGGUUAUGAGUGCAUUGCAUUUUUAUCAUAAAAAAGAUGUGUUGAUUCACGUUCAGUUGCUAAAUAGAGAGCUUGUCAUGGAAAACGAAUUUCUUGAUAAAGUGGAAGACAAUGCGGUUGUCCGGAUAUGGUCCAAGAAAAUGUGAAGAAAGAAGGGUGAUAGUCUAAUGGAGGACUACACGACCUUGCUUUGUUGCCUGAUGAUUCAAGUUGACAAAGAUUAUUCGAGAGUCUUCAAUGUCCCGACCUUUUUAAAGAAGCUAACGAGCGUCACGAGGAUGAGCGAGUAAUGAGUUGCGGCCCGGAUCAAGCAAAAAAAAGAUAGAGGAGACACCCUUUUUGAAGAGUUCACGAGAUUUAUCUUAACAUCUAGACGAAGAAAAAGAUCAAUCUCUUUGCCUAGAGUAUGAGGGCAAAGCCGUAUAUAUCCGCUUUAUGUAAAUAAAUUUGUUUUCUAGUAAAGUUUUUCUAAUAGGAUUGAAUCAGAAUCAACGUCUCUUUUUGCAUUCAUUCCAUUCAUCUGCAUUGCAUUUCAUUGCAUCUAGAAUUUCACAAAAGGACCCUAAUUAAUCGAAAUUGUUAUAGCUACCUUGAAAAACUAACGAAAAUUUACCAAUUAAAUAUUCCUAUGGUACCCAUUGCAAAACUAAAGUAAUGGAUCAAAUAUUAGAAAGAUUAGAACAAAUGCUGAAGGAUAAACAUAACUGCUUUGGCUUAGGGUACAAGCCAGAUACAAGACAAAGAAGAAA
rnacentral:lncRNA from 1 species